rnacentral:lncRNA from 1 species
UUUUUGAAUAUGCAAUAUGCAAUAUUUUGGAUUUAUUUAUCUAUAAAUAAUGAUUCUAUGUAUUUCAAAAAUUGUUGAUAAAGAUAUAUUAAACAAUUGAAUAUUUCUUUCUACUAUUUUUUUAUCAUUAUUAAUAGAGACAUAGAGAGCAUGAGAUUUUCUUUUUUUGUCAUUGAUUUUUUGUUCAAGGGUUUUUUUGUUCAGAAGUUAAGUUCAAGGGCUUUUUUUGAGUACAAUUUGGCCUUUUUCUUUCUUGAAAAGGAACUGUCCACUAUAUUAACAAACAAAAUGCGUAGUGAUGUUUUAAAACCCAUCUUCCCAACCAGACACAGAAAUUUAAAAGCCAAAUCAAAGGAAAGCUCAGGAAUAGAACACUUGGCUGUUGAAAACUCGAAAUACCAAUGAAAUGCACAUAAAUUUUGUUCUUACCUGGUUACUUGUAGAGAGUCCAACAUCAUAAACCAUGGUGAGAUCAGUCUUGAAAAUUCCAGGUGAUCGCUCGGAACCAGGUCCAGGUUUCAAGUCUUCGUCAUAAAGAGCAAAGAGGUAUGUAUCCACUGAUUUACCUGGCAUGAGUGGAGUGCCCACCAUCGAUCGAAGGUGUGCAAUCAAAUUGCCAUUGUAAGCCUUGGCAUUCUCAAUGCUUGGCCCUACGUCGUUGUCAUCUCCUUUAAAUGGCCAUCCAGUCUCAGCCACCACAAUCUCAACAUUCUUAAAUCCCAUAGAAUUCAGUGCAGAAUAAACUGCAUCCACCUGCAAUUGAUUAAACCACUUGUCAGUAGCAUUUUUAUUAGAUCAUCUAUUGAUACAGAAUUUUCGCACUUGCAAUUUGAUUUACUCUCACCUGAGCAUCGAACAUGUUCAUGUACUUGAUCUUAGUGUUUCCAUCCAUUCGUCCUGCAUUCGGCUGGAAAAGGCAAAAAGCAAGAAUCUCAGGCCUUGUAUCGCUUCUGUAAGCAAAGUAUGGGUAGGUAUUUAUUGCGAAAGGCGAACCAUUCGCACUAUUAAACUCCAACAAGCCCUUCAUCAGAUCCCCAUAACUUGGAUCAAAGCUUCCAGAAGAAGGUGGCUCAGACUGCUUAAGCACUCCCAUCGAAUGAACUGUGGAGACCUUAAUUUUACCCCCGAGCGAUGCAUCAUUUAGAGCAUUCUGUACAUUUUGCAUUGCUGGUAAGAGCUUGUUCAUGAGAUUCUGGUCAUUGGAAGUCAUGACCUCGUUGCCAACAGUGAUGAGGAUGAUAUUGCUAGCUGGAUAGAAGGGAAGCACGUUUUUGUUGAUCCAGCUCUUGGUAAAAUUGGAAUCAGAGGCUAGCCCUGGAAUGUCACCAUUUGCAGUGCCGAUAACAAUUCCAAUUCCGGUGUUGGCUAAGGCUUUGAUUAUGGCGGGGUCCGAUCCAUAUAAUCGGACCUUUUGGAUUGAAGUGGAUUGAAGAAGUUUUGCAUUGGAUGAUGGUGGUGGAAGGUUGUCCGCAACUUGGCCAUAGUUUAUACCGAGGAAUGAUUGCGAGUCUGCACAAAAAGCAGCAAAAUUUAAAGCAGAUGAUCAAACAUCAAUUUUUAAACGACAAAACAGAACACCAACAUUUUUUGUUUUCAUAGACUGAAAUGAAGACAGCUCAGUUAAGGUAAAUUCUUUAGAAAUGGAAGGAGGUAAUUAAAAUAGAAAGAGACACAAACUUACUUGCGAUUUUUACAGUCUGUAAGCAGGAAAGGAGUAGGAAAGCAACAGUAUAAGGAAGCACCACCAUGGCUAAGGAGGAGCGGUUUCUGUUCUGUUUUUUUUUUAAACUGGAGUGGGCAUUAAAUAUAGAAUAUGCUACAAGUCGAGGACAGAAGCGUAAAGAUGACUUCGGGUGGUGAAUUAAAUUGUCACAAUUAUUUGAUAAUAAUUUUGUGUUGUAGCGUACUUAAUUAGCACACGUUAUUGCAUGUCUUCAAAGAAUUAAUUAUAAGCUGAUGCAAUGGGUUGUGACAAUGCUUAGUGUUAGUUGUUAACAAGCUAGCUUUGAAGUGUUUGUCAUCGCACUAUAACUUUCUAAUCGAUUUGAGUUCUCUGCCUUUCCCUAUUGUUUUCCACAUAACCAAAUUAAAGGCAGGUCAAUGGCCCUAAGAACAAAAAACAACAACUGCAAAUACACUUUAAAAAUGGUUGAAAACGUACUUAUCUAUUAGAUUCGAAUAUAUACGAUUAACCAAGGCAAUAAAAAAUUUAAUGAACAUAAUAAUUAAUCAGUUCGGUUUUUAUAAAAGACUAAAUUAUUGUUGGGUUUAUUUAAGUUAAAAAGAAAGCAUGAAGACAAGAUGUUUAAAUUGUGUUUGAAUAUAGUUCUUACAUAUGUUUAGAUAAAAUAAAUAAUAUGAUGUGGAGGCAUAAAGAAUAAAAAGAUUAUUUGAUGGAGGAAUUAUGAACAUAUAUCAAGAAAAGAAGUAACUUGAUUUAAAUAUGUGGUUGUAUGUGAAAUGAUGAUGUUAUGUUUGAGAAUGAAUUUUUAUCAGAACGAAUGAAAAAUAAAUUAUGUGCUUUGCAUUUUGGCACGUAAGAAAAAUAUUGAUGGACUAAUAAUAUAAUGUCUGGAGCUGGUUAUCAGACAGGAGGAGUUGGUUAUCAUACGGGAGGAGUUGGGUCAUCACGAAUAGAAGAUAGAUGAUUCGUCAUCUUAUUUUGCAAUUAUUAAUUUUCCUUAAAUAUCUAUGUUGUUUAUUUAAUUGAUGUUAAAAGAAUGAAGCAAAUGAGUAAAUUUAGUGAUUAUUACAAAUGAGAAUUAUUGGUAAUUUAUGUGAAAUUACCAGAAUUAUUAUUUGGCUAACAAAAAAGGUUAGCCGGAUGCUGGGUAAUUCAUAUGGAAUUACCGGAUUGAUUUUGGCAACCAAAAUGGGUUAGCCACAUUUCUUGGGUAAUUAAAAGAAUUACCGGGUUUAUUGGUUAACAAAGAUGUUAACCGGAUAUGGGGUAAUUCUUAUGGAAUUACCGGAUUGAUUGGCUAACAAAAAAGGUUAGUCGGAUGAUGGGUAAUUCUAAUGAAAUUAUUGGAUUUAUUGGUAACUGAGGAAGAAUAACCAAAUUUGUGGGUAAUUAUAUGAAAGUGUUACAAUUAUUGGCAAUCGAGAUGAGUUAGCUGGAUAUUUAAGUUUUGAAAAGAUUAUGUAAAUUAAUUGAUUGAAUUUAGAAGUAUUAAAUUUUAAAGGUUAAGAGUAAAAUAAUUAAUAUAUGACUAAGAUAUUGAGUAAAUUAAAUAAUGUGGUUAUUCUUGAAACAAAUAGAUCGCGAGGUGAUGCAGUUCGUUAGAUGUAGGAUUUCUGAAUCGGCAGCAACAUAGUUUUCGGCUGCUGAUUUCUGAAUCGACAACGACAAAGUUCUUAAUUGCUGAUUUCUGAAUCGGCGGUGUCACAGUUUUUGACUAUCGAUUUAUGAAUCGGCAGCAGCACAGUUUUGCUGCCGAUUUUUGAAUCGACAAUGACACUAAAAACUCAACAAAAAAUUAGUGUUGGAUCAGCUUAUCUUAGAGGAGAAUUGGAAUAGAAACCAGCUCAAUCCACAUCCAUGUUCCAAUACAGUUUGCUAUUAAAAAUCCAGCAGAAUCACAUAAUUUCAAGCAUGAACAACCAUAUGCAAUUUAGUUCCAACAUACAAUACGUUCUUAUCAUCCAGCAGAAUCACACAAUUUCAAGCAUGAACACAAUUGCUUGAAAUUAUGCGAUUCUGAUGAAUAAAUUAUUAGCUUCGGCUAAUGAGAUCCGAAUGGAUGACCGAGACAAAUGACUGAUUAGAUUUGGCUAAUGGCAUCCAAAACGGAUGAUCGAGUCAUGUUUCAUGAUUAGCUUCAGCCAAUGGCAUCCGAGAUGGAUAGCCGGGUUCUGUUGAUGAUUAGCUUCGGCUAAUGACAUUUUAGACGAAUGACCGGGUUGUGAAUUUUUAUUAGUUUUGACUGAUGGCAUCCAAGAUGCAUGACCGAGUUGUGUUGAUGAUUAGCUCCGGCUAAUGGCAUUUGAGAUGGAUGAACGGGUUGUGUUGAUAAUUAGCUUCGGCUAAUGGCAUCCGAGAUGAAUGACCGGGUUGUGAUUGUUGAUUAGCGAGAAGAAUGACCCGGUUGUGAUUGUUAAUUAGCUUCGGCUAAUAGCAUUCGAGAUGGAUGACCGGGUUAUGGUUGAUGAUUAGUUUGAUUAAAUGACAUCCUAGAUGGAUAGUCAAGUUGAUUAUGAUGAUUGGCUUCGGCUAAUGGUAUCCGUAAGAGAUGACGAGUUAACUUGUGUGGUUGGUUUUGGUUAACGGCAUCCGAGACGGGUGACCGAGUUUAGAUAUUGCAAUUAGUUACGGUUAAAAGCAUCGAGGAUGAAUGACCGAGUUAAGGUGAAGUAAUUAACCCCAACCGAAGAUUAAACUGCUUCCCUACCACUCCUAUGGAGGUGUUGGGGUGUAUGCAUGAGGAUAAUACAUGUAGUGAAGUAAUGAGGGUUGCACAGUGUAUUUGAGAAGUGAAUAAACGAAUGUACUCACCUUGAGUUGAUAACAAAAAAUAACGAUAACAUCCUUCUAGUUAUUAUUAUUAUGUUUAGAUUAUUUAUAGUUCUUGUAUCCAUGCUGUUUUUGUAACAGGCGCAUCACACAAUCAAGGUACAUAGAAAAACGGUUUCAUGGGUUCUCAUAUUUUGAAAAGAGCUAUGUAAUAGUUUGUCUUAAGUGUUAUAAUGAAUAUUUGCCUUUCGAUACUUUUGUAAGGACUUGUAAUGAAAACUAUAUUGGAACAUGGAUCUGGAUUUGUAAACAUGUAGAUAUGAUGUUAUGAAUAUAUUUAUGUAGUAUUCUUGUUUAUGAAGAUGUUGUGUUGAGAAAUCACAUGAGGAUCAUAUAAAAAGAGGUAUUAUUUGUGUAAAAUUGUUGUUCGGCACUCGUGUGUUAAUAACGAGACUAGAAUAUCAUUUUUAAAGUGUAUUUGCCUUUUGGUUACGUGGAAAACAAGAGAGAAUUAGGCAGAGAACUCAAAUCGAUUGGAAAGUUACGGUGCGAUGAGAAACACUUCGAAGCUAGCUUGUUAACAACUAGCACAAGCAUUGCAUCAGCUUAUAAAUUCUUUGAAGACAAGUUAAUUAUCCUUGCAAGUUUCAAAGCCUCCCUCUCUGUAGAAAUAAACAUGCGAUAACGUGCGCUAAUUAAGUACGCUACAACACAAAAUUACUAUCAUGUAAUUGUGUUGUAGCACACGUUUCCAAAUCACUAAUAAUGAAUAAAUUGAAGAAUGAUAUUGUCCAUUGUACAUUAUGUUUUCCACGAAAUAAAUAAAAUAAAAAAAAAUAAAAAAUUGAGAAUUAUUCUUUAUUACAUUGAAUUAAUGUACCUAUAUAAUUAAUUAAGUAGUUAAUUUCUUCACAUGCGAAUAUCUAAUAUCCAUUUUUUUGGGUAUGAUAAAAAAUGAUUUGUUUAGUUUCGUUAUAUAUAGUUUUGGUUUUUUGGGUAUGAUUUCUUGGUUUAAUUUUGUUGGUUUCUAAAACAUAAAACCAAAAUCAAACGGACCAAUUUUUUAAAAAAACAACCUUCUAAUUGGUUUUUUCGUUUUAAUUUAUUAAUAUGUAGAUUUUUUUAAUUAAUUUUAAAUCAAUUUUUAAGAAUAUUUUUACAUGAUGCUUCUUUUAUAGUUUCUAUCCAUGCCUUCCCAAUUGCCACUGUUUCUUUUGGUUCAUCUCCGUCAUAACAGUAGUUUAUAAAGUUAAUAUGAAUGAAUUUAAAAAUGUAUAUGAUAUUAAUAAUAAUAUUAAUUUAUAUGACCUCAGUUUUUAUAGUUUUUAAUCCCCUCAAAUAAAACUUAUUGUUUUUCUUCGAUAAUAAUAAUAUUUUUCUUCAAAUUUAUUAAUUUAAUAAUAAUAAUAAUUUUACCAUUUAAAUCAAAUUUAUGGUUGUUUUUCAAAAUGAAUGAUAUAUUUUCAAAAUUUCUUAAUUAUGAUAUUAAUAAUAUUAAUUAUAAUAAAAAAAUAAAAUUUAUAAUGAAAAUAAUAUUAAUUAUAAUAAAAACAAAUAUAUUUAUAAUACAAAUAAUAAUAUUUUUAAUAUUAAUCAUCAUAAAAAUAAUAAUAUUUAUAAACCAAAAUAAUAAUAUUUUUAAUAUUAAAAUUAAAAAUACUUAUAAAUAAAAAAUAUAUAUUUUUAAUAUUAAAACUCUUAUACCUACAGAUUUGAGCAUUGCUAUACCUAAGGAACUUAUGCUCGUAUUGGUAAAUCUCACUUCGUAACUUUUAAUUUAUGUUCACAGAUGGUUUGGUUUUGUUUCUAAAACUGAGUUUUGUUGUUCUAGCACCCAGAUCGGGAUUGGCAUGGAAGCACUCGAUUGAUGCGGGUGCUGAUGUCAUAGAUGCUGAUUACAGAGGCCCUGUUAGGGUUAUCACUCUAAUGUUGAUUUCAAGGUAAAGGUUGGCGAUAGAAUUGCGCAGUUGAUUCUUGAGAAAAUUGCAACUCCUGAUGUCAUGGAAUUCGAGGAUUUUGAUGCAACUGUGAGAGGUGUUGGAGGGUUUGGAUCUACUGCCCGUGAUUUGUAACGUUUUUUCUUAAAUGUUUCUGUUUCUUGGUGUUUAAAUUUGGCUAACAGAUGGUGGACUAAGCAGUAAAAGUUUUGGGUUUGGUGAAGGAAUUCCUUUUGUUAAUGAGUCAACCUAGCAAAAGACAAGGUUAUGGGUUACCAGUCAAGCUGUCAUGAUUGAGUUUAAUAACUAGUAAAUGUAAAGAAACCGAAGAUAUACCCAUAAGAAAUAAACCUUAGAACAAGGUCAAUGAAGCCAUCUUCAAACUAGAGAAGGUUGUUGAUAUAAGAUCUUAUAAUUAGAGAAUUCAAAGUUGAAAUUUUAUACACAAUUUUGUAUUAUAUUACGUGAAUUAACAUUUACAAAAAAUUGUAGCAUUUUUCCUACACUCAUGAUCAACUAUCAUUCGGGGUGGAAGAAGUUGGCAUGUAGGCCUUUGGUAGCCAAAUUCCAAACUGCUGCAACGACCAACAGAACACUCAGAACCAUGCCUAAGCAUCCAAGUCCUAGAUUAAGACACCACAUGACACCAUGGCGCUUUUAAUGGGGUUUCUUGAUCGAAAUCCACAUGAAACAUGGAUAAGCCAGUGUAAGGGGUAACGCGAUUCCUCCGAUUAAAGCAGCCAGGCUAGGUAAAAAUGGAAAAGCCACAGCUAUAAAGAAGGCCAAUCCUCCGAAAAAAAGCCAAAACCCGGUGCGAACCCACCACGAGCAUCGCUUGUUCUUCAUGCAAGUGUACCUGAAUUCCAGGUUGUCGAAAACUGGCAUGGCGUAGAUUUGGAAUGAACUAAGGCAGUUAAUCACUACUAGCAAGAAUAUUAUUCAUUUCCUUUUUUAUCUUUUUGUUAACCACCUGCAACAAGGCUAUAUAUAUUUUAUUGCUCUUUGCAUGGAUAGGAACUAUAAAAGAAGCAUCAUGUAAAAAUAUUCCACCAACGAAAUCUACCAAAAUUGGGAUUUUUUAUGAGAUACUCAUAAGGAUUAAAUUUCUACCAAAUGAGCCGGUGUUCUAGAUAUAAAAUAUAUAAAGAAGUCACGAUGCCGAAUUCAGCAUUACCUUUUCUCAUCCCAUUAGAUUGGGAACUGAGCGCACCAUGUAAAAGUUUAAAUUGAGCUAGUUCAUAAACUUAACUUUUCCUUUUUUUUCUCUUCGCUAAUUUUUUUUUUUUAAAAUUAAUAAUAAUACUUAACCAGCAAAUAUCCUCUAAUUUUCCAAUUAUUUUUUCAAUUUACUCCUAAACAAUAGAUUCGACAAAGAAACUUAUUAAGUAGAGAGAAAAACCUUAACCCAUCUUCAUCCUCUCUUUACAACUUCUUAUUUUAAGUAUGCAAGUCAUAAAAGAAAAGGAAAAUCAAAGAAAGUCUUAUAAACCCAUACAACAAACCUAAAUUUAAAAUCCUAAUUAAAUAUACUUUGUUGCUGUCUGUUGUCGCUGCUGAUGCUAAUGGUGUUCGUGCUCGUGCUCAUGCUGCUGUCAUUGUUGCUGAUAAUUGUGCUGGUGGCAGUGGUUGCGGCUGCUAAUAGCGGUUGUGGUGCUGCUGUUAGUGACUAGGUCUGGUUUAAUAAAUUAAAUGGGUUUUUGGAGGUGCAAUAUGCAAGAAUAUUAUGGAUUUAUUUGUCUAAAAAUGUGAUUCCAUGUAUUUCAAAUAUUGUUGAUAAAGAUGUUAGAUUAAAAAAUUGAAUAUUUCUUUCUACUUUUUUUUUGUAAUUAUUAAUAGAAACAUAGAGAGCGAUUAAAAAGAUGUUAUGGGCCUGGUUUUUUUUUUGCGUUAAUUUCCUAACAGAACGAGCCUAUUCCAAAAAUCAUAAUGUUUAGGAUAGAAAAUCAGGAUUUUUUUUGGUUCAAAAGUUAAGUUUAAGGAGCUUUUUUUUAGUACAAUUUGGCCUUUUUCUUUCUUGAAAAGGAACUGUCUGAUAAGGAUAACGUUCACAAUACUAAGAUUGUGGAUAAACACUGAUAUUUGUCACCUAGUGUUUCAUUGUUUCUAGUUCUUUGUUCGUUCUUGUCUCUGCAUUGUUCCUGUCUCUGCAGAUGAAUCCUUUUUGUAACUACAACUCUUAUAAAGAGUUUCCAUUGUAACAGACUUUACGUGUAUAUAUAUGGCUGAGAAAACACAGUUUUACUCAAGCAAUUUCAGUUGUAAUUUAAUUCUUUCAUGGUAUCAGAGCGUCUCAUAGGUAACGCUUCCAACGAUCCUAUGGCUACUGCUUCAGAUUUUUCUCCUUCCGCUGCAUUUCAUCUUCCAGCUCAAGUUAUUUCUAUCAAACUCGAUGGAACUAAUUUCCUUGCCUGGAGUGCUCAAUUGCUUCCUCUGUUUUGGAGUUAUGGACUCAUGGGAAUUGUUGAUGGUUCUGAUCUUUGUCCUCCUCAAUUUUCCAGCGAAGAACAUAAAGUCCAAGGUAUUACUAAUUCUGCUUAUAUGGCUUGGCAGUAUAAGGACCAAACAAUACUAGGAUGGAUUAUCUCCUCAUUAACUCCUUCAGUGGUUUCCACCAUUUAUGGCCUUGAAACUUCUCGUCUUGCUUGGCAAGCCCUUGGUGCACGUUUUGUUGCACCAUCAACUUCUCGAAUUUCUCUUAUCAAGCGAAAGUUGCAAUCUUUGCAACAAGGCUCCUUGUCUUGUCAGAAAUUUCUGGAUGAAGUCAAAACUCUUGCAGAUGAACUCACUGCCGUUGGCAAACCUAUUGAUGAUUCUGAUCUAAUAUUUUAUGUUCUCAAUGGUCUCAACUCUUCAUUUCAUUCAUUUGUCACAACGUAUAUGCUCCUCUCCAAAGAGAAAUCCAUGUCAUUUUCAGAUUUUCAUGCAGAACUACUGAACCAUGACCUUAUGCAACAAUUUCAUAGUCAGUCUCUUCACCAUGAGGCAGGUUCCUAUGCUCUUUACUCACAUAAACCUGCAGCCAAAAUAGGUUCUCGUCACAGCAGUAAUAAAUCUCGCUUCUCAGGGGCAUCUAAAGGAUUGGGUAGUGCUUCCUCUCAGUUUCGGUAGCCCCUACCUCACCUCCCACACCCAUCUUCAUUAGCUCCUUCUGACUCUCGUUCCCGAUCUCCAUGCCAAAUCUGCAAACGAGAGGGACAUCAGGCCUUGGAUUGCUUUAACCACAUGAAUUACUCUUUUCAAGGACGUCAUCCUCCCACUGACUUAGCUGCCAUGGUUGCAGAAGCCAAUACAACUUAUUUAAAUCAACAUCAAUGGUAUGCGGACAGUGGUGCUAAUAUUUAUGUUACCUCAGAUAUUGCUAAUCUUGCAACUUCUCACCCUUAUGAAGGUGAUGCUUCCUUGGGCGUAGGUAACGGUACAGGUUUGCACAUUUCUCAUACUGGCAAUGCUUCUAUUAAAACCCUUUCUUCUACUACUCUUGCCUUAAAUAAUGUUGCUUACUGUCCUCAAGCAUCAGCUCAUCUCCUCUAUAUCAAUAAAUUCUGUCAGGAUAAUAAUGUUCUUUUUGAACUCACUGUUCUGAUUUUUCUAUUAAGGAUAUCCUGACGGGGAACACGCUCCUGACGGGACCAAGUGAUAAUGGAUUGUAUCCAAUCAACCUUCGUCAACUAUCUGCUUCACCAUAUCAUGCUCUCACAAUGACUGUUAGCGUCAAGGCUCUUACUUCCAUCUGGCACUGUUGCCUAGGCCAUCCUUCCCCAGAAAUUCUUCGUCGUGUUAUUUCCAAAUUUUCUCUUCCAGUUAGUGAUUCCAUCAAUAAAACAUCAGUUUGUGCACCUUGCCAACUAGGCAAGUCUAAACAAUUGCCCUUUUCUGAUUCAUCAAGAGAAUCCACUGCUCCCCUAGAAAUAAUUCACUCUGAUGUCUGGUCCACUUCCACACCUUCCUUGAGUGGUUAUUUUUAUUGAUGAUUUUUCUUGUUUUUGUUGGAUGUUUCCUAUUUCAAAUAAGUCUGAUGUUUAUUCUACAUUUGUUAAAUUCAAGCUUUUAGUAGAGAAACAAUUUCAAUUCACAAUUCGAUAAUUUCAAAGUAAUAAUGGUGGUGAAUACUGUUCCACCAUUUUUAAACAGUUUUUAAGGGAUAAUGGAAUUUUUCAUCGACUAUCAUGUCCUCACACUUCUCAACAAAAUGGCCUCGCUGAGAGGAAACAUCGUCAUGUUAUGGAUAUGGGACUUACUCUUCUAGCUCAAUCAGGCUUAUCUAAGAAAUUUUGGGUUGAUGCUUUUCUCACCGCUAUUUUUAUCAUUAAUCGACUACCUACUAAAAUUCUUGAUUAUGUUUCACCAUAUGAACGUCUUUUUCAUCUUCCUCCAGACUUCACAUAUUUUCGAGCAUUUGGAUGUCAAUGUUUUCCAUGUCUUCGUCCUUACACAAAUGAUAAAUUAUCAUAUCGUAGCAUGCCUUGUAUUUUCAUUGGUUAUAGCUCCAAUCACAAAGGAUUUCGAUGUUUAGAUCCUUCGUCCAGACGUGUCUAUAUCUCUCGAAAUGUGAUUUUAGACGAAGAGCAAUUUCCUGCACACUCCAUUAUCACAAGUCCUGCCAGCUGCGUCUCCUCCUCUAGUAAGUCUCCAGGUCUGUUCUUCACUCCUCCUUCAUAUAUUUUCUCCUCAUCCUCUGAUUUUUCUCCUCCCCCAGCAACUUCCUCACCUACCCAGGCUCUUGCUGACCUUACCUUACAUGAUAUUCAUACUGCUCCAGCUGUUAAUUCAAAUGAAUACCAUCUCCACUCCUCUCUCCCAUCUCUCCAUUCUGGCCAACCCGAAUCUUCUGAAUCCGUUCCUAUACCUAGUGCACCAGCUCUUAGUCCUUCUUCUAACCACCACCACAAUGCCAUCCUUAACCUCCAAAAUGGUGCCCUGUCUACUCAUGAGCCUUCCACAAAAAUAAUCACUAGAUCACAAACUGGUCAUCAUAAGCCUCGUAGGUUCCCUGAUUUUCAUUUAUAUUCCACUUGUCACCCCCUUCAAGCUUUGCAUGCAGGAUUGGUUUGUGUUGAGCCCAGUUCCUACGCUCAAGCAGCAUCCAUACCUGAGUGGCGUGCGGCAAUGGACAGUGAAUUUCAGUCCUUGUUACAGAAUGACACAUGGUCAUUAUGUUCUCGUCCCCCUGGUAAGAAUUUGGUUCCAUGUAAAUGGGUUUUUAAACUCAAACGGCGACCUGACGGCAGUGUUGAACGUCACAAGGCCAGAUUAGUCGUUGUGGGAUAUCUACAGAGAAGUGGGGUUGAUUUUCUUGACACAUUUAGCCCAGUCAUCAAGCCUGCUACUAUCCGAAUGGUUCUUACCAUUGCUGUCUCUUUCAACUGGGAUAUUCGUCAACUUGAUGUCUCAAACGCCUUCCUUCAUGGUGUGUUAGAAGAGGAAGUUUAUAUGACACAACCCAAAGGAUUUGUUGAUCCUGCACACCCCGAAUUCGUUUGUAAGCUUCAUAAAUCUCUUUAUGGGUUGAAACAAGCUCCUCGUGCCUGGUUUAAUCGACUGUCCACUGCUCUUUUGGCUCUUGAUUUUCAAAGUUCACAAGUUGAUCCCUCACUAUUUGUCUAUCAUCGUGGCAAUGUCCAUGCAUUCUUCUUAGUCUACGUGGAUGACAUUCUGGUUACCUCAAAUGAUCAGGAUUUUAUUACCACUCUUAUAUCUCAAUUACAACUUGAGUUUGCUAUGAAGGAUCUUGGCCAAUUGACAUAUUUUCUGGGAAUUAAGGCCAUAUGCAAUUCAUCAGGGUUACAUCUUCGACAAACCAGGUAUAUCAUUGAUCUUCUGGACCGUGUGCAACUCACUGGUAUCCGCCCAUACUGUGCACCUUGUGUCUCCGGGUCUAAGCUAUCCAAGUUUGAUGGAGAAAGUAUUCCAGACCCAUCUGAAUAUAGGCAAACAGUGGGGGCUUUACAGUAUGUAACUCUCACACGCCCUGACAUUGCAUACUCAAUAAAUCAACUAUGUCAACACAUGCAAACGCCUACUUCUGCUCACUGGACAGCAGCCAAAUGUGUACUACGAUACUUAAAACACACACUUGAUUAUGGUCUCUUCUAUAGACCGGGUUCCUUUGCAAUCAAUGCCUCUUGUGACUCUGAUUGGGCCGGUGAUCCUGACGACAGACGCUCCACUUAUGGCUAUGGUGUUUUUGUUGGGUCCAAUCUCAUAUCUUGGUCUGCUAAGAAACAACCUGUAGUGUCAAAAUCCAGUACCAAAGCUGAAUACAGGUGUUUGGCUCUAGUUACAGCUGAGGUGUAUUGGCUGAGAAUGUUGUUGCAUGAGUUGCAGAUUUCUCUUGCUUUUGCUCUAGUCGUAUGGUGUGACAAUAUAAGUGCCUUAGCUCUUGCCUCCAAUCCUAUUUUCCAUGCCCGAUCAAAACACAUUGAAGUGGAUUACCACUUUGUCAGAGAAAAGGUGGCCAACAAAGAUAUACUACUUCAACACGUUCCCACCUCUCUACAACCUGCAGAUAUUUUUACCAAGGGACACACGGCUGAUCGGUUCUGUUACCUCCGGGAUAAACUUUCUGUGACAGAUAUCCCUGCCAGUUUACGGGGGAAUGAUAAGGAUAACGUUCACAAUACUAAGAUUGUGGAUAAACACUGAUAUUUGUCACCCAAUGUUUCAUUGUUUCCAGUUCUCUGUUCGUUCCUGUCUCUGCAGAUGAAUCCUUUUGUAACUACAACUCUUAUAAAAAGUUUCCAUUGUAACAGACUUUACGUGUAUAUAUAUGGCUGAGAAAACACAGUUUUACUCAAGCAAUUUCAGUUGUAAUUUAAUUCUUUCACUGUCCAUUCUAUUAACAAACAAAAUGCCUAGUGAUGUUUUAAAACCCAUCUUCCCAUCCAAACACAGAAAUUUAAAUGCCAAAUCAAAGGAAAGCUCAGGAAUACAGAGUGGCCUUCCCAACCAAACACAGGAUAGCUCAGGAAUAGAAAUUUAAAUGCCAAAUCAAAGGAAUAGAACACUUGGCUGUUGAAAACUCGAAAUACCAAUGAAUUGCACGUAAUAUCAUGAUUGAUUGGCCAAAGCCGAGUAGUGUGAAAGGCUUACGUGGUUUCUUGAGACUUACUGGCUAUUACCGAAAGUUCGUCAAGAAUUAUGGUACAAUUGCAUCUCCUCUUACAACUAUGUUACACAUGGAUUCUUUCAAAUGGACAGAUGAAGUAGCUCAAGCUUUUGAGCACUUAAAAACUACUAUGUCCAGCACCCAACGAUCUCAAUGCAAGUAAAUGUUCGAAAAUUUUCACUUACUAUAACCAACAUUCCAGCUUACAAUAUAAAGAGAUUAUCCAUGUGGUCGUUGAUAACAUCAUUGUCCCCAUUUGUACGGCACUUGUCCUCAAGUACAAAAGAAGGGAAGCGAUUGCGAAGAGAGUCAACAUCCUUCCAAGAGGAUUCCGCAAGGGAUAACUCGUCCCAAUGAACUAAAACCCGGUGCUGAUUGUUAACUGAUCGGGAAUCAAGAAUAACUUUAAGAAGAGGUUGAAUUUCGCCUUGUGUCAGAAUAGGCAAAGAGGGUUCAAUUGGAACUGUAGUUCCAUGGAAAGGUUUAAGGCAGGAAACAUGAAAAACAGGGUGUAGUUUAGAGGAGGAGGGAAGGUCUAAUUAUUAAGCCAUAAAACUCACUUUGACUAAAAUAGGAAAAACGACCAUAGUAACGGGGUGAAAGUUUAGUGUACCAUUUUGAAGAGAGGCUAAGUUGGCGGUGAGGCUGAAGUUUGAGGAGAACCCGAUCACCUAGUUUAUAUUGAACAGGAUGAUGUUUAGCAUCAUACCUGGCCUACAUGGAAUUUUAAGCCUGAAGUAAUCAGUUUCGAAGGUCCUGAAGCACCAAUUCCCUGGAUUUUAAUUCCUGAUCCACAACUUCAAGUUUAGCUAAUCCAUGACAAUAAAACAAGAUAGUGGGAGGAGAGCGGCCAUACACCACUUUGAAUGGAGUAGCUUUAAGAGAGGAGUGGUAGCUUCUGUUGUAACAAUACUCCACCCAAGGUAACCAUUAAAACCAGCGGUGAGGACGGUCACUUGUAAAGCAACGUAAAUACAUCUCGAUAGUGCGAUUGACAACCUCUGUUUGUAUAUCACUUUGUGGAUUACAAGCAGAGCUGAAAGCCAAUUUAGUGCCACUCAACCGAAACAAUUUAGUCCAAAAAAUCUUGUGAACGUUACAUCAGGAUCACUCAAUGGUUUCAGGCAAGCCAUGAAGUUCGAAAAUAUUAUCAAAGAAUAAGCAGGCUACACUCACAACAGUAUAUGGAUGAGCAAUAGGAAGGAGAUGUGCAAGCAUCGAAAAAUGGUCUACCAUAACCAGCAAAACAGACUUUCCUUGGGAGUUAGGCAGUCAUUCAAUGAAAUCCAUAGAGAUAUUCGACCAGGUCUGAAGUGGAAUUGGCAAAGGUUGAAGAAGACCCGCUGGAUGUAAGUUUUCAGCCUUGUGUUGUUUUUGGCAGAUAAGACAUUGUCGCGUAAAAGCUUGGAUAAAAGUUUUCAUUCCUUGCCAAUAAAAGUCUUGAGCUAUGCGAUGAAGUGUUUUAUGAUAGCCCUCAUGCCUCAUGGUUACUAUUAUGGACAGUCGAGAUUAUGGAUGGAACAAGAGGGGAAUUGUGUAGCAAAUAAACUGGUUGUUUAAAGAAAAGCAAGCCAUCUUUAUACUUCCAGGGUCCAAUAGUGUUAGUUGAUUGUUUUAAGACUGCAACGUGUCUAAGUAUCAGAAAUUAUUUUAUGCUUUCAUUCUGUUUUUAGUUUGUCCUAGUCUUUAGGAAGUGGUUAGUUUGUUGAAACAUGUUGUUGUUCAUGGCACACGUUGCUGUUCAUAUCUUAAUUCUCGAUUUCAGUUAUUUUUUUCUGUUUCUAUAUAAUGUAAGCUUGCUGCAUAAUACAAUUGAAUUCCCAGUUUGUAUUCCAUUAUCUACUAUUUCUAUCUUUCUCCCUUCUCCAUAUCCAUAAACUUCUACCUCUGUUAUACUCUUUUCUUUCUUUAAAACUAACAAAUUGGUAUCAGAGCUCUUUGUUCUUAAGGGAUCUGUGUGUGACUUUGACGUAUCAUGGAAGCUGAAACAAGUUUCUCCUCAAUUGCUCCGCCAGUGUUCAAUGGAGACAACUACCAAAUUUGGGCAGUACGCAUGGAGACAUAUUUGGAAGCUUUGGAUCUUUGGGAAGCAGUGGAAGAAGACUAUGAUGUUCCUGUACUUCUAAAAAAUCCCACCAUGACACAGAUCAAAACUCACAAGGAGAUGAAGACGAAGAAGUCGAAAGCCAAAGCAUGCUUGUUUGUUGCGGUGUCAACAACAAUCUUCACAAGAAUAAUGUCCCAUAAGACAGCCAAGUCUAUAUGGGAUUACCUUAAGGAAGAAUAUGCAGUAGACGAAAGGAUAAGAGGAAUGCAGGUUUUAAAUUUGAUACGGGAUUUCGAGUUGCAAAAGAUGAAGGAAUCUGAAACAAUUAAAGAGUAUUCAGAUAGACUUCUUGGAAUUGCAAAUGAAAUCAGGCUACUCGGGUCUGAAUUCAGUGAUUCAAGGAUUGUGGAAAAAAUCCUUGUCACAGUACCUAAAAGGUAUGAAGCGACAGUUACCACCUUGGAAAAUACCAAGGAUCUGUUAAAAAUUUCCUUGGCAGAAUUACUUAAUUCCCUACAGGCGCAAGAGCAGAGACGACAUAUGAGGCAAGAGGUCAACAGUGAAGGAGCCUUAUUUGCAAAGCAUCACGGAGCUUACAGAAACAAAAGGAAAGAGAAGAAAGGCCAAGAGGGAAAUUCUUUUGCUCCUGUUUUGAAUAACAACAGAAGCAAAAAAGGAAGCUUCAAGGGUAAAUAUCCUCCUUGCCAUCACUGUAAAAAGGAAGGUCACCCUCCAUUUAAAUGUUGGAGGAGACCUGAUGCAAAAUGUUCAAAAUGCAAUUAAAUGGGACAUGAAGCAGUAAUUUGUAAGGGAAGAGCUCAGCAGCAUGAAGUUGAUGCCCAAGUUGCAGAACAAGAGGAUGAAGAUCAGCUUUUUGUAGCAUCCUGCUUUGCAAGUAGUAGUUCGACUGAAAGUUGGUUAAUUGACAGUGGUUGUACCAACCACAUGACCAAUGACAAGAAACUCUUUAGAGAUUUGAGGCCGACUGAUAUUACUAAAGUCAAAAUUGGCAAUGGUGAUUACAUCUCUGUCAAAGGAAGAGGGACAAUCACCAUAACCAGCACUGUAGGCACAAAAACAAUUUCUGAUGUUCUCUACGUACCAUAAAUUAAUCAAAAUUUGUUGAGCGUAGGCCAAUUGAUUGAAAAAGGCUUUAAAGUGAUCUUUGAAGAUAGUUUCUGUCACAUACUGGAUGCUAACAGUGAGGAAAUUCUCAACGUGAGAAUGAAAGGAAAAAGUUUUUCUUUUGAUCCUAUCAAAGAAGAACUUGUUGCAUUCUCCAUGAAAGCUUGCAACACUGAGAUAUGGCACAAGCGACUUGGUCAUUGUCACUUACAAAGAAUGCAACUUAUGCAGGAAAGGGAACUCACAGUUGGCUUACCAACCUUUGGAGAUCACUUACCGAAUUGUCAUGCUUGUCAAUACGGUAAACAAAAUAGGAGACCAUUCCCAAAGUCAUCCUGGAGAGCCACUCACAAGUUGCAACUAAUCCACACAGAUGUAUCGGGUCCUCAAAGAACUAAAUCAUUAGUUCCCAAAGUCAUCCUGGAGAGCCACUCACAAGUUGCAGCUAAUCCACACAGAUGUAUCGGGUCCUCAAAGAACUAAAUCAUUAGCAGGUAGUCGAUAUUACAUUGCUUUUAUUGAUGAUUUUUCAAGAAUGUGCUGGAUUUUUUUUCUUGAAAUUCAAGUCAGAAGUAGCUGGAGUCUUCUGGAAGUUCAAGAAAAUGGUAGAAAAUCAAAGUGGCUGCAAAAUUCAAGCUGUAAGGUCAGAUAAUGGAAAGGAGUACACUUCAGCAGAAUUUGAUAUGUUUUGUGAAGAAGCUGGCAUUGAACACCAGCUUACUGCUCCUUACACUCCGCAGCAAAACGGAGUAAGUGAAAGGAGAAACAGAUACAUAAUGGAGAUGGCCAGAUGCAUGCUACAUGACAAGGAGUUACCCAAAUAUUUUUAGGCUGAAGCAGCCAGUACUGCUAUUUUCUUACAGAACAGAUUAUCCACCAAAGCAUUGAAGGAUAAAACUCCAUUUGAGGCAUGGUAUGACUAUAAACCUUUACUCAAUUUUCUUAGAGUGUUUGGUUGCUUGUGUUUCUCUCACAUUCCACAGGUCAAGCGGGAUAAACUUGAUAAAAAGUCAGAACCAGGCAUCUUUGUUGGGUACAGCUCUUCCUCAAAGGCAUAUAAGGUUUAUCAACCUCAAACAGGGAAGAUAAUUGUCAGUAGAGAUGUGUUCUUCAAUGAAGAAGAGAAAUGGAAUUGGGAACAAACAAAAGAGACAUCCACGAGCAUGCAAAAAUCAAGUCUUUCCUCCCAAACAAGAGAAGAGCAAGCAUCAGAACAGUGGCAAGAAGAAUUGGAGGAUGAUUUACCAACUCGUGGAACAAGACAACUUCAUGAUAUUUAUCAGAGAUGCAAUGUGGCCAUUUGUGAACCUGCUGGUUAUGAAGAAGCCAUCAAAGACCAAAAAUGGCAGAAGGCAAUGGAGGAGGAGCUGUCAAUGAUAAAAAAGAACAAAACUUGGGAGCUAGUUGACAGGCCAAAGGAUAGGAAAAUUAUUGGAGUAAAAUGGGUGUUUAGAACCAAGCUCAAUGCAGAUGGAUCCAUCAACAAACACAAAGCCAGGCUUGUUGUCAAGGGAUAUGCUCAAGUUUUUGGAGUUGAUUACUCGGAUACAUUUGCCCCUGUUGCUAGAUUGGAUACUAUUCGGCUUGUGCUAGCUAUAGCAGCUCAAAAUAGGUGGAAUGUGUUUCAACUAGAUGUAAAAUCUGCGUUUUUGAAUGGUAUUUUGCAGGAGGAAAUCUAUGUUGAACAGCCCGAGGGAUUCAUGGAACAAGGUGAAGAGGAGAAGGUCUACUUGCUCAAGAAGGCUCUAUAUGGCUUAAAACAAGCACCUAGAGCAUGGUAUAGCAAGAUAGAUGAGCAUCUGUCAAGCCUGGGAUUUUAGAAAAGCAUGUCAGAGGCUACUCUUUAAGUGAAAUGUAAAGGAGAUGAUCUGCUUAUAGUCUCUCUUUACGUUGAUGAUCUCUUAAUCACAGGUGGCAAUGCCAAGCUUGUUGAAGAGUUCAAAAGGGAGAUGAUGAAAAUUUUUGAAAUGACAGACCUUGGACUCAUGGCAUACUUUCUGGGAAUGGAGAUUAAACAGUUAGAAAAUGAAGUUUUCAUCUGUCAAAAGAAAUAUGCCAAGGAAAUUCUCAAGAAGUUUCAUAUGGAGGACUGUAAGGCAAUGGCUACUCCAAUGAAUCCAAAGGAGAGCUUAAGUAAGGAGGACGACACAGACAAAGUUGAAGAAGGCUAUUUCAGAAGCAUGAUUGGUUGCCUAAUGUACCUAACUGCAACCAGGCCAGAUAUUUUUUUUGCUGUAAGCAUUCUCUCUCGUUACAUGCAUUGUGCUAGUGAAAUGCAUCUUAAAGCUGCAAAAAGAGUCAUUAGAUACAUCAAAGGAACUAUUGAUUUUGGUGUAAAAUUCAAGUACUGUCAAAACUUCAAGUUGCUGGGAUUUUCUGACAGUGAUUGGGGUGGAUCAGUGGAUGACAUGAAGAGUACAUCUGGGUACUGUUUUAGCCUAGGAUCAGGAGUUUUCUCAUGGAGUUCCAAGAAGCAAGAGACUGUAGCACAGUCUACUGCUGAGGCUGAAUUUAUUGCUGCUACAGCAGCAGUGAAUCAAGCUUUGUGGCUGAGGAAGUUGUUUUGUGAUUUACAUUUGAAGCAACAAAAUGAUACAGAGGUGUUUGUGGACAAUCAGGCAGCAAUUGCAAUCUCCCACAAUCCAGUUUUUCAUGGAAAAACCAAGCAUUUCAAGAUCAAAUUUUUCUUUUUAAGGGAAGUGCAGAAGGAAGGAGAAGUGAGCCUCAUUUAUUGCAGAUCUGAAGAUCAGCUCGCAGACAUUUUUACAAAACCUUUGCCAACAAACAAGUUUGAACUUCUUAGGCAAAGACUCGGAGUUUGCAGCUCCUAAAAAAUGGAGUGUUAGUUGAUUGUUUUAGGACUGCAACGUGUCUAAGUAUCAGAAAUUAUUUUAUGCUUUCAUUCUGUUUUUAGUUUGUCCUAGUCUUUAGGAAGUGGUUAGUUUGUUGAAACAUGUUGCUGUUCAUGGCACACGUUGCUGUUCAUGGCUUAAUUCUCGGUUUCAGUUAUUUUUUUCUGUUUCUAUAUAAUGUAAGCUUGCUGCAUAAUAAAAUUGAAUUCCCAGUUUGUAUUCCCUUAUCUACUAUUUCUAUCUUUCUCCCUUCUCCAUAUCCAUAAACUUCUACCUCUGUUAUACUCUUUUCUUUCUUUAAAACUAACAAAUAGCUUCACUGUGCUGUAUAUUUUCCUUCAACAAUUGCAAUUGGUCUGAAUUUUGAAUCUCAGUGUGAAUGGAAUCAAAAAGAGGCAAGUGGGGUAUGAAGAGGGACGCAAGGCUGGGUUGAUCCUCCAAGCGGCGGGAUAAAGCAUCUGCCUCUUUAUUUUUUUUUCCCGGGCGAUAUGCAAGUGCAAAAUCAAAACCCAUGAGUUUACUUAGCCAAUGUUGUUGAGGCAAAGUGAUGAUACGUUUUUCUAGCAAAAACUUGAGGCUGUAAUGAUCUGUCCGGAUGAGGAAGAGGCGUCCCCAUAAAUAUGCUCACCAAUGUCUGACUACUUUGGCUAAGCCAAUGAGCUCCUUUUCAUAAGCUGGAAGACUCUUGUAACGGAAUGUAAGAGGUCUGCUGAAAUAGGCAAUUGGCUAACCUUCUUUUUGUAACACUGCUCCCAUUCCCGUACUCGAAGCAUCGUAUUCCAAAAUAAACACUUUGGUGAAGUCGAGUAGUGCCAAAACAGGGGUGCUGGUCAUAGUAGUUUUUAAGUGCUCAAAAGCUUAAGCUGCCUCAUCUGUCCAUUUGAAAGAAUCCGUGCGUAACAUAGCUGUACGAGGAGAUGCAAUUGUACCAUAAUUCUGGACAAACUUCCGGUAAUAGCUAGUAAGUCAUAAGAAACCGCAUAAGCCUUUCACAGUGCUUGGUUUUGGCUAAUCAACCCCUUCUCCUGAUAUGAUAUGGCUGAGGUAGGAGACUUGAUGUUGAGCAAUGAAGCACUUAGAUUUCUUAAGAAAUAAUUGAUGAGUAGUAAGGAGAUUAAAUACAGACCGUAAAUGUGCUAAAUGACCUACCAAGAGUGACUGUAGAUAAGAAUAUCAUAAAAAAAACAAGAAUGAAUUUCUGUAAGUAUGUCUGAAAUAUCUCAUUCAUCAAAGCUUGGAAAGUGUUAGGUGCGUUGGUGAGGCCGAAAAGUAUAACCAAGAACUCGAAGUGGCUGUGGUGGGUGCGGAAUGUUGUCUUCUCCAUGUCUGUAGGGUACAUUCUGAUUUGAUGGUACACGCAAGCUUUGUGAAAUAUUUUGCGCCAUGCAAUUUCUCCAAAAGUUCAUCAAUCACUUGUAUAGGAAAUUUGUCCUUGAUGGUCUUUGAAUUCAGUGCUAUGUAAUCCACACAAAACCGCCAUGUGUUAUCUGCUUUAAUGACAAGGAGGACUGGUGAUGAAUAAGAAGAUUGACUAGGUAUGAUGAUGCCACGCUCCAACAUAUCUCUGCAUUGCCUUCCAAUUUCGUCUUUCUAAGCAUGGGGAUAUCAGUAUGGUCGCACUACUACGGCAUGCGUUCCUGGCUCCAAAGGAAUGCGAUGGUCAUGAAAUCUGACUAGAGGAAGACCCUGCGGUUCUUGAAAUACAGAAUCAAAUUCUGCUAGGAGUCUGUUGAGCUCCAUAUCAGAUUGUGACUCUAUAUUUGUUGUUUGAAGUUGCAAUUGGAGUGGAAUGUGAGCUCUCAAUUCCAUAACUCUUCCAUUCUGUUUAAAAAUCAUAGUUUUUGCUUUUAAAUCACACAGGAUGGGACUUAGCAUUUGUGUUGGGGAUUUCUCCCCCUGCGGAUCGGUGGUGUUCAUGAUCAUUGCCCAAAAGAAGCUAAGCACAUUAAUACAAUAUUUAACGUGGUUCAGCAAAUCGCCUACAUCCAUGGGAGUAGUCUAUAUUAUUAGAGAUAGAGAAAGAAUAUAACACACGGAGGAGGAUCACAUCCACUCAACUUCCAUCUCUCAUUGCUACGUAGGGCAGCAGUUGCAUAAGGCAGCAGGGCUGCUGGUUGCAGCCCUUCUUUCUUUCUCUCUUCUUCUCUCUUUUGUAGCUCUACUACUUGACUCUCUCUCACUUUUUAUGCUGCACUCUUGGUGUCUAUUUAUAGGCUUCAAUUACAGCUCCUCUUGCUCCUUUGUCAACAAUGGUGGCUGCUCUUUAUCAAUGGUUGGUGCAACUUCUUUUGACAUUAGCAGCUGCCACCAACAACCCACCAUUGUAGCCUCCUUCUUUGAUAAUAUCAACAGGCUACAAAUAUUGCACCAGUAGCCCUCUUUGACUCUCACAAGUUGACCUUCUUUCUUUGACAAUAACAGUUAUCUUCUUCUAGAUGAUGGGCUGCAGAUGUUGCCAUAUAAUUGGCAAUAUCUCAACAAUUUGAAGCCAGUUGACUCCCAAUACGACAUCAACUCUAUUUAAAGUUAAAAUGUUGAAAUCAAUAAGAAUUAAUUGAUUACCCAUCGCAAUAGGAACAUCCCGACUCUGACCUGGACUUCUAAUUUUGUUGUCGUUUGCAACUAAAACCUGCAACCUCUCUGUCCGUUCACAAGUAAGUCCCAAUUUCAUCACACAUCUGGAAUUUAGAAAGCUAUGAGUGCUACCCGAGUCAAACAGAAUCAUUAAGCUGUGUUCCCCAAUUUUGCCUUGAAUUCUCGUUGUUCGGCCUCCUAAAUUCACUCCCGUGAUAGCAUGUAAUGAGAUUUCUGGUUCACUUUAUGCUUCAAAUUCAUGAUCUUAUUCAAGUUCAUCAAUCACUAGCCCAAUUCCAUCCUCAUCUAAGUGGUAAGAGGCAAUUUCUACCUUUUCUUCCUCUGGAAUGUGUUGGUGGUGGAAGUAAUGAUCACAGCAGCUAAGCCAGGCAAACUGGUCAUUUUUUCAGUCAUAAAAAGGAAAUUCUAGCCGGCUGUAUCUAGGUGUUUGCAUACGUCCUUCCAAACGGUUAUCCAUUUGAGGAUGUCCUCUUAGUCCCCUGUUCACACUUGCAUCAUCUCCUUGAUGAACCUCUAAUCUGAUUGCAGCCAAGUCACAAGAAAGUUCUUCAAUUCGAGCAGAAAGUUGCUCCCUCUCGGUUCUAUUUUUCUGUCGGUUCUCCUGAUACAUCUUCAUGGAGAUCUCAAAUUGUCUGUAAGUUGUUAUAGGAAUCGCCCAUAACUUCCUGAUCUGAUAACAAUUUGUUAUGGUCCCGAAACUGUGAUUGAGUUACUGGGGCGAUUGAGUGUAAAAUUCACUUGUAAAGAAUGAAGUUUGCCAAACUUUUUACCUUAUGAUCUAUUUUGAAAAUAUGGGAAGGGCUCGUUUAAGAGAACCCAACUAUCUCAAUGCAAGUAAAAGUUUGAAAUUUUUCACUCACCAUAACCAACAUUCCAGCUUACGAUAUAAAGAGAUUGUUCAAUAACCAACUCCUAGAAAGUAGAUGCCACUACUGCACUAUCUAAACUAACAAUCAUAAAAAUAGGAAAUAUAAAUUGAAAUUGAAAUGAAGUCUACAUAAAGUCUACAAGUUGGAACAUAGUGCAUUACUGGCCAACUUCCCUUUUCAACCUCCUACUUUCCAGCACGUCUCUGUAUAAAGUCUGCAAGCUAGAACAUAAUGCAUUGCUAGCCAACUUCCGUCUUCAAGCUCCUAUAUUUCUUUCAACAUUUUUUUAUCAUUACUAAUAGAGAUAAUAGAGACAUUGAGAGCGAUUAAAAGGAUAAUAAUAAUUUUAUUAUAGUUUUUAAUCUCCUCAAAUAAAUCUUAUUGUUUUUCUUCGAUAAUAAUAAUAUUUUUCUUCAAAUUUAUUAAUUUAAUAAUAAUAAUAAUAAUUUUACUAUUCAAAUCAAAUUUAUGGUUAUUUUUCAAAAUUAAUCAUAUAUUUUCAAAAUUUCUUAAUUAUGAUAUUAAUAAUAUUAAUUAUAAUAAAAACAAUAAAAUUUAUAAUAGAAAUAAUAAUAUUUUUAAUAUUAGCAAUAUUAAUUAUAAUAAAAAAAAUAAAAAAAAUUAAAAAUAUUUAUAAUACAAAUAAUAAUAUUUUUAAUAUUAAUAAUAACAAUAUAUAAACUUACUCAAGUUUAAGUGGAUCUGUCUGUAACACCAAACCUAAAAGUUUUGAGCCUCUCUUAAAUGACGGAUUCAAAAGAUUUUGCACCGUAAAAGUGUAAAUAGAGCUAGCUCAUAAACUUAACUUUUCCUUUCUUUUCUCUUUAGCUAAAUUGUUUUUUUAAAAAAAACAUUAAUAAUAAUUCUCAACCAACAUAUAUCCCCUGAACUUAUUUUCCAAUUAUUUUUUCAAUUUACUCCUAAAGAAUAGAUUCAACAAAUAAACUUAUAAAAUAAAGAGAAAAACCUUAACCCAUCUUCAUCAUCGUCUCUUUACAACUUCUUAUUCUAAGUAUGCAAGUCAUAAAAGAAAAAGAAAAUCAAAGAAAGUUCCAUGUACUCAGACAACAAACCUAAAUUGAAAAUCCUAAUUAAAUAUACUUUGUUGAUGAUGCUGAUGGUGUUCAUGCUCGAGCCCGUGCUUGUGCUUGUGCCCAUGCUUGUGCUGCUGUCAUUGUUGUUAGUGCUAGUGCUGGUGGCAGUGACUGCGGUUGCUGGUGGCGGUUGUGGUGUUGCUUCUAGUGACUUGUUCUGUUUCAAUAAAUUAAAUAGGUUAUUUAAGGUGCAAUAUGCAAUAAUAUUUUGGAUUUAUUUGCCUAAAAAUGAUGAUUUUUUCAAAUAUUAUUGAUAAUGUUUACAUUAAAAAAUUGAAUAUUUCUUUUUACUUUUUUUAUCAUUAUUAAUAGACAUAGAGAACAAGCCUAUUCCAAAAAUCAUAAUGUUUAGGAUAGAAAAUCAGGAUUUUCUUUGUUCAGAAGUUAAGUUCAAGGGGUAUUUCUUAUAGUUUCUUGAAAAGGAACUGUCCAUUCUUUUUUUUUUGGAUUCGAGGAAACCCCACUCCCUAGAAAGCGCACUUUGUGGGUCCAGGUGAGCGAGUAAAACCCCAGCUGUCCCAGGCUCUUACAAGAAGUGCACGCCCUGACUCGAACUCGAGACCUGCUAUGCAGAUCUCAAACCCUUUGCUAUCACGCUAUACCUCUUGGGGACAAAACGGGUAGUGAUGUUUUAAAACCCAUCUUCCCAACCAAACACAGAAAUUUAAAUGCCAAAUCAAAGGAAAGCUCAGGAAUAGAACACUUGGCUGUUGAAAACUCGAAAUACCAAUGAAAUGCACGUAAAUUUUGUUCUUACCUGGCUAUUUGUAGAGAGUCCAACAUCAUAAACCACGGUGAGAUCAGUCUUGAAAAGUCCAAAUGAUCGCUCAGAACCAGGUCCAGGUUUCAACUCUUCGUCAUAAAGAGCAAAGAGGUAUGUAUCCACUGAUUUUCCUGGCAUGACUGGAGUGCCCACCAUCGAUCGAAGGUGUGCAAUCAAAUUGCCAUUGUAAGCCUUGGCAUUCUCAAUGCUUGGCCCUACGUCGUUGUCAUCUCCUUUAAAUGGCCAUCCAGUCUCAGCCACCACAAUCUCAACAUUCUUAAAUCCCAUAGAAUUCAGUGCAGAAUAAACUGCAUCCACCUGCAAUUGAUUAAACCACUUGUCAGUAGCAUUUUUAUUAGAUCAUCUAUUGAUACAGAAUUUUCGCACUUGCAAUUUGAUUUACUCUCACCUGAGCAUCGAACAUGUUCAUGUACUUGAUCUUAGUGUUUCCAUCCAUUCGUCCUGCAUUCGGCUGGAAAAGGCAUAAAGCAAGAGUCUCAGGCCUUGUAUCGCUUCUGUAGGCAAAGUAAGGGUAGGGAUUGAUUGCGAAAGGCGAACCAUUCGCACUAUUAAACUCCAACAAGCCCUUCAUCAGAUCCCCAUAACUUUGAUCAAUGCUCCAGAAGAAGGUGGCUCAGACUGCUUAAGCACUCCCAUCGAAUGAACUGUGGAGACCUUAAUUUUACCCCCGAGCGAUGCAUCAUUUAGAGCAUUCUGUACAUUUUGCAUUGCUGGUAAGAGCUUGUUCAUGAGAUUCUGGUCAUUGGAAGUCAUGACCUCGUUGCCAACAGUGAUGAGGAUGAUAUUGCUAGCUGGAUAGAAGGGAAGCACGUUUUUGUUGAUCCAGCUCUUGGUAAAAUUGGAAUCAGAGGCUAGUCCUAGAAUGUCACCAUUUGCAGUGCCGAUAACAAUUCCAAUUCCGGUGUUGGCUAAGGCUUUGAUUAUGGCGGGGUCCGAUCCAUAUAAUCGGACCUUUUGGAUUGAAGUGGAUUGAAGAAGGUUUGCGGUGGAUGGUGGUGGUGGAAGCUUGUCCGCAACUUGGCCAUAGUUUAUACCAAUGAAUGAUUGCGAGUCUGCACAAAAAGCAGCAAAAUUUAAAGCAGAUGACCAAACAUAAAUUUUUAAACGACAAAACAGAACAACAACAUUUUUUGUUUUCAUAGACUGAAAUGAAGACAGCUCAGAUCACACAAACAAAGCACAUUGCUGCCAAUACUGCCAAUAUAGACAGCCCAUAAAUCCCCCACACUUAGCAUGGACAUUGUCCUCAAUGUACGUAGUUAAGAGAGAUGGAGAAAUAGAGAAAACUGCCCUGAUUGCAUGCUGGGUUUUCCUUAUUUUGGCACCCAUGGUAGCAACAUUUGUUCGGCCAGAAUGUGUUUCCAUAUCUGUCAUAACCUGUUCGAUUCCCCUCCAUUCACUGUUGUGCUACCGUGUCUUGCCGAAAACUUAUGUAGAGUGGCAGAAAUGGUGCCGACAGGAGUUUUCACGUUGUUGGGAGCUACACAAAAGGUAAUGUGGUGAGUCAUAUCAAAUGUGUGAGGAGAAAAUAAAACAAAAAAGAAAAAAAACGUUUGUUUUUUUUUUUUUUUUUUUUGUAGAAUGUUUCCGCGUUGGGCUGCCUCCCUAAAACGCCUUUCUUUAUUGUCUUUGGCUAGACAUUGUUUUCUUCGUGUCAUGCAUCCAUGUAGAUUGGAUUAGCUAGUUUAACUUCCUUCUCAAUAGUCUCCAAAAUUCUCAACGAAAGGCUUCAGUAUAUGGCCAUUCACCUUGAAAACUUGGUUAGUUUCACUGCUUUGGAUUUCAAUAACACCAUGAGAAAAAAUAUCUAAAACAACAAAUGAUCCAAUCCAUCUAGAUUGUAAUUUUCCAGGCAUGAAUUUCAAUCUAGAGUUGAAAAGGAAUACUUUCUGCCCAACAAAAAAUUAAUUGCGCUGUAAAAACUUAUCGUGAAGAUAUUUAGUUCACUCUUUAUAUAGUCUUGCAUUGUCAUAUGCUUUCAAUCGAAUUUCUUCAAGUUCUUGCAGCUGCAAUUUUCGUACUUCUCCUGUUUUUUUAGCAUCAAGAUUGCAUUGUUUCACUACCCAGAAGGCAUGAUAUUCAAUUUCCACCUGUAAAUGACGUAACUUACCGAAAACCAACAUAUACGGUGACAUUCCAAUUGGAGUUUUGUAUGCUGUGCGGUAUGCCCAAAUUGCAUCCUCUAAAUGCAGGCUCCAAUCCUUUCGGUUAUGGUUCACCAUCUUUUCCAAUAUGUGCUUUAUUUCUUGAUUUGAAACCUUAGCCUGUCCGUUGGUUUGUGGGUGGUAAGUUAUGGCUACUCGAUGAUGUGCUCCAUAUUUUCGCAUCAAUGCUUCAACAGUUUGGUUGCAAAAAUGGGUGCCUUGAUCACUUAUUUUUGCUUUUGGAAUUCCAAACCUAUUGAAAAUGUUAGAUUUGAGAAAUCCUACAACAACCUUAGAAUCAUUAGUACGAGUAUCAUUUGCUUCUACCCAUUUUAAAACAUAAUUCACAACAAGCAAAAUGUAAAGAAAAUCAAAAGAACUAGGAAAGGGUCCCAUAAAAUCCAUGCUCCAUACAUAAAAAAUCUCACAAUAUUUAUGGUAUUAAUAAUAAUAUUAAACUUAUAUGACCUAAGUUUUUAUAGUUUUCAAUCCGCUCAAACAAAACUUAUUAUUUUUCUUCAAUAAUAAUAACAAUAACAAUAAUAAUAAUUUUACCCUUGAAAUCAAAUAUAUGUUUGUUUUUCAAAAUUAAUGAUAUAUUUUUAAAAUUUCUAAAUUAUGAUAUUAAUAAUAUUAAUUAUAAUAAAAACAAUAAAAUUUAUAACACAUAAUAAUAUUUUUAAUAUUAAAAUUAAAAAUAUUUAUAAUACAAAUAUUUAUAAUUUUAAUAUUAAUAAUAACAAUAAACUUACCCAAGUUUAAGUGAGUCUGCCUACAAUACCAGACUUAAGAGCUUUGGACCCCUCUUAUAUGAGAUACUAAAAAACAUUGGGUUUGGCUGCAAUCUAAACCCAUUAUAUUUAGGUGAGGACGCAAGAUCCAAGAGCAUUGAAUCUAGAGGCGGACCCAUUAGCCUAUAGUCUGACUCCUGACCCAAUUGUCUUAAGCGAGGUAAGGCUACAAUACCCAAGGGACUUGAGUCUUCUUCCUGCCACUCCCAAACAACUUAGGUCUGACAUGCCCUUCUAGACCCAAGUUAAUAAUAAUAAAAAUAAUUGAUUUUACCCUUCAAAUAAUAUUUAUGUUUUUUCUUAUAAUAAUAAAAUUAUUUCACAUUUAAUAAUAUUUAUGAUAUUAAUAAUAAUAUUAAACUUAUCUGAACUAAAUGUUUAUAGUUUUUAAUCCCCUCAAAUAAAACUUAUUGUUUUUCUUCAAUAAUAAUAAUAUUUUUCUUCAAAUUUAUUAAUUUCAUAAUAAUAAUAAUAAUAAUAAUAAUUUUACCCUUCAAAUCAAAUCUAUUGUGUUUUUCAAAAUUAAUGAUAUAUUUUCAAAAAUUUUAAUUAUGAUAUUAGUAAUAUUAAUUAUAAUAUAAACAAUAAAAUUUAUAAUACAAAUAAUAAUAAUUUUAAUAUUAAUAAUAUUAAUCAUCAUAAAAAUAAAAAUAUUUAUAAACUAAAAUAAUAAUAUUUUAAUAUUAAUAAUAUUAAAAUUAAAAAUAUUUAUAAUACAUAUAAUAAUAUUUAUAAUAUUAAUAAUAACAAUAAAUGUACACAAAUUUAAGUAGGUUUGGCUGCAAAACCAAACCCAAGAGCUUUGAGCCCCUCUAAAAUGAGGGACCCAAAAGCCUUGGAUUGGCUACAAUCAGAACCUAUUAGAGUUGGGUGAGGAUGCAAGACCCAAGAGCAUUGAGCCCUGACACGGACUCAUUAGCCUAGGGUCUGGCUCUUGACCUAAUUGUCUUGGGCUAGACAAGGCUGCAAUACUCAAGGGACUUUGCAAUACUUAAGGGACUUCGGUCUUCCCCCUGGCACUCCAAAUCAACUUGGGUCUGGCAUGUCCUUCCAGACUUAAGGUAAUAGUAAUAAAAAUAAUUGAUUUUACCCUUCAAAUUUAAUAAUAUUUAUGAUAUUAAUAAUAAUAUUAAACUUAUCUUACCUAAGUUUUUAUAAUUUUUAAUCCCCUCAAAUAAAAAAUAUUGUUUUUCUUCGAUAAUAAUAAUAUUUUUCUUCAAAUUUAUUAAUUUAAUAAUAACAAUAAUAAUAAUUUUACCCUUCAAAUCAAAUCUAUUGUGUUUUCAAAAUUAAUGAUAUAUUUUUAAAAUUUUUAAUUAUGAUACUAGUAAUAUUAAUUAUAAUAAAAACAAUAAAAUUUAUAAUACAAAUAAUAAUAUUUUUAAUAUUAACAAUAUUAAUUAUACCACAAAUAAUAAUAUUUUUAAUAUUAAUAAUAUUAAUCAUCAUAAAAAUAAAAAUAUUUAUAAACCAAAAUAAUAAUAUUUUAAUAUUAAUAAUAACAAUAAACUUAUCCAAGUUUAAGUGGGUUUGCCUGCAACACUAGAUUCAAGAACUUUGAGCCCCUCUAAAAUGAGAGACCCAAAAGGCUUAGGUCUAGCCACAAUCCGAACCCAUUAGAGUUGGGUGAGGAUGCAAGCUCCAAGAUCAUUGGGUCAUGACGUGGAACCAUUAGCCUAGGGUUUGAUGCUUUACCCAAUUGUCUUGGGCCAGGUAAGGUUGCAAGACCUAAGGGACUUGGAUCUGCCAUUGUCAUUCGCAAGCAACUUGGGUAUGACAUGUCCUUCCAGACCCAAGUUAAAAAUAAAAUAAAAAAAUUGAUUUUACCCUUCAAAUCACAUCGAUGUUUUUUCCAUAAUAAUAAAAUUUAUUUCAAAUUUAAUAAUCUUCCAUAUAUCAUUUUCAUUGACCUUUGAAACCAUUUCUAACCUUUCAAGUAUCAAUCUUUAAAUUGUGAUUCUGAUGUUAUAGUUUAUUUUGUGAUUUGUCUUCUUACUGAUAGAUGCUGAAGCAUGAAUGAAAGUGUUCUUCCUACUCGAUGUUUUUAUUUAUAGGAACAAACAUUAAGGUAAGCAUACUUAUAAUUUUGAUUUCUGCUUAAUUAAUUAUUUGGAUUUUUAUUUUUAUUAUUGUUUGUGUUAAUUGGCUUUUGACAAUUUAAACUUCAUGACUGAUUUUUAUUAUUUUUAUUAUUGAUGUUAUUUAUAUUAUUUUUUUUGUUACAGUAAUUAUUUUAUUUGAUGUAUAAUAUUUUUCGAAGUGAUGGCUAUUAAGUGGACAAUCCAUACUGAUUUUGAACAUCAUAAACUGGAUAUUGUUUGUAAUGAAGCUGCACUUACAAAAAUACAUCUCAUAUAUUGUUUGUUUUCAUUCUAGUUAUGGCAGUCUUGGGAAAAUAUCUGUGAAUUUUUUGUUCCUGAUAGUUUAACUAUGAGCUAAUUUAUUGUUAUGCUGUAUAUAUUCAUAUGAUAAUGUAUAUAUUUUUUCUGGUUUUUAGCAUGCCUCGACGAGGAUCCAUAUUAGAUUCUAGGAGUGACAGGUCCACUUCAUCCAAAUCAUUUCAAACUACAUCAAGGCAUAAUAACAAAUGAUCCACAUUUCAUCAACAUGUGUAUCAGAACGCAAAUGAGUAUUAUAUACCUACUUUGGGGAGUACACAUCCUCCUCAACAUGAUUAUGGGAGGGUUGAAACAUAUCAAUAUUGUGAGGGCUUUCGCUUCCAAGAUUUACUUCAAACUCAAGGAGGUUUCUCUCGAGAUAACCAACUUGUUUAUGCUGGACAUAAUUCAUAUAGGAGUUAUGAGAGAGUUGAUGGUGAUGAUGGUGAUGUGAACAUUAGAGAUGAAGAUGAGACAGACGGUAGUAAUGAGAGAGGUGUAUGUGAUGAGAGAGGUGUAUGUGACGAGUGUCAUAACCCAAUUUUUGACCCUUUUAUUUUAAUUAUUAUUAUUAUUUUAUUUACUGAAAAGGAUAUAAAAAAAUGAUGAUGAAAAAAAAUAAUAAUGAUGAAAAGCAAGUAAAAUGAAAUAAAUGAAGAAUGAAUUAAAAUUUGGGUUAAUGGCAACAUGAUUGGAAGCUUACAGAUUUAAUUAAAUUUUUGACUUGUUUAAUUAAUCAAAUCAAGGGUUUAAUUGGAGAAUUGAUAAGUUUUGAGACUUAAUUAAGCUUAAAAUUAAUUUAAUUAAUCCAAUCAAGGGUUUAAUUGGAAAAUUGAUAAGUUUUGAGACUUAAUUAAGUUUGAAAUUAAUUUAAUUCAUCCAAUCAAGAGUUUAAUUGGAGAAUUAAUAAGUUUUGAGACUUAAUUAAGCUUGAAAUUUAUUUAAUUCAUCCAAUCAAGGGUUUAAUUGGAUAAUUGAUAAGUUUUAGACUUAAUUGGACUUUGGAUUUAAUUAAAUUAAUGAAAUCAGGGACUUAAUUGAAGAACUAGCAAAGUUUGGGGUUAAUUGGGGGUCUAAAUUGCGAAAUUAAAAUCCAAGGAUUACAUUGAAAAAGGCGUGCAAAUGCAGGGGGCCAAUUACAGUUUAAACCAGGGAUUCAAUUACAAGAAUUUCAAACAUGCAUGGAUCAAAAAGAAAAAUGGCCAAACGACGUCGUUUUGAAGAUGUUGUUCAUCUUCUUCUCCUUUAAGCUAGUGACCGUUUCUGCAGUAAUGGAGGGAGGAACGUUGCAGCAGUAAUCGUCGUCCGUUGGCUUCAGUUAUGGGCGCCUUAAUGGUGGCCGACCGUUAGCCUACCGCCCGUUAUCAACCGGUCGAGCCCUAUAUAAACCGAGUAGCACCGAAGAGGAGGGGGGUUAGAGAGAGAGAGAGAGGAAACAAACCCGAAACAAGACAGACACAAAUAAACCAAAGGGAUUCCUAAGUUUUCUGGUUAAACCCCAGACCAGAAGUGAACCCUUCCCUUACCAAUACUGGCCUUAAAACGACAAAAACAUAAACAAACCGAGAGAGAGUAGAGAGAUUUUAAAAAACAGAGCACUUGAAUAAUUUUUCAGACGAGAGCAGACGAAACAGAGACCCAGGAAAGGAAUACAACGUGAGAUACAAGCAUAAGGAGUAAGAGGCAAUUCGAAAACAGAAGUGUCAUCUUCGGCAACCUCGCACAAAUUCUCUGCAGGUAAGUCUGCUCUGUUUUCCCUUGCGUUUCGUUAAUUCAUUUUUGCCGCUUGUUUUGAAUUAAUUAACAAAGGCCAGGCACGCGUGAUUUGGAUCACGCGUGCCUCAUGUGGCCCAGCCGGGUCACUGGUUUGGGCCAGUGACCUGGCUGGGCUGGGCUGGGUCUAGCCCGGCCCAUGUGGGCUGAGCUGGGCCCAGCCCAAAGAAUAAAAAAAUAAAAAAAACAGAAAAGUAAAAAAGGGUAGAAAAAAUAAAAAAAUGUGUAUGCAUGAAUAAAAAUAAUAUAAAUUUACUGGUUUAUUCACUGACGCCAGAGUUAGGAAUCAAAAUACCAGUUUAAAUUUGUAUUAUUUUUAUUCGUUGUAUUUUAUUUUAUUUACCUAGAAAAAUAAAAAAAUAUGUGCAUGCGUAAAAAUAAAUUUAUUUUUAUUUAUUUAUUCACUGGCGCUAGAGUAGGGAAUAAAACAUAUUGAUCUAAUUUUUUUCCGUAGCUACGAAUUUUUACCAACGCCAGAGUUGGAAUUAUUCGAGCUCGAAUAUUCACUGGCGCCAGAGUCAGGAAUAUUAUAAACAAAUAAACAUAAUAUCAAUUUAAGACAAAACCAGCAAUGCAGUCUGCCUUAGGCAGAACGUUUAAGGGGUGAUAAUAUCUUCCCUUUUACGUAACCAAUCCCGAGCCAUAGAAUCUCUGUUGACCAGUUAGGGUUCCUAGCGACCAUAAUACUAGGUGGCGACUCCUCAAACAAGACAUUUUCCCUUAAAAGAACCAGAUGCCAGAAAUCUGUUCUUUUUCCAUAAUUCAAGUGAAUUAUUUGUGGGCCGCCGCGAUGUCGGGUGCGACAACGAGGAUGAAGAUGGUGUUCCAUCAAACCACGGUUCAACAUCUUCUCCAUACAAUUAUGAUCAAAGUGUUAAAAGGAAGGGUUUUGACACACCAAUAGAUCCAAUUACAAAAAAAAAAGAGCUUUGUUUGUAUGGAACAACAGAGUAAGUUCAAACUUUUAAAAACUAACUUAUUAAGGUUAUAUUUUUAGGUAUGAAAAAAAAUAUUUAUUAUUGUGUAAUUAUUUGUUUAAUAUAAGUUUGUUAUUAUAUAUUUUUAGGUUUAAUAACGCAUCAUGUGGACGUGCAAUCAGAGAUAUUUUGAGGUCCAAUUUUAAGGGAGCAUGUCACUCUUGGGAAAAAGUAGAUUCAAUGUGUAGGGAUGAACUCUUUAAAGAGUUUAAGGUAAGAACCAACACUAAUUGCCAUAUUCUUUUCAAUUUUAAUCACUUUAAUGUAGCAUUAUGAAAAUUAUCAACUAAAUAGCUAUAGAAGUGUGCUGGUAAUUGUCUUGUUAUUUGUAACCAUAAAUUAUUAACUGAAUAGCAGGGACUGAUUUGUGUUAUAAUUUGUUCUUAUUUCUUGUUUAUUCUUUAAUAUCAUUUAAUUUCUUUAGUUAUUACAUCAUCUUGCAAAUUCUGAACAAGAUAACAUAAUAUGAUUAAUUAUUUAUAUACUUUGAAAUUUUGUGCACUCUUUUUACUUGGUAUAUAUAUUAUUUGGUAGAAAAAAUAUUCCUUUCCUGAGGAAGAUGAGUCGAUUGUUCGUAAUAUUUGGGAAGAUAAGGCUAGGAUAGCUUUGAAUCAACAAUUGACACGAGCUCGCAAGAAAGCGAUGUCAAAAGAAAACACUACAAAUAUUAUAGAUUGCCUUGAUAAAGGUCCUGCCUGGAUAAACAAUGAUGAGUGGAAUCAAAUGAUCAAAGAUUUUUGGUCCACCCCUGAAUUUCAAAGGAGGUCUGAAUCUACUAGGAGGAAUCGAUUAACCAAAACAGAUGGCAAAAUAAGCACUCAUUCUGGAGGAAUAGUGUCAUUUGCAUUAUAUCGAGCUAACAUGGUAAGGAUUUUUUUUUAUGCUUAAGAUAAUGAAUUAAAAUUUGUAUAUUUAUCUUUUAUAAUAUUUAUUAAUCUUGAAAGCAAGAGGAAGCUGGUGGAAAAGAACCUCCAUGGGAUGAUGUCUUUUCAGCUUUGCUUCAAAGUACUAAGCAGUCUAGUAGCUUCGUCGACAACAAGCCUAAAAAAGUAGUUGUAUGUAUUUUUAUUUGAUUAUUUCUUAAUAUAACUUAAGUAUUAUUUAACAUUCAAAUGAAUUUAUUGUUGCAUGUAUUUUAUUUGUAGGAAAAUUAUAAAGUGGAGAUGAUUUCAAAGUAUGGAACUGAUUGGGAAAAUCAUCCUUCAUUUGAUGGAGCAGCUUGGUGUGUGGCUUCAGGAGGAGUUACAAAGGGUAGGGUAUAUGGUGCACCUCGUAUGCCAAAAUCUAUAGUUAGUACAAGCUCUUCAUCACAUUCCUACUCGGUGGAGUCAUCAUAUCUCAGUUCAUCGUAUUGAGCAUUGCAAAAGGAGAUAAAGAACAAAGAAGAGGAGAUAAAGAAAAAAGAUGAUUUUAUUCUUGAAAUGAAAUGACAGAUGGAUUCCAUGAAAGAAUAUCUUGUGAAUAAUCUUGGAUACCAUGAUGGAACAUCAAAUAUUGGCCAAGGUAUGCCACCACCUUUGACCCCAUCAAUGCCGCCACCUAUGGCUCCCUAGAUAAUGACACCUAUGGCUCCCACAUCUCAACUAAUUUAUCAAUCUACACCUCGACCACUAUAUCCUGAUCAAUCUUGUGUUGAUCCACAAUAUAAUGGUCCGUCUUCGCAACCAGCACCAUGAUUAUAUCUUUUGUUGUUUUUUUUAUUGUAUUUCGACUUAAUUGUGUUAAUGCAAGUUUAACUAAAUUUUUAUAAUAUGAGUAUUAUUUUUAUUCCAUUUUGUAUUAGUGAUGCAAUUAUUUUUAAUAUUAAUUUAUGUUGGUUAUAUAUAUUCUACAACUUUUAAAAUAUCCAUAAAUAAUUAAUUAACCAAAUUAAAAGCCAUUUUAAUAAAUAAAUAAAUAAAUAUUAAUUUAUUAAAAAUAAUAUACUCAACAACGGAUUUUCCGUUGCUGAUUGUAAAUAAUUCCUCAAUCAGCAACGGACAAUCCAUUGUUGAUUCACAAAACUAGCAAUGGAUUAUCCGUUGCUAAUAUAUGCAACGGAAUAUCCGUUGAUGGUUGUUAGCAUCGGAUUAUCCGUUGCUAAUUGUAAGCAACGAAAUUUUCGUUGCUGCGAAAUCAACAACUGAUAAAUCCGUUGCUAAAAAAUUAGCAACGACAAAUCUGCAUCCGAUAUUUGCCGUUGCUGAUUCCGUUGCUCAAUUGUUUUAGCAACGGAUUUUAGUAUUAUUUGCAACGGAGUAGUCCGUUGCUAAUUACUAUAUUUUUUAGUAGUGAGAGAAAAGUUAGAAAAAUGUAUCUUUUGAGAAAACUUUUAAUAAAAUAUCAUUCAUCUCAUUCUUCUUCUUGUUUUUUAGUUUUGUUCUUAUAUUUAUUCUUAUAAAUUAGAUAUCACACCCUACCCUUUUUUUUCCAACAAAGAGGAUACAUUCAUCUAAGGAAUCUAAUGUAAGAACUACAAAUUUGUCCAUACAUGAGCAAGUUAUGUUGUUAAAUAAGAUCGUAUAAUACCAUAAAAAAGUUAAGAGAACAAACCCCUGUUCCCACUGCAGGCUUACUAUCGCCUGGUUUUGGCAAAAGCCACUGCGGUGACAGCGGAACUCGAACAUCUGCAUGAAAUAAACAGAAGGAAUCAACAAAGACAUCUCUCCACAUGUAUCCAAACCAACAGUUGGAAACAGUACGCUUCGCUAUUCCAUUGAAUAACUGGCAUUUAUUGAUUUGAAUUCCCUUGAUUUAGAAGAAGCAACAUAUAUAAUUGCUGAGAAAUUGGCAGAUGAUUAUAUUUCUUAACCCCUUAAACUUGCCGUUUAGGACAAAGACACCUACAACCUUGGAAAAUCAGAGUAUUCCAUAGGAGAACAGGAUAGAAAUAGCAAUGAAAGAGCUUAACAGUAACCAAGGAGCAGAAAACUAAACAAAAAAAGAAAGACCUUUUCUCUAUUUUUAUACAAGACAACUAAUAAAUGGCUCCUCUUAGAGCUUCUCUCACCAGAUCAUUAUAAUCCUUUUUGGCCCAUUGAAGAAAAGUAAACUGUCAUUCACAAGAGUAAGAGUCACUGAAGCUUGACCUAUAUGUUCAACCUCUAACCUUUAAUUUUUAUUUGAUCACAAGAGUAAGAGUCACCGGCUAGAGAUAUCAAUUUUAACCUCCCCACCGUUUUUAUUACAUGUGUAUUGAUGAUGGGCUGUGAGCCAGGCUAGGGUUACUAUUAAUGACCGACUAUGGAAUGUUGAACAUCAUAGAUGAUAUUAUAAUUGUAUUGCAUGAAUUUGCACAGGUCAUUUUUUGGAUAGUGCCCUGUGCAGGGGGAUAUAUAUGCUAUCAAAAUUUUGUAAAAUAACUUGAUAGAUUAUUGAAAUGGUAUGGCGACGAGAAACUAACAAAGACACAAGUAUGUCAAUUGGUACACAAGGAUACAAGGGUCAAACAUGUGUGUGUAAGAAUAUUUGCUCAAUUUCAGGAUUUAUUUAGAAUCAAAUUUCCCACCCAACCCAAAAUCAAUUUAUCAAACAAAAAAAUAUAGAAACACAAAAUCAAAAUAGAACAUUCUUUUAUCUCUUGACCUCAAUUUACUUUUUCAAAAAUAAAAAUAAAGGUUCAAAAACAUCUUAAUUAGAAUUUCCUUUCUAAUGGAACUUAUUAAUAUACCAAGAUCAAUUUUUUCAUUAUUGGAAUGUGGCCGACUAUAAUUUUCUCUCUUUUUAACCAUAAUUCAAUGAAUUUCUCUCUUCUCUCUCGAACUCAAAUGCUGAAAAAUAAAACAAAUGAACUUUUGAACCAUAAUAAAAAUUAUCUUGAAUUUAGGAUUAGUAAUGUAUUUUCUUCAUGUUUUACAUCUUGAUCCCUUCGUUUUUUAAUUUGGUUUUUUCACCGCAAUUUCAAACUUAAUCUAAGCUAAUUAAGCCAAAAAAGGAUUCAAUCAAGAAAAUUAAACAAAUGGAUAGAAAAUAAAGUUUAAUUAAAGAGAAAAAAUGAGAAGUGGAGUACUUAUGUUUAAUGCUCUCAAGUUUCAAUCUUCUAACCAUUAACUAUAUAUGUCGCUUCUAAAUAUUCCAUUGUCAAGGAAGAAAGUUCUAUCCGAGGAAGAAUAGUUGGAUGAUUGGCUGGAACAUCCGAACUUAAUUUCCUGCAUGUGAAACUCAAUCUCAGUGGCAGUACCGUAAUUAGGGUUGAUUUUAUGUUUCUUUAACUAACUACAACUGUUCAGGGAGAAUAGCGCUUUGGCUACGGUGAAUAAUUUCUUACAGCAGUUUGAAAGUGUAAAUGUGAUAAAAAUUAUUUUUUCUCGUAAAUAUAUUCAAAAGGAAAACUGCAAAAGCAAGAACAGGAAAGACAGCAUUUAGUUCAUAAGAGAGUAUAACUCUCGGACAACAUGUUUGUUUGGUAAAGGAUCAAACAACUAGUUCGAAAGCCAAUUCAUUCCUUUUCUCAUAACCCAUUUUUGAGUUAUUCUUCAAUUCACAUUUUUUUCUCUCUUCAAAAAAAUACAAAGAAAUCAAAAAUAUUUUAAAAAAUAUAACAGUAAAAAGAGGAUGUCAGAACGCUAAAAAAAUGAUCAAAAAUUGGUUGAGGAGGUCUAAAAAUACAAAAAUUAAAAUUUGACAGUAUUUUAUUGACUGAUGAGAGCCCUACUAACAAAUAAAAUUUAAUUUGAGGAAGAAAAGUCCAAAAUCAGAUAUUUAUGGACUCAAUUAAAUUUUAUUGAAGGUUUAAUUGAAUUUAUGGAGGGUUUGAUUGCAAGAAAAAUUGAUUUUGAAGUUAAUUUAGACUUUAAUUGGAAGAAAUUAAAGUUCUGGGGUGAAAUUAUAAUUUUUAAGAGUUAAUUUGGUCAAAUCAGGGGUUUAAUUGCAUAAAUAUUGAAGUUUGAUGGCCAAUUAGGGACUUAAUUAAAGAAAUCCGAAACCAAUGACCAAAAUGAAAAACGCGUGUAAAUAGAGGGGCUGCAAUUAAACCGAAUCAGGGGCCAAAUUGAAGAAAUUAGAGGUUUAUUGAUCAAUUGAGAGUCAAAUUGCAUAAAUCAGAGACCAAGGACCAAGUUGGAAAAGGCGGUCAACUUCAGGGCCAACGAUUGAAUUUGGCAGGAAUGCAAUUGAAUUGAUUUUUAAAAUCAAAAUUGCAAUUAAGGACUUGAUUGAUCAAAUCACAAAUUAAAGACUGAUUUGCACUUUGACACAUUUGAUGUCGUUUUCAUUUAAAUGAAACGGCGCGUUUUUCCCAAAACGGCGCUGUUUCAUCCACUGUUCAUAAAAAGAAAAGAAAAGCCCGAAACAGUGCCAUUUUGAACGACACUGUAGACUUUCUUCUUCUGGACGUGCAGAGAAACAAGGGAAGGGAGUUGCGUUCCCCUGUAUUUUCAUCGCCUUUUCUUCCUCCUUUUAGUUCAAAAGGACGCCGACCAAAGACCUCAUUUAUGUUGAGCUGACCCGUGGCCUCCCACGUGUUGGAUAAACGGAGGAGACGUGCCUCCUCGGGCAGUCGUGGGGCGACAACAUAGUGUCCGCCCCAACCAUGUCUCUCCCUUGUUUUCACCUAUAAAUACAGGGGAGACGAGGGGAACAGAAGGGAGGAUAGAGGAGAGAAAGGAGAGAAGAAAAAAAAGGACAAAGAAAUAGAAGAACAAAGAAAAAAAAAUAGAGGACAACAGAGAGAGAGAAGUAAAACGGAGAGGAAAAGGGAGAAGAACCACUGCAAACCACCAGUGCUACUGCCUGUCGUCUCCAGCAGCACAACCAACGGUUGCAGCCACCGUAGGUCAGCCCUUCCCCCUUCCUUUUUUUUUUCUUCUGUUUCACCUCGCCUCCAUGCUCUCCACUGGUCACGUAGUCUGUGAACAGUGGAGAGCACUGUUCAUGGCUGGGCCAAUUCUGGCCCAGCUGAAUAUUUAAGCCCAGCCCAUGGAUCUUGGGCUGAGUCUAGUCCAACCCAACAAUGGUGGGCUGGGUCUGACCCAACAAAAAAAAAAUUUAAAAUUUUGUGAUUCCGCCGCGUUUUGUUUUACGCUACUUUAUUUAAUAUCGGUCUGUAUUUCAUGUCGUAAAAAUACAAAAUUCGGUAUUAAAAUACCGGGUUUUCGUCAACUUAAAAAAAAAUUGAAAAAAGAAAAAAAUGUUUUUGUGCAUACGGCCAAGUGUCUCAAAGCUAAAAAAUCAUAUUGUGUUUUUCAUACACCAAAAAAACAAUGUUUUAGCAUGCAUUUUGGCUUUAAUAACCAGUUUAUUAAAGUCAGGAGAACAUUGGCCAAAAUUUCAAAAACAACAAAAAUUUUACUUUGUUUGACUUUUAGUAUCCAGGGUACGACAUUACAAGUAAUACGUAUUCUGAAUAUUAAAUUCUGUUUUUUUUUCGGACGCUAGAAUUACCCCAUUAAGAUAAGAACGUCCUUAUUGAGGAAGACUUUUCUUAAAUCUUAGACAGACAAGAUCGACAAUUAGAAACCACAACAAGACCUUAGAUUUUAUCAGACAACAAAACAAUGCAGCUUACCUUAGGUAGGACGUAGUUGAGGUGCUAAUACCUUCCCUUUACGCAACCAGUCUCCGUGCCCGAUCUCUGAGACCAGUAGGGUUCCUAGUGACCAAAAUACUAGGUGGCGAUUCCCAUUCCAAUGUUCCACUGAUACGAGACGAGAAUUUUUUAUCUCCCCGCAUCUGCCAUUAUAUACAUAUAAGAAUAUUCGCCGCCACGCUGCGCGGAGACGUGCGACACCUUUCUUAACUCAUCUCCUCACUGGUCAAAAGAAUUGAUGCCCCAUAUAAAGCCUUGCACAAUAACUCUGUGUUCAUAGAUAGCCAACAACUAAAAAUGAUGUAUUUUUUGCUAUUAGACCACAAGGAGUUUAUAUAGACAAUAAAGCAAUGAAAGAACAAACACAAUCACCGACAAAUACAUGGUUAGAAAGGGCAACUUGAAUUGAGUACAAGGAGUGGAAUGUGGAGAGCAGGGGAUACCAAGUUCAAGUAAGCAUAAGUGGUAACACCCCGAGAUUUCCUCGUGAUAAAUCCAAUUUCCAUGAGCCUUGAACUCGUGAAAAAUGAGGAUUUUUUUCUUUUUUUUAAUAUCUAUAACAUCUUAGUUCCACACAAUGUACCAUAAUAAAUAAUAAAUAAUAAAUGAUUAAGGAAAUAAAUUAGCAUUUAAUGUAAUAGAAACAUAAUGACUAAGAAAUGAAAAAAACAUAAACACCUUUUUCGUUUGGUUACAACUCCCAGAAAUUUAAUAAUAUCCGAACUACUCCUAAAACAACUAUCUUGUAAUGGAAAACUUCUUCUUGUCAUUCAUGGUAGGAGUCCUACACAGAACUAAUAUUUAUGUAAAUUUGAACAACAAUAAUUACAUAAAAGUAGAACCACUUAUUCCUUAAACUUUUAUAAUAUUGUUAGGUCAUAUGUCAAAACAUGCUCUUUGUCCACAAAACCUCAACAUGUUUUAUCCACAAGAUUUCAGUUCAUUGAAGAAUAAUGCACCUCCGUAUUUCCGCAACUUCACUCACUCUUGCUUUUGCUAGUUGGGUAUACCACCCAUCCUUUUUGAAAUAGUCAUCCCUUAUCCUUAUGUAGAAUCACCCCUCUAUUUCACAUUUACUAGUAGCGAAAUCGACUAAUCACUUUAGUCCAGUCAUCGCUAUGACAAUGAACAUCUCAAUUACUCUGUUCGGCAUCAUCUCGAAUAUCCAUCUUGAGAUCUACAUAUUCAUCCAUUCGAUCAAGUCAUCCUGCUAACCUACAUCAUAACCUGUUUUACUAUCCGUCAUAUUUAAUGAGAGUACUCCCCAUUACUGAUACCCCAUACUAUCACAUCAUAUCUUCCAUUCUAACAAUUUUAUUUCUAACACUGAAUAAAACUAGUUCCUAUGAAAGGAACUAGGUUCCCCUUCGGUUUCAUCAAUUACGGUUCCUUUCUCCUUGUUCGAGUCACUAAUGCCUUACAACAACUUUAUAGACUAAGGCACCAACUCUUCAAUCUAAACCUUCAAUAAGAAUUUGUGUUUAAAGCCUCGAUCCCUAGUGCCCUUCCAUUAACGUGAUGCGGAACAAUAAAAAAAUAAAAUUAAAGCAAGAACAGAAAGAAGCUUUAGAAAAGAAAGAAGCUGAAGAAGAGAAGAAAAGAGAUUGGAGAUAUGCAAAAUCUGUAAUUUUCAUUAAUCAUCAAAAACUGUCCCUUAACAUUUAGAAAAGUAGGGUAUUUAUACUAAAACCCUAGCUAGAAUAAACGACUGGGCUUAUGGCCCACUAAAUAAAAUACCCAACAAUAAUUAAAUCAAACCCAACAAAUAAAGCCAAACUAAUAAAACUCAACUAAAAGUUCAUAUAAAUUAAACCCAAAACAUAAGUUAAAGCCCAAUCUCUCAAUUGUUUGGGCUAUCCUCCAUCGUCUAUGAUCAUUCGCAUGCAUAAAUAAUAUUUCGGAUUUGGUGUCCCCAUCAAUUCUCCCGGGGUUGGAAGAACUCGACCCCGUCGAGUAUAGGCCAAGACGACUCCGAUAACGCUCUCAAAGAUAAAGAUCAAGCUGUUGUGAUGUCUCUCUGAUAAUCCAAGUAUAGUCUGAAUCUGGUCGUCGAGCCCAUAUACUGGGAUUUGCUGAAGUUCACCAUCCCUGGUAAAAACAACUUGUGCAUUCAAAGUAGCAUUAAUAUGUUCCUUUUGUGCCAAAGAUAUGGAUAAUGAGGUAGGGGUAUCAAAAGGAGCAUCAGGGAUAGACUGUAUUUUAUAAAUAUUGAGGUCUUUCAUGUUAAAAGUAGAGCUAAUAUCAAAGUUUAAUGGCAAUUUAAUGACAUAAUUAUUUGAUUUAAUCAUUUGCAACACUUUGAAUGGUCUAGCACUACUUACUUGCAAUUUAUGAUCGGUUUUCAAAGGACACCGUUCAGGUCUAAUCUGUAUCAUGAAAUAAUCUCCAACAUUAAGUGCAUCAUGAUACUUAAGUAAAUCAGCUUGAAAUUUGUAUUGUUCAUUACUUGCUUGAAUUUGUUUCAUGAUCUCAAUAUGCAAAUUAUGAACCCUAUAUGGUAACGACUCAGCUGACUUAGACAUCCUAUCGUGAGGAGAUAUGGGAGGGUGUUCUAUAGGCUUCUUAGGUUUGUAACUAUGAACACUAAAUGAUUGAGGGUGUGGAAUGUGACAAACAUUGUUUGAAAUCUGUGUAGAUAUGGUAUGGACACGAUCAAGCAAACUAGGAUUAUCUCAUCUUCCUCAUCACGUGCAUGUGGUAAGGGGUCAAAAAGCUCAAUAUAUUGCUCUAAACUUAUGAUGUGCUGGACACCAAGCAUGUGGGAUGAGGAAUCAGGUAGUUUAGGAGGACUAAUAUCAUGAGACUCUUCUAAGACCAUACGUAUCUCUAUAGGCGAUUCCACUGAAGAGUUCCCUAAAACUUCCUCUACCAUUGAAGCAGACAUAUCAGACUCUUUCUUAACCUCAGUCUCAAGCUCAUGUGGACUCAUUGUGUUAAGUCUCUCUUCUUGCACAUCCUCGUCAUCCAGGUCACUAAAAUCCUCAAGAUUAGGCUCAUACACUUCAACACUACAAUAUUCCUCUUUACCUAUAUCCUUAUGUUUUUGGAUGACUAAGGGUUUAGAGGUGCAAUCUAAGGAGAUAUGACCAAAACCUAAACAAUUAGUACACUUAACCUUUGAACUCACCUUAGACACUUCAUUGACAACUCGUUUACCUUUAUCUUUCUUACAAAGUUGGGUGCUACUAGGAUUAGGUCUGUGGGGUGGAGCACCUAACAAAGAAUCACUGUUUCUGAAUUGGGACCUAGUAGGGAUACUAUAAGAGCCCUGACGAUUCAUCCACUGAUUCUUCGUGACCAACUUGUAAUUUUGAACUAAGGUAUGAGCUUGGUUAAGGGUAGAUACACCUUGAAACACAACUUCUCUUUUAAGAUCAUCAUUUAAGCCUUUACAAAAUCUACGCAAAGUCAUGGCUUCAUUCUCUCUUAUGGCACAUCUAAUCAUGUAAUCGUUAAACUGUAUUAUAUACUCAUUGAUAGACUUAUUUUCUUGUCUUAGAUUGUUCCAUUGGUCUAAGAGUUUAUUCCUAUAAGACUGGGGUAGGUACUUCUCCUGAAGUUUUUGUUUCAUUUUGAUCCAAUCAGUUAUAGGAGGUUUACCUCUCAUCUCUAAACAAUCCUCAACAUCUCUCCAACAAACUUUGGCUUCAUCAAUGAGUUUCAUCUUAGCAAAUCUAACUUUUCUAUUAUCAGACAAUUUAUGCCACUCAAAGAAUUUAUCCAUAUCACGAAUCCACAUAUCAAAUAUCCAAGGGUCAUAACGAUCGUCAAAAGUGGGAGCUUCUAUUUUGUUAGGACUCAAGACUCGCUCAUCAAAGUCAUCGUGUUUAGAGUAACCUAAAUGAUAGUCAUAUUGGUGGCGCUCAGAGUGAACUUGUCCAUAAUGAUUAUUCUUAUGAUAUUUAUUGGUCUUUGAGUGCCUUAUUCGAAAACUCUCUUGGGGUUCAAUUCUUUUAAACAUGUUGAUAGCCUAAGUUUGCAGUUUCUUUAAAUUGUCAUAAGAGUAUCAUUAAGGGUUGAGUCUAGAGUAAAUGUAAACUUAAGCUUGGACACUAGAUCAUCAUGACAUAAAUGCAUGCAAAACUCACUUAUAAAUGAAAUUGAGAUCACAAAUGGUUCUUGCAUGUAAAAUCACAAUACAAAAAUAAAGCUAAUUUUAUUUUUAUCUCUUUUUUUUUAAAAUGUGGAGACUAAUCAAGAACAAAUUACACUAAUAAAAUUAUAAGCAUGUAGUACUAGAUUCUUAAGUGUAAAUGAUUAAUCAAACACGAUGUCACAAGCAAGAACUCAUAAUUAUCAAAUAGAAUAGAAUAUUAACUAUCACUGAUGAAAGAGGUUGAUGAACAAAAAUAAUAAUAUUCUUUGUUAGGUGAGAGAAAUUUUUUUUUUUUGGAAUUUUCUAGACACAAAAGUAAUAUUAAUAAUAACUUAAAUGACAAGUGAAAAACCAAGAAAAGUAACUUCAACAAAUAUGAGAGAGUGAUUCAGUAACUAGAGUGUGGGAGGAAGCUGGAGUUUGCUAGAGCUGAUGUGGCAAACUAGAUGAAUGGACUGCUGACACGACAUAUGACACGGCCAGUUUGCUGACGUGGUGGGUGACGGGGAUGAUCUUGUCUGGCGUGGCAGGGUGGCAUGGCUGAUGACGUGGCAGGGCUAAUUAAUUUUGCCGAGAGUUUUCUUUGGUUUCCUGGUUUCCUUCAUCUGGUUGCCGUCUUCACACAAACCUGCUCUUGGAAAUCAGUCAACAAAUUAAUCCCCGUAACCCGAUACAGGUGAAAGGAUUAAGAUGCUGGUCUUCCAUGGUGAGUCUCUGGGUUGAGUUGAUCUGCUGCUGUGAGAGGCGGUUUGCUGAAGGUGAAUUGAUUUGGCUGCUGUGAGAACUGUUGUAGAUCUUGGUGGCUGUUGAGAGAAGGCGUGGCUGGUGAAGACGAAUAACUAUUGCGAGCACUGAAGGUGGUGGUUUGUGGUUCUGAUUUGGCUGCUGAAGGCGAGGACCACCGCAGUCUGUUGAAGAUGGUGGUUGCCGCCGGUCGGUUCUACUACUCUGUUGGUCGCUAAUGGUGGGGGCGACGAUGGUACUGUGGACGGUCGCUGGCGCUGAAGAGGACGACACUGGCUGAGGCGCUGCCUUUGCUGCUGUAAACCCGAAUCGAUGUUGGUUGUGAUGGGUGUUGUGGGUAUCGGCGUCCGGUUUGAUGAUGGAGACGAUGAACAGUGAUUUUGAACACUGAACAGUAGGUUCUUGUGAUCAGAACAGUAGGUUUUGAACAAGGAUUUUUUUUCCUUUUUUCAGAUCAAACCGGAUCUAGAGUUUAGUAUAAACAUUAUAGACCGUUUAAUUGUAAGAACAAUUAAAAGCCUUCCUUUUAUACCAAAUUUGAUGCGGAACAAUAAAAAAAUAAAAUUAAAGCAAGAACAGAAAGAAGCUUUAGAAAAGAAAGAAGCUGAAGAAGAGAAGAAAGGAGAUUGGAGAUAUGCAAAAUCUGCAAUUUUCAUUAAUCAUCAAAAACUGUCCCUUAACAUUUAGAAAAGUAGGGUAUUUAUACUAAAACCCUAACUAGAAUAAACGACUGGGCUUAUGACCCACUAAAUAAAAUACCCAACAAUAAUUAAAUCAAACCCAACAAAUAAAGCCAAACUAAUAAAACUCAACUAAAAGUUCAUAUAAAUUAAACCCAAAACAUAAGUUAAAGCCCAAUCUCUCAAUUGUUUGGGCUAUCCUCCAUCGUCUAUGAUCAUUCGCAUGUAUAAAUAAUAUUUCAGAUUUGGUGUCCCCAUCAUAACGUCUUCAGUAAUUGUUGGACACUAAUCAACAAUAUCACUCUAGUAUAUAGUGUACUAGCACUAACUGAUUAAUACCAAGUAAUAACUUCUCAUCCAGGAUCACCCUAACAAUUCUACUUGACCCGUCCCAACUGUUUAGGAACAUGUUUUUUUUUUUUCUGAAUCAAAGUUCGACAAUAAUUUCUUAAUCACACAACCACUCUCAUUCCUCCUUGCCAAGCAUUCGAUCCUCACCAGGCAAUAAUGCUCAUUGCCCAGAACAGGGUAUAAUGCUAUAAUAGUCCAAAAAUAAGAAUUAUAAUGACAUUCCAAUCAUUUUCACACAUUCAAUCACAAUACACAUUUUCACACAUUCAAUCACAAUACCAUUUUAUUUUUCCGAUAAAAUGUUUUUCAAUUUUUUUUAAGAUUUCAUGUUAACAUUAUACCGUGUACACCAAUUAUCGACUCGAUAAUUGCUUCUAUUAGUAACCCUUUAACCAAGACACUAGUCCCAAACAUCCGGACAUCUAGUUCCUCCCAUUAUGCUCAUUUAUGAUGCAUCUAUCACAUUUACCCAAACUUGGCACUGACCCCAGGUCCAGUCCAUUACUUUUGACUGUCCAAAAAUCCAACCAUCCAACAUUUGACAUUAACCCCGUUACCGGGUCAUUAAUCCAUUCGCCCAAUUACCGGGCACCGACCCCAUCACCAGAUCUCUUAUUUAUCCACCCAAUUCUCGAGCAUCAACCCAUUUACUAGGCCACUAAUUUAUUUGCCUAAUUUACUGGGCACCGACUCCCUUUACUAGGCCACUAAUUCAUAUGCCCAAUUUACCGGGCACCGACCCUCUUUACCAGAUCACUAAUUCAUCUACCUAAUUUACCGGGCACCGACCCCUUUACUGGGUCACUAAUUCACCCGCUCAUUUUCCCGGGCAUUGACCCCUUUUACUGGGUCACCAAGUUUGUAAGCAUCUAAUGAUGAGAGCAGAAGGCUGAGAGAAGGCCUAUUGCCAGAGAAGGUCUGGGCAGGAAAAAGCAAUGCUUAAGAUUAAUCAUUCAGGAGUAAUUGGUAAAGCUAUGCUGUAGUAAAUCUGAGGAUUCACCUUGUGAGGUACGAGAUGCUACAGAACUUGUUUUUCUUUACAACUCUUCUGGGGUCUGCGAAAAAUAUAAAUAAAUUAAUAAUUCGACAUCACUGUAGACAACACCUGCACUAUGAAUCAGAUACAGCAGUAAUAUGUCUUGGCCCUUAUAGCAUGCAGAUAUAAUUUAUUGUAUCUUUUUUCUUAUCCUUUUAGCAGAUAUAUAAAUGCUUAAACCUAACAUUCCACAUGCAAGGGCAUCUGGCUGGGCGAAGAAGUUGGACAUGAGUUCAUCAUGGUUAUUUCCAACCUCUCCUGUGAACAAAUUGAUUUGAAAUCAGAUAAGCAUAACUAUAAAUUCAAAGCUUAAAAAGUUGUCCUUGUGAAUCUUAAUCUUGACAAAAUAAUCUUAAUCAGAGAAGUAUACCGGUUGCUGACUGAAUGAAUGGUAACGCUAAUAGAUCUAGUGAAGAAACACUCGCUCGUGCAGGAUAUCCAAAAAAUGAAAUAUUCCACACGCUCAAAACACCUAAAAGUACCUGAAGGAGAAAGAAGGAGAAAGUCAGAAUGUUAUCAGCAUGUCUUUAGAAUCUCAUAAAGCACAUCCAACUAAUGCCUGUUCAGACAAUCCCCCAGAUGGAUAGUCACAAGGCAAAUGACAUAUAGCAGCUUCAAGUCCUUCCAUGGCUGGGUUUCGAAAAUUAAAGUCUAUGAAGCCAUCUGAAAUUUGUCGGGAGCAGACGCCUAAAAAAAAAAAGUAGGCACUAAAUUUAUAGUCGCUAUAUUCAAAAUAGCGUAAUAGUUGAGAAUAAUACAAUGAUUUAAGUUAUUUUUAGUCAAAUUUUUUUAUUUAUAUGUAUGCGGCAGUACACAAUAGUAAUUACUAGCUUGAUUGCCCGCGCUUUGCUGCGGGCGAUUUUAGGUUAUGAAUGAAAAUACAGUUUUGUACCAGAAUAAGCAUAACAUGCAUGAAAAAUAAUAAUUGCUAAGCAAUAAUAAAAAGAACUGCAGCUAGGUAUAGUAUCAAAGGUUUGAUAAUAUAGAUAAAGUUAUAGAUUAAGUUAUAAACAACAAAAUGCAAAUAAGCUGUCAGAUUGCUGAACACUUAAAGGACAUUGUUGUUUCCAAACUAUAUCAAAAUUACAGAGGCAGCAAUCAUGAUAAUAUAGAUUAAGUUAUAAACAACACCAAAAGUGGAAAUAAGCUGCCAGAUUCCUCUCCAUGUUCUUGCUACAGGAAUCUAAAUCCAAGUCAUUUGUAGAGGAAUUGCUAGUUUUUCUGCAAUGUAAAGACAAUAAAAUAAAUUAUGUAAAGACAACAAAUCCAAGUCAUUGUUGUUAGUAUUUUUUGGACAUGUUAAAUAGCCUUCACAAAAAUGUUUUUGGUUUUUUUUGUUUUGUGUUAUAGAUGCAAUUGAAGGUUGAAAAUUCUGUGAACAUUUGUGUAGUAGAUGAAGUUAAAUGUGUGCAUGAAGCAAGAUAUAAAAAUUGACCAUGCUUUUUUUUUUUUUACAUUAUUGUAUAUACAGUUUAUGUAGUCAUUAUAAAACCUUUUUCAAAGCAAUAAAAAUCCUAAACUGAAAAAAAAAAGGAAAAACUUUUUUUCUCAAAAAACUCCGGCAUCACAUUGCUGUGAUUAUUCCUUCAGGGAAGAUGAAAGAGGGGAGCAUUUGAAAUCAUGUGAGAAGAAACGAAACAAAAGUUUCUUGUGGCAUUAAAACAUAGUGAAGAAAUUGAGUGCAGUGUAUGCCUGGAUAAUGUGCUUUCAAAGCCUACAACACCUAAAAGAAAGCUUGCAGUCCUGCCUAAAUGUGGACCAUCCAUUGUGCAUAUCAUGUAUCAGGAAUUGGUGUCAUGGUUCCCCAACCUCUAGGAUGACUUUAAUUUACAGCAUUCACCAAGAAAGUAACCAUAUUUAUUGCAAUUGUUUAAGUAACAUAUGCACAUAUAUAAUUGCAAUGAUUUCUUCUUUAUCUAAGUAUUUAUUGUGUGCACAUAAUAAUUAUGUUUUCUUCUCAUUGUUAAUAUACAUAUAUCCUUUACUAAUUCUUUGGUUUUAAUGAAAAGUAUUAAUAUUGAUAUAUAAAUUUUCCAGGGAAUGAUUUUUUCUCUUUUAAGAAUUGUUUUCAAUGUUAUAAUUAGCAUGUAAAGAAGAAAAGAACUCAUGAAUUAUAGACUGUGAAGUGAAGAGAAAUAGGUAAAUGUAAAAUAAAAAAAAAACAAAUAGAAUUAGAAAAUAAAUAACAAAUAAAAGGCAUGUUGGACAAAUUGGAAACUGAUUUAUAAGAAUGUGAGGUUAAAAAUCAAACCUUCGAUGAAGAUGAGGAUGUUGCCCGUUGUUUUUUCAAAGGUGGAAGUGAGUGAUCAAAUGUCUCAGAUGUAGCUAUGUUUCCCAGGUUUCCUUGGACUUCAAUUGGUUUGUCAUGCUCAUCUUCAUGACUAUUGUAACCAAAGGAGUUAAAGAGAUGCAAGGCAGAACCAUCACAGGUUAAGAACCAUCAAAUUUAGCACGUGUUAAGGAAAAAAAAAUGUAAAGAAAGUGUGGGGAAAUGUAAACUUGCCUGAGCUGCUGUGUUGCAUCUUCAAAAUCAAGUACACAUCGUGCUUCACUGUUUAUGCUUGUUUCAUUGUUUGGUGAUAUGUUCUGAGGUGGUGUCUCCAAGGAAUCAGGAGCAAUCCUGAGUUGUGUGACAGUAUUUUGUGGAGUUGAUGGAGCUUUGAGAACCUGUUUCAUAUAGCUUAAUGGAGUAGAUGUCUUGGAUGUAGGAGAUGAUUUAGCUUCUGGAGUUGCUGUUUCUAGAGGAUGGAUGCUCUUAUUUGUGCUGUCGUCAAAGAUAUUAGUAAUGAUAACCUCACAUCUGUUGGUGAUGGAUCUGAAAGCACCAAAUCGAAGCUGAAAAAUCAUGCUUUUGUUUAACUUUGCUGCCAUGGCAGGAGGAAGAACUGAGGGAUCAAUAAAUUUUUUAUUAUAGACAUAAUGGUGGGCCGAUGAUCCAAAAAAGUUCUCAGCAGUUUUCCCAAAUAGAAGAAAAUUAGUGACAUCUUCUCCAUCGGUAACAAUGCAUUCUAAGCGAAACCUAUAAUAUAAAAUUGAAUACAUGUUCAUUAAUAAGAAGUGCAUGAUAAUGUAUCCAAGGAAUAUGAUUUUUUUAUUUAACAACUUAAUAUUGCUUUAGUUGUGAAAUUAGAUGACUUACCAUGGAAUUGGAAGAGAGGUGAUAGCAUCAUGAUCCAUGCAUGUGUAAUUGUUUUCGCCCCCACUAAGUUUUUUGUUGCAUUUUGGACAGCUUGGAUACCACCAGCCAUUGGGAAAAUCAAAGUCAACAAUCGAAGCUUGACAUGUGAAUCUUAGAUGCUGGUAAUGGAAAGGAAAUACAUGUUUCAGGAGUGUGGUUAGAUGAAAUUUUAAAAACUAAUUAUAUGAAAAAGGUAAAGUAUGUUAUCAAAGCUAAUAAUAAAAGGGUUUAAAAAAUAACCUUGUGCUCAUAAGGAUUCAUGCAAAGAAUCUCAUGUAUUGUUCUCCUAUUUUCUUUGAUUUGUUCCUCUAUCGAUAAAACAACAUUUGAUGAUGAAGGGAGUUGUUGUAUUUCAACAGGUAGUUGUGCAAAGCUGCGUGUACAAUCGAUUAAAAAAGAUGGUGAAAAAAUAAUUAGUUAGAAAAAAAUAUGCGGCAGUACACAAUAGUAAUUAUAAGCAAGAGCAGGAUUAUUUGUUAGGAAGACUAUAAUUAAUAUAACAAGAUAUAAUAUUUGUUUUAAUUUAUUAUACAUGAGUUGUCAAAAAAAACCCUGCAUGAUUUAGUUUUAUUUAAAUAACUUACUACAAACAUAUAAUGACAUUUGUAUAAGGUAAAAGAUUUGGAGCAAUACUAAAUUGAGUCAAAGUACUGAAGUUAAUUUCAUCUUCUUAAUGUAUCCAUCACUUUAAUGUUGUUGGUCUUUAUACCUAUCAAAUAUAAACAUACAAAGUAUAUAAUAAACAUUAGCUAAAGCGAAACAUUAUUUAUGUUUGAUAAACUUGGAAAUAAAGUAAAAAAUAAUAAAGAAUGAUUCUUACAUAUUCAUGUCAAUUGUGAAUCUUUUAGCAAUUUCUUUUUCUAUAUAGACAAUCAAAUAAUUUAAAAGAAAAUCAUUCUCCAUCCGAUUGCAAAGUCUUGUUUUAACAAUCUUCAUCGCUAAAAAGCUCAUUCAGUAGUUGCUGUCGAAACAAGAAAAGUUAAAAUAAGUCGAAUCAACUUAUCAACUAGUGGAUAAAUUGUUGAUUUCUCUGUUUCAACCAAUCCUUGACAUAAAUCAGUAAUCGAUGACAUGUUCUUUAACUUUGGAUGAUUGUGUACAUCAAGCUCAUAAUGCUGCAACUGAAGUCUCAAAUGAAUUUUUUCUUGGUAAAAAAAAUCUUCAGGAUAGAACUUGUCAGCAGGUAACCAUAUAUCUUCAACAUUGAAAAAAUUUAUAGUCAUUUCUAGGAUCUAAAGCUAUGCUCAACUUAAGAAGCUCGAUCGCCUGCUCAUUGAAUCUAUUAUUUAGCUCUUGCAAUUGUUGAUCAAUGAUAGAUGUAAAUAUAUCAACUCGGUAGUGAUGCUCAACUGUUACUGAUUUUUUUUAUGGUGAGAUCAUCCAUAUUAGAAAAACAAGUAUCCAUAUCAGGAACUUCAAUGUCUUGAUGCUUACAAAGUAAUGUCACUUCUUCUAAAAGAGUUUCCCAAUCAUCAUCUCUUAACUUCUGAAUUAAAGCUUUGUGGUAGUCACCAAAUGCAUAACACUUAAAAUGUCUUGAGAUUUUUGUUGCAGGGCUUGGCAAAGCACAUUAGUAAUUCCUAUAACAUUCUUCAUUAUAUGUAAGAUGAAUGCAAAAUCAAAUGACAUUAGCAACUUAAAUGAAAAAGUCGCAUCACCACAUUCAGAAUAAGGCCAUGUUUGUUUCCCGGAAAGUAGUUUCCGGGAAACCACUUUCCAAACUUUCCUGUGUUUGUUUGCCAUUAGGAAAGUUAGUUAACAGAAAACACUUUCCGAUCAACGGAAACACUUUCCGGUCAACAGAAAACACUUUCCAGUCAAAGAAAAAUUUGGUUUGGUUUCCAGGAAAGUAUUUUCCCUUUUGGCUGUGUUUGUUUUCCGGAAAGUGGUUUCCGCGAAAUCACUUUCCAAACUUUCCUGUGUUUGUUUGCCAUUAGAAAAGUUGGUCAACGGAAAACACUUUUCAGUCAAAGGAAAAUUUAACUUGGUUUUCAGGAAAGUGUUUUCCUGGNNNNNNNNNNNNNNNNNNNNNNNNNNNNNNNNNNNNNNNNNNNNNNNNNNNNNNNNNNNNNNNNNNNNNNNNNNNNNNNNNNNNNNNNNNNNNNNNNNNNUUUGAUGGACUAUAAUAUAAUGACAUUUGAUUGAUUCAUGAGUGAUGUAUGGCAGCUGGUUAUCAGACAGGAGGAGUUGGGUUAUCACGAACAGAAGGUAGGUGAUUCGUCAUCUUAUUUUGCAAUUAUUAAUUUUCCUUAAAUAUCUAUGUUGUUUAUUUAAUUGAUGUUAAAAGAAUGAAGCAAAUGAGUAAAUUUAGUGAUUAUUACAAAUGAGAAUUAUUGGUAAUUUAUGUGAAAUUACCAGAAUUAUUAUUUGGCUAACAAAAAAGGUUAGCCGGAUGCUGGGUAAUUCAUAUGGAAUUACCAGAAUUAUUAUUUGGCUAACAAAAAAGGUUAGCCGGAUGCUGGGUAAUUCAUAUGGAAUUACCGGAUUGAUUUUGGCAACCAAAAUGGGUUAGUCGCAUUUCUUGGAUAAUUAAGAGAAUUAUCGGGUUUAUUGGUUAACAAAGAGGUUAACUAGAUAUGGAGUAAUUCUUAUGGAAUUACCGGAUUGAUUGGCUAACAAAAGAGGUUAGUCAGAUGAUGGGUAAUUCUAAUGGAAUUACCAGAUUUAUUGGUAAACGAGGAAGAAUAACCAAAUUUGUGGGUAAUUAUAUGAAAGUGUUAGAAUUAUUGGCAAUCGAGAUGAGUUAGUUGGAUAUUUAAGUUUUGAAAAGAUUAUGUAAAUUAAUUGAUUGAAUUUAGAAGUAUUAAAUUUCAAAGGUUAAGAGUAAAAUAAUUAAUAUAUAACUAAGAUAUUGAGUAAAUUAAAUAAUGUGGUUAUUGUUGAAACAAAUACACCGCGAGAUGAUGCAGUUCGUUAGAUAUAGGAUUUCUGAAUCGGCAGCAACAUAGUUUUCGGCUGCCGAUUUCUGAAUCGACAACGACAAAGUUCUUCAUUUCUGAUUUCUAAUUCGGCGGCGUCACAGUUUUUGGCUGUCGAUUUCUGAAUCGGCAGCAACAUAGUUUUGCUGCCGAUUUCUGAAUCGAUAACGAUACUAAAAACUCAACAAAAAAUUAGUGUUGAAUCAGUUUAUCCUAGGAGAGAAUUGGAAUAUAAACCAACUCAAUCCACAUCCAUGUUCCAAUACAGUUUGCUAUUAAAAAUCCAGCAGAAUCACAUAAUUCCAAGCAUGAACAACCAAGACGGGUGACCGAGUUUAGAUAUUGCAAUUAGUUACGGUUAAAAGCAUCGAGGAUGAAUGACCGAGUUAAGGUGAAGUAAUUAACCCCAACCGAAGAUUAAACUGCUUCCCUACCACUCCUAUGGAGGUGUUGGGGUGUAUGCAUGAGGAUAAUACAUGUAGUGAAGUAAUGAGGGUUGCACAGUGUAUUUGAGAAGUGAAUAAACGAAUGUACUCACCUUGAGUUGAUAACAAAAAAUAACGAUAACAUCCUUCUAGUUAUUAUUAUUAUGUUUAGAUUAUUUAUAGUUCUUGUAUCCAUGCUGUUUUUGUAACAGGCGCAUCACACAAUCAAGGUAUAUAGGAAAACGGUUCCAUGGGUUCUCAUAUUUUGAAAAGUGCUAUGUAAUAGUUUGUUUUAAGUGUUAUAAUGAAUAUUUGCCUUUCGAUACUUUUGUAUGGACUUGUAAUGAAAACUAUAUUGGAACAUGGAUCUGGAUGUGUAAACAUGUAGAUAUGAUGUUAUGAAUAUAUUUAUGUAGUAUUCUUGUUUAUGAAGAUGUUGUGUUGAGAAAUCACAUGAGGAUCAUAUAAAAAGAGGUAUUAUUUGUGUAAAAUUGUUGUUCGGCACUCGUGUGUUAAUAACGAGACUAGAAUAUCAUUUUUAAAGUGUAUUUGCCUUUUGGUUACGUGGAAAACAAGAGAGAAUUAGGCAGAGAACUCAAAUCGAUUGGAAAGUUACGGUGCGAUGAGAAACACUUCGAAGCUAGCUUGUUAACAACUAGCACAAGCAUUGCAUCAGCUUAUAAAUUCUUUGAAGACAAGUUAAUUAUCCUUGCAAGUUUCAAAGCCUCCCUCUCUGUAGAAAUAAACAUGCGAUAACGUGCGCUAAUUAAGUACGCUACAACACAAAAUUACUAUCAUGUAAUUGUGUUGUAGCACACGUUUCCAAAUCACUAAUAAUGAAUAAAUUGAAGAAUGAUAUUGUCCAUUGUACAUUAUGUUUUCCACGAAAUAAAUAAAAUAAAAUAAAAAAUUGAGAAUUAUUCUUUAUUACAUUGAAUUAAUAUAAUUAAGUAGUUAAUUUCUUCACAUGCGAAUAUCUAAUAUCCAUUUUUUUCUUAACGUAAAAGGUAAGUAGUAUGGGUUGGUUCAGUUUGAUUUGGAUAAAAACAUUUAACUAAAUUAAUUUUUAAUUUUUUUAAAUUAAACUAAAUAAAAAAAUUGAUUUAUUCAAUCUUAUUUAUGUUAAAACCAAAUAAAUUUAAAUAGGUUAAUAAUAAAAAAAACAUAGACUAUUUUAUCAAGGGUUUCAUUUUCUUGAGAUAAAAAAUGAUUUGUUUAGUUUCGUUAUAUAUAGUUUUGGUUUUUUGGGUUUGAUUUCUUGGUUUAAUUUUGUUGGUUUCUAAAAUGUAAAACCAAAAUCAAACGGACCAAUUUUUUUUUUUAAAAUCUUUUAUUUGGUUUUUUUCAUAGUUUUGAAAUCGGACCCGGUCUAAUGAUCGGGUCACAGGUCAAAUGGUUUACCCAUAGUUUUUUCCAUAGUUUUAUAGUUCCUAUCCAUGCCUUCCCUAUGGCCACUGUUUCUUUCGGUUCAUCUCCGUCGUAACAGUAGUUUAUAAAGUUUUAUUAACUUGAUCUAUUAUGCUUUAAGACUCCAUAGCCAAACAAACAAACCAACAUGGCUAAUCCGAUCCAACCAGGCGGGGCUUGCUUUGAACUGAACACAAUAGCAUCUCUUAUGCCAUGAAUCUCUUCUAUCAAACUUCUGAUAAAAAUCCUUUGAACUGUGAUUUCUCACAAUCAACCAUUUUCUUUUCCAACAACCCCAGCAAGUUUUCUCAAAACACUUCCUUCUUGGUUUUACUAAUCCCUCUUCAUGUCACUGCAUUUGCGCAUAAACUGGGUCUGGCAUGACAGCGGGACCCAACGUUGUUGGGUCUGGCUACCAAGCGUCGCCCAAACACUUUCAAAAAGUGAGAAUAGUGUUGAGUCCUGCUAUCUAUCAGGACCCAAUGUUUUUGGGUUUGGCUAAGACAGAUCCAAAACACUUCAAAAAGGAGUUGGGUCUGACUGCCCAGCUAGACCCACAGAUCUUGGGUUUCGCUAGGCAGCGAGAUCUAAUAUCAUUGGGUCUGGCUGCGCAACCAUACCCAAAUAUAUUAUUAUUUGUAUUAUAAAUAUUUUAAAAUUUAUUAUUAUUAGUGUUAUUAAUAUUAAAAAUAUUAUUAUGUCUUAUAAAUAUUGUUAUUUUUUAUUAUAAUUAAUAUUGUUAAUAUUAAAUUAAAAUCUUAUUAUUUUUAUUACAAAUUUUAUUAUUUUUAUUAUAAUUAAUAUUAUUAAUAUCAUAAUUAAGAAAUUUAAAAAUAUAUCAUUAAUUUUGAAAAACAACCAUAGAUUUGAUUUGAAGGGUAAAAUUAUUAUUAUUAUUCUCAUUAUUAUUAUUAUUAUCAUUAAUAAAUUUGAAGAAAAAUGUUAUUACUAUUGAAGAAAAACAAUAAGUUUUAUUUGAAGGGAUUAAAACUAUAAAAACUUAGGCAAGAUAGGUUUAAUAAUAUUAUUAAAUUCAUUAAUAUUAUUAAAUUUGAAAUAAAUUUUAUUACUAUAAAAAAAACAUUGAUUUGAUUUGAAAGGUAAAAUCAAUUAUGAUUGUUAUUGUUAACUUGGGUCUGAAAGGACAUGCCAGAUCCAAGUUGUGUGGGAGUGGCAUGGAAGCAGACCCAAGUCCCUUUGAUCUUCCAGCCCUACUUGGCCCGGGACACUUGGGUUAGGCGUCCUCACCCAACUCUGAUGGGUUCAGGUUGCAGCUGGACCCAAGGCUUUUGGGUUUGAUAUUCAAAGCUCUUGAGCCUAGUGAUGCAGUCAAACCCACUUAAACUUGGGUAAAUUUAAUAUUAUUAAUAAUAUUAAAAAUAUUAUUAUUUGUAUUAUAAAUAUUAUUAUUUUUAUGAUGAUUAAUAUUCUUAAUAUUAAAAAUAUUAUUAUUUGUAUUAAAAAUAUUAUUAUUUUUAUUAUCAUUAAUAAUAUUAUUAAUAUCAUAAUUAAUUUUGAAACAAAACCAUAAUAAUUUUUAUUAUUUUUAUUAUUAUCAUUAAUAAAUUUGAAGAAAAAUAUUAUUAUUAUCAAAGAAAAAUGAUAAGUUUUAUUUGAAGGGAUUAAAACUAUGAAAACUUAGGUCAAAUAAGUUUAAUAUUAUUAUUAAUAUUGUCAUAACUCAAUUCUGGGUUAUUCCCCAAAAUUCACUUUAAAAAAAAAUAAAAAUGAAAAAAAUAAAAUAAUGGCUGGCAACGUGGAGAAAGCAGGCCGAGAAUACAACUGCAAUUUUGAAGGAAAUUUAAGGCCUAAUUAUACCCCAUUAUGCCCAAAAAUGGAGAAAAAAAAUGCAAAUUCAAGGACAAAUUAAAAGAUUAUUGGAUGAAUUUGCAUAAAAAUUAAGUCCAAAGACAUAAUUAAUUUUUUAAUAGGCCAAUUUGAUUUAAUCAUGAGCCAAAUUGAAUUUUAAUUAUAUUUAAGAAUUAAUGUGGGUCUAAUUGAAGGAUUUAAUUAAGUGCAAGGACUUAAUUACACUUUAAAAGAGUUAAAUUUUAUUAAGGGUUUAAUUAGUGAACAAUUAAGUUUGGGAGCCCAAUUUUGGUAGAUUUCAUUGAAUUAGGCCUUGAAUUUCCUUCAAAAUUGCAGUUGUAUUCUCGGCUUGCUUUCUCCACGUUGCUAGCCAUUAUUUUAUUUUAUUUUUAAAGUGAAUUUUGGGGAAUAACCCAGAAUUGAGUUAUGACAAUAUUAAUAAUAAUAUUAAACUUAUAUGAUCUAAGUUUUUAUAGUUUUUAAUCCCCUCAAAUAAAACUUAUUGUUUUUCUUCGAUAACAAUAAUAUUUUUCUUCAAAUUUAUUAAUUUAAUAAUAAUAGUAGUAGUAGUAGUAUUAAUAAUAAUUUUACCCUUCAAAUUAAAUCUAUGUUUGUUUUUCAAGAUUAAUGAUAUAUUUUUAAAAUUUCUUAUUUAUGAUAUUAAUAAUAUUAAUUAUAAUAAAAACAAGAAAAUUUAUAACACAAAUAGUAAUAUUUUUAAAUUAUAAUACAAAUAAUAAUAUUAACAACAUUAAAAUUAAAAAUAUUUUUUUAUAUUAAUAAUUACAGUAAAUUUAUCCAAAUUUAAGUGAGUAUGACUCUAACACCAGGCUCAAGAGUUUUGACCCCUCUUAAAUUAGAAACUCAAAAGCCAUGGGUCUAGCAAUAUUAGCAAUAUUAAUUAUAAUACAAAUAAUAAUAUUUUUAAUAUUAAUAAUAACAAUAAACUUACUUAAGUUUAAGUGAGUCUGGCUAUAACACUAGGCACAAGAGCUUUGGGUUCCUCUUAAAUGACAGAUCCAAAAGCCUUGAGUCUGACUGCAUUCCGAACCCAUUAGAGUUGAGUGAAGAUGCAAGACCCAAGAGCGUUGGGUCUUGACGGGGACCCAUUAACCUAGGGUUUGACUCUUGACCCAAUUAUUUUGGGUCAGGAAGGGUUGCAAGACCCAGGGGAUUUCAGUCUGCCCCCUCCCAAGCAACUUGGGUCUGACACGCCCUUCUAGACCCAAGUUAAUAAUAAUAUUAAACUUGUCUGACCUAAAUUUUUAUAGUUUUUAAUGCCUUCAAAUAAAACUUAUUUUUUUUCUUCGAUAAUAAUAAUAUUUUUCUUCAAAUUUAUUAAUUUAAUAAUAAUAAUAAUAAUAAUAAUAAUAAUAAUUUUACCCUUUAAAUCAAAUUUAUGGUUGUUUUUCAAAAUGAAUGAUAUAUUUUCAAAAUUUCUUAAUUAUGAUAUUAAUAAUAUUAAUUAUAAUAAAAACAAUAAAAUUUAUAAUGAAAAUAAUAUUAAUUAUAAUAAAAACAAAUAUACUUAUAAUACAAAUAAUAAUAUUUUUAAUAUUAAUCAUCAUAAAAAUAAAAAUAUUUAUAAACCAAAAUAAAAAUAUUUUUAAUAUUAAAAUUAAAAAUACUUAUAAUACAAAUAAUAAUAUUUUUAAUAUUAAAACUCUUAUACCUACAGAUUUGAGCAUUGCUAUAACUAAGGAACUUAUGCUCGUAUUGGUAAAUCUCACUCCGUACCUUUUAAUUUAUUUUCACAUAUGGUUUGGUUUUGUUUCUAAAACUGAGUUUUGUUGUUCUAGCACCCGGAUCAGGAAUGGCAUGAAAGCACUCGAUUGAUGUGGGUGCUGGUGUCAUAGAUGCUGAUUACAGAGGCCCUGUUGGGGUUAUCACUCUAAUGUUGAUUUCGAGGUAAAGGUUGGUGAUAGAAUUGCGCAAUUGAUUCUUGAGAAAAUUAUAACUCCUGAUGUCAUGGAAUUCGAGGAUUUUGAUGCAACUGUGAGAGGUGUUAGAGGGUUUGGAUCUACUGGUGUUUGAGCUUCCUGUGAUUUGUAAUGUUUUUUCUUAAAUGUUUCUGUUUCUUGGUGUUUAAAUUUGGCUAACAGAUGGUGGACUAAGCAGUAAAAGUUUUGGGUUUGGUGAAGGAAUUCCUUUUGUUAAUGAGUCAACCUAGCAAAAGACAAGGUUAUGGGUUACCAGUCAAGCUGUCAUGAUUGAGUUUAAUAACUAGUAAAUGUAAAGAAACCGAAGAUAUACCCAUAAGAAAUAAACCUUAGAACAAGGUCAAUGAAGCCAUCUUCAAACUAGAGAAGGUUGUUGAUAUAAGAUCUUAUAAUUAGAGAAUUCAAAGUUGAAAUUUUAUACACAAUUUUGUAUUAUAUUACGUGAAUUAACAUUUACAAAAAAUUGUAGCAUUUUUCCUACACUCAUGAUCAACUAUCAUUCGGGGUGGAAGAAGUUGGCAUGUAGGCCUUUGGUAGCCAAAUUCCAAACUGCUGCAACGACCAACAGAACACUCAGAACCAUGCCUAAGCAUCCAGGUCCUAGAUUAAGACACCACAUGACACCAUGGCCCUUUUGAUGGGUUUUCUUGAUCGAAAUCCACAUGAAACAUGGAUAAGCCAGUGUAAGGGGUAACGCGAUUCCUCCGAUUAAAGCAGCCAGGCUCGGUAAAAAUGGAAAAGCCACAGCUAUAAAGAAGGCCAAUCCUCCGAAAAAAAGCCGAAACCCGGUGCGAACCCACCACGAGCAUCGCUUGUUCUUCAUGCAAGUGUACCAGAAUAUUAUUCAUUUCCUUUUUUUAUCUUUUUGUUAACCACCUGCAACAAGGCUAUAUAUAUUUUAUUGCUCUUUGCAUGGAUAGGAACUAUAAAAGAAGCAUCAUGUAAAAAUAUUCACAAUUCCACCAACGAAAUCUACCAAAAUUGGGAUUUCUGAUACUCAUAAAGGAUCAAAUUUCUGUCAAAUGAGCCGGUGUUCUAGAUAUAAAAUAUAUAAAGAAGUCACGAUGCUGAAUUCAGCAUUACCUUAGAUUGGGAAUUGAGCGCACCAUGUAAAAGUGUAAAUGGAGCUGGUUCAUAAAUUUAACUUUUCUUUUCUUUUCUUUUCAGCUAAAUUUUUUUUUAAAAAAAACUUAAUAAUAAUACUCAACCAGCAAAUAUCCCCUAAUUUUCCAAUUAUUUUUUUUAAUUUACGCCUAAACAAUAGAUUCGACAAAGAAACUUAUAAAAUAGAGAGAAAAACCUUAACCCAUCUUCACCGUCUCUUUACAACUUCUUAUUCUAAAUAUGCAAGUCAUAAAAGAAAAUGAAAAUCAAAGAAAGUCUUAUAAACCCAUACAACAAACCUAAAUUAAAAAUCCUAAUUAAAUAUACUUUGUUGCUGCCGCUGCUAAUGCUGAUGGUGUUCGUGCUCGAGCUCGUGCCCGUGCCCGUGCUGCUGUCAUUGUUGCUGGUAAUGGUGCUGGUGGCGUUGGUGGUGGCUGCGGCUGCUGGUGGCGGUUGUGGUGCGGCUACUAGUGACUGGGUUUGUUUCAAUAAAUUAAAUGGGUUUUUGGAGGUGAAAUAUGCAAGAAUAUUUUGGAUUUAUUUGUCUAAAAAUAAUGAUUCCAUGUAUUUCAAAUAUUGUUGAUAAAAAUAGAUUAAAAAAUUGAAUAUUUCUUUCUACUUUUUUUUAGUGCAAUUUGGCCUUUUUCUUUCUUGAAAAGGAACUGUCCAUUCUAUUAACAAACAAAAUGCGUAGUGAUGUUUUAAAACCCAUCUUCCCAUCCAAACACAGAAAUUUAAAUGCCAAAUCAAAGGAAAGCUCAGGAAUAGAGAGUGGCCUUCCCAACCAAACACAGGAUAGCUCAGGAAUGGAAAUUUAAAUGCCAAAUCAAAGGAAUAGAACACUUGGCUGUUGAAAACUCGAAAUACCAAUGAAUUGCACGUAAUAUCAUGAUUGAUUGGCAAAAGCCGAGUAGUGUGAAAGGCUUACGUGGUUUCUUGGGACUUACUGGCUAUUUCCGAAAGUUUGUCCAGAAUUAUGGUACAAUUGCAUCUCCUCUUACAACUAUGUUACGCAUGGAUUCUUUCAAAUGGACAGAUGAGGUAGCUCAAGCUUUUUGAGCACUUAAAAAACUACUAUGUCCAGCACCCAACGAUCUUAAUGCAAGUAAGAGUUUGAAAAUUUUCGCUUACUGUUGCUACCCAAUUUUUAACCCAUGUUUUGAUAAAAAUAAUUUAAAAAAAAAUUAAAAAAAUAUAUAAAAAAUAAAAAAAAUAAGGAUUUACAUGUGACGAUAACAUAAAGCAUCAGGGUUAAGGAAGCAAUAUGUCAAGGAGAUAAUUAUUGAAUCAUAUACUAAGGAUCUCUCUCUGGCCAUACACUGUCCCCCCUCCCUUUCACCAGAACCCCCAUUCCCCUCUCGGUCGUUCCACCAUCGCCAUCUCUCCUCCAAAACGCAGCAGUUCCCCUCUCUGUUAGUCCCCCAUCUCCAUUCUUCCCUUGCAAAAGAACCCCAAUAAAGCCACAACCCCUUUCUCCUCUUACAUAUAGCCAACCAUUUUCCCCCGGACCCGUCAUAUCCAACCAUCCCAGCCUCCCUCAGCAGCCCUGGUUGUUACUCAAACCAGCAACCCAUGUACACUCACACCAUCUUCCCAAACCAUGACCACCAUCUCCUCCCGAACUAGUCUCCCUUGCAAAACCAGAGAACCCCAUUAAAGCCACAACCCCUUUCUGCUCUUACCCAUAGCCAACCAUUUUCCCAUGUCCCCACUCACAGCCCCGUGUCUUGCCCUCAUCAGAAUCUCCCUCUCUCGGCCAAGACCUCCCUUCCCAUCUCCACUCCCCUCAUUUCCCUUUCCUUUUGAAGUAAACCAGAAGAACCUGACUGCCGCCCCUCUGCUAAAGAAGAACACCAGAGAAACCCCUGGCCAGAUAUAUAGAACAGCCUCGUCUUCUCCACAGAAUAACCUCGUCUUUUCCUGACCAGAGAACGGGCUGCGCCAGCCCUUCACUCUCCCUUCCUCUCCGCUGCUAAUAGCAGCUCAUUACGGAGAAGAUGGAGAAAUAAGAGGGGAGGCCGAAGGACAGUACAGAAGGAGCAAAAAACCGAGACUCCAAGCACUACUAAAAAAUGUAGUAAUUAGCAACGGAUUACUCUGUUGCAAAUAAUACUAAACUCCGUUGCUAAAACAAUUUAGCAACGGAAUCAACAACAGCAAAUUUCAGAUGCAGAUUUAUCGUUGCUAAUUUUUUAGCAACGGAUUUAUCCGUUGCUGAUUUCGCAGCAACGAAAAUUCCGUUGCUUACAAUUAGCAACGGAUAAUCCGUUGCUAGUUUUGUGAAUCAGCAAUGGAUUGUCCGUUGCUGAUUGAUGAAUUAUUUACAAUCAGCAACGGAUUCUCCGUUGCUGAGUAUAUUAUUUUUAAUAAAUGAUUUAUUUAUUUAUUUAUUAAAAUGACUUUUAAUUUAUUUAUUUAAUUAUUUAUGAAUAUUUUAAAAGUUGUAGAAUAUAUAUAACCAACAUAAAUUAAUAUUAAAAAUAAUUGUAUUACUAUUACAAAAUGGAAUAAAAAUAAUAUCAUAUUAUAAAAAUUUAGUUAAACUUGCAUUAACACAAUUAAGUCGAAAUACAAUAAAAAAAAACACAACAAAAGAUACAAUCAUGGUGAUGGUUGCGAAGACGAACCAUGAUAUUGUGGAUCGACACAAGAUUGAUCAGGAUAUAGUGGUCGAGGUGUAGGUCGAUAAAUUGGUUGAGAUGUGGGACCCAUAGGUGUCAUUAUCUGGGGAGCCAUAGGUGGUGGCAUACUUUGGCCAAUAUUUGAUGUCCCAUCAUGGUAUCCAAGAUUAUUCACAAGAUAUUCUUUCAUGGAAUCCAUUUGCCGUUUCAUUUCAAGAAUAAAAUCAUCUUUUUUCUUUAUCUCCUCUUCUUUAUUCUUUAUCUCCUUUUGCAAUGCUCGAUACGAUGAACUGGGAUAUGAUGACUCCACCGAGUAGGAAUGUGAUGAAGAGCUUGUACUAACUAUAGAUUUUGGCAUACAAGGUGCACCAUAUACCCUACCCUUUGUAACUCCUCCUGAAGCCACACACCAAGCUGCUCCAUCAAAUGAAGGAUGAUUUUCCCGAUUAGUUCCGUACUUUGAAAUCAUCUCCAUUUUAUAAUUUUCCUACAAAUAAAAUACAUGCAACAAUAAAUUCAUUUGAAUGUUAAAUAAUACUUAAGUUAUAUUAAGAAAUAAUCAAAUAAAAAUACAUACAACCACUUUUUUAGACUUGUUGUCGACGAAGCUACCAGACUACUUAGUACUUUGAUGCAAAGCUGAAAAAACAUCAUCCCAUGGAAGUUGUUUUCCACCAGCUUCCUCUUGCUUUAAAGAUUAAUAAAUAUUAUAAAAGAUAAAUAUACAAAUUUUAAUUCAUUAUCUUAAGCAUAAAAAAAAAUCCUUACCAUGUUAGCUCGAUAUGAUGCAAAUGACACUGUUCCUCCAGAAUAAGUACUUAUUUUGCCAUCUGUUUCGGUUAAUUGAUUCCUCCUAGCAGAUUCAGACCUCCUUUGAAAUUCAGGGGUGAACCAAACAUCUUUGAUCAUUUGAUUCCAGUCAUCAUUGUUUAUCCAAGCAGGACCUUUAUCAAGGCAAUCUAUAAUAUUUGUAGUGUUUUCUUUUGACAUGGCUUUCUUGCGAGCUCGUGUCAAUUGUUGAUUCAAAGCUAUCCUAGCCUUAUCUUCCCAAAUAUUACGAACAAUCGACUCAUCUUCCUCAGGAAAGGAAUAUUUUUUCUACAAAAUAAUAUAUAUACCAAGUAAAAAGAGUGCAUAAAAUUUCAAAUUAUAUAAAUAAUUAAUCAUAUUGUGUUAUCUUGUUCAGAAUUUGCAAGAUGAUGUAAUAACUAAAGAAAUUAAAUGAUAUUAAAGAGUAAACAAGAAAUAAGAACAAAUUAUAACACAAAUCAGUCAUAGCUAUUCAGUUGAUAAUUUUCAUAAUGCUACAUUAAAGUGAUCAAAAUUGAAAAGAAUAUUAUGGCAAUUAGUGUUGGUUCUUACCUUAAACUCUUUAAAGAGUUCAUCCCUGCACAUUGAAUCUACUUUUUCCCAAGAGUGUCAUGCUCCCUUAAAAUUGAACCUCCAAAUAUCUCUGAUUGCACGUCCACACGAUGCGUUAUUGAACCUGAAAAUAUAUAAUAACAAACUUAUAUUAAACAAAUAAUUACACAAUAAUAAGUAAUUUUUUUCAUACUUGAAAAUAUAACCUUAAUAAGUUAGUUUUUAAAAGUUUGAACUUACUCUGUUGUUCCAUACAAACAAAGCUCUUUUUUUCUUGUUAUUGGAUCUUUUGGUGUGUCAAAACCCUUCCUUUUAACACUUUGAUCAUAAUUGUAUAGAGAAGAUGUUGAACCGUGAUAUGAUGGAACACCAUCUUGAUCCUCAUCACAUACACCUCUCUCAUUACUACCGUCUCCGUCAUCUUCAUCUCUAAUGUUCACAUCAUCAUCAUCAUCAUCACCAUCAUCACCAUCAACUCUCCCAUAACUCCUAUAUAAAUUAUGUCCUCCAUAAACAAGUUGGUUAUCUCGAGAGAAACCUUCUUGAGUUUGAAGCAAAUCUUGGAAACAAAAGCCCUCACAAUAUUGAUAUGCUUCAACCCUCCCAUAAUCAUGUUGAGGAGGGUGUGUACUCCCCAAAGUAGGUAUAUAAUACUCAUUUGCAUUCUGAUACACUGGUUGAUGAAAUGUGGAUCCUUUGUUAUUAUGCUUUGAUGUAGUUUGAAAUGAUUUGGAUGAAGUGGACCUGUCACUCCUUGAAGUGGACUUGUCACUCCUAGAAUCUAAUAUGGAUCCUCGUCGAGGCAUGCUAAAAACCAGAAAAAAUAUAUACAUUAUCAUAUGAAUAUAUACAGCAUAACAAUAAAUUAGCUCAUAGUUAAACUAUCAGGAACAAAAAAUUCACAAAUAUUUUCCCAAGACUACCAUAACUAGAAUGAAAACAAAUUGUUAAAUCUCAUUUUUUUCCCAAUUUAUUACAAACAAUAUCCAGUUUAUGAUGUUCAAAAUCAGUAUGGAUUGUCCACUUAAUAGCCAUCACUUCGAAAAAUAUUAUACUUCAAAUAAAAUAAUUACUGUAACAAAACCAAAUAUAUAAAUAACAUCAAGACAAUUUCAUUAAGCAUUCCUUGCAAUGAUAAAAAUCAGCCAUGAAGUUUAAAUUGUCAAAAGCCAAUUAACACAAACAAUAAUAAAAAUAAAAAUCUAAAUAAUUAAUUAAGCAGAAAUCAAAAUUUAUGAGUAUGCUUACCAUAAUGUUUGUUCCUAUAAAUCAAAACAUUGAGUAGGAAGAACCCUUUCAUUCAUGCUUCAGCAUCUAUAAGCAAGAAAACGAAUCACAAAAUAAACUAUAACAUCAGAAUCACAAUUUAAAGAUUGAUACUUGAAAGGUUAGAAAUGGUUUCAAAGGUCAAUGAAAAUGAUAUAUGUAAUGUGAUGCAUAACACACACUUGAAUAAAAUAAUAAAGAAAAAACAUUGAAAGCCUAAACAUUGUCAAAUAAUAUGAAAUCAUCCAUACAUAUAAUAAAGAUAAUUCAUUACAUAUACUACGAAAUAUAAUUAACUUGUGCUACUCAUUAUUAUCAUCACUCCUAACCAUCACCACCAUAACAAUCAUCCUCAUCACCAUCUUCAUCUUCUUCUUCACCAUCACCAUCACCAUCACCAUCACCAUCAUCAUCUUCUUCUUCAUCAUCUUCAUCAUCUUUGUUUCCCCAAUUUAUGUCAAGUUGAAGCAAUUCAUGUUGACUGAUUUCUUCAUAAUAAGAUGAUUCAACAAGUAUAUUUGGAUCAUCAAGUGUUUGAGUAGGAAGGACACGACAUGGUUGAGAAAUCUCAUCUGAUUGAUCAACAUCAAAUGAUCUCACAUUGUUGAAAUCUCAUCUGAUUGAUCAACAUCAAAUGAUCUCACAUUGUUGGCAUCUUCAAUAAAUUCACCCAUGUCAACAUUAUAACAACUUCUAGCAGUUGUCUUAAUAACCGUCCACCAUUAAGAUGAUUUAUUACCAGGUGGAUAUGUAUAGUAGACUUGUUGACAUUGUUGUGCUAACACAAAAUCUUCAUUUCCGUGUAGUCGAGAUGUAUGCUUGAUUUCAACCAAACCAUUCGAACGAUGCACUCUAAUCCCUCGUUUUGUAUCAUACCAAUAACAUUUAAACAUAAAUAACUUGCACUUACUCCCCAAGUAUUUUAGCCGAACAACUUCUUUAAGCAUUCCAUAAUAAUCACGUUCAUUAUCAUCAUAGCAACUUCCUUUCACACAAACUCCACUAUUCAUUGUCUUUUUAAAACGGCCAUAACGUUGAGUAUGAAAUUUAAAACCAUUCACAUAAUACCCAUUAUAACAUUUAACUGAAGUUGAAGGCCCAUAGCAAGUCCAAAGAGCUGAUUUUCAAUUCCGUUAGAUUGGUAUUCCACCUAGCAUAAUAGUUAACUCCAUAAUAAAUAAUGAUUUAAAAGAGAUUAAUAAUAUUUUUAAAGUAACUAAUUGAUAUAAAAUAUAAAUUAAUUUUAUUUAAAAACUUACAUUAUUUUUUAACCAAUUUGGAAAGAUCGCUUCGCAUAAUUUUUCAAUUUCACCAUCACUCGCAUGUGGUUGUUGUGACUUUAGCUCUUGACGACAUUGCCUAAAAUUUUAAAAUGUUAAAGUUAAUAAUAAAUUAUUAUAAAUUUAGUACAAAAUAAUAUUUCAUACUUACUCUAAAUAAGACUUCAGUUCUUGACAAUUGAAUAUCACAUAGUUAUGCACAAUUUGCAUUUCAGCAUGUGACAACUGCCUUCUAUAAAAUCUUUUGGAUAAUUUUUUCCCUGGAUAGGAAAAAAUAGAGAGACAUCUAUCUACACUUUUAAGGACACCAUCAUCAUUCCGUGGAACUCGAUUCCAAAUUGUUUGCACGUCAUCACCAAAAUAAUGAGAUGCAAAAUUGGUAAUUUCAUCAAUCAAGUAUGCUUCACAUAUGGAACCCUCAACUUUAGCUUUAUUGGUCACUUUCUUCUUCAAAUAAAACAUAUACCUAUAUCAUUUCUGUCAAUUAGUUUAUUUUUUAAAAAUAAAAAGGGAAUAAAAUUAACAUAGUAUGAAAACAUACCGUUCAAAUGGAUACAUCCAUCGAUAUUGAACUGGUCCACCAACUUUUGCCUCGUAAGGUAGAUGUAUCGUCAAGUGUUCCAUAGAGUCAAAGAAGGAUGGAGGAAAAAUCCUUUCAAGUUUGCAAAUUAUUUCAAUUAUAUUCAUCUGCAUUAACUCCAUGUGCUGGGCAUUUAAAUUUGUUGAACAAAUAUCUCGAAAAAAUACGGACAGUUCACUUAAUGCCUCCCAUAGUGGCCUAGGUAAGUAAGGUUGGAAAGCGGUUGGAAGAAGUCUUUGAAUGAAGACAUGACAAUCAUGGCUCUUCAUCCCCGAUACCUUACAUUGUGCCUCUUUCACACAUCGUGAAAUGCUUGAAGCAUAACCAUCAGGAAAUGAUAAUUCCUUCAUCCAUGACAAAACUUCUUGUUGUUGUUUCUUGUGUAAACAAUAAGUGCCUUUAGGUUUGUAAACCCGACCACUCAUAUCUUGUUGCAAAUGUAAAUUUGGCUUCUUACAAUACAAUUGAAUAUCCAACCUAGCCUUUAAAUUGUCCUUGCUUCUAUUAGGACAAUCCAUUACUGUAUAAAAAAUAUUGUCAAAGACAUUUUUCUCAAUAUGCAUGACAUCAAGAUUAUGACGAAUCAAAUUUGUAUGCCAAUAUAGAAGCUCCCAGAAAAUGCUCUUCUUCACCCAAUUGUUUUUAACACCAAAGCCAGGAAUUUUAUCAUUAUAUGAUGAACCUCCAUUAUGUCCCUCAGUAUACUUGGACACUUCGUUUAACAUUUCCAAACCAGAUGGACGAGGUAAAGGAGGGAGCCUUUCAAUUACUCCUUUCAAAAACUUAUCAGAUUGACAUCUAUAUGGGUGGUUAAUGGGUAGGAAUCGUCGAUGACAAUCAAAAAAUGUAGUUUUCCCUCCAUUUUUUAAUCUAAAAGCCUUGCUAUGCUCCAUACAAUAAGGACAAGACAGAUUUCCAUGAGUACUCCACCCCGAUAACAUGCCAUAUGCUGGAAAGUCACUAAUGGUCCACAUCAAAGCUGCCCUUAAUUGGAAAUUUUCCUUUCUGUAUACAUCAUAUGUUUCAACACCAACAGACCACAAAUUCUUUAACUCAUCAAUCAAAGGUCUUAGGAAAACAUCAAGCUUUUUACCCGGAUUCUUUGGCCCAGGAAUCAUCAUUGUCAAAAACAUGAAUGGUCUAGUCAUGCACUUCCACGGAGGCAAAUUAUAAACAGUCACAAUUACUGGCCAACAAGAAUAUGUAUUUGAAGACAUGUCAAAUGGACAAAACCCAUCAGUGCAUAACCCUAACCGAAUAUUUCUCGGAUCUGAUGCAAAGCUUAAGUGGACAUGAUUAAACUCGUUCCAUGCCUCCCCAUCAGAUGGGUGCACCAUAACCCCAUUAUCUGACUUAUGAAAAUGAUGUCAUGUCAUAUCUUUGGCAUGAUAUGGAGACAUGAACAGUCUCUGAAGCCUUGGUGUUAAGGGAAAGUAUCGGAGUUGCUUCUCCGCCUUAUUGGAACCUUUACUAGUUGGAUUUCUAGGUUUGUAUCGUGAACUUCCACAAAAAUCACAAUUUAUUUUCAUUGCAUCUGCCCCAUAGUACAACAUACAGUAAUUAGGACACAUAUCAUAUUUCUCAUAACCAAGUCCAAGUGGCCGAAUAAAUUUCUUGGCAUCAUAAAAAUUUGAAACCAAAUUUUCAUCAUUAGGCAUGCAACUUUUUGUAAAAUCAAUAAACUUGUUGAAGGCAUUCUGAGUCAAAUUUAAAGUUGAAUUCAUAUUAAGCAAUUGUACACAAGCAGAUAAUUUGGAUUGCUUGGUACACCCAUCCCACAACGGCUCCUCCGCAGCUUUCAAAAGCUUAAAAAAUUUAAUUGCCUCCGGAUUUGGAAUUUCCCCUGCUACCACAGGACUAGACACAUUAUCAUUAUAGAAUGCAUCACCAACCCCCAUUGCAUCCAUAACCAGAUUCCUAUAUGGAUUCUCUAGACAAACAUCAUUCACAAUGUCAUAACCCAAUUCUGGGUUAUUCCCCAAAAAUUCACUUUUUUUCAAAAUAAAAAUAAAAAAAAUAAAAUAAAAGGCUGGCAACGUGGAGAAAGCAGGCCGGGAAAUCAAGCUGCAAUUUUUGGAGGAAAUUCAAGGCCUAAUUGUACCCCAUUAUGCCAAAAAAUGGAGACAAAAUGCAAAUUCAAGGUUAAAUUAAAUGAUUAUUGGAUGAAUUUGCAUAAAAAUUAAGUCCAAUGACAUAAUUAAAUUUUUAAUAGGCCAAUUUGAUUUAAUCAUGGGCCAAAUUAAAUUUUAAUUAUGUUUAAGAAUUAAUUUGGGUCCAAUUGAAGGAUUUAAUUAAGUGCAAGGACUUAAUUAUACUUUAAAUGGGUCAAAUUAAUUUUAUUUGAGGCUUAGUUGGUGAAAAAUUAAGUUUGGGAGCCUAAUUUGGGCUUAAUUGAGAAGAUUUGAAUUUUAAGAGACCAAAUUUAAUUUUUACCAAGUUAAUUGAUUGAAAUCAGGGGCCAAAUUGCAAGAAAAUUGAAGUUUUGGGGUCAAUUAGGGGCUGGAUUGAAGAAAUUUGCAACCAAGGACCAAUCUGCAAAAGGCGCCACAAUUGAGGGGCUUAAUUGACAAAACCCGGGGUGAAAUUGAAAGUUUGAUGGUCAAUUAGGGGUUAAAUUGACAAAAUUCGAGACCAAGGACCAUAUUGCAAAAGGCGCGUAACUUCGGGGUUCCAAUUGAAGGUCAUCAGGGGCUUAAUUGCAAACGUUUAGGGUCAAUUAGGGGUUCAAUUGAAAGCAAUUGAAAGCGGAAGGACUGAAAUGAACUUUGGCCAAAACACAAUCCUGAACAGUAUUCAUUAUCUUCUUCUUUUUUCCCGGAAAAACGGGUUCAGUCACCUCCUUUGCAGGUGCAUUUAAUGCACCUAACGUCCACCAAAGUUGCCAAAACAUGCACGAAACUGAUCACCAGACAUCCCUCUACGUCGGGGUAUGGUCUUCACCGGCUCACUGGCAAAUAAACGGACGUGGCACCACCCCAAAGAGGCCAACUCAGGCAGCCUGCAGCUACAGAUUUGACAAUUUGACAGUGCACCAUGCCUACUUUGAGCCAACAGUUGGGAUCCUUCCCAUCUGAAUCAAGGGCUGAAAUUUUUCUCCAUUGUAGAAAGAUUGCCCUCUUCCACCGCCUAUAAAUAGAGGUGGAUUUUAUGGCCCGAGGGAGGAGAAAAUCGGGGCCAAAGUCAGCCAAAAAACCAGCCAUUUUCCCUUGUUUAUGCAAUUUUCUCUUUUUCCUCUCCCUCUCUCUGCACCGUGGCCUUCAGCCACCACCACCCUCUUCACCGGUCUUCCCACCAUCAACUACACCACAGGAAGCCAACACGACCACCAACCGACCACCAAGAGCCACCUUCGGUUUCUCUCUCCUCUCUGCAGCCCCUCCCGCGCGUUUUUUUUCUUCUUUUGAUUCCUCUGCCGCCGGCCACCAUCUCUCUCACAGCCUCAGCCAUCGUUUCUACCACCAACCGGCCACCAAGAAGCCACUGUGACUCUCUCCCCCUGCACGACCACAGGCCCUCACCGCCUCAGGUGGUUCUCCAUCCCUGCCAGUAGCAACUCCGGCGGCCAAGCUCACUGUUGCUGUCGCUGCAUGCAGAAUUCAUUCUGCAUGCAGCGACCAAAAUAAUUAACUUAGCUUUGGGCCGGGCCAGUUAUGACCCAGCCCAAGUGGCUGGGUCUGGCCCGGCCCCCAUUAAAAAAAAUUCAACAAAUUUCAAAAAUCAUUUUUUAAAAAAAUGUGAUUUUCUCAAAUAUUUUUCUACCAAUUUUGCAUAAUAUCGGGUUGUAUAUUUACAUUGUAAAAUACAACUCCGGUAUUAAAAUACCCAGGUUUCUACGAAAUAUUUCAAAAAAAAUAAUAAAAUUUCAAAAUGGUUAGGAUUUAACCUGAUAAGGUAGAGACUCUCUCAUGAAGAGAGAUCUGCCUUGAGCCUUAGAAAAGACCAACGAAUAGAAACCUGACUUAGAAAAAACAAUCAAAUAACAAUGCAGCUUACCUUAGGUAGGGUGCACUAGGGGUGAUGCGUCUUCCCCUUGCACAACCAGUCCCUUACCCAGACUCUCGCAGACCAUAGGUUCCUAGUGACCAUAAUACUAGAUGGCGACUCCUAAAAAUUAAUCAUAAUUUUAUGAUUAAAUCCAAAAACCCUUCCCAACACAACACCCCUCAUCAGGAGGCACGACAGAGAGUCUCCGCCGUCGCCAGACGACGUCGCGCCCCCCGCGACAGGAUGGCGACUCCACUAGGGAUCACCUUGUCUGGUCGGACUAAGCUUUGCUUGUUUGCCUUUUUGUUGGUCUUUAAUUUUAGCUCGCAUUUUCACUGCUUUAGCAUGCAUUUUAAUUUUGUGAAUAAACCCAAUCUAGGUUAGGUGGGGAGUAGCGGUCUGCCUCAUGACUUUCAGUCGGGAUUCAGAUUCGUGAAACAUCCAACUAUGAGCUGAGUGUUUACUCGGCAAUGGCGGUCACACUGUGCCCCAACCAUUCCUUGUAAACCCCUAUACUACCUUCAUGUGAGGUGGUCACUGGGCAGUUCAUUGACCCUUUUAAGACCAGGUAGAAAGCCUACCCAUCAUGUAAUGACCUAGAACCUUCCUUUAGAGCAUGAACUCCCUACAUGUUCAUUCUACAUGGGUUUUUGCCAUUCAUCCCCAAUAUGCAUGUACAUACAUUUGCAUCCACACACAUACAUCCAUCUAUUGUAAAAAACAUACAUACAUGCAUCAAGUUGAAAUAUAGGUCCUCGAAGAGCUUACAACACCCGACUCCGAGCAAGAAACAUGGAAGAUGAAGAGCGUGCUCACCGUGACGCCCAUUUCCAAGAAGAGUUAGAGUCUCUAAAAGCAAGUGUGGCUCGCCUCACUAGCUUACUCGAGCAAACACUUAGAAAUGUCUCUGGUGAAGGUCCUUCCAACCGACUUGCUAUUUUUGCUCAGCCUCCAGCAAUAGCUCAACUCGAAGAAACAAUGAGUGAACAUGGUGAAGAACCUACACCUAAUCCAGCAUUUGUCCACGCAAUGCCACCGGCACCAACCCCUGCAGUCAUAGAUCCAUUUGCCAAUGAGUCCCACAAGACCAAGUCAUCCAAUGGCAUUGAUCAAGAUAAGAUGGCGGCGUUAGAAACCCAGAUUAGAGCCAUUGAAGGGGUAGACUUGUACGAUCCAGUACUGGCAGCAGGAAUGUGUCUGGUCCCAAAUGUGGUUGUCCCGAAAAAGUUCCGUGUUCCUGAAUUCAUCAAAUACACUGGAACACAAUGCCCCAUAACUCAUUUAAAAUCCUACUGCAACAAAAUGGCAGAAGUAAUACACGAUGAAAAACUACUGAUGCACCUUUUCCAGGAUAGCUUAAAUGGGGCGACAUUAAGUUGGUACAUGAGAAUCCGCAAAUGGAAAGACUUGGUGGAUGCUUUUGUGAAGCAAUACAAGUACAAUAUGGACAUCACUCCUGACAGAACUAGCUUGUCCAAUCUUGAAAAAAGGGAUAAAGAAAGCAAAAGAGAAUAUGCUCAAAGAUAGAGAGAUCUAGCUGCUUAUGUGCAUCCCCUGCUUUUGGACAAAAAGAUGGUCACUCUGUUUGCCAACACGCUCAAGGACCCAUACUAUGAGCAUGUGAUGGGUAGUUUGGCCCAACAAUUUACUGACGCUGUGGCAGUAGCUGAGCGUAUAGAGCAAUGAGUCAAGAGUGGUAGAAUUCCUGUGCCAACUAUGGAAAAAAGGGGCUUCGAAGGUAAAAGGAAAGAGGUUGACUAUGUUGAGGGUAACUAUAGGGGUAGGAAGAACCCAUUCCAAAAAUACCACACUCCAUCCUCUUCACCCCAAAUCGCCAACAUCAAUUUCAACUCUUCUUUUACUUCCAGAAAACCUGAGCCUCAAACCAAACAACAAAGAGUCCAGGAACAACUACCUCCAUUACCGCUGCCCUUAAAUAAGAUGUACCAAAAGCUACUGAGCAUUGGGCAAGUAGCUCCCGAACCUCUCACGCCUCUACAACCACCUUACCCCAACUGGUACAAGCCCGACCUCACUUGCGAGUACCAUGCUGGCGCUGCGGGACACAACAUCCAUACCUGUAGUGCCUUUAAAAAGAGGCUCAUGCAUUUGAUCAAAGCUGGGUGGAUAACAUUCGAAGGAACUCCAAACGUGAGUUUGAACCCUCUACCCAAUCAUGCUUCAGGUACUGGAUCAGUGAAUGCACUGGAGGCAGAAUGCUCUGGAAACCUCAAAGCAUCGAUGGCAAGAGCAAAGUGUGAAAAAGGAAGUGUGCACACUCGAGGAUAGAGGACAAAGUUCUUCUAUAGAAUGGGAAGAUGGAGCCUACCCAAUUAUUUCCUUUUGUUUGAUCAUGUUUGUUUCAACAUGUUUUAGUCUUGUUAACAAUUCAGCUUAUAAUGCCACAAGACUUUCUCUGUCAAAUGAGCCUUUCCUGUUAAUAAAAUCAUGUGUUUUCCUGUGUUCAUGAUGUGCCUUCAUGCAAAUAACAUACUGAACACACCUUCUACUCACAAAACCACUACACCAAGAAUUCUUUGGUGUUUUCCCUUUUUUUUGUCUCCAAAAAAAAAAAGCAUGACCCCAUGUUUUCACAAGGAUUUUUGGGAAAUCAAUGUUUUAAUACAAAAACAAAAAUCAAAUUGGUGUUUGUUUUGAUAAACAAGUUCUGAAAAUUCAAGUGAUAUCCUAACACCUAUAAAAAACCUGAAAGACAACCCAAACACCAUGAGAUAACUUCAAAGCUGAGUUUUGAUUGCAUGAAUAAUGAGAAACCAUUUUACAUAUUCGCAUGUGAGAAACCAAAGCUUGCCGAUUCUGAAUGCAUGCAUUUGAAAUGAAGAAAGGCCAUCUUUGAUAAUCCUUUCACAAAUUCUAAGAAAUCCCUUGUAGUCCCCUUUUGAGCCUAAUAACUUUUUCUUGAAAACAUAACCUUGGCUAGGAUCACACCCUACACUGGGGGGCAAGUGAAAAAAAAAAUCCUUAAUUACUAAAAGUGCCCGAACAACCCUGGGGGGACAUGAAAAAGUCCUCAACAAUAAAAGUGCCCAAACAACACUAGGGGGGCAUGAAAGAAAAUCCUCAAUGUUCAAAAGUGCCCAAACAAAGCUGGAGGGCAUGAAAGAGUUCCAAAAUGAUUUGAGCGUACCACAAAAAUCACUAAUAUAAUGAUGCUCAAAACCAAAAGAAGAAAAAGCCCAACAUUGGGGGGGGCACCAUGGACCAUUUUGCAAAUCCAUUCCAAGGUCUAGAAAGUCAUGGACCAAAAAAAGAGUUUGGGGUAUAAGCACUAGUGAUCCUUUGUCUUAAAGUCCCUAAACACCUUUUGAGCCUAUAAAUAUCCUUUUUCUUCAUAGCCAAGAGCCGAAGCCUACGUUACGUGCCCAAUCAAGCCCUUUCUGAUCAAAGGCAAGAAAUUUGGAUCGGCAGGCUUUGCUUUUCCAUGUGAAACAAGUCAUUAUUCAUGCAAGCAAAAUGAAUGCUUUGAAAACUAGUUCUUUGAACCCUUCAAAUUGAAGCUUGAACCAUUUUGACCAAUCAAACAUCACUUCACUCAUGCAAACCUAUCUAUGAGAAUCGCUUGAAUUUUUCAGAACAAGUUUGUUUUGAACAAACAUCAAAAUGUUUUUUUGGAAUAGCUUUGAAAUUCCAAAAAUUCUCCGUGAAAACAACUGCUUGUAAAUAACCAAAUCUUCUUCCACAUAGCCUCAUCUCCAAGGAAAACCCAAAUUGAACACUUGGAGACAUGAUCAAACUGGGGGGCAAUCUGACAAACAUAUAAGGCUGACUCCAUGAUUCCCCUUAUAAGAAAACAUGAGAUAUAGUGCAUAGCUGGCAAUCCUUCAGAUUAAGGUUUGUGGACAAAGAUGUAUGCUGAUGUCAUAUCCCUUCUAGGGGUCAAGAUCACAAGAUAUGACUCGAGUAAGCAAGAGCGAAAAGAGCCAUCAAAGCUUACUAUCAGAGACUCAAACUUUUGAGAAAAAGGAAAACUCCAUGAAGAAAAGGGGACCUAUAUUUCUCAGGUAAGUAUACAUGCAUAUUGAUCAUGAUGCAUUACUUUCAUCCCUGAUAGAUCAGUGUCUCAUCGUCACCUUUUUGAGCGGGCUGUUGAGUCCUCAUCAUGUAGAUAGUGUGCUUCUAGCCCUAUCUUCCUUCUCUUUGAGUGCGCCCUCGAGCCAUCAAACAUCCCAGCUGGUGCACCUUUCAACCCUGCCCCCUUUUGAGUGUGCCUUCGAGCCCUCGACCCCUUGGGUAGUGUGUUUUCUAACCCUACCUCCUUUCGAGUGCACCUUAGAGCCCUCGACCACCUUAGAUAGUGUGCUUUCUAGCCCUAUCUCCCUUUUUAGUGCACCUUAGAGCCCUCAACCACUUUGGGUAGUGUGUUUUCUAACCCUGCCUUCUUUCGAGUGCGCCUUAGAGCCCUCGACCAUCUUAGGUAAUGCGUUUCCUAACCUUACCUCCUUUUAGUGCGCCUUCGAGCCCUCACCUCAUGGGUAGUGUGUUUUCUAACCCUGCCUCCUUUCGAGCGCGCCUUUGAGCCCUCACCUCAUGGGUAGUGCGUUUUCUAACCCUACCUCCUUUCGAGUGCACUUUUCAGCCCUCGUUCCCCUUCGAGUCCUAUAUCUUUUCAAACGCUCCUUUGAGCUCCCGUCUCUUGAAUAGUGCGCCAUCGAGCCCUAUCAUGUCAUUCCUUCAAGACAUUUCAUUUUUUUUCACAUAGGUAGGUCACCCAUCAUAAUCAGACCUCUUUGAAAACCCUUUUCAUCUUCUAUUUGGGCCGGUUACCCAUUACAAUCUUUUGAGAAAUCCAUGCAUUUCUCACCACCUUUAAAAUCUUCAAUUUGGGCUGGUUGCCCAUUACAAUGAAACCAUUUUGAGAAAUCUUUGCAUUUCGCACCACUUUGAAAAAUCUUUGUAUUUUUCACAACUUUAAAAAAUCUUCGUGUUUUUCAUCUGAGCAGGUCGCCCAUUACAACAAGAUCACUUUGAAAAAAUUUUACAUUUUUUACAACAUUGAAAAAUCUUUGCAUUUUUCACAACUUUGAAAAAUCUUCGUGUUUUUCACCUGGGCAGGUCCCCCAUUACAACAAGAUCACUUUGAAAAAAUUUUACAUUUUUUACAACGUUGAAAAAUCUUUGCAUUUUUCACAACUUUGAAAAAUCUUCGUGUUUUUCACCUGGGCAGGUCCCCCAUUACAACAAGACCACUUUGAAAAAUCUUCGUAUUUUUCAUCACUUUGAAAAAUCUCUGUAUUUUUCAUCUAUUUGAAAAAUCUUCAUGUUUUUCACCUGGGCAGGUCGCCCAUUACAACAAGACCACUUUGAAAAAUCUUUGUAUUUUUCACCGUUUCGAAAAAAUCUCCGAAAAAUCUUUGCGUUUUUCACCCGGGUAGGUCACCCAUUACAAUAAGACCACCUCAAAAAACUUUUUUUAAUUUUCUCUGGGUAGGUCACCCAUGACAAUUCGACCAUUCCAAAAUCUCAGAAUUUGCAAAAGAAAAUCUUCCAGAUUUUACUCUGAGUGCGCUUUCUAGCCCUCAAAAUGAUUCAUCAUUUCUCAAUAUGAUGAGUCCAUCAUCUUUCAUUCUUCUUUUUCUUUACAACGCUUACUACCUAAAGUCUCUUACGAGACUUUCUAUCGUAAACAUUGUAAAGAGGGGGGCAACUGUCAUAACCAAAUUUUGGGUUAUUCCCCAAAAAUUCACUUUUUUUCAAAAUAAAAAUCAAAAACAAUAAAAUAAAAGGCUUGCAACGUGGAGAAAGCAGGCCGGAAAAUCAAGCUGCAAUUUUUGGAGGAAAUUCAAGGCCUAAUUGUACCCCAUUAUGCCAAAAAAUGGAGACAAAAUGCAAAUUCAAGGUUAAAUUAAAUGAUUAUUGGACGAAUUUGCAUAAAAAUUAAGUCCAAUGACAUAAUUAAAUUUUUAAUAGGCCAAUUUGAUUUAAUCAUGGGCCAAAUUAAAUUUUAAUUAUGUUUAAGAAUUAAUUUGGGUCCAAUUGAAGGAUUUAAUUAAGUGCAAGGACUUAAUUAUACUUUAAAUGGGUCAAAUUAAUUUUAUUUGAGGCUUACUUGGUGAAACAUUAAGUUUGGGAGCCUAAUUUGGGCUUAAUUGAGAAGAUUGGAAUUUUAAGAGACCAAAUUUAAUUUUUACCAAGUUAAUUGAUUGAAAUCAGGGGCCAAAUUGCAAGAAAAUUGAAGUUUUGGGGUCAAUUAGGGGCUGGAUUGAAGAAAUUUGCAGCCAAGGACCAAUCUGCAAAAGGCGCCACAAUUGAGGGGCUGGAUUGAAGAAAUUUGCAGACAAGGACCAAUCUGCAAAAGGCGCCACAAUUGAGGGGCUUAAUUGACAAAACCCGGGGUGAAAUUGAAAGUUUGAUGGUCAAUUAGGGGUUAAAUUGACAAAAUCCGAGACCAAGGACCAUAUUGCAAAAGGCGCGUAACUUCAGGGUUCCAAUUGAAGGUCAUCAGGGGCUUAAUUGCAAACGUUUAGGGUCAAUUAGGUGUUCAAUUGAAAGCAAUUGAAAGCGGAAGGACUGAAAUGAACUUUGGCCAAAACGGAAUCCUGAACACUAUUCAUUAUCUUCUUUUUUCCCGGAAAAACGGGUUCAGUCACCUCCUUUGCAGGUGCAUUUAAUGCACCUAACGUCCACCAAAGUUGCCAAAACAUGCACGAAACUGAUCACCAGACAUCCCUCUACGUCGGGGUAUGGUCUUUACCGGCUCACUGGCAAAUAAACGGACGUGGCACCACCCCAAAGAGGCCAACUCAGGCAGCCUGCAGCUACAGAUUUGACAAUUUGACAGUGCACCAUGCCUAUUUUGAGCCAACGGUUGGGAUCCUUCCCAUCUGAAUCAAGGGCUGAAAUUUUUCUCCAUUGUAGAAAGAUUGCCCUCUUCCACCGCCUAUAAAUAGAGGUGGAUUUUAUGGCCCGAGGGAGGAGAAAAUCGGGGCCAAAGUCAGCCAAAAAACCAGCCAUUUUCCCUUGUUUAUGCAAUUUUCUCUUUUUCCUCUCCCUCUCUCUGCACCGUGGCCUUCAGCCACCACCACCCUCUUCAUCGGUCUUCCCACCAUCAACUACACCACAGGAAGCCAACACGACCACCAACUGACCACCAAGAGCCACCUUCGGUUUCUCUCUCCUCUCUGCAGCCCCUCCCGCGCAUUUUUCUUCUUCUUUUGCUUCCUCUGCCGCCGGCCACCAUCUCUGUCACAGCCUUAGCCACCGUUUCUACCACCAACCGGCCACCAAGAAGCCACUGUGACUCUCUCCCCCUUCUCCUUCCAGCGUCUCUCUCUCAUCUGCAAACUUCUUCUUCCUGCGCAGUAGCAACUCCGGCGGCCAAGCUCUCCAUCAACGCCGCCACCAGCCUCUCCACCAGCACGACCACAGGCCCUCACCGCCUCAGGUGGUUCUCCAUCCCUGCCUUGCAUCAACCGCCCCUGUUGCUCAUUGCUGCUGUCGCUGCAUGCAGAAUGAAGCGACCAAAAUAAUUAACUUAGCUUUGGGUCGGGCCAGUUAUGACUCAGCCCAAGUGGCUGGGUCUGGCCCGGCCCCCAUUAAAAAAAAUUCAACAAAUUUCAAAAAUCAUUUUAAAAAAAAAUGUGAUUUUCUCAAAUAUUUUUCUACCAAUUUUGCAUAAUAUCGGGUUGUAUAUUUACAUUGUAAAAUACAACUCCGGUAUUAAAAUACCCGGGUUUCUCCGAAAUAUUUCAAAAAAAAUAAUAAAAUUUCAAAACAUUUUCAAAAAGAAAAAAUAUUUUAUUGCAUACGGCCAAAUCCUAAAUGUUUUUAAAGCAUAUCUUCAUAAAAACAAAAAUUGCAUCUUUUUCAUGUUUAAAAAAAAUAAAAAAUGGAUAUCGUAACCAGUUUAUGAUUAUCCAUUAGGAUUUGACCAACAUGUCAAAAAUCUUUUUCCAAUCUUUUUUUUUAGGAUCCAAAUAUAGACUUUAAUAUUUGUGAGGUGUAAAAUUACACGAUAAAGUACACCCUCAAGUAUUAAAGAUACAAGGUGUAAAAACACGAUGCUAAAAUUCAGACUUUAGAAUGGUUAGGAUUUAACCUGAUAAGGUAGAGACUCUCUCAUGAAGAGAGAUCUGCCUUGAGCCUUAGAAAAGACCAACAAAUAGAAACCUGACUUAGAAAAAACAAUCAAAUAACAAUGCAGCUUACCUUAGGUAGGGUGCACUAGGGGUGAUGCGUCUUCCCCUUGCACAACCAGUCCUUUACCCAGACUCUCGCAGACCAUAGGUUCCUAGUGACCAUAAUACUAGGUGGCGACUCCUAAAAAUUAAUCAUAAUUUUAUUAUUAAAUCCAAAAACCCUUCCCAACACAACACCCCUCAUCAGGAGGCACGACAGAGAGCCUCCGCCGUCGCUAGACGACGUCGCGCCCCCCGCGACACACAACAUGACUAAUUCCAAUCGAUGAAGGUCCAGCCAAUAUUGGUUCUGCGAGAUAAGGCUCCCCAUGUACAGUCCAAUUUUCAUAACAAGGUAAAAAACCUUUUGUCAAUAGAUGUUUACAAACAUCAUCUUCCUUUAAAAACUUUUGAUUUUUGCACCUCCCACAAGGACAUCUAAUUUUUCCCCCAGAUAUAUUUUUAUCAAUUGAAAAUGCAAAAUUGAUAAAUCUUCUAACACCGGUAAUGUAUUCAGGACAAAGGCGACCAUCCAUAAGACGACGAUACAUCCACGAUCAGUCAUCCAUGUUAAUCUAGUUAACAUGAUAACACCAAUAAGCAUUUUUAGAAAUAAGCAUACUUCUUUAACUACUAGUACUUAAACAAUCCUUUAAAAUAAAAUAUAUACCACAUAAAUAAACUUUAAUUAUUUGUCCAGCUCACACAUAUAUCAAGCUAAAAAAUGUUAAUGAUUGGAUAUAUGCACAUGUGUUUGUAAGAACUUGGAUAACUUUUUUCUUCUACUUUUUGUUAUAUGUUUAUUUUAAAGCGGUAAGAUUUCUAAUUAUGCAAGAAACCUAUUGAGUUUUUAAUUAUAUAGGUUGUUUAGUGUGACAAUAUGAGUGUGUGAGGAAUUCCCAUUGCCAUGGUGAUGCUUUAUCACCCAUGGUCAGAAUACGUGAUUAAUAACACAUUCACAGCUUGAAAAUAAAGUUUUGUUUUAUUUUAAUCACAGCUUGGUUCAACUGCAAUUGGUUUAAAGACCGAUUGUACUGUUUACCUAAUAAGUGGGUCUCUUUUACUUUUACUUUUUCUAUUUAAUUUUAAUUUUAAUUUUUAAUCAAAGUCUCCCUUCCCUUUGCCUCCAAGAUGGAAGUACAAAAGGACCAUCCAUCAUUUCACCAGGAAGGUGGAGGGGAUUUACCCUACGUUUUUGCUCAUUGCUUUAAAUAAAUCUUAAUAAUUUUUAUUUAUAUUUUCUAACUAGUGACAAAAGUACACUUUUAGAUUAUGUUCUGUUAGUAUUUUAUACAGAAUAAACGGAUAAAGACAAAAAAAUAUUUAGUUAAAAAAAUAUUAAAUAAAUUUAUCUUUAUAGUAGUUUUGGAGUUCAUUUUUUUUAUUGGUCCUUCUAACUUUUGUUACCACCUCAAAUAGUUUUUUUUUAUUUGAAUCCUUUUAUUUUUAUUGGAUCCAUCAAACUUUUUUAUUUUUAUUCGAAUCUUUUUUUGGUAAACUAAGAAAUGGUAGAUGAAAUCAUAAACAUGCGAGGUAAUACAAGAUUAAAGAAUUUUUUUUAUUUUUUUAAAAAGAUGAAAAUGCAAUAUAAAAAAAAAAUUAUUAUGGGUUACAAUAGUUACUCACAUUUGUAUAUUUGUCUCUUAAUCAUAUACAUUAUAUCUAUCUUUUAUGUCGUAGUGAAAUAAUAAUUAUAAUACUGGUGGAUGAAAAUAUAAAUACCUUUGUUUUAUAAAUUCUUUAGGCACAGUCCAAUUUAGUUAAUUUCAUGUACUAGUAGAUUUGUUGCCUUCUUUCUUCUCUUAAUACGUAUGGAGCAUAAUAUUAUUGUUAAUUAAUUGACAUGAGCAGACCGUAAGAGAAAUGAUGUCUUCUCAAUCUCAACGUCACAGUAUGUUUCAAGACUUGACAAGUAGCACGACAUUUAAAUUUGCAAUUAAUUGAUAUAUUAUUCAGCCACCUCUAUGUUUCAUUUUGGUCUCAUAAUUUCCAUCCAAAAGAAACUCAAUAUCAGAUUUAAUGAAAGAAAAUCAUUCAAUUAGUUUUCUUAUACAAAUUAUCAAUAUUAUCCCAAUGAAAGGCAGAGUUCCAAUUAAUUCAAAAGGUUACAAUAGGCAUGCCCAACAGAAAAAUUAUGCAUGAUAUAAUUAAGCAACCAUGUAAAAAUGGAGCAAAAUAGACUUACCUAAGCCCCAAGAAUCAAUGGCCCAAGGUGGAGGAUUUCUUAUUGCAACCCAAUCAGAUUUAGCCAACUCUAUUGGAUUAUAUUGUGAUCCAAUAAGCCAUUCAAAUUGCUGGAAAAAUAAAAAACAUAAACAGUAUGUUAAACCCAUCAAGUUAUAACAAUUGCUAGUCUUUAAAACAAAUCCAAGUUAAACUAUGAAAAACAGAAAGCAUAUCCAAGUUAAAGUAUGAAUUUUUAAUAUUUUUUUGGCACUUGUCUUCUCAUAACAAAUAUUUUUUUCAUUUAAGAUCUAACCUGAAAAAUUUCAUUUAAUUUAAUAACAAGGAACUAACUUAUAGUUUUAAAAAAUUAAAUUAUAAUUUACUCUAAUUAUUAUCUCUUAAAACCUAUAACUUAAUAGGAAUUUUUAUGGUUAGGACAUAAUUUUUCUACAAAACCAAGCCUUUGCAUAAAAGGAAAUUCCAAUGAGAUGCUUUUAGUUCAAAGAGCAAAACAACAAGGUACAAAAAGCAUAGCACAAACAACUUAGCUGUAAAUAAACCUAGCUAACCAAAACAACAAUUACUGCAUAAUCCAAAAGAGCAGCUGUGUGGGAAUAUAAAAAACGAUAUGGUGUAAAUUAUAAAUAAGAAGGAAUCACAGAAAAAAAAAUUCUUCAAUUAAUAAAAUUGAUUACUAGCCAUUUCAUCAAUUCUUGAACUGCUAAAACAUAAAACCAGCACAACAAUCAUCAGUUCAUCUUUAUAAGGUAAAUUCACUUACUGUUUGAUAAUAAGCAUCCAUUCCUUCACUGUCUAACAGUAAGAAAUUGUACUGAGUUCCAUCAAGGGCAGUUCUCUUUAACGGUGCACUCCACAACCAAAGUCCUUUUGUACAUGGCCGAUGAGUGGAUGCUACUUGAAAUCCACUACUCUUGCCAAGAAGCUACAAUACACAAGUCCACCUCUUAGUUAAUAACUGACACAUGAGGUCAGUUGCAGAAAUGGAAUGUCAUAACAAAUAACUCUAAAAUAAGCUUCAACAAACAAAAUUCCAGUAGACAUUCAUUGAUAAAUCUACUAGUGUACAUCUUAGGUAAAGGAAUUGUGCAUAACAUCUUAAACCCAUCAAGUUAUAACACUUGCUAGUCUUUAAAACAAAUCCAAGUUAAAUUAUGAAAAACAGAAAGCAUAUCCAAGUUAAAUUAUUAAUUUUUAAUAUUUUUUUGGCACUUGUCUUCUCAUAAUAAUUUUUUUUCUUCUAUGAUCUAACCUGAAAAAUUUCAAUCUUGAACAUUAUUCAUUUUGAAAUUUUAAAAUUACUAACAUUUAAUUUAUAACAAGGAACUAAUUUAUGGUUUUCAAAUACAUAAUGACUAACUUAUAAAAUCAUAAAAAAAUGCAUAGACUAAAGUAUAAUUAACUCUAAUUAACAAUGGUAGCAGAUGUAGAAAAUGGUAACAGUUUGUAUAAAAACAGUAAAUGACAUGUAGAAAAAUUGCAUGAACAAAGGAAGCUGGAUGCAUUAAAUGAUAUUCCAUGUAAAUGACAUAUGGUAUAAGAGCACAAGACCUCAAAAGGACAAAGCAUUAAGGAGACCAUAUUAAAUAAUAGUAAGAACGCAACACACCGCUUUCGUGCCAAGAAGAACCCAAAGGCUGAAUAAUUAUUGAGGAAGAUAACUUGAUGCCACGCUUAAAAACCUAAGCCAUCAUAUUGAACAAAGUCAUGUCAGGACCUAGAAAGUAAAAAAAAAAGCCAAAUAACAAAGCAAGCAUUAGGUACUAUAACAAAAGGAGUAAAUAUUACAGAUUUUUAUCCAAAAUUCAAUAGCUGAAGCAUUCAUGUAGAUGAAUUAUUUAGCGAGUUCCAAACUCCCUAUUAUAUCUAGAAUGCCUUUAAGUUGAAAAAAAUAAAAUAAAAAAAUAGUUAAAUUAAGGAAAUUUUUAAAAACAGAGAAAGAAUAUUAAAAAAAAUAAAUGAAAUUAAAUAGUGAAAUUACUAUAUUUCAUGUACUAAAAAAUCAUGUCCCAUUUCUUACAUUAUUUCUCUAACUUUUUUAAAUUCUCAAUGUGACUAUCAUAUUAAAAUAUAAUUAAGAGCAUUUUAGAUUAAAAAAAAAUAGUUAGGGUUUGGGAUCCUGCAUCCUUACGGGUGGGUUGCUGGUCUAGCUAGGCAAGGUGAGAAUAAUGGACAUUAAUUAGGGGGAAGGAAGGAUUAAAAAGAAAAAUUAGAUGCCAUCUAACAUUUUUAGCUGAACUGAAUUAAAAGCCUGCCACCUAAACCAUUUGGUGAUCAAUAACGUUUCCAAAUCAUGCAUGCUGACCUCAAGAUAGGACAAUCAACUGAAAACAGACUACAUAUAUAGCUAAUGUGGGAAAUUAACUUAUCACCAUGCAAGGAGGAGGCAACCAUGAAUUCUAACCUCUUUCAUUACACAAUUCUGCUACUUAUAUAUAUAACAAGUAAAACAACAAGAAAAAAAAAGAAUGAAUGAAGAUACAAAAAUAAAACAGCAAUCUUAUUAACGAAACACAACAUCAACAAGCAAGUUUUCUUAUAUAUAUAUAAGCAUAUGAAUACAUGCAAAACACCUAGGUGUCGGCGCACAGGAGGACAAAAAGACUUGCAGACAUCAAAGAACACCCAGCAUCAAUAAGACUACUUGUUAAAAAUUAAAUUGGGGGUUUUGAUAAAUUUUCAAUUAAACAUGCAUAAUUUCCAUCAAUCACUCUCUUCCAGACACAUGAAUUGCCAGCAUUGGUCCAGUUGCAUAAAAUCAUUCAAUUUAUGAACCGUAACCCUAAAAAUUAAUUUGGGGGUUUUGAUAAAUUUUCAAUUAAACAUGCAUAAUUAGGUUAUAAAUCAUGGUAAAAACAAUUCAUAAACCUUAUAUUAUCGAACUAAUAGACUAAAACUAUUAUUCAAAGUAUCGAAAAAAAAAAUUGUUACAUGUGUUCUUCAGUUACAGGUGAGGGAGAUGGAUCUACACGACAGAAUAACACCUGAGAUUGGGAAAGUUAGGCUAGAACUGUUUAGUGUAACUUAAAUUGCAACAAAGAAAAUAAAAACCCUAAAUUAAUUACCUGAGCUAUUGAAGAAAAGAGUGCAAAACCCAACCCGUUUACAAGGAGAAGGGGUAAAUCAGGAUGUUCGAUGGUGACGAUGAUGGGUCUGGUGUGAUGUUGCCAUGAGUCUAUGUUUUUGGUGGUUUACAGAGAAAUAUUAAAACUGUUAAGAUGAAGGAGAAGAAGAUGAAGAAAAAAAAUUAGAGAUGCUGAAGACGAAUGUGAAGAUGAUGAACAGUUUGGGAUAAAGGAAAAUCAAAUCGAUGAAGAGAGGGUGAUUUUUCAACAGUUAUGGAUCGAUGUUAUUAGGGACGAAGGAUAUACUGGAAGAGUGGAAGUUAAUUAAUUUUCAGCUGUAAUUGGUUUUGUUGGUCUCUAUAUUUCGGUGUGGGGGAAGAGUACUGGUGGAGAGUACUGGUGAGCGAAAAUAAACGGUUCAGAUUUUAUCAUAAUAAGUGUAAUCAACGAUCUACAUAAUUUUGGUUUUAUAUUAAGAUUUAAAUAUUUAUUUUUUCAAUUAGCAACGGAAAAUCCGUUGCUAAAUUCAACGUAAAGUUUGCAACGGAUUUUCCGUUGCUAAAGCCUGUUGCUAAUAUUAAAAAAAUAAUAUAUGUGUAAUCCGUUGCAAAUCUGUUGCUGAAUUGAGCAACGGAAUUAUCCGUUGCUAAAUUCAGAUGCUAAUAGCCCCUGUUUUUAGUAGUGAAGGGCGCCGAUCUUUUGCCAUGCUAGCAGAAGACUUUCCUCCACCUGUGAACGAGACGACAACACUAUGAGCAGCAAUAAGCAAGAGCAGCACAGUAGCAGGGAUCCUUCCUCCCAAAGCGGCAAACAGCAACCCGGCCAAGCCUGCUGGGUUCAGCCCAGCCACAUGGGCCGAGCUGGACCCAGUCCAAAAAAACGAGUAAUAUCGUUGGUUUUCUCGUGUAUUUAGUUUAUGGUUUGUAUUUUUUUUUUGUUGUGGAAAUACAAAUCUGGUAUUAAAAUACCCGGUUUUCCACGAAAUGUUGCAAAUAUAUAUAUAUACGUCUGAAAAACAAAAAAAAUGUUUUCUUGUGUGUUGCAUACGGCCAACACCCUAACAUGUUUUGAACGUCUUUUUUUUUAUAAAAAAACAAAUAUUUGAAGUUUUGAAAAUGUGUUUUCGCAUGGAUUUCUUAAACACAACAAAUACUAUUUUUUUGCAUUUCUGGAUUUUACAACAUGUUUGUAAAACUCCAAAGGGUAUUGGCUAAUAUUCCAAAAAUAUAAAAAAUCUUAUUUUGAGGGAAUUCAUCUAUUAUUCACCGCUAAUGUUUGGAUAAAGAAAUCCCUAACGGAUGAAUAUCCAAAAUAUUAUAGGGAAUAAUUUGUUAUUAUUCAAUGUUAAUAUUUGGAUAAAGAAACCCUAAGCGGUAAAUAUCCAAAAUAAUUUUCUAGGAAUAAUAAGUCAUUACACAUCAUUGAAAGAAGCCUUGAUUAUAAUUGAGGACAUUUCAAUUUUUUUACUCCACGGUUUACGAGCCGUGAGAGUACGAAACACUAAGGCAAAAAUAGGCUUUUAAAGCGCCCUAGAUUUCUAAAUUUGUGUCCCUCCUCUUUGCGAUUUAUGAGUCACAAACUCUUGAAAUACCAAGGGAAAAUGAGCUUUUAAAGCACAUGGAAUCUCCUUGGAUUUCUAUCUUAAUAAAUUUAGUUAGAAUCAAACCUAGAAAAAACUGAUGGGAUUAGAAAAUACCAACACCAUAGCAAUUAUAAGACAAACCAAACACCAAGCAGCUUACCUUAGGUAGGGCGUACUAGGGGUGCUAAUACCUUCCCUUUACGCAACCAGUCCCUUGCUUUAGAAUCUCUGAAAGACCAGUUAGGUUUCCUAGUGACCAUAAUACUAGGUGGCGAGUCCCUUUUACACAAAAAAACAAAAGACCCUGAAAUCGAUCGAGGAUCGCUGCGACGCCGCUCUCCGCCGCGAGGGUGCGACACUUACUAUAACCAACAUUCCAGCUUACAAUAUAAAGAGAUUAUCCAUGUGGUCAUUGAUAACAUCGUUGUCCCCAUUUGUACGACACUUUUCCUCAAGUGCAAAAGAAGGGAAGCGAUUGCGAAGAGAGUCAACAUCCUUCCAAGAGGAUUCCGCAAGGGACAACCCGUCCCAAUGAACUAAAACCCGGUGCUAAUUGUUAACUGAUCGGGAAUCAAGAAUAACUUUAGGAAGAGGUUGAAUUUUGCCUUGUGUCAGAAUAGGCAAAGAGGGUUCAAUUGGAACUGUAGUUCCAUGGAAAGGUUUAAGGUAGGAAACAUGAAAAACAGGGUGUAGUUUAGAGGAGGAGGGAAGGUCUAAUUAUUAAGCCAUAAAACCCAGUUUGGCUAAAAUAGGAAAAAGGACCAUAAUAACAGGGUGAAAGUUUAGUGUGUACCAUUUUGAAGAGAGGCUAAGUUGGCGGUGAGGCUGAAGUUUGAGGAGAACCCGAUCACCCAGUUUAUAUUGAACAAGAUGAUGUUUAGCAUUAUACCUGGCCUUCAUGGAAUUUUAAGCCUGAAGUAAUCGGUUUCGAAGGUCUUGAAGCACCAAUUCCCUGGAUUUUAAUUCCUGAUCCGCAACUUCAAGUUUAGCUAAUCCAUGACAAUAAAACAACAUAGUGGGAGGAGAGCGGCCAUACACCACUUUGAAUGGAGUAGCUUUAAGAGAGGAGUGGUAGCUUGUGUUGUAACAAUACUCCACCCAAGGUAACCAUUGAAACCAACGGUGAGGACGGUCACUUGUAAAGCAACGCAAAUACAUCUUGAUAGUGCGAUUGACAACCUCUGUUUGUAUAUCACUUUGUGGAUUAUAAGCAGAGUUGAAAGACAAUUUAGUGCCACUCAACCGAAACAAUUUAGUCCAAAAAAAACUUGUGAACGUUACAUCAGAAUCACUCAAUGGUUUCAGGCAAGCCAUGAAGUUUGAAAAUAUUAUCAAAGAAUAAGCGGGCUACACUCACAACAGUAUAUGGAUGAGCAAUAGGAAGGAGAUGUGCAUGCAUCGAAAAAUGGUCUACCAUAACCAGCAAAACAGACUUUCCUUGGGAGGUAGGCAGUCAUUCAAUGAAAUCCAUAGAGAUAUGCGACCAGGUCUGAAGUGGAAUUGGCAAAGGUUGAAGAAGACCUGCCGGAUGUAAGUUUUUAGCCUUGUGUUUUUGGCAGAUAAGACAUUGUCGCGUAAAAGCUUGGAUAAAAGUUUUCAUUCCUUGCCAAUAAAAGUCUUGAGCUAUGCGAUGAAGUGUUUUAUGAUAGCCCUCUUGGGUACUAUUAUGGACAGUCGAGAUUAUGGAUGGAACAAGAGGGGAAUUGUGUAGCAAAUAAACUCAUUGUUUAAAGAAAAGCAAGCCAUCUUUAUACUUCCAGGGUCUAAUAGCUUCACUGUGCUGUAUAUUUUCCUUCAACAAUUGCAAUUGGUCUGAAUUUUGAAUCUCAGUGUAUAUUUUCCUGUCUAAUUUAAGGCCCCGUCAAUUCUUCAUGCCCUGCUUGAGUCGAUACUACUGGUGCAUGUGAAGCAGUAUCUUUUAAAGGACUCUAUUCUUGCCCCUCGGAAAAGUCUAUAUCUCUAUUCCCCCUCCCUGUAGAGGUUAGAUCUGUUCUAAUCUCUUGACGGGUAUGUACCAUCCUGCAAUAAAUUAAUGAACAUCAACAACCUCUUUUGAAUUCUUCCCAGAACCCAUACUAGAGCUAUGAUACCAACUGUAACAAUCUGACUGUACGACUUGAUCAUUGUUAAAAGGUCCCAACAUAUCCUCUUAAUUUGAGGGUAUUUAGUUUUUUUUUUUACCAAAAAUUCGGCAGAGUUUCGUUUGCAUUUAGGACAUCCCAAGUUAUUGACUACUAUCAAUUUACUCAAUCAACCCAUCAUCACAAGGUCCCAUAAUUCCAGACCUUAUAUCAAACAUCAUAAUUCAACACCUCAUACAAUCCACACAAUAUAUAUAUCCUACAAGUUCAAUAUGAACAUGGUCCACAUAUCAUAUCAUAAAAUUUUAAAGAAAAGGAAUACUAACAUGCAAAGAAAGCAUUUACAACAUAAUAAGUGUUCUUAAACACUUCAAAAGGGUUAAUUGCAAGAUAACUAAAAUACUACAUGCUAAGCUGAACUUUUAUAAAUACAUCAAGGUUUACACAAAAGCAUACUACAUAAAUGCGUUAAUUCCCUUUUGUUUAAGUUAAAUAUUUACAUAAGCUUGACAAAGUAGAGUCCUAAACUAAUGAUCUCCCUGGAUAUUUGAUGGACCUGUUACAUAAAUAAACAUACCAUUAUGUUGAUAAAGAAUAUACAUAUGCUCAUGUAAUGUAUACGAAUGAAGUAUUAAUUUUCUAUCGGAUCCAUAAGAAUUUUAAUAGAGAACUUAUAUUUUGCUUGUAAAUCUUUUAAACCCAAUUAACACUCAUUUGCAUAUUCUUAAUUUGAAUACUCUUAUUUACUUGCAUGAACUGGGUGACCUUGCAAAGUCUAAUCUUGCAAUUCAUCUCCCGGCAAUCCUAUCAAGGAUGCCAUUAGCCGAAGUUAAUCUUGCAAUUCAUCUCCCGACGAUCCUAUCACGGAUGCCAUUAGCCGAAGCUAAUCUUGCAAUUCAUCACAGAUGCCAUUAGCCGAAGUUAAUCUUGUAAUUCAUUUCACAGCAAUCCUAUUACGGAUGCCAUUAGCCAAGGCUAAUCUUGUAAAUACACUAGACUUUAUUUAGAUUGAACGCGAUAUUUAUUAUAAUUGCAUUCACUAGAAGAAUUUUAAAUUGUAUAAGUGCAAAUAAGAGGGAAAAUCACGCACCUGCUCUGCCUGUCUCGCGACCUUCCUUAACAGAAGAUCCAAUCCUGGUUGCUCCUCCUAAAUCACAAGGAAGUUUUUGGUUAUGAUUCCUUCAAGCCGAUAUUAUAGAGAAUUCAUAUUCAUUCAUUACUCAUAUGUUACUUUCUAUGUAUGUUCAUUUCCUCAUAAUAACAUACAUACAUAUAUCAUGUAUAUUUUCAGAGUUAGUAUCUCAAUGUGCAAGUGUUCAUAUGACUCAAUUCUUUUAUAUUCUUAUAUAUAGUAUUCACGUGAAAGUCUACUGUUACUGUCUAACUUUGAACUAUUACUGUCUAAUUUCCAAUUGUUACUAUCCAACUGUUACUGUCUAGACAUUGAACUGUUACUGUCCAACUGUUACUGUCCAACCGUUACUGUCUAGACAUUGAACUGUUACUGUCCAACUGUUAUUGUCUAGUCGUUACUGUCUAGACAUUGAACUGUUACUGUCUAGAUAUUUGAACUGUUACUGUCUAGACAUUUGAACUAUUACUGUCCAACUAUUACUGUCUGAACACUCAUCAGAUUGUUAACUAUAUCUAAAGUUCUAAAACCCCAUUGUAAGUGAGAUUGAUCUCAUUAGAAAGAUAAAACACGAGGCUACAAGUUCUCUGAGGGAAGGAGAACCCAGUUCUGCCUCCAAGAUAGUCAAAAUUGCUCAUCAACUAAUCAGUCCUACUGCCCUACAUAAUCGGUCACGACUUAGUCUCGGUUGUUAACCCAUAACUGGAGCCCUACAUCUCCAAAUUGAGCAAGACCAGUUUCCUUGGUUAGCUAACACUCAAAUCUACAAUUUCUAUGAAGGAACCCGAUCCUAAUUCCCUCAUCCCCCUAUCUAAAAUCUCACCGAAAGUUAGGAGACGAGUCUGUCCGGAGUCGUCACCCCCUUCCCUUCACACAAUACUUUCAUAAACUACAUAGCACACAUGAAUUAACUUAAUUUUAACAACAAAUACUUUUUUCCCAAUUCAUGUCUAAGAACCCUAACUUAUAAUUCAAUAUCAAAGCAUCAAUUCAUUAUCGAAAUUAAAAAUGAAUUUUUUAAGAUCAUGUUUAGAACACCUUACCCGGUACGAAUUAAGAUUUUGAUCUUCAACCAGUUGAAGAUUUUCAACUCCUUCCUUUCUUUUCUUCUUGUUCAAUUUUUUUGUUAAUCCAUUGCACACAAGUGUUUAUCCCAUCUAUAUACCCUUAAUCUUGGAUGAGUUCUUGAAAUUUUAUUGUUUAUCUCUUGAUUUUGCAAGAAUGGGUACAAAAUUCCCUAUUUUCUUUCCUUAUGGUUCCUGCAUAUUUUUUUUUUUGUGAGGAGAGGGUAUUUAUACUCUAUAAUUUUCCUUAUUUGCAUUUAGGCCCCCCUUUUCCUUUAAGUGUAUUAUUCUCUUUAAUUAAAUCCAACCCUCAACCGUACCGGGUUUAUUAUAAUGUCUCGAAUUAUUUCACCCGGAAAUUUAUAUUAAAACAUUUCUGAAUUCUUGUUUUUAUUUAACCAUAUGCAUGAAUUUCUUCACUUUUAUUUAUUUAUUUCCAGGGUUUACAUCAAGAGUCAGACCCUAGGUUAAUGGGUCCGCCUCAACAUCCAAUCCUCUUAGGUCUUGUGUCCUUACUAAAAUAUAAUGGGUUCGGAUUGCAGCCAAACCAAAGGCUUUUGGGUCCCUCAUUUAAGAGGUGCCCAAAGCUCUUGAGUCUGAUGUUGUAGCCCGACCCACUUCAACUUGGGUAAGUUUAUGGUUAUUAUUAAUAUUAAAAAUAUUAUUAUUUGUGUUAUAAAUUUUCUGGUUUUUAUAAUUAAUAUUAUUAAUAUCAUAAUUAAGAAAUUUUAAAAGUAUAUCAUUAAUUUGGAAAAACAAACAUAGAUUUGAUUUCAAGGGUAAAAUUAUUAUUAUUAUUAUCAUUAUUCUUAAUAUUAUUAAAUUAAUAAAUUUGAAAAAAAAAUUAUUAUCAAAGAAAAACAAUAAGUUUUAUUUGAGAGGAUUAAAAACUAUAAAAACUUAAGUUAGAUAAGUUUAAUAUUAUUGUUAAUAUCAUAAAUAUUUUAAAUUCAUUCAUAUUAAUAAAUUUUAAAUAAAUUUUAUUACUAUAAAAAAUAUAUAUGUGAUUUGAAGGGUAAAAUCAAAUAUUUUUAUUUUAAUUAACUUGGGUCUGGAAGGGCAUGCUAGACCCACGUCGCAUGGGAGGGGUAGGGGGCAAACCCACGUCCCCUAGGUCUUGCAGUCGUGCCUGGCCUAAGAUUAUUGGGUCAAUAGUCAGACCCUAGGGCAAUGAGUCCAUGUCAAGACCCAAUGCUCAUGGGUAUUGCGUCUUCACCCAACUCUAAUGAGUUCGUAAUGCAGUCAGAUCCAAGGCUUUUGGAUCCGCCAUUUAAGAGGGGCUCAAAGCUCUUGGACCUGGUGUUGCAGCUGGAGCCUCUUAAACUUGGGUAAGUUUAUUGUUAUUAUUAAUAUUAAAAAUAUAUUUGUAUUAUAAAUAUUAUUAUUUUUAUUAUAAUUAAUAUUGCUAAUAUUGUUAAUAUUAUUAUUUGUAUUAUAAAUUUUAUUGUUUUAUUAUAAUUAAUAUUAUUAAUAUCAUAAUUAAGAAAUUUUAAAAAUACAUCAUUAAUUUUCAAAAAACAACAACAGAUUUGAUUUGAAUGGUAAAAUUCUUCUUAUUAUUAUUAAAUUAAUAAUUUUUAAGUAAAAAGAAACACAAUAAGUUUUAUUUUAGGGGAUUAAAAACUAUAAAAACUUAGGUUAGAUAAGUUUAAUUUUAUUAUUAAUAUCAUAAAUAUUAUUAAAUUUGAAACAAAUUUUAUUACUAAGAAAAAACAUAAAUGUGAUUUGAAGGGUAAAAUCAAUUAUUAUUUUUUUAUUAACUUGGGGCUGGAAGGACAUGCGAGACCCAAGUUGCUUGGGAGUAGCAGUGGGCAGACCCAAGGCCCUUAUGUAUUGCCGCUCUACCUGACCCAAGACAAUUGGGUUAAGAGUCAGACCCUAGGCUAAUGGGUCCGCGUCAGGACCUAAUUCUUUUGGAUCUUGCGUCCUCACCAAACUCUGAUGGGUGAAGGCUUUUUAGUCUCUCAUUUUAGAGGGCCCAAAGCUCUUGGGCCUGGUGUUGCAGCUAGAUCCAUUUAAACUUGAGUAAGUUUAUUGUUGUUAUUAAUAUUAAAAAUAUUAUUAUUUGUAUUAAAAAUAUUUUUAAUUUUAACAUUAUUAAUAUUAAAAUAUUAUUAUUAUAGUUUAUAAAUAUUUUUAUUUUUAUGAUGAUUAAUAUUAUUAUUAUUAAAAAUAUUAUGAUUUGUAUUAUAAUUAAUAUUGUUAAUAUUAAAAAUAUUAUUAUUUGUACUAUAAAUUUUAUUUUUUUAUUAUAAUUAAUAGUACUAAUAUCAUAAUUUUUAAAAACACAAUAGAUUUAAUUUGAAAAGUAAAAUUAUUAUUAUUAUUAUUAUUAUUAUUAUUAUUUAAUUAACAAAUCUAAAAAAAAUAUUAUUUUAUCAAAGAAAAAAAAUAAGUUUUAUUUGAGGGGAUUAAAAACUAUAAAAAUUUAGGUCAGAUAAGUUUAAUAUUAUUAAAUUUGAAAUAAAUUUAUUACUAUCGAAAAAGACAUAAAUGUGAUUUCAAGGGGAAAAUCAAUUAUUUUUAUUAUUAUUAACUUGGAUCUGAAAGGACACGCCAGACCUAAGUUGUUUGGGAGUGGUAAGGGAAAGCACCCAAGUCCCUCGGGUAUUGCAGCCCUACCUGGCCCAAGACAAUUUGGUCAGGAGUCAGACCCUAGGCUAAUGGGUCCGUCUCAGAAUCCAAUGCUCUUGGAUCUUGCAUCCUCACCCAAAUGUAAUGAGUUUUAAUUGCAGUCAGAUCCACUUAAACUUAUCGUUAUUAUUAAUAUUAAAAAUAUUAUUAUUUGUAUUAUAAUUAAUAUUGUUAAUAUUAAAAAUAUUAUUAUGUGUUAUAAAAUUUAUUUUUUUUAUUAUAAUUAAUAUUAUUAAUAUCAUAAUUAAGAAAUUUUAAAAAUAUAUCAAUAAUUUUGAAAAACAAACAUAGAUUUGAUUUCAAGAGUAAAAUUAUUGUUGUUGUUGUUGUUGUUGUUGUUGUUGUUCUUAUUAUUAUUAAAUUAAUAAAUUUGAAGAAAAAUAUUAUUAUUAUCAAAGAAAAACAAUAAGUUUUAUUUUAUUAUUAAUAUCAUAAAUAUUAUUAAAUUCAUUCAUAUUAUUAAAUUUAAAAUAAAUUUUAUUAUUAUAAAAAAAACAUACAUGUAAUUUGAAGAGUAAAAUCAAUUAUUUUUAUUAUUAUUAACUUAGGUCUGGAAGGGCAUGCCAGACCCACGUUGUUUUGCAGCAGCAGGGGGUAGACCCAAGUCCCCUGGGUCUUGCAGCAGUACCUGACCCAAGACAAUUGGGUCAAGUGUUAGACUCUAGGCUAAUGGGUUCGGAAUGCAGCCAGACCCAAGGCUUUUGGGUUCGCCAUUUAAGAGGGGUCCAAAGCUCUUGAGCCUGGUGUUCAGCUAGACACAAUCAAACUUGGGUAAGUUUAUUGUUAUUGUCAUAAUCCAUUUUUGGAUUAUUCUCAAAUUCAUUUCUUUUAAAAAAAAAAACUGAAAUAGUGUCGUUUUAAACCACAUUGUUCUCCUUCUUCCCCAUCAUGCGCAAAGGUAGGGAAGAGGGAGAUUUUUAAAAUCUUCUUUCCCCGCUCACUCUCUCCCCAGACUUGGCACUACCUAUACCCACCAUACCCUGCAAACAUUAUAAAGAUAAGAGAGGGAACCAUGCCCUGGGGUGGCUAUGUAGAAGCCGCCCCACGACAAUUGUAAAACGCAAGAACAAAUUAUACAAAAAAAAGAGGGGAUUUAUAAAAAUUUAAAUUUUUAUAAUACAAAAGUAGUAUAACUACAAAAAAAAUAAUAAUGAUAAUAAUUAUGGUGAUAAAAUUUAAUAGUUUUGGAGGAAAAAGGGGUGGGGGGGGGGCUUGAUUGAGAAAAAAGGAGAAAGAUGGAGCCAAAAUGGAAUUAAGAAGAAAUGGGACUAUAAAUACCCCAUUCAUUCUCUCUCCCAUGGCCGGCUGUAAUGUUGUCAAAAUCGUGAGUUAACUCGUAAAAUCGUAUGAUUUUACGAGUCAACUCAUAUAUAACGUGCAAAAUCGGGUUAAAAACUCGAAAACGGUCAAACUCGGUAAAAAUAGACCGAGUUAACGAGUUUGAUAAAGAAUGAAAAAAAUAAUUAACUAUCUUUGUCUCCCCUCCUCGUCACACCGUCACUCUCCCCUUUCCCCUUUCCCCUUUCCCCUUUCUCAAAUCUCAAGGGUUCUUCAAGCGUGCUCUACUGCUCUCCCUCCACAACUCACUCAAGGCUGGUUUUGAUAAUUUUUUGAGCGAGGUUAGGGACUCCAUCAAAACUUCAGUAAAUAAGGGAGGAAAUGUUGUGCAAAGCUUACUAGACACAAUUGCUUCUUCAAUAACAUCGAUUAAGGAAGGUGCUUCAGAAGCAGUAGAUGGUGCCUUGAGUAAAGUAUUCUCAAGUUUUGAUCAAACAGGAGAAUUAGUUGGUGAUAGAUUGACUAGCUUUUCAUCUGGUUUGAGGGAAGCCACACAAAAAGCUACUGGCACUUCUGUAGAUGUGCUCAGAGUUGCAAUCGUUGUAGUGGAGGAAUCUAUAGCAAAAGGGGCUUCUUUUGUUGUUUAUUCUUAUGGGCCUGCCAAGAAUUUGCUUCCUCCAUAGAUCAGGGGUGCACUGAAUCUGUCUGAAGAAAGGGUAACAGAGAUUUUGAGGCCAAUUGGUGUAACUUUUCAACAAGUACAUUAUGCUUGGCACGUUUUACUUUGAUGGCCGUUAUACUCUCGUUUAAUUGUAUGGACUUGAAAAAAAAAUCUCCUGCAAAGAUAUAUUUGGAUUAUUUUAGAAAUCUUUUUGUUGGAGAGUGGAGACAUCAGUCACUGCUUUCAGCUUACAGGACUUGUAGUUGAAAACUCAAUUGCAUCCAUCUCUGUUACACUGCUUAAUUAUGUCCUGCUCUAUCUAAUUUAUGUUCCAAAACCAAAGCUGAUUUAUAAAGGGUAAUCAAACUCGUGAAAUGAGACCAAUUUUUCUUAUGAUAAUUUCUUUCGCAAAAUCAGUAUAUAGGUCGAUUUGAGGUGAAUUUGGAUUUUCUUGAUAAGUGUGGUUUGUGGGUGUCAUAACCCAGUUUUUUACCCUUUUCUUUUAAUUAUUUUAUUUACUGAAAAAAUAAUGAAACAAAUGAUGAAAAACAAGUAAAAAUAAAAUAAAUGAAGAAUGAAUUAAAGUUUGGGUUAAAGGCAACAUGAUUGGAAGUUUUGAGGUUUAAUUAAGAUUGGAAUCAAUUUAAUUAAUCUAAUCAAGGGUUUAAUUGGAAAAUUGAUAAGUUUUGAGACUUAAUUAAUCUUAGAAUUAAUUCAAUUAAUUCAAUUAAGGGCUUAAUUAGAGAAUUGAUAAGUUUUGAGACUUAAUUGAGAUUGGUAUUAAUUUAAUUAAUGAAAUCAGGGGGCUUAAUUGAAAAAUUAUCAAAGUAUAGGGCUGAUUCUGGUAAAUUUUGCAAGAAAUUAACAUCCAGGGACUGUCUUGUAAAAUUCGCUGAAAUUCAGGGGUCCAAUUAAAUUUUAUCCAAGGGCUUGAUUACAAAACUUUCAAAACAUCAAGGACCAAAACGCAAAAUAACCUCAACACUGUUCAUCUUCUUCACCCGAAAAAAAAGAAAACUGCUGCCUUUACUCCUGCAUUAAAAACAGAGAGCACGGGAAGGCAUGGCAUUCUAAGGGAGGAUAAAACCAGAAAAAAACGGCUGGAGAGAGGAGGACAAAAGAAAAAGAAAAGGAGUGGACGUGGGGUAGCCUCUGGCUUCUUCAAUAAGAAACAGAGGAGACGAACGAACAGGGGGGGGAAGAAACGAAAAACAAAUCACAGAACCAGGGGAGAAACAGAACCAGGGGAAAAAGGGAAGAGAAAGACAGGGGUGACUGGAAACAGAGAGGAAGAAAAAAACCGGGGGGGAGAGGCCAGUAACCAAAAACCGAAGAAAAGCAGAGGAGGCCACGGAGAAAGGGAGAGCAGAGGAAACACAGAAGAAAGACAAAGGAAAGCAGUAGACAAGAGUCACCACCAGCGUCACAACUGUUUUCGUCGCCUCCAGAAGCAGCAGCUUCAGAGCUCCAUCUUCAGCAGCCACUGCACCAGAAACAGGGCACUCCAGGAGAGAAAUACAGGGACGAACCGGGGAAGAAAAGGAGGAAGAGAAGGAAGAAGAGAGGAAGAACAAGAGGUGGCAGCGCCGUUCGUCCAGCGCAGUGCGCCAUCGUCUCCGGCUACGCCUUGCUGCACCAGGUAAGUCUUCUCUCGUCUCUCCCCUCCUGCAUUAUAAUUCACUUGCUACAGUAGCAAGUGAAUUAUAAUUAAUUCACUACCCAACCGGGUCACUGGCUGCGGCCAGUGACCAGACCAGGAUGUUGGGUCUACCCAGCCAUGUAGGCUGGAUCAGACCCAACCCCCAAAACAAAAAAAUAAAAAAUAAAAAAAUAAAAAAAUAGAAAGUAUAGAAAUAAAAAUAAAAAAAUAAAAAAUGAAAAAUAUGUGUAUGCAUGAAUAAAAAUAAUAUAAAUUUACUGGUUUAUUCACCAACGCCAGAGUCGGGGAUAAAAUACUGGUUUAAAUUUAUAUUAUUUUUAUUCGUUAUAUUUUAUUUUAUUUAGCAAGAAAAAAUAAAAAAAACAUAUGUGCAUGUAUGAAAAAUAAAAUUUAUUUUAUUGGUUUAUUCACUGACGCCAGAGUCAGGAAUAAAAACACUGAUUUAAUUGUUUUUUUAUUUUUCAUUUAACUACAUAAGAAAUAAAAAAAAUGAAUGCGCAAUAAAAUGAAUUUCGUUUAUUUUUUUUUAUUCACUAGCGUUAGAAUCAGGAAUAAAAAAAUAUUAAUCUAAAUUUAUUUUAUAUCUACGUAAUAGUUACCAACGCCAAAGUUGAAAUUAUCCGUAGUUGAAUAUUCACUGACGCCAGAGUCAGGAAUAUUGCGAAUAAACCAUUAGAGCGUAAACCAAUAAAAUUUAGCAAUUUAAGACAAAAACAGCAAUGCAGUUUGCCUCAGGCAGAACGUUUAAGGGGUGCUAAUAUCUUUCCUUUUACGUAACCAGUCCCGAACCAUAGAAUCUCUGUUGACCAGUUAGGGUUCCUAGUGACAAUAAUACUAGGUGGCGACUCCUCAAACAAGACAUUUUCCCCUAAAAGAACAAGAUGUCAGAUAUCUGUUCUUUUUCCAUAAUUCAAGAGAAUUAUUUGUGGGCCGCCGCGAUGUCGGGUGCGACAGUGGGUUUUGAUGCGAUUUUUUUUUCUUUGCAGGUUUUUUAACUAUUUGGUGAUUGAACAUUAUGAAUUUUACAACGGUGUUGUGCAAACAUUUGAUUGUGAAGGAACUGGUCACCAAUGUCCCUGUCUAUGAAAGCAUUACUGGUAAUGCCUGUUCCCUUCCAGAACAUUGUUUUGUUUGUAUUGACUUUCUUUGAGUUUGUGUCGUAUGGUGUUAUGGUGUCUUUGUGAUUAUGAAAGCAUUACUGGUAAUGUUUGUUCCUUUCCAGAACAUUUUUUUGUUUGUAUCAUCUUCUUUGAAUUUGGGACAAUAGGCUUCUCUUGAAAAAAUUUCUUAUGAUUUUACGAUUUCACGAUCCGUUUUUACGAUCCAAGUUUAUUUUGUAUUUUCCGUGUCGUGUCAAAAAUAUGUUUUUGACAACCUUAGCCGGCUGGACAACAUUAAGAAAGGGAGGGGGAAUUUCAGAUUUUCCUUCAUCAAGCCUAGGAGAAAACACCCAAGUUAGUAUACCUACACAAGUCUUGGAAUUAUUAAGUGGAGAAAACACACUUGGGCAGAGGAUUUACAAGAAGAAAAGUGAAGAAUUUAUGAAGAAAAGAGGGAGCAGGGAGGGUCGGCUGCAGGUGAAGAAAAAAAGAGUUAAGAAACCUUAAUCAAACUAGAAAUUAAACCUAAAUUUCCCUCUGGUAUGUAGUACUACACAAAUUAUGAAAGCCAAUUUAGAUUCAAUUAAGAAUUGUGUAGUAAUUUGAAGUUGAAAAAUUAGGGCUCUUGAGUAAAAAAAAUUAGGGGAAUGUCGAAAUGAUUGGAAUUAAAUGGAUUAGAAUAUUCUAAGUUGCCUCAAAAGAUGAAAUUAUGCAUAAAAGAGAGGAAGGGAACCAUUGGUUCCCUUAGGCAUGUUUCGGCCAAGAGCCAAGUCAGGAAGGGAAGAGAAAUUCUGGUGGGUUGAGUAUUCUUGAUGCAUAAAUUAGUGAUAGAAAUGGUCUUGAAUGUGGAGGGGUGCAAUGAAAAAAAAAAACAGAGAGAGAGAGAACAUAUGCAAGGUGACUAGCUAUUGGAGGGGAAGAAAGGAGAGGAGAACUUAUGAUUUCCUUGCUUAAUUAUUUGAGAUGUGCUGUUAUAAUGUGGUUGCUAAUUAGAAAAAAUAAAUGCAUCACUUAUAAGGAAAAGGAACCCUUUGUUCCUUUGGGUAGGUUCGACCAAAGUAGAAAUGAAUUAAUUAACUUGGUACAAAUGACCUUGGGAGGUCACAAUGAGAUGGGUUGCCAUGUAUAAGUUGAAGGCAUAGCUGUAUCUAAUGAGGAAGAAGGGAUUGGAGAAAAAAAUUGGAGAUACAUUGCCCAUUGACGAAACAAGGUAGGUUCGCCGCCCUGAUUCCUAAGGUAGUUCGGACAUGAAGACGAUAGAAUCCAAGGAAGGUCCCUUUAUAGCAAUUGUAGCCGGGAGUGUUAGCUUUCCAACGAAUCUGACCUCGCUUAAUUUGGAGUUCUAGAACUCCAUAUACAAAUAAAAAUCUGAGGGGAGGUCAAAUUGUCACCCCUACUGGCAGAUUCGGCCAAGUCGAUAAAACAACGAAAUUUAGCCAUAUUAAGGAUAAAAUUUCUUUUCUUGCCCUUCGUAAAGUGUGUAACAUCACGUCUUGAUCUUUAAAAAGGAAUAAACUGUGAUAAAAAUUGAAUUCAUGAUGUCCACUUGGGCUACUAAUGAGCUGAAAAUGUUAACGGAUAAUAAUGAGGAAUGUAGGUGAGAAAGAAAAGAAUGGUAAAAGAGAAAUGAAUAUUAUUGCUAUUGUUGUUGUUGUGUUGUGAUAUGUGGACUAAUAUAGAAUGGUGAUGGGUGUUCAUGGUUUCAGGAGGAACCGCAGGAGGAGGGCAGCAACAACAGGGGAACGUAAGUCGAGCAUUUACAGUAGUUUGGUACUCGGUUUCUAUAUCUCCUCUAGUUAAGAAUUAUUUUAACUAAUUGUUCACUACCAGAAAUUUGCUUAAUACCAACGUCAUUACCAACAGAAUAAUUCUGUUGGUAAUUUGCAGUCAUAAUUACUGACGACAUAUUUUCCGUCUGUAAUUCCGUCGGUAUAUACCGGCGGACUACUUCGGUCGAUAUAUACCGAUGAAAUUACAGACAGAAUAUUCAGAAUUUAAAAAAAAAGGCGGUUCGCUGACUUGGAAGUUUUUGCGGGUGAUUUUACCGAUGGAAUCACCGAGAUGAAGUGUGCGAGAUGAAGUCUCUCAAGUUAAUGAGUUGGUUGAACCAUAUCGAGUUGCUCCUUCGAUUGACUUGGAAGGAAAUUCAAAUUUUCGUGUUUUCGAUGAUAGUCUUGUUGAUGUUGACGUAAAGGAGUUGAAUGUUGUUUUGAGCUCUAGCGGACAACCAAAUGUCGAUGAAAAUAAUGAUAUCCAUAUUGAAGAUUGCGAUGAAGGUGAUGACUAUUCAAUUGAUGACGAAGAAGAAGAAAAUUCUGACUAACUAUCAGAAUGAAGCCAUGUGUAAAACAUUUUUUUUCAUGUAAUAUAUAUUAUGGAUGAUAUAUUUUGUAACACGAAAUAUUUAUUUUAUAAGUUUGUAUUGUUUAAGCACUGUUGUUAUUGUUUUGUGCGAUGGACAAUUUAUCAUUUAAGUGUUUGCAAGAAGUUGAAUAGGCAAUACAAACAUCAUCUUUCUUGCACACUGCACUAUUACCGACGUCCAUACCGACAGAUUCCAGUCCGUCGGCAUUUCACAAUGGCAUCCCUGUAAAUGCCACAACCAUCACCGAUGACGUUGUGGACGCAUUCCAGUCCGACAACAUCACCGACGGACGGUGCGAAUUCCAAAGGGCGGGGUAUUAAAUGCAUCUCUGACUGUGUGUAUUUGUCGACGGAAUUACCGACGGACUGUGAAAAAUAUGAAGGAUAGUUAAAAAUGAUGGUGCGAAAUUCAAAAGUUACCGACGGAUUUUCAAAACAUCACCGACGGAAUAAUUUAAAAUAAUAUUUUUUUUUAAUGUCCGUCGGUUAAUCUGUCGGUAAAACUGCGCUAUAAAUCCCAGCAACCGCCCCUUCAGUUCAUUUUUUCAUCUGCUCUGUUAUUCCCCUUUUAUUUUUGAUUUUUUUCCUCUCAUUUCCUUCAAGACUUUUGUUUGUUUUGCUUGUAAUCUUUACUUGAAUCUUCAUCAAAUUAAAAGGUAUGUGUUUCCUCUACUUCAUUUUACUUUAAGAACUUUUUUUCUUUGUUUUAGCUAUUGUUAUUUUUGUUAUGUUUUUUGUUUUGGUGUAUUUUUAUAAUGUAGAUAAAGUCUUGAAAUAAACACAUUAUUAAGGUAAGCAUAUUUCAUUCCUAAAGUCUAUAGUUUUUUUUUUUUGAAUUUUUUGAAUAUAUUUUAUUGUUUGUAUUGCCAUAAUAAUUGAAUAAUUUGUUGAAUUGUAAUUGUUAAUGUUGAAUUUACCUUGUAAUUAGUAAUUGAAUAUGUUGGAAUAAAUUUAAUUAUUUUCUUUCAAUUUUACUCUAUUAUUGCAUGAUUUGUGUUUAAUUAUUUCCAUUAAUUUUAAUUAUUAGUCUAGAGUUUUUUUUUUUGAAUUUAUUGAAUAUAUUUUAUUGUUUGUAUUGCUAUAAUAAUUGAAUAAUUUGUUGAAUUGUAAUUGUUAAUGUUGAAUUUACCUUGUAAUUAGUAAUUGAAUAUAUUGGAAUAAAUUUAAUUAUUUUAUCUUAAUUUUACUCUAUUAUUGCAUGAUUUGUGUUUAAUUAUUUUCAUUAAUUUUAAUUAUUAAUCUAGAGUUUUUUUUUAAUAUAUUUUAUUGUUUGUAUUUCCAUAAUAAUUGAAUAAUUUGUAGAAUUUUAAUUAUUAUUGUUGAAUUUACCUUGUAAUUAGUAUGGAUGUUAUUUGUAUAGAUGUUAUGUUAUAUACAAGAUUAGUAUAGAUAGGGUCAAUUGGUUGUGGCUAUUGUCAAUAUUUGCAAGUUUGAAAAGUUUGGGUAGUCUCCAAUAUAGGGGAGGUGCUUCCGAAUUUUUUUAACAUUCGAAUUUAAUUAUAUAAUUAUUCGUAUAAAAUUGUGGCUAUAAGUUUGUUUCGGUUUUAGUUUUUUUUUUAAUUAUAACAUAAUUUAUGAACAAUUAAUCAAUAUUUCAUUAAUUUAAUUUAUUUUCAGGUUCACAAACAUUGAGGCCGCCCGAGUAAUAUCAUCGGCGUUUAAAUCGUCGAUGGAGAUUCUAUUAUUUCAAUGGAGUCAGGUAUCUAGACAUCCUGAAUGGAUACCUCAAAUCGAUGCAUGGUUUGACAGAUUUGAGGUUGGUGUUAAUUUCUAAUUUCCAGCUUAUUUCUAAUAAAUUAUUAAUAUAAUUGUAAAUAACUUAUUAUUUUUAUUUAAAAUUAAUAUUUAUACACAGGACAAAUUAGACUGGGACAACGCGCAUGACACUAUUGUGAGGAGGGUGUGGGGAAAUCACGCAGCAACUAGGUAACAUCGAAAACAAUACAAGAUUUUUUUAGAAAAAAAUUAUGUUUCAAAAUCUAAUUUCUCGCUAUGGAAGUAGGUUGCGUGAUUUUUGGUAUGAAGCACAAAAAAAGGCAAAACAAAAUGCGAGAGAUAAGGGUCUCCAAGGCUGGAACGACGUGGCGGUAUUGAGGGAUUUCAAACCGCUAUACAUCUCGACAGAUAUAUGGCCGUAAUAUCUUGAGCACGUGACGCUGAGCGGUUCACACGACGCUCACAGUCCGGUGCUGGCAACCAGAAUCGGCCAAUUCAUGGCUCGGUGACAACGCACACCAGCGACUGUGUUCCGUUUGCUGCACAUGUGAAACGGAUGGUAAGAUUAAUUUAAAUGAAAUAUAUCAUUAAAUAAUUUGUUGUUAAUUAAUUUUUUUCAUUACAGGUUACGUCUCUUGGACGUGAACCGAGCCCAAUGGAGCUGUUUGUUGAGACGCACGUGUGGAGUCAAGACCGCCAAAAGGGGGCGCAACAGUUCGUUGACAACCGUGCUCAACACUUUGUGGUAUGUUUGUUCAACCAUUUUAUUUUGUAAGUUAUUAUUUUUAUUAAAUUGAAUAUGAUGAUUUCUUUUUUCAUUUUCUGGAGACCUAUAAUAGCCGGUUGAGAGAGAGAUAUGUGGACGAUCCUUCGACCCAUCCGGAUUUCGAUCCAGAUUUGUGGAUGGAGGUAGGAUCGUCUGGUGGACCCGAUGACAAUCGGGUGUACGAGCUCUCCAACACUACGGCCGAGAACUUGCAAGCGGCCCGUAGUGUCUCAACCGUUGGGAGCUCGCAAUCAGUAUCGAGCAUCCAAUCUAAGGAGUUCAUGGCCUUGCAGCAACACAUGGCUCAACUCACCAAAAAAUACGAGCACCUCUCGAUGAAUUAUGAAUAGCUUCGCCACAUGGUUAUGAACAUGGCAUCACAGAGUGAUGAUACAUGUGCGCCUCCUUUUUUGUCGUAUAAGAACCAGCGUCCUCCUCCUCCUCCACCACCAUUAUGUUAAUUUAAUAUUUUUUUUGAAACACAUUCAAUUUGUAAUGAAUAUUAUUUAACUUUAUUUUUUUGUUUUUGAUGUUUAAUAAAACUUUUAUUUGCAUAAUUUGUUUUUUUACUAUUAAUUUAUAUAAUUUUAUAUUAUUUAUUAUAAAUAAUUUUUUUAAAAAUAUAUUUAAAAAUAAUCACCGAUGAAAUAUACCGAUGGAGUGUUUCCGUCGGCAUUUCAUAGUAGCUUGGUGCAAAUGUCUCAAUCACCGACGAAUUUACCGACGGAAUGUUCCCGUCGGCAUUUCACAGUAGCUUGGUGGAAAUGCCACAAUCACCGAUGAAUUUACAGAGGGAUAUAGUCCGUCGGCAUUUAACCAGGAGCUGAAAAAUAUUUACUGGAUAUGCCACUAUCACCGACGGAAUACAUCCGUCGUUAUAUUUCAAGCGGGAUUUUUUUUUUCGCACAAUUUCCAUCUAUAAAAUCAUCGGCAAUUAUUUUUUUUUACCGACCGACUUAGUGACGGAAUUAGGUAUUACUGAUGAAAGGAAAGCCGACAGACAUUUUUUGUUAGGGAUUUCGUCGGUAAAAAAAUUUCGCCGGUAAAAAAACUGUGAAAUCUUGUAGUGGUUGAACUAUAAAUUUUGGUGCUUGUUAUAACCCAAUUUUGACCCACUUAUUUUUAAUUUAAUUUUAAGGAGGGUAAAUCUUUCAAUUUAAACGAUUAGGGGUUUAAAUGCAAAACUUCAGGGGCCGAAUUGACAAACGGGCCACCUACAAUUCCGACGUUGUUUUGGUCACUCCUAUUCUUCAUCUUCUUCCUCUGGAAACAAAAGAAACUACCAACGAAGGAAAUGCAGAACACCACCAGACGCACUGCGAUGCACAUGACUUCCACCACCAGCUUCUCAGUUCGUUUCCGUGUCCCUCGUCGCCAUAACAAGACAUUGACGUGUGAAGGAAACCACCACCAACAGUCCAACAAUGGCAGGACUGUUGGUGUCCUAAUCCAACCAAAACACAGAGUCUCAAACCCUAUCCUCAUGAAGAUCAUUGCCCCGGGAAGAUAAGGAUCAAGCUCAGGUAUCCAAGUCCCAGUGAAACACCAACACGUCCCUUCCAGUGGUGCUUAUCCAGAGGCAAGCCGUGCGCGGAGAGAAGACCAGGCACGUCCCCUAUAAGUACAGAGCUCUAGGGAAAAAAACAAAAAGUAGAGAGACAGUAGAAUAGAAAACAGAGGAGAGAAUCCAUAACAAAAAAAAAAAAACACAAGAGCAGAGGGAGGAGAGACUGAAAGGAGAAGGAAGAAGAGAACAUUCUCCGGUUGGUGCUAGGACCAUUACCUUCGUCUUCGUCUUUGUCUUCGCCAAGUAAAGCUUCCUUCUCACUCUGUUUCUGAGAUUUUCAAAACAGUGUGAAGGUAAUUAAUUACAUUUGCACUGUGCAGUGCACACAUUACUUGGUUCAAGCGUGCCUGCUGCCCAACCAGGUCACUGGCUUGGGCAAGUGACCAGGCUGGGCCGGCUGGGUCAAGCUCAGCCCAUACUGGUUGGGCUAGACCCAGCCCAAAAAAAAAGGUUGGUCGGGUUUGGGCUUUAGGCCCAGUCGGCCCAAAUUUUGUUUGCUAAGGAUGUGUUUGGCAAAACACAUCCUUAUGCCUUGGCCAUCAUUUUUAUGCCUAUUUUAGUUUGCUAUUGGGCCAAACGAGCCGCUUUGUGUUAUCAGAAAAUUCCAAAAAUAUUUUGGGAUCUUCGUUGAUUUAUUUAUGGGCCACUCGCACUUUGAUCUAUUAUUUUCUUUUGUGUUUUGUAUUUUUUUAUGUGCUCAAUCCAUGGACUAUUACUAUUAAAUGCAAAUCUAUCGUACAAUGCUUUUUUUUCAUCUAAAAAGGGUAAAUAAUAAUAAAGGGUAAACAAAAAGAAAAAGGCAUAGGAAAAUUCUUCUUCGAAUUCAAAUUUUUGUAAAAUUGUUCAUUGACGCUAGAGUCAAGAAUAUCACAAUUUUUUGGGUUUUGUGCAAUAUUUACCAACGCUAAAGUUGGAAAUAUUUGUAUGAACUGUUCACUAAUGCCAUAGUCAGGAACAUUAUAAGAAGAGUAAAAAAAGAAAAAGAAAAUAAAAAUAAGAGAACAUAUUCUUAGCAAUUUUAGACAAAACCAGCAAUGCAGCCUACUUCAAGUAGGACGCUUAAGGGUGAUAGCAUCUUCCCUUCUGCGUAACUAGUGUCGUACCAUUGGAAUCUCUGUUGACCAGUUAGGAUUCCUAGUAACCAUAAUACUAGGUGGCGACUCCUUAAACAAGACCUUUUCCCCCAAAGAACAAGAUGCCGGAUAUCUGUUUUUUUCCAAUCAAGAUAUAAUAAAUUUUUAAUUGGUCGCCGUAAUGUCCGGGUGUGAAAAAAUGGUGACUCCACUGGUCCCCCUUCUAGGACUAAGCUUUGAUAUUUGUCUUUUUAUUGCUAAACAAUAUUUGUCGAACUAUUUUUUUUCUUUAUUAUUACUAUGUUGUGUUUAUCAAGUUUUAUUUUCUUGCUCUUUUUACUAUUUUAACAUGCAUAGUUAUUCAUGUUUAUCUUGCAUAUAUAUUGGAUAUGGAUCUAGGUCGUCACACAUCACUCAUCUAAUUUUUUUUUAAUUAUAUGGGUAUCAACUUUAAGAUAAGUGGAGGAGUAACGACACCCCAAUGGCUUUAGCCUGGGUAAGGAUCGCGAAACUUUCCAACUCUCGCAUGAUUGUUUGCUCGACAGUGGUCGAUAUGCUGAACUAAUAUUACUCAGGGCCUCUAUCUUCACGCUGCUUGCAAACCUCAUAUCGACCUUUCAAGGAUGAUCACUAAGCAUGCGAAAGACCUUUGAGACUAGAUAGCAAAACUACCCUGAUGCAUUUAAUGAUUAGAACCUAUCUUUUAGGUGGAUCCUUGUAUAAUUUCACUAAGAUAAGCUUAACAUGUAAGCAUCCUUAUUAUAGGGCUUUUAGGUGACAUAAUGGCCGCUAUUCAUGGGGUAACAAUUGUUGAGUAUAUACUCGAGUCUGAAUCCUUGCAAAUGACUGAAGGAGACUGCUCUAAACUUAAUGUUAAUGAGACACCGUUACUCAAAGACAUUAGGUGCAUAAUAAAUGACACCAACCGAUUGUUUUUGCUCACCAAGUAUCAGAUAGAUGAAGUAGAAUUUUCCAUGAAAUAUUGGAGGAUUUUGCACCUCUUGAAAGUGUCGAUAUUGUCAUUAGCUAUAAAAGCCCUAACCCAUUUUUAGGAUCCUAAUUAUCAACAUUUCACAUUCCAAAAUGUCAACAUGAAACCUACCAUUGAAGAGUAUAGUGUGUUGACUGAAUUCCUUGAAGGUGCCCAUAAAGUGUACUUUCGCUAGAGAAUUGAUGACACCAUGGAUGAGCUUGCCAAACUAUUGGGAAUCCCUCACCUAAUCCCAUAUAGAGAGAAAGAUAACUCUGGGGGUUUUAGAUAGAAACGACUAGAGGAGUUCUUGAUUGCUAAAAAGGCUAAUCCUGGUGCUAAAAUAGAGAAACACAUAAUAUUGGCCUUGGGAAUAUUUGGAUUAGUUCUAUGUCCCUCUACCACGGGAAUUAUCAGUCUGGAAGCUGCUAAUUUGUUUAUGGAGUAUGAAAAGACAAAGAUCAACCCAUGUGCUGCGAGUUUAGUCGAAACCUUCCUGUCUCUUAAUCAUUAUAAGAAAACGGGUAAAGGUUCCAUGAGAUGCUGUGUCUCAUUACUAUUCAUUUGGUUGGUAAGCCAUGUAGAAACAAAGACGCUCAUAUUCAAAAAUUUCUGGUGGUUCGACCAAAAGCCACUCGAGUUGUUCGUAUCAGAGGAGUGGGAGAGUUUUUUUGAAAACGAUUGGAAGGUAAAAUUAUAAAGACUUCCUUUAAGCGUUUUUAAUUGGAGAGCUCCAUGGAUGAGGAAUAUGGCAAGCUUGAUGAGUUAUGGUUAAAAGCCUUGGGUACCAUUAAUUGGAGUAACGAGAUAUGUUAGUUACGCACCUGCCUUAGUUGUAAAGCAGCACGGGAACAUACAAAGCAUCCCUAGGACAGUCGGCAUAGCUCAAUUUACCAGGGUCUAUAAAGGGGCACCAUGGAGAUGCUAGAAAAUAUCAGGCGGGAUUGGAAAUCUUUGUUACUGAUAAAAAAAGAGAAUGGAUCGAGGAAUCCCACGGUUAGCGAAACAUAUCCUGAAUGGUGUAAUAGAGGAGUUACCAACAUGGAAGAAGCUUCUAAAUUCAUGGGCAUCUGAAGAAAGAGGGUGGGUUGUGAAGAAGAAUUGAGAGAGCAAGUAAAAUUGUUGCAAGCCAAGCUCAAAGCAAAGGAGGAGUGGAGAUUGUCCCUAGCCAUCAUGUGUCCGUUUUUGUGGAUAACACAAAUUCCCUCAUGCACUUCUUGCAGGGCUUUGUUGGCUUCCAGAUCGCUCAGACACCUCAGCAAGGUCCCAUCAAAUGACCUUCUAUACAAAAUUUCCCUGUCUAUAUAGUAUUCCAUAGCCAUUCUUCUCAAAGUCUUUUUAUCUAUCUUCGAGGCUCCCGAUGGGUACUUUUGAUGUUGGAUGAACCUUUUUAUAUCUGGGUACCAUGGGUUACUGUUCUCUUCUUCUUCUAUUGAACAAUAGUGAGUGGGAAAAUUUUUGAUCUCUAUGCCUAUAGGCUGAAUUUUGGCACCACCACCAAUUAUAUCCAUAGAAGCUAGGGUAGCUAAAGCAUCGGCAAACUGAUUUUGUCCCUCCCCAAAUGAGUAAAUUCUAUUUCAUCGAAGCUUUCAGCCAAUUUGGAUAGGUAUUCCUGGUAUGGUCUUAAUUUUUCAUCUUUUAUCUACCAUUCACCCUUUACCUAACAUAUUAUCUACAUCGAGUCUCCAUAUACUUCUAAUUUUCCAUGACUAUCAGGGUUGGUACAGGUAUCAUUAAUUGCACAAAUACUGGAUUGCAUUGAGGCUCUUGAGUAUGUUCACUCAUUCUUUCUUCAGGCUAAGCUGUUGUCGGAGUCUAAUUGAAGGUGAUGGGUCGGUUAGGAGGACUUUCACCAAAGGUAUUUCUUAGUAUUUGCUUGAGUAAGCUUGUGAGGCGAGCCAUGCUUGUCUUCAGAGACUCCAACUCUUCUUGAAAAUGGGCAUCAUGAUGAGCACACUCUUCAUCUUCCAUGUUUCUUGCUCGAAGUCAGGUGUUGUAGAUUCUUUGGGGACCUAUUUUUCAACAUGGAGCAUGUAUGUAUGUUAUUUACAAUGAAUGGAUGUAAAUGUUUGUAUAUGCUCAUUGGAUAUGGAUGGCUAUUUAGGGAGCUUAUACUCUAAGAACAAGUUUUGGGGACAUUGCAUGAUGGGUAGGCUUUCUACCCUAGUCUCAAAAUGGUCUCUUGUUGUCCUAGUGAUCACCCUCAUGAAGGCAAUGCAGAGGCUUAGUAGGUAAUGGGAUGACAUUUGGACCAAUCAUUACCAGUCUAAGCACUCAGCGAACAAUUAGGGUUUACACAAACUUAAACCUUGACUAAAAGUCAUAAGGUAAGCUGCUAGUCUCCCACUUAACCUAAAGUUUUUCAGUGUAAACUCUCACAAAAAAAGUGAAUGAUGUAUGAAUCUAUUCUAUACAAUGUGUGAACGAUACGUGCAAAUAUCAAAGUGUAAAUAAUAAAAGGAAAAUGCAUAUUAAAAAAAACAAACAUACAAACCCAACAAUAACAUAAAAAUUAGACAUAAAGAAAGCUUAGUCCACUGGGUCCCCAGCGGAGUUUCCAUUCUGUCGCACAUGCCCGCGCGGUGUCGAUGGCGAUUGUCCACUCUCGUAUGUAUCUGGAAAAUAUGGGGAGACAAGGAAUUUUUUUCUUUUAUUAGUGGAAAGGGGAAAUGGUUGUCACCACCUAGUAUUUUUGUCAUUAGAAACCUUAACAGGUCUUAGAGAUCGGGCACAGAGACUAAUCGCGUAAAAAGAAGGUAUUAGCACCCCAAUUACACUCUACCUAAGGUAGGCUGCAUUAUUUAAUUGUCUAAUUGUCUGAUAAAAAAAUAAGGUCUUGUCGUGUUUUCUAAUUGUUGGUCUGUCGAAGGUUUAAGAAAAGUCCUCCAUAGUAAGGAGAUCCUUAUCUUAUGGAUAAAACCUAAUCGUUCUAACAUCAAUAAAAAGAACUACCUUUUUAGUGUCCGGAAUACGUUUUACGUAUAAAUUUCUAAGCCCAUAUACUAAAAGAAAACAAAAUAUUUUUGGGGUAUUUUUGAAAUACUGGCCUAGUUCUCAUAACUUUAAUAAAUUGGUUAUAAAAGCUAAAAUGCAUGCUAAAAAAUAAAAAUUUUGAAGUUUUGUUGUAUGAAAAUAUGAUAUGAUUUUUUUUUUAAUCUUUGAGAGACUUGGCCAUAUGCAUGAAAACAAAACAUUUUUUUUGUUUUAUAAUUUUUUGCAAUGUUUUGAUGAAAACCGGGUAUUUUAAUACCGAAUUUGUAAACCAAUAUUAACCAAAGUUGAUAAAAAAAAAUGUGGGAAAUCACACAUUUUGAAAGGAUUUUUUUUUGAAAUUUUUUUGGACUGCGUCGCACCCGGCCUAACCAUUUUGGUCUGCCCCAGUGUUGUCUGGCCCAGUAAAUAGUGCAGGCAAUGAACAAGAGCGAGAAGCUGACUUGUAGUGGCUCAUGGUGGUGCUCGCCGAUGGCAGUGGCAGUGGCGUUGUGGUUACGAACUGGGGAGCUGAGGGUGGCCAGUCAACAGUUCUUCUUCUUCUUCUCUGCCUCUCUGUGUUAUUCCUUUUUUUCUUCAUUCCCUCCUCUUCUCUGAUUCUUCUUCUAUUUUUUACGGUGUUCUUCCCUCUUACGGUGGUGCUGCUAUCGUUGGCGGUGCUGCUAGUGGCGAUCGGAUGUUGGUUCCAGGCGGUGGUGAAAAAAAAGCAAUCAUUGCUGCUAUUUUUCCCUUUUGUGCAGAGGCACCAGUUUCUUCCUUUUCUUCAUGAUUGUUGCAGCGCAGCCCACAGGGAGAAGAAGAUGGCAGAGGCUGACAAUGAUGCUUUUUCAAACGGUAGAGAAAGAGACAAAAAAGAGAGUGAGGUUAUUGUUCUUCUCUGUUAUCUCUUCUCCUUUCCCUUAUUUUUUUUUGUCCCCUGUUUCCUUUUUCUCUGGUUUCAAAAACAAUCUCCCUGUCCUCGUUUUUUUUUCUAUUCUCCCCCCCUCUCUGUUCCUUUUCUCUAUUUUGUCUCUCUCUCAAAACUUUUGUCCACCUCCCAAAAAUCUCCUCUCUUCCCCUUUUGUUUCACCCUUUCUCUCUGUCUUUCUUCAAAAUCUUGCCCCCCCCUCUAUUUCUGGUUCUCACCCUGUAUUUAUAGGAAGCAGGGGGAAGGGCCACCCUACCCUAUCCAAGUGUAGGGUAAGGUGGCGUGGGGCGGCUAUGCACAGGGCAUGGUUCCCUCUCUUUUCUUUAUCAUGUUGGCAGGGUAUGGUGGGUAUAGGUGGUGUCAAGUCUGGGGAGAGAGUGAGUGGGGAAAGAAGAUUUUAAAAAUCUCCUUCUUCCCUGCCUCUGCAUAUGCAGGGGAAGAAGGAGAACAAUGUGGUUUAAAACACACUGUUUUGGUUUUUCUUUUGAAAAAAAGGAAAUGAAUUUGAUAAUAAUCCAAAAAUGGGUUAUGACAAUAAUAAUAAACUUACCCAAGUUUAAGCGGGUCUGGCUGAACACCAGGCUCAAGAGCUUUGGACCCAUCUUAAAUUACGGACCCAAAAGCCUUGGAUCUGCCUGCAUUCCAAACCCAUUAGCCUUGGGUUUGACUCUUGACCCAAUUGUCUUGGGCCAGGUACUGCUGCAAGACCUAGAAAACUUAGAUCUACCCCCUGCCACUCCCAAGCAACUUGGGUCUGGCAUGCCCUUCCAAACCCAAGUUAAUAAUAAUAAAAAUUAUUGAUUUUACCCUUCAAAUCACAUAUAUGUUUUUUUAUAGUAAUAAAAUUUAUUUCAAAUUUAAUAAUAUGAAUGAAUUAAAUAAUAUUUAUGAUAUUAAUAAUAAUAUUAAACUUAUCUUACCUAAGUUUUUUAGUUUUCAAUCCCCUAAAAUAAAACUUAUUUAAUAUGUGUUUUUCAAAAUUAAUGAUAUAUUUUCAAAAAUUUUAAUUAUGAUAUUACAAUAUUAAUUAUAAUAAAAACAAUAAAAUAUUUUAAAUAUAAAUAAUAAUAAUAUUUUUAAUAUUAAUAAUAAUAAUAAACUUACCCAAGUUUAAGUGGGUCUAACUGCAACAUCAGGUCUAAGAGCUUUGGGCUCUCUAAAAUGAGGAACCCAAAAGCCUUAACCCAUUAAAGUUGGGUGAGGACGCAAGACACAAGAGCAUUAGGUCCUGACGUGGACCCAUUAGCCUAGGGUCUCACUCUUGACCCAAUUGUCUUGGGUCAAGUAGGGUUGCAAUACUCAAGGGACUUGGGUCUGCCUACUGCUACUCCCAAGCAACUUGGAUCUGGCAUGCCCUUCCAGCCCCAAGUUAAUAAUAAUAAAAAUAAUUGAUUUUAUCCUUCAAAUCACAUCUAUAUUUUUUUUUAUAGUAAUAAAUUUUGUUUCAAAUUUAAUAAUAUUUAUGAUAUUAAUAAUAAAAUUAAACUUAUAUGACCUAAGUUUUUAUAAUUUUUAAUCCCCUCAAAUAAAACUUAUUGUGUUUCUUCGAUAAUAAUAAUAAUUUUCUUCAAAUUUAUUAAUUUAAUAAGAAGAAGAAGAAGAAUUUUACCCUUCAAAUCAAAUCUAUGGUUGUUUUAUGAAAAUUAAUGAUAUAUUUUGAAAAUUUCUUAAUUAUGAUAUUAAUAAUAUUAAUUAUAAUAAAAACAAUAAAAUUGAUGAUACAAAUAAUAAUAUUUUUAAUAUUAACAAUAUUAAUUAUAAUAAAAACAAUAAUAUUUCUAAUACAAAUGAUAAUAUUUUUAAUAUUAAUAAUAUUAAAAUUAAAAAUAUUUAUAAUACAAAAAAUAAUAUUUUUAAUAUUAAUAAUAAUAAUAAACUUACCCAAGUUUAAGUGGGUCCGACUGUAAUACCAGGUUCAAGAGCUUUAGGUCCCUCUUAAAUGACGGACCCAAAAGCCUUGAGUCUGACUGCAAUAGGAACUCAUUAGAGUUUGGUGAAUACGCAAAACCCAAGAGCAUUGGGUCUUGACGUGGAUGCAUUGGCCUAGGGUCUGACUCUUGACCCAAUAGUUUUGGGCCAGGUAGGACUACAAGACCAAGGGUAUGCGGGUCUGCUCCCCGCCCCUCUCAAGUAACGUGGGUCUAGCAUGCAAUAAUAAUAUUUUUAAUAUUUAUAAUAAGAAUAAUAAUAAGAAUAAUAAUAUUUAUAAUACAAAUAAUAAUAUUUUUAAUAUUAAUCAUCAUAAAAAUAAAAUUGUAACUCUAAUGUUGAUUUUGAGGUAAAGGUUAAUUAGCGAUAGAAUUGCGCAGUUGAUUCUUGAGAAAAUUGUAACUCCUAAUGUCAUGGUAAAGGUUUAGAUCUAUCUGAUGGUGGACUAAGCAGUAAAAGUUUUGGGUUUGGUGAAGAAGUUCCUUUUAUUAAUGGAGACACCUGCAACAAGGCUAUAUAUAUUUUAUUGCUGUUUGUAUUGAUCAAAUCACACUAUCUUGCUGCUUAACCUCAAGCAUUACUCAGUUGUAAGAAACUUGACCGACUAAUUUCACAAAUACAUGGAGAAUAGGUCGUUCUAGCAAAAAAUACGGUAUGAACAUUUCUUUGCAAGCUUACACACACACACACACUGAAUCUCCCUAAUUUACUAGUAAAAAGAUGAUGGCUUCACCACUUUAAGUGAGAAAGAGAAUGGCAUAAUGCACCCAUCACGUCCAAAAGGCUCUGUACAUGGGUCCUCACUAGGGCAAGUGCAAGCAUUAUAGCCUGUAGUACAGAAAUAAAAGAACAUUACACAGCUGUAGUUUAUGCGCAAAUGCAGUAACAUGAAGAGGGAUUAGUAAAACCAAGAAGGAAGUGUUUUGAGAGAACUUGCUGGGUUGUUGGAAGAGAAAAUGGCUGAUUGUGAGAAAUCACAGUUCAAAGGAUUUUUAUCAGAAGUUUGAUAGAAGAGAUUCAUGGCAUAACACUACAAGAUUUCACAGUUUUACCGACGAUAAUAUUUUGUCGGUAUGUGAUUAAGAGUUCGUCGAUAAUUUAUUUACCGACGUCUUCACCGACGGAAUACGUCCGUAAGCUUUCCGUUCGUCGGUAAUACCACCGUCCGUCGCUAUAUCGGUCUGCAAAACAAAAAAAAAUAUUUGCCGAUGGUUUUACAGACGGAAAUUGCGCGCCAAAAAAAAAGUCCAUAUCAACGUCCAUACAAAUUAAAACAUAUAUAUUAAUUUACGGAAAUUACAACUCCGCAAUACCAUUGAUUAUAAAAAUUAAAACGGACCCAUUAAACAAGCUAUUAAUUAUUUCAAAACAACACAUGUAAUUCGGUAAUUCAAUAAAGUUUCAACAAUUUACAAACAAAUACAAUCUUACAAAAUCUAAAACAAACCAUAACAAGUAUAAAAUUAUACAUUCAUAUAGUACAAGUUUGUUUGAGAAAUAACAAUAAAACAUGUACAUCUACUAACAAAAUACAUAUAUUAAAAAAACAAUAAAAUUCAAAUUUAAAUGUUAAAAUUUAAAAAGAUAGAAUUACUUGCAAAUCCGUCGGUAAAUCAGAACACGGAUACUAUGACGAGAAGACUUUAAGAAAUAUGACUUGUUGUGCUGAGAAGAUGGCGAUUUUUUUUGGGGGGGGCUGGUUGUUUGCAGUUAGGGAGAGUUGAGAUGGGGAAGAAGAAGGAGAAAUAGGGGAGGAGAGGGUCGGCAGAGAGAGGAUAUAUUAACUUUUGCCGACGGUUUCACAGACAGACCUAUUCCGUCUGUGAUUCCGUCGGCUCGUCUGACGGUAAAUAGGGCACGUCACCGUACGGAGCUGCUGUUUUGAAUCCCUUAGUGAUUCCGUCGGCAUUUGCAUCGGUGAAUCGGUCACGUCACCGUACGGAGCUGACGUUUUGAAUCCCUCGGUAAAAAAUACCCGCAAUAACCUCCACGUCAGCGAACCGCCCUUUUUUUUUAUAUUCUCAACAUUCCAUCUGUAAUUUCGUGGGUAGAUACCGACGGAAUUUGGCCGUCGGUAUCUACCGACAAAAUUACCGACGGAUUAAAUUCGGUCGGUAAUGGCGACCUCAAAUUAUCAACAGAAUUAUUCCGUCGGCAAUUCCGUUGGUAUUAAGUGAAUUUCUGGUAGUGUAAGAGAUGCUAUUGUGUUCGGUUCAAAGCAAGCCCCGCCUGGUUGGAUCGGAUCAUGGUCAAUCCCUCGUCCAUAAGCAAAAUCCAGAUUAUCCUGCAACUGUGCAUCUGAUACACCAGACUUGGGCACACACCAUGUUGCUUUGUUUGUUCGGCUUUGGAGAUGGUGUUGCUGGAGUUUUUGGUUUAGUCGGAGUCUUAAAGCAUAAUAGAUCAAGUUAAUAAAACUUCAUAAACUACUGUUACGACGGAGAUGAACCGAAAGAAACAGUGGCAACAGGGAAGGCAUGGAUAGGAACUAUAAAAGAAGCAUCAUGUAAAAAUAUUCACAAUUCCACCAACAAAAUCUACCAAAAUUGAGGUUUCUGAUACUCGUAAGGAUCACAUUUCUACCAAAUGAGCCAGUUGGUCACAAUGCUGAAUGCGACAUUACCUUUCCUCAUCCCUUUCCUCAUCCCAUUGGAUUGGAAACUGAGCACACUGUAAAAGUGUAAAUCGAGUACAAAUAUCCUCUUAACUGAUUUUUCAAUUUACUCAUAAACAAUAGAUUCGACAGAGAAACUUAUAAAAUAGAGAGAUUCAAAACGGGUAUUUUUUACCCAUCUUCAUCAUCUCUUUACAACUUCUUAUUCUAAGAUUGUAAGUCAUAAAAGAAAAGGUAAAUCAAAGAAAGUCCCAUAAACCCAUACAACAAAUCUAAACUGAAAAUCCUAAUUAAAUAUACUUUCUUGCUGCCGCUGCUGAUGUUGAUAGUGCUCGUGCAAUUACACGUGCAAUUGCACGUGCUCGUGCUCAUGCUCAUGCUGCUGUUAUUGUUGCUGGUGCUGGUGGCUGCUCCUAUUAGCGGUUGUGAUGCUGCUGCUAGUGACUGUUUCUGUUUCAAUAAAUUAACUGGGUUUUUGCAGGUGAAAUAUGCAAGAAUAUUUUAGAUUUAUUUGUCUAAAAAUGAUGAUUCCAUGUAUUUCAAAUAUUGUUGAUAAAGAUGUUAAAUUAAAAAAUUGAAUAUAUAUGUUUUUUUUUAUCAUUAUUAAUAGAGACAUAGAGAUCGAUUAAAAAGAUGUUAUGGGAUGGGUUUUUCUUAUUUUGUUAAUUUCCUAACAGAACAAGCCUAUUCCAAAAAUCAUAAUGUUUAGGAUAGAAAAUCAGGAUUUUUUUUGUUCAGAAGUUAAGUUCAAGGGGUUUUUCUUUUAGUACAAUUUGGCCUUUUUCUUUGCUGAAAAGGAACUGUCCAUUCUGUUAACAAACAAAAUGCAUAGUGAUGUUUUAAAACCCAUCUUCCCAACCAAACACAGAAAUUUAAAUGCCAAAUCAAAGGAAAGCUCAGGAAUAGAACACUUGGCUGUUGAAAAAUCGAAAUACCAAUGAAAUGCACGUAAAUUUUGUUCUUACCUGGCUACUUGUAGAGAGUCCAACAUCAUAAACCAUGGUGAGAUCAGUCUUGAAAAGUCCAAAUGAUCGCUCAGAACCACGUCCAGGUUUCAAGUCUUCGUCAUAAAGAGCAAAGAGGUAUGUAUCCACUGAUUUUCCUGGCAUGAGUGGAGUGCCCACCAUCGAUCGAAGGUGUGCAAUCAAAUUGCCAUUGUAAGCCUUGGCAUUCUCAAUGCUUGGCCCUACGUCGUUGUCAUCUCCUUUAAAUGGCCAUCCAGUCUCAGCCACCACAAUCUCAACAUUCUUAAAUCCCAUAGAAUUCAGUGCAGAAUAAACUGCAUCCACCUGCAAUUGAUUAAACCACUUGUUAGUAGCAUUUUUAUUCGAUCAUCUAUUGAUACAAAAUUUACGCCUUGCAAUUUGAUUUACUCUCACCUGAGCAUCGAACAUGUUCAUGUACUUGAUCUUAAUGUUUCCAUCCAUUCGUCCUGCAUUCGGCUGGAAAAGGCAAAAAGCAAGAGUCUCAGGCCUUGUAUCGCUUCUGUAGGCAUAGUAAGGGUAGGGAUUGAUUGCGAAAGGCGAACCAUUCGCACUAUUAAACUCCAACAAGCCCUUCAUCAGAUCCCCAUAACUUGGAUCAAAGCUUCCAGAAGAAGGUGGCUCAGACUGCUUAAGCACUCCCAUCGAAUGAACUGUGGAGACCUUAAUUUUACCCCCGAGCGAUGCAUCAUUUAGAGCAUUCUGUACAUUUUGCAUUGCUGGUAAGAGCUUGUUCACGAGAUUCUGGUCAUUGGAAGUCAUGACCUCGUUGCCGACAGUGAUGAGGAUGAUAUUGCUAGCUGGAUAGAAGGGAAGCACGUUUGUGUUGAUCCAGCUCUCGGCAAAAUUGGGACCAGAGGCUAGUCCUGGAAUGUCACCAUUUGCAGUGCCGACAACAAUUCCAAUUCCGGUGUUGGCUAAGGCUUUGAUUAUAGUGGGGUCCGAUCCAUAUAGUCGGACCUUUUGGAUUGAAGUGGAUUGAAGAAGCUUUGCGGUGGAUGGUGGUGGUGGAAGGUUGUCCGCAACUUGGCCAUAGUUUAUACCGAUGAAUGAUUGCGAGUCUGCACAAAAAGCAGCAAAAUUUAAAGCAGAUGAUCAAACAUCAAUUUUUAAACGACAAAACAGAACACCAACAUUUUUUGUUUUCAUAGACUGAAAUGAAGACAGCUCAGUUAAGGUAAAUUCCUUAGAAAUGGAAGAAGGUAAUUAAAAUAGAAAGAGACGCAAACUUACUUGCGAUUUUUACAGUCUGUAAGGAGGAAAGGAGUAGGAAAGCAACAGUAUAAGGAAGCACCACCAUGGCUCAGGAGGAGCUGUUUCUAUUCUGCAUUUUUUGAAAGUGGAGUGGGCAUUAAAUAUAGAAGAUGCUACAAGUCGAGGGCAGAAGCGUAAAGAUGACUUCGGAUAUAUUCUUAUUAUAGAAUAGUAGGGCCCUUAACAUUAUGUUUUAGGAGUUAAAUUUUUUAUUUAUUUCAUGUGAUCUCUUAAAUUUAUAUAUUCUUGGAAGCAAAGUUGAUGAGAUAAAGUUUAAAUUUAUAGGAUAAAAACAUAUUUAAAAGAAAAAAUACCAAACAUAAAAAAAUAGCAUGGCUUUUCUAGAAUUCGUAAGAAAAUGUACUUUUGCCUUUUAUCGCCUAUUUAUUUAGUCAAAUCGAACUGAUUAAUUAUUCUCUUCAUUAAUUUUUUUUUAUUGCCUUGGUUAAUCAUAUAUAUUCGAAUGUAAUAGAUAACUAUGUUUUCAACCAUUUUUAAAGUGAAUUUGCAGUUGUUUUUUUUUUCUUAGGACCAUUGACCUGCCUUUUGGUUAUUAUGUGGAAAACAAGAGGGAAAGGCAGAGAACUCAAAUCGAUUGGAAAGUUAUGGUACGAUGACAAACACUUCAAAGCUAGCUUGUUAACGUAUAGUUCCUCCAGCCCUAACAACUAACACUAAGCAUUGUCACAACCAUUGCAUCUGCUUAUAGAUUCUUUGAAGACAAGUUCUCCUUCUAAGUUUCAAAGCUUCUUUGUAGAAAUAAACAUGCACAAUUUUCCUUUUAUCUGAACCUACUAAUACGUGGGCACACCGUAGAUGACGUUGAAAUCCUGUAUGUAGAUCGUUAGGGGCCAAGUUCAUGUUGAAAAGAAGUGUUGAAAACUGAAAAGCAUUCUCCACCCUUCAAUCCUGCAAGUGAAACGGAGAAUUAGACGAGAAGGUUUCCUCUUUUUUGAGACUCACAAAGUGUUAAUGGUGUGCAAUCCAUAUAUCAAAUUGUUAUGUAAACUUCUGAAAAUUUGUUUGAGCUUUGAUUUGUAUACACUAAACAACAACAAGGGAAAUAAUCUAUUUAUUAGCACAAAUUGCUAUGCUGAGCUUCGAUUUAUUUUUUUUGGUACUUCAUUGUUCAAUAUAUUUAUUUGAUUCAUAUGAUAAUAAUUUUGUGUUGUAGCGUACUUAGUUAGCACACGUUUCUAAAUCUAGAAGUCGUGAUUUAUUUCAACGUCAUCUAUAUAUGUUGUGCCCACGUACUAGUAGGUUCAGAUAAAGGAAAAUUGUGCAUGUUUAUUUCUACAGAGAAGCUUUGAAACUGGGAAGGAGAACUUGUCUUCAAAGAAUUUAGAAGCAGAUGCAACGGUUGUGACAAUGCCUAGUGUUAGUUGUUAGGGCUGGAGGAACUAUACGUUAACAAGCUAGCUUUGAAGUGUUUGUCGUCGCACCCUAACUUUCCAAGGACUUGGAUCGCUUUGAGUUCUUAGCCUUUCCCUCUUGUUUUCCCCAUAACUGCAAAUUAUUAUAUAUAAAGCUAAAUCAUGUGAGGAAAGUUCUAUUUAUAAAGACUAAUUGUACCGUGAAUUGGAACAGUAUUAGCAAAAGUCAUGUUCAUCAAGAUUCAUGGCACUGUGGAUUGGAGCAGUGUAAUGACAGAGUUGUCCUUGUCACAUAGAGGUGCAAAGACUGUAGGAGGAGGGUGGGCCGGGUUGUCUUUUCAUUGGGAUACAUUUGACAUUAAAAGAAUGGUUAAAAAAAAACGGUCAGUGUAAAUUUUGAUGGGGCAUAAUAGGACUACAGACCCGGUUGUAGACACCUGGUGCUAGGCACAUAUGAUGGACUAAGCAGUAAAAGUUUUUAUGGUUUCAUUAACCACCUGCAACAAGGCUGUAUAUAUUUUACUGUUGUUUGCAUUGAUCAAAUCACACUAUCUUGCUCCAUAACCUCAAGCAUUACUCAGUUGUAAGAAACUUGACCGACUAGUUUCACAAAUACAUGGAGGAUAGGUCGUUCUAGCAAAAAAAAAAAAAUUACUGUAUGAACAUUUUUUUGCAAGCUCACACACACACACUGAAUCUCCUUAAUUUACUAGUAAAAAGAUGAUGGCUUCACCGCUUUAAGUGAGAAAGCGAAUGGCAUAAAGCACCCAUCACCUCCAAAAGGCUCUGUAGAGAGUCCAACAUCAUAAACCAUGGUGAGAUCAGUCUUGAAAAGUCGAAAUGAUCGCUCAGAACCAGGUCCAGGUUUCAAGUCUUCGUCAUAAAGAGCAAAGAGGUAUGUAUCCACUGAUUUUCCUGGCAUGAGUGGAGUGCCCACCAUCGAUCGAAGGUGUGCAAUCAAAUUGCCAUUGUAAGCCUUGGCAUUCUCAAUGCUUGGCCCUACGUCGUUGUCAUCUCCUUUAAAUGGCCAUCCAGUCUCAGCCACCACAAUCUCAACAUUCUUAAAUCCCAUAGAAUUCAGUGCAGAACAAACUGUAUCCACCUGGAAUUGAUUAAACCAGUUGUCAAUAGCAUUUUUAUUAGAUCAUCUAUUGAUAACAAAAUUUCGCACUUGCAAUUUGAUUUACUCUCACCUGAGCGAGAAAUAAAGGAAAAUUGUGCAACAGAACGCAAAUUGGAUUAAAUCAAAUUACUCUGUUGAUAAUAAAGGAAAAUUUGAUUUAUUCUGUUGCACAAUAUUAUAGAAUGUAUUUAUAUACGAAAUAUUGUAUACAGGAAAUAUUGUAGACAUACUCUUGUGUGGUAACCUCCACCAUUGCUAUUGUCCUACACAUAUAUAUAGGAAGGGUUGGCUAACCAUUAGGUUAAGCCUCCUAAUUAUUCUCAACUUGGUAUCAAAGCUUUCUGCAGUCAGAACUCUUUUCUCCCUCCCUCCCUUUGCAGACAGCCCUCUCUCUACUUUUCCUACAUGGAUUCUACUGUUGCCGCCGACUUCUCUCUCUCCACUAGCGGUGCAGCACAGCCGGCCAGCCAUCCCCAAGCUGCUGCCAGUGGUGUCUUUUCUCCCCAACAACAGCCUCCACUUGCAGAGCAUGUCUCUGAUUCUUCCUCACAAGUCUCUGCCGUUCCUUUGCCUCUCAUGGGAACACACACUUCAGCUAUCGUUCCUUUAUCAAACACCCACCAAGUUGUUUCGUUGAAACUUAUGAACACAAAUUAUCUCUAUUGGCGAAUGCAGAAGAAGCCAUAUCUCCUUGGUCAAGGUGUUUUUCACUUCGUUGACGACUCAGUGCCGUGUCCUCCAUCUCAUAUUUUUGAUAGUUCUGCUAGUUCUUCCUCUACCAUCAGCCCAUCUUUUCUUCGUUGGAAGCAACAGGAUCAACUUAUUUUUAGUGCUUUACUCUCCUCUCUCUUCGUAGAUGUGUUGCAUCUCGUGGUAGAUUGUUCUACCUCGCAUUGUGUUUGGCGCACUCUUGAGAAAGCGUUUGCCUCUCCAUCUAAUUCUCGCAUCAUGCAACUUCAUGGCUCCUUUCAAGACCUUCGGCAAGGUGACUCAUCGGUUAGUAUAUACAUGCAGCAAGCCAAAUCGUUAUUUGAUGAAUUGGCUGCUGCUGGUCGCCCAAUGUCUCUUGAAGACUUCAAUCUCUAUGUGUUUCGUGGCCUUCGUGGCGAGUUCAAAGAGUUAGUAACGAGUCUCAUAACCAAGGCAGAAUCGCUGUUAUAUGAUGAUCUUCACAGCCACCUUCUUACCCAUGAAUUUCUGCACAAGAACUCCUUCCAUUCCAUGACUACCGCUCCCUCUCUACUGUCUUCUUCUUCUCUGUCGCAGCAGCCACCACUGCUGCCAACACCACAAUUUUCUGCUCACCAUGCUAUGUCUCAUCAUAGCCCCAACUUCAGCCGCAACAAGGGUCGCUCUAGAGGUAAUUGGCAUCCCAACAACAACCGUUACACUCCCCAGAACAGGGGCCAAUCUGUUGCAGAUUGGCGGCCAAACCACUAGCAGCAUACCAGGCGCAACUCCGGUGUUGGGCAGUGGUCUGCACAGCAGCAUGUACGCUGCCAAUUGGGCUCCAGUUUCGGUCACAUAGCUCCCCACUGUUCCCAGUUUUGCAGCAGCACUCAGCAACCCUCCGCUCACCUUGUUGUUAGGAAUGUUUUUGCUGUGACUUGGUUCCCCGACACCGGCGCAAAUCAACACGUCACACCUGAUCUUGGAACUCUAACCGAUUCUGCACCCUAUCUUGGUAAUGAUUAUUUGCAUGUUGGUGACGGUAAGGGCCUUGACAUAUCCCAUAUUGGACAUACUACAUUACAUUCCCCAAAACGCAUGUUUACAUUAUCUAAUGUUCUCCAUGUGCCUCACUUUACCAAUUUGUUGUUAUCUGUUCAAAAAUUCUGCCGUGAUAAUCAUGUUUAUUUUGAAUUUCACGCUUCUAUGUUUUAUGUGAAGGAUCUCGUCACCAAGGAAGUUCUCCUUUCUGGUCAGACUCAUGAUCGUCUUUAUGUCCUCUCCGAGUCUUCUGCCACGUCAGUUCCUCAAGCUUUUUGGUCUCCGUGCAUCUCCGCGACUGCCGACCUAUGGCAUUGUCGUUUGGGUCAUCCAACCCCUCACAUUUUAAAUUUGUUAGUUUCCGGCAAUAAAAUCGUAUAUACUUCUAGACGUUCUCUUACCCAGUGUCAAGCUUGUCCUUUAGGCAAGUCGUCUUGUUUCUCAUUGCGACCUACGGGUCAUAAAACUUCUGCCCCAGUUGAUUUAAUUUUUAGUGAUGUUUGGGGUCUGCUCCUAUGUUUUCUUCUGAUGGCUUCCGCUAUUUUGUUAUUUUUAUUGAUGCGCAUACCAAACAUAUAUGGUAUUAUCCGCUUGUUGCGAAAUCUGAUGUCUUUUCCACUUUUCAACAUUUUCAAACACUUAUUGAGCGUCAGUUUUCACUUAAAAUUAAAUCUGUUCAAACUGAUUGGGGCGGUGAAUAUCGUAAAUUAAAUAAAUUUUUUCAGACCAUUGGUAUUCAUCAUCGGUUAAUUUAUCCUCAUACUCAUGAACAAAAUAGCACUGUUGAACGUCGUCAUCAACAUAUUGUCGAAACUGGCCUAACCCUUAUAGGCCAGUGUAGUGCCCCAUUGCGAUUUUGGAACUAUGCGUUUGAAUAAUCGGUAUACCUUAUUAAUCGCAUGCCUACUCUUGUUCUUCAAAAUACAUCUUCGUUUGAGUGUCUGUUUAGUUUCACUCCUGAUAUUCUUUGUUUUAUGUUUUGAAGGCACUUUUGGAUGAAAGAUGCAAAAAGGAGUAAAUUUGAGAUAAUUGGCAGAUUUGACCUUCAGUCGAUGUUUUGUGUUGAGCAUGAGCUCUAGAGGUUAAAAUGAAGUUCUUCUAGUGGCAUUAAAAAGCUAACAUCCAUACCUUUUGUCAUAACCCAAUUUUUGACCCUUUUAUUUUAUUAUUAUUACUAUUAUUUUAUCUACUGAAAAAUAAAAAGAAAAAAGAAAAAUGAUGAUGAAAAACAAAUAAAAAAUGAAGAAUAAAUUAAAAUUUUGGUGAAAGACAACAUGAUUGUAAGUUUUGAGACUUAGUUGAGCUUGGAAUUAAUUUAAUUAAUCCAAUUAGGGGUUUAAUUGAAGAAUUGAUAAGUUUUGAGACUUAAUUGAGCUUGGAAUUAAUUUAAUUAAUCCAAUUAAGGGUUUAAUUGUAAAAUUGAUAAGUUUUGAGACUUAAUUGGACUUGAAUUUAAUUUAAUUAAUGAAAUCAGGGACUUAAUUGAAGAAUUACCAAAGUUUGGGGUUAAUUGGGGGCAAAAUUGCAACAGAUUAGAGUCCAAGGACUGUUUUGUAAAAAGCUCUGAAUUGCAGGGGUCCAAUUAAAGUUUAUCCAGGGGCUUGCUUACGAAAAUUUCAAAACUUCAAGGACCAAAACACAAUCGAACGGCGUCGUUUCAAAGAGAACCCAUCAUCUUCUUCCGUUCACCAAACCAGAAAAACGGAUGUCCAACGAUGCAUCGCCAUUACUCCUGCAAUAACAGUCACUUUAUUAUCUGUUUAACGGCAUGGCUUUCUCUGGCUAUAAGAAGCCAGAGAAAGAAAGCAGAAAGGGAGAAAAAAAAAGGAGCCACGGGAAGGAGUCACAGAACCGGGGGGGAAGACGAAUAACGCAGGGGACUGGAAACAGAGAGGAAGAAAAACAGGGGGAGAGGCAGGUAACCAGAAACCGAAGAAAAGCAGGGAAAACAGGGGAGAAAACAGAGGAAAUUCCAAGAAACAGAGAGGCUAGCAGGAGGGGAGACUGGAGGAGCACGAACCGAAAACCAUAGCUAAAAAAACUCAGCCUAAGGCCAUUGCCUUCAUCUCUGCAGACAUCCCUGCAGAAAACGAAAGACCCGAAAACCAGAGCAAAAGAGACACAGAGAACAAAAAAAACCCAGAAGCAGAAUGAACAAAAGGAAGUAAACAGAGAGCUAAACCCAUCUUUGGUUUAGUCCCAGAAUUCAAUCACAACAUCCGAACAGAAGAGGAAAGCAGAGGAGAGCAGAGAGUAAGUAAAAAACCCAACAAACAGAAACACAAGAACAGAGGAGAAGAGACUGAGAGGAGGAGGAAGGGAGAAUUCUCCGGGAGUGCCCGAACUGUUGCUGUCGCCUGCGCCUUCGAAUCGCCAGGUAAGGCUUUCCUUUUAUCUUCGUUUAUGUACAUUUCAUUCUGUAGAGAAGAGAACGGGGCGAAGGUAAUCCCUGAGCAGCGCACGCGUGGUUUGAACCACGCGUGCCUGCAGCCCAGCCGGGUCACUGGCUUGGGCCAGUGACCGAGCCGGGCUGGGUCCAGCCUAGCCCAACCAAAAAAAAUAAACAAAAAUAAAAAAUAAAAUGUGUAUGCAUGAGUAAAAAUUAUAUAGAUUUAUUGGUUUAUUCACUGAUGCCAGAAUCAAGAAUAAAAAUACCGGUUUAAAUUUAUAUUAUUCAUUGUAUUUUAUUUUUAUUUAGCAAGAAAAAAAUAAAAUUGUGCAUGUGUAAAAAUAAAUUUAUUUUGUUUGUUUAUUCACUGACACCAGAGUCAGGAAUAAAAAAUACUGAUUUAAAUUUAUUUUGUUUUUAUAGCUACGUAAUAUUUACCAACGCCAGAGUUGGAAGUAUUCGUAGUUGAAUAUUCAUUGGCGCCAAAGUCAGGAAUAUUAUAAGCAAAUUAUCAUAGCAAAAACUAAUAAACAUUUAGCAAUAUAAGACAAAACCAGCAAUGCAGUCUGCCUCAGGCAGAACGUUUAAGGGGUGAUAAUAUCUUCUAUUUUACGUAACCAGUCCCGAACCAUAGAAUCUCUGUUGACCAGUUAGGGUUCCUAGUGACCAUAAUACUAGGUGGCGACUCCUUAAACAAGACAUUUUUUUUCUAAAAGAACAAGAUGCCAGAAAUCUGUUCUUUUUCCAUAAUCAAGAUUUAUUUUUAGGGCCGCCGCGAUGUCGGGUGCGACACCUUUCUGGACAUCUAAGUCAAGAAAAUAAAUAAGGAAGAGCAUGGAAAUCGCAGCCUUCAAAGUCAAAUCUCGCAAUCUGCCAAUGUUGAUCUUCGGCCAUUCUGACUCGAAUAUCUGGCCCUACAGAAGUCCAAUUGAUGCAAAAUCAAUUUUGUUGGAUUCCUGACUCAAAGGUCUAUAAACUCUCCACAUUUCAGCAAAAAAAGAUGUUAUAUGAGAGAGAUAUGAUUUUUCAAAGAUGAUAACUGAAUUCUGCCAGUAAACAGGUUUCGUGAAGAAACGAGUCCAAAUUACUUUCUGAAGCAUCUAAACCGAUAUCCAAGUUUUUAUUUCAACAAUUUAGCUCCUCAAAGUCAAAGCUUGAAGAUUUCAUGCAAGGCUAUUUCUCUUUUUUUAGAAAAAUAGUUAUUGAACUACUUAAAUGUAAACAGUCUACUUAAGGGAGGACUAUUUUGUAAAAUAGAGACUAGGGUUUCCUAGGAUAUAAAAAGAAUGAGAGAAGAGAAGGGGGGCAGCCAGCCAAGAAGAGAAAAACACCCCUCUCCUCUAAGAAACACAAAAUCAUGCAUUCCUCCUUCUUUUUGAUUAGUUGUUCAACAAACAUGCAAGGCUAAACUCUUUUUCUUGGUUGCAAGGACACGAAAACCUUCGGAUUUCAAGAAUUGUGAGAUUUAUUUUACCUUUUCUUUUCAAUUUACAUGAUGAAUAUAUUUGUUCUCCUAUGCUUAUUUUUCCUAUGAUUGUUUAUUUUAAUUGCUAGAGCGGACUCUAAGUUAUUAUUAUAGACAAUCUAUUGCUAAGUUUGAUAUCAAAACCGGAGUUGUGGUAUAUGAACUUGUGAAGCAACUAAGUUUAAUAAUUGUGGCAGAUCUACAUUAUUAAUCUUAGGGAGAACAUUCAAUCAAAUCAAACAUAGACUGCGGACAGUUAUGUUUUCUUGAUUAAUCAACUUAUCUAGUUCUUAAGGCUGCAAUUGAAUUAAAUUACUAGUGCGGAUACUGUGGUUGUUUGAUGGUUAGGGUUAGUUAUACGGCGGAUCCGUUAACUAACCAAUGUUAAGAAGAGAUAAAUAUUCAGAAUAUAAUUUGAUGUUUCGUUUCCAUGAUCAGUUCUGAUUUCUGUAGGUGGAUGUGUGCUUUAUCCUAGAUAACGUCCAAACCCCCCCCCCAAAUUGCAUAUCAUCUAGCAUACAAAUCUGACUUGAACCUUCCUCGUGGGAUCGACCCCUUGCUUGACCUAUACUAUCUUGUGUGUUGUGUUUUAAGCUAGGGUAAUUAAUUUGUGCGACCGCGACAUCGUAACAAAUUUUGGCGCCGUUGCCAGGAAAGUAAUUUUAGUUGAUUCUUGUGCUAUUAUUUUUAUUUACUGUGAUUGUUAUUUAUUUUUCUGAAAAAAAAAAGAGAAACAUAAUUUUUGCUUGCUGCGGUACUGUUCAUUACAGCAGCGGUACUGUUCAAAACAGAUUUUUUGGUGGAAUUAGGUAUCGGCCUUUUUUUUCCAAAAGGAAAACGACGUUCUAAACAAGACUAGUGAAGUAUCACUAGCCCCACCCUAUCGAGGCCAAAUUCCACUGUUUUCUAGGGUUUGUAGGCAGUUUUAGUUUUCUAGCGUAGGAUUUUCAUACAAUUUGCAUUGUUUUCGAUCUCUUGUGUGGUUGGUUUCUUUUGAGUUUUCUUGAAAAUUUAUGCUUGUAACCCGUUCUACUAACCAGAUUCAAGUGCAGGUGGAUCUCGAAAUAGAAAACACUUUACGCAGGUUACGAAAGGAAGUUCGCGUCAACACCAUGACUGUUGAACGACAACAAACACUCAAGGAGCUUGCUGCUCCUAACAUGGAAAAUCAACCAUUGUGCAUCAACAUUGAUAAUAAUGUAAACUUUGAGCUCAAAUCUGGUUUUAUACAUUUGCUACCAACAUUCAAUGGUCUUACAGGUGAAGAUCCUCAUACUCAUCUCAAGGAGUUCCAUAUGGUUUGCGUUGGCAUGAAACCGAAUGGAGUUGACGAAGAAUAGGUUAAGUUGAAAGCUUUCCCUUUCUCUUUAAAAGGGGCAGCAAAGGCAUGGUUUUUCUCUAUUAUCCCAGGUUUCAUUGGAACUUGGAAUGCCAUGAAGAAGAUUUUCCUUGAAAAGUAUUUCCCAGCAUCUCGAAUUGCCAACAUAAGGAAAUAAAUAUGUGGGAUUCAACAAUCUCAUGGAGAGACAUUUUCCAAGUAUUGGGAAAGAUUUGAGCAACUGUGCAUUCAAUGUCCUCAUCAUCAAAUACCCGAUCAGCUGCUCAUUCAAUAUUUCUAUGAAGGAUUGAUGCCUACUGACCGUAGUAUCAUUGAUGCUGCAAGUGGAGGGGCAUUGGUAGAUAAGACACCUGAGGCUGCACACCAAUUGAUCUCAAACAUGGCAGCCAACUCAAAACAAAUUUGGCACGCGUGGAGACUUUGCAAACAAACGAGUAAAUGAGGUAAGUAUUUCUAACCUUGAAAAUAAAGUUAAUGAUCUUACUUCUCUUAUGCAUUCUUUGGCUUGUGGAAAUGUACAGCAGAUGAAAAUUUGUAGCAUGUGUUCCUUACAAGGACAUACCUCAGAUAUGUGCCCAACAAUGCAAGAAGAUUACAUUGAACAAGUUCAUGCAGUUGAUGGAGGAUUCAACGGACAGCCCCAACGUAAACAUGAUCCCUUUUCCAACAUAUACAAUCCCGGAUGGAGAGAUCAUCAAAACUUAUGCUAUGGGAACCCACCUCAACAAGGCAAUCAAGGCCGACAGUUCCAUCCCCAUGGAUUUCAAUCCCAACAGAAUUAUCAAGCGAGACAACCCCCUCCAUUCACAAACUCCAAUGUUAUGGGGUCGUCAUCCAGUGAUGAUCUUCAUGAGAUGAUGAAAACUUUGGCUUCUAACACUGUGACCUUGCAACAAAAUGUCAUGUCUUUCAACAGGAAACAAGGUCAAGUAUUCACAACUUGGAGAAGCAAAUGGGGCAAGUAGCUUCAAGUGUGGGGAAAUUGGAAGCACAAAUGAAUGGAAAAUUGCCCUCCUAAGCAUUGAAUCCAAUAGAGAAUGUUAGUGCGAUCAUGCUGCGAAGUGGGAAAGAACUUGAAGAGAAAAGGUCGAAACAAAUUGAGUUGGAGGAAGAAGAAGAGAUAAAAAACGAUUUGAGUACAAAGAAGGAACAUCCUCCUCCUCCACAAACUGAAACAUCGACCAACACUUCAAAGGUAACUCCUCACUCAAUGAAUUCUAGUUUUAAAACAAUUCCACCCUUUCUUGUGAGUUCUACUAGGUCUAAGAAAGAGGACAAAGAAAAAGAGAUUUUAGAGGUUUUCAAGAAAGUAGAACUCAACAUUCCUUUGCUUGAUGCUAUCAAGAAAAUUCCCAAGUAUGCCAAAUUCUUGAAGGAUUUGUGUACUACCAAGAGAGCUUUCAAAUUGAAAGGUCAUGAAAUGGUAUGUAUGGGUGAAGUUGUAUCUGCUGUUGUUCAAAAUAAUAUGCCUUUGAAGCAAAAAGACCUAGGUGUGUUUACUGUCCUAUGUGUUAUUGGUAAUGCUAGUUUCAAAAGGGUCUUGUGUGAUUUAGGUGCAUCCAUUAGUGUUAUGCCUAAACAUAUUUAUGAUUCUUUUAGUCUUGAGCCUUUGAAUAAAACUAGCAUUGUAAUACAACUUGCGGAUCGUUGUUUUGUUUACCCACUUGGUGUGAUAGAAGAUGUCCUAGUGAAUAUUGAUAGUUUGGUCAUUCCAUGUGACUUUUAUAUUCUUGAUAUGGAACAUGAUUCUUGUGAUUCAUCAAACAACACUCCUAUAUUGUUUGGGAGACCAUUCUUGAAAACUGCCAAUACAAAAAUUGAUUGCGGUAAUGAUACUUUGUCUAUGGAGGUAGGAGAUGAAAAAAUUGAAUUUAAUUUUCAUGAUGCAAUGACAUAUCCUUAUAGCAAUGUUUAUUCUAUCACAUGGUAUGACCAAGUUGAUAAGUGUGUGCAGCAAGUUUGUGAUUUUGAUAGUAAGGAUGGAUUAAGCGUAGCUUUGAGUUAUGGCUAUGAUUUUACCAAGAUAGAAAAAAUGUAGAGGCAUAUAUACCUUCCUGGAAAUCUUGACACGUGUACUUCAACUUAAAUUAAGCCCACAUUCUCAUUCUAGAACUCUAACUUGGCCAAAAACCUAUCACAAGGAGCUAGAUCCAAAAAAUAAAAUGCAGAAUUUCUUAUCUUUUAGCGAAUAAUUCACGAAGUCUCUUCUGCAUGCCAAACUCAUAAAAAUAACUUCCAAGCAACUCGAAUAAGUUCAAAAUCCCUUAAAAAGCAUAGUGUAAAAGGAAGAAAAACACAUGUACAUUUUGCACUUAUCAAUAUUGCUGACAGUAAGACCCUUCAUUGUUGUGUAUUGCUGUCAGCAGGACCCAACAAUGGUGCUGGACCUAAGUUUAUUGGGCCUAACUCUGAUGCCAAACCCAAUGAUGGUGGGUCUGGGUGCCUAGCUGAAGCAGGACCCACUAAAGUUGGGCCCUGCUUCCACCAGGACUAAGCAGAGGUGGGCCCAGUUGCCAACAAAGACCCACUGCUGCUGGGUAUUUUUGUCACCAGGACCCAGUAGCGUUGGCCAAGUUUGUUUCAUUAAAAAUUUAGGCCUGUAAUUGGGCCGGAGGAAACCUGUCCCGCCGGGUCAACCCGUAACUUGGGCGACUCGACUAAAACCCGGUAGAGUCUCCUUUUUUUUUAAUUUGUUUUUGUCCAACCUAGAGACCCCUCUUGUUUCAUAUUUUUCAGUUAAUUACUAAUUCAUUUCAAAGUUCACUAUAUAAAUAUUAGAAGAAUAUUUUAUUUUUUCAAUGUGGGAUAAAAAAACAUUUUUGGUUUAAAUACUUCAAGUUAGAAGUAUAAGAUAGUAUCUUUUCAAUGUGGGAUAAAAGUUUUUUGAGGUAAUCUUUUGAAUUUAAUUGUUUACAAGAUGUAUAGCCUAUAUCCACAUGGAUUAUUUCUAGAUUUUUUCAUAUAAAAUAUUAAAACCUCAAAUAAUUUUUUUUCAAUAUUCCCGGUUUGACUCAAGUCAACCCUUAUAACCCAGAACCCAACCCCUUUGCCAAGUCAACCCCUAGGUCGGGUUUCGUAACUAUAGUUGUCAUAAAAAUACAUUUUUUAAUUUGUUAUAUUUUUUGAACUAUUAAAAUGCGUUGAAAAAAUAUACAUAAAUAUUUUUUAUAAAAAAUAAAAAUAUUUGACCAGCGGCAAAGCGCGGGUCACAGAACUAGUACAUUUUAAAAAUGGUUGAAAACAUAGUUAUCUAUUAUAUUCGAAUAUAUAGGAUUAACCAAGGCAAUAAAAAAAAUUAAUGAACAAAAUAAUUAAUUAGUUCAGUUUUUAUAAAAGACUAAAUUAAUAUGCGAUAAAACUGAAAAGAGAUAGAAAUAAUAAUUAGAACUAGACGGAUUUUGAAGAGACUUGGUUGCACAAUCUUGUCGGUUUGAUUGCUUUUGGUUUAAUUUUUUUAGUAAUAUUUGCUUUGUUUCUGCAAAUAUGGUGUUUCAUCUUCUCUUAAGUUUUUGCAAUUUGGUAUUUCAUCUUCUCUUCAGUUUCUACAACUUCGCAUUUGCAUUCUAUUUUUUCAAUUUUUUGUUUUUGAGUAAUCAUAUAACUUCGAGAAGAUAUUUGUUUAGUUUUUGAGAUAUUUGUUUAGUUUCUGCAAUUUGGUAUUUUGUUUUUUGCUGCUUUUGCAUUCUGGUUCUCUGUAAUUGUUGAUUAUAGCUACUGAAAGAGAUGAUUCAGUUCAAUCUGUGAGUGUGAGGUUGGAUGGGAAGAACUAUUCGUAUUGGAGUUAUGUAAUGUGAAAUUUCUUUAAGGGCAAAAAGAUGUGGGGAUAUGUCAGUGGAACCUAUGUGGUAUCUAAGAAUACUGAGGAAGGGGAUGUUGCUUUGAUAGAUGCAUGAGAAGCAAACAAUGCAAAGAUUAUUACUUGGAUUAACAAUUUUGUUGAGCAUUCCAUAGGUACGUAGUUGGCGGAGUAUGAGACAGCAAAGGAGGUUUGGAAUCAUCUGCAAAAGUUAUUCACGCAAUCAAAUUUUACAAAGUAGUAUCAAUUAAAGAAUGACAUAUGAGCUCUUCACCAGAAAAAUGUGAGUAUUCAGGAGUUCUAUUCUACAAUGACAGAUCUUUGGGAUUAACUGGCUACUUGUAGAGAAUCCAACAUCAUAAACCAUGGUGAGACCAGUCUUGAAAAGUCCAGAUGAUCGCUCAGAACCAGGUCCAGGUUUCUAGUCUUCGUCAUAAAGAGCAAAGAGGUAUGUAUCCUCUGAUUUUCCUGGCAUGAGUGGAGUGCCCACCAUCGAUCGAAGGUGUGCGAUCAAAUUGCCAUUGUAAGCCUUGGCAAUCUCAAUGCUUGGCCCUACUUCGUUGUCAUCCCCUUUAUAUGGCCAUCCACUCUCGGCCACCACAAUCUCAACAUUCUUAAAUCCCAUAGAAUUCAGUGCAGAAUACACUGCAUCCACCUGCAAUUGAUUAAACCACUUGUCAGUAGCAUUUUUAUUAGAUCAUCUAUUGAUACAAAAUUUUCGCACUUGCAAUUUCAUUUACUCUCACCUGAGCAUCGAACAUGUUCAUGUACUUGAUCUUAGUGUUUCCAUCCGUUCGUCCUGCAUUCGGCUGGAAAAGGCAAAAAGCGAGAGUCUCAAGCCUUGUAUCGCUUCUGUAGGCAAAGUAAGGGUGGGGAUUGAUUGCGAAAGGCAAACCAUUCGCACUAUUAAACUCCAACAAGCCCUUCAUCAGAUCCCCAUAACUUGGAUCAAAGCUUCCAGAAGAAGGUGGCUCGGACUGCUUAAGCACUCCCAUCGAAUGAACUGUGGAGCAUUCUGUACAUUUUGCAUGGCUGGUAAGAGCUUGUUCAUGAGAUUCUGAUCAUUGGAAGUCAUGACCUCGUUGCCAACAGUGAUGAGGAUGAUAUUGCUAGCUAGAUAGAAGGGAAGCACGUUCAUGUUGAUCCAGCUCUUGGCAAAAUUGGGAUCAGAGGCUAGUCCUGGAAUGUCACCAUUUGUAGUACCGAUAACAAUUCCAAUUCCAAUUCCAUAUAAUCGGACCUUUUGAUUGAAGUGGAUUGAAGAAGUUUUGCGGUGGAUGAUGGUGGUGGAAGGUUGUCCGCAACUUGGCCAUAGUUUAUACCGAUGAAUGAUUGCGAGCCUGCACAAAAAGCAGCAAAAUUUAAAGCAGAUGAUCAAACAUCAAUUUUUAAACGACAAAACAGAACACCAACUUUUUUUGUUUUCAUAGACUGAAAAGAAGACAGCCAAAUUAAGGUAAAUUGUUUAGAAAUGGAAGGAGGUCAUUAAAAUAGAAGAGACGAAAACUUACUUGCGAUUUUUACAGUCUGUAAGAAGGAAAGGAGUAGGAAAGCAACAGUAUAAGGAAGCACCACCGAGGCUUAGGAGGUAUCUCAAAUAAUUUAGCAUUUUAAAAUAAAUAAAUUAAAAAUAUAUCUGGAAUAUUUCUUAUUAAAUACCAUUCAAUUUUUAUUUUAUUUUCUAAUAAGAUUGUAGCAUUUUUUAUAAUAUUAGCAAUUGUUAUAUUGUACAACCUUCGUGUAAUGUUUUAUUUGCGUGUUUUUUAAUUUUUUUUUUUUUUUUACUUCUAUGAGCUUCUCUAUUUUUUAUGAUCAAAUACACUACUAGAAAAUCAGCGAAAACCAAUGGAAUUACCGACAGAAUUAUUUGGUCAGUAAUUUUUACCGAUAGAUAUAAUUUCGUGUCUAACUUUGUCGGUCUUUACCGACAAACCUUUGUUGUCAAUAAUAAUUACUGAUGGCAUAUAUUCUAUCGGUAAUUCAGUCAGUAUAUACCGAAAGAAUAAUUCUGUCGGUAUAUAUUGACCGAAUUGCCGAUGGAAUAUAUAGAAUUUUGAAAAAAAGAAACAGUUUGAUGACAUGAAAUUUUUUCAGAUUAUUUUACUGAUAGAAUGACCGAGGGAUUCAAACUGGGAUCCCCGUAUAGUGAUAUAGCCCAUUCACCGUCAGAAUUAUCGACAGGUAUACCAACAUGACGUGUCCAUCGGUGAUUCCAUCGGUAAAAGCCAAUAUAUCCACACUCUGCCGACUCUCUCCCCCUCUAUUUCUCCUUCUUCUUCCCCAUCCCAACUCUCCCCUCCCAAACUACAAACAACCACCCACCCCCCUAAACAUAUCCCCCACAAGCACUCACCUUUUUAAUUUUAACAUUUAAAUGUCAAUUUUAUUGUUUUUUUUAGUAUAUGUAUUUUGUUAACGUAUGUACUUGUUUUAUUGUUAUUUGUCAAAGAAACUUGUAGUAUGAAUACAUAAUUUUAUAGUCGUUAUAGUUUAUUUUAGAUUUUGUCAAAUUGUAUUUGUUUGUAAAUUGUUGAAACUUUGUUUGAAUUACUGAAUUAGAUGUGUUGUGAUGAAAUAAAUAAUAGCUUGUUUAAUGGGUUCGUUUUAAUUUUUAUCAAUUCUAUUGCGGAGUUAUGAUUUCCGUAAAUUUAUAUACGUAUAAAUUUGUAUGAACGUUGAUAAUUAAUAAUUGAUAAUGAAUAUUUAACAUAAGUGUUUUUUUAGUUUGUUGGAUAAUGUCAGGGCAAACCAAUAUUUUUGCAAAUUUAUUUAAGUAACAUAGUUAAUUAAUACAUGUUGUCAUCAUAAUUUUAUAGAGGUUCGAUAUAAGUCAUGGAUGAUCGUUCAUGGAUGUAUCGAGACUCACCCCAAGGAUUGCGGAGGAUGGAUUAUUGUAAUGGGGUUCAGGGUUUUAUUAAUUUCGCAACAUCUAUUCCGAGGAAUUUUACUGAUGGCGGUAUUAGGUGUCCAUACAGAAAUUGUAAAAAUAAAAAGUUUCUGCAUCCAGAUGUUAUAACGAUGCAUCUUCUAAUCAAAGGGUUCAUAGAGGAUUACCUGUGUUGGUAUACACACAAAGAACUAUUUAUUCCUAAUAAGAGCAUGGUAAAAAGGGUGGUUGGGUCAACUUCUAGUGCUAGCAACGUGCAUAAAGUUGUAAAUGACAACAGUAAUCCUUACAGGAAUAUGGUUAUGGAUGCAAUGAGAAUGAAUCAAGGUAAUGUCAAUAUUGUCCAAUCAUAGAAGAACCUAAUGCAGAUGCAGCAAGGGUUUUUAAUCUAUUGAAAGAUUUUGACAAACCAUUAUGGGAUGGGUGCACGAACCACAAUAAAUUAUCAGCCGUAGCACAAGUGUUCACCAUCAAGUCAGAUCACGGGUUGAGUGAGGCCAGUUACAACAAAAUUAUGAAAUGAGCGAGAAGUAUUUUACCUAAAGGGAACAAGCUUAAAGAGAACUUCAAUGCUGCUAAGUCCGUGAUGAAACCCCUCAGUUUAGGAUACCAGAAAAUUGACUUGUGCCCUAACUUCUGCAUGAUUUACUACCUUGAAAAUACUGAGCUGACCAAGUGCAUGACAUGUGGGCAUUCCCGUUACAAACCCAGAACUGACAUGGGAAAGAAUCUCAUGGCAUAUAAGAAACUUGGAUACUUCCCAAUCACACCUAGAUUGCAGAGGUUAUUCAUGUCACCAAGAACUGUUGAGCACAUGAUAUGGCACCAAUCACAUAAUACGGUUGAUGGAGUGAUGAUGCAUCUUUUUGAUGGGGAAGCAUGGAAACACUUUGACAAUGUGCAUCCUUAAUUUUUAGCUAAAUCAAGGAAUGUGCGUCUUGGGUUGUGUACAAACAGAUUCAACCCAUUCGGGUCAUUUGCUGCUCCUUAUUCUUGUUCGCCGGUUAUACUAACGGUUUAUAACUUGCCAUCGGGGAUGUGUAUGAGGUUGGAGUUCAUGUUUUUAUCUAUUGUCAUACCAGGUCCGAGGAGUCCAGACCGAAAUAUAGAUGUUUGUCUUCGACAGUUGAUUGAUGAGUUGCCGCAGUUGUGGUCCUCCGGAGCUUUGACUUAUGAUAUAUCGAGGAAACAUAACUUUGUUAUAAGGGCGGCUUUGAUGUGGACUAUCAAUGAUUUCCCAACUUAUGGAAUGGUUUCUGGUUGGAGCAUGCAUGGAAAACUAGCUUGUCCAUAUUGCAUGGAAAACAACAAGGCUUUCACGCUAACAAACAGAGGUAAAGCUUCUUUUUUGUACGUACUGUCACCGUCGUUUCUUGCCACCGAAUCACAUGUACAGAAAGAAUAGAAAGGAUUUUUUAUUAGCAGAGUUGAAAAGGAUGUUGCACCCCCGUGUCUUUCUGGUGAUGAAUUGCAUGAUGUUGUAUCAGAGUACGAUGACAUUGUGUCUGGUUUCCAAUCAGGUAAGCAGAAGUUUCCUGGUUUUGGUUUGACCUAUAAUUGGGUAAAGCGAAGUAUUUUUUGGGAGCUUCCUUAUUGAAAGACCAAUCUCCUCCGCCAUAACCUUGACGUCAUACACAUAGAAAAGAACAUGUUUGAGAACAUUUUCAACACCGUCAUGGAUGUGAAGGGGAAAACAAAGAACAACAUCAAGGCUAGAUUGGAUUUAGCAUUGUUCUGUAAUCGAAAAAAUAUGGAGUUGGUUUUUCAUGAGUCACGGGUCACAAAACCUAGAGCAAGCUUUAUGUUAGAGAAAAAUGAACAACUAUUAGUCUACAAAUGGCUUAAGAGUCUGCAUUUUCCCGGUGGACAUGCCUCGAACAUAUCAAGGCUGGUUAAUAUGGAGGAAUGCAGAUUGUAUGGAAUGAAGAGUCAUGACUGACACGUGUUUAUGCAAACACUCAUUCCAUUAGCUAUUCGUGAUUUGUUGCCAAAUGGGAUAUGGGAUGCACUCACAGAGAUCACUCAUUUCUUUAGAGAUAUAUGCUCCAGCAAGUUGAAUGUUGAUCACGUUGAAAGGCUUGAAAUGAAUAUCGUCGAGACAAUAUGCAAACUUGAGAUGAUAUUCCCUCUAUUAUUUUUUGACUCAAUAGAGCAUCUACCUGUACAUUUACCGUAUGAGAUAAAAGUUGGAGGACCGGUCCAGUAUAGAUGAAUGUAUCCAUUCGAUAGGUUAGAUAUUACAAUUGCAAUGUAAUUCAUAAUUAAAAGUUUUUCAUUGUUUUUUUUAUUUGAUAAUUUUUGUUUAAUUCUAUAUAUGCAGGUACUUGUUCAAUCUUAAGAAAAAGGUUAAGAACAAGCCGCAUGUUGAGGCUUCAAUAUGUGAGGCCUAUAUUGUUGAUAAGAUCUCAACAUUUAUCUCGUACUAUUUCGAACCUCAUUUGAGAACGAGAAUCAACCGUGUUCCACGACAUGAUGAUAGUGGUGAAGUGCCUUCAAGUGGGAACUUGUCAAUAUUCUUCAAUCCUGGAUGACCCACACCUAAAAAUUCCUUAAGGGGAAGAUAUUUGUCUGAAAUAGAGUUCAGAAAAACACAAUUAUGUUCUAUUUAACUGUGAUGAGCUGAGACCUUUUAUUAAGUAAGUAGAUGUACUACUUAAACUUUGUCAAAAGUGUACUACUUAUAUAUUGUGAUAUCAUAAACUCAUAUAAUUUGGAACAACCUUGUAGGCAACAUCGAUGAUAUUUACUGUCCAAUAACUCACAGGUGAUCGAAUCCCAAAUCUUUCAAUUACAAGAUGAACAAUUUGCCACGUGGUUUAGAACACAUGUAAGUUCUAUUACAAACUCAUUAUCUCUUGCAAGGUAACUGUACGUCAAUAUUACAGAAUGUCCAUUUAUUGAUUACUAUUGUAUUUGAUAUACAAGGUGUAUCAAGUGGGAGGUAGUGCUGCCAUUUCAUUGUUUUUACUAAGACUGGGCCCUGAAAGAAAAGUCAAGUGCUAUAACGGGUAUUUUGUCAAUGGAUAUGUGUUUCAUACUGAAGAAUACGAGCAUGAAAGAAAGACAUACAACAACGGUGUUUGCAUUAAAGGAUCGACUUGUAGUGAGUUUGAAGUUGACUACUAUGAAAAAUUAAAAGAGGUCGUCAAAUUACAAUAUAAUAGCGAGUAGAAUAGAGUGUUUUUGUUCAAAUGCUAUUGGUAUGACACCAUUGACAGAGGAAUCAGAGUAUAUCCUCAAUAUGGUCUAGUCGAAAUCAACUCAAAAGCUAGACUUUCAUGUGAAUAUUAUAUAUAAGAAUAUAAAAGAAUUGAGUCAUACGAACACUUGCACAUUGAGAUACUAACUCUGAAAAUAUACAUGAUAUAUGUAUGUAUGUUAUUAUGAGGAAAUGAACAUGCAUUGAAUGUAACAUAUGAGUAAUGGAUGAUUAUGGAUUCUCUAUAAUAUCAGCUUGAAGGAAUCAUAACCGAAAACUUCCUCAUGAUUCAGGAGGAGCAACCAGGAUUGGAUCUCCUGUUAGGGGAGGUCGCGAGACAGGCGAAGCAGGUGCAUGAUUUUCCCUCCUAUUUGAUACAAUUUAAAAUUCUUCUGGUGAAUGCAAUUAGCUUUCAAUGGCAUCCGUGAUAGAAUCGCCGGGAAAUGAAUUGCAAGAUUAGCUUCGGCUAAUGGAAUCCAUGAUAGGAAUGUCGGGAGAUGAUUUACAAGAUUAGCUUCAGCUAAUGGCAUCCGUGAUAGGAUUGCCGAGAAAUAAAUUUCAAGAUUAGACUUUGCAAGGUCACCCAGUUCAUGCAAGUAAAUAAGAGUAUUCAAAUUAUUCAAAUUAAGAAUAUGCAAAUGAGUGUUAAUUGGGUUUAAAAAAUUUACAAGCAAAAUAUAAGUUCUCUGUUAGAAUUCUUAUGGAUCCGAUAGAAAAUUAAUACUUCAUUCGUAUACAUUACAUGAGCAUAUAUAUAUAUAUAUAUAUAUUCUUUAUCAACAUAAUGAUAUGUUUAUUUAUUUAAUAGGUCCAUCAAAUAUCCAGGGAGAUCAUUAGUUUAGGACUCUACUUUGUCAAGCUUAUGUAAAUAUUUAACUUAAACAUAAGGGAAUUAACGCGUUUAUGUAGUAUAGUUGUGUAAACCUUAAUGUAUUUAUAAAAGUUCAGCUUAGCAUGUAGUACUUUAGUUAUCUUGUAAUUAACCCUUUUGAAAUGUUUAAGAACACUUAUUAUGUUGUAAAUGCUUUCUUUGCAUGUUAGUUUUCCUUUUCUUUUAAAUUUUAUGAUGUGAUAUGUGGACCAUGUUCAUAUGGAACUUUCUCGUAGGAUAUAUAUAUUGUGUGGAUUGUAUGAGGCGUUGAAUUAUGAUGUUUGAUAUAAGAUCUGGAAUUAUGGGACCUUGUGAUGAUGGGUUGAUUGAGUAAAUUGAUAGUAGUCGAUAACUUGGGAUGUCCUAAAUGCAAACGAAACUCUGCUAAAGUUUUGGUAAAUUAAAAAAAAAUUACCCUCAAAUUAAGAGGAUAUGUUGGGAUCUUUUAACAUUGAUCCAGUCGGACUGUUACAGUUGGUAUCAGAGCCCUAGUAUGGGUUAUGAGAAGAAUUCAAAAGAGGUUGUUGAUGUUCAUUAAUUAUUGCAGGAUGGUACGUACCCGUCAAGAGAUUAGAACAGAUCUAACCUCUGCAAGGAGAGGGAAUAGAGAUAUAGACUUUUCCGAGGGGCAAGAAGAGAGCCCUUUGGAAGAUACUACUUCACCUGCACCGGUAGUAUCGACUCAAGAAGGGCAUGAAGAAUCGACGGGGCCUCAAAUUAGACUGGCACCAAGACAAACUGGGGAUGUUCGGCCGACCAUGUCAGCCCCACGGGAACGAGUAGAGGAGCCCCCUCAAACUACACCUGCAGGGCCAUCUUUUUCCUAUGUUGAUCCGAUGCUCCUAACUCAGCUAGUCAAAGCAGUAAUAGAAGGUAUGGCUAAUGUUGCCACUCCUAUGCUAGCACCCCCACCCGCACCCAUCAUACCAACCGUUUCAGAAGCAACUACAGCUACUAAUGAUGUAGUAUAUCUAGUUUGUUUGGUGAAAAGUAUGAGAGAAAUGGGUUGUGAACCCUACUGAGGUGAACAGGAUGCUGAAAUGGCGGGAAGAUGGAUUAGAAAGGUGGAGAAAACAAUGAUUCAAAUUAAGAUACCACAUGAUCUGCGGGUAGAUUGUGCUACACAAUUACUAUCAGACAGAGCUAUGACUUGGUGGGAGACAGUUUAGUUAAGGAGGGCUACAGAAACCCUAUCCUGGGAUGAUUUGAAGACAGAGUUUAAGAAUCAAUAUUACUCCAAAUAUCAUCGGAAGAUGAAGGAAUAGGAAUUCCUAGCCUUGAGACAGGAGGGAAUGUCAGUACUCGAGUACGAGAGACGAUUUCAUGACCUCUCACUAUUCGCACCACAUUAUGUUAAGGGAUGGCUUCAGACAAGAAUUGAAGCAGGGGUUGAUUGCUUUACAAUUCAAGACAGUAAGGGAACUGAUUUAAGCAGCACAGGCCUUAGAGGCUUGUAUGGAAGAAGGCCAACAUGGUCACGGGGGUGUAGGAAAACAAAAGGAUAUGAAAUUUUUAGGCAGGCCACCGCUUCCAAAGAAAGGUAGAGGCGAACAGUUCCUUCAAUUCAAAAAGAAAGGGGGGACAUCAACUAGCUCCUGACAGGAUAUCGGUGGGAAGUCGGGAAGAGGUCAGACCCGCUCCAGGUCUAUAUCUGCGAGGGGGGCUAAUGAACAAAAGGAAAUUGUUUACCCUCGAUGUGCUUAGUGAGAACAAAGACACCCCAGGAGUUGCUUGGUUUCUCCUGGAUGAUGCUACAUAUGUCGAGGAGAAGGUCAUAAUUGGAGAACUUGCCAGUACUUGGGAAGAGGAUGUCAUCACUGUGGUGAGAAGGGUCACUUUAAAAGGGAAUGCCCCCAGUUAAACACUGAACAGUCUCAGAGACAUAGGCAACAAAGUCAAAGUCAUCAGCAGUCCAUCACAGUAAAUAGACCGGGAAGGUCGACUCAGUUAGGAGUUAACUCAAAUAGGGGACGACCCAGAGUGCAAAAUAAAAGGGAUCAAGGAAGGGUUUUUCAUAUGACCCAGGAGGAUGUCAGAGCAGCAUCAGAUGUGGUAGUAGGUAUGCUGCAAAUGAAAGACUAUCAAAUGCAUGUUUUGUUUGAUUCUGGUGCCACUCAUUCCUUUAUAGCAAAUAAAAAUGUAACCAAAUUGAGUAAGGAAACAAAAAGGGUAGAAAAAGGAUUUAUUAUUAGGACACCUUUGGGUGAAACUAUGAAAACAAAUGUUGUAUUUGAAGGGGUGGGAAUUAACAUUAAUGGGUGUGAACUAGAAGUAGAUUUAAUACCCUUAGAAUUAAGUGAUUUUGAUAUAAUUCUAGGUAUGAAUUGGUUGGGCAAAAAUAAGGCUCGUCUAGACUGCUUUACAAAAACAGUAACCUUCUAAGGGGCUAAGGGUGAAACAAUGGUCUUUAAGGGGGAGAGAAUUUCCAACUUUACAAAUAUAAUCUCGAGUAUGGUUGCGGGAAAACUACUAAAGAAAGGUUGUACAGCAUACCUUGCCUAUGUGAUAAAUUCAAAAAAGGGUAAAAUAGGAUUGUCUGACAUUCCAAUUAUGAGGGAAUUUCCGGACGUAUUUCCGGAAGAAUUGCCAGGACUACCCCCAGAAAGAGAAGCUGAAGUCACCAUCGAUAUAUUGCCUGAGGUGUCUCCUAUAGCCCAACCACCGUAUAGAAUGGCCCUAAAAGAAUUGGAUAAGUUGAAAAUUCAAUUGCAGGAGCUUUUAGACAAGGGUUCAUACGACCAAGCAACUCACCUUGGGGGGCACCCGUAUUAUUUGUGAAGAAGAAAGAUGGAACAUUGAGACUUUGCAUAGAUUACCGUCAGCUGAAUAAAGUGACGGUAAAGAACAGAUAUCUACUUCCGUGGAUAGAUGAUUUGUUCGAUCAGUUGAAAGGUGCUAAAGUAUUCUCAAAGAUUGAUUUAAGAUCAUGAUACUACCAAAUACAAAUCAAAGGGCAAGAUGUGCCAAAAACUGCCUUCAGAACUUGCUACGAACACUUCGAGUUCUUGGUGCUACCCUUUGAAUUAACUAAUGCUCCAGCACUUUUAUGGAUUUAAUGAACCAAGUAUUCCAACCAUACCUUGAUAAGUUUGUUGUCGUAUUCAUCGAUGACAUCUUGGUUUACUCCAAAUCCUAUGAGGAGCAUGAACAGCACCUGAGACAGACACUACAGACUCUGAGGAGCCGCCAGUUGUAUGCCAAGUUGGAUAAAUAUGACUUCUGGUUAAAAGAAGUUACCUUUUUGGGGCAUGUAGUGUCUUCAAAAGGCAUUUUUUUGGACCCUCGGAAGGUCGAAGCGGUUUUGAGAUGGGAAAGGCCUACUACGGUAACUGAAAUUCGUAGUUUUCUUGGAUUGGCAGGGUAUUAUAGAAGGUUUAUCGAAGGGUUUUCAACGAUAGCAACUCCAUUGACACGACUCACCAGGAAGAACAUAAGAUGAGAGUGGUCAAAGGAGUGCGAUAAGAGCUUUCAAGAAUUGAAGAGAAAGCUUACUACUGCCCCCAUACUAAUCCUUCCAUCCGGAACAAAAGGCUUUGUAGUCUACAAUGAUGCCUCAAGAAAAAGAUUGGGUUGUGUCCUAAUGCAGCAUGGAAAAGUAGUUGCCCAUGCAUCGAGACAACUGAAGACUCAUGAAGUCAACUACCCAGUUCAUGACUUAGAAUUGGCAGCAGUAGUUUUUCUUUACGAGUAUGAAGUCACUACUUAUACGGAUCCCGGGUUCAAAUUUUCACGGAUCAUAAAAGCCUUAAAUAUCUGAUGUCGCAGAAAGAGUUGAAUAUGCAACAACAGAGAUGGGUAGAAUUAAUUAAAGACUAAGACUGUAUUAUUGAUUAUCAUCAAGGAAAAGCAAAUGUAGUCGCGGAUGCUCUCAGCCGUAAAUACAAGGCGAUUAGGGGUGGACCAACGACUUGGAAUGAGGAAACCAUGAUUGAGCUAAAGAGAUUGGGGGCAGUAUUAAAUGUGAGUCCGGAAGGAUCCUUAAUAGCUCAACUAAGGGUGAAGUCAGGAUAUCGAGAGCAGAUAUUAGAGGCACAACAGCUUGAUGAUGAAGUGUUAAAAGUAAGAAUCAAACUGGAAUCGGGGGGUGAAACUCUUUUUCGAAUGGGUGAUAAUGGAAUAGUGAUGUUGGGGCGACGUAUGUAUGUGCCUGACAACAAAGCCCUUAAACAAAAGUUACUACGAGAGGCUCACGAGUCUAAGUUCACUGUACAUCCAGGUAGUAUAAGAUGUAUCAGGAUUUGAAACAGUACUACUGGUGGCCAAAUAUGAGAAAAGAAGUGGCUGACUAUGUGGAAAAAUGUAGUAUUUGCCAACAAGUAAAAGUAGAACACUGAAAAUCGGCAGGGCUGUUACAACCAUUACCAAUCCCUGAGUGGAAGUGGGAGAUGAUCACAAUGGACUUUGCGUCGGGACUACCUAAAGGAAAGAGGGGAAAUGAUGCAAUCUGGGUCAUUGUGGAUCGACUAACUAAGUCUGCCUUUUUCCUACCAGUAAAGAUGACAGAUCCAGUUGACAAGUUGGCUAAGAUUUAUGUGAACGAAGUUGUAAGGCUUCAUGGAGUCCCAACAUCAAUUGUUUCAGAUCGAGAUCCAAGAUUUACUUCAUGUCUUUAGCCGAGCAUACAACGUGCCUAGGGAACAAAUUUGAGUAUCAGUACUACCUUUUAUCCGUAGACUGAUGGCCAAUUUGAGAGAGUUAUUUAGAUCUUAGAGGAUUUACUAAGGGCAUGUGCUUUGAAAUUUGAUGGAAACUAGGAGGAGCACCUGUCACUAGUAGAAUUCACGUAUAACAAUAGUUAUCAGACAAUAAUUGGAAUGGCCCUAUUUGAAACUCUUUAUGGCAGAAAGUGUAGGACACCCUUGUGUUGGGAAGAAGUUCGGGACAAAAAGUUGUAUGGGGCAGAAUUAGUACAAAUCACUACUGAAAAAGUGAGGAUUAUUAAGGAUCGAAUGAAGGUGGCUCAGGAUAGACAGAAGAAGUAUGCAGAUAUUCGAAGAAGACCACUUGAAUUUUGUCUUAGAGAUAAAGUAUUUCUGAAGGUAGCUCUAUGGAAGCAUAUGCUGAGAUUCGACAUGAAGGGGAAGCUAGCUCCAAGGUUCAUCGGACCAUUUGAAAUCCGAAAACGUAUCGGACCUGUAGCAUAUGAAAUAAACUUGCCCUCACAGUUGGCCAAGGUUCACAAUGUAUUUCAUGUUUCUUUGUUGCGAAAAGCUCAUGUAGACCCUUCGAGAGUGUUACCUCAAGUGCCAGUGGAGGUAAAAGAAGACUUAACACUUGAGGUAAGACCGAUAAAGAUACUUGAUUGGGGCGAGAAAGAACUUCGUAAUAAGAAAGUUCCCAUCAUCAGAGUCUUAUGGCGAAGCUCACAAAUCAAGAAAGAAACAUGGGAGAGAGAAUCAGAAAUGAGACAAAAAUUCCCUGACUUGUUUAUAAACUUAGGUACAACACUUAAAUUUCGAGGGUGAAAUUUCUAUUAGAAGGGGAGAAUGUAAAACUCGGGAAAAUAAAUAAAUAAAUAAAUAAAUAAAAGUGAAGAAAUUCAUAUAUAUGGUUAAAUAAAAACAGGAAUUCAGAAAUUUUUUAAUAUAAAUUUCCGGGUGAAAUAAUUCGAGACAUUAUAAUAAACCCCAUAUUGUUGAGGGUUGGAUUUAAUUGAAGAAAAUAAUACACUUAAAAGAAAAGGGGGGCCUAAAUGCAAAUAAGGAAAAUUAUAGAGUACAAAUACCCUCUCCUCACCAAAAAAAAAAUCUGCAGGAACCAUAAGGAAAGAAAAUAGGGAGUUUUGUACCCAUUCUUACAAAAUCAAGAGAGGAACACUAAAAUUUCAAGAACCCAUUCAAGAUUAAGGGUAUAUAGAUGGGAUAAACACUUGUGUGCAAGGGAUUAACAAAAAAGUUGAACAAGAAGAAAAGAAAGGAAGGAGUUGAAGAUCUUCAACUUGUUGAAGAUCAAAAUCUUAAUUCGUACCGGGUAAGGUGUUCUAAACAUGAUCUUAAAAAUUCAUUUUAAAUUCGAUAAUGAAUUGAUGCCUUGAUAUUGAAUUAUAAGUUAGGGUUCUUAGACAUGAAUUGGGGAAAAAGUAUUUGCUGUUAAAAUUAAGUUAAUUCAUGUGUGGUAUGUAGUUUAUAAAAGUAUUAUGUGAAGGGAAGGGGGUGACGAAUCUGGACAGACUCAUCUCCUAACUUUCGGUGAGAUUUCAGGUAGGAGGAUGAGGGAAUUAGGAUCGGGUUUCUUCAUAGAAAUUGUAGAUUUGAAUGUUAGCUAACCAAGAAAACUAGUCUUGCUCAAUUUGAAGAUGUAGAACUCUAGUUAUGGGUUACCAACCGAGAUUGAGUCGUAAAUGAUUAUGUAAGGCAGUAGGACUGAUUAGUUGAUGAGCAAUUUUGACUAUCUUGAAGGCAGAACUGGGUUCUCCUUCCUUCAGAGAACUUGUAGCCUCAUGUCUUAGCUUUCUAACGAGAUCAAUCUCACUUAAAAUAGAGUUUUAGAACUUUAGAUAUAGUUAAAAAUCUGAUGAGUGUUCAGAUAGUAACAGUUCAAUGUCUAGACAGUAACAGUUCAAUAUCUAGACAGUAACGGUUGGACAAUAAUAGUUCAAUGUCUAGACAGUAACGGUUAGAUAGUAACAAUUGGAAAUUUGACAGUAACAAUUCAAAGUUAGACAGUAACAGUAGAUUUUCACGUGAAUACUAUAUAUAAGAAUACAAAAGAAUUGAGUCAUACGAACACUUGCACAUUGAGAUACUAACUCUGAAAAUAUACAUGAUAUAUGUAUGUAUGUUAUUAUGAGGAAAUGAACAUGCAUAGAAAGUAACAUAUGGGUAAUGAAUGAAUAUGGAUUCUCUAUAAUAUCGGCUUGAAGGAAUCAUAACCGAAAACUUCCUUGUGAUUCAGGAGGAGCAACCAGGAUUGGAUCUUCUGUUAGGGGAGGUCGCGAGACAGGCAAAGCAGGUGUGUGAUUUUCCCUCCUAUUUUCACUUAUACAAUUUAAAAUUCUUCUAGUGAAUGCAAUUAUAAUAAAUAUUGUGUUCAAUGUACAUAAAGUCUAGCGUAUUUACAAGAUUAGCUUUGGCUAAUGGCAUUCGUGAUAAGAAUGCAGGGAAACAAAUUGCAAGAUUAGCUUCAGCUAAUGGCAUCCGUGAUAGGAAUGUCGGGAGAUGAUAUACAAGGUUAGCUUUGGCUAAUGGCAUCCGUGAUAGGGGCUAAUGGCAUCUGUGAUAGGAUUGUCGGGAGAUGAUUUACAAGAUUAGCUUCGGUUAAUGGCAUCCUUGAUAGGAAUGUCGGGAAACGAAUUACAAGAUUAGCUUUGACUAAUGGGAUCCGUGAUAGGAAUGCCGGGAGAUGAUUUACAAGAUUAGCUUUGGCUAAUAGCAUCCAUGAUAGGAUUGCCGGGAGAUGAAUUACAAGAUUAGCUUCGGCUAAUGGCAUCCGUGAUAGGAUUGCCGAGAAAUGAAUUUCAAGAUUAGACUUUGCAAGGUCACCCAGUUCAUGCAAGUAAAUAAGAGUAUUCAAAUUAAGAAUAUGUAAAUGAGUGUUAAUUGGGUUUAAAAGAUUUACAAGCAAAAUAUAAGCUCUCUGUUAUAAUUCUUAUGGAUCCGAUAGAAAAUUAGUACUUCAUUCGUAUACAUUACAUAAGCAUAUAUAUAUAUAUUCUUUAUCAACAUAAUGGUAUGUUUAUUUAUGUAACAGGUCCAUCAAAUAUUCAGGAGAUCAUUAGUUUAGGACUCUACUUUGUCAAGCUCAUGUAAAUAUUUAACUUAAACAAAAGGGAAUUAACGUGUUUAUGUAGUAUAGUUGUGUAAACCUUGAUAUAUGUAUAAAAGUUCAGUUUAGCAUGUAGUAUUUUAGUUAUCUUGUAAUUAACCCUUUUGAAAUGUUUAAGAACACUUAUUAUGUUGUAAAUGCUUUCUUUGCAUGUUAGUUUUCCUUUUCUUUUAAAUUUUAUGAUAUGAUAUGUGGACCAUGUUCAUAUUGAACUUACUCGUAGGAUAUAUAUAUUGUGUGGAUUGUAUGAGGCGUUGAAUUAUGAUGUUUGAUAUAAGGUCCAGAAUUAUGGGACCUUGUGAUGAUGGGUUGAUUGAGUAAAUUGAUAGUAGUCGAUAACUUGGGAUGUCCUAAAUGCAAACGAAACUCUGCUGAAUUUUUAGUAAAUCAAAAAAAAAUUACCCUCAAAUUAAAAGGAUAUGUUGGGAUCUUUUAACAUUGAUCAAGUCGUACAAUCGGACUGUUACACAUCAAGUUUAUUACACAUACACCUCUUCUUUUAGAAAGGACCGAUCAAGAGUUGAUUGGUUAUCCUUUUUAGAAACAAAACCCAAGGGUCGUGUCGAGGUUGUUCAGGAUGAGAACGAAGACAUAAGUGUGAUAGAUGAAGUCUUUCAAGUUAGUGAGUUGGUUGAACCAUAUCGAGUUGCUCUUUCGAUUGACUUAGAAGAAAAUUUGAAUUUUCAUGUUUUCAAUGAUAGUCUUGUUGAUGUUGACGCAGAGGAGUUGAAUGUUGUUUUGAGCUCUAGUGGACUAGCAAAUGUCAAUGAAGAUGAUGAUAAGCACAUUAAAGAGUGCGAUGGAGCUGAUAACAAUUCAAUUGACGACGAAGAUGAAAAUUCUGACUAAAUAUGAUCAGAACAUGAAAGUGUAAAGCCUUUUUUUGUAAUGUAAUAUUAUGGAUGAUAUUUUGGAAUAUGAAAUAUUUAUUUUAUAAUUGUUUGCUGUUGUUAUUGUGUUGUUCAGUAAGUUUGCAAUUUAAGUGUAUGAGCAGGAGGAUAAAUAGGCAAUACAAACAAAAUAUGUAAAAGUAUGACACAAAUACUGACGUACAUACUAACAGAAACCGUCCGCCAGUAAUUUACCAAGAGUUGCAAAAUAUUUACUACAUUCGCCACAAUCAUCGACGACCAUACCGAGAAUUGCAAAAUAUUUACUACCCAUGCCACAAUCAUCAACGUUGUUUCCAACAGACAGGCCGUCUGUAUAUCAUCAUAGAGGUGCGUGCGACUGUCAGAGUGUUAGGUUUGUUGAUGCGGAUACCUACGGAAUCACCGACGGACACUGCAAAUUCAAAAUAUACCGAUGGAAUUUACCGACGGAAAUUUAAUGCCACUGCCAUGAAAAUAUUAUUCAAAUGUCCGUCGGUACAAUUGUAGUAUAAAACCCACCCCCCCCCCUUCCGUGGUUCAUUUUUUUCUCUGUUUCUCAAUUAAUCUUCUCUUUUCCUCUCUGUUUGUGUUUUGUUUUUGCAAGAAUUGGUGCGGAUUUUAAUUGUUUUGAUUAUAGUUUUCAACAUAUUAAAAGAUAUGUAUUCUCCUUUCUUUAUCUUUAUCAUAGUAAUGGUUGUUAUGAUUAUUUUUGUUUUGUUUUUUGUUUUGUGUAUUAUUCGUAGAUAAAAUCUUGAAAUCAACACACUAUUCAGGUAAACAUUUUUCAUUCCUAAAGUCUUUAGUUUUUUCUUUUUAUUUGUUCAAUUUAUUUUAUUAUUUGUAUUGCCAUAAUAAAUGAAAAUUUUGUUAAAUUUGAAUUGUUAUUGUUGAAUUUACCUUAAAAAUGUUAAUUGAAAUAUAUAAUUAAAUUGAAUUAUUUUAUCUUAAUUUUAUUAUAUUAUUGCUUGUUAUGUUUUUUAUUAUUUCGAUUAAUUUUAAUUGUUAUUUAUGAAUUUGUAUAGAUGUUAGUUGAAAAUAUAUAGAUAUUAAAUCUCUAUAGAUGUUAGGUUGUAUAUAAGAUUUUGCAAUGGAGUCAAUUAAAUUGGCUUGUGGAUAUUAUCAAUAUUUGUAGGUAUGAAAACUGUGGGUAGUCUCUAAUAUAGGAGAGGUGCUGGCAAAUUUUUUUAAAAUAAUUGAAUUUAAUUAUAUAAUUAUUCGUAUAAAUUUAUGUAAAUGUGUAGAAUGAAAAAUUUAAUUAUUUUAUUGUUUGUAUUGUAAUAAUUAUCUGAAAAUUUUGUUGAAUUUUAAUUGUUAUUGUUGAAUUUACCUUGAAAAUGGUAAUUGAAAAUGAAGAAUUAAAUUUAAUUAUUUUAUCUCAAUUUUAUUCUAUUAUUGCUUGUUAUGUUUUUUAUUAUUUUGUCAUUUAUGUAUUUUUAUAGAUGUUAGUUGAAAAUAUAUAGAUGUUAAAUUUCUAUAGAUGUUAGGUUGUAUAUAAGAUUUUUCAAUGGAGUCAAUUGGUUUGUGGUUAUUGUAAAUAUUUGCAGGUUUGAAAAUUAUGGGUAGUCUCCAAUAUAGGGGAGGUGCUACCGAAUUGUUUUUAAAUAAUUGAAUUUAAUUAUGUAAUUUUUCGUAUAAAUUUGUGUAGAUGUGUAGAAUGAAAUCAACAGGACGUCAUCAGUAGACGGUUGCAGCUAGUUCUUAUAGUAGCGAGGAUGACUUAUCCUUAGAUGCUAAUCAAGAAGAGGCACCUACGCCAACUUGUAAUGCUGCCUCUUCUAGCGCGAUUUCACAUCGCAGAGGUGUUGUGCCUUCAUAGCGGGGUCAAUUCACCCGCAAGUACCAGGCACAUUGGAAGGAUGACCUUUCAAUGUCAGUUUAUUUAGGUUUUAGUUUUUUUUAUACUUAUAACAUAAUUUAUGAACAACUAAUUAAUAUUUUAUUAAUUUUAUUUAAUUUCAGGUUCACAAACAUUGAGGGUGCCUGAACAAUAACAUCGACGUUUAAAUCGUCGAUGGAGGUUCCAUUAUUUCAAUGGAGUCAGGUUUCCAGACAUCCUGAGUGGAGACCUAAUAUCGAUGUAUGGUUUCGACGAUUUCAGGUAGGUGUUAACUUCUAUUUUCUAGCUUAUUUUUAAUAAAGUAUUUUUUUAAUUUUAUAUCUUGUACUAUUAUUAUUUUAAAUGAAUUAUUUAUACACAACACAAAUUUGAGUGGGAUAGCGUGAACAACAAUGUUGUGAGGAGGGUAUGAGAGAAUCACGCAGCAACUAGGUAACACUGAAAAUAAUAUAAUUUUUUGUUUUAUAAUUUUAUGUUCUAAAUUCUAAUUUGUUACUAUAGAAGUAGGUUGUGUAAUUUUUUGUAUGAUACACAAAAAAAAGCAAAAAGAUAUGUGAGAGAUAACAAUCUAGAAGGCUAGAAUGAGGUGGUGGUUUGGCGGGAGUUCAAACCACCAUUCAUCUCGGGGGAUAAAUGGACGUAAUAUAUUGCGCACGUGAUGUCUGAGCGGUUCGCACGAUGCUCACAGUCCGGUGCUGACAGACAGAACCGAAAAAUUCAUGGUUCGGUGACCACGCUCACCGGCGACUCUGUUCUGUUUAGUGCACAUACGAAGCAGAUGGUAAGAUUAAUUUAAAUGAAAUAUAUCAUUAAUUAAUUUGUUGUUGCUUAUAAAUAUAUUUAACUUGCAACAUUGUUUUUCUUCCAGGCUACAUCUCUUGGACGUGAGCUGAGCCCAAUAGAGUUGUUUGUCGAGACGCACGUGCGAAGUGAAGACCGCCAAAAGGGCGUGCAACAGUUCGUGGACAACCAUGCUCAACACUUCAUGGUAUGUUCAUUUAAUCAUUUUAUUUCGUAAGUUAUUAUUUUCUUGAAUUGAAUAUGAUGAUUUUUUUAAAAAAAUUUCAGGAGACCUAUAAUAGCCGGUUGAGGGAGAGAUAUGGGGACGAUCCUUCAAGCCAUCUGGAUUUCGAUCCGGAUUUAUGGAUGGAGGUAGGAUCGUCUAGUGGACCCGAUAAAAAUCGGGUCUACGGGCUCUCCAACACUACGGCCGAAAACUUGUGGGCGGGUCGUAGUGUCUUAACCAUUGGGAGCUCUCCAUCAGUAUCGAGCAUCCAGUCUGAGGAGUUCAUGGCCUUGAAACAACAAUAUGAAUGACUCUUGAUGGAUUAUGAAACAGGUCACAUCAAAUCAACUUUAACACGUUUUAAUUUGAAACUCAGUCAGGUAAUGGGUCUGCACAAUGAGUCUUCGAUGUCAUUUAAAAUUUAUUAAAAUUAAUUAAUUCAAUAUAUAUUUGGGAUAUUAUUUUAUCAAAUACCAUUAAAUUCUUUGUUUGUUUUUGAAUGAUAUUAUAAUAUUUUUUUAUAAUAUAGCAAGCACUCUUUUUGUACAACCCUUCAUGUAUUGUAUUUCUUUUUCUGCUUAAAUUUUAUUCGGUUGUUUUCAUAUGCAUCUUUAUUUUUAUUAUUUCAUAAUUAAAUAAAAAAAUAGAUUAAAAAAAGUUUUUAAACCUAACUGGAUCUAUGACCUGGAUCGUGAGUUUGACGAGUUAACUUAGGUAAACGCCGGUUGAUUCAAAACAUCUUCUAAAUGUUUUUUUCAAAAAAAUUAAACAAAGUUGUCUUGAAUUUUUUUUAAGUCAAAUUGUGUUUUGACCGAGUUGUGUUUGGACCUACCAUGUCAACCGAGUCAUAUCAUGUCAACUUCAACCUGAUUUAAUUUGAAACUCGGGUCAAGCAAGGAACCGGGUAUAAGGGUCUCUAGAUUGCCCCGCAGAGCUAGACUGGAUUUGAUAAAUUAGCCAAAAUGUUCUCUGAAUAAACACACAAUUUUCGUAUCAUUCUUAUAUUUUUUGUUUAAUGCAUUUGCGUUCAAAUUAUCAAAACUUUAGUUUUUUUUUAAUUUAAACUUCCUUUUAUGAUUAUGGUGAGGUGUUGUAAAAAAAUAUUAUUGUAAUAAAAUGCUAUAAAAAAGGGAGCGUGUUAAUAAGAUAAAUAUGUUUUAAUUACAAAGAUAUUUUUUAUCCUUCUUUCAAAUCUUUCAUUUUUUAUAUUUAUUCAAUUUUUUUUAUUAAAUAAAGAAUAUAGAACAAAAAAAGGGAGCAGUUGACCGGGUAUCUGAUGAUGAGGGCAUUGAAUGCACAAUUGCUCAAAUCUUUCUCAACACUCAGAGAGUCUCCCCCCAUGAGAUUGUUGAAUCCUACAUAUUUCUUUUUUUAUGUUGGCAACUCGAGAGGCUAGUAAAUACUUUUCAAGGAAAAUCUUCUUCAUGUCAUUCAAAGUUCCAAUGGAACCUGGGAGAAUAGAGAAAAGACAUGUCUUUGCUGCCCCUUUUAAAGAGAAAGGGAAAGCUUUCAACUUAACUUGUUCUUUGUCAACUCCGUUUAGUUUCAUGCCAACACAAACCAUGUGGAACUCUUUGAGAUGAGUGUAAGGAUCUUCUCCGGCAAGUCCAUUGAAUAUUAAUAGUAAAUGUAUAAAACCAGACUUGAGCUCGAAGUUGGCAUUGUUGUCGAUGUUUAUGCAAAAUGGUUGAUUCUCCACAUUAGGAGCACCAAGCUCUUUGAGUGUCUGUUGUUGUGUAACAACCAUAAUGUUGAUGCGAACUUCUUUUCAUAACCUACGUAAAGUUUUUUCUAUUUCAAGAUCUACAUGCACUUCUCUGGUUAGUAGAACGGGUUACAAGCAUAAAUUGUCAAGGAAACUCAAAAGAAACAGAAACCAACCACACACGAGAUUUAAAGUAGUGCAAAUUGAAUGAAAAUCCUAUGCUAAAAGAUCCCAACAUAUGCUCUUAAUUUGAGGGUAUUUUUUUUUUUUGUAAAUAAUUCUAUCAAAAUUUUGGCAAAGUUUCUUUUGUAUUUAGGACAUCCCAAGUUAUCGACUACUAUCAAUUAACUCAAUCUACCCAUCAUCACAAGGUCCUAUAAUUCCGAACCUUAUUUCAAUAACCAAUAUUCAACACCUCAUACAAUCCACACAAUAUAUAUAUAUAUAUAUAUCAAGGUUUACACAAAAGAAUGCUGCAUAAUCGCGUUAAUUCCAUUAUGCUUAAGUUCAAUAUUUAUAUAAGCUUAACAAAGUAGAGUCUUAAACUAAUGAUCUCCCUGGACAUUUGAUGUACCUGUUACACAAACAAUCCAGUAAGCAUACCAUUAUGUUGAUAAAAGAAAUAUAUAUGAUCAUGGAAUGUAUACGAAUGAAGUAUAAAUUUUCUAUCGAAUCCAUAGGAAUUCUAACAAUCAACUUAUAAUUUGCUUGUAAAAUCAUUUAAACCUAAUUAAAACUCAUUUGCGUAUCUUUAAUUUGAAUACUCUUAUUUACUUGCAUGAACCGGGUGACUUUACAUAGUCCAACCUGGAUAUUUUUAGGCAAUUAUAUUUAUCAAUUUCUCCCAGAUCAUUCAAACACGGAUACCCUUUACAAAUCGAGUCUUAUUAAUCAUUCUCGGGCGUCCCGACGCGGACAUCAUUAGCCAAAGCUAAUCUUGUGAUUCAUUUCCCGACAAUCCUAUCACAGAUGCCAUUAGCCGAAGCUAAUCUUGGAAAUACACUAGACUUUAUUUACAUUGAAAAUGGCAUUUAUUGUAAUGGCAUUCACCAGAAGAACUUUAAAUUGCAUAAGUGCAAAGAGGAGGGAAAAUCACGCACCUGCUCCGCCUAUCUUGUGACCUCCCCCAACAGAAGAUCUAAUCCUGGUCGCUCCUUCUGAAUCACAAGGAAGUUUUUGGUCAUUAUCCCUUCAAGUAGAAUGUUAUAGAUAAAAUUAACCCACUUUAUCAGGUUUAAUAAUACUAUUAAAAAAUUCUUCAUACUUUUAAUAAUUUUUUUAUAUUUUUUUUAAAAAAUUGAUCACGGCAAAGCAUAGGGAAUAUUCUAGUAAACUUGUAAGCAUGGAUCAUGAUAUAUGGAACAUUUACACGUGGCGGCAUGAACUGAAAAUCGCUUUAAUGCAGGGGAAAUGACAUGAAUGCCUCCCUGGAAUGACCCUAAUAUUGCGCCCAUUUUGGAUUUUAUUAGUCUACUCUCGAGAUAAUCAAAGGAACAAUAUGAUUUUAAGUGUUUGAACUUAUUGAUUUUUAAAAUUAGGUGUUUGAACUUUAUUUUUAUUCAAAUAAGUAUAUUAUUUUAUUUUACACAAUAAAGUGGAUGUAUAUUAGUUAAAUGUUUAGUGUCAAUAAAGAGUGAAAAUAAAAAAUUUAUAUACAUGAACUAAUGUGUCUGUUAAAAAAUUUCUUGUCAGAAGUUAACUAAAAACAUUGUCUAGAAUUCUAGUUUGCAUGUCUAACAUAUAAAAAAUUAUUUUCAUGCGUUUCUUCUUUUUUUAUAAGAGCAUGCACACAUAAAUUUGUAUACAUGUUCAUGUUUCAACACACCAUGGCCUCUUGCAUGAUCCAUACUUGUUUAUUUUAACAUGUAAUACAUAAUUCAACAUUAAAAGUGCCCCCCUGUCUCCUUCAUGUCUGGCUGAAGGCUUUCUCUCCUAUUUCACACUAUUUUCACUUCUAUCUACCCAAGAAAAAUCCUCAAAAACCCUAAUAUAAGAGACAACUUUUGUACAAAACUUACCCAAUGUAUUAGAAAUUGUUCUAGGAAGGUUUUGGGUUUAUCCUAGUUGCGUUUUCUACUCCCUAAAAACUCUUCUCCCUCAUAUUUUCUUGGUCUCUUUCCACUCUUCCUUUAUUGUCGCUAGCCUCCUGCCUUCCUUUCCCUCAAUUUAUUUUGCUUUUGAUGCUUUAAUCUUCACUCAAACCUCUUAAUUUCUCUUAUGUGUUUGCUUGCUUUUGAUUUUCUCCACCUGUUCUUUGGAAUAAGAUGUUGAAGAGAAGAGUGUCUCUUCCUUUUCCCCUCCUCUCUAUUCUGCCAUCAGCCCUCUUAUUCUUCUUAGGGCUAAUAGGUUUUUUUCUUUUUGUUUUUGCUUUUGUCCCUCAUUGGUUUAUAUAUUUUCAGUUUAGUCCCCUCACUCUUUUGUCUUUCUCAUAUUAAAUCCCAAUUUCUCCUUAUUCACUUAUGUGUGUUUCAUACUUCAAGUUAGAGCUAUUGUCUUUUACCAAUAGGUUCUUCUCUAUUUACUAAAUCUCAUGCAUUCAUGUUUUAGGAGUUCACGAAAAAAUACCCAUAAAUGCAUGCCUAUUUUUUUUUUGUCUUUUUCUAGGGGUGAAGAUAUUUUUUUACUAUAUUCUAAGAAACAAAAAGACAAACAAAACUAUUGGUAAACAAUUCUAAUUUUUUUUUAUAUUGGGAUAAAUAAUUCAUUUUACUAUGUAAGAUAAAUAUACCCUUUAUUAAUUUUCUAAUAAUUAAUGAGCCAUUAAAAUUAGAUAAAACUUGUAACACCCUCAAUUUAAUUUAUAUUAAUAAUAACAAUAAACUUACACAAAUUUAAGUGGGUCAUACUGUAACACAAGGCCCAAGAGCUUUGGGCACCUCUUAAAUAAGGGACCUAAAUGUCUUGGGUCUGGCUGCAAUCCGAACCUAUUAUAUUUGGGUGAGGACGUAAGACCUAAGAGCAUUGGAUGCUGAGACGGACCCAUUAGCUUCGGGUUGGACUCUUGACCCAAAAGACUUGGACUAGUUAGGGCUGCAAAUCUCAAGGGACUUGGUCUUCCCCCAGUCUCUUUCAAGCAAUUUGAGUCUGGCAUGCCCUUCCAGAUCUAAGUUAAUAAUAAUAAAAAUAAUUAAUUUUAUGCUUCAAAUCACAUAUAUGUUUUUUUUAUAGUAAAAAAAUUUAUUUCAAAUUUAAUAAUAUUUAUGAUAUUAAUAAUAAUAUUAAACUUAUCUUACCUAAGUUUUUAUAGUUUUUAAUCCCCUCAAGUAAAACUUAUUGUUUUUCUUCUAUAAUAAUAAUAAUAAUAUUUUUCUUCAAACUUAUUAAUUUAAUAAAAACUAAUAAUAAUAAUUUUACCCUUCAAAUAAAAUCUAUGGCUAUUUUUCAAAAUUAAUGAUAUAUUUUUAAAAUUUCUUAAUUAUGAUAUUAAAAAUAUUAAUUAUAAUAAAAACAAUAAAAUUUAUAAUACAAAUAAUAAUAUUUUUAAUAUUAGCAGUAUUAAUUAUAAUACAAAUAAUAAUAUUUUUAAUAUUAAUAAGAAUAAUAAACUUAUCCAAGUUUAAGUGGGUCUGACUGCAACACCAGGUUCAAGAGCUUUGGGCCCCUCUAAAAUGAGGGACCCAAAAGCCUUGGGUAUAGCCACAAUUCGAACCCAUUAAAGUUGGGUGAGACGCAAGAUCGAAGAGUAUUGGGUCAUGACGUGGAACCAUUAGCCUAGGGUCCGACGCUUUACCCAAUUGUCUUGGGCCACAGAAGGAUGCAAAACCUAAGGGACUUAUCUGACCCUGGCCACUCGCAAACAAAUUGGGUCUAGCAAGUCCUUCCAUACCCAAGUUAAAAAUAAUAAAAAUAAUUUAUUUUACCCUUCAAAUAACAUUUAUGUUUUUUUUUCCAUAGUAAUAAAAAUUAUUUCAAAUUUAAUAAUAUUUAUGAUAUUAAUAAUAAUAUUAAACUUAUCUGACCUAAGUUUUUAUAGUUUUUAAUCCCCUCAAAUAAAACUUGUUGUUUUUGUUCGAUAAUAAUAAUAUUUUUCUUUAAAUUUAUUAAUUUAAUAAUAAUAAUAAUAGUAAUAAUAAUAUUUUUUCCCUUCAAAUCAAAUCUAUGGUUGUUUUUUCAAAAUUAAUUAUAUAUUUUCAAAAUUUUGUAAUUAUGAUAUUAAUAAUAUUAAUUCUAAUAAAAACAAUAAAAUUUAUAAUACAAAUAAUAAUAUUUUUAAUAUUAGCAAUAUUAAUUAUAAUACAAAUAAUAAUAUUUUUAAUAUUAAUAAUAAUAAAAUUAAAAAUAUUUUUAAAACAAAUAAUAAUAUUUUUAAUAUUAAUAAUAACAAUAAAAUUACUCAAGUUUAAGUAGAUCUAGCUGUAACACCAGACCGGAGAGCUUUGGACCCCUCUUAAAUAACGGAUCUAAAAGCCUUGGGUCUUGCUGCAUUCCGAACCCAUCAGAGUUGGGUGAAGAUGCAAGACUCAAGAGCAUUGGGUCCUGACGCGAACCCAUUAACCUAGGGUCUGACUCUUGACCCAAUUAUCUUGGGCCAGAAAGGGCUACAAGACCUAGGGGACAAGUCUAUAUAUAUUUUAUUGUUGUUUGCAUUGAUCAAAUCACACUAUCUUGCUGCUUAACCUCAAGCAUUACUCAGUUGUAAGAAACUUGACUGACUAAUUUCACAAAUACAUGGAGGAUAGGUCGUUCUAGCAAAAUAUAUUGUAUGAACAUUUCUUUGCAAGCUUAAAAACACACCCUGAAUCUCCCUAAUUUACUCGUAAAAAGAUGAUGGCUUCACCAUUUUAAGUGAGAAACUUAUAAAAUAGAGAGAAAAACCUUAACCCAUCUUCAUAAUCUCUUUACAACUUCAUAUUCUAAGUUUGCAAGUCAUAAAAGAAAAGGCAAAAACCAAUGAAGUGUUGGUUUAGUAGUUAGGCACCGUUAUAUCUCUGCAAGGGUGAGAAUACAAGUUCGAUUCUUGAGAAGCAUGCUUGUUGGGAGAGGCAGCCACAAGCCCCGAACGGGACUAGUCUCACCCUUUAAAAAGGGUGUGAGGAUACCCGAGAAACACCAAAAAAAAAAAAAGACAAAUCAAAGAAAGUCCCAUAAACCCAUACAACAAACCUAAAUUGAAAAUCCUAUUUAAAUAUACUUUGUUGCUACUGCUACUGCUACUGCCUCUGCUGAUGCUGAUGUUGUUUGUGCUCGAGCUCGUGCUCGUGCUCGUACCAGUGCCUGUGCUCGUGCUCGUGCUCGUGCUGCUGUUAUUGUUGUUAGUGCUGGUGUCGGUGCUGGUGUUGGUGGCUGCUGCUUGUAGCGGUUGUGGUGUUGCUGCUAGUUCAAUAAAUUAACUGGGUUUUUGCAGGUGAAAUAUGCAAGAAUAUUUUGGAUUUAUUUGUCUAAAAAUAAUAAUUUCAUGUAUUUCAAAUAUUGUUGAUAAAGAUGUUAGAUUGAAAAAUUAAAUAUUUCUUUCUAUCUUUUUUUUUUAAUUAUUAAUAGAGAUAUAGAGAGCGAUUAAAAAGAUGUUAUGGGCUGGGUUUUUUUUUUAUUUUAAUUUCCUAACAGAUGAAGCCUAUUCCAAAAAUCAUAAUGUUUAGGAUAGAAAAUCAGGGGUUUUUCGUUUAGUACAAUUUGGCCUUUUUCUUUCCUGAAAAGGAACUGUCCAUUCUAUUAACAAACAAAAUGCGUAGUGAUGUUUUAAAACCCAUCUUCCCAACCAAACACAGAAAUUUAAAUGCCAAAUCAAAGGAAAGCUCAGGAAUAGAACACUUGGCUGUUGAAAACUCGAAAUACCAACGAAAUGCACGUAAAUUUUGUUCUUACCUGGCUACUUGUAGAGAGUCCAACAUCAUAAACCAUGGUGAGAUCAGUCUUGAAAAGUCCAAAUGAUCGCUCAGAACCAGGUCCAGGUUUCAAGUCUUCGUCAUAAAGAGCAAAGAGGUAUGUAUCCACUGAUUUUCCUGGCAUGAGUGGAGUGCCCACCAUCGAUCGAAGGUGUGCAAUCAAAUUCCCAUUGUAAGCCUUGGCAUUCUCAAUGCUUGGCCCUACGUCGUUGUCAUCUCCUUUAAAUGGCCAUCCAGUCUCAGCCACCACAAUCUCAACAUUCUUAAAUCCCAUAGAAUUCAGUGCAGAAUAAACUGCAUCCACCUGCAAUUGAUUAAACCACUUGUUAGUAGCAUUUCUAUUCGAUCAUCUAUUGAUACAAAAUUUACGCCUUGCAAUUUGAUUUACUCUCACCUGAGCAUCGAACAUGUUCAUGUACUUGAUCUUAAUGUUUCCAUCCGUUCGUCCUGCAUUCGGCUGGAAAAGGCAAAAAGCAAGAGUCUCAGGCCUUGUAUCGCUUCUGUAGGCAUAGUAAGGGUAGGGAUUGAUUGCGAAAGGCGAACCAUUCGCACUAUUAAACUCCAACAAGCCCUUCAUCAGAUCCCCAUAACUUGGAUCAAAGCUUCCAGAAGAAGGUGGCUCAGACUGCUUAAGCACUCCCAUCGAAUGAACUGUGGAGACCUUAAUUUUACCCCCGAGCGAUGCAUCAUUUAGAGCAUUCUGUACAUUUUGCAUUGCUGGUAAGAGCUUGUUCACGAGAUUCUGGUCAUUGGAAGUCAUGACCUCGUUGCCGACAGUGAUGAGGAUGAUAUUGCUAGCUGGAUAGAAGGGAAGCACGUUUGUGUUGAUCCAGCUCUCGGCAAAAUUGGGAUCAGAGGCUAGUCCUGGAAUGUCACCAUUUGCAGUGCCGACAACAAUUCCAAUUCCGGUGUUGGCUAAGGCUUUGAUUAUAGCGGGGUCCGAUCCAUAUAGUCGGACCUUUUGGAUUGAAGUGGAUUGAAGAAGCUUUGCGGUGGAUGGUGGUGGUGGAAGGUUGUCCGCAACUUGGCCAUAGUUUAUACCGAUGAAUGAUUGCGAGUCUGCACAAAAAGCAGCAAAAUUUAAAGCAGAUGAUCAAACAUCAAUUUUUAAACGACAAAACAGAACACCAACAUUUUUUGUUUUCAUAGACUGAAAUGAAGACAGCUCAGUUAAGGUAAAUUCCUUAGAAAUGGAAGAAGGUAAUUAAAAUAGAAAGAGACGCAAACUUACUUGCGAUUUUUACAGUCUGUAAGGAGGAAAGGAGUAGGAAAGCAACAGUAUAAGGAAGCACCACCAUGGCUCAGGAGGAGCUGUUUCUAUUCUGCAUUUUUUGAAAGUGGAGUGGGCAUUAAAUAUAGAAGAUGCUACAAGUCGAGGGCAGAAGCGUAAAGAUGACUUCGGAUAUAUUCUUAUUAUAGAAUAGUAGGGCCCUUAACAUUAUGUUUUAGGAGUUAAAUUUUUUAUUUAUUUCAUGUGAUCUCUUAAAUUUAUAUAUUCUUGGAAGCAAAGUUGAUGAGAUAAAGUUUAAAUUUAUAGGAUAAAAACAUAUUUAAAAGAAAAAAUACCAAACAUAAAAAAAUAGCAUGGCUUUUCUAGAAUUCGUAAGAAAAUGUACUUUUGCCUUUUAUCGCCUAUUUAUUUAGUCAAAUCGAACUGAUUAAUUAUUCUCUUCAUUAAUUUUUUUUUAUUGCCUUGGUUAAUCAUAUAUAUUCGAAUGUAAUAGAUAACUAUGUUUUCAACCAUUUUUAAAGUGAAUUUGCAGUUGUUUUUUUUUUCUUAGGACCAUUGACCUGCCUUUUGGUUAUUAUGUGGAAAACAAGAGGGAAAGGCAGAGAACUCAAAUCGAUUGGAAAGUUAUGGUACGAUGACAAACACUUCAAAGCUAGCUUGUUAACGUAUAGUUCCUCCAGCCCUAACAACUAACACUAAGCAUUGUCACAACCAUUGCAUCUGCUUAUAGAUUCUUUGAAGACAAGUUCUCCUUCUAAGUUUCAAAGCUUCUUUGUAGAAAUAAAAUGCACAAUUUUCCUUUUAUCUGAACCUACUAAUACGUGGGCACACCGUAGAUGACGUUGAAAUCCUGUAUGUAGAUCGUUAGGGGCCAAGUUCAUGUUGAAAAGAAGUAUUGAAAACUGAAAAGCAUUCUCCACCCUUCAAUCCUGCAAGUGAAACGGAGAAUUAGACGAGAAGGUUUCCUCUUUUUUGAGACUCACAAAGUGUUAAUGGUGUGCAAUCCAUAUAUCAAAUUGUUAUGUAAACUUCUGAAAAUUUGUUUGAGCUUUGAUUUGUAUACACUAAACAACAACAAGGGAAAUAAUCUAUUUAUUAGCACAAAUUGCUAUGCUGAGCUUCGAUUUAUUUUUUUUGGUACUUCAUUGUUCAAUAUAUUUAUUUGAUUCAUAUGAUAAUAAUUUUGUGUUGUAGCGUACUUAGUUAGCACACGUUUCUAAAUCUAGAAGUCGCGGUUUAUUUCAACGUCAUCUAUAUAUGUUGUGCCCACGUACUAGUAGGUUCAGAUAAAGGAAAAUUGUGCAUGUUUAUUUCUACAGAGAAGCUUUGAAACUUGGAAGGAGAACUUGUCUUCAAAGAAUUUAUAAGCAGAUGCAACGGUUGUGACAAUGCCUAGUGUUAGUUGUUAGGGCUGGAGGAACUAUACGUUAACAAGCUAGCUUUGAAGUGUUUGUCGUCGCACCAUAACUUUCCAAGGACUUGGAUCGAUUUGAGUUCUUAGCCUUUCCCUCUUGUUUUCCCCGUAGCUGCAAAUUAUUAUAUAUAAAGCUAAAUCAUGUGAGGAAAGUGCUAUUUAUAAAGACUAAUUGUACCGUGAAUUGGAACACUGUUAGCAAAAGUCAUGUUCAUCAAGAUUAAUGGCACUGUGGAUUGGAGCAGUAUAAUGACGGAGUUGUCCUUGUCAUAGAGGUGCAAAGACUGUAGGGUAAGGGUGGGCCGGGUUGUCUUUUCAUUGGGAUACAUUUAACAUUAAAGAAAUGGUUAGAAAAAAACGGUCAAUGUAAAUUUUGAUGGGGCAUAAUAGGACUACAGACCUGGUUGUAGACAUCUGGUGCUAGGCAAUCAUGCCCUGCCACAUAUGGUGGACUAAGCAGUAAAAGUUUUUAUGGUUUCAUUAACCACCUGCAACAAGGCUGUAUAUAUUUUACUGUUGUUUGCAUUGAUCAAAUCACACUAUCUUGCUCCAUAACCUCAAGCAUUACUCAGUUGUAAGAAACUUGACGCACUAGUUUCACAAAUACAUGGAGGAUAGGUCGUUCUAGCAAAAAAAAAUACUGUAUGAACAUUUCUUUGCAAGCUUACACACACACUGAAUCUCCCUAAUUUACUAGUAAAAAGAUGAUGGCUUCACCACUUUAACUGAGAAAGAGAAUGGCAUAAAACACCCAUCACCUCCAAAAGGCUCUGUAGAGAGUCCGACAUCAUAAACCAUGGUGAGAUCAGUCUUGAAAUGUCGAAAUGAUCGUUCAGAACCAGGUCCAGCUUUCAAGUCUUCGUCAUAAAGAGCAAAGGUGUGCAAUCAAAUUCCCAUUGUAAGCCUUGGCAUUCUCAAUGCUUGGCCCUACGUCGUUGUCAUCUCCUUUAAAUGGCCAUCCAGUCUCAGCCACCUGCAAAUACACUUUAAAAAUGGUUGAAAACAUAGUUAUCUAUUAGAUUCGAAUAUAUAGGAUUAACCAAGGCAAUACAAAAAAUAAUUAAUGAAUAGAAUAAUUAAUCAGUUCGGUUUUUUUAAAAGACUAAAUUAAUAUGCGAUAAAACUGAAAAGAAAUAGAAAUAAUAAUUAGAACUAGAUGGAUUUUGAAGAGACUCGGUUGCACAAUCUCGUUGGUUUGAUCAUUUUUGGUUUUGUUUUGAGUAAUAUUCGCUUUACUUUUGCAAAUCUAGUAUUUGUUUUUCUUCCCUUUAGUUUCUGCAAAUCUGGUAUUUCAUUUUCUCUUCAGUUUCUGCAACUUGGUAUUUCAUCUUCUCUUUAGUUUCUGUAACUUGGUAUUUGCAUUCUGUUUCUAUAAUUUUUUGUUUUGGAGUAAUCAUAUAACUUCGAGAAGAUAUUUGUUUAGUUUCUGCGAUAUCUAUUCAGUUUGUGCAAUUUGGUAUUUUGUUCGUCGCUGCUUUUGCAUUCUGGUUCUCUGUAAUUGUUGAUUAUGACUACUGAAAGAGAUGAUUCACUUUAGUCUGUGAGUGUGAGGUUGGAUGGGAAGAACUAUUCGUAUUGGAGUUAUGUAAUGCGAAAUUUCUUUAAGGGUAAAAAGAUGUGGGAAUAUGUGAGUGGAACUUAUGUGAGUUGAGAAUAAAUGGGAGGCUUAACCUAAUGGUUAGCCAACCCUUUCUAUAUAUAUAGGUAGGGCAAUAUACAAUAGUAAUGGUGGAGGUUACCACACAAGAGUAUGUCUACAAUAUUUCCUAUAUAAGUACAUUCUAUAAUAUGCCCCCUCAAGCUGAGGGUGGAGGAUCAACCCGAAGCUUGAAACGAAAAGCAGUAAAUGAAGAAGUAGGAAGUGGCUUACGGAAGACAUCGACAAGUUGAUCCUGGGAGGAAAUAAAACGAAUCUGAAUCUCCUUCUUUGCAACUCUAUCUCGGACAAAAUGAUAAUCGACCUCAACAUGUUUUGUGCGAGCAUGAAAAACAGGAUUCGCAGACAAGUAAGUGGCACCAAGGUUGUCACACCAGAUAAUAGGAGCAGAAGUAGACGGAAUCUGGAGAUCUGUUAAUAAAUACUGAAGCCAGAUAACCUCAGCAGUGCCAUCAGCUAAGGCUUUGUACUCAGCCUUAGUAGAAGAGCGAGCAACUGUGCGUUGCUUACCGGAUUUCCAUGAAAUCGGCGUCUGACCAAAAAACACAAGGUAACCACCCGUAGAUUUUCUGUCCUCAACACUGCCUGCCCAAUCUGCAUCUGUAAAACCAUGUAAGGCAAAAGAAGAACUGCGAGUAAUAUGUAAGCCAUGUGAUGUCGUACCCUGAAGAUAACGCAAGAUGCGUUUCACGGCAGCCCAAUGAGAAUCUGUAGGAGCAUGCAUAAACUGACAGACUCUGUUAAUAGCAAAGCAAAUAUCUGGGCGCGUAAAAGUGAGAUACUGAAGAGCACCCACAAUUUGACGAAAGCGGGUAGCAUCAGAAAACAAUGGAUCGGGCAGAAUGGUAGCUUUGGAUGUAGAGAUAGGGGUAUCAACAGGUUUGCAAGAUAACAUACCAGCCCGAGUGAGGAUGUCAAGUAUAUAUUUAUGCUGGUGGAGCAUAAGACCCAUACUAGUAGACUGAACCUCAAUACCCAAAAAGUAAUGAACAGAACCCAAGUCGCGAAGCUUAAAUUCUGAGCUCAAUAGCUGAAUGAGGUGUUGGAGCAGAAGAGAGUUACUAGUCGUAAGCAGAAUAUCAUCAAUGUCAUAACCCAAUUUUUGACCAUUUUAUUUUAAUUAUUAUUAUUAUUAUUUUAUUUACUGAAAAAGAUAAAAAAAAUGAUGAUAAAAAAAUAAUGAUGAUUAAAAAACAAGUAAAAUGAAGAAUGAAUUAAAAUUUGGUUUGAGGGCAACAUGAUUGAUAAGUUUUGAGAUUUAAUUGAGUUUGAAAUUAAUUUAAUUAAUCCAAUUAAGGGUUUAAUUGGAGAAUUGAUAAGUUUUGAGACUUAAUUAAGCUUGAAAAUUAAUUUAAUUAAUCCAAUCAAGGGUUUAAUUGGAGAAUUAUUAAGUUUGGAGACUUAAUUAAGCUUGAAAAUUAAUUUAAUUAAUCCAAUUAGGGACUUAAUCGAAGAAAUAUCAAAGUUUGGGGUUUAAUUGGGGUCUAAAUUGCAAAAAUUAAAAUCCAAGGACCAACUUGAAAAUGGCGCAGAAAUGUAAGGAUCCAAUUAUAUUUUAACCAGGGGUUUGAUUGCAAAAUUAAAAGAAUUACAAUGACCAAAUUUGCAGCCAGCAAAACGGGGUCGUUUUGCAACGACUGUUCACCGUCUCUUUACUCUGCAACGGCUCUGCCAUUAAAGGCAGAGACGUUUCGUCCGUUGGCAGCUAACACGGACGUUUUCUUCAUUGAAGGCGUCGGUUACGGAGCAUUUAGGGUGGGGGGCAACUGUUACCACCACCGAGGCUGCUGCUGGCUCUAUAAAGGCUGAACAAAGGCGACCAGAAAAGAGGAGGCAAAACAGAGAGACAGAGAGACUGGGAACGAAAGAAAAACUGGGAGAGACAGAGGACAGAAACCCAUAAAACAGAGACCAAUACAAGCAGUAAACCCAGAAAACCAACACUAAUAUCAUCGUCUUCAAUCGCCCCCCUGCAAACCAAAAAAAGAAGAACCCAAGCAGCAAGCCGUGACCUUCAUCAUCACAGAAACAAAAGGAAAACAGAAAGGGGAAGGUCAUACACAGACGAGAGCAAAAUCACUGUGCCGCAAGCCUCCUCGCAAUCUCCAGAAGCAGGUAGGCCGUUCUCAUCCUCUUUUCAUUCUUGUUUGAAAUUGUGCAAUUGUAAAAAUAAUUAGGUGUAUAACUUACUGCCUUGAAAUGCACAAACAAUAACAACUGUUAAGGCACCACCUCUGAUUGCACGCGUGAAUUUGUUUCACGCGUGCACCUUAAUUAGCUCAGUCGGGCCACUGGCUUGGGCCAGUGACCGGUCUGGGCUGGCUGGGUCUAGCCCAGCCCAUGUGGGCUGAGCUGGGCCCAGCCCCAAAAAUAAUAAAAAAAUAAAAAAAAUAAAAAAUAGGAGAAAUAGAAAAAAUAGAAAAAUAUAUGUAUGCAUGAAUAAAAAUAAUAUAAAUUUACCGGUUUAUUCACCAACGCCAGAGUCGGGAGUAAAAUACUGGUUUAAGUUUAUAUUAUUUUUAUUCGUUAUAUUUUAUUUUAUUUAGCAAGAAAAAAUAUAUGUGCAUGUAUGAAAAAUAAAUUUAUUUAUUUAUUUAUUUAUUCACUGACGCCAGAGUCAGGAAUAAAAACAUUGAUUUAAUUUAUUUUUUUAACUACAUAAGAAAAAUAGAAAAAUAUGUGAAUGCGUAAUAAAAUGAAUUUAGUUUAUUUGUUUAUUCAAUAAAAAAAUAUUAAUCUAAAUUUAUUUUAUAGCUACGUAAUAAUUACCAACGCUAGAGUUGGAAUUAUCCGUAGUCGAAUAUUCACUGACGCCAGAGUCAGGAAUAUCGUGAAUAAAUCAUCAGAAUGUAAACCAAUAAAUGUUUAGCAAUUUAAGACAAAACCAACAAUGCAGUCUGCCUCAGGCAGAACGUUUAAGGGGUGAUAAUAUCUUCCCUUUUACGUAACCAGUCCCGUACCAUAGAAUCUCUGUUGACCAGUUAGGGUUCCUAGUGACCAUAAUACUAGGUGGCGACUCCUCAAACAAGACCUUUUCCCCUAAAAGAACAAGAUGCCAGAAAUCUGUUCUUUUUCCACAAUUCUAGAGAAUUAUUUUUUGUGGGCCACCGCGAUGUCGGGUGCGACAGGAUGGCGACUCCACUGGGGACCUAGGACUAAGCUUUGUUUUCUUUGUUUUCUUAUUGCUAAAUAUGUUCUUUUUGUGUUGUUGGUGUUUAUCAAAUUUUUUUGUUUUUUUUGUUUUUUUUUGUUUUUUGUUUUUUUUUUUAUUAUUAUUCAUUAUGUAUUCUUGUGUAUUUUAUUUUAUUAUUUUUAUUAUUUUUGUUCUUUUUACUGUUUUAGCAUGCAUAAUUAUUCAUAUUUAUCACGCAUACAUGUUAAUAUGAACAUCAUUCAAGUUUGUUUUUUUUAUAUACAUGUGGUACCAACUUUAAGAUAAGUGGAGGAGUAACGGCACCCCAAUGGCUUUAGCCUAGGUAAGGCUCGCGAAACUAUCCAACUUUCGCAUGAUUUUCCUUUUAUCUGAACCUACUAAUACGUGGGCACACCGUAGAUGACGUUGAAAUCCUGUAUGUAGAUCGUUAGGGGCCAAGUUCAUGUUGAAAAGAAGUAUUGAAAACUGAAAAGCAUUCUCCACCCUUCAAUCCUGCAAGUGAAACGGAGAAUUAGACGAGAAGGUUUCCUCUUUUUUGAGACUCACAAAGUGUUAAUGGUGUGCAAUCCAUAUAUCAAAUUGUUAUGUAAACUUCUGAAAAUUUGUUUGAGCUUUGAUUUGUAUACACUAAACAACAACAAGGGAAAUAAUCUAUUUAUUAGCACAAAUUGCUAUGCUGAGCUUCGAUUUAUUUUUUUUGGUACUUCAUUGUUCAAUAUAUUUAUUUGAUUCAUAUGAUAAUAAUUUUGUGUUGUAGCGUACUUAGUUAGCACACGUUUCUAAAUCUAGAAGUCGUGAUUUAUUUCAACGUCAUCUAUAUAUGUUGUGCCCACGUACUAGUAGGUUCAGAUAAAGGAAAAUUGUGCAUGUUUAUUUCUACAUAGAAGCUUUGAAACUUGGAAGGAGAACUUGUCUUCAAAGAAUCUAUAAGCAGAUGCAACGGUUGCGACAAUGCCUAGUGUUAGUUGUUAGGGCUGGAGGAACUAUACGUUAACAAGCUAGCUUUGAAGUGUUUGUCGUCGCACCAUAACUUUCCAAGGACUUGGAUCGAUUUGAGUUCUCUGCCUUUCCCUCUUGUUUUCACAUAACCAAAAUGCAGGUCAAUGGUCUUAGAAAAAAAACAAAUGCAAAUUAUUAUUCAUAUAUCUAAAUCAUGUGGGAAAAGUCUUGUUCAUAAAAAUUCAUUGUAAUGUCUAUUGAAACAGUGUAAUAACAAAGUGGCCCUUACUAUAGAGAGGUGCAAAGACUAUAGGGGAGGGUGGGGUUGUCUUUUCAUUGGAAUGCAUUUAAUAUUAAAAAAAUGGUUUGGAAAGAAACGAUUAGUAUAAAGGUUACAAACCACAGACUGCAGAUACCUGGUGCUAAGCUAUCAUGCCUUGCCACAUAUGAUGGACUAAGUAGUAAAAGUUUUGGGUUUGGCGAAGGACUUCCUUUUAUUAAUGAAGACAGGUGUUUCUGACAGGUGUUUCUGUGAUUUGUAAUGUUUUUUGUUUCUUGAUGUUUAAAUUUAGCCAACAGAUGGUGGAUUAAGCAAUAAAAGUUUUGGGUUUGGCGAAGGACUUCCUUUUAUUAAUGAAGACACGGGUGUUUUAUGGUUUCAUUUUCUUUUUUAUCUUUUUAUUAACCACCUGCAACAAGGCUAUAUAUAUUUUAUUGCUGUUUGCAUUCAUCAAAUCACACUAUUUUGCUGCUUAACCUCAAGCAUUACUCAGUUGUAAGAAACUUGCGACUAAUUUCACUAAUACAUGGAGGAUAGGUCGUUCUAGAAAAAAAAUACUGUAUGAACAUUUCUUUGCAAGCCUACACACACAUUGAAUCUCCCUAAUUUACUAGUAAAAAGAUGAUGGCUUCAAUAUUUUAAAUGAGAAAGAGAUGGUAUAAAGCACCCAUCACCUCCAAAAGGCUUUGUACAUGGGUCCUCUUCUGGUGCACUCACUAGGGUAAGUGUGCAAGGAUUAUAGCCUGUAGUUCAUGUGCAAAUGCAGUAACAUCAAGAGGGAUUAGUAAAACCAAAAAGGAAGUGUUUUGAGAAAACUCAGUGGGUUGUUGGAAGAGAAAAUGGCUGAUUGUGAGAAAUCACAGUUCCAAGGAUUUUUAUCAGAAGUUUGAUAGAGAUUCAUGGCAUAAGCAGCAUGAGAUGCUAUUGUGUUCGGUUCAAAGCAAGCCCCGCCUGGUUGGAUCGGACCACGGUCAAUCCCUCAUCCACAAACAAAAUCCAGAUUAGCCUGCAAUUGUGCAUCUGAUACAUCUGAUUAAAAUUUUGGGUCUGAGGACAGUUUCUGAAGCAUUUUGUUUCUUUAUGCUCACAUUCAGUACUAAUAACGAAGAGAGCAAGAUGGAAAUUAUUUGUGACUAGACAGAAGCAAAGAAUGAGUAUAUAAAAUACCUAAGAGUAAAUCUUUUAUUCAGCAUGGCUGUCAUUGUACGCAAUUCUCAUCAUUGACCGUCUUUGGUACCAAAGGCUAUGAAGUUCACAGAAAUAUCAUCAGAUAGAGACCAUCGCCCAGCCAAGGGGCUGUGAACAAAUCCAGCCAUUUCUUUAACCUGGCGAGCACCAAACCCAAAGCAAUAAGUUUUUGCUAAGACGUAACAGUAGUAAACAUGUCAAAAUGUCAGCAGGGAAAGCAACCAUCUUACAUUGAUAGAAGCACGCUGUAGGAUAAGCACCAGUUCUUCAGGAGUAAGAAAGCUUGACCACUGAUGCGUGCCAUUAGGAAGCUGUACAGCAUUGGUUAUUAAUAACAACACAAAGCAAACAAAAGGAUAGAAUCAAACUAUAAUACAUCGACAGAUUACUUCCAGAAAUUUUGGGAAGACUAAAACCUACACACCACCUCCACCACCAACUACAGCGAUAAGAAGAUUGCAUGCACUGGAUAUUCCUACACACAAAGUCCAUUGCUAUAGGAAAAAUAAAAUGCUAGAACAGUUCCACUACCAGUGAAAACAGUGGGAUUUUGGACUAGGUUUCUCAUCUGUUUAUAUCACACCCACUACCAGAAAUUCGCCUAAAACAAACAAAAUUACCGAAAGAAUAAUUCGGUCGGUAAAUUGUGGUGAUAAUUACCGAUGGAUACUAUUCCAUCUGUAAUUCAGUUGGUAUAUACCGACAGACUAAUGCUGUCGGUAUAUACCGACUGAAUUACAGACGAAAUAUAUAAAAAAAAAUUUUAAAAAAAAAUGCAGUUCGAUGACAUGGCAGUUUUUGCGGGCAAUUUUACCGACGGAAUGACCGGGGAAUUCAAACUGGAAUCUCUGUACAGUGACGUGACUAAUUCACCAUUAUAAUUACCAAAGGAAUCAUCGACAGAAGUAUUCCGUCGGUGAUUCCCUCGGUAAGAGUUAAUAAAUCAUCACUUUGUCUACCCUCUCCUCCCCUAUUUCUCCUUCUUCUUCCUCAUCCCAACUCUCCCCUCCCAAACUGCAAACAACCACCCCCUCUUCUCAACACAAGUCAUCUUUCUAUAACUUUUGUGGUCACAACAUCCGUGUUCUGAUUUAUUGUGGAUUUUAUCAUUUUUGUAAGUAAAUCUAUCUUUUUUUUAAUUUUAACAUUUAAAUGUCAAUUUUAUUAUUUUUAAUUUUUUUUAGUAUAUGUAUUUUGUUAGUGUAUAUACAUGUUUUAUUGUUAUUUCUCAAACAAACUUGUAAUAUGAAUGUAUAAUUUUGUAUUUGUUAUGGUUUGUUUUAGAUUUUGUAAAAUUAUAUUUGUUUGUAAAUUGUUGAAACUUUGUUGAAUUACCGAAUUAGAUGUGUUGUGAUGAAAUAAUUAAUAGCUUGUUUAAUGAGUCCGUUUUAAUUUUUAUCAAUGUUAUUGCGGAGUUGUAAUUUCUGUAAAUUUAUUAUAUGUACAAAUUUAUAUGGAUAUUGAUAAUGAAUAUUUACGAGAAGUUUUAAAUAGUUUGUUGUAUAAUCUUGAGGUAAACCAAUAUUUUUGCAAAUUUAUUUACUUAACAUAGUUAAUUAAUACAUGUUGUCAUCAUAAUUUUUUAGAGGUUCAAUAGAAGUCAUGGAUGAUGGUUCAUGGAUGUAUCGAGAUUCACCCAAAGGAUUGCGGAGGAUGAGUUAUUUUAAUGGGGUUCAGGGUUUUAUUAAUUUUGCAACAUCUAUUCCUAGAAAUUUUAUUGGAGGCGGUAUUAGUUGUCCAUGCAGGAAGUGUGAAAAUAAAAAGUAUAUGCAUCCAGAUGUUGUAAUGAUGCAUCUUCUACACAAAGGAUUCAUGGAGGAUUGUCCGUGUUGGUAUGCCCACAAAGAACUAUUUGUUUGUAAUGAGAGCAUGGUAGAAAGGGUAGUUGGGUCAACUUCUAGUGCUAGCAAUGUGCAUGGAGUUGCAAAUGACAACAUUAAUCCUUACAGGAAUAUGGUUAUGGAUGCAAUGAGAAUGAAUCAAGGUAAUGGCAGUAGACUAUUUUUUUUUAAUAUCUCUUUACAACUUCUUAAAUUUCAUGUAGAUGUCUGAGGAAUAUAGUUGAUUGGUGGCCCUUAUUAGAUUUUAUAUGUAAUGGAUUUAUGAGAUGUUAAUAAUUCAUUAGAGAUGUUAAAUUGGUGGCUAAAAUCCAUGAAAUUCAACGAGACUGUUACAAAAGGUGAGAUAUCUAAGACAGUAACAAUUAGACUUUCACGUGAAUACUAUAUGUAUAUAUAUAAGAAUUGAGUCGUGCGGAGACUUGCACAUUAAGAUACUAACUCUGAAAAUAUACAUGAUAUGUGUAUGUAUGUUAUGAUGAGGAAAUAAACAUGCAUAGAAAGUAACAUAUGUGUAAUGCAUGAAUAUGGAUUCUCUAUAACAUUCGGCUUGAAGGGAUUAUGACCAAAAACUUCCUUGUGAUUCAGGAGAAGCGACCAAGUUUGGAUCUCCUAUUGGAGGAGGUCAGGAGACAGGCCGAGCAGGUGUGUGAUUUUCCCUCUUUUUUGCACUUAUGCAAUUCAAAGUUCUUCUGGCGAAUGCAUAAAUGCCAUGUUCAAUGUAAAUAAAGUCUAGCGUAUUUACAAGAUUAGCUUCGGCUAAUGGCAUCCGUGAUAGGAUUGCCAUGAAAUGAAUUACACGAUUAGCUUCGGCUAAUGGCAUCCAUGAUAGGAUAGUCGGGACAUGAAUUACAAUAUUAGCUUUGGCUAAUGACAUCCGUGAUAGGAUUGCCAGGAGAUGAAUUACAAGAUUAGCUUCAGCUAAUGGCAUCCGUGAUAGGAUAUAUUGUGUGGAUUGUAUGAGGUGUUGAAUAUUGAUGAUUGAAAUAAGGCCCGGAAUUAUGGGACCUUGUGAUGAUAGGUUGAUUGAGUAAAUUGAUAGUAGUCGAUAACUUGGGAUGUCCUAAAUACAAACGAAACUCUACCGAAAUUUUGGUAGAAUUCUUUACAAAAAAAAAUUACCCUAAAACUAAGAGCAUAUGUUGGGAUCUUUUAGCAUUGAUCAAAUUGUAAGUCAGGUCUGUUACAGCCUCCUUCUAAUUGGAUACACCCAACAUCUCUUAAAGAAGUCAUCUAUAAAUGAUACAAAGUAUCUUGCUCCUCCCAAGGAUAUAACAAGUACUUGCCAAACAUCAGAAUAAAUCAAGUCCAAGAUGUAUUUGCUCUUAGAUAUUGAUGUGUCAAACUUCAACCUGUGUUGUUUACUUAUAACACAAUGCUCACAAAAGGGUAGACUAACCUUUGUAAGCUCAUGGAGUAACUUCUGAUCAGAGAGAAUUUAGGAUGGAGUAUGGUAGUGUUGGGAUGAAUUUUUCCUACCCUUAUAGCUAUGUUCAAUAUGGUUGACCUCCUUCCUUUUAAAGCCUUUUUUCUUGGUGGGUGCAGAAAUUCUACCACUCUUGAUGCCUAGCUUUAUGCGUUCACACACUACCACAACGUUAGUGAAUUGCUUGGCCGAACUACCCAUCACAUGCUCGUAAUAUGGUGCCUUGAGUGUGUCGGAAAAUAAAGUGACCAUCUCUUUGUCCAGAAGUGGAGGAUGUACUUGAGCAGUUAAUUCCCGCCAUCUUUGAGCGUAUUCCCUUAUGCUUUCUUUAUCCUUUUUGUCUAGAUUGGACAAGCUGGUUCUGUCGGGAGCAAUGUCCAUGUUAUACUUGUACUACUUGACAAAAGCAUCCACCAGAUCUUUCCAUCUCUGGAUCCUUAUGUUGUCCAAUCUCAUGUACCAGCUCAAUGUUGCCCCACUUAAGCUAUCCUGAAAAAGUGCAUCAGUAGUUUUUCAUCAUGUACAACUUCUGCCAUUUUAUUGCAGUAGGACUUGAGAGGAGUCAUGGGGCAUUAUGCUCCACUAUAUUUGAUGAACUCAGGAACACGAAACUUCUUUAGGACAACCAUAUUUGGGACCAGACACAUCUUUGUUGCUCAUACUAGAUCAUAUAAGUCUACCCCUUCAACGACUCUAAUUCUGGCUUCCAGCGCCUCCAUCUUAUCUUGAUCAAUGCUAUCAGAUGACUUGGCCUUGUGGGACUCGUGGGCAAAUGCAUCAAUGACUGUCAGGGCUGGUGCAGGUGUCGCUGACUGCACAAAUGCUGGAUUAGGUUGAGGCUUUUGACCAUGUUCACUCAUUCUUUCUUUGGGCUGAGCUGUUGUAAGAGUCUGAUUAAAGGUGACCGAUCCGUUAGAAUGACCUUCACCAUAUGUAUUUCUUAGUGUUUGCUCGAGUAAGCUAGUGAGGCAAGCCACGCUUGUCUUUAGAGGCUCCAACUUUUCUUGAAAAUGGGGGUCACGAUGAGCGCACUCUUCAUCUUACAUGUUCUUGCUCGAAGUCGGGUGUUGUAGACUUGUAGGGGACCUAUAUUUCAACCUAUUGUAUGUAUGUUAUUUACCAAUGAAUUGAUGUAUGCAUAUGGAUGCAAAUGUAUAUAUGUACAUGCGCAUUAGGGAGUUCAUACUCUAAGGAUAGGUUUUGGGCCAUUACAUGAUGGGUGGUUUUCUACCUAGUCUCAAAAGGGUCUCAUAUUUGCCUCGUGAUGGUCUUCGUAAAGACAAUAUAAGGGCACGUAUGCCCAUCAUUGCCAAGCAAGCGCUCAGAUAUGAGUUGGGUGUUUCACGCAUUUGAAACCUAACCAAUAGUCAUAAGGCAGAUCGCUAAUCCCCCACCUAUCUUAUAAGCUUAUGUGUUCUUCCCAAAAAUUUAAGACAUGCGAUGCAUAAGGCAAUUCUACACAAUACAUGAACAAAUAUGUACAAAAAUUAAGGCAUGUAAGAAAAAAAUAAAGAAAAUGCAUGUUAACAAUAAACAUGCAAACCAAACAAUAAAACACAAUGAUCAGACAAAAACAAAGCUUAGUCCACAAGGUCCCCAGCAGAGUCGCCAUUAUGUCGCACGUGUGCGGCGCCGCGACGAUAUCUUCCACUCUCAAAUGUAUGUGUAUCUAUUUGGCAAAUGUGGGAAGACAAGGAAUUAUUGUCUUUUAUCUGUGGAAAGCAGGAAUGGGAGUCGCCACCUAGUAUUUUGGUCACUAGGAACCCUAACUGGUCUCAAAGAUCGGGUAGAGGGACUGUUGUGUAAAGGGAAUGUAUUAGCACCUCAAAUAUCUCUUACCUAAGGUAAGCUGUAUUGUUUUAUUGUCUGAUAUAUGCUACGGUUUUAUUGUAUUUUUGAUUGUUGGUCUGUCUAUGGUUUAAGAAAAGUCCUCCUCGGUAAGGAGAUCCUUAUCUUAUCAGGUAAAACCUAACCGUUCUAACAUCAACAAAAGAAUUUAAUAUCCAGAAUACGUCUUACGUAUGAGGUCAUAACAACAGAUACUAAAAGAGAACAAAAUAAUUUUUUUGUUAUUUUUUGAAAUUUUGGCCUUGUUCUUAUGGCUUUAAUAAACUGGUUAUUAAAGCCAAAAUGCAUGCUAAAAUAUUUUUUUGAAUUUUUCUUUGCUGUAUGAAAAUACAAUAUGAAUUUUUUAAAGAGACUUUGUCGUAUGCAUGAAAACAAGAUUAUAUAUAUAUAAAUUUUGCAACGUUUUGACAAAUCGGGUAUUUUAAUAUCAAAUUUGUAUCUUUACAGUAUAAAAAUAUAAACCGAUAUUAAUCAAAAUGGAUAGAAAAACAUGCGAGAAAAUCAUAAAUUUUUGCAAAAAUUUUUUUGGAAUGGGCCGGACCCGGCCCACUCAUUUUGGGCUGGGCCGCACAAGUCCAGCCUAGUGAACAGUGCAGCACUCUCCACUGUUCACAUGCAAUGUGAACACUGGAGAGUUAAUUAAUUCACUUUCCACUAUUCACUUGUAGAGCAGUGGAGGGCUACCGGAGAAGAAGCAUAAGAAGGAAACUGACUGGGCAGCACUGGUGGCACUAUUGUUGCUAUGGACGGCUGUGGUGGCAGACGGUGGUUCUUCUUCUUCUCUCCUCUACUUCGAUAUGCUGUUUUCUUCCUGUGUUUUUCGUUCCCUCUAUUGCUACCCAAUUUUUGACCCAUGUUUUGAUAAAUUUUUGGAAAAAAAACCAAAAAUAGCAAAAAACAACGAAAACCCCAAAAAAUGCAUUUUUGAUAUUUUUGCAUCGUUUUUUUAGCAUUUUCAAUGUCAUUGUUGUUACUCAUUUUUUAGCCCCACAUGCUAGAGAUGGUGUGUACCUCUUUUGAACCAAAUGCAGGAGUGAUUGUUGAGGAAUUGACAAAAGAAGAGAAGAAAGAAAUGUUUUUCGAACCCUGUUUCAGCUAUUUUCUACUCUCUUUAUCCUUCCCCUUCGUUACCGAAAUCAUCAGGAUUCUUAGAUUAAUUAGGAGUCUUCGUGAUGCUAAACUCGUUCAUUCUUUAUCUAGUCUUUAAGAUUGGAUAAAUCCCUCAGAAUUUGCACUAAAAAAACUGAUUCUACUACUGUCGAAAUUCUGUUGUAAUACCAACUUUGUUCCAACUUACGCUUUCAUUCUGACUCGAUUUCGUGCAAUAUCUAGCAAUCCUAGCUAUAUUUUGUCAUUCAUGACAUGUUAAAGAAUUGAUCAACACCUUUAUUGGGUCUUAGGGCCCACUAUUCUUCUGUUAAACUCUUAGUCAGAUUUGGGAUGCUCGACAUUGUCAAUUUCCAAAUCAGAUCAGGAGACCCUUUUUGACCAAACAGAUUGCAGCCAAAUUCUGUUCUUCAAAACGAUUCUGUUCUUCAGAUUGUAGUCCUGUACAUGUAGAUGAAUUUGGGUUUUUGAAUCGCCUGAUUUCGAUAUCAAAAGCUCAAGAUAUUCCCGUUUGAAGGUCAUGAAAGCAAAUAAUCUUGUCGCGAGAAGGGUUCUAGCCUGAGUUUGCAAGUCUGAUUUGAGGGAUUACGGGCCGGUUUGAAGGACCUUUUUUUUUACCAAUGAUUGAAUUGAAAAGUGCUAAAAUGAGGGAUUUAAUUGAAGAUGAAAUUAGAAGGAAAUGGGCUAGUUUUUAAGAAGUUGAAGAGGGGGACUAGAUCAUCAGAAAAUGACAGGAAUUAUACCACGCUGGAUAAGGAAAUACGACUUUGCAACAUGAUACUAUUCAUUUGUGUUCUGAAUGGCACCCCUCCCUGUCUGAAAUUCUUUCCUUUUCUCUUCACAAUCCUCCCCAUUUGAAAUUCUUUCCUUUUCUUUGCACAAUCCUCCCCCUCUGCAAUUCUUUCCUUUUCUCUGCACAACUAUUCCCGCUGGUUUCCAUGAUUCUCUCGCCUGAUUUUUGAGCUGCAGAUCAUGUUUUUUUUCCUACCUCAAUACAAAGGAAACAGUUGGUGCCUCACGGUGCCAGCUAUGGAAGGACAGAAAGCAGUCACACCAUCCUCUAAUUACUUGAAAGUAAUCACUAGAAUCAUAAGAGUGUUCUGGUUUCGUAUUUUGUUUUAUCUGAUUAUAAGUAACCUGGAAUUGUAUCCUAGAUUAGUGUGUUUUGUUUCCUAAAUGGAGCUGCGUAUAGGCUAUAUAUAAGCCUCCUCUGUUGACCUAAAAGAGAGGGAAAGAGAAAAAGAAAAGAAAGAGAGGAAGAGUAACGAGAGAGAGGCAGCCAACAGGAAAAUAGAGAAAGAGCAAGAAAACACCGAGGGAAGAACGUCCAUUCCACCAGCACAUCACACCUUCAUCAUCGUCUUUGCCAUCUUUAGAGAGAGCAUCGAGAAGAAGAAAAAGACAGAGACCAACACCAGCUUUGCUAGCAUUUGUCAUUGUCUCCAGAACCAGUGAUCACCAGUUGUUCGCAAGAGCUUUAGCAUCAUCAUCUUCGCCCGUUAGUUAUCAGGUAAGCGCCCUGCAUUGUUUUCACUUUGCAAAUUUAAUUACACGGUUAUUGUGCAUGUUUUUGUUACUGUUCAAGUGAAUUAUAAUUCACUUGAACAAUAACUAAGGAGGCAUUGUUUGCCCAACCGGGUCACUGGUUUGGGCAAGUGACCCGGCUAGGCCUGCUGGGUUCAACCCAGCCACAUGGGCUGCGUUGGACGCAUGCCUAAAAAAAUGUUUUCUUGUGUGUUGCAUACGGCCAAUACCUUAAUAUAUUUUGAACAUUUAUUUUUUUUAUAAAAAAAAAUAUUUGAAGUUUUGAAAAUGUGUUUUCGCAUGAAUUUCUUAAAAAAAAUUAUUUUCUUGUAUUUUGGAUUUUACAACAUGUUUGUAAAUCUCUAAAGGGUAUUGGCCAAUAUUCCAAAAAUAUAAAAAUCUUAUUUUUGGGGAAUUCAUUUAUAUUCACUAUUAAUAUUUGGAUAAAGAAAUCCAAAAGAGGUUAAUAUCCAAAAUAUUAUUGGGAUAAAUUUGUUAUUAUUCACUGUUAAUAUUUGGAUAAAGAGGAUAAAGAAACCCAAAGUGUAACAUAUCCAAAAUACUUUUCUAGGAAUAAUAAGUCACUAUUAUUUAUUUAAUCACACAUCCUUGAAAGAAGCCUUAAUUAUAAUUAGGGACAUUUCAAUUUUUCACUCCAUGGUUUACGAGUCGUGAGAGUAUGAAACACUAAGGCAAAAAUAGGCUUUUAAAGCGCUCUAAAUUUCCUUAGAUUUCUAAAUUUUUAUGUCUUUUCCUUGCGAUUUAUGAGUCGCGAACACUUGAAAUACUAGAGGAAAAAUGAGCUUUUAAGCACAUUGAAUCUCCUUAGAUUUCUAUCUUAUCUAUCUCUUAAUUCAUAGGUUAUAAAUUUAGUCCAAAUCAAACACAAAAUUUCAAGAGAUCUGCAUCGGUUCUCCUUGGCACUCUAUAGACAUAUCUAAAGGUAUGAUCGAUAUUGGCCAGGUUUUUCUUUCUUUUGGACUUUGAGCCCGUGUUCGUUCAUCAUAGCAGAUUUAUUCUAGGAAAACUGAUGGGAUUAGAAAACAUCAGCACCAUAGAAAUUAUAAGGCAAACCAAACGUCAAGCGCUUAGCUUAGGUUUCCUUACCUUUACGUAACCAGUCCCUUACCUUAGAAUCUCUGAAAGACCAGUUAGGUUUCCUAGUGACCAUAAUUCUAGGUGGCAACUCUCUUUUUCAGAAAACAAAGACCCCGACAUCAAUCUCCACUUCGGGAAGGGUCACCGCGACGUCCCGCUCUCGCGAGGGUGUGACACCCUCUGUGUAAUGAAUGAAUAUGGAUUCUCUAUAACAUUCAGCUUGAAGGGAUCAUGACCAAAAACUUCCUUGUGAUUCAGGAGAAGCAACCAAGAUUGGAUCUCUUGUUGGGGGCGGUCAUGAGACAGGCGGAGCAGGUGUGUGAUUUUCCCUCCUUUUUGCACUUAUGCAAUUUAAAGUUCUUCUGGUGAAUGCAUAAAUGCCAUGUUCAAUGUAAAUAAAGUCUAGCAUAUUUACAAGAUUAGCUUCAACUAAUGGCAUCCGUGAUAGGAUUACCAGGAAAUGAAUUACAAGAUUAACUUAGGCUAAUGGCAUCCGUGAUAGGAUUGUUGGGAAAUGAAUUACAAGAUUAGCUUCGGCUAAUGGCAUUCGUGAUAGGAUAUAUUGUGUGGAUUGUAUGAGGUGUUGAAUAUUGAUGAUUGAAAUAAGGUCUGAAAUUAUUGGACCUUGUGAUGAUGGGUUGAUGGAGUAAAUUGAUAGUUGUCGAUAACUUGAGAUGUCCUAAAUACAAACGAAACUCUACUGAAAUUUUGGUAGAAUUCUUUACAAUAAAAAAAUUACCCUAAAAUUAAGAGCAUAUGUAGGGAUCUUUUAGCGUUGAUCAAAUCGUACAGUCGAGUCUAUUACAACCUUCCUUCUAAUUGGAUACACCUAACAUCUCCUAAAGAAGUCAUCUAUAAAUGAUACAAAAUAUCUUGCUCUUCCCAAGGAUAUAACCAAGUGCUUGCCAAACAUCGGAAUAAAUCAAGUCUAAGAUGUAUUUGCUCUUAGAUGUUGAUGUGCCAAACUUCAAUCUGUGUUGUUUACUUAUAACACAACGCUCACAAAAUGGUAGAGUAACAUUUGUAAGCCCAUGGAGUAACUUCUAAUCAGAGAGAAUUUUCAAACCUUUCUCUGACAUUUGGCUAAUUUUUUAUGCCACAUCAUCUUCUUUUCUAAAGGACUGGCUGAUGCAAUUGACGCCUCUACCUCAUGAUGUGUUUCUCUCAUUAACACAAACAAGUUUGCAGCUAUCUUUCUUGCCUUUAAAACCAUUAACGCUCUUUUGAUGAUUUUCAUGAUUCCAUUGUCUAUUCGAAUCUUACAGCCAAGAUUAUCAAAUUGUCCCACAAAUAAAUUUUUUUUCUUUACACCUUUCACAUGUCAUACUUCUGAAAUAGUACGAAUUGAGCCAUCAUACAUCUUCAAUUUGAUGGUGCCAAUGCCAGCAAUCUCUAAAGCAUGAUCAUUACCUAUGAAAAUUGAGCCUUCAUAGAUGGGUCAUAUGUAUGAAACCAAUCUCGAUUAGGAGUCGUAUGUCAUGUUAUUUUUGAAUCCAUUAACCAAACCUCAGUAAGCUAUUUUCUAUCUGUAAAGACUGUCACUGUUUCACUAUAUAAAACCUCCCCAUCUUCUAAGGUGCUUGCAACACAUCUUUGAGGUUUUGAUAACUCUGUAUCGUUCUCUAUAACCUUUUUAAACCAACAAUCCCUUUUGAAGUGCCCUUUUCAAUGCUAGUCUUCUUACUUUUUUAUUUGGACCUCCUUUGCAUUUGACUCCCAUUGGAGCCACGCUCCGUUGAUCUUCCUCUUGACAUCAACAAUGCCUCUGCUUGGUUUGAACUAUUUCUGUCUCCUUUAUUUUUUCACCUAUUUUCUUCUUCCAAAUAGCGGCUGCAACAUCAUCAAAUACUAAAUAGUCUGAGAGGAUAUUAGAGGUCAAGUUGAUAAUGAGUUAAUCAUAUGAAUUAGGAAGACUUUGAAGUAGAAGCUCUGCACACUCAUUUUCCUCUAUUUGUUACUCAAAUUAGUGAGUUGUGAAAAUAGAGUUCUUAUUGUGUUGAUGUGGUUAGUUACCGACGUGAUUUCUGCCAUUUGAAGGGUAUAAAGUCUCCAUUUUAAGAAAAUCUUAUUGUGUAAAGACUUGAACUGAUACAGCUUUGUCAAAGUAUCCCAUAUCUCCUCAGCUAUUUUCUUCUCUGUUGAUAACACUUCUUCAGCUAAUGCUAUAUGUAUGUUAGUAAUAGCAUUGCCAUCCAUCUCAUUCCAUUUUGCAUUAUUAGUGAUCUCCGCGGGCCCAUCUCCAAUUGUUGCCAAGCAAUUGUCUUUCCUUAAAAUUGCAUUGAUUCUCAUUUUCCAUAGUGAGAAAUUGCUCCCAUUGAACCUCUCAAUCUCGUACUUUGCUGCCAUUUUAUUCAUUGAGAUCUAUUCAGCUAUCACCGUUUCACUGAUCUGUAACAUAUACAGAAAUAGUAUCAUGUGAAUAAUACUUCACUAAGUAAGUUCCCAAGAAAGAUUGGAGGGGUCACAAACAAUCCCGCUUAAAACCUAAUCUCCUUAGACAGUGAGUUAUUGACUGAAGAAAUACGAAUAUGGUCUUCUUCUGAAAAGGAAAUUCUUUCUGCUUCAAAUUCAUCUGUACUAGUAGUACCCUCCAAGUCAUUCUCUAAUCAUCAGAAUAAGCCUUACACAAGGGUUGCCUUCAAUAAGUGCAGUUUCUAUAAGCAGAAAAGUCAUUGGAAAGCUCAAUGUACCAAGUUAAGACAAUAAAAUCAAGCUUGGAAGUCUGGCAGCCGGUCAUAAUCUAAUGCUCAAAUAUCAUCUCAAAGUUGUAGACAAUCACACAACAAUACUGCAACACUAGUUUCAUCAGGCCCUAUCAUCGAUCCUAGUACUCUAGCUAAGCAAUUUCAAAGUUUCUCUCCUUAUAUCCAUAAACAAUGUCUGUUUCUUCUUUCGUAGGUUAAUUGCCUCAUAGUUCUUCAGGUAUGUCACAUUUUGAAUAGGUCUUGGAUUCUGGUGCUUCACAUCAUAUGUCUCUAGAUUCUUCAUCUUUUACCUUUCUGUCCCUUUCACCUUCCAUUCCUGUUAUGACUGCUGAUGACACUUCAAUGCCCUUAGAAGGUGUUGGUUUUAUUGUCAUACCUCACUUGUCUCUCCCUAAUGUUUAUCUUAUUCUGAAACUCAAAUUGAAUCUUGCUUCUGUUAGACAAUUAUGUGAUUUUGGUGAUUAUUUAGUCAUUUUUUCCUCUUUCUUUUGUUGUGUACAAGAUCUGCAGUUUCAAAAGGUAAUUGGGACAGGUCAUAGGGAGAAUGGACUAAAUAUUUUGGAUGAGUUAAAAAUGUCAGUUAUUGCUACUACUACUGUUGAUUUGUCUUCUUUUCAUUUGAGUAAUUCAUCUUCUAGUUUUUAUUUAUGGCAUUCUCGUCUAGGUCAUGUUUCAUCUUCUUAUUUGAGAUUUUUGGCAUCCAUAGGAGCUUUAAGAAAUUUGCAACCUUGUGAUAUUUUUUAUUGUAAUGGAUGUAAACUAGUGAAAUGUUUCGCUUUACCUUUUGAUCGAAGUAUUUCUGUUUCCUCUUUCCCAUUUGACUUGAUUCAUUCUGAUGUAUGGAAACCUUCUCUUGUUGCCACAAAAGGAGGGUCUCGAUACUAUGUUUCUUUUAUUGAUGAUCAUACUCAUUAUUGUUGGGUUUAUUUAUUGAAACAUCAUUCUGAAUUCUUUGAGAUAUAUACAGCUUUUCGAGCUCUUAUCAAAACUUAACAUUCUACUGUUAUCAAAUGUUUUAGGUGUGAUUUGGGUGGGGAAUACACCUUUAAUAAAUUUUGUGCGUUGCUUGCCUUAGAUGGAACCAUUCACCAAACUUCAUGUACAUAGACUUCUAAAUAAAAUGGUGUUGCUAAAAUAAAACAUAGGCACAUUGUCGAAACUGCUCAUUCUCUCUUUUUGUUUGCUUCUGUUUCUAGUGAGUUUUGGGGAGAAGUUGUCUUUACUACUAUAAGUUUGAUUAAUACAAUCUCAUCUUCUUAUAGUUUAGGUUUUUCUCCUUUUGAAAAGUUAUAUGAGUAUGUCCCUGAUUAUUUCUCCUUUAGAGUUUUUGGUUGUACUUGUUUCGUUCUUCGUUCUCAUGUUGAACGCAGUAAGUUGUCCUCUCAAUUUCCUAUUUGUGUCUUUCCGGGUUAUGGUGAAGGUAAAAAGGGGUAUUGUUUUUUUGACCGAAUAACAUAGAAACUUUAUAUAUCUCAUCUUGUUGUCUUUCUCGAGCAUAUACCUUUGUUUUCUAUCUACUCAUAACUUGACUAGACCUGAUAUUAUUCAUAUAGAUCUCUUUUUCUAAGGAUUCUGAUAGUUUAUUAUCUCAUGUUCCUAGUACCUUAGAUACCCCUUCCCAUGUUCGACCAAUAUGUACUAAUCAUUCUGCAGGUACUAACACUUUACUCUCCAGCACACCUGAAGCUUCAUUCUCAUCUAUAACCCCCCAAGCUUCGUCUAAGAUUGUAGAUCCACCUUUAUGUGAAUCCAUAUGUAUUUGUACGUCUAUAAAACAUCCAGAAUUUGCUUAUUCUUGUUAUUUUUCAUCAUUUACUUCUUUCUAGCUUCUAUUUAUUGUCUCUCUAAGCCCUCUUCCUAUAAGAAGGCAAUUCUUAAUCCUUUUUUACAGCAAGCUAUGGAUGAGAAACUUUCUACUUUGCAUAAGACAAAUACUUAGGAUUUGGUUCCAUUACCUCCUAGUACGAGUGUUAUUGGUUGUCGUUGGGUGUAUAAGAUCAAGACUAAUUCUGAUGGGUCUAUUGAGCGAUACAAAGCUAGGUUAUUUGCAAAAGGAUACUCCCAAUAAUAUGGUAUGGAUUAUGAGGAGACAUUUGCUCCAGUUGCAAAAAUGACUACUAUUCGUACUCUUAUUAUUGUAGCUUUGGUAUGUCAGUGACAUAUCUCUCAACUUGAUGUUAAAAGUGCCUUCUUGAAUGGAGAUCUUCAAAAAAAAGUUUUAUGGCACCCCUCCUGGUGUUUCACAUGACUUUGGGUAUGUUUCUAAGUUCAAGAAAGCGUUAUAUGGUCUCAAACAAGCACCUAGUGCUUUGUUUGAGAAAUUUUCUAUUGUGAUCUCGUCUCUUGGAUUUGUUUCUAAUAGUCAUGAUUCUGCCCUUUUUACUAAGUGCACUGAUGCAGGUCGUAUUAUUCUCUCUUUAUAUGUUGAUGAUAUGAUUAUUAUUGGUGAUGACAUUCAUGGUAUUUUAAUUUUGAAGUCAGAUUUGGCUAGACAGUUUGAAAUAAAGGAUUUGGGUUAUCUUCGAUAUUUUCUAGGUAUUGAGGUAGCUUACUUACCUAGAGGUUACCUUCUUUCUCAAUCGAAAUAUGUUGCAGAUAUUCUUAAGUGGGCUAGACUUACUGAUAAAAAGAUUGUAGAUAGUCUCAUUAAGGUUAACAUAAGGUAUUUUUCUUCUGUUGGUCUACCUUUGACAAAUCCUACUUUAUACUGUACUAUUGUUGGGAGCUUGGUCUAUCUCACUAUUACUCAUCCAUUUAUUGCAUAUGUUGUUAGUCAGUUUAUUGUUUCUCCUACUACGGUUCACCGGGCAACUAUUCUUCGUAUUUUGCGACAUCUUCGUGGUACGGUCUUUCAAAGUCUUUUACUCUCAUCAACCUCUUCCUUGCAGAUGCUGAUCAUGACAGUGAUCCCACAGAUCGUAAGAAAUAAGAGAAUCACCUAGAAAGAUACAAAAACCGGUAACAAACUUACGAUAUUGUUUCUCAAUCUUCAACCAAAGCAGAAUAUCGUGCUAUAACAUCUACUGUAACGACCCGACUUUUUCAGAGCCAAAAUCGGUGAAAUUUGUUUUUCCAUUAAGUUAUCGAUACUUCUCACAAUGACAUUCCAUAAAAUAGUAAUUAGGUUCCCUUCCUUAUCAUGGCAUCAUAUGGAUAUAGUUUUCGUAAAUCAAGAUUCUCAUAAAAUAGUUACUUAAUAUACAUGCCUAUAAUAUUAAAUUCUCAUAUUCAUACAUUUACAUUACAUCAUAUUGAAAUACUCAUACGUUUGCAUUCAUGUUCUAGCCUCGUUAUCAACACGAGUUUACACACGAGUGGCGAACGACAAUUUUACACAUCUAGUACAUUCUUUCAUACAAUCGUCAUGCGAUUUCACAACACAACAUCCUCAUAAAAGAGAAUAUCACAUAAAUAUAUUCAUAACAACGUAUUUACAUGUUCGCACAUCCACAUCCGUGUUCCAUUAUAGUUUUCAUUACAAGUCCUUACAAAAGUGCCGAAUGGCAAAUAUUCAACAUAACACUUAAGACCUAAUCACAAAAUCUAACCCGUCAUCUCCUUCGGAUACCAUUAGCUGAUGCCAAUCAUUAUAAUUAACUCGGUCAUCCAACUAGGAUGCCAUCUAUCGCACGUCACCCGCACGGCGUCGUUGGUGAUUUUUCGUUAUGUUGCUUGAUUUAUUCUUGGGGGUCGCCACCUAGUAUUUAAUUGAGUUUACUAGGAAACCCGAAUGUACUGGUCUUGUCAGAGAUUCAUGGGUAAGGGACUGGUUGUGGUUAGGGAAGGUAUUAGCACCCCUAACGCACCCUACCUGAGGUAAGCUGGUUCGUGGCUUUGAUGUGUUAAAGAAGUUUUAAAAUUUUUAUCUUUUCAUCGGAUAUUAGAAAUACGACUUACGUGUAAGUUCAUAAUUCUUGACCGUGAGUAAAUCAAAAUAUUAAAUUCUUAUUUAUUCUUUACAAUUUUAUCAUAAAAAAAAAUCCAUAAAAAAAACAAACAACACAUUCACUUUCACUUUCACUACAUUUUUUCUUUUUUCCUUUUUUCUUGUUUUCUUUUUUACAUCCACACUACAAAUGUUGCGAUGUCGCGGUCGCACAAAUUAAUUACCCUAGCUUCAAACACAACACACAAGAUAGUAUAGAGCAAGCAAGGGGUCGAUCCCACGAGGAAGAUUCAAGUCAGAUUUUUAUGCUAGAUGAUAUGCAAUUUGGGGGGGUUUGGACGUUAUCUAGGCUAAAGCAAAAGAAAACAGAAAACUAUCAAACUAAAUUUAAUAAAAUCAGAAAAUUAUCAAGAGAACAAACCUUGGUCACAAGCACACAUCCACCUACAGAAAUCAGAACUGAUCAUGGAAACUAACAUCAAUUUAUAUUCUGAAUAUUUAUCUCUUCUUAACAUUGGUUAGUUAACGGAUCCGCCGUAUAACUAGCCCUAACCAUCAAACAACCACAGUGUCCGCACUAGUAAUUUAAUUCAAUGGCAGCCUUAAGAACUAGAUAAGUUGAUUAAUCAAGAAAACAUAAAUGUCCGCAGUCUAUGUUUGAUUUGAUUGAAUGUUCUCCCUAAGAUUAAUAACGUAGAUCCGCCACAAUUAUUAAACUCAGUUGCUUCACAAGUUCAUAUACCACAACUCCGGUUUUGAUAUCAAACUUAGCAAUAAAUUGUCUACAAUAAUAACUUAGAGUCCGCUCUAGCAAUUAAAAUAAACAAUCAUAGGAAAAAUAAGCAUAGGAGAACAAACAUAUUCAUCAUAUAAACUGAAAAGAAAAGGUAAAAUAAAUCUCACAGUUCUUGAAAUCCGAAGGUUUCCGUGUCCUUGCAACCAAGAAAAAGUGUUUAGCCUUGCAUGUUUGUUGAACAACUAAUCAAAAAGAAGGAAGAAUGCAUAAUUUAGGGUUUCUUAGAGGAAGGGGGCGUUUUUCUCUUCUUGGCUGGCUGCCCCCUUCUCUUCUCUCAUUCUUUUUAUAUCCUAGGAAACCCUAGGUCUCUAUUUUACAAAAUAGUCCUCCAUUAAGUAGAUUGUUUACAUUUAAGUACUUCAAUAACUAUUUUCCUAAAAAAGGAGAAAUAGCCUUGCAUAAAAUCUUCAAGCUUUGACUUAGAGGAGCUAAAUUGCUGAAAUACAAACUUGGAUAUCGGUUUAGAUGCUUCGGAACGUAAUUUGGACUCGUUUCUUCACGAAACCUGUUUGCUGGCAGAAUUUAGUUGUCAUCUUUGAAAACUCAUAUCUCCCUCAUAUGACAUCGGUUUUGGCUGACAUUUGGAGCGUUUAUAGACCUUUGAGACAUGAAUCCAAAAAAAUUGAGUUUGCAUCAAUUGGACUUUUGUAGCUCCAGAUACUCAAGUUGGAAUGGCCGAAGGUCAACACUGGCAGAUUGCGAGAUUUGACUUUGAAGGCUGUGAUUUCCAUGCUCUUCCUUAUUUUAUUUUCUUGCCUUAGAUCUCCAGAAAGGUAUGGAUGUUAGCUUUUUAAUGCCACUGGAAUCACUUCAUUUCAACCUCUAGAGCUCACGCUCUGCACAAAACAUCGACUGAAGGUCAAAUCUGCCAAUUAUCUCCAAUUUACUCCUUUUUGCAUCUUUCAUCCAAAAGUGCCUUCAAAACAUAAAACAAAGAAUAUCAAGGCAUUUUAUAUAUAAAACAUAGGCAAAACACUAGUUAAAUGUGGGUGAAACUAUCGAAUAAUAUGGUUGCAUCAACAAAUUAUAAAAAUUCAAAACUAAACAAAAAUUACAUUAAACCAUUUAAAAUUUACAAAAUAAACCCCCCUAAAUUCAAAGUAGUGCUGGGAAGACUUCUGGCAUUUCAGGAACAGUGGCGGCGCGUCCUCUCCACGCGCCGCCGCAAAAGCAACCGGGAAACAGGGUAGUCAAGAUUGGCUUCUUCUCCUCUUCCUUUCUGCAUCGGCGACAACGCCGUGACCUGCAAAACAACAAAAACACAACAACACAGUCGAUUCUCUUCAUCUUAGAUUUUUUUCUUCCUCUUUUGGAUCUGCUUCUCUCUCCUUCUUCAGAUGGCAGAUCCGUUGUGAGGGGGAGGCAGUUGUGUUAGGCCGAGGUGGUGUGUCGCUGCUGUUGGAGGGUCCGGCUCGGUCGGGCAAACUGGCUGAUGAUGGUAUAGAAGGAUGAGCGGCGGACAGAUCUGGGGUCGUGGGCACUGCUUUACUUGGGCUACUGCUGGAGGAAGAAGGCGGAUCGAUUUGGGAUCUGUGGGCGCCGCUGUGCCGGGCUAAUAUCGUUCGAUUAUGGUGGAGGCCAGUGGCGGUGCUGAGGCAGAGAUAUCACCGGGGAAGGCCGGUUUGUGGUUUUAGUGUUGCUUCUCUAUCACCGGAGGUGGAAGGGUUGAGGGAAAACUGAGAGAGAAGAUGGACGAUGGAGAGGGGAAAGAGAGGCUGGUAUGUCUGGUUUAGGAGGGACCGUGCGGUUCUCUGUCGGGGGAGGUUGAGAGAGGAGAGGGACGAUGGAGAGGAGAGUGGCCGGGGCUGAAGGUUUAGCUCCUGGGUUCUGUCAAAAGGAAAAUGAAAUGUGGGGGCAGUCGGGCUGAGGGUUGAAGAUGAGAAGAAAAAUGGGGGAGCAGUGAUGGCUACCUUGGCAAAAGGAGAGGGUCAAAUGAGGGGUAAGGCUGGCUGUGGUUGGCUGAGGGAGAAGAAGAAAAGGUCACUAGUUUGGUCUGUUUGGCUGGUGAUCAGGGAAGGAGAGCGGGUUGGUGGCGGCUGGAAGAAUGGGGCUGAGAGUGAGAUGGCUGAAGGGGGAUAAGGGAGGACCUAAAAUGGCAGGGGUCCUUGGCUCUCUGGUUCUGGGAGAGCAAAAAACCAAGGACCCCAGGGGGGACGGUGGUUUCGUUUCCAAACAAAAUGAGAGCCCGGGGGGGCUGCGGCUCCUUUUGCUUCAAGAGGGUGAGCAGUGGCGGCUGCCUUAGAGUGGGAGCUCGAAAGGGUGAGGUUGUUUAGGGUUUUUUAUGGUUUAGGAUUUCUUAGUGAUUCUUCUUAAUUGUGCAAAAUUGCUCCCCUCUUUUGUAUUUGUUGGAAACUCCUAUUUAUAGGCAAAAAUGUUGCUAGGUCCCCAAACUUGGUCCCUUAACUUCUUCUUUUUUUAUAAACAUGCAUAAUAACCAGUAGUUUAAUUCAUAAAGUCAUGACCCUUAUAGAAAAGCUCUUCCAAUUUUGAGAGCACCAUUUAUCGGUUCAUAUUGCUUACUUGAUUGAAAAGGACGUUUAAAAGCACGCAAUGCAGGCUAUGGUUCACAAGCUCAAAAGGUGUUGAGGGUUUCAAAGACUUAGGAUCAACAUCAACUAUUCAUCAAUCUCUUUUCCUCUUGUUGUCUUUAUAGAGAGAGUGACAUAUAACCUUGUUAAUCUCAAAGAUCAAAAUUCUCUUAACAUAGGUCAUAAUGCAAAUCCAACUUUUUCUUUGAUGAAUAACCAAUCUAAUCUUUUUGAAGACACUAGAGGCUUUAUCCUAGACACACCAAAAGACAUGAGACUCGAUUUUUUUGUUUUUACUUUUGGCAUUUGCUAUGUCUUUUUUCAAUUGAAACUUCUUUUGCCCUUCUUAGAAUUGAUAGGCAUUCUAAUUCCUUUCCACUUUUUUUUUUUAGCUUUCUUCAAAGUCUAUGGCUUCUUUCUUCUUCUAGCUCUUUCUCAAUCAUUGGACUUUUGUUCUAAGCCUUUGUUUUAUCCAUUGAUUCUAUCAAUGUCUUCAAAAUAUCUCUUAUUUGCCCCUAGUGUGGGGUGUCAUCCUAGUCAGGAUUUCUUUUGAAAAGAAAUAUUUUAUCAGGCUCAAAUAGGGAUUGCAAGGGAUAUAUAUCUUUAGAAAGUGAAGGGAUGAACAAAGAUGGCCUUUUCUCAUUUCAAGCUAGGUCAGUUAGAAUCGAUAAAUUUUAAUCUCGUCCAGUGUAAUGAUUUGGACUUGUAAGAAUCAUGAUUCACGAGUCUAUAACUACUGAAUCCACUACAUGUCAUUAUGCAUACUGGUAAAAUUUAGCUACAUGGUGUGUGGCUCAAUUUUAAGUGUGAGUUUAAAAUUUGUUUGGUCGCCUCAUAUUGUUUAUCUUGCCAUUUUAACAAAUAUUGAGUCAUUUCUGCAAUCAAAACACUUUUAAUGUUUUAGGAUUGACUAGCCUUAAUUUUGCAUGUUGGAGUUUGAUCAAAAUAUUUUGUCAAAAUACCCUUUGAAAGAAGCAUCUCUUGAUUUCAAAACAACAGGAAGACAAAGGAAAGACAUGUUUUGUUCAAGGAUAAGAUGUGACCCCAAAACAAAAUGCAAAAUAGCAAAAAUCCACAACAAAAUAAUUGAUAAUUCAACAGCAUUCUUGGAUUUACUUUUCUAGCAAUAUUUGUGCUUGGCCAAGCAUUUUUGAUCUUCUAUCAAUUUGAGGAUGUUCUGGUGACAAUAUGGUUGAUGACAUCAUCUUUCACAAACUCCACUCGCUUCUUGCUCACCAUCAUCCAGUCUCGAUUCUUGAAAUUUUUACAACUAUUCAAAUGAAUGGCCCAAGACCCCACCAUGAUAUUCACAUCUCGUCUAGAUUAUACCACCUAGAAACAGUGGUUGUAUGGGAUUUAACGGAGUCGAAGCGAUAAGUUUGGAGUCUGACAGAUGCUGGUAGACAAAGUCGAGUGGCGAAGGUAUGUCAAUCUUAGCAAAGACAUUUAAGCAGUUGAUGUUAUAGUGAGACAUGGCUAGACCACAUAAAUAAGGUUUUCCACCUUCAGAGUUAUCUUCCGAUUCAUCUCUUAUCAUUGUUCAUGAAUCCAUGGCAGAACCUUCAAUCUUUCCGAUCAUUAUAGCUUGUUCAACUCUUUUAGCGAUCCUCACAAUCUCAUGCCAAUCUCUUAUGCUUGUUGUGGUUGUUCGAAGAUUGGUGGAAACCAUUCAAGGUUGCUAGGUAUCCUGGUAGCGCGCAGCACCGCCACUACCAACGCGUAGAAUCACACAUUGUCCCUACUAGAUGAGAAAAUGAUGACCAUGAAUCUCCUCUAUUUCCUCUUUGAUUCCUCCUAAACGGUGCAGCAAUGAGACACUUGUAGAGGGAGUUCUGCUCUGUUGAAGUUUCAGUCUUCUUCAUGUUUUUCAGUCUAGGCAUGUCUCUUCUCUCUACUUCUGCGUUUUAAUGCUGACACUGGUAGGAGAAAAAUCAUAGAUGAUCUGAAACUACUGUAUUCCUUCUUGGAUUCUCCACUGGCAGAUCCACAAACAGAUCUCUGCAAAGAGAGUUCUGUUACAUUGAAGUUUAAUGUCUGCUAUGUUUUUUCAGACUAGGUUUGGCUCUUCUGCUUACCACUGUGUUUUGGUGCUCCUACUAAUGAGAGAAAUUUUUGUUGCAUAUGAAACUACUACAUCCAUUCUUACAUUCUCCACUGACAGAGCCACAAACAGAUCUCUGAAGAGAGAGCUCUGCUAUGUUGAAGUUCAAGGUAUACUCAUGUUUUUUCAAAUUAACAUCUUGUGCUGUAGGACAAGAAUGGAGUUUGGUGACUUCAAAGAAAGUCAAACACAAAAAGCUAGCAGCUAUUGGGUGUUAUUGCUUGACAUGAAGGCAGUGAACAACAAACAAUGCAGUUGAACCAGAAAGGAGAUUAUCUUUCAUUGAUGACUGAAGGCGUUGUUGCUGUUCAUGACUGAAAUGAAGGAGAUGUGGUGCCACUUCAGUGUUUAUAGCCCCUACUGGUGCAGUGCUGAGGAGAAAAGUCAAUGAUGUUUUCCUUAUGUGGGAUAUCGACUGACAGUGCUUCCACAAGAGGCUGUGCAGACAUUCCCUUUCCACUCUUGAAGUUCAACACUUGUUCAAGCAGAUCUAGUUUAGCUACUUCAUAUUUGAUACUCUAAAUUUCCUUUUGACAAAGAGCCUUAUCAGACCCCAUUCUUUAUUUCCCAACUUUUCUCAGUCCAGUAUAGUAGACCUCGGGUGAGGGAACCUACUUUUCAUUCUGGUACAUGCAUGACAAAUGUAUGAGCAUGUAAUGUAUAUGAUGAACUCGCCCUUCGAGGGGUGACAUAUACUCGUAACUCUUAUAUGAUGAAACAAGAAUCUUGAUUCUUGCCCAAACUCUACAAUGAAAAUUUUCUGAGUGACGGUCAUUUUGUCACCCACAAGUCUUGAGUUCAAGAUGCUUCAAGAAGGAUUUGCCCUAAUGCAAAUAAUGAUAGCACAUACAACUAAGGACAGGUUCUAUUCAUUAUAUGAAAAUUGGUAGGUUUUCUACCUGGUCUCAACAGGGUCUCAUAUCUGCCUAGUGACGAUCUUCGUAAAGACAGUAUAGGGGCGUUGCAAAAAAUGGUUAAGGUACGUAUACCCACCAUUACCAAACAGGCACUCGGAUAUGAGUUAGGUGUUUCAAGCAUCUGAACCCUGACCAAUAUUCAUAGGGCAGAUCGCUAGUUCCCCACCUAACCUAGAAGCUUGUGUGUGCUUUCAAAAAUAAAGACAUGUGAUGCAUGAAACAAUUGUAUACAAUGCAUGGAAAAAACAUUAACAAAAUAAAACAAAAGGCAAAAACUUAAACACAUCAAAUACACAAAGCUUAGUCCAAUAUUGUCAGAAACAGUACCUUCCCCAAUGGAGUCGCCAUUCUAUCGCACGUCACCCGCGCGGCGUCGGUUGGCGAUUUUUUGUUGGUUUGCUUGAUUUAUUCUUGGGAGUCACCACCUAGUAUUUAAUUGAGGUUACUAGGAAACCCGAAUGUACUGGUUGUGGUUAGGGAAGGUAUUAACACCCCUAACGCACCCUACCUGAGGUAAGCUGCUUCGUGGCUUUGAUGUGUUAAAAAAGUUUUAAAAUUUUUGUCUUUUCAUCGGAUAUUAGAAAUACAACUUACAUGUAAGUUCAUAAUUCUUGACCGUGAGCAAAUCAAAAUAUUAAAUUCUUCUUUAUUCUUUACAAUUUUAUUAUAAAAAAAUCCAUAAAAACAAAAACAAACAACACAUUCACUUUCACUAUAUUUUUUCUUUUUUCCUUUUUUCUUUUUUUCUUUUUUACAUCCACACUACAAAUUAUAAAAAUUCAAAACUAAACAAAAAUUACAUUAAACCAUUUAAAAUUUACAAAAUAAACCCCCCUAAAUUCAAAGUAGUGCUAGGAAGACUUCUGGCACUUCAGGAACAGUGGCAGAGCGUCCUCUCCACGCACCCCUGCCACUAGCGUCGCGUCCUAUCCACGCGCCGCCGCGAAAGCAACCGGGAAACAGGGCAGUCGAGAUUGGCUUCUUCACCUCUUCCUUUCUGCACCAGCGACGACGCCGUGACCUGCAAAACAACAAAAGCGCAACAACACAGUCGAUUCUCUCCUUCUUAGAUAUGUUUCUUCCUCUUUUGGAUUUGCUUCUCUCUCCUUCUUCUUCAGAUGGCAGAUCCGCUGUGAGGGGGAGGCCGCUGUGUUAGGCCGAGGUGGUGUGUCAUUGCUGCUGGAGGGUCCGGCUCGGUCGGGCAAACUGGCCGAUGAUGGUGUAGAAGGAUGAGCGGCGGACAAAUCUGGCCGCUAUGCUUGGGCUACUGUUGGAGGAAGAAGGCAGACCAAUUUGGGAUCUGUGGGCGCUGCUGUGCCGGGCUACUAUCGGUCGGUUAUGGUGGAGGCCGGCGGUGCUGAGACAGAGAUAUUGUUGGGAAGGCCGGUCUGUGGUUCUGGUGUUUGCUUCUCUGUCACCGGAGGUGGAAGGGUUGAGGGAAAACUGAGAGAGAAGAUGAACGAUGGAGAGGGGAAAGAGAGGCUGGUGCGUCUGGUUUAGGAGGCAGCGUGUGGUUCUCUGUGGGGGGAGGUUGAGAGAGGAGAGGGAUGAUGGAGAGGAGAGUGGCCAGGGCUGAAGGUUUAGCUCCCGGGUUCUAUCAAAAGGAAAACGAAAUGUAAGGGCUGUCGGGUUGAAGGUUGAAGAUGAGAAGAAAAAUGGGGGAACAGUGAUGGCUACCUUGGCAAAAGCAGAGGGUCAAAUGAGGGGUAAGGCUGGCUGUGGUUGGCUGAGGGAGAAGAAGAAAAGGUCACUAGUUUGGUCUGUUUGGCUGGUGAGCAGGGAAGGAGAGCGAGUUGGUGGCGGCUGGAAGAGUGGGGCUGAGAGUGAGAUGGCUGAAGGGGGAUAAGGGAGGACCUGAAAUGGCAGAGGUCCUUGGCUCUCUAGUUCUGGGAGAGCAAAAAACCAAGGACCCUGGGGGGGACGGUGGUUUCGUUUCCAAACAAAAUGAGAGCCCGGGGGGGGGGGGGGCUGCGACUCCUUUUGCUUCAAGAGGGUGAGCAGCGACGGCUGCCUUAAAGUGGGAGCUCGAAAGGGUGAGGUUGUUUAGGGUUUUUUAUGGUUUAGGGUUUCUUUGUGAUUCUUCUUAAUUGUGCAAAAUUGCUCCCCUCUUUUGUAUGUGUUGGAAACUCCUAUUUAUUAGCAAAAAUGUUGCUAGGUCCCCAAACUUGAUCCCUUAACUUCUUUUUUUUUUGUAAAUUUGAUUUUUCUUAUUUUUUUGUUUUUUCUUAUCAACAUCGACUCGAAUGAAGAAAAUCAUUGAUUUUUAAAAAUAACACGUUAAAAGUCGAAUGCGUUCUGAAGACCUUUGAAAAUUUAAAUUCUUUUGAGACGAUGCUGAAAAUGCUAAAAAUUAUGCAAAUAUAUUAAAAAACGUAUUUUUUGGAUUUUCGUUGUUUUUCACUUUUAUUGGAUUUUUUGAAAUUUUUAUUAAAAAGGUGGGUCAAAAAUUGGGUAACAACAGAUGCCCCCUCUUUACAAUGCUUACAAAGCAAAACUCCUCAAUGUUUUGCAUAGUAAGCUUUGUAAAGAAAACUUGUCUUCUUAACUUGUUGAAUGAUCCACUCAUCUAAAAACCUUACUUUUUUCUUUUUCUGAUUUCUUUCUUUCUCUGUCUUUUUUUUCUCCUUUUCUUUUCCGUUAACCUGAGGUCCCGUCUGGCAACCUCCUUUAACCAAAACCAAAGAAUGUGUGUAGCUCGGUCAACCUGAAAUCCCACCUGGCGAUUCCCUUUAACCAAAGCCACCUGAGAUCCCAUCAGGCAACCUCUUUUAACCAAAACCAAAGAAUGUGUGUAGCUUGGUCAACCUAAAAUCCCAUCUGGCGAUUCCCUUUAACCAAAGCUACUUGAGAUCCCUUCUGGCAACCUCCUUUAACCAAAACCAAAGAGAAUGUGUAGCUCGGUCAACCUGAAAUCCCAUCUGGUGAUUCCCUUUAACCAAAGCUACUUGAGAUCCCUUCUGGCGACCUCUUUUAACCAAAAUCAAAGAGAACGUGUAGCUCGGUCAACCUGAAAUCCCAUCUAGCAAUUCUCUUUAACCAAAGCCACCUGAGAUCCCAUCUAGCGACCUCUUUUAACCAAAACCAAAGAAUGUGUGUAGCUCGGUCAACCUGAAAUCCCAUCUGGCGAUUCCCUUUAACCAAAGCUACCUAAGAUCCCUUAUGGCGACCUCCUUUAACCAAAACCAAAGAAUGUGUGUAGCUCGAUCAACCUGAAAUCCCAUCUUGCGAUUCCCUUUAACCAAAGCUACUUGAGAUCCCUUCGCUAUUUUUGAAUUUUUUGAAAAUUUUAUUAAAAAGGUGGGUCAAAAAUUGGGUAAUAACACCAUUAUUUGAAGCUAAUCAUUAACGCAACUCGGCCAUCCAUCUAGGAUGCCAUUAGCCGAAGCUAAUCAUUAACGCGAUCUGGCCAUUCGUCUAGGAUGCCAUUAGCCGAAGCUAAUCAUUAACGCGAUCUGGCCAUUCGUCUAGGAUGCCAUUAGCCGAAGCUAAUCAUCAUUAUAGCCCGACCAUCCAUCUCAGAUGCCGUUAGGUGAAGCUAAUCACCAGCUCAAGCAACAUUUCAUAGUCGUUUCAACAUUCAUCAAGAAUCCAUUCAAACAUUUCAUCGUCGUUUCAUCAUUCAUCAAGAAUUCAAUCAACAUUUCAUCAUCGUUCCAAAAUUCAUCAAGAAGUUGAUCAACAUUUCAUAGUCGGUUUAACAUUCACCACAAUACAAUAAUAUAUCAUCCACAAGUAAAUCAUUUCAGAACAUUAACAUUAUACAAGAAAAAGGUGGAAACCACCUACCUGUUCUUCCUGUAGGGUGUCCCUGCCCAGUCGCACCACCUAAUACAUCAAUGGUCACAAAUAAGCUCAUCUGCAUUUUGAAAUCACAUGACUCAUUACCAUACAUAUUUCAAGAAUCCACAUGUUCAAAUUCAAGUGUUCCACAUAUUACACAAUCACACAAUGCAAACAUUUUAGUCACUAGACCAAUUCAGAUACAUAUAUCUGCUGCAGAAAUUAGUUAGCGAAAAUUGGUUCGCUAGUGACAUAGAUUUGCCACUGAACUAAUUCGCUGGAACACGGAAUCGUCAGCGAAACUGGUUUGCUGGUGACACAGAUUGUCAGCGAAACUGGUUUGCUGGAACACAGAAUCGUUAGUGAAACUGGUUCGCUUGUGACACAAUAAUUCGAUAGUUAAAACUAUUUCGCUGCUAAUACCAUAAUUCAGCAGCGAAACCGAUCAUUAUUGGCACCACAAUUCGGCAGCGAAAAGUGAUUCGCUGUCGGCACCACAAUUCGGCAUAAAAAACUGAUUCGCUGCUGACAACACAAUUUAGUAGCGGAAUCUGGUUUGCUGCUGACACAGAAAUCAUCAAUGCACACGCCCCACUAUUGAUAUAGAAAUCGUUGAUGAAAACUGAGUCGCUGCCGACCCAGAAAUCAUCACCGCAAUCCAUGUCGCUGCCAAUUCAGUAAUCGUUAGCGACUUUUGAGUCAUUUUUGGUUUUACUCUUCAUGGCCGAAACAUAGUUGCCCCAUUUUAUUCAAUCUUUCUCAUGCAUUUUAUCAAGUCUAACACAAACAUAUUCCGAACAACAUGACAUGAUCAUACAUUUAAACAUUUGAUUUCAAAUUAAACAAGUUCAUCCAUUAUAUAGGCAAAAAUCAAGGCAUUAACAUGGUGUGGUUUCCACUUCAGGUUCAACAUGCCUCUAAGGCUUAACAACAACACAAUUCUGCACAUUUACUAUCAUUUCAACACAUUUUUGCGUAACUUCAUCCACCACAUAUGCAUAAUUUAUGUCAUUAACACAAGUAUAAUCACAACAAUCAUGUUGCAACCAUAUUCUCAUUCACUUAAACCAUAUUCAUGCAAGCUCAUUAACCUCAUAAUAAAAUCAAAGCAUUAACAUUAACAGAGAUUCUAUUUCAGCUCAAUUAUCAUCCUAAGGGUUCAACAAGAUCAUAACUGUAACAACCCGGCUUUUUCAAGGCCAAAAUCCCUGGAAUUUUUUUUUUAAUCAUCCGGUUUCUGGAUUUUUUCACCAUAUCAUUCUUCAAGUUUAUCAUUGCAUUUUGUUCAUUAACAAGGUAGGAUAACGUAACUCAACAUUCCCAUAGAACAGAUUCUCAAUACACGUGCCCAUAAUAUUAUAUUUUCGUACUCAUAGGUUUAGAUUACAUCAUAUCGACAUACCCAUAAAUUCACAUUCUUGUUCUAAUCUCAUUAUCAUCACGAGUUCAUACAAAAGUAUCAAACAACAAGUUACACAUCUAGUACUUUUGUUAUCCUGACCUUAUGUAAUUUCACAACACGACAUCCUCAUUAUAUGAAUGCCUCAUAUGUAUGUUCAUACACAUCAUAUCAACUUAUUCGUACAUUUAUAUCCGUGUUCCAUUUCAAUUUUUCAUUACUAGUCUUUACAAAAGGUGUUAGACGACUAACUGAGUGAUUAACAUGUCCGUUCAUGCAGAACUCAUAUCACCCAUAUCAUGCAAAUAUAUAGUUCUUUUCAAAACAUGUGAGCCGCAAAAUGAAUUUCCUUACGCACCAUAUUGGUAUGAUGUCCCUGUUACAACACAAGGUAAUUUCAAGCAUUAUAGGCAACUUAAGAAAACAUAAAAAAGCAAUAUUAUCAUUACAUUUCAUUAAUGGACCAAAAGAACAUAAUUCUUUCAUUUCUCCUUACUUAUGUAAAUACCACCAUUAAUAAUUCGUCAAUUACCGAGGCUAAUUACAAUACUCAAACCCGAUCAUUCAUCUUGAAUACCUUUAGCUGAACUAAUGUUAUUCUCAGUUUAGAGCAUAAUAAUCGUAGUUCUUUCAUAUACUUAGUAUAUACAAAAUGUAGUAUACAUGAACGCAUCAGUUCUUAAAACUAUCUCAUAACACUCAAAUCCAACUAUUCUCUUAGGAUGCCAUUAGCCGAAGCCAAUCAUUUAUUCAUCCUGGUCAUCCACUUAGGAUACCAUUAGCCAAAGCUAAUCAUUUGUUCUUCUUGGUCAUCUGCUUUGGAUGCCAUUAGCCAGAGCUAAUCAAUCAUUUAUCCCGGUCAUUCAUUUGGAUGUUGUUAGCCAAAGCUAAUCAUUUGUUCAUCUUGGUCAUCUGCUUUGGAUGCCAUUAGUCAUAGCUAAUCAUUUGCUCAUCCCGGUCAUCCAUUUAGGAUACCAUUAGCCGAAGCUAAUCAUUUAUUCAUCCUGGUCAUCCACUUAUGAUGCCAUUAGUCGAAGCUAAUCAUUUAUUAAUCCUAGUCACCCCCUUAGGAUGCCAAUAGCCGAAGCUAAUCAAUCAUUUGUCCCUGUCAUCCAUUCAGAUGCCAUUAGCCAGAGUUAAUCAAUCAUUUGUGCCGGUCAUCUAUUUGGAUGUCAUUAGCCGAAGCUAAUCAUUAACCAAUCAAACGUUCCAGAGGUGGUUUAUAAACUCACCAUAACAUGGUAAUAUCAUUUGAAUUGCUCAUUCAAAUGAUUCAUAACAACUUGACAUUCCCCGCAACAUAAUAUCAAACCCUUCGUGAUACUCGUAUAGGCGAUCCGUAAUAGUGUAAUGUUUAGUAAACACGAUAAUAGAUCAUUUGUAAUACACAAACAAAACAUUCCAUAACAGUUUAGCAUUGAGUAACACAACAGUACACCCUUCGUAUUACUCAUCCAACCAUCCAUGACAAUUAAUGUUCAAUACAAUACAACAACAGAUCCCUCGUAAUACUCAUACAACGAUCCGUGAUAAUUAAUAUUCAGUAUAAUACAAUGGUAGAUCUUUCGUAAUACUCAUACAACCAUGCAUGAUAAUUUCAUUUAAUAUAAUACAACGGUAGAUCCUUCAUAAUACUCAUACAAUCAUUCGUCACAAUUACAUUCAAUAAAAUACAAUAGUAGAUCCUUCGUAAUAUUCAUACAAUCAUUCGUCACAAUUACAUUCAAUAAAAUACAACAGUAGAUCCUCCGUAAUACUUAUACUACCAUUCAUCAGCAGCCCAAAUUCAUAAUAGCCCAAUCAAUAUCUCAUAGUCAGUUUAAUAUUCAUCGCAACACAAUAAUAUAUCCACUUCUAACAUUAACAUUUUCAUCAUUGUUUCAACAUUCAACAAGAACCCGAUUGACAGUUCAUGGUCGUUUCGACAAUCAUCAAGACUUCAUCAUCAUUUUACCAUUCCACAAGGAUUUAAUAAAAUAUCAUCAUAAGUAAAUUAUUUCAAAACAUAAACAUCAUACGAGAAAAAGGUAGAAACCACCUACCUGCUCCACUUGCGGGUUGUCCUUGUCUUAGCGAUGGUCCAAUCCCGCCCACACCACCUAAGACAUCGAUGGCCACAAAUCAGUACAUUUGCAUCCUUAAAUCACAUCCAUCACCAUACUUAUUUCAAGAGUUCAUAUGUUCACCUUUAAGUGUUCCACAUUUUACACCAUCAUACAAUGAAAUUGUUACAAGCAUUUAAGUCAUUUUUGCUCGGGGGUCUAUUGUAGAGAAUCGACAGCAAAACUGAUUCGCUGUUGGCCACAUAAUUCGGUAGCGAAAACUAGUUCGCUGCAGGCCAUACACUACAGCAGCAAAAACUGGUUUGUUGCCAGCUGCACAAUUCAGCAGCAAAAACUAGUUUGCUGCAAGCACCUCAAUUUCGACAGCAAUAGCUACUUCGUUGCAGCCAACACGCUUUUAGCAGCGAAUGCUAAUUUCGCUUCAGGCAACUCGAUUUUGGAAGCGAAUCACACUUCCACUGCAGACAACACAACUUCAGCAGCGAACACUAAUUUGUUGUAGACAACAUAACUUCGGCUGCCAAUGCUAAUUCGCUGCAGCCAACACACUUUCGGCAACGAAUGCUAAUUCGUUGUGGACAACACAAUUCAGCAGCGAACACCUGAUUCAUUAUGGACAACACAAAUUUGGCAGCGAAAACCUAAUUCGCUGCCGAAAACCUGAUUCGCUGCGGACAACACAGUUUGGCAGAGAACACCUGAUUCACUGCGCAAUACACAAUUCAGUAGCAAACACCUGAUUCGCUACGGACAACACAAAUCGGCAGUGAACACCUGAUUCGCUGCGAAAUACACAACUCGACAGCGAACACCUGAUUCACUGUGGACAACACAAAUUUGGCAGCGAACACCUGAUUCGCUGCGGACAACACAAAUUCAACAGCGAAAACUUGAUUUGCUGAGAACAACACAAUUCAGCGGAGAACACCUGAUUCCCUACGCAAUAAACAAUUCAGCAACGAGCAACUGAUUCACUACAGACAACACAAAUUUGGCAGUGAACACUUGAUUCACUGCAGACAACAUAAUUUGGCAGCGAACACCUGAUUCGCUGCAAAAUACAAAAUUUGGCAGCGAACACCUGAUUCGCUGCGGACAACACAAUUCGACAGCGAAAACCAGAUUCCCAGCUGAAUACACAAUUCAGCAGCGAAAACUGGUUCGCUGUAGGCCACACAAUUCAGCAGCGGAAAUUGAUUCGUCACAGCCACUAGAAUUCGACAGUGAAAACUGAUUCGCUUCAGAUAAUACAAUUCAGCAGUGAGGCUGAUUCACUACUAACAUAGAAAUUAUUGACGAGAGUUCAGUUGUUGGUGACUUAGAAAUCGUCAACGCAACCCUUGUCGCUGCCAAUUCACAAAUUGGCAGCAGCGACAUAAUCGUUUCUGAUGUGAACUUUCAUGAAAACUAUAUGUUCAAAUUAUGAUGUUAGCAAUGACAUUUUCUGCAAACAAGAAGAUAAAGAUUGUUACCAAGUCAAGAGGUGGCCACCCACUAAACAAUUAGUCAUCAAAUCAAUAGUUCUGAAUUUUAACCUAUAAAAGGAGGCAUUUGCCAUGCAUUUAGGCAUCUUGGUUUUCAGAUUAAGAUCAUUUCCUUACUUGCUUUCUUUCUUUGUAGUUUUUAUGUUCUAGUUUUAUUUCAUGUUAUAGUUUCAUUAAUAUCUUGUUUAUGCUUUUCAUUUCCUUUACUAUACUUAUAUAAUUAUGUUCUCAUCUUCUUCUUUUUUUUAUGUUUCUCUUCUUCAUAAUGUUUAGCUAAGUUUAAUAUGUCAAGGUGAAAUGGUUUCACUAAUGGUAUUAGAAAAGGUAUAAUAUAAACUCAACAUGGACUUCAAUGUUUAUAUGCAAGAAAUUUUGUUAUUAAUAUGUCUUAUCUUUUUAUCUUACUAAUUCUUAAUACCUUGCUCGUUAAAUGAUUAAUCUAGAUUUGUGUUGUACAACCCUUGGUACAAUAAAUACUUGGCACUUUCAUAGCCUACUGUAUGGUAUAACCGACACCUGUGCUAUGAAAGGAACUUGAUUUGUUUAACAUAAGUUAACAUCAUGAAUUCCUGACAAUAUUUAAAAGUAUGGUGCUACUAAAAUAAAAUAAUUAAUAUGAUCAUGUUAAAAAUUUAUAAUGAACUAUUAAGGAUAAAUCAUCCGAUUGGAACCUUCUUUGAGUGUGGUUUCCAGUUGAUUAAUAAAAAGAGUUUAUACUAUACUUAUUUCUAAUACUAUUAGUGGAUCUAACUUUUACAUUUGUUUUUAUCAUUGUUUAAUCCUCACAUUAAUCUCAUAUCUAAAAAUUCUCUUUAAGUCAUUGUUAUUAUUAUUAUUAUUAUUAUUAUUAUUAUUAUUAUUAUUUAUAAUUUAUAUAGUUCACCUCCCUGUGGUUCGACCUCGGUCUUGCCGGAUUUUUUAUUACUUAUUACUUUGACAUUCCUGCACUUGGGAUAAGACAUCAAUCUUUUGAUUGUGUCAAGUUUUUGGCGUUGUUGUCGGGGGGGUAAAUUCAUGUAUAAAUUAUAAUUUUUAUUUUAUUUUCUCUUUUCACUUUUCUUGUAUCUAACUUUUGUUUCUUUUGUUUUCUUCAACCUUUUAUUCUCUUCCUACACAUGCAUGAGAGUUUGGUCAUGUACAUUAAGUGGUAGACUUUCUAGGAAAUCCUCAUCAUUUUCAGAAAACAUGGCCGAAGAGGAUAAUCAAUCGCUUCAUAAUGAGAAUAAUCGAGUUAAAACACUAAGAGACCACAUGAAUCCAACAAGAACAAGUGCACCAUCAUGUAUAGUUUUCCCUCCUGAUGCAUCUCAUUUCAAUUUUAAGCCAGGCGUUAUUCAACUUUUACCUAUUUUUCAUGGCUUAGAACUAGAAAAUCCAUACUUGCAUUUGAGAGAAUUUGAAGAAGUUUGUAACACUUAUAUUGACUUAAAUUGUAGCAUGAACACUAUCAGAUUAAAGCCUUUUCCUUUAUCUUUAAAAGAUAAAACUAAAACAUGGCUACAAAAUCUUAGUUUAGGAUCUAUUCGUGCUUGGGAUGAAAUGCAACAACAGUUUUUAAAGAAGCUUUUCCCUUCUCAUAAAACAAACUCUUUCAAAAGACAAAUCACCACAUUCACUCAAAAGCCAGGAGAAACAUUUUACCAGUGUUGGGAUAGGUAUAGAGACUUGCUUAAUACCUGUCCUCAUCAUGGUUUUGAAACAUGGAGAUUGGUCUCAUAUUUUUAUGAAGGAUUAACACCUAAAGAUAGGCAAAUGAUGGAAUUGAUGUGCAAUGAAACUUUUAAAGAUAAAGACCUUGAUGAAGCAAUGGAGUACCUAGACUUGUUAGCUGAAAAUGCUCAAACUUGGGACACUACAGGUACUUGUGAGGCACCAGGUAAAACUCAAAUCUCAUACAUCUAGUGGAGGUAUGUACAACCUUAGGGAAGAUCAUGACCUCCUAGCCAAAUUUGCAUGUUUAGCUAGAAAAGUCGAGGCACUAGAAUUGAAAAGGAGUGAUCAAUUGAAAUCUGUUCAAGAAAUUAUAUGUCAAAUCUGUGAAACUAAUGAACACUCAACCAAUGAUUGUCCAACUUUGCCUUCUUUCAAGGAAUAUAUCUAUGAGCAAGCCAAUGCUUUAAACAAUUUCCAAAGGCCAAAUCAGAAUCCAUACUCACAAACGUAUAACUCUGGUUGGAGAAAUCAUCCAAAUUUUAGUUGGAAUAGUGGUAACAAUAAUGCACAAACUUCACGGCCGCCAUUUCAAGCACACCAUAAUUUUCAAAAUUCUCAGGGAUAUGCACCUCCUUAUGUUCCCCCUCUUAGAAGAAAUCUUGAGGAAACAUUGCAUGCAUUCAUUGGAAAGCAAGAGACAAUCAACACUCAACUUGCUCAAACCAUGAUAGAUUUUAAAGAUACUCUUGCAAAAGUCACAUCAACUCUCAACCCUCCUUAAGUUCUCAUCUCAACCACAGCAAAAUCUCAAAGGGUAAUACAAUUCAAGUGCAAGCAGCUUCGAAAGCCAACACAUGGAUCAAGUCCAAUUAAUCAUUACUCUCCACAGUGGUAAGGUUAUUGAAAAACCCAUUCUUGAACCUUGUGAGAAAGAUGAUGAGUCAAUCUCUAAGGGUAAUGAAGGGGUUAAACCUGAACAUUGCAAAGAAAAGAUUGAUUCCCCACCAAUACUUCCAUUUCCUCAUGCCAUGACCAAACAAAGGAAAGUCAAUCAUAAUUUUGAAAUCUUUGAAACUUUCAAACAGGAAGAAAUCGAGGAAGAAAAAGGCACCGAAAAUGUUGUCGCGAAUCAUUUGUCAAAAUUGACAAUAGAUUCGACAUCUAACAUCACAUCAAUUGAUGAUUACUUUCCUGACGAAUCUCCACUUUAUAUUGCUUCAAUACCUUGGUUUGCUAAUAUUGACAAUUUUCUUUCUUCAGGAUUUUUGACAGCUCAUUUAGAUACCCAAGACAAAAGAAAGUUUUUGAGCGACGUGCAGAACUUUUAUUGGGAUGACCUUUAUUGAAAUAUUGUCCUGAUCAAAUAUUUCAAAAAUGUAUUCCUGACAAUGAGGUAAGUAGUGUCAUUAAACAUUAUCAUUAUGAGGCAUGUGGGGAUCAUUUCUCGCAAAAAAAGACAGCUGCAAAAAUCUUACAAAGUGGAUUCUGGUGGCCCACCAUGUUCAAGGACAUACAUGCAUUCUACAAAACCUGUGAAAAUUGUCAAAAGUUAGGAUUUAUUUCAAAACAUAAAGAGUCCUUAGAUAAUCUUCUAUUGACUCUUGAGACGUACCUUAAUGGAGAUGUGUAUCGUGCAAUUCAUGAUUUAUGACCUCUUUUCCAUAAAGAACAUGCUCGACAUAGUCUUAGGAAUCUGACUAAAAAUUGACCCUGUUUGCUGAACAAUUUCUAACAUCUUCGGCACGACAAAUCAUAAUCUCUGCUGCUACUGCUGAACAAUUGAUUGACCAACUACAAUCUUUCAUCCCUGUAAUUAAUCCUCCAUGAGUCACAUAAAUUGGUCAACCAUGGACAACCGUAAAAAGCUUAGGUUGGAUUUGAGCCCUAGUUUGUAAAAACUUGUGUCUUUUGGUUUUAUUAAUAGCAUAUCCUUUUUGUUUUGUUAUUUCUUAUAUUUGUUUAAGUGUGUUUUAGGUUUAUCAGUGUUUGCUGUUUCAGGUGAUGUCUUCUAUACUCUAUCUUUCUACCUUAGAACAUUGAGGACAAUGUCUCGUUUUGGUUGGGGGAAAAGGGUAGUAGUUGAUAUUAAAAAAAAAUUAACUAACUGUGUUUUCUAUUACUAAAACCAUUUAAAAAACUGUUGUUAUUAGGAUGACAGAGUAAAGGAGGAAUUUUAGUGACUCUUGAGACGCAUCUUAGUAAACAUUCUUAGCAAGGUCUAUCAGAAUACUUCUUGAAAUAUUCAGGUUUAUAAACUCUCACAUUAUUAUCAAUUGAUUCUGCUCAUAUACCUAGCUAACAAGUAUUCAUAAACCUUCAUUUUCACACACACACUUUAACAUAUGAUUGUGGAUUGCACAUUGGAUUAUUACCUUAUUUAUGUUCUUUUGUUAAAGGUAACAACUAAGGGAAAGGGAUAAUAUAUAAUUUGCAAAAUAAUAAUCAUAAUAAUAAUAAAUAAUAAAAACAAAUUGAAUAAAUAAAAAAAUAGAUAAGUUUGGAUUCGUAGCCUCCUUGACUUAAGCAAUUAAGCUCGAAGGGGUGUUUUAACACCCAGUACUCUAAAGUCAACUAACUUGAGAGCUAUUGGCCCAAAGCUUGUUACAUAGGUUGGGGAGAAAAGCUUAAGGAAAUCAAACAUUGCACUAUUUACAUAUUAGUAUCUGCAACUCGAGUUACUAAGCUUGAAGGGGUGUCUCAACACCUAAUGCCCUAAGACCAAUUGAUCUGGGAGUCAUUAGCCUAAAGCUUGCUAUAUGGGUUAAGGAUGCAUUGUGUUUUAUUUAAAAAAAUUUAAUAAUAAUCCCAACCCAAAGGAGUUAACCUUAGAAAAACAUUAAGAACAUAAUAUUGUUUUCUUCCAAUAAAAGCCCCAUCAUCUAUGUUUUCAUACAUUGAGCACAUAAAAAGAAGGUUUAUUAAUAUUUUUGUUCAAUAGUAUGAAGCAGAUAUAUAAAUUUAAUGAGAGUUUGUUUAUUUGGAUAAAUUAAUGGAAGUUGAAUGAUGAAUGCCUUGCUUUGUGGAACUUGCACAUUGUUUUUCUAUUUUAACGCUUUGAUUACUAGGGACUAGUAAUAAGCUGGUUGGGGGUGUGAUUAAUACUUAAAAAUGCAUUUUUAUCAAGGUUUUAUAUCAUCAUUUUGCACUUGAAGGAUCAAUAACUCCUUAACUAGAGCAUGUUUUAUAAUAACAAGUCUGAUAAUAUAAGAUACCUUUAAUUUAUGGUAAAUGUUCAUUUUAAAUGCAGGCCUAUCACAUAAAUCAAAGGAUUGAUUGAUAAGUUUAACUACUGAAAUUGAGAAGACAAAGAGAGGGUUAAGCUUAGAAAAGAGGUGGUGGUUGAAUUCAAAUUGGAAUACCAUUAAGUUAUUGAAUCAUAACUGGAGCUGUAGAACUUGGAUUUAAGUCUGGUUUAUAUGGAUAGAAAGUUAAGACAUAGGCCUAAAACUUUCAUGAAGAGUCCAAGAUUCAAAAGGACCGUUUUCAAGUUCAAAUUAUAGCAACAACAGAGAAGUCGGAAUCUGUCCUACAGCCCAGACACUGUUCAGUGUUCAGCCCAUAUCUCGAGUUCUAGAAGUCCAAAUGACCUCAUUCUUAUUUUGUUGGAAAGCUGAGAUAAUUUCCCAGAACUUUCAUGAAGACUAUCUGUUCAAAUUAUGAUGUUAGCAAUGACGUUUUCUACAGACAAGAAGAUAAGGAUUGUUACCAAGUCAAGAGGUGGCCACCCACUCAACAAUUAGUCAUCAAAUCAAUAGUUCCAAAUUUUGGCCUAUAAAAGGAGGCAUUUGCCAUGCAUUUAGGCAUCUUGGUUUUCAGAUCAAGAUCAUGUUCUUGCUCUCUUUCUUUAUAUUUUUGUAAUGCUUAAGUUUUGCUUUCAUUAAUAUCUUGUUUAUGCAUUUCAUUUCCUUUCCUUUACUUAGUUAACUUAUAUCUUAUUUAUGUUCUUAUCUUGUUUAUUUAUGUUUCUCUCUUUCAUUAUGUUUAGUUAAGUUUAUUAUAUCAAGGUGAAAAGGUUACACUAAUGGUGUAAGAAUAAGUAUAGUAUAAACUCAACAUGGACCUUAAUGUUUGAUACUAACAUGUUUUGUAUUUGUUAUCUUAUUCACUCUUAAUACGUUGCUUGUUAAAUGGUUAAUCUAGAUUUAUGUUGUAUAACCCUUGGCACAACAAAUACUUGGCACUUUCAUAGCCCAACCGUAUGGUAUAACCUACACAUGUGCUUUGAAAGGAACUUGAUUUGUUGUCAACAUAAGUUAUAAUCAUGAAUACCUGACAACAUUUACAAGUAUUAGCAUUAUUCGAAUAAGAUAACUAAUGUAAUCAUGUUAACAAUUUAUAAUCCGAUUGGAACCUCCUUUGUGCGUGGUUUCCAAUUGAGUAAUAAAAAGAGUUUAUAUUAUGCUUGUUUGAAAUACCAUUAGUGAAUCCUUAAAACCUUGACAUUUGUCUUUAUCAUUGUUUAAUCCUCACAUUAAUCUUACAUCUCAAAGUCCUAUUUAACUUCUUCUUCUUAUUGUUGUUGUUGUUCUUCUUGUUAUUAUUAGUAUUUAUAAUAUAUAUAGUUAACCUCCCUGUGGUUCGAUCCCGGUCUUGCCGGAUUAUUUAUUAUUUCGACACUCCUGCACUUGGGAGAAGACAUCAAUCUUUUGGUCGUGUCACUAGGCAGCCAGACCCAGCCUCUUUUUGUAGCGUUUUGAGCCAGACCCAAAACUAUUGGGUCCUGUUAGAUAGCAGAACCCAAUGCUAUUAUCACUUUUUGAAAAUGUUGUGGGUGUGGCUUAGCAACCAAACCCAACAUCCAGCUGCCAUGCCAGACCCAACAGUUUUUGGCAGAGAAAGCAACACCCCCAGCUGUAAUUUUUGACCAAAAACACAGCAGAGGAACGCCCCCAGGGUGCUAUAGUGCUGUCCACAGUGAAAAUAAUCUAUGCCUACAGUGUUGUCCAUAGUGCAAUGUGUAUGUGUUCACUCCCACAUGUUUUAAAAGAGCCUACAGUAAACCCAAAUAGUGCAAUCCACAGUGAAAUCAAUCACAAUCCAUAAGAUCAAAAUAGUGCAAUCCAUAGUGAAAUCACUUAUAGUCCACAGUAAAACACGUCCACGGUAAAACCUUUGUACAACACUUCUCCUAGAUGCAUUUUCUACUCCCUAAAACCUUCCUCAUAUUUUCUUGGUCUCUUUCCACUCCUCCUCUACUGCUACUAGCCUCCUCUCUUCCUUUUCCUUAAUUUGUUUUUCCUUUAAUGCUUUAAUCUUCACUCAAACCUCUUAUUUUCUCUCAUGUGUUUGCUUGCAUGUGAUUUUCUCUAAUUGUUCUUUAGAAUAUGGUGCUGAAGAGAAUAACGUCUCUUUCUUUUCCCCUCCUCUAUAUUCUAUCAUCAGCUCUCUUAUUCUUUUUAAGGUUCACAUGUUUUUUUCCUUUCUUUUUUUUGCUUUUGUCCCUCAUUUGUUUAUAUAUUUUCAGUUUAGUCCCCUCAUAAAGUCUUUCCCACAUUAGAGCUCUUGUCUUUUACCAACAGGUUCCUUUCUAUUUAUUAAAUCUCUUGCGUCUAUUUUUAGGGGCUUACAAAAAAAUGCCCAUAAAUGCAUGCCUAUUUUUGUUUUUGGUCUUUUUCUAAGGGUGAAGAUAUUUUUUUACUAUAUUCUAAGAAACAAAAGACAAACAAAACUAUUGGUAAACAAUUCUAUUUUUUUUAUGGUGGUGUAAAUAAUUCAUUUUAUUGUUUAGAAAAAUUAGAAAAGAUAAAUAUACCCUUUAUUAAUUUUCUAAUAAUUAACGAGCCAUUAAAAAAAGAUAAAAGUGCUCCUAGCACUAAGGCUACAGUAACAAUCAAUGAUAAUCUAUAAAGUGUUAUAGUAAAAAAAACCCCACAUUCAAUAUAUAUUUGGUAAUGAUUUGGAUCCGUAGGCCCAUUUACAAUACAAGAAGUUUUCAAGGUGCGGACCUUAUACACCACGAAAACAUGACUAGAGCAUCUGGCACCAUCAAUUGCAACCAUCAAUUGCAAAUCCCUGCCAGGGGCGAGUCUCUAUCUACUUAAUCCCCAAAAUCUCUCCCUUUUUUGAUCUUCUCAACUCCCAUUUUGUUAUCAUCCGAACCCACAAGUCCUCAAAAUGCCCUAAGCAGAAUUACGAAACAACAGCCCUGAAAUCAAAGAGCCUUCUCAUAAAAUCCCCAUGCUCCAACAAAAUGGCAUCCACGAAGCCGCUUCAAUCCCAUCAUCUCUCCUGAAAGUGAAAAAGCUCUCUGAAAGCACACUUUGCUCUCUAAAUGCUCUAUGCUUGCCUCUGGCUAUGAUCUCUCCAGGUAUUAAGCAAAACCCUCUUUUAGUAUUUUUGUUUUUCGAAGGAUGCAGGAUUAUUAGCAAAUUCAUGGGUUUUUGUUUCUAGUGUUGCACAGUGCCUCAGAGACAGGGGUUCCAGCUAGAGGAAAAGCCCUUAUCCCUACAGAUUUGAGCUUUGCUAUACCUGAAGGAACUUAUGCUCGUAUUGGUAAAUAUCACUUUGUACCUUUUAAUUUAUGUUCAUAGAUGGUUUGGUUUUGUUUCUAAAAUUGAGUUUUGUUAUUUUAACACCUAGAUCAGGAUUGGCAUGGAAGCACUCGAUUGAUGUGGAUGCUAGUGUCAUAGAUGCUGAUUACAGAGGCCCUGUUGGUGUCAACCGAUCUUCAAAGCAUUCAUUUUGAUUGUAUGAAUAAUGACUUGUUUCUUAUAAGAAAACAUUGCCUACCGAUUCAGAUUGCCUACCGUUGAUCAGAAAAAGGGCUUAAUUAGGCACGUAAUGUAGGCUUUGACUCUUGGUUAUGAAGAAAAUGAUACUUGUAGGCUCAGAAGGUGUUUAAGAGAUUUCAAGACUAAAAAUCACUAGUGCUUGUUUCCUGACCUUUUGUCUUUUGCAUUUUUUCCAAAAUGAUCCAUCAUGCCCACUAGUGUCGAGCUUGGGCCUUUUCUCUUUGUUUUUUAUUUUCUUUCUUCACUUGGUUGAGCAUCAUCAUAUCAGUUAUUUUUGUGGAAAGCUUAAAUCUUUUAGAUCGUUUGGAUUUUCUUCAUGCCCCCGGCUUUGUUUGGGCACCUUUGAUCAUUAAGAAUUUUCUUUCAUGCCCCCAGUGUUAUUUGUGUCACUUUUAAUUAUUGAGGAUUUUUGAAUAUCUCUCGCACUUACCCCCCAGUAUGGGAUGUGAUCCUAGCUAAUGUUAUUUAUGAAAAACAUUACUCGACUUAAAAGGGGAUUGCAAAGGAUAUAUUUUAGCCUCGUGAAAGGAUUAUCAAAGAUGACUUUUCUUCAUUUCAAAUGCAUGCAUUUAGGAUCGGUAAGCCUUGCUUUCAUGUGAGUAUGCAAAAUGGUUUCUCAUUAUUCAUUUAGUUAAAACCUAGUUUUGGAGUCAUCUCAAGGUUUUCUAAUUAUUCACUUGAAUUUCCAGAACUUGUUUGUUUGGACAAGCACAACUAUGAUUUCUAUUUUUGUACUAAAACUUUGAAUUCCCAACAAUCCUUGUGAACGUGUGAGAUCAUGCAUAUUUUUGAAAACACAAUGAAGAAUUCUUGGUGUAAUGGUUUUAUGAGUAAAGAGUGUGCUUAUGUAGGCAUGAAACAACAACGAAAAUGGAGGCACAGUAUGAGUAUUAAGAAAACACAUGAUCUUUUCAAUAAGAAGGGCUCAUUUGACACAUAAAAUUUUGUUGUGUUAUGAGCAAAAAUACUAACUAGACUGAAACAAGUUAAAAUAGACAUGAUCAAACAAAAGACAAUAAUAGGGCAGGCUUCAUCCUCUUAUUUUGGUAAAUCUCCUCUUGGGCUAGCCUCCCCACAACAACUCUUGUAGAGGUCUCAUUGAUGUUGGGGACAAAAAACUAUGGUAUAAAUUUGAGCCCUUCAAAAAUUUAUGUUGCCUUUUUCACACCCUGCCUUAACCAUCAGUGCUUUCAAAUUUCCUGGAUAUUCCAUCGCUAGUGCAUUUCUAAUCCACCGCUUCAAGCAUGAUUAGGUAGAGGGUUCGUGUUCACAUUAGGAGUGUCUUCAAAUGUUAUCCACCCUGCCUUGAUUAAUUGUGGAAGCUUUCUCUUGAAGGCGUUGCAAGUAUGAAUGUUAUGUCCAGGAAUACCAGUAUGGUAUUCACAAGUGAGCUCCAGCUUGUACCAGCUGGGGUAAGGUGGCUGCAAAGGUGCCAGAGGUUCGGGACUUAUAUGCCCAAUGCUUAACAGCUUCUGGUACAUCUCAUUGAAGGGUAGUAGUGAUAGAGGUAGUUGUUCUUGGACGCUUUGGUAAUUUCCAAUUUGGCUUUUGGCUUGAAAGUUUUGGGGCUCAGGUUUUUUAAUGUUGGUAAUUUGGGAUGGAGUGUGGUAGUUUUGGGAUGGGUUUUUCCUACCCCUGUAGCCAUCUCUAACAUGGUUGACCUCCUUCCCUUCAAAGCCGCUUUUCUUAGUGGGUGCAUAAAUUCUACCACUUUUGAUGCCUUGCUCUAUGCGCUCACAUGCUGCCACAAUAUUAGUGAAUUGCUGAGCUAAGUUGCCCAUCACAUGUUCAUAGUAUGGUGCCUUGAGGGUAUCAGCAAAUAGAUUAGCCAUCUCUUUAUCUUGAAGUGGGGGAUGCACUUGAGCAGCCGAUUCCUGCCAUCUUUGAACUUAUUCCCUUAUGCUUUCUUUGUCCCUUUUCUUCAAAUUGGACAAGCUAAUUCUGUCGAAAGCAAUGCCCAUGUUGUACUUGUACUACUUGACAAAAGCCUCUACCAGAUCUUUCCAUCUUCGGAUCUUUGUAUUAUCCAAUCUCAUGUACCAACUCAAUGUUGCCCCACUUAAGCUAUCCUAAAAAAAGUGCAUCCGUAGUUUUUCAUCAUGUACUGCUUCUGCCAUUUUAUUGCAGUAGGACUUGAGGUGGGUCAUGGGGCAUUAUGUUCCACUAUAUUUGAUGAAUUCAGGAACACGAAACUUCUAUGGGACAAUCACAUUUGGGACCAAACACAUCUCUGCUACUCGUAUUGGGUCAUAUAAAUCACCCUUUCGAUGACUCUAAUUCUAGCCUCCAGCGCUACCAUUUUAUCUUGAUCGAUGCUAUCAGAUGACUUGGCCUUGUGGGACUCGUUGGCAAAUACAUUCAUGACUGCUAGGGUUGGUGCAUGUAUCGCUGACUGCAUAAACAUUGGAUUGUAUUGAGGCUCUUGACCAUGUUCACUCAUUCUUUCUUUGGGCUGAGCUGUUGUCAGAGUCUGAUUGAAGGUGACAGGUCGGUUAGAAGGACCUUCACCAGAGGUAUUUCCCAGUAUUUGCUCGAGUAAGCCAGUGAGGCGAGCCACGCUUGUCUUCAAAGACUCCAACUCUUCUUGAAAAUGGGCAUCAUGGUGAGCACACUCUUCAUCUUCCAUGUUUCUUGCUUGGAGUCGAGUGUUGUAGAUUCUUUGGAGACCUAUAUUUCAAACUGGUGCAUGUAUGUAUGUUAUUUACAAUGAAUGGAUGUAAAUGUUUGUACAUGCUCAUUGGAUAUGGAUUGUUAUUUAGGGAGCUUAUACUCUAAGGAUAGGCUUUGGGGACAUUACAUGAUGGGUAGGCUUUCUACCUAGUCUCAAAAGGGUCUUUUGUUGCCCUAGUGAUCACCCUCAUGAAGGCAAUGUAGGGGCGCAGUAGGUAAUGGGAUGGCUUGUGGACCAAUCAUUACCAGUCUAAGCACUCAGCGAACAAUUAGGGUUUAAACAAACUUAAAAGCCUUGACUAAAAGUUGUAAGGUAAGGUGCUAGUCCCCCACUUAACCUAAAGUUUUUCAGUGUAAACUCUCACACAAAAAAGUAAACGAUGCAUGAAUCUAUUCUAUACAAUGUGUGAACGAUAUGUGCAAGAAUCAAAGCAUAAAUAAUAAAAGGAAAAUGUAUAUAGAAAAAAACAAACAUACAAACCCAACAAUAACACAAAAAUCAGACACAAACAAAGUUUAGUCCAUAGGGUCCCCAGCGGAGUCGCCAUUCUAUCGCACGUGCCCGCGCGGUGUUGAUGGUGAUCGUCCACUCUCGUAUGUAUAUGGAAAAUAUAAGGAGACAAGGAAUUAUUGUCUUUUAUUAGUGGGAAGGGGAAAUGGGAGUAACCACCUAAUAUUUUGGUCACUAAGAACGCUAACUAGUCUUAGAGAUCGGGCAUAGAGACUGGUUGCAUAAAGGGAAGGUAUUAACACCCCAAAUACACCCUACCUAGGGUAAGCUACAUUAUUUAAUUGUCUGAUAAAAAACUAAGGUCUUGUCGUAUUUUCUAAUUAUUGGUCUGUCGAAGGUUUAAGAAAAGUCCUCCUUAGUAAAGAAAUCCUUAUCUUAUCAGGUAAAACCUAACCGUUCUAACAUCAAUAAAAAAAAACUACAUUUUUAAUGUUAGGAAUACAUUUUACAUAUAAAUUUGUAAUUACAGAUACUAAAACAAAAAAAAAUUUGGGAUAUUUUUAAAAUAUUGGUCUAGUUCUCAUAACUUUAAUAAACUGGUUAUUAAAGCCAAAAUACACGCUAAAACAUAUAUUUUUUGAAGUUUUGUUGUAUGAAAAUACGAUAUGAUUUUUUUUUUCUUUGAGAGACUUGGUCGUAUGCAUUAAAACAAAAUGUUUUUUUUUGUUUUAUAAUAUUUUGUAAUGUUUCGAUGAAAACCAGGUUUUUUAAUACCAAAUUUAUAUCUUUACAGUUUAAAUAUGCAAACCAAUAUUAAGCAAAGUUCAUAAAAAAAAAUAAGUGGGAAAAACACACAUUUUGUUUUGAUUUUUUUUUUGAAAUUUUUUUGGACUGGGUCGCACCUAGCCUAACCAUUUUGGUCUAGGUCGGCGCUAUCCAGGCCAAUAAACAGUGGAGGAUCUCUCUACUGUUCACUUGCAAAACAGUGGAGGCGAUGAAGAAGACGAAGAAGAACGGGAAGCUGACCUAAGGGGGCUCAUGGUGGUGCUUGUUGGUGGUGGUGGUGUUACGGUUGCGAACUGGGGAGCUGAGGGUGGUCGGUCAACAGUUCUUCUUCUUCUUCUCUGCUUCUCUAUGUUAUUCCUGUUUUUCUUCGUUCCCUCCUCUUCUCUCAUUCUUCUUCUGUUUUAGACGGUGUUCUUCCCUCUUACGGUAGUGUUGUUGUUGUUGGCGAUGCUGGUGGUGGCGAUCGGGCGUUGGUUCCAGGUAGCGGUGAAAAAAACCAAUCAUUGCUAUUGUUUUUCCCUUUUGUUGCACCGUUUUCUUCGUUUUCUUCACAAUUGUUGCAGCGCAGCCCGUAGGGGGGGAAAGAUGGCGAGAGGCUGACAAUGACACUGUUUCAAACGACGGAGAGAGAGACCAGAAGGAGAGUGAGGUUACUGUUCUUCUUUGUUAUCUCUUCUACUUUCCCCUGUCUUCUUUUCGUCCCUUGUUUUUUUCUCUCUUGUUUCAAAAACAAUCUCCUCAUCCUCUUUUUUUCCUAUUCUUCCUCCCCUCUGUUCCUUUUCUCUAUUUUGUCUCUCUCUCAAAACUUUUGUCCACCUCCCUAAAAUCUCCUCUCUUCCACUUUUGUUUCACCCUCUUCUCUCUGUCUUUCUUCAAAAUCUUGCCCCCCCUCUAUUUCUAGUUCCCCCCCCUGUAUUUAUAGGAAGCAGGGGGGGCACCCUACCUGUCCAAGCGUAAGUUAAGGUUUCCCUCUCUUUUCUUUAUCAUGUUGGUCGGGUAUGGUGGGUAUGGAUGGUGUCAAGUCUGGGGAGAGAGUGAGUGGGUAAGGAAGAUUUUAAAAAUCUCCUUCUUCCAUGCCUCUGCGCACGCAGGGGAAGAAGGAGAACAAUGUGGUUUAAAACAACACUAUUUUGGAUUAUUUUUUUAUUGAAAAAAAAGAAAAUGAAUUUGAGAAUAAUCCAAGAAUAAGUUAUGAAAAUAACAAUAAACUUACCCAAGUCUAGUUGAACAUUAGGCUCAAGAGCUUUGGGCCCCUCUUAAAUGGACUCAAAAACCUUGGGUUUGGCUGCAUUCUAAACCCAUUAGAGUUGGGUGAAGACAUAAGACCCAAGAGCAUUGGAUCCUGACGCGAACCUAUUAGCCUAGGGUUUGACUCUUGACCCAAUUGUCUUGGGCCAGGUACGACUACAAGACUCAGGGCACUUGGGUCUGCCCCUAGCCACUCCCAAGCAACUUAGAUCUAGCAUGCCCUUCCAGACCCAAGUUAAUAAUAAUAAAAAUAAUUGAUUUUACCCUUCAAAUCACAUAUAUGUUUUUUUAUAGUACUAAAAUUCAUUUCAAAUUUAAUAAUAUGAAUGAAUUUAAUAAUAUUUAUGGUAUUAAUAAUAAUAUUAAACUUAUAUGAUGUAAGUUUUCAUAGUUUUCAAUCCGCUCAAAUAAUAAUAAUAAUAAUAACAAUAGUAAUAAUAAUAAUUUUACCCUUGAAAUCAAUUCUAUGUUUGUUUUUCAAAAUUAAUGAUAUAUUUUUAAAAUUUCUUAAUUAUGAUAUUAAUAAUAUUAAUUAUAAUAAAAACAAUAAAAUUUAUAACACAUAAUAAUAUUUUUAAUAUUAACAAUAUUAAUUAUAAUAAAAAUAAUAACAUUAAAAUUAAAAAUAUUUAUAAUACAAAUAAUUAUAUUUUUAAUAUUAAUAAUAACAAUAAACUUACCCAAGUUUAAGUGGGUCUGCCUACAACACCAGGUCUAAGAGCUUUGGACCCCUCUUAUAUGAGAGACUAAAAAACCUUGGGUUUGGUUGCAAUCUGAAACCAUUACAUUUAGGUGAGGACGCAAGACCCAAAAACAUUGAAUCCUGAGGCGGACCCAUUAGCCUAUAGUCUGACUCUUGACCCAAUUGUCUUCGGCUAGGGAAAGCUGCAAUACCCAAGGGACUUGAGUCUUCCCCCUGCCACUCCCAAACAACUUGGGUCUGACAUGUCCUUCCAUACUCAAGUUAAAAAUUAAAAAAAAAUGAUUUUACCCUUCAAAUCACAUCUAUGUUUUUUUCUAUAAUAAUAAAAUUUAUUUCAAAUUUAAUAAUAUUUAUGAUAUUAAUAAUAAUAUUAAAUUUAUCUGACUUAAGUUUUUGUAGUUUCUAAUCCUCUCAAAUAAAACUUAUUGUUUUUCUUUGAUAAUAAUAAUAUUUUUCUUCAAAUUUAUUAAUUUAAUAAUAAUAAUGCUAAUAAUGAUAAUAAUAAUAAUAAUCUUACAUUUGAAAUCAAAUUUAUUCUGUUUUUCAAAGUUAAUGAUAUAUUUUUAAAAAUUUUAAUUAUGAUAUUAAUAAUAUUAAUUAUAAUAAAAACAAUAAAAUUUAUAAUAGAAAUAAUAAUAUUUUUAAUAUUAGCAAUAUUAAUUAUAAUACAAAUAAUAAUAUUUUUAAUAAUAAUAAUAAUAAUAAACUUAAAAAUAUUUAUAAUACAAAUAAUAAUAUUUUUAAGAUUAAUAAUAACAAUAAAUUUACUCAUGUUUAAGUGGAUCUAUUUGUAACACCAGAUCCAAGAGCUUUUAGCCCCUUCUUAAAUGGCAAAUCCAAAAACGUUGUGCACCGUAAAAGUGUAAAUAGAGCUAGCUCAUAAACUUAACUUUUCUUUUUUUUUUCUCUUUAGCUGAAUUGUUUUUUUUUAAAAAAACAUUAAUAAUAAUACUCAACCAACAAAUACCCCCCGAACUCAGUUUCCAAUUAUUUGCUCAAUUUACACCUAAACAAUAGAUUCGACAAAGAAACUUAUAAAAUAAAGGGAAAAACCUUAGCCCAUCUUCAUCGUCUCUUUACAGCUUCUUAUUCUAAGUAUGCUAGUCAUAAAAGAAAAGGAAAAUCAAAGAAAGUCCCAUAAACCCAUACAACAAACAUAAAUUGAAAAUCCUAAUUAAAUGCUGAUGGUGUUCGUGCUCGAGCUCGUGCUUGUGCUCGUGCCCGUGCCCGUGCUCGUGCUUGUGCUCGUGCUGCUGUCAUUGUUGUUAGUGCCGGUGCUGGUGGUGGUGGCUGCGGUUGCUGGUGGUGGUUGUGGUGUUGCUUUUAGUGACUCGGUCUGUUUCAAUAAAUUAAAUAGGUUAUUGGAGGUGCAUUUUUAUUAGAUCAUCUAUUGAUACAAAAUUUUCGCACUUGCAAUUUGAUUUACUCUCACCUGGGCAUCGAACAUAUUCAUGUACUUGAUCUUAGUGUUUCCAUCCAUUCGUCCUGCAUUCGGCUGGAAAAGGCAAAAAGCAAGAGUCUCAGGCCUUGUAUCGCUUCUGUAGGCAAAGUAAGGGUAGGGAUUGAUUACGAAAGGCGAACCAUUCGCACUAUUAAACUCCAACAAGCCCUUCAUCAGAUCCCCAUAACUUGGAUCAAAGCUUCCAGAAGAAGGUGGCUCAGACUGCUUAAGCACUCCCAUCGGAUGAACUGUGCAGACCUUAAUUUUACCCCCGAGCGAUGCAUCAUUUAGAGCAUUCUGUACAUUUUGCAUUGCUGGUAAGAGCUUGUUCACGAGAUUCUGGUCAUUGGAAGUCAUGACCUCGUUGCCGACAGUGAUGAGGAUGAUAUUGCUAUCUGGAUAGAAGGGAAGCACGUUUGUGUUGAUCCAGCUCUUAGCAAAAUUGGGAUCAGAGGCUAGUCCUGGAAUGUCACCAUUUGCAGUGCCGAUAACAAUUCCAAUUCCGGUGUUGGCUAAGGCUUUGAUUAUGGCGGGGUCCGAUCCAUAUAAUUGGACCUUUUGGAUUGAAGUGGAUUGAAGAAGCUUUGCUGUGGAUGGUGGUGGUGGAAGAUUGUCCGCAACUUGGCCAUAGUUUAUACCGAUGAAUGAUUGCGAGUCUGCACAAAAAGCAGCAAAAUUUAAAGCAGAUGAUCAAACAUCAAUUUUUAAACGACAAAACAGAACAACAACAUUUUUUGUUUUCAUAGACUGAAAUGAAGACAGCUCAGUUAAGGUAAAUUCCUUAGAAAUGGAAGGAGGUAAUUAAAAUAGAAAGAGAAGCAAACUUACUUGCGAUUUUUUCAGUCUGUAAGCAGGAAAGGAGUAGGAAAGCAACAGUAUAAGGAAGCACCACCAUGGCUCAGGAGGAGCGGUUUCUAUUCUGCAUUUUUUGAAACUGGAGUGGGCAUUAAAUAUAGAAUAUGCUACAAGUCAAGGGCAGAAGCGUAAAGAUGACUUCGGAUAUAUUCUUAUUAUAGAAUAUCAUAUGGAUGGUGAAACUUCAAAUAGAAACCAAUUACGAUAUACUAGUUUGUGGCUUCCGCCGCGCGGUAGGUUAUCUUUUAAAUUAUCAUAAAAAUAUAAGAUAGAAAAACAUUAUAAAAUCAUUGGGUCUGGUUACGAUGUUGGAUUCAAAAGCAUUUAAUCUAACUGCAACGUCAAACCUAACAAUAAUAUUUAUAAUAUUAAAUAAUAUUUCAUUUAUCUGCCAAAAUUUUUAUUUUUUUUAAUCUCUCAAAAACAAUUAUGAUUUUUCUUCAAUAGUAAUAAUAGUUUUUUUAAAUUUAUUAAUAAUAAUAAUAAUCAUUAUUUUUACACUUCAAAUCAAAUCUAUGGUUGUUUUUCAAUAUUGAUAAUAUUAUUUUUCAAAUUUAUUAAUUAUUUUAUUAAUAAUAUUAAUUAUAAUAAAAAUAAUUAUAUUUAUAACACAAAUAAUACUAUUUUUAAUAUUAAUACUUUUAAUUAUAAUAAAAAUAAUAAUAUUUAUAACAAAAAUAAUAAUAAUUUUUAUAUUAAUACUUUUAAUUAUAAUAAAAAUAAUUAUAUUUAGAAACCAAAGACCCAAGAACCAUGGGUCCUGAUGCAGGACCCAUUAGCCUUGGGUUCUGACUCAGCCCAAGGGAACUGGAUCCGGACGUAGGACCCAUUAGCCUUGGGUCCUGACGCAGCCCAAGGAAACUGGGUCCUAACGCAGGACCCAAUAGCUUGGGUCCUAACGCCGAACCCAAGUGCUUUGGGUCCUGACACAACCCAAGAAAAGUGGGUCCUGACGCAGGACCCAAGAGAUUGAGUCCUGACGCAGGAUCAAUAAUGUUGGGUUAGGCAGGUCCUGGUGGGGCAGGACCCAACUUGAUAGAUCCAGCGACAACUGGACCCAAAGCUAUUUUGGCUUGGUUCAGUUCAGUUAUUUUAAAACAAAAACCGAUUCAAAUUGAUUAGUUUGGCUCGGUUUUUUCCGAUUUGAGUUCAAUCUGGUUCGGUUUUUUCAGUUAUUUUGAUGACUAAAAAGGAACUGAGUUGAUGAUCUCUUAUAUUUAUAUAUUCUUGGCAAUUAAUUGUCCGAACUCUUCUAAAAAAAUAGCAUGGCUUUUCUAGAAUUCAUGUGAAAAUAUAUUUUUGUAUAUUAAUUUAGUCAAACCAAACUGAUUAAUUUUUUUUGUUGCCUUGGUUAAUCCUAUAUAUUCGAAUCUAAUAGAUAACUAUUUUUUUUUCUUAGGGUUAUGUGGAUAAAAUGAACUCAAAUCGAUUGGAAAGUUAUGGUACGAUGGCAAACACUUCAAAGCUAGCUUGUUAACGUAUAGUUCCUCCAGCCCUAACAACUAACACUAAGCAUUGUCACAACCAUUGCAUCUGCUUAUAGAUUCUUUGAAGACAAGUUCUCCUUCCAAGUUUCAAAGCUUCUCUGUAGAAAUAAACAUGCACAAUUUUCCUUUAUCUGAACCUACUAAUAAACCGCGACCUCUAGAUUUUCAGUUUUCAAUACUUCUUUUCAACAUGAACUUGGCCCCUAACGAUCUACAUACAGGAUUCCAACGUCAUCUACGUUGUGCCCAUGAUUUUCAGUUUUCAAUGACCUCUAGAUUUUCAGUUUUCAAUACAGGAUUUCAACGUAUUAGUAGGUUCAGAUAAAGGAAAAUUGUGCAUGUUUAUUUCUACAGAGAAGCUUUGAAACUUGGAAGGAUAACUUGUCUUCAAAGAAUUUAUAAGCAGAUGCAAUGGUUGUGACUAUUAAUUCUUAGUGUUAGUUGUUAGGGCUGGAGGAAAUAUACGUUAACAAGCUAGCUUUCAAGUGUUUGUCGUCGCACCAUAACUUUCCAAGGACUGAAAAAACAACUGCAAAUAAUUAUAUAUAAAGCUAUAAAUAUAUUUUUCAUGUAGUUCGUGUUUUAUGGUUUCAUUUCCUUUUUUAUCUUUUUAUUAACCACCUGCAACAAGGCUAUAUAUAUUUUAUUGCUGUUUGUAUUGAUUAAAUCACACUACCUUGCUGCUUAACCUCAAGCAUUACUCAGUUGUAAGAAACUUGACCGACUAAUUUCACAAAUACAUGGAGGAUAGGUCGUUCUAGAAAAAAAAUACUGUAUGAACAUUUCUUUGCAAGCCUACACACACACUCACUCUGAAUCUCCCUAAUUUAAUAGUAAAAAGAUGAUGGCUUCAACAUUUUAAGUGAGAAAGAGAAUGGUAUAAAGCACCCAUCACCUCCAAAAGGCUCUGUACAUGGGUCCUCUUCAGGUGCACUCACUAGGGUAAGUGUGCAAGAAUUAUAGCCUGUAGUUUAUGCGCAAAAGCAGUAACAUGAAGAGGGAUUAGUAAAACCAAAAAGGAAGUGUUAUGAGAAAACUCAGUGGGUUGUUGGAAGAGAAAAUGGCUGAUUGUGAGAAAUCACAGUUCCAAGGAUUUUUAUCAGAAGUUUGAUAGAAGAGAUUCAUGGCAUAAGCAGCAUGAGAUGCUAUUGUGUUCGGUUCAAAGCAAGCCCCACCUGGUUGGAUCGGACCACGGUCAAUCCCUCAUCCACAAACAAAAUCCAGAUUAGCCUGCAAUUGUGCAUCUGAUACAUCUGAUUAAAAUUUUGGGUCUGAGGACAGUUUCUGAAGCAUUUUGUUUCUUUAUGCUCACAUUCAGUACUAAUAACGAAGAGAGCAAGAUGAAAAUUAUUUGUGACUAGACAGAAGCAAAGAAUGAGUAUAUAAAAUACCUAAGAGUAAAUCUUUUAUUCAGCAUGGCUGUCAUUGUACGCAAUUCUCAUCAUUGACCGUCUUUGGUACCAAAGGUUAUGAAGUUCACAGAAAUAUCGUCAGAUAGAGACCAUCGCCCAGUCAAGGGGCUGUGAACAAAUCCAGCCAUUUCUUUAACCUGGGGAGCACCAAACCCAAAGCAAUAAGUUUUUUCUAAGAAGUAACAGGAGUAGUGUUGCGAUAUCGCGGUCGCACAAAUUAAUUACCCUAUUUUAAAACAUAACAUACAAGAUAGUAUAGAUCAAGCAAGGGGUCGAUCCCACGAGGAAGGUUCAAGUCAGAUUUUUAUGCUAGAUGAUAUGCAAUUUGGGGGGGUUUUGGAUGUUAUCUAGACUAAAGCAAAAGAAAAUAGAAAACUAUCAAGCGAAAUUAAAUAAAAUCAGAAAAUUAUCAAGAGAACAAACCUUGAUCGCAAGCACACAUCCACCUACAGAAAUCAGAACUAAUCAUGGAAACGAAACAUCAACUUAUAUUCUGAAUAUUUAACUAUUGGUUAGUUAACGGAUCCGCUGUAUAACUAACUCUAACCAUCAAACAACCACAAUGUCCGCACUAGUAAUUUAAUUCAAUGGCAGCCUUAAAAACUAGAUAAGUUGAUUAAUCAAUAAAACAUAACUGUCUGUAGUCUAUGUUUGAUUUGAUUGAAUGUUCUCCCUAAGAUUAAUAACCUAGAUCCGCCAUAAUUGUUAAACUCAGUUGCUUCACAAGUUUAUAUACCACAACUCCGGUUUUGAUAUCAAACUUAGCAAUAGAUUGUCUACAAUAAUAACUUAGAGUCCGCUCUAGCAAUUAAAAUAAACAAUCAUAGGAAAAAUAAGCAUAGAAGAACAAACAUAUUCAUCAUAUAAACUGAAAAGAAAAGGUAAAAUAAAUCUCACAGCUCUUGAAAUCUGAAAGUUUCUGUGUCCUUGCAACCAAGCAAACGAGUUUAGCCUUGCAUGUUUGUUGAACAACUAAUCAAAAAGAAGGAGGAAUGCAUGAUUUCAGGUUUAUUAGAGGAGCUAAAUUGCUGAAAUAAAAACUUGGAUAUCGGUUUAGAUGCUUCGGAACGUAAUUUGGACUUGUUUCUUCAUGAAACCUGGUUGCUGGCAGAAUUCAGUUGUCAUCUUUGAAAAAUCAUAUCUCCCUCAUAUGACAUCAUUUUUGGCUAAAAUUUGGAUCAUUGAUAGGCUAUUGAGUCAAGAAUCCAAAACAAUUGAGUUUUCAUCAAUUGGACUUCUGUAAAUCCAGAUAUUCAAGUCGGAAUGACCAAAGGUCAAUAUUGACAGGUUGCGAGAUUUGACUUUGAAGGUUGCGAUUUCCAUGCUCUUCCUUAUUUUAUUUUCUUACCUUAGAUUUCAAGAAAGGUAUAGAUGUUAGCUUUUUAAUACCACUAGAAUCACUUCAUUUCGACCUCUAGAGCUCAUGCUCUGCACAAAACAUCGACUGAAAGUUAAAUCUGUCAAUUACCUUCAAUUUACUCCUUUUUGCAUCUUUCAUCCAAAAGUGCCUUCAAAACAUAAAAUAAAGAAUAUCAAGACUUUUUAUAUAUAAAACAUAGGCAAAACACUAGUUAAAUGUGGGUGAAACUAUCGAAUAAUAUGGUUGCAUCAAAUAUCCCCACACUUAGCUCUUGCUCGUUCUCGAGAAAGGAUAGGUAAAAUCAAAUUGAAGUUAAAUUAAAUCAAAUUACUAUGACUAAUCUCCUAAUCUCCCAUCAUUAUCCAAGAAUAUAUGCAUUAUAAACAAGAACACAAUCAAGAAGGAUAAAGAGUAUAAAUUUUCAUGAAUUUAUUUACAUGCAAACUUUAAAACUCAAUUAAUUGUCGGGAUUUAAAUGAAAUCUAUGCCAUGCCAAAGUGAUAGGUCCUCUCAUUGAUAUACACUCCAACACUCAUGUGUUUAGGGCUUAUGUGUUUAAAUCUCUCAAAUUCAAUCAAUGAAUAUAUUCUACCAUAAGCUUGCUCUUCAAUCUCAUCUCUAUUACUAACAUAUUACAAGUAAUGCAUGAAUCAAAAGGUCUUAUUUUCCGGUUGUAAUGGGGCUAAGGUUAAGGUGAGGUAACAGAGAGUAAAAAAAAGGUUCAAACCAAAGAAAGUAAAGCAUUCUAAAAAAUAAUAUUUCAAACAAGAUAUUCCAUCAAAUCACAUAAAUUUUCCAUCUUUAAUCACCAAUGCUUAACUUCUUUUGAUUUCAAGCUCUUUCAACAUAAAAUCUUAAGAACAUAAAGGAACACUUUUUUCUUUUUUUCUUUUUUUUUCUUUUUUUUUACCUUUGGCAACUUUGCCCAUCUUUUCAUCAAGCAUUACUUCUUCUUUCUUUUCACAUAAUUUCCAACUAUAAUUCCAUGAGAUAUCACAAGUAUAUGCUCUACUAAUCCUUGGCCAGGGGAAAAGAAAAACAUAUAUAAAGUUAAGGCAUAUACAUGGAUAAAGCAAAGUAAAGAUAAACAAGCUCAAAAGGGGCUCACUAAGGAUAAUAUGCUUUAGGUUGGCUUUUUGGCUCAAGUGGUUAAAAUUUCUAAUGCCUUUAUCAUCUUCAUGUAUAUAUGUAAUAUGAAUGUAAUCUCAACAAGAUAUGAAGCAAGUUCUAGAGAUACAUAUCAUUGAAAGAAGGCACAAUCAAAGAAUAUAAUGUUGAAGGCUCAAAAGUUUGCAUUGGUAUAGCACUAUAAAGUCAACAUGGCAUAUUCUCAAAGUCAAUCCCUAAACCAAUUAAACCUUAAAACUUGCAUGCACACUCCUUCAUUCGAUUUAUAUCUUCAUCUAUCUCAAUUAAUUCUCAUAUAUAAUACUCACAUUCUUAUAAACCAAUAGGAGUUCAAAAGAUCAAACAUAAAAAUUUGUUUUUUUUUUUUAGAACAACAAAGAAAAUCAAAAUAAGAAAACCAACAUUCUCCCAAUACCCCCACACUUAAAAGGCGACAUUAUCCUCAAUGUUGAAAUAAAAGAAAAGGAAUAUAGGAGAAUGACAAAAAUAAAGUAAAAUGCGAAAAAUAAAAGAUAAGGGAAAAAGAAAGCAAAUCUGUUUUUUUUGUGUUGGGUUGCCUCCCAGUAAGCGCUUUUGUUUUAUGUCAUUGGCUCGACAUGUUGCAUGCUCAUUCUUCAUAGAUUGGUUCAGCUAACUCCACAAAAGCGGUGAGUUCUGUCGUCCAACCUUCAUAGAAAAGUUUCAAGCGAUGCCCAUUGACCUUAAGUACUUUGUUGGUUUCUAAACUUGUAAUUUCAACUACACCAUAAGGAAAAAUAUUAGAAACAACAAAGGGUCCAAUCUAAUGAGAGCGCAACUUUCCAGGAAAAAGUUUCAAACGCGAAUGAUAAAGAAGGACUUUGUCUCCAACAUUAAACUCUUUUCUUGUAAUCAUUCAAUCAUAGAGACUCUUAGUCUUUUCUUUGUAAAUCCUUGCAUUCUCAUAAGCAUCAUUUUGUAUUUCUUCCAACGUAAUUCCAAUCUUUUUGGGCACCAAAAGGAUAGGCGCCACCCAUUCACUGUCCAUGAUGGGGUGAAUGACUCCUACAUCAUGAGGAACAGUUUGCAAAGCUUGUAAAGCCAAUGCUGAUUUAUGCAUGUUUUGGGGAACACAUAUAUGCCUCUCUAUCUCUUCUAUCUUGGUAAAAUCAUAGCCAUAGCUCAAAGCUACGCUUAAUCCAUCCUCACUAUCAAAAUCACAAACUUGUUGCACAUACUUAUCAACUUGGUCAUAACAUGUGAUAGAAUAAACAUUGCUAUAAGGAUAUGUCAUUGCAUCAUGAAAAUUAAAUUCAAUUUUUUCAUCUCCUACCUCCAUAGACAAAGUAUCCUUACCACAAUCAAUUUUUGUAUUGGUAGUUUUCAAUAAUGGUCUCCCAAACAAUAUAGGAGUGCUGUUUGAUGAAUCACAAGAAUCAUGUUCCAUAUCAAGAAUAUAAAAGUCGCAUGGAAUGACCAAACUAUCAAUCUUGACUAGGACAUCUUCUAUCACACCAAGUGGGUAAACAAAACUACGAUCCGCAAGUUGUAUUACAAUGCUAGUUUUAUUCAAAGGCUCAAGACUAAGAGAAUCAUAAACAUGUUUAGGCAUAACACUAAUGGAUGCACCUAAAUCGCACAAGGCCCUUUUGAAACUAACAUUACCAAUAACACAUGGGAUAGUAAACACACCUGGGUCUUUUUGCUUCAAAGGCAUAUUCUUUUGAACAAUAGCAGAUACAACUUCACCCAUACUUACCAUUUCAUGAGCGUUUAGUUUGAAAGCUCUCUUGGUAGUACACAACUCCUUCAAGAAUUUGGCAUACUUGGGAAUUUGCUUGAUAGCAUCAAGCAAAGGAAUGUUGAGUUCUACUUUCUUGAAACCUCUAAAAUCUCUUUUUCUUUGUCCUCUUUCUUUGACUUAGAAGAACUCACAGGAAAGGGUGGAAUUGUUUUAAAACUGGAAUUCAUUGAGUGAGGAGUUACCUUUGGAGUGUUGGUCGAUGUUUCAGUUUGUAGAAGAGGAGGAUGUUCCUUCUUUGUACUCAAUUUGGUUUCUAUCUCUUCUUCUUCCUCCAUCUCAAUUUGUUUCGACCUUUUCUCUUCAAGUUCUUUCCCACUUCGCAACAUGAUCACACUAACAUUCUCUAUUGGAUUCAAUGCUUGAGAGGGAAAUUUUCCAUUCAUUUGUGCUUCCAAUUUCCCCACACUUGAAGCUACUUGCCCCAUUUGCUUCUCCAAGUUGUGAAUACUUGACCUUGUUUCCUAUUGAAAAGACAUGACAUUUUGUUGCAAGGUCACAGUGUUAGAAGCCAAAGUUUUCAUCAUCUCACGAAGAUCAUCACUAGAUGACGACCCCAUAACAUUAGAGUUUGUGAAUGGAGGGGGUUGUCUUGCUUGAUAAUUCUGUUAGGGCUGAAAUCCAUGGGGAUGGAACUCUCGACCUUGACUGCCUUGUUGAGGUGGGUUCCCAUAGCAUACGUUUGGAUAAUCUCUCCAUCCAGGAUUGUAUGUGUUGCAAAAGGGAUCAUAUUUACGCUGGGGCUGUCCGUUGAAUCCUCCAUCAACUGUAUGAACUUGUUCAAUGUAAUCUUCUUACAUUGGUGGGCACAUAUCUGAGGUAUGUCCUUGUAAGUAACAUAUGCUACAAACUUUCACCUGCUGUACAUUUCCAUAAGCCAAAGAACACACAAGAGAAGUAAGAUCAACAACUUUAUUUUCAAGGUUAGAAAUACUUACCUCAUUUACUCGUUUGUUUGCGAAGUCUCUAAGCGAGCCAAAUUGUUUCAAGUUGGUUGCCAUAUUUGAGAUCAAUUGGCGUGCAGCCUCGGGUGUCUUAUCUACCAAUGCCCCUCCACUUGCCACAUCAAUGAUACUAUGGUCAGUAGGCAUCAAUCCUUCAUAGAAAUAUUAAAUGAGCAGUUGAUCGAGUAUCUGAUGGUGAGGGCAUUGAAUGCACAGUUGCUCAAAUCUUUCCCAAUACUCGGAAAGUGUCUCUCCAUGAGAUUGUCAAAUCCCACAUAUUUCUUUCCUUAUGUUGGCAACUCGAGAUGCUGGGAAAUACUUUUCAAAGAAAAUCUUCUUCAUGGCAUUCCAAGUUCCAAUGGAACCUGGGAGAAUAGAGAAAAACCAUGCCUUUGUUGCCCCUUUUAAAGAGAAAGGGAAAGCUUUCAACUUAACCUGUUCUUCGUCAACUCCAUUCGGUUUCAUGCCAACGCAAACCAUAUAGAACUCCUUGAGAUGAGUAUGAGGAUCUUCUCCCGCAAGACCAUUGAAUGUUGGUAGCAAAUGUAUAAAACCAGAUUUGAGGUCAAAGUUUACAUUAUUGUUGAUGUUUAUGCACAAUGGUUGAUUUUCCACGUUAGGAGCAGUAAGCUCCUUGAGUGUUUGUUGCCGUACAACAGCCAUGGUGUUGACGCGAGCUUCCUUUCGUAACUUGCGUAAAAUGUUUUCUAUUUCGAGAUCCACCUGCACUUGACUCUGGUUAGUAGAACAGGUUACAUGCAUAAAUCGUCAAGAAAACUCAAAAGAAACCAACCUCACAAGAGAUCGAAAACAAUGCAAAUUAUACGAAAAUCCUAUGCUAGAAAACUAAAAUUGCCUAAAAACCCUAGAAAACAGCGGCAUUUGGCCUUGAUAGGGUGGGGCUAGUGGCAUGGCCACUAGUUCUGUUUAGAACGUUGUUUACCUUCAGGAAACAAAAGGCUGAUACCUAAUUCCACAAACAAAUCUGUUUUGAACAGUACCGCUGCCGUAAUGAACAGUACCGCAGCAAGCAAAAAUUAUGUUUCUUUUUUUUUCAGAAAAAGAAAUAACAAUCACAGCAAAUAAAAAUAAUAGCACAAGAAUCAACUAAAAUUACUUCCCCAGCAACGGCGCCAAAAUUUGUUGCGAUGUCGCGGUCGCACAAAUUAAUUACCCUAGCUUAAAACACAACACACAAGAUAGUAUAGAGCAAGCAAGGGGUCGAUCCCACGAGGAUGGUUAAAGUCAGAUUUUUCUGCUAGACGAUAUGCAAUUUGGGGGGGUGGUUGGAUGUUAUCUAGGCUAAAGCAAAAGAAAAUAGAAAACUAUCAAGCAAAAUUAAAUAAAAUCAGAAAAUUAUCAAGAGAACAAACCUUGGUCGCAAGCACACAUCCACCUAUAGAAAUAAGAAAAUCUCCCUUAUGUGACAUCGUUUUUGGUUAAAAUAUGGAGCAUUGAUAGGCCUUUGAGUUAGGAAUCCAACAAAAUUAAGUUUGCAUCAAUUGGACUUCUGUAGCUCCAGAUAUUCAAGUCAGAAUGAUCAAAGGUCAACAUUGGCAGAUUGCGAGAUUUGACUUUGAAGGCUGUGAUUUCCAUGCUCUUUCUUAUUUUAUUUUCUUGCCUUAUAUUCCAGAAAGGUAUAGAUGUUAGAUUUUUAAUUCCACUGGAAUCACUUCAUUUCGACCUCUAGAGCUCACGCUCUGCACAAAAUAUCGACUGAAGGUCAAAUCUGUCAAUUACCUCCAAUUUACUCCUUUUUACAUCUUUCAUCCAAAAGUGCCUUCAAAACAUAAAACAAAGAAUAUCAAGUCAUUAUAUAUAUAAAAUAUAGGCAAAACACUAGUUAAAUGUGGGUGAAACUAUCAAAUAAUAUGGUUGCAUCAAGUAGACAUGUCAAAAUGUCAGAAGGGAAAGCAUCCAUCUUAUAUUGAUGGAAGCACGAUGUAGGAUAAGCACCAGUUCCUCAGGAGUAAGAAAGCUUGACCACUGAUGCGUGCCUUUAGGAAGCUGUACAGCAUUGGUUAUUAAUAACAACACAAAGCAAACAAAAGGAUAGAAUCAAACUAUAAUACAUCGACAGAUUACUUCCAGAAAUUUUGGGAAGACUAAAACCUACACACCACCUCCACCACCAACUACAGCGAUAAGAAGAUUGCAUGCACUGGAUAUUCCUAGACACAAAGUCCAUUGCUAUAGGAAAAAUAAAAUGCUAGAACAGUUCCACUACCAGUGAAAACAAUGGGAUUUUGGAUUAGGUUUCUCAUCUGUUUAUAUCACACCCACUAUCCGAAAUUCGCCUAAAACAAAUAGAAUUACUGAGAAAAUAAUUAUGUUGGUAAAUUACGGUGAUAAUUACCGAUGGAUACUAUUCCAUCGAUAAUUCAGUCGGUAUAUACCGACGGACUAAUGUUGUCGGUAUAUACCAACUGAUUUACAGACGAAAUAUAUAGAAUUAAAAAAAACACAGUUCGAUGAUGUGGCAGCUUUUGGAGGUGAUUUUACUGACAAAAUGACCGAGGGAUUUAGACUGGAAUCUCCGUACAGUGACGUGACUAAUUCACCAUCAAAAUUACCGAGGGAAUCGCCGACGGAAGAGGAAAUCACCGACAGAAGUAUUCCAUUAGCGAUUCCCUCAGUAAGAGUUAAUAUAUCACCACUCUGCCGACCCUCUCCUCUCCUAUUUCUCCUUCUUGCUCCCCAUCCCAACUAUCCCCCCUCCCAAACUGCAAACAACCACCCCCUAAAAAUACCCCCCUCUUCUCAACAAAAUUCAUCUUUCUAUAACUUUUGUGGUCACAACAUCUAUGUUCUGAUUUAUUGUGGAUUUUAUCAUUUUUUAUAAAUAAAUCUUUUUUUUUUAAUUUUAACAUUUAAAUGUCAAUUUUAUUAUUUUUUGUUGUUUUUUUUAGUAUAGGUAUUUUGUUAGUGUAUGUACAUGUUUUAUUGUUAUUUCUCAAACAAACUUGUAGUAUGAAUGUAUAAUUUUGUAUUUGUUAUGGUUUGUUUUAGAUUUUGUGAAAUUGUAUUUGUUUGUAAAUUAUUGAAACUUUGUUGAAUUACCGAAUUAGAUGUGUUGUGAAUGAAUAAUUAAUAGCUUGUUUAACGGGUUCGUUUUAAUUUUUAUCAAUGCUAUUGCGGAGUUGUAAUUUCUGUAAAUUUAUAUGUAUAAAUUUGUAUAGAUGUUGAUAAUUGAUAAUGAAUAUUUAUGAGAAGUUUUAAUUAGUUUGUUGGAUAAUCUCGAGGUAAACCAAUAUUUUUGCAAAUUUAUUUACUGAACAUAGUUAAUUAAUACAUGUUGUCAUCAUAAUUUUAUAGAGGUUUGAUAGAAGUCAUUGAUGAUCGUUCAUGGAUGUAUCGAGAUUCACCCAAAGGAUUGCGGAGGAUGAGUUAUUGUAAUGGGGUUCAGGGUUUUAUUAAUUUCACAACAUCUAUUCCCAAAAAUUUUACUGGAAGCGGUAUUAGUUGUCCAUGCAGGAAGUGUAGAAAUAAAAAUUAUAUGCAUCCAGAUGUUGUAAUGAUGCAUCUUCUAUAUAUACAAAGGGUUCAUGGAGGAUUUCCUGUGUUGGUAUACACACAGAGAACUAUUUGUUUGUAAUAAGAGCAUGGUGGAAAGGGUGGUGGGGUCAACUUCUAGUGCUAGCAACGUGCAUGGAGUUGCAAAUGAAAAUGAAUGAAGGUAAUGUUAGUCAAUGUCCAAUCGUAGAAGAAAAAACUGAUGCAGAUGCAACAAGGUUUUUUGAUCUAUUAAGAGAUUCUGACGAAUCAUUAUGGGAUGGCUGCAUGAACCACAGUAAAUUAUCGGUCGUAGCAUAGAUGUUCACGAUCAAGUUAGAUCACGGGAUGAGUGAGUCCGGUUAUGACAAAAUUAUCGAAUGGGCGAGAAGCAUUUUACCUGAAGGGAACAAGCUAAAAGAGAACUUCUAUGCUGCAAAGUUCAUGAUGAAACCCCUUGGUUUAGGAUACCAUAAAAUUGAUAUGUGCCCUAACUUCCGCAUGUUAUACAACCUUGAAAAUGUUGAGCUGACCGAAUGCAUGACAUGUAGGCAUUCCCAUUACAAACCUAGAACUAGUAGGGGAAAGACUUGAAAAACUUAGAUACUUUCCAAUCACACCUAGACUGCAGAGGUUAUUUAUGUCACUAAGGAUUGUUGAGCACAUGACAUGGCACCAAUCACAUGAUGUGGUUGAUGGAGUGAUGGUGCAUCCUUCUAACGGCGAAGCAUGGAAACACUUUUACAGUGUGCAUCCUCACUUUUCAACUGAAUCAAGAAACGUGCAUCUUAGGUUGUGUAUAGAUGGAUUAAACCCAUUCGGGUUAUUUGCUGCUCCUUAUUCUUGUUGGUCGGUGAUACUCACAGCUUAUAAUUGCCACCGGGGAUGUGUAUGAGGCUGGAGUUCAUGUUUUUAUCUACUGUCAUAACCAGUCCGAGCAAUCCGGGCCGGAAUAUAGAUGUUUGUCUUCGACCGUUGAUUGAUGAGUUGACGCAGUUGUUGUCAUCCGGAGCUUUGACUUAUGAUAUAUCAAGAAAACAUAAUUUUGUUAUAAGAGCGACUUUGAUGUGGACUAUCAAUGAUUUUCUAGCUUAUGGAAUGGUUUCUGGUUGGAGCACACAUGGAAAACUAGCAUGUCCAUACUGUAUGGAAAACAACAAGGCAUUCACGCUAACAAAUGGAGGUAAAGCUUCUGUUUUUUACUGCCACUAUCGUUUCUCGCCAAUGAAUCACAAGUACAGAAAGAACAUAAAGGAUUUCUUUGUUGGCAAAGUUGAAAAGGAUGUUGCACCCCCGUUUCUUUCUGGUGAAGAAUUGCAUGAUGUUGUAUCAGAGUACAGUGACAUUAUGUUUGAUUUCCAAUCAAGUAAGUAGAAGAUUCCUGGUUUUGGUUUGACCCACAAUUGGGUAAAGCAAAGUAUUUUUUGGGAGCUUCCUUAUUGGAAGACCAAUCUCCUCCAACAUAACCUUGACGUCAUGCACAUAGAAAAGAACGUGUUUGAGAACAUUUUCAACACCGUCAUGGAUGUGAAGGGGAAGACAAAGGAAAACAUCAAGGCUAGAUUGAAUAUAGCUUUGUUCUGUAAUCGUAAAUAUAUGGAGUUGGUUUUUAAUGGGUCACGGGUCGCAAAACCAAGAGCAUGCUUCAUGCACAACUACUAGUCUACAAAUGACUUAAGAGUCUAUGUUUUCCCGAUGGAUAUGCCUCAAACAUAUCAAGGGUGGUUAAUAUGGAGGAAUGUAGAUUGUAUGGAAUGAAGAGUCAUGAUUGCCAUGUUUUUAUGUAAACACUCAUUCCAUUACCUUAUCGAGAUUUGCUGCCAAAAGGGAUAUGUGAUGCACUCACGGAGAUCAGUCAUUUCUUUAGAGAUAUAUGCUCCAGCAAGUUUAAUGUUGAUCACAUUGAAAGGCUUGAAACAAAUAUCGUCGAGACAAUAUGCAAACUUGAGAUGAUAUUCCCUCCAUCAUUUUUUGACUCAAUGGAGCAUCUACCCAUACAUUUACUAUUUGAGGCAAAAAUUGGAGGAUCGGUCCAAUAUAGAUGGAUGUAUCCAUUCGAACGGUUAGAUAUUACAGUUGCAAUGUAAUUCAUAUAUAAAAGUAUUUUCCUUGUUUUUUUUUAAUUGAAAAUAUUUGAUUAAUUUCAUGUAGGUACUUGUUCAAUCUUAAGAAAAAGGUUAAGAACAAGGCGCAUAUUGAGGCUUCGAUAGGUGUGACCUUUAUUGUUAAGGAGAUCUCAACAUUUAUCUCGUACUAUUUCCAAUCUCAUUUGAGAACGGGAAUCAAUCGCGUUCCACGACAUGAUGAUGGUGUUGAAGUGCCUUCCAAUGGGAACUUGUCAAUUUUUUCCAAUCCUGGACAACCCACACCUAAAAAUGUCAUAAAGGGAAGAUAUUUGCCUGAAAUAGAGUUUAGACAAGCACACAAUUAUGUUCUAUUUAACUUUGAUGAGCUGAGACCUUUUAUUUAAUAAAUAUAUGUACUACUUAAACUUUGUUAAAAAUGUACUAUUUAUGUAUUGUAAUAUCAUAAACUCAACUAAUUUUGAAAACCUUUUAGACAACAUCAACAAUAUUUACUGUCCGAUAACUCACAGCUGACCGUAUCCCAAAUCUUUUGAUUACAAGAUGAACAAUUUACGACGUGGUUAAAAACACAUGUAUGUACUAUCACAAACUCAUUAUCUCUUGCAAAGUUAUUGUAUGUCAUUGUAAAAUUCUUGUUUACUGUUCAUUGUUGUACAUGAUAUACAAGGUUUAUGAAAUGGGAAGGAGUGCUGUUAUUUCAUUGUCUUCACUAAGCCUGAGCCCUAAAAGAAAAGUUAAGUGCUAUAAUGGGUAUUUUGUCAAUGGGUAUGUGUUUCAUAUUGAAGAAUACGGGCAUGGAAGAAAGACAUACAACAUCGGUGUUUGUAUUAAAGAAUCGAGUUGUAAUGAGGUUGGAGUUGACUACUAUGGUAAAUUAGAAAAGGUCGUCGAAUUGCAAUAUCAUAGAGAGCAUAAUAGAGUAUUUUUAUUCAAAUGUUAUUGGUAUGACACCACUGAUAGAGGAAUCAUAGUAGAUCAUCACUAUGGUCUGGUCGAAAUCAACUCAAAAGCUAGACUCCGCAACGUAAAUGGUGUCUUUGUUUUCGCAAAGCAAUAUCAACAAGUUUAUUACACAUACACCCCUUCCUUUAGAAAGGACCAAUCAAGAGUUGAUUGGUUAUCUAUUUUAAAAACGAAACCCAGGGGUCAUGUCAAGGUUGUUCAGGAUGAGAACGAAGACACAAGUGUGCAAGAUGAAAUCUUUCAAGUUAGUGAGUUGGUUGAACCAUAUCGAGUUGCUCCUUCGAUUGACUUAGAAGAAAAUUCAAUUUUUUGUGUUUUUAAUGAUAGUCUUGUUGAUGUUGACGCAGAGGAGUUGAAUGUUGUUCUGAGCAUUAGCGGACAAGCAAAUGUUGAUGAAGAUGAUGAGGAUAUCCACACUGAAGAUUGCGAAGGAGAUGAUGACGAUUCAAUUGACGACGAAGAAGAAAAUUCUGACUAACUAUCAUUACACAAAAGUGUAAAGCAUUUUUUUAUUUUGUAACACGAAAUAUUUAUUUUAUAAUUGUUAAUUGUUGUUAUUGUUCUGUGUGGUCAGUUUGUAAUUUAAGUGUUUGUAGGAGGAUAAAUAGGCAAUACAAACACAAUCUGUCAUGAACAGUAUACCAUCACCGACAGAUUUCCAGAUGGACAUUAUCCGUCGGUAUUUUAUAGAGAGUUGAAAACUAUUUACUGCAUAUGCCACUAUCACCGACGUUGAUACCGACAGACAUAUUUCAUCGGUAUUUUACAGAGAAUUGCAAAAUAUUUACUGCAUAUGCCAUAAUCACCGAUGUCUCUACAGACAGAUACAAUCCAUCGGUAUUUAUCAGUGCAGUUCACAAUUACUGAUGGAUUGUGCAAAUUCCAAAGGGCGGGUAUUAAUGCAUCUCUGACCGCGUGAAUAUGCCGACGAACUGCGAAAAUUCUAGAGGGUCAUUUAAAACUUUUAGUGCGAAAUUCAAAAUUUAUCGAUGGAUGUUUGAAAAUUCACUGAUGAAAUAAUUAAAAAUAAUAUUAUUUAAAUAGGUAAUCGAUGAGUCCAUUGGAAAAACUGCACUAUAAAUCUCAGCGACCGCCCCUUCAGUUCAUUUCUCUCCUCUUUCGUUUCAUCUCAUUUUUUUCUCUCUUCUAUUGCAAAAAUUUUCAUUUUUUUCUUGUAAUCUUUAGCUUCUUGUAAUCUUUAACAAAUUAAAACGUAUGUAUUUUCAUUUAAUAUGCAUAAUGCUUAAUGGAGUGAAUUGGUUUGUGGAUGUUGUCAAUAUUUGCAGGUUUGAAAACUUUGGGUAGUCUCCAGUGUAGGGGAGGUGCUGCCGAAUUUUUUUUUUAAUAAUCGAUUUAAAUUAUGUAAUUAUUCGUAUAAAUUUAUGUUGAUGCGUAUAUUGAAAUCAACAGCACGUCAUGAGCAUAUGGUUGCAGCUAGUUCUUCUAGCAGCGAGGAUGACUUGUCCUUAGGUGCCGAUCAAGAAGAGGCACCUACGCCGACUCACGAUGUUGCCUCUUCGAGUGCGGUUUCAUAGCGCAGAGGCGAUGUGCCUUUACAGUGGAAUCAAUUCACUCACAAAUACUAGGCACAUUGGAAGGAUGACCUUUCAAUGUAAUUUUGUUUCGGUUUUAGUUUUUUUAAAAUUAUAACAUAAUUUAUGAAUAGUAAUAUUUCAUUAAUUUUUUUUUUCAGGUUCACAAACAUUGAGGCCGCCCGAGUAAUAACAUCAACGUUUAAAUCAUCGAUGGAGAUUCCAUUAUUUCAAUGGAGUCAGGUUUCCAGCUAUCCUGAAUGAAGACCUUAUAUCGAUGCAUGGUUUCAAAGAUUUUAGGUUGGUGUUAAGUUCUAAUUUCCAACUUAUUUUUAAUAUAUUAUUAUUAUAAUUGUAAAUAAAAUAUUAUUUUUAUUUUAAAUAAAUUAUUUAUACACAUCACAAAUUCAAGUGGGACGGCGCGCAUGACAAUGUUGUGGGGAGGGUGUGGGAAAAUCACGCGGCAACUAUGUAACAUAUUCUAUUGCAAUACGAUAUUUUUUUUAAAAAAUUUAUGUUUUAAAAUCUAAUUUGUCACUAUGGAAGUAGGUUGCGUGAUUUUUUGUAUGAAUCACAAAAAAAAGCCAAAAAAUACACAAGAGAUAACGGUCUCUAAGGCUAGAAUGACGUGGCGGUUUGGAGGGAUUGCAAACCGCCAUACAUCUUAGGGGAUAUAUGGCCGUAAUAUAUUCAGCACGUGAUAUCUGAACGGUUCACACGACGCUCAUAGUUCGGUGCUGACAACCGGAACCGGCAAAUUCAUGGUUCGAUGACCACGCAUACCGGUGGCUCCGUUCUGUUUGCUGCACAUGCUAAACGGAUGGUAAUAUUAGUUUAAAUGAAAUAUAUCAUUAAUUAAUUUGUUGUUACCUAUAAAUACAUUUAGCUUGCAACAUUUUUUUUCUUAUAGGCUACAUCUUUUAGACGUGAGUCGAGCCCAAUGAAGCUGUUUGUUGAGACGCACGUGCGGAGUGAAGAGUGCCAAAAGGGGGUGUAACAGUUCGUGGACAACCGCGCUCAACACUUUGUGAUAUGUUCGUUAUUUCAUUUUAUUUUGUAAGUUAUUAUUUUUUUGAAUUGAAUAUGAUGAUUGUUUUUUAAUUUUCAGGAGACCUAUAAUAGUCAGUUGAGGGAGAGAUAUGGGGACGAUCCUUCGACCCAUUCAGAUUUUGAUCUGGAUUUGUGGAUGGAGGUAGGAUCAUCUGGUGGACCCCAUAAAAAUCAGGUGUACAAGCUCUCCAACACUACGGCCGAGAACUUGCAGGCAGCCUAUAGUGUCUCAACCGUUGGGAGCUCCCAAUCAAUAUCGAGCACCCAGUUUGAGGAGUUCAUGGCCUUGAAACAACAAUACGAGCGACUCUUAGCGGAUUAUGAACAACUCCGCCAAAUGGUCAUGGACAUUAGAUUAUAGAUUGGUGAUACAUUUGCGCCCCCUUUUUGGUCGUUUAGUCCUAGGAACAACCAAUCUCCUCCUUCUCCUCUAGCUCUGCCAUUGCUCUAGUUUAAUUUUUUUUUCGAAACUCAUUAAAUUUUUAAUGAAUAUUUGGAUGAAUAUUAUUUAACUUUAUUUUUAUAUUUUAAAUGUUUCAUAUAAUUUUAUUUGCAUAAUUGGUUUUUUUUACUAUUAAUUAAUAUAAUUUUAUAUUAUUUAUUCUAAAUAAUUUUUAAAUAACAACCAACGGAUUUUCAGACGGAAGUAGUCUAUUGGUAUUUUAUAGAGAGUUAAAAAAUAUUUACUGUAUAUACCACUUUCACCGACAGAUUUCCAGACGGACGUAGUCCGUCAAUAUUUUACUGAGAGUUGCAAAAUAUUUAUUGCAUAUGCCACUUUCACCAACAGAUUUCCAAACAGACAUAGUCCGUCGGUAUUUUAUCGAGAGUUGCAAAAUAUUUACUGCAUACGCCACAAACACCGAUGGAAUAAUUCCGUCGGUAUAUUUCCAGCGGGAAUUUUUUUUUGGCUCGCAUUUUCUGUAUGUAAAUCCAUUGGUUUUUGAAAUUUUUUUACCAACAGAAUUAGCGACAAAAUGUUGAAUUACCGAUGAAUGCUAUGCCGACAAACAGUUUUCAUCGGGGAAUUAGUUGGUAAAAAUUUUACCGACGAAGUGGUAAUCUUACACCGACAGAAUAUUUCCAUCGGUAAAAUUGUUAAAUGUUGUAAUGACCUCUUAUUCUGAAACAAAUUUUUAUGGCAUGAUGAACCGAAGGAAACAGUGGCAACAGGGAAGGCAUGCAUAGGAACUAUAAAUGUAAAAAUAUUCAUAGUUCCACCAACGAAAUCUACCAAAAUUGAGGUUUCUGAUACUCAUAAGAAUCAAAUUUGUACCAAAAGAGCCAGUUGGUCUAGAUAUAAAAUAUAUAAAGAUGUCAUAAUGCUGAAUACAACAACACCUUUCCUUGUCUCAUUAAAUUAGGAACUGAGCGCACCAUGUAAAAGUGUAAAUGGAGCUAGCUCAUAAACUUAACUUUUCCUUUCUUUUCUCUUUGGCUAAAUUGUUUUUUUUAAUUAUAAUAAUACUCAAGCACCAAAUAUUCACUGAACUGAUUUUUCAAUUAUUUUUUCAAUUUAUUUCUAAACAAUAGAAUCCGAUAGAGAGACUUAUAAAAUAGAGAGAAAAACCCUAACCUAUCUUCAUCGUCUCUUUACAACUUCUGAUUCUAGGUUUGCAAGUCAUAAAAGAAAAGGCAAAUCAAAUAAAGUCCCAUAAACCGAAACAACAAACCUGAAUUGAAAAUCCUAAUUAAAUAUACCUCUGAAAACUCCAAUCUAAAAAUUUCCAAUUUUAAAAAAGCCCACCAAAAAACACUCCACCUUUUGCUGCUGCUACCACUAUUGCUCAUGCAUCAAAACUUAAACUACAUUUGAUAAUGAAAAGAUUACGAGGUAUAUUUGUGUAAUUUUUAGACAAAAUGAUAAAAUAAAAAUAUUUGAGAUGUAAUUUAUAAUAAAGUAAUACAAUUGGAGUUAAAUUUAAGGUAUUGUUAAAACGCAUCAAGUCUUAAAUUGACUAUCAAACUUUAAAAAAAAAAGAUUGGUAUUCUAAUAUGUUUAAAUUUGUUUGUAAAUGAGAGAGUAAUAUUAUUUAUCUAAUCAUUUAUUAAAAUGAAUUCUUUAAAAUUUUAAUCAUGCCUUGUUAAAUUUCAAUCUUUACUGGUUGUAUAUAUAAAAACUAAUUCUUUAAAAGUGUUUUACUAGGGUGCUUGACACUAUGCUUCUCCUCACAAAGCACAUAAAUUUCAAUAGUGCUUUUUUAGUUAUCAAACUUUUUAUUUAUUUCAUGUGAUUUUUUUGAGUUGAUGAUCUCUUAUAUUUAUAUAUUUUUGGCAAUUAAAGGUCCGAACUUGAUCCAAGGCCGAGUUGAUGAGAUAAAGUUUAAAUUUAUAGCAUAAAGACACAAUUAAAAGAAAAAAAACCAAAUAUAAAAAAAUAGCAUGGCUUUUCUAGAAUUCAUGCGAAAAUGUACUUUUGUCCACAUAUCCUCCAUGUAUUUAUCUUUUGGUCCUUUUAAUUUUAGCAUUUUAUAAUUUGGUUCAAAAAUUCAUUUUAUUUAUGCUGGGUUAUCUUGGUUAACCACUCUAGUGUUGAUUUCGAGGUAAAGGUUGGCGAUAGAAUUGCACAGUUAAUUCUUGAGAAAAUUGUAACUCCUAAUGUCAUGGAAGUUCAAGAUUUGGAUGCAACUGUGAGAGGUGUUGGAGGGUUUUGAUCUACUGUUGUUUGAGCUUCUUGUGAUUUGUAAUGUUUUUUUUAGUAUACUAGCAUACAAACCCGAUAAGACAAAAGGCAAGGAAUAUGAUAAAAUAAGAAAUGAGUCACACGAGAUUUACAUGGUUGACCCAAAUUUGGCUACGUCCACAGGCAAGUAUAAAAAGAUUUUACUAAGUAAUGUGUGAAUUACAACCUCUAUUUACUAAUAGGAGAACAAUUGAGAAUCUCUCUAUUAAUAGGAGAAAACACCUCUUUUACUCUCUCACAAAUACCUCACAACUUUGUGGGAUCACUUUCCUUCCUUUCUCUCUUCUUUCUCUCUUGUGUGUACAUAUUUAGGCUUGGAUGCACUGCCUAUUUAUAGGCAGGCAUCCAUGCCUUUGUCUUGCAAAAGACACGAGGCAUUAAUUGGUGUUGCAAGUGGCACCGAAUUGGUUCCUAACAUUGUUGACUUAGGCAGCACCCAUUAAUGUCCAGCUGGCUUUACAUUCUCCCCCUUGAAAACUUUGAUGAUUUAAUCAAGUCUUCACACUUGAUCAUCUAUGAUUGUUCUAUCCUUUGUAUACUUUUCAUCUUUAUGUACUUACGUUUCUGCUAGGCCAUAAGAGGAUCUGCACCAUAUGUACUUAUCAUUGUUGAUUGGUUUGGUCAAAGCAUCUGCUAGGUUUUUCUUAGUGUGAAUCUUCAUAAAAUCCACACUUCCAUCUUUCAGCACCUCGCAAAUAAAGUGAUACUGAACAUCUAUGUGUUUUGUUCUUGAAUGAAACACUGAAUUCCUUGCAAUAUGCAAGACACACUGAUUAUCACAAUACAAAGGAAUCUUCUCUUGUUUAUGUUCGAGCUCCUCCAUAAGUUUCCUCAUCCAUAUUGCUUUUUUACAAGCUUGUGUAGCUACCAUAUACUCAGUUGUUGUUGUAGAUAACUUUACAAUAGUCUGAAGUUUAGAAACCUAGCUCACACCUCCUCCUGCAAUUGUGAACAUAUAACCUAUAUUGAAUUUUCUUUUCUUAAGGUCACCAGCAAAAUUUGAAUAAACAUAAUCUCUGGCAGUAGAUUCUGAUCCUCCAUAAUAUAAUACGGUAUCUAAGGUACCCUUGAUGUAUCUCAAGAUCCUCUUAAUAGUAUUCCAAUGCUCUCUACCAAGAUUUGCCAUGUAUCAACUAACUGCUCCUGCUGCUUGUGCAAUGUCUGGUCUUGUACCUAUCAUGGCAAACAUUAAACUUCCCACUACUGAUGCAUACGGUACUUAAGACAUCUCCAUCCUCUCUGCUUCAUUACUAGGAGACAUACUUGAGGAUAAUUUGAAGUUAAUAGGAAGUGGGGUGGAAAUUAACUUACAAUCUUGCAUGUCGAAGCGUCGUAACACUUUCCUCAAAUAAUUCUUCUUAGAAAGCCAAAUCUUCCUCUUACUUCUGUCUCGGUCAAUUUGCAUCCCUAGAAUCUUAUUUGUUGGUCCCAAGUCCUUCAUAUCAAACUCGCUAGCCAACUAUGCCUUCAAUUCUUGGACUCGAUCUUUGUUGGGGCCUAUUCCAACAUGUCAUCCACGUACAACAAUAGAAUGAUUAUAUCAUCAUCGUUUUCAAACUUCUUGUAAUACAUACAAUGGUUUGAACUGAGUCUAUUGUACCCAAGACUAAUUAUGAGGGAAUCAUGUAACAACCCAACCCAACUUGCCAUAUAUUGUUCGCUUUGGGCCUUACCGCCCUCACGGUUUUGUUCCUAGUGACGCGAGCUCACUUCUGAGCCUGACGCCCCAAAACGCGUAUGACAAGUUGGCAACCAGCACUCUUAGUAAGGCCAUCUACCACCCCCUUACCUGCCGAUAUGGAUAUUACAAUCCACCCCCUUACUCGCCGAUAUAGGAUAUUACAAUCCACCCCCUUUAAGGAGCCCGACGACCCCAUCGGCACAACCAGAUAGCCAGUGACGUUGGCUCUGAUAUCAAAUGUAACAGCUCGGCCCAGCCUGCCAUAUAUUGUCUGUUUUGGGCCUUACCGCCCUCACAGUUUUGUUCCUAGUGGGAUCCCACAAGCGAUACCCCUUCACUCCAUCAGCAUAUCCCAAGAAUACAUAUUUUUUGGAUUUUGAAUCCAGCUUGCUAACUUAUUGAGUAUUGUACAUCAUGUAUAUAGGACUUCCAAAUAUAUACAACUGAGAAUAAUCAGCUACCUUCCUGGUCCACAUCUCCAUCAGUGUCUUCAGCUCAAUUGCAGUUGAUAAAGAUCGAUUUAUCACAUAAUAGGCGGUUUUGACUGCUUCUGCCCAGAAUGGCUUUCCUAAACCUGUAGCCUUCAACAUUGCUCUUGUUCUUUCUAAUAGAGUUAUGUUCGUCUACUUUACCACUCCAUUUUGUUAUGGAGUGUAUGUUAUUGUGAACUGCCUUUUGAUACCUUCAUGUUGAUAGAAGUUAUCAAAUUCAUCACAGGUAUAUUCUUCUCCAUUAUCAAUCCUCAAACACUUGAUCUUCUUUAUAGAUUCAAGUUCUACCCACACUUUGAAGGUUUUGAAGACUACGAGCACAUCUGCCUUCCUUCUAAUUGGAUACACCCAACAUCUCCUGAAGAAGUUAUCUAUAAAUGAUACAAAGUAUCUUGCUCCUCCCAAGGAUACAAUCGGUGCUUGCCAAACACAGAAUGAAUCAGUUCUAAGAUGCAUUUGCUCUUAGAUGUUGAUGUGCCAAAUUUCAACCUGUGUUGUUUACUUAUAACACAAUGCUCACAAAAGGGUACAGUAACCUUUGUAAGCCCAUGGAGUAACUUCUUAUUAGAGAGAAUUUUCAAACCUUUCUUUAACAUGUGGCCUAGUUUUUGAUGCCACGUCAUCGUCUUCUCUUCUGAAGGACUGGAUGAUUCGAUUGACGCCUUUACCUCAUGAUGUGUUUCUCUUAUUAACACAAAAAAGUUUGCAUCUAUCUUUCUUGCCUUUAAAACUACCAGUGCUCUUUAGAUGAUUUUCAUGAUUCCAUUGUCUAUUCAGAUCUUAAAGCAAAGAAUAUCAAAUUGUCCCACAGAUAAAAUUUUCUUCUAUAAGCCUUUCACAUGUCGCACUUCUAAAAUAGUAUGAAUUGAGCCAGCAUACAUCUUCAAUUUGAUGGUGCGAAUGCGAACAAUCUCUAAAGCAUGAUCAUUACCCUUGAACAUUGAGCCUUCAGAGAUGGGUUCAUAUGUAUGAAACCAAUCUCGAUUAGAAGUCAUAUGCCAUGUUGCUCUUGAAUCCAUUAACCAAACCUCAGUAAGCACUUUUCUAUCUAUAGAGACUGUUGCUACUUCACAAUAUAAAACCUCCCCAUCUUCUGAGGUGUUUGUAACACAUCCUUGAGGUUUUGAUAACUCUAUAGUGUUCUCUAUACCCUUUUUAAACCAACAAUCCCUUUUGAAGUGCCCUUUUCUACCAUAGUUAUAGCAUUUCGAGCUCUUGUCAAAACUCAACAUUCUACUGUUAUCAAAUGUUUAGGUGUGAUUUGGGUGGGGAAUACACCUCUAAUAAAUUCUAUGAGUUGUUUGCCUUAGAUGGAACCAUUCACCAAACUUCGUGUAUAGAUACUCCUAAGCAAAAUGGUGUUACUAAAAGAAAACAUAGGCACAUUGUCGAAACCGCUCAUUCUCUCUUGUUGUUUGCUUUUGUUCCUAGUGAGUUUUGGGGAGAAGUUGUCCUUACUGCUAUAAGUUUGUUUAAUACAAUCUCAUCUUCUCAUAGUUCAGGUUUUUCUCCUUUUGAAAAGUUAUAUGGGUAUAUCCCUAAUUAUUCCUCCUUUAGAGUUUUUGAUUGUACUUGUUUUGUUCUUUGUCCUCAUGUUGAACGCAAUAAGUUGUUCUCUCGAUUUACUAUUUGUGUCUUUCUGAUUUAUGGUGAAGGUAAAAAAGGAUAUCGUUGUUUUGAUUCAAUAACUCAUAAACUUUAGGUAUCUUAUUAUGUUGUCUUUCUUGAGCAUAUACCUUUGUUUUCUAUUCCAUCCACUACUCAUAGCUUGACUAGACUUGGUAUUAUUCAUAUAGAUCCUUUUUCUAAGGAUUCUGAUAGUUUAUCAUCUCAUGUUCCUAGUACCUUAGAUACCCCUUCCCAUGUUCGACCAAUUUAUACUAAUCAUUAUGCAGGUACUGACACUUUAUUCUCUAGCACACCUGAAGCUCCAUUCUCAUCUACAACCCCCCAAGCUUCGUCUAAGAUUGUGGAUCCACCUUUACGUCAAUCCAUAUACAUUUGUACAUCCAUAAAACUACUAGAAUUUGCUUAUUCUUAUUAUUCUUCAUCCUUUACUUCUUUUUUAGCUUCUGUUCAUUGUCUCUCUGAGCCCUCUUCCUAUAAGAAGGCAAUUCUUGAUCCUUUUGUAUAGCAAGCUACAGAUAAGGAAAUUUCUACUUGUAUAAGACAGAUACUUGAGAUUUGGUUCCUCUACCUCCUAGUAAGAGUGUUGUUGGUUGUCGUUAGGUGUCUAAGAUCAAGACUAAUUCUGAUGGGUCUAUUGAGCGAUACAAAGCUAGGUCAGUUGAAAAAUGAUAUUCUCAACAAUAUGGUAUGGAUUAUGAGAAGACAUUUUCCCCAUUUGCAAAAAUGACUACUAUUCAUACUCUUAUUAUUAUAGCUUCAGUUUGUCAAUGACAUAUCUCUCAACUUGAUGUUAAAAGGGCCUUCUUGAAUGGAGAUCUUCAAGAAAAUGUUUAUAUGGCACCCCUCCUGGUGUUUCACAUGACUUUGGGUAUGUUUCUAUGCUCAAGAAAGCGUUAUAUGGUCUCAAACAAGCACCUCAUGCUUGGUUUGAGAAAUUUUCUGUUGUGAUCUUAUCUCUUGGAUUUGUUUCUAGUAGUCAUGAUUAUGCCCUUUUUAUUAAGUGCACUAAUGCAAGUCAUAGAUAUGAUUAUUACUGGUGAUGACAUUGAUGGUAUUUCAAUUUUAAAGACAGAAUUGGCUAAACUUGAAAUGAAGGAUUUAGGUUAUCUUCGAUAUUUCCUAGGUAUUGAAGUAGCUUACUCACCUAGAGGUUACCUUCUUUCUCAGUCAAAAUAUGUUGCAGAUAUUCUUAAGCGGACUAGACUUACUGAUAAAAAGACUAUAGAUACUCUCAUUGAGAUUAACGUAAGGUAUUCUUCUUUUGUUGGUCUACCUUUGACAGAUCCUACUUUAUACUGUACUAUUGUUGUGAGCUUGUUAUAUCUCACUAUUACUCGUCCAUAUAUUGCAUAUGUUGUUCAUGUUGUUAGUUAGUUUAUUGCUUUUCCUACUAUAGUUCACUGAACAACUAUUCUUCGUAUUUUGCGACAUCUUCGUGGUACGGUCUUUCAAAGUCUUACUCUCAUCCACCUCUUCCUUGUAGCUGCGUGCAUACUUUGAUGUUGAUCAUGACAGUGAUCCCCCAGAACGUAAGUCUGUUACCGGUUUUUGUAUCUUUCUAGGUGAUUCUCUUAUUUCUUGGAAGAGCAAGAAACAAUCUAUUGUUUCUCAAUCUUCAACCAAAGCAGAAUAUUGUGUUAUGGCAUCUGCUGUAAUGACUCGACUUUUUCAAAGCCAAAAUCGGUGGAAUUUUUUUUUCCAUUAAGUUAUCGAUACUUCUUAUAAUGGCAUUCCAUAAAAUAGUAAUUAGGUUCCCUUCCUUAUCAUGGCAUCAUACAGAUAUAGUUUUUGUAAAUCAACAUUCCCAUUAAAUGGUUACUCAAUAUACAUGCCUAUAAUAUUAUAUUCUCAUAUUCAUACAUUUACAUUACAUCAUAUUGAAAUACUCAUACAUUUUCAUUUAUGUUCUAGUCUCGUUAUCAACACGAGUUUACACAUAAGUGCCGAACAACAAUUUUACAAAUCUAGUACAUUCUUUCAUUCAAUCCUCAUAUGAUUUCACAACACAACAUCCUCAUAAAAGAGAAUAUCACAUAAAUAUAUUCAUAACAUCGUAUUUACAUGUUCGCACAUCCACAUCCGUGUUCCAUUAUAAUUUUCAUUACACGUCCUUACAAAAGUGCCGAAUGGAAAAUAUUCAACAUAACACUUAAGACCUAAUCAUAAAAUCGAACCCAUCAUCUCCUUUGGAUACCAUUAGCCGAAGUCAAUCAUCAUAAUUAACUUGGUCAACCAACUAGAAUACCAUUAGCCAAAGCUAAUCAUCUACGCAAUCCAGUCAUCCAUCUAGGAUGCCGUUAGCUAAAGCUAAUCAUGAACACAACCCAAUCAUCCAUCUAGGAUGCCAUUGGCCAAAGCUAAUCAUGUACGUGACCCGGGCAACCAUCUAGGAUGCAAAUAGCUGAAGCUAAUCAUUAACGCGAUCCGGCCAUCCAUCUAGGAUGCCAUUAGCUGAAGCUAAUCAUCGUUACAACCCGACCAUCCAUCUCAGAUGCUGUUAGGUGAAGCUAAUCACCAACUCAAGCAACAUUUCAUAGUCGUUUCAAUAUUCAUCAAGAAUUCAAUCAAACAUUCAUCGUCGUUUCAACAUUCAUCAAGAAUUCAAUCAACAUUUCAUCAUCGUUCCAAAAUUCAUCAAGAACUGGAUCAACAUUUCAUAGUCAGUUUAACAUUCACCACAAUGCAAUACUAUAUCAUCCACAAGUAAAUCAUUUCAGAACAUUAACAUUAUACAAGAAAAAGGUGGAAACCACCUACCUGUUCCUUAUGUAGGGUGUCCCUACCCGGUCGCACCAUCUAACACAUCAAGGAAAAUCACACAAUACAUGCACAGGUAAUUAAACAUAUAUUCAACAAUAUACAAUCAUAGUUCCUUGAAAUUCUCAUUUAUCCUUCCAUUAUUACGUCUCUAUUCAUCCUUCCUAGAAUCAUUCAACAUUUUCAUUUUAUGUCUUGUUUCACCUCACGAGCGCAUUUAAUUCAUUAUAAUAUCUACCAUGUGAUUUCUCUCCCUCUUACUCUAUCUCUUUAUAUCAAUUUCAAUCCCAACAUCUAUUAUACCCAUUAUGGCUUUUCCAUAUAAAUUGUCAAACUCGUCAUGAUUUCGGUCCAAUUUUAGUUUAUAAAUAUAUUCAACUUACAUAUUUCUUGUGCCCAUUUCGACACAUUCCAAUGUUUCUUUAUAUUUUCAGUAAAAUCUCUCAUUAUCAUGGAACCUGCCAUCAUUUUCACAAUAUUCACAUCCGAUCCAUCUUCAAAUAAUGUGAAUACCAUACAUACAUCAUUCUAUUUUAUUCAUCAACCUAAUCUCAUUUGACCACUAUAAUUAAGGCUAAAUUUCAUUAUCUAUCACUAUUAUUGGUAUUUUAUUACACUAUUAUAAUUAUCACCAAAUUCUUAUCAUGCCAGCAACAACAUGAAACCUUAAUACAACAUAUUUACAUUAUUAGUCAUAAUUUCUUUGACAUCCUCCAUAUGCGCAGGACAUGAUUCUCAAUUUAUAUCAAUUACAAUUCAUUAAUUAAUUCACAAUACAUCAUAUAUAUAUAGCAUUGCAUUCCUUAAGUGUAUAACACCUACCAUGGUUAAUGAACUUCUAUUCUCACGUCCUAAGCGAUGCGAUAUUUGCCUCCAUCCUUCACAAGAAUUAGAUCUUCAUCAGUUUCUCUUUUUUUUUUCCUUCAAUAAUCCAUAACAUAAACACAAAUUACCAUAUUUGUUUAACAGUUAGGUAUCAUCCAACAUUCCAUUUAUAAUCUGACAAGUCAGUCAUCCUGACAAUAUUAACACCACACAAGUAAGUUUAACUCAAGUUGCAUAUUCCGGUCAUUAGAAAACAAAACUAAUGCCACUAGCCCAUCACCGGGUAACCAAUUCCUCCGCCCAUCUUAUUCCAUAAUUUUCAAUCAAUAUCCGCCUCUUCAAGGCCGAAUGAAUAAUCCUAUGAAGAUGCCAAUCCCCAUUUCAUCAAUAUUUUUAAUUAUUCCCUGUCAGAAAUAUCAUUAUAAUACCUCUCUCCUAAAACUUGGAAGGGAAUGCUAACACUAAUAAAUUUUCAUUAGUGUUAUUAGUCUCCCAUAUCAGGAUCGGCUAAUCAAGUUCAUUGUAAACGUCAAAAUUAAUACCACUGAUUGAUGUAUCGACUAUUUCUAACAUGAAAUAGCCAGUCAGAUUUUUCUUUCCAUAAUAUCUUGGAAUAUUUCCGGAAAUGUUGAUGUCAAGAUUCUUGACAUCAUUAGCUUUCACUUCAGGAAUAGCUAGUCAAGUUUCAUAUGAUUGCCGUUAUCGACAACACCGGUCGAUAUCAUUAACUAUUCUCACCUGAAUAGUUAAUCAAAUUCAGUAUCCCUCGUUUUCAGGGAUGAUUAUGCCGAUAUUAGUAAACCUUACUAACAUCAUUAGCCUCCGCAUUCGGGACCGGCUAAUCAAGUUUCGUGUGAUUGCCGAUAUCGACAGCACUGGUCAAUAUCAUUAACUAUUCUCACCCGAAUAGUUAAUCAAGUUCAGUAUCCCUCGUUUUCAGGGAUGAUUAUGCUGAUGUUAGUAAACCUUACUAACAUCAUUAGCCUCCGCAUUCGGGACCGGCUAAUCAAGUUUUGUGUGAUUGUCGAUAUCGACAACACCGGUCAAUAUCAUUAACUAUUCUCACCCGAAUAGUUAAUCAAGUUCAGUAUCCCUCGUUUUCAGGGAUGAUUAUGCCAAUGUUAGUAAACCUUACUAUCAUCAUUAGCCUCCGCAUUCGGGACCGGCUAAUCAAGUUUCGAGGAAUGAUCAUCAUUGAAGUCUAUUAGUGUAAUUCAUAUUCUUAACCCAAUCAAGUACUCAAAUCCAUUUUUAAUUUCUCGUUUAUUUCACUUUAUCCUCUCUCUUUGUGGUUUCACCCAUAGAAGCAAAGACGAAGAAUUUAAUAAGUUAGUAAAUUAACGCUACGUAAAAAGUGUAGGUAUAGAACACCUACCAGCUGCAGAAGCUCAACUCGCUCUUCCUUGUUGUUGUUAUGACCCUCUUGCAGUCCCUCCUUAAGCUCCUACUAUAUGAGCUCCUGAGAAGUCGAGUGAAUGCUUCUCCUGAAAUUUAGAGACCUGCUGUUCGGGAAGUACAAUUUCUGGUAGGAGUGUUCUUUUCCGAUCUAAACCGUUCAGAAUUUAUAUAACAUCUGGAUGAACAACAUAUCCAAAAUCCAGACCAAUCCAACGGUGAAACGAUGAUAUAACGGCCGAUGAACAAGGCUGUCUUGAAGGGUGAUUUUCCAGAAAUGUUCCUCCAGUGAUAGCCCUCAAACGAAGUCUGAUAUUUACAAUCCCUCCGGUCAGAAUGUAGUGACAUUGAGUAUAAUAACAUAUCCAAAAAUCAAUCUAAUCCAACGGUCAAUCUUGACUAGGACAUCCUGUUUACCACAAUCAAUCUUUGUAUUGACAGUUUUCAAGAAUGGUCUCCCAAACAAUAUAGGAGUGUUGUUUAAUGAAUCGCAAGAAUCAUGUUCCAUAUCAAGAAUAUAAAAGUUGCAUGGAAUGACUAAACUAUCAAUCUUGACUAGGACAUCCUCUAUCGCACCAAGUGGGUAAACAAAACUACGAUCCGUAAGUUGUAUUACAAUACGAGUUUUAUUCAAAGGCUCCAGACUAAGAGAAUCAUAAACAUGUCUAGGCAUAACGCUAAUGGAUGCACCUAAAUCAGAUAAAGCCCUUUUAAAACUAGCAUUACCAAUAACACAUGGGAUAGUAAACGCACCGGGGUAUUUUUGCUUUAAAGGCAUAUUCUUUUGAACAACAGCAGAUACAACUUCAUCCAUACUUACCAUUUCAUGACCUUUUAGUUUGAAAGCACUCUUGGUAGUACACAACUCCUUCAAGAAUUUAGCAUACUUGGAAAUUUGCUUGAUAAACAUCAAGCAAAGGAAUGUUGAGUUCUACUUUCUUGAAAACCUCUAAAAUCUCUUUUUCUUUAUCCUCUUUCUUUGACCUAGAAGAACUCAUAGGAACGGGUGGAAUUCAUUGAGUGAGGAGUUACCUUUAGAGUGUUGGUCGAUGUUUCAGUUUGUAGAGGAGGAGGAUGUUCCUUCUUUGUACUCAAUUUGGUUUCUAUCUCUUCUUCUUCCUCCAUCUCAAUUUGUUUCGACCUUUUCUCUUCAAGUUCUUUCCCACUUCGCAGCAUGAUCACACUAACAUUCUCUAUUGGAUUCAAUGCUUGGGAGGGCAAUUUUCCAUUCAUUUAUGCUUCCAAUUUCCCCACACUUGAAGCUACUUGCCCCAUUUGCUUCUCCAAGUUGUGAAUACUUGACCUUGUUUCCUGUUGAAAAGACAUGACAUUUUGUUGCAAGGUCACAUUGUUAGAAGCCAAAGUUUUUGUUGCUACUCAUUUUUAGGCCCCACAUGCUGGAGAUGGCGUGUACCUCUUUUGAACCGAAUGCAGGAGUUUAGCUUAUGGUUGCUUGAAGAUUGACAAAAGCAGAGAAGAAAGAAAUGUUUUUACGAACCCUAUUUCAGCUGUUUUCUGCUCUCUUUAUCCUUCCCCUUCAUCGCCGAAAUCGUCAGGGUUCUUAGAUUAAUUAGGAGUCUUUGUGAUGCUUAACUCGUUGCUUCUUUAUUUGGUCUUUAAUUUUGGAUGAAUCCUUCAAAAUUUCUACUAAAAAAGCUGAUUAUGCUGCAGUCACAAUUCUGUUUGUAAUACAAACUUUGUUCCAACUUAGACUUUGAUUCUGACUUGGUUUCGUGCAAUAUUUGACCAUCUCAGCUAUAUUCUGUCAUUCAUGACAUGUUAAAGAAUUGAACUACACCUUUAUUGGGUCUUAGGGCUCACUGUUCUUAUGUCAGACUCUCAUUUAGAUUGGGAUGCUCGACUUGUCAGUUUCCGAAUUAGAUUAGGAGAUCCUUUUGACCAAGCAGAUUGCGGCUAGAUUAUGUUCUUCAAAACGAAUUUAUCUCACUUUGAAUCCUUCAUGAAAGUUAUAGAACUGUACGUGUAAAUGAAUUUGGUUUUUUGAAUUGCUUGAUUUUGAUAUCAGAAGUCCAAGAUAUCCCCGUUUGAAUAUCUAGUGUGAAAACAAGGAAUCCUGCCGCGAGAAGGAUUCUAGCCCGCAGGUCUGAUUCGAGGGAUUACGGGUUGAUUUGGAGGAUUUUUUUUGGAUCAAGGAUUGAAUUGAAAAGUGUUAAAAUUAGAGAUUUAAUUGAAAAUUGAAAUUAGAAGGAACCUAAAAUUGAUUACAUUGCAUGCAGAACAAACCAAUGUUCUGCACGCAACAAACCCUACAACAAGCCUCGCCCGCUUGUUUCAUAUUUGGUCCAAAGGCAACGGUUUUGAACACCUACGCCAAUUGUGGAAGAAUACAGAGGAGAGCCACACCAUCAUUUAAUGGAUGGGAUUCUACACGUGGAGAAUAAUUACCGAGAUCACAUAAUCAAUCAGAAUAUUUUGCUUCCUAAAUUGCUUUAUUCGAUUGCAAGCCACCCGCGAUUGUGUCCCCAUAUUGUUUUUUCUAAAUAGAGCUGCAUUUUAGGCUAUAUAAACCUCCUCUACUGACCUAGAAGGAGAGAAGAGAAAAGCGAAAAAAAAAAGAGGAGAGGAGGAGAAGAAAAGUUGGAGAUCUAUAGCACAUAGAGAGGAAGCUCUGCUGCUAAACAUUGACAUAAACUUUCGUCUGUCAAAACUGGUGAGACCUGCAGGAGAUGAAGGAAGAGAUGGAAAAAAGUAGAGAAACAAAAGAAAGAAGAGAAAGGGAAAGGAGAGGAAAAAAACGAAGAGAACAAAAGGAGUUUUUUUCCUUCAUCCUUGCAUUAUUGUGAGACGGGGAAAGCAGAACAGAGGAGAGGGAGAGAAGCUAAAACCAGUAGAGAGAGAGGGAUGUAGACGCAGAGCUAAACACAACCGACAGAUGCAAACAGAGAACAUAGGGAAAAGGGCUGAAACAGACGAACACGGAUAGAUCAACCAUCACGCCUUCAACAUCGCUGCAGCUCCUUUGUUUCCGCCUACAGGUCUGUUAUUCCCAACUUUGGCAUGUAUUCUUAGUUGCAUUGUUACUGUUCAAGUGAAUUAUAAUUCACUUUAACAAUAACCAGCCAAGGCACGCGUGAGGAAACUCACGCAUGCCUUUGUGCCCAGCCGGGUCACUAGUUUGGGCUAGUUACCCGGCUAGGCUUGCUAGGUUCAGCCCAGCCAUAUGGACUGAGCUGGACCCAACCCCCCUAAAAAAAUACAAGUAAUAUCGUUGGUUUUCUCGUGUAUUUAUUUUGUGGUUUUUGUAUUUUCAUAUUGUGAAAAAAAACAAAUCUCGUAUUUAGAAUACCCGGUUUUUGAUGCAAUGUGGCAAAUAUACAUAUAUAUCAAAAAAAAUGUUUUCAUGCAUACAGCCAAUGCCUUGACAUAUUUUGAAUUUCCUCUUUUAAAAAAAACAAAUAUUCAAAGUUUAAAUGAAAAUGUGUUUUAGCAUGGAUUUCUUAAACAAAAAAAAUUAUUUUCUUACAUUCUGGAUUUUACAAUAUGUUUGUAAAACUCCAAAGGGUGUUGGCCAAUAUUCCAAAAAAUACAAAAUCUUAAUUUUGGAGAAUGCUACUUUAUUCACCAUUUAUAUUUGGAUAAAGAAAUCCCAAAGGGAUUCAUAUCCAAAAUAUUAUUGGGAAUAACUUGUUAUUAUUCACUUUUAAUGUUUGGAUAAAAAUACCUAAUUGGUUAAUAUCCAAAAUAUUUUUCGAGAAAUAAUAAGUCAUCACACAUCCUUGAAAGAAGCCUUGAUUAUAAUUGAGGACAUUUUAAUUUUUGACUCCACGGUUUACGAGCCAUGAAAGUAUGAAUUACUAAUGCAAACAAGGGCUUUUAAAACACCUUGAAUUUCCUUAGAUUUCUAACUUAGUUAUUUUGUUUCUCUUCCUUGCGAUUUACGAGUCGCGAACACUUGAAAUACUAAGGGAAAAAUGACCUUUUAAGCACAUUGAAUCUCCUUAGAUUUCUAUCUUAGGUGUUUCUUAAUUCAUAGGUUGUAAAUUUAGUUCAAAUCAAACACAGAUUUCAAGAGAUCUGCAUUGGUUUUCCUUGGCACUCUAUAGACAUAUCUAAAGGUAUGAUCCAUAUUGGCUAAGGGUUCUUUCUUUUAGACUUUGAACCCAAGUUUGUUCAUCAUAGCAAACUUAUCUUAGGAAAACUAAUGGGAUUAGAAAAAUCAACACCAUAGCAAUUAUAAACCAAACACCAAGCAACUUACCUUAGGUAAAACAUAUUAGGGGUGCUAAAACCUUCCCUUUAUGCAACUAGUCCCUUGCCUUAGAGCUUUGAAGACCAAUUAGGGUUCCUAGUGACCAUAAUACUAGGUGGCGACUCUCUUUUUUCACAAAAACAAAGACCCCGAAAUCAAUUCCCCGCCACGGGAAAGGUCAUCGCGACGUCGAGCUCUCGUGAGGGUGCGACAGUUUUCAUCAUCUCACGAAGAUCAUCACUAGAUGACGACCCCAUAACAUUGGAAUUGGAGUUUAGGAAUGGAGGGUGUUGUCUCGCUUGAUAAUUCUGUUGGGGCUGAAAUCAAUGGGGAUGGAACUGUCGACCUUGAUUACCUUGUUGAGGCGGGUUCCCAUAGCGUAAGUUUGGAUGAUCUCUCCAUCUGGGUUGUAUGUAUUGGAACAGGGAUCAUAUUUAUGUCGGGGUUGUCCGUUGAAUCCUCCAUCAACUACAUGAACCUAUUCAAUAUAAUCUUCUUGCAUUGUUGGGCACAUAUCAGAGCUAUGUCCUUGUAAGGAACAUAUGCUACAAACUUUCACCUCAUUUACUCGUUUGUUUGAGAAGUCUUCACGGGUGCUGAACUAUUUCGAGUUGGUUGCCAUGUUUGAGAUCAAUUAGCAUGCAGCCUCGGUUGUCUAAUCUACUAAUGCCCCUCCACUUACAGCAUCAAUGAUACUAUGAUCAGUAGGCAUCAAUCCUUCAUAGAAAUAUUGAACGAGCAGCUGAUCGGGUAUUUGAUGAUGAGGGCAUUGAAAGCACAAUUGCUCAAAUCUUUCCCAAUACUCGGAGAGUGUCUCGCCAUGAUAUUGCCAAAUCCCACAUAUUUCUUUCCUUAUGUUGGCAACUCGAGAUGCUGGGAAAUACUUCUCAAGGAAGAUCUUCUUCAUGGCAUUCCAAGUUCCAAUAGAACCUAGGAGAAUAGAGAAAAGACAUGUCUUUGCUGCCCCUUUUAAAGAGAAAGGGAAAGAUUUCAACUUAACCAGUUCUUUGUCAACUCCAUUUGGUUUCAUGCCAAUGAAAACCAUAUGAAACUCCUUGAGAUGAGUAUGAGGAUUGAUUAGUACUUAAAAAUGUAUUUUUAUCAAGAUUUUAUAUCAUCAUUUUGCACUUGAAGUAUCAAUAACUCCUUAACUAGAGCAUGUUUUAUAAUAACAUGUCUAAUAAUAUAAGAUACCUUUAAUUUAUGGUAAAUGUUCAUCUUAAAUGUAGACCUAUCACAUAAAUCAAAUGAUUGAUUGAUGAGUUUAACUACUGAAAUUAAGAAGACAAAAAGAGGGUUAAGCUUAGGAAAGAGAUGCUGGUUCAGUCUAAACUGGAACACCAUUCGGUUAUUGGAUCAUAACUGGAGCUGUAGAACUUGGAUUUAAGUCUGGUUUAUAUGGAUGGAAAUCUAAGACAUAGGCCUAAAACUUUCAUGAAGAGUGCAAGAUUCAAAACGACUCUUUUCAAGUUCAAAUUGUAGCAACAAAAGAAAAGUCAGAAUAUGUUCUGCAGCCUAGACACUAUUUAGUGUUCAGCCCAUAUCUCGAGUUCUAGAAGUCCAAAUGCACUGAUUCGUUUUUAGUUGGAAAGCCGAGACAAUUUCCCAUAACUUUCAUGAAGUCUAUCUAUUCAAAUUCUAAUGUUAGCAAUGAUGUUUUCUACAGACAAGAAGAUAAGGAUUGUUACCAAGUCAAGAGGUGGCCACCCACUCAACAAUUAAUCAUCAAAUCAAUAGUUUCAAAUUUUGGCCUAUAAAAGGAGGCAUUUGCCAUGCAUUUAGGCAUCUUGAUUUUCAGAUCAAGUUCAUGUUCUUGCUCUCUCGCUUUAUAUUUUUGUAAUGCUUAAGUUUUGCUUUCAUUAAUCUCUUCUUUAUGCCUUUCAUUUUCUUUACUAUACUUAUAUAAUCAUGUUCUCCUCUUGUUUAUUUAUGUUUCUCUUAUUCAUAAUGUUCAUCUAAGUUUAUUAUGUCAAGGUCAAAAGGUUACAUUAAUGGUGUAAGAAUAAGUAUAAUAUAUACUUAGAAAAUAUGGUAGACUUUCUAGGAAAUCCUUAUCAUUUUCAGAAAAUAUGGUCGAAGAAGAUAAUCAGUCGCUUCAUAAUGAGAAUAACCGUGUUAGAACACUUAGAAACCACAUGAAUCCCACAAGAAUAAGUGCACCCUCAUGUAUAGUUUUCCCUCCUGAUGCAUCUCACUUCAAUUUUAAGCCAGACAUUAUUCAACUUUUACUUUCUUUUCAUGGCUUAGAUCUAGAAAAUCCAUACUUGCAUUUAAGGGAAUUUGAGGAGGUUUGUAACACCUAUAAUGACUUAAAUUCUAGCAUGAACACCUUCAGAUUAAAGCUUUUUCCUUUUUCAUUAAAAGAUAAAGCUAAAAUGUAACAUCCCCAUAUCCGGGAUAAAGCAACGAUCUUAUGUUAAUUGAUAAACAAAGUGACUAAUUUUAUAUAUAUGUCUAUUCAUGGUAUUUGUAUUAAGAUCUACCAAAAUUUCGAUGGAGUCUCCCCUAUACUGGGAGGUCCCAAGUUAUCGACAUACGACCUAUUUACACUUUUAAUAUACCACAUCUCCUAACUCAAUUUAACCCAAUCAUCCUGUGUCUCAAUCCCACAAACAUCAUCAUUCAUAUCAACCACAAUGUUUAUGAUAUACAUUGUACAACAAUUAUCAUUAUGGAUGGAUAAAGAUAUAAACAUGCAUACAUGGAAUAUAGUUAUACAAACUACAAAAUUAAAUUCAUCUAUUCAAGUUUAAACAUCAAUUAUACAAACUGAGUUAAAUAAAAGUUGUAAUAUUACCAAAUAUAAGGGUACACUCCCUAGAAUCUAAAUUACAAAAAGUGAACCUAAGCUAGAAUCUACUCCUGUCGUGUAUGCGAUGAUCCUGAAAACAAAAUACAUAAUAUUGAAAUAUGAAUAUCAUAAUAAUAUAGCAAUAAAAAUAUCCAGCAAUUUAAAAAGGCAAACAUGCAUUCAUAUUUUAUUCACUUCUCCCUUUUGGUUUUCAUUGGGGACUUUUUCUCCUUCAACUACUAAAACCCACUUGCUCUUCCAUUAUCAACCUCCAUUCAAGAUCUCAUAAAACCACCCAUGAUUAUUUUUGCUUAACACAUUACUGAUACCAAUUUCACUGUUAUCAUCAUCACCUUGUAGGAGUCGAUGCAAGGUGAUCCCCUUACCCGGGAUCCUAACAUACACUAAAUGUAUGCUAGUCAAUACAUGGUGAUCCCCUUACCCGGGAUCCUAACAUACACUAUAUGCAUGCUAGUCAAUACAUCUUGAUCCCCUUACUCGAGAUCCUAACAUACACUAAAUGUAUGCUAGCCAAUACAUGAUUGAUCCCCUUAUUCGGGAUCCUAACAUACACUAAAUGUAUACUAGUCAAUAUAUCUUGAUCCCCUUACCCGAGAUCUUAACAUACACUAAAUGUAUGUUAGUCCAAACAUGGCGAUCCCCUUACCCGGGGUCCCAACAUACACUAAAUGUAUGCUAGUUCACACCCCAAAUCACACUUCUCAUAUUUCCUUGUCAACGAUAAUUUUAUCACUUGGCAAUUCACACAACAACCGUUCACCUUGAAUACACAUACAUUCAGAAUACUAUCCAAAAUAUCGGCAUCAUUACGCAAACUCUUCCUCCUUUCUUCUAAUAUCCAUCGUUCGGUAAUUCACAUCUCACAUUAAUAACAUAUUAAGUUAUAGAAUUUAACUAGAAAGUAUAGGUGCGGAUCACCUACCUGCAAUAAAAGCUCUACUCGUGCCCCCUGCUGCUGUUGUUGCACCACGCCUUUGGUCUCUCUUGCAAAUCACAGGUUUAUCUCAUAAAUUUUCCUCACUCAAGGAAAUGCUUUAUAAUAACCAUAUCAACAACCAAUAAGUCUUUCUUUCAGUCAUUUCUUAAUAUUUUACGUUUUUCUCAUUUCACCCAUUAAUAUUGUUGUUCUUUGUUCAAUCCCAGUUAUCAUUCCUCAAGAAACACUUGGACUGUUACUGUCCAACUGUUACUGUCUUGUUUUUGAACUGUUACUGUCUGACCUCUCCUUAGAUUUUUAAUUAUAUCUGGAGUUAUACAACUUUGAUUCAAGCGAGAUUAGUCUCGUUGGAAAGCUAAGACAUAAGGCUACAAGUUAUAUGAUUAAGAAGAACCCAGUUCUGCCUCUAAGAUAGUCAAAAUUGCUCAUCAACAAACACUUGGACUGUUACAGUCCAACUGUUACUGUCUCGUUUUUGAACUGUUACUGUCUGACAUCUCCUCAGAUUUUUAACUAUAUCUAGAGUUAUAGAACUCUGAUUCAAGCGAGAUUAGUCUCGUUGGAAAGCUAAGACAUGAAGCUACAAGUUAUAUGAAUUAAGAAGAACCUAGUUCUAAUUCCCUCAUCCUCCAAUCCAAAAUCUUACUGAAAGUAAGGAGACGAGUCUGUACAGAUUCGUCAACCCCUCCCCUUCACACAUAACUUUCACAAACUACAUUUUCUGGGUAAAUUAUCAUGGUUUCACGUCCCCAAUCACAUACCACACAUAAAUUAACUUAAUUUUAACAACAAAUACUUUUCCCCCAAUUUAAGUCUAAGAACCCUAAUCUAUAAUUCACAUCAAGGCAUGAAUUCAUUAUCGAAUUUGAAAUGACUUAUAAGAUCAUGUUUAGAACACCUUACUCGGUACGAAUUAAGGUUUUGAUCUUCAACCAGCUGAAGAUUUUUUCAACUCCCUCCUUUCUUAUCUAAUGAUAGCCAGCCCUCCAUCUUCUCUUCUUGUUCAAUUUCCUUGUCAAUCCCUUGCCCACAAGUGUUUAUUCCAUCUAUAAACCCUUAACCUUGGAUGGUUUUCUUGAAAUUUUGGUGUUUCUCUCUUGAUUUUGCAAGAAUGAAUACAAAAACUCUCUCUUUUCUUUCCUUAUGAUUUCUGCAAAUUUGGAUGAGAAUAGGAGUAUUUAUGCCCUAUAAUUUUUCUUAUUUGCAUUUAGGCCCCUACAUCUUUCUUUUUUCUUCUUCUUAUAAUUAAGUUAUACCUCUUUUCAUUUCUUAUAAUUUCACCCCACAACUUUUAGUUUAGUUUAUUUUUUAUAAUUUAAUCCAACCCUCAACAUUUUCGGGUUGAUUUAUAAUGUCUCGAAAUAUUUCGUCCAGAAACUUAUAUCCAAAAAUUUCUGAAUUCCCGUUUUUAUUUAACCAUAUUCAUGAAUUUCUUCACUUUUAUUUCUCAUGUAGUUAGUUUGCAAUCGAAGCAACCUUUAUUUUUCCCCGGGGUUUACAUAAAACAUGGCUAUAAAAUCUGAGGUCAUGAUCCAUUCGUGAUUGGGAUGAAAUGUAACAACAAUUUUUAAAGAAGUUUUUCACUUCUCACAGAACAAACUCUUUCAAAAGACAAAUCACCACAUUCACUCAAAAGCCAAGACAAACAUUUUACUAGUGUUGGGAUAGGUAUAAAGACUUGCUUAAUACAUGUCCUCAUCAUGGUUUUGAAACAUGGAGAUUGAUCUCACACUUUUAUGAAGGGUUAACACCUAAAGAUAGGCAAAUGGUGGAAUUGAUGUGCAAUAGAACGUUUGAAGAUAAAGACCUUGAUGAAGUAAUGGAGUACCUAUACUUGUUAGCUGAAAAUGCUCAAAAUUAGGACACUACAAGCACUUAUGAGGCACGAGGUAAAACUCAACCUUAUACAUCUAUUGGAGGAAUGUACAACCUUAGGGAAGAUCAUGACCUCCAAGCCAAGUUUGCAUCUUUAGCUAGAAAAGUCAAGGCACUUGAAUUUAAAAAGAGUGGUCAAUUAAAAUCUGUUCAAGACAUUGUGUGUCAAAUCUAUGAAACAAAUGAACAUGAAACCAAUGAUUGUCCAACUUUGCCUUCUUUCAAGGAAUGUCUCCAUGAACAAGCCAAUGCUUUAAACAAUAUCCAAAGGCCAAAUCAGAAUCCAUACUCAUAAACAUAUAACCCUGGUUGGAGAAAUCACUCAAAUUUUAGUUGGAAAAGUGGUAACAAUAAUGCACAAACUUCACAGCCACCAUUUCAAGCACACCAUAAUUUCCAAAAUUCUCAUGGAUAUGCACCUCCUUAUGUUCCCCCUCCUAGAAGAAAUCUUAAGGAAACAUUGCAUGCAUUCAUUGAAAAGCAAGAGACAAUCAACACUCAACUUGCUCAAAGCAUGACAGAUUUUAAAGAUACUCUUGCAAAAUUCACAUCUGCUCUUAGUUUUUAGGAGAAAGGUAAGUUUUCAUCUCAACAACAAUAAAAUCCCAAAGGGCAAUACAAUUCAAGUGCAAGCAGCUCCGGAAGCCAACACAUGGAUCAAGUCUAAUCAGUCAUUACUCUUCACAGUGGUAAGGUUAUUGAAAAACCCAUUCUUGAACCUUGUAAGAAAGAUGAUGAGUCAAUCUUUGAGGGUAAGGAAGGGGUUAAACCUGAACAUUGCAAAGAAAAGACUGAUUCCCCACCAGCACUUCCAUUCCCUCAUGCCAUAACCAAACAAAGAAAAGUCAAUCACAAUUCUGAAAUCUUUGAAACUUUCAAACAGGUAAGGAUCAAUAUACCUUUGUUGGAUGCUAUUAAACAUGUUCCUUCAUAUGAUAAAUUUUUUAAAGACUUGUGCACCGUGAAGAGAAAACUGAAUGUGAAAAAGAAAGCCUUUUUAGCCAAACAAGUAAGUGUCAUUCUUCAAAACAAUAAUGCUUUGAAAUAUAAAGACCCUGGUUGUCCUACAAUUUCUUGCUUUAUUGGAGAACAUAAAAUUGACAGAGCUUUACUUGAUCUUAGAGCUAGUGUGAUUUUACUUCCAUUUCCUCAUGCUAUGACCAAACAAAGGGAAGUCAAUCGCGAUUCUGAAAUCUUUGAAACUUUCAAACAAGAAGAAAUUGAGGACGAAAAAGGCACCAAAAAUGUUGUCGCAGAUCAUUUGUCAAAAUUGACAAUAGAUUUGACAUCUGACAUCACACCAAUUGAUGAUUACUUUCUUGAUGAAUCUUCACUUUCUAUUGCUUCAAUACCUUAGUCUGCUAAUAUUGACAAUUUCUUGCUUCAGGAUUUUUGCCAGCUCAUUUGGAUACCCAAGACAAAAGAAAGUUUUUAAGCGAUGUUCAGAAGUUUUAUUGGGAUGACCCUUACUUAUUCAAAUAUUGUCCUAAUCAAAUAUAUCAAAGAUGCAUUCUUGAUAAUGAGGUAAGUAGUGUCAUUAAAUUUUGUCAUUCCGAGACAUGUGGGGGUCAUUUCUUGUCAACAAAGAUGAUUGCAAAAAUCUUACAAUGUGGAUUUUAUUGGCCCACCAUGUUCAAGGACACACAUGCGUUCUGCAAAACCUGUGAAAAUUGUCAAAAGUUAGGAUUUAUUUUAAAAAAUAAAGAGUCUUUAGAUAAUCUUCUAUUGACUCUUGGGACGUACCUUAAUGGAGAUGUGCAUCGUUUAAUUCAUGAUUUAUGGCCUCAUUUGCAUAAAGAACAUGCUCGACAUAGUCUUGGGAAUCUGACUAAAAAAGACCUUGUUUGCCAGUUUUUAAGAAAACUGGAUGGGAAGCUUAUCCCCAACCCAUAGAGGGUGUUUAAGCCGUUCUUGGACGUAAAACCAAGGGAAGAUGUGAGCCAUAAUCACAAUUACAAUUUAAGCCUUAGUGUGUAAGAACUUGUAUCUUUUGGUUUUAUUAAUAGCAUAAUAUUUGUGUUUUGUUGUUUCUUAUAUAUGUUUAAGUGUGUUUCAGGUUUGUCAGUAGUCGUUGUUUCAGGUGAUGUCUUUUAUACUCUAUCUUUCUACCUUAGAACAUUGAGGACAAUGUUUCAUUUUGGUUAGAGGGAGAGGGUCGUAGUUGACAAAAAAACACUAACUUACUAACAAUUUUUUUUUUUUUGCUAUUAUUGGAACCAUUUGAUAAAACUGUUGUUACUAGGAUGGUAGAGUAAGAGAGAAUUUUAUUGACUCUUGAAACGCAUCUUAGUAAACAUUUUCCAAUGGUUAUUUGCAAUAUUCAUAACAAGGUUUUAUCACACACUUCUCAUGAAAUAUUCAGAUUUACAAACUCUCGCAUUGUUAUCACUUGAUUCUGCUCAUAUACUCAUUUAACAAGUAUUCUUAAACCUUCAUUUUCACACACACUUUAACACAUGAUUGUGGGUUGCACAUUGGAUUAUUACAUUAAUUAUGUUCUUUUGUUAAAGGUAACAACUAAGGGAAAUGGAUAAGAUAUAAUUCGUAAAAAAAAUAUAUAUAUAUAAUAUUGAUGAUAAUAAAAACAUAGAUAAGUUUGGUUUCGUAGCCUCCCUAACCUAAGCAAUUAAGGCCGAAGGGGUGUUUUAACACCUAAUACCCUAAAGUCAACUGACUUGAAAGCUAUUGGCCCAGUGCUUGUUACAUGGGUUGAGGAGAAAAGCUUAAGGGAAUCAAACAUUGCACUAUCUACGUAUCAGUAUCUGCAACCCGAGUUACUAAGCUCGUAGGGGUGUCUCAACACCUAAUGCCCUAAGACCAACUGGUCUGAGAGUCAUUAGCCGAAAGCUCGUGACAUGGGUUAAAGAUGCAUUGUGUUUUAAGUUAUAUAUAUAUAUAUAUAUAUAUAUAUAUAAUAUAUAUAUAUAUAUAUAUAUAUAUAAAAGAAAAAAAAAGAUAAUAAUCCCAACCCAAGGAAGUUAACCAAAGCCCCAUAACUAUGUGUUGAUAUGUUGAGCACAAAAGGAAAGUUUAUUUGUAAACACCCAAAGGAAAAUAUAUAUAUAUAUUUAGAGAGAGAGAGAUGAUGAUAAAUGCAGUUUUCGCUGCCGAUGCAGAAAUCGGCAGCGACGCAGUUUUCGCUGCCGAUGCAGAAAUCGGCAGCGACGCAGUUUUUGCUGCCGAUGCAGAAAUCGGCAGCGAUGCAGUAUUCGCUGCCGAUUCUGGACUGGGCAGCGAUGCAGUUUUCGCUGCCGAUUCUGGACUUGGCAGCGACGCAGUUUUCGCUGCCGAUGCAGAAAUCGGCAGCGAUGCAGUUUUCGCUGCCGAUUCUGGACUGGGCAGCGAUGCAGUUUUCGCUGCCGAUUCUGGACUUGGCAGCGACGCAGUUUUCGCUGCCGAUGCAGAAAUCGGCAGCGAUGCAGUUUUCGCUGCCGAUUCUGGACUGGGCAGCGAUGCAGUUUUCGCUGCCGAUGCAGAAAUCGGCAGCGAUGCAGUAUUCGCUGCCGAUUCUGGACUGGGCAGCGAUGCAGUUUUCGCUGCCGAUUCUGGACUUGGCAUCGACGCAGUUUUAUCUGCCGAUGCAGAAAUCGGCAGCGAUGCAGUUUUCGCUGCCGAUUCUGGACUGGGCAGCGAUGCAGUUUUCGCUGCCGAUGCAGAAAUCGGCAGCGAUGCAGUAUUCGCUGCCGAUUCUGGACUGGGCAGCGAUGCAGUUUUCGCUGCCGAUUCUGGACUUGGCAUCGACGCAGUUUUAUCUGCCGAUGCAGAAAUCGGCAGCGAUGCAGUUUUCGCUGCCGAUUCUGGACUGGGCAGCGAUGCAGUUUUCGCUGCUGAUUCUGGACUUGGCAGCGACGCAGUUUUCGCUGCCGAUGCAGAAAUCAGCAGCGAUGCAGUUUUUGCUGCCGAUUCUGGACUUGGCAGCGACGCAGCCUUCACUACCGAUACAGAAAUCGGUAGCGACACAGUUUUCGCUGCCCAUUUCUUGAUCGGCAGCCACGCAGUUUUUGCUGCCGAUGCAGAAAUCGGCAGCGACGCAGUUUUCGCUGCCGAUGCAGAAAUCGGCAGCGAUGCAGUUUUCGCUGCCGAUUUCUCAAUGAACAGUGACGCAGAGCUGGGAGGGAGGGGUAAAACUGAUUUUAGAUAAACCAAACAAGGAUAAGGACACACCUAAACCAACCCCCAAACAACCCAUUUCAUUGGAUGGGUAGUAUAAAUACAAAGAGGGGAGAGAGAAUGACCCAUCUUCUUCCAAAUCCAGCAGCUGCAUGCCGUUCUUCCCUUCCCCUUUCACAACAGAAACGUGAAUCAGACCAGUAGAGAUUACUUUGUGAACUUGUGAGGGAGAGAUGAGACCUUGAGAGAGGAGUGGGCAGCUGCAUAGAGGAGAGGAAAAAGAGAGCUGGAAAACGUGAGAGGAAGAAGAAGGAGGAGAACCAACAGCUGAAUAGUGUCAAACCUUCCUCAAACUUAGUUAAAUUCAGAAGGUAUGGGUCAUGAAACUCUCUUCCUCUCCCCCGUAAGAUCAAAAAACGAAAAUGAAGAAGAAAAACCCUAAGAAAAGAAUUGAUCUAAGACCUAAGCCAGCUGUGAAGGAAGCUGAAAUUAACCAAGAGAACAAGCAAACAAAAGUGAAAUAAAGUCAAUUUCAGAACAUCUAACAAAUCAUGGUAGAGGGCUGGCUUUAACUAGGGGGUAAUUAAUGUGUUCUGCUGUGAUGUUGUUGCUGGACUUAAUGUGUUCUGCUGUGAUGAUUGUUGCUGGAAUUAAUGUGUUCUGCUGUGAUGUUUGUUGCUGGAAUUAAUGUGUUCUCCUGUGAUGAUUGUGCUGCAAUUGAUGCUGCCGAUUUGUGUGUUGCGCAGCGAAAUUCUGUUUCGCUGCCGCAACUGAACCUGCUGCAGCGAUUUGAUAUUCGCUGCCGAUUUGUGUGUUGCGCAGCGAAAUUCUGUUUCGCUGACGCAACUGAACCUGCUGCAGCGAUUUGAUAUUCGCUGCCGAUUUGUGUGUUGCGCAGCGAAAUUCUGUUUCGCUGCCGCAACUGAACCUGCUGCAGCGAUUUGAUAUUCGCUGCCGAUUUGUGUGUUGCGCAGCGAAAUUCUGUUUCGCUGCCGCAACUGAACCUGCUGCAGCGAAUUAAUAUUCGCUGCCGAUUUGUGUGUUGCGCAGCGAAAUUCUGUUUCGCUGACGCAACUGAACCUCCUGCAGCGAUUUGAUAUUCGCUGCCGAUUUGUGUGUUGCGCAGCGAAAUUCUGUUUCGCUGCCGCAACUGAACCUGCUGCAGCGAUUUGAUAUUCGCUGCCGAUUUGUGUGUUGCGCAGCGAAAUUCUGUUUCGCUGACGCAACUGAACCUGCUGCAGCGAUUUGAUAUUCGCUGCCGAUUUGUGUGUUGCGCAGCGAAAUUCUGUUUCGCUGACGCAACUGAACCUGCUGCAGCGAUUUGAUAUUCGCUGCCGAUUUGUGUGUUGCGCAGCGAAAUUCUGUUUCGCUGACGCAACUGAACCUCCUGCAGCGAUUUGAUAUUCGCUGCCGAUUUGUGUGUUGCGCAGCGAAAUUCUGUUUCGCUGCCGCAGCUGAACCUGCUGCAGCGAUUUGAUAUUCGCUGCCGAUUUGUGUGUUGCGCAGCGAAAUUCUGUUUCGCUGCCGCAGCUGAACCUCCUGCAGCGAAGUGAUAUUCGCUGCCGAGUUGUGCGUUGUGCAGCGAAACUGUGGCGCCAACAGCGGUGCAGUUCUCGCUGCCGAACUGGCAGCCUGCGGCGAACCAGUUCUCGCUGCCGAAGUGGGCAGCCCGCAGCGAACCAGUUCUCGCUGCCGAUUCCUACAAUAAGCCUCCUAGGCAGGAAUGACUUAAAUGCUAAUAACAAUUUCAUGAUAUGAUGGUGUAAAAUAGGGAACACUUGAAUGUGAACAUAUGAACUAUUGAAAUAAGUGUGAUGAUGAAUGUGAUUCAAAAAUAAAAUAAAUACAACUGUGCUGAUUUGUGACCAUUGAUGUCUUAGGUGGUGCGGUCGGGAUUGGACCAUCAUCAAGACAGGAACGACCCACAGGUGGAGCAGGUAGGUGACUUGCACCUUUCUUUUUCAUACGUUGAAUCUUGGAAUAUUUUAACUUGAGUACUACCAUAUUGUUAGAACCAAUAUUAAAUUGUCGAACGCUUAAUUGUUGAUAAAAGAGUGAUUAGCUUCGGCUAAUGGCAUCCGAAUGGAUGGCCGGGACAAAAGACUGAUUAGCUUCGGCUAAUGGCAUCCAAACGGAUGGCCGGGACAAAGAAUGAUUAGCUUUGGCUAAUGGCGUCCGAAUGGAUGGCCGGGAUGAAGGACUGAUUAGCUUCGGCUAAUGGCAUCCAAACGGAUGGUCGGGACAAAGAGUGAUUAGCUUCGGCUAAUGGCAUCCGAAUGGAUGGCCGGGACAAAGAAUGAUUAGCUUUGGCUAAUGGCGUCCGAAGGGAUGGCCGGGUUAAAAAGGGAUGAUUUCGCUGCCGAUUGUGGAUCGGCAGCGACGCAGUUCCGCUGCCGAUUCUGGAUCGGCAGCGACACAGUAUUCGCUGCCGAUUCUGGAUCGGCAGCGACACAGUCUUCGCUGCCGAUACAGACAUCGGCAGCGACCCAGUUUCGCUGCCGAUUCCUUGAUCGGCAGCGAUGUAGUUUCGGCUGCCGAUUUUAGGAUUGGCAGCGACGCAGCUAUCGCUAUGGAAUCCGGAUGGAUAGCCGGGACAAAUAAACGACUAGUUUCGGCGAAUGGCAUUUGAAAACUUGUGUAUCUAUAUGUACUACUAAUUGUUACAUCAAAUACAUGAAGAAAUUAUAAAUGUUAAUGCUUAUUUAAUUGCUAGGCCGCUAGUUACCAUUAUUAUUAUUAUUAAGUAUUUGUUUUCUCUUAAAUGUUUUGUACUGCUGCAGGGACGUCACACCAACGAGAUGUCUAGGAUACCCGAUACACGGGAACCUACUUUUGCAAGGAAUUAAGUAGAUGCAUUCUAAAUCACAAUGUAUUUUGUAGGGAUCAAUGUACUGAAUGUAUAACUUUUAUUAGAUCCUUUUUGUUUAAAAAUUGUGAUGGCUAUUAGAAGUAUAAGAGUGCAAACUCAUGUCCAUGUAUAUAUAUUUUUAAUAUGAACUCCAAAUCAUGCAACCUUAAUAUUAUGUGUUUGUGUAAGAUUCGCUUUUGAAUGAACUGUUGAUUGUAUGGAUUGUAUUUUGAUGAUGUGAGGAUUCAAGUUCUUUGAUUACCGGCACCAUGUGUAUUAAAUAUAUAUAUAUAUAUAAAAAAUUUACUAUUGUUUUGGGCUUAGAAAGCCGGGUUGUUACAUUAUUAAUAUCUUGUUUAAGAAGUAUGAAGCAGAUAUAUAAAUUUAAUGAGAGUUUGUUUAUUUGGAUAGAUUAAUAGAAGUUGAAUGAUGAAUGCCUUGCUUUGUGGAACUUGCAAAUUGUUUUUCUAUUUUAAUGCUUUGAUUACUAGGGACUAGUAAUAAGCUGGUUGAGGGGUGUGAUUAGUACUUAAAAGUGCAUUUUUAUCAAGGUUUUAUAUCAUCAUUUUGCACUUGAAGUAUCAAUAACUCCUUCACUAAUGCAUGUUUUAUAAUAACAUGUCUAAUAAUAUAAGAUACCUUUAAUUUAUGGUAAAUGUUUAUCUUAAAUGUAGACCUAUCACAUAAAUCAAAUGAUUGAUUGAUGAGUUUAACUACUGAAAUUAAGAAGACAAAGAGAGGGCUAGGCUUAGGAAAGAGAUGCUGGUUCAAUCCAAACUGGAACACCAUUCGGUUAUUGGAUCAUAACUGGAGCUGUAGAACUUGGAUUUAGGUCUGGUUUAUAUGGAUGGAAAUUUAAGACAUAGACCUAAAACUUUCAUGAAGAGUGCAAGAUUCAAAACGACUGUUUUCAAGUUCAAAUUGUAGCAACAAAAGAGAAAUCAGAAUAUGUUCUGCAGCCCAGACACUAUUUAGUGUUUAGCCCAUAUCUCGAGUUCUAGAAGUCCAAAUGCACCGAUUUGUUUUUAGUUAGAAAGCUAAGACAAUUUCCCAGAACUUUCAUGAAGACUAUCUAUUCAAAUUCUAAUGUUAGCAAUGAUGUUUUCUACAGACAAGAAGAUAAGGAUUGUUACCAAGUCAAGAGGUGGCCACCCACUCAACAAUUAAUCAUCAAAUCAAUAGUUUCAAAUUUUGGCCUAUAAAAGGAGGCAUUUGCCAUGUGUUUAGGCAUCUUGAGUUUCAGAUCAAGAUCAUGUUCUUGCUCUCUCUCUUUAUAUUUUUUGUAAUGCUUAAGUUUUGCUUUCAUUAAUCUCUUGUUUAUGCCUUUCAUUUCCUUUAUUAUACUUAUAUAAUCAUGUUCUCCUCUUGUUUAUCUAUGUUUCUCUUAUUCAUAAUGUUCAGCUAAGUUUAUUAUGUCAAUGUGAAAAAGUUACACUAAUGGUUUAAGAAUAAGUAUAAUAUAAACUCAACAUGGACUUUAAUGUUUGAUACUAACAUGUUUUGUAUUUAUUAUCUUACUCACUCUUAAUACCUUGCUUGUUAAAUGGUUAAUCUAGAUUUGGGUUGAACAACCCUUGGUACAACAAAUACUUGGCACUUUCAUAGCCCAACUGUAUGGUAUAACCGACACCUGUGCUAUGAAAGGAACUUGAUUUGUUGUUAAUAUAAGUUAUCACUAUGAAUACCUGACAACAUUUACAAGUAUUGUCAUUACUCAAAUAAGAUAAUUAAUAUAAUCAUGUUAAUAAAUUAUAAUCCGAUUGGAACCUCCUUUGUGUGUGGUUUCCAGUUGAGUAAAAAAAAGAGUUUAUACUAUACUCGUUUGAAAUACCAUUAGUGGAUCCUCUAACCUUGAUAAUUGUUUUAUAUUUGUUUAAAUCUUUACAUCAAUAUCACAUCUCAAAGCUCUCUUCAACUCCUUUUCUGUUAUUAUCUAUUUCUUUAUUUGUAGUUAUACAGUUAACCUCUCUAUGGUUCGACCCCGGUCUUGCCGAGUUAUUUAUUACUUCGACACUCCUACACUUGGGAGAAGACAUCAACUCUUUGAUCGUGUCAAGGAUCUUCUCCUGCAAGACCAUUGAAUGUUGGUAGCAAAUGUAUAAAACCAAAUUUGAGCUCGAAGUUUACAUUAUUGUCGAUGUUUAUGCAUAAUGGUUGAUUUUUCACGUUAGGAGCAACAAGCUCCUUUAGUGUUUGUUGUCGUGCGACAGCCAUGGUGUUGACACAAGCUUCCUUUCGUAACCUACAUAAAGUGUUUUCUAUUUCGAGAUCCACCUAUACUUGACUCUGGUUAGUAGAACGGGUUACAGACAUAAAUUGUCAAGAAAACUCAAAAGAAACCAACCACAUAAGAGAUAAAAAACAAUGCAAAUUGUACGAAAUCCAACACUAGAAAACUAAAACUGCCUAAAAACCCUAAAAAAUAGUGGAAUUUGGCCUCGAUAGGGUUGGGCUAAAGGCCAUGGGCCACUAGUCUUGUUCAUAAUGUUGUUUCCCUUUAGGAAACAAAAGGCUGAUACCUAAUUCCACAAAAAAAAUCUAUUUUGAACAGUACCGUUGUCGUAAAUGAAUAGUACCACCGCAAGCAAAAUUUUGUUUCUUUUUUUUUCAGAAAUAUAAACAACAAUCACAUCAAAUAAAAAUAAUAGCAUAAGAAUCAACUAAAAUUACUUUCCCGACAACGACGCCAAAAUUUGGUGUGAUGUCGCAGUCGCAAAAAUUAAUUACCCUGGCUUAAAACACAACACACAAUAUAGUAUAGAGCAAGCAAGGGGUCGAUCCCAUGAGGAAGGUUCAAGUCAGAUUUUAAUGUUGUAUGAUAUGCAAUUAGAGGGGUUGUGAAGUUAUCUAUGCUAAAGCAAAAGAAAACAGAAAACUAUCAAGCGAAAUUAAAUAAAAUCAUAAUAUAAUCAAGAUAACAAAUAUUGGUCACAAGUAAACAUCGACCUACAUAAAUAAGAAAACUGAUCAUGGAAACGAAACAUCAAUUUAUAUUCUAAAUAUUUAUCUCUUCUUAACAUUGGUUAGUUAACGAAUCUGUCGUAUAACUAACCCUAGCCAUCAAACAACCACAGUGUCCGCACUAGUAAUUUAAUUCAAUGGCAGCCUUAAGAACUAGAUAAGUUGAUUAAUCAAGAAAACAUAAAUGUCUGCAGUCUCUGUUUGAUUUGAUUGAAUGUUCUUCCUAAAAUAAUAAUGUAGAUCCACCACAAUUAUUAAACUCAGUUGCUUCACAAGUUCAUAUACCACAACUCCGGUUUUGAUAUCAAACUUAACAAUAGAUUGUCUACAAUAAUAACUUAGAGUCCGCUCUAGCAAUUAAAAUAAACAAUCAUAGAAAAAAUAAGCAUAGGAGAACAAACAUAUUCAUCAUAUAAACUGAAAAGAAAAGGUAAAAUAAAUCUCACAGUUCUUGAAAUCCGAAGGUUUUCGUGUCCUUGCAACUAAGAAAAAGAGUUUAGCCUUGCAUGUUUGUUGAACAACUAAUAAUAAAAAAGGAGGAAUGCACAAUUUUUGGUUUCUUAGAGAAAGGGGGUGUUUUUCUCUUCUUGGCUAGUUGCCUCCCUUCACUUCCCUCAUUCUUUUUAUAUCAUAGGAAACCCUAGUCUCUAUUUUACAAAAUAGUCCUUUCUUAAGUAGACAAUUUACAUUUAAAUACUUCAAUAACUAUUUUCCUAAAAAAGAGAAAUAGCAUUACAUGAAAUCUUCAAGCUUUGACUUAGAGGAGCUAAAUUGCUUAAAUAAAAACUUGGAUGUCAGUUUAGAUGCCUCUAAACAUAAUUUGGACUCGUUUCUUCACGAAACCUGUUUGCUGGCAGAAUUCAGAUAUUUUUGGCUGAAAUAAUAUCUCCCUCAUAUGACAUUAUUUUUUGCUGAAAUUUGGAGUGUUGAUAUGUAUUUGAGUCUGGAAUCCAAAAACAUUGAGUUUGCAUCAAUUGGACUUCUGUAGCUCAAGAUAUUCAAGUUGGAAUGAUCGAAGGUUAAUUUUGGCAGAUUGCAAGAUUUGACUUUGAAGGUUGCAAUUUCCAUGCUCUUCCUUAUUUUAUUUUCUUUCCUUAGAUUUCCAGAAAGGUAUGGAUGUUAUCUUUUUAAUGCCACUGGAAUCACUUCAUUUUGACCUCUAGAACUCACGCUCUAUAUAAAACAUCUACUGAAGGUCAAAUCUGCCAAUUACCUCCAAUUUACUCUCUUUUGCAUCUUUCAUCCAAAAGUGCCUCCAAAACAUAAAACAAAGAAUAUCAAGUCAUUAUAUAUAAAAAAAUAGGCAAAACACUAGGUAAUUGUGGGUGAAACUAUCCAAUAAUAUGGUUACAUCACUAUCCUCUUCCACCAACCUGUCUAGAUCCUUCUGGGUGAAACUCCCACUUCUCCUCUGGAACUGUCCUGAUGACUGCCCACUCUCCCCUUUCUUUGGGAGAGGAGGUCUUCUAGUCAAAAACCCAAAAUCUCUCCUCUUAGCUCCAGUUACUUGACUAUGCUCGACCACUGGCUUCGGAGCAUCCCUUAUUACCCUCUCCAUACCCUGAGCAACCCGUACCAAUUUCGGAACAAAUGGAAACUAGAUGGCUAUCAAUAUCAUCCUCAACUCCUACCUCAGUUGAUCACGGAACCUCUCCACCCUGUAGCGCUCUAUGGGAAGGUAAGUGGAGGCAAAAGCUGCUAAGUCCUAGAAUAUCCUUUUAUACUCCAAAACUGUCAAAUCUCCCUACCUCAAAUCCAAAAACUCUUGUUCUUUCUCCCUCCUAUGUUCCCAAGAAUAGUACCUCUCCUUAAACUUUUCGCAAAAGUCCCUCCAUCUCAAUACCUCCCCCAAUCUCCUCUCUUUAAUGGUCUCUCACCAAGAGUGGGUACUUUCAAUCAAUAGCUGAGUCACGCAUUUAGGAUUUCCUCAAGAAGAUCCCACAGAGAUUUAUAUUGAUAAUCGAUCAGCGAUUGCAUUAGCAAAGAACCCAGUGUAUCAUGAAAGAAGUAAACACAUUGAUACACGUCAUCACUUUAUCCGCGAACAUUUGAAGAACAAAGAAGUUGAACUGAUAUCAUGCAAGACAAAUGAUCAAAUUGCAGAUAUCUUUACAAAGCCAUUGAAGGGAAAAAUAUUUAUCAGAUUGAAGUUCAUGCUUGGCAUGACGUCCCUCGAUUGAGUUUAAAGGGGGAAUUUGUUGAAGUAAACUCAAUCUAAAAGGUCAAGGAAGGCAACCACCACUUGCAACCACCAGCUGUCACCGCCCAACCACCACUUGCAACAACUAGCCACCAGCUGUAUGCCGCCAACCGCCAGCCGCCUUCACACUUGAAGUUUGAUUUUUCUUACUUUCAAUUUGUGUAUAAAUAGGCAGCUAAGUUAAUGUUAUUAUGUGUGGAGAGAUUAGAGAGAAACACUAGAGAGAAAGAGAGGGUGUAUUGAGCUCUUGUUUAGUUAUUGUAAGCUUCUUAUUGUUGAAAUAAAAUAGUGUGUUUUAUCCCCUCUGAGUGUUUCAAAGCCACCACCAGUGGUUUCUCCCACUAAUAGUUGGAAGAGAAAAUGGUUGAUUGUGAGAAAUCACAGUUCCAAGGAUUUUUAUCAGAAGUUUGAUAGAAGAGAGAUUCAUGGCAUAUGCAGCAUGAGAUGAUAUUGUGUUCUGUUCAAAGCAAGCCCCGCCUGGUUGGAUCGGACCACGGUCAAUCCCUCAUCCACAAACAAAAUCCAGAUUAGCCUGCAACUGUGCAUCUGAUACACCAGACUUGGGCACACACCAUGUUGCUUUGUUUGUUCGGGUUUGGAGAUGGUGUUGCUGGAGUUUUUGGUUUAGUCGGAGUCUUAAAAGCAUAAUAGAUCAAGUUAAUAAAACUUUAUAAACUACUGUUACGAUGGAGAUGAACCGAAAGAAACAGUGGCACACCGUAAAAGUGUAAAUCGAGCACUUAACUUUUCUUUUCUUUUUCUUUUUGGCUAAAUUGUUUUUUUUUAAUAAAAAAAUUAAUAAUAAUACUCAACCAGCAAAUAUCUCCUGAACUGAUUUUUCAAUUAUUUUUCAAUUUACUCCUAAACAAUAGAUUCGACAGAGAAACUUAUAAAAUAAAGAGAAAAACCUUAACUCAUCUUCAUCAUCUCUUUACAACUUCUUAUUCUAAGUUUGCAAGUCAUAAAAGAAAAGGCAAAUCAAAGAAAGUCCCAUAAACCCAUACAACAAAUCUAAAUUGAAAAUCCUAAUUAAAUAAACUUUGUUGCUGCCGCUGCUGAUGUUGAUGGUGCUCGUGCAAUUACACGUACAAUUGCAGGUGCUCAUGCUGCUGUUAUUAUUGAUGGUGCUGGUGGCUGCUGCUAGUAGUGGUUGUGAUGCUGCUGCUAAUGAGUUGGUCUGUUUCAAUAAAUUAAAGAAUUGAAUAUUUCUUUCUUCCUUUUGUUAUCAUUAUAAAUAGAGACAUAGAGAGUGAUUAAAAAGAUGUUAUCGGCUGGGUUUUUUUUUUUUGUUAAUUUCCUAACAGAACAAGCCUAUUCCAAAAAUCAUAAUGUUUAGGAUAGAAAAACAGGAAAGCUCAGGAAUAGAACAGUUGGCUGUUGAAAACUCGAAAUACCAAUGAAAUGCACAUAAAUUUUGUUCUUACCUGGCUACUUGUAGAGAGUCCAACAUCAUAAACCAUGGUGAGAUCAGUCUUGAAAAGUCCAAAUGAUCGCUCAGAACCAGGUCCAGGUUUCAAGUCUUCGUCAUAAAGAACAAAGAGGUAUGUAUCCACUGAUUUUCCUGGCAUGAGUAGAGUGCCCACCAUCGAUCGAAGGUGUGCAAUCAAAUUGCCAUUGUAAGCCUUGGCAUUCUCAAUGCUUGGCCCUACGUCGUUUUCAUCUCCUUUAAAUGGCCAUCCAGUCUCAGCCACCACAAUCUCAACAUUCUUAAAUCCCAUAGAAUUCAGUGCAGAAUAAACUACAUCCACCUGCAAUUGAUUAAACCACUUGUCAGUAGCAUUUUUAUUUGAUCAUCUAUUAAUACAAAAUUUACGCACUUUGUUAAUUUGAGUAGGCUUUCUGCAGAAUUCAAUUGUAUUUUCUUAUUGCAGAAACAGGGGAUUUAUACAUCACAAUGUACAGCCUUCCUAGUUGUAUUUGGAAAGGAAACAAUUACGAUCCCAUGACAAUCGGGAUUUACAUAAAUAGAAGAUAAACGUGACUAUUACAGCUAUAAUUUCCUAUUGUCUCUCGGUUUGUACAGCUCAUGCCAACACUCCUCCUCAAGUUGGUGUAGAAAUGUCUUUGAUACCCAGCUUGUCAAGUGAGCUAUGAAAGUUUUUGUUUGAGACGGCUUUUGUAAGCAUGUCCGCAAGUUGGUCCUCUGAUCUGACGAACGGAAAGCGAAUUACCUUUUCUUCAAGAUUCUAUUUAAUAAAAUGCCGGUCUAUCUCAAUAUGCUUCGUUCUGUCAUGUUGGAUUGGGUUCUGAGAUAUUUCUAUCGCGGCUUUAUUAUCGCAAUAUAAAUUCAUUUCUGAAUUGGGUGCAAAGCCAAUUUCUGAGAGCAGGCGUCUGAGCCACAAAAGCUCGCAAAGCCCCUUUGCCAUACCUCUAAACUCGGCUUCCGCACUUGAUAGAGCUACCACCUUUUGUUUCUUAGUCCUCCACGUAACCAAGUUGCCUCCGACGAAUGUGAAGUAUCCUGAUGUGGAUUUUCUGUCGGCCAAGUUUCCUGCCCAGUCUGCAUCUGUAUAGCCUUCAACAUCUAAGUGAUCAUUCUUAGAGAACAUAAUCCCCUUUCCCGGAGCUGAUUUCAAGUAUCGAAGAAUUCGAACAACCGCAUCCAUGUGAUCUUGACUAGGGCAAUGCAUAAAUUGACUGACCACGCUCACCGCGUAUGAAAUAUCUGGACGAGUAUGAGAUAAAUAAAUUAGCUUACCCACCAGUCGUUGAUACCUCUCUUUAUCGGUUGGGGUUUGAUCAGGAUACUCCCCAAGUUUCUGAUUCUGAAUUGUUGGAGUAUUCGCCGGCUUGCAGUCGAGCAUUCCAACUUCGGCCAGUAGAUCAAGUACAUACUUUCGUUGUGAUAGAAAGAUGCCUUGUUUUGAUCUAGCCACUUCUAUUCCAAGAAAAUAUUUGAGUCCACCCAAGUUCUUCAUUUCAAAUUCCAUGGCCAAAUGUUUCUCCAGUUUAUAGAUUUCUUCUGAAUCAUCUCCUGUGAUUAUCAUGUCAUCGACAUAGAUUAUCAAGGCAGUUAUUUUCCCUUGUCGUCAUUUUAGGAAGAGAGUAUGAUCUGAGUUGCUUUGUUGAAAACCAUACUUUCUCAUAGCCAUGCUAAAGCGACCAAACCAUGCACGCGAUGAUUGUUUCAGUCCAUACAAUGCCCUUUGUAACCUGCAGACAAUUCCUGUGGAGGAUGACAUAUAGCCUGGUGGGAUAUCCAUAUAUACUUCUUCCUUAAGAUCUCCGUGAAGAAAGGCGUUCUUCACGUCAAAUUGGUGUAGGGGCCAAUCUAGAUUUGCAGCCACGGAUAACAGCACCCUCAUGGUGUUUAGCUUCGCUACAGGGGAAAAUGUCUCCUGAUAGUCUAUGCUGUAUGUCUGAGUAUAUCCCUUAGCCACUAACCUUGCCUUGUAUCGUUCAAUGGAUCCAUCUGCUUUGUGUUUAAUUGAGAAUACCCACUUACACCCCACUAUUUUUUUUUCCAGCCGGCAGUGGGACAAGAUCCCAAGUUCUAUUCCGAUUAAAAGCUUCCAUUUCCUCUUGUAUUGCUACUGACCAUUUAUGAUCUGCUAAGGCUUCAUGGACUCCGCAAGGAAUGUGAUCUGAAGACAGCUUUUGCGCAAAUUUUAUAAGAGGAUCAGACCAGCCUUUUGUUGUCAUAUGAUUAGAAAUUGGGUACUUGGAUUUCUUCCCUGCUUCUCCAGGAGAGUAGCGAGCUGGAGCUUUGCCACGGUUACUCCUGAAAGGUAAGUGAUAACCAGUUGCAAUAUCCAAAACAUUGCUGGAAGGUGAUGCAGAAGGUCUUACCUCAGGAAUAUUCUCAGGAGAAGGAUUGUCACUGUCGGGUACUUCCAAAAGAGGGGUUCUUCUACUAGGAGAUUCAUUGUCAGAGUCAAUAACCAUGAUGUCUUCAUGCAGGCCAUUAUCUGCAACUGGUGAUGGUGUUCCUGUUGGUGUUCCCGUUACUGCUUCUUCCUCUAUAUGUCUAGCAGCAUCCGCUGUCACCAUAUUUUCAUCCAUUUGUGUAACAGCUGCUUCUGUCUCCUCUUGUGAUGGCGCCACUGUCACCACGGUAGGGGCUGCUGUCACCAUGGUUUCCUCCUCCUGUGAUGGAGGAGCUGUUGUCACCACUGUUUCUUCAAUUUGUCCCGUCCACCACUUCUGCUCUUCAUCCCAAGUCUCCCUCUGAAGAGAAGAAGCUGAUAUAUGUGAUGAAUAAAACUUGUCCGAUUCUACAAAUGUGACAUCCAUUGUUAUAUACACCCGAUUUUUAUUCGGGUUAUAGCAGCGAUACCCUUACUUGUUGGUACCAUACCCCAAAAAUAUGCACCGAACGGCACACGGUUCCAGAUUGGUCCUUUGAUUUUUAUGCAAAUGAACAAAGGCAACACAUCCAAAUAUGCGUGGCUUAAUGAGUAGUAAAGAUGGUAGAGUGACAUGUUUUGACAAAACCUGUAAUGGGGUGUUGAAAUCCAAAACCUUAGAGGGCAUACGAUUCAUUAGAUACACAGCCGAAGCAACAGCGUCAUCCCAAUAACGGCCGGGUGUAUUUGAUCCAAUCAACAAGGCUCGUGCAGUUUCUAAGAUGUGUCGAUUCUUCCUUUCGGCUACUCCAUUUUGUUGUGGCGUCUGACUACACGAUGACUCAUGGAGGAGACCAGUUCUUUGGAAAUAUUCAUGAAAAUCGCGAUUCAUAUACUCUCCCCCAUUGUCCGUCCGAAGAAUACGGACCUUUGCUGAAUAUUGGUUCUGAAUCAUAGCAUGAAAUGCUCGAAAUACACCAAAUACUUCAUCCUUGCAUUUCAACAAGUAUAGCCACGUGAUCCGCGUACAAUCAUCUACAAAAGUCACAAACCAUCGUAUACCGAGAUAGUUGUAAUAGGGGAAGGUCCCCAAACAUCAGAGUGAAUUAGAGUAAAUGGAAUAUCACUUUUAUUCAUGCUAGUUGGAAAAGGUACACGGUGACUCUUGGCCAAUAUGCAUGUUUCACAUCUGAAAUUUGAGUAACUCAAAGUUGAAAAUAACUGCGGAAAUAAAUGUUUCAUGUAGCUAAAUGAAGGCUGCCCCAACCGAGUGUGCCAUAACCAAAUUUGUUCUUCGCGUGCGCUAGAUGUGCGACUCAUGGUAUUGACUUUGCCGAAACUGAAGUCGUCCAUGUAGUAUAACCCCUCUCUUUUAGUACCACGCCCAAUGAUCUCCUUCGUGAGAAUAUCCUGAAAAAGACAAAAUGUUGUGUCGCACGUGGGCGAGGUCGCGGCGAUCGUCCACCCUCAAAUGUGUGAUGGGGUAUAUAUAUAUAUAUAUAUGGUAAAUAUGGUGAGACAAGGAGUUCUUUGUCUCUUAGCAGUAAAAAAAUGGUGUGGGAGUCGCCACCUAGUAUUUUGGUCACUAGGAACCCUAACUGGUCUCAGAGAUCGGGCACGGGGACUGGUUGCGUAAAGGGAAGGUUUUAGCACCCCAAAUACGCCCUACCUAAGGUAAGCUGCAUUGUUUAUUUGUCUGAUAAAAUUCAAGGUCUCGUUGUGUUUCCUAGUUGUUGGUCCGUCUAUGGUUCAAGAAAAGUCCUCCUCAAUAAGGAGGUCCUUAUCUUAUCGGGUAAAACCUAACCGUUCUAACGUCUAUGUAUGUUGGUCCGUCUAUGGUUCAAGAAAAGUCCUCCUCAAUAAGGAGGUCCUUAUCUUAUCGGGUAAAACCUAACCGUGCUAAUGUCUAUGUAAAACAUAUUUUUAAUAUCAGGAAUACGUCUUACGUAUAAAUUCGUAAUCCCAUGUACUAAAAGAAGACAAAAAGAUUUUUUUAGAAUUUUUGAAAUAUUGGCCUAGUUCUCAUGGCUUGAACAAACUGGUUAUUAAAGCUAAAAUGCAUGCUAAUACAUAUAUUGUUUUGAAAUUUUCUUUGUUAUAUGAAAAAUAUGAUGUUACAAUAUUUAUAUAUAUAUAUAUAUUGGAGAGACUAGGCCGUAUUUUAAAACAAAACAUUUUUUUGAUAUGUAUUUUUUGUAUGUUUUGACGCAAAUCGGGUAUUUUAAUACUGGGUUUUGUAUCCUUACGGUAUAAAAAUACAACCAAAUAUUAAUCCACUUUGAUAAAACAAAUGCAGAAAAAUCAACAAUAUUUUUAAAAUAAUUUUUUGCAGAAUUUUCGUAAUUUUGUUAUAUAUAUAUAUAUAUAUCUAUAUAUAACUAAUACAAAAUACAAUAUACAUAGUAUAUAAUAUAUAAUUGGGUUGGGCUGGGCCGGCCCAACGAACUGGGCCGGACUCAGCCCCAAAAUGUGUUGGGUCGAUCUCGGGCCAAGAGGCAUUUGGUCAAUCUCGGCCCAAACAAAAUCUGUUUUAUCAUGGGCCGGAACCAGCCCAGCCAGUAGGGCUGGGCUAGGAUCAGUCCGGCCCACAGAAGGAAACCAUAUUGCUGGGCCAGAACCAAGCUGGCCCAGCGUAAUUAAAAACCAACGGGGGGAAUUAUUUUCCCCCCCUUCCUGCAUGCAGAACGCUGUUCGUUCUGCAUGCAGGGGAAGAAACGAAAUGAUGUAUAAGAGGAGGGGGGAGAAGAGCACCUGGCGCGGAAGAGGCGGUGUGUUGCUGGUAUGCCGGCGGUGCUGCGGUGGAGGCUAGUGGCUUCACUGGCGUGCACUAGUCCCGGCCGGAAGAAGAAGGAAACGAUUCCUGCAGAGGAGAAGGAAAGCUCUCGGCUGGAGCUGUUGGUGUGACUGAGGAAGGAGCUGCUACUCCGGUUNNNNNNNNNNNNNNNNNNNNNNNNNNNNNNNNNNNNNNNNNNNNNNNNNNNNNNNNNNNNNNNNNNNNNNNNNNNNNNNNNNNNNNNNNNNNNNNNNNNNNNNNNNNNNNNNNNNNNNNNNNNNNNNNNNNNNNNNNNNNNNNNNNNNNNNNNNNNNNNNNNNNNNNNNNNNNNNNNNNNNNNNNNNNNNNNNNNNNNNNNNNNNNNNNNNNNNNNNNNNNNNNNNNNNNNNNNNNNNNNNNNNNNNNNNNNNNNNNNNNNNNNNNNNNNNNNNNNNNNNNNNNNNNNNNNNNNNNNNNNNNNNNNNNNNNNNNNNNNNNNNNNNNNNNNNNNNNNNNNNNNNNNNNNNNNNNNNNNNNNNNNNNNNNNNNNNNNNNNNNNNNNNNNNNNNNNNNNNNNNNNNNNNNNNNNNNNNNNNNNNNNNNNNNNNNNNNNNNNNNNNNNNNNNNNNNNNNNNNNNNNNNNNNNNNNNNNNNNNNNNNNNNNNNNNNNNNNNNNNNNNNNNNNNNNNNNNNNNNNNNNNNNNNNNNNNNNNNNNNNNNNNNNNNNNNNNNNNNNNNNNNNNNNNNNNNNNNNNNNNNNNNNNNNNNNNNNNNNNNNNNNNNNNNNNNNNNNNNNNNNNNNNNNNNNNNNNNNNNNNNNNNNNNNNNNNNNNNNNNNNNNNNNNNNNNNNNNNNNNNNNNNNNNNNNNNNNNNNNNNNNNNNNNNNNNNNNNNNNNNNNNNNNNNNNNNNNNNNNNNNNNNNNNNNNNNNNNNNNNNNNNNNNNNNNNNNNNNNNNNNNNNNNNNNNNNNNNNNNNNNNNNNNNNNNNNNNNNNNNNNNNNNNNNNNNNNNNNNNNNNNNNNNNNNNNNNNNNNNNNNNNNNNNNNNNNNNNNNNNNNNNNNNNNNNNNNNNNNNNNNNNNNNNNNNNNNNNNNNNNNNNNNNNNNNNNNNNNNNNNNNNNNNNNNNNNNNNNNNNNNNNNNNNNNNNNNNNNNNNNNNNNNNNNNNNNNNNNNNNNNNNNNNNNNNNNNNNNNNNNNNNNNNNNNNNNNNNNNNNNNNNNNNNNNNNNNNNNNNNNNNNNNNNNNNNNNNNNNNNNNNNNNNNNNNNNNNNNNNNNNNNNNNNNNNNNNNNNNNNNNNNNNNNNNNNNNNNNNNNNNNNNNNNNNNNNNNNNNNNNNNNNNNNNNNNNNNNNNNNNNNNNNNNNNNNNNNNNNNNNNNNNNNNNNNNNNNNNNNNNNNNNNNNNNNNNNNNNNNNNNNNNNNNNNNNNNNNNNNNNNNNNNNNNNNNNNNNNNNNNNNNNNNNNNNNNNNNNNNNNNNNNNNNNNNNNNNNNNNNNNNNNNNNNNNNNNNNNNNNNNNNNNNNNNNNNNNNNNNNNNNNNNNNNNNNNNNNNNNNNNNNNNNNNNNNNNNNNNNNNNNNNNNNNNNNNNNNNNNNNNNNNNNNNNNNNNNNNNNNNNNNNNNNNNNNNNNNNNNNNNNNNNNNNNNNNNNNNNNNNNNNNNNNNNNNNNNNNNNNNNNNNNNNNNNNNNNNNNNNNNNNNNNNNNNNNNNNNNNNNNNNNNNNNNNNNNNNNNNNNNNNNNNNNNNNNNNNNNNNNNNNNNNNNNNNNNNNNNNNNNNNNNNNNNNNNNNNNNNNNNNNNNNNNNNNNNNNNNNNNNUCCUUUUAACCAAUAUCGAAAUACGAGAUCCCUUCUGGCGAUCUCCUUUAAUCAAUUUGGAAUCCCAUCUGGCGAUUCCUUUUUUAAUCAACAUGAAAAACGAGGUCCCAUCUGGCGACCUCCAAAUAGCGAAACACGAGAUCCCUUCUAGCGAUCUCCUUUAAUCAACUUGGAAUCCCAUCUGGCGAUUCCUUUUAUUCAAACGAAAUAUGAGGUCCCAUCUGGCGACCUCCAAAUAGCGAAAUACGAGAUCCCUUCUGGCGAUCUCCUUUAAUCAAUUUGGAAUCCCAUCUGGCGAUUCCUUUUUUAAUCAACAUGAAAAACGAGGUCCCAUCUGGCGACCUUCAAAUAGCGAAACACGAGAUCCCUUCUGGCAAUCUCCUUUAAUCAACUUGGAAUCCCAUCUGGCGAUUCCUUUUAUUCAAACGAAAUAUAAGGUCCCAUCUGGCGACCUCCAAAUAGCGAAAUACGAGAUCCCUUCUGGCGAUCUCCUUCAACUUGGAAUCCCAUCUGGCGAUUCCUUUUAUUCAACAGGUAAUACGAGGUCCCAUCUAGCGACCUCCAAAUAGCGAAACACGAGAUCCCUUCUGGCGAUCUCCUUUAUUCAACUUGGAAUNNNNNNNNNNNNNNNNNNNNNNNNNNNNNNNNNNNNNNNNNNNNNNNNNNNNNNNNNNNNNNNNNNNNNNNNNNNNNNNNNNNNNNNNNNNNNNNNNNNNNNNNNNNNNNNNNNNNNNNNNNNNNNNNNNNNNNNNNNNNNNNNNNNNNNNNNNNNNNNNNNNNNNNNNNNNNNNNNNNNNNNNNNNNNNNNNNNNNNNNNNNNNNNNNNNNNNNNNNNNNNNNNNNNNNNNNNNNNNNNNNNNNNNNNNNNNNNNNNNNNNNNNNNNNNNNNNNNNNNNNNNNNNNNNNNNNNNNNNNNNNNNNNNNNNNNNNNNNNNNNNNNNNNNNNNNNNNNNNNUGCAAUGAUUCGAAACAUAGGCCCCAUCCUCUCCUUCUAGUUCAUGAGACUCCUUCUUAAGAUGAGCUUGCUUUUGAAGUCGUAUGCUAGAUUCCUCUCUAGUGUUGCCUCCUAUCAUAUUCUUGGAGAAGAAGUCUCUGACUUUCUUCAAGUAGUCCUUUUUCCAAAAUGUAUGACUUGUCAUUGCCUCUUUGUCAUGCUUUUGUCAAAUGCUCUAGCUUGGUUUUCAAAUCUAUAGGCUUCCGUACAUUUUAAACACGUAAAGCUUUUCAUGAAAACAUCUCGUAUUGCCCCCAAUGUGGGGUGUGCUCCUAGUCUGGGCUUUUGUAUAGAGAAGAAAUUCGUUCAGCCGAUGCUAAACUUUUUAGGUGCGAUAACAACAAAACAUGCACUGUCGGGAUUAAUGCAAAAAAAUGAUUGUUGUGAGAUCAAUGCAAAAGAGAAAGAAGUCAAUGGCCAAACUUUGCUUUAUUGAUUUAGGAGCCUACAUCAAGCAUAAUAUCUUUUUACAGAGUCAGAAUUCACAGGUCGAGCUAGGUCUUCUCCAUCCAUUCUAGCCAACUUCAGCGCUCCUCCUGAGAAUGCCUUCUUCACUACGUAAGGACCCUCGUAAUUCGGUGCCCAUUUGCUUUGAUCGUCUCCAGGUAGUGACAAUAUUUUUUUCAAUACUAGAUCCCCUUCUCGAAACAACCGCGGUCUAACCUUCUUAUCAUAUGCCUUAGCCAUUCGUUCCUGGUAAAGUUGGUGAUGACAUAUUGCAGCUAUCCUCUUUUCGCUGAUCAAGUUCAGUUGCUCAUAUCUCACUUUGGCCCACUCGGCCUCUUCUAAUUCGGAGUCCAUCAACACUCUUAACGACGGGAUUUCUACUUCCAAAGGCAUCACUGCUUCCAUACCAUACACCAGAGAAUAUGGAGUAGUUCCUAUUGAGGACCUGACGGUAGUGCGGUAUGCAUGGAGAGCGAAUGGCAACAUCUCAUGCCAAUCUCUAUAUGUGACUACCAUUUUCUGAAUAAUCUUUUUGAUGUUCUUGUUGGCGGCUUCUACUGCGCCAUUCUUUUUUGGUCGGUAUGGUGAGGAAUUCGAAUGCUUGAUUUUCCAUUUAGUACACAGCUCCGCUAUCAUUUUGCCAUUGAAAUUCUGUGCAUUAUCUGUCACUAUCUUUUCCGGAGGACCAUAUCGACAAAUCAAGUCCUUCUCUAUAAACCUCUUCACUACGUUCUGUGUUAUGUGGGCAUAUGAAUUAGCUUCCACCCAUUUUGUGAAGUAGUCAAUAGCUACGAGGAUGAAUCUAUGACCGUUGCUAGCUUUUGGGUUAACAGGUCCGAUCACGUCGAUUCCCCACAUUGCAAAUGGCCAAGGAGAUAUCAGAUUAAAUAGAGGAGCUGGUGGCAUAUUGACCUUGUCACUGUAAACUUGACACUUGUGACAUUUCCUGACAUAGUCGAUGCAGUCUUUCUCUAACGUCAUCCAAAAAUAACCAGCCCUUUGUAUUUUCCUUGCUAUCAUAUGCCCGCUAGCAUGGGUUGAGCAAAUCCCCUCAUGGACCUCCCGUAAUGCCUUCCUAGCAUCUGCCUCAUUCAAACACCUUAGCAGGGUUCCAUCAAAUGAUCUUUUGUACAAAAUCUCUCCAUCUAAAUAGAAGUCUAUAGCCAACCUUCUCAAGGUUUUCUUAUCCGUUUUGGAAGCUCCCACCGGAUAUUCAUGAUUUUGCACAAGGUUCUUGAUAUCAUAAUACCAAGGAUGUCCGUCUAUCUCUCCUUCAACUAAGCAACAGUGAGCUGGGUCAUUUCUAAUAUCAAUGUGUACCGGUUGUACCUUGCACUUGAGAUCAAUGGUAGUCAUAGCAGCUAGCGUGGCCAAAGCAUCCGCAAAAUGGUUCCCCUCCCUUCCCAGAUGGGUGAAUCUAAUUUCUUCAAAUUCCUUUGCUAGCGUGGAUAGGUAUUCCUGGUACGGCCUCAACUUUUCCUCCUUGGUUUGCCAUUCCCCUUUAACCUGACAGAUAAUCAACAUUGAAUCUCCAUAUACAUCUAACUUCUUUAUCUUCAACUCUAAUGCCGCUUCUAAACCGAGGAUACAAGCUUCAUACUCAGCUGUAUUGUUGGUGCACUCGAAAUGCAGUUUAACCGAAACUGGAUACUGUUUCUUAUCAGGAGAGAUUAUUACCGCACCGGCCCCGUUACCAUAUACAUUCCCUGCACCGUAAAAAAACAUUGUCCACCAAUCUGUCUUCUCUUCUUCUUUCUCUAUUGACAAUAUAUCUUCAUCAGGGAAGUCAAAAUCCAAAGGUUCGUAAUCUUCAACAGCAUUAUCGGCCAGAUGGUCCGCGAUUGCACUUCCUUUUACGGCUUUCCUUGUCAUGUAUACUAUGUCAUAUUCUGCUAAUAAAACUUGCCAUCUUGCAAUUCGGCUUGAGAGAAAGGGCUUGUUACAAAGAUACCUCAGAGGAUCCACUUUUGAAAUCAACCAAGUGGUAUAGUAUAACAUAUAAUGUCGCAACCUCUUCGCCGCCCACACCAACGCACAACAAAGCCUUUCUAUCUCCGUGUAUCUAGACUCACAUUCAGUGAAUUUCUUACUUAAGUAAUAAAUAGCUCUUUCCUUCCUUCCGGUUUCAUCAUGCUGACCCAAUACACAUCCCAUGGCUGCUUCAGUUACUGUUAGAUAUAAUACUAGAGGUUUUCCUGAUACCGGAGGAACCAGUAAAGGUGGAUUUUGUAAAUAAUGCUUGAUUUUAUUGAAUGCCUCCUCACACUCCUCAUUCCAGGUUCCAGGAUUCUUUUUCCUUAGUAGUCGGAAUAUAGGUUCACACGUCGUUGUUAACUGAGCUAUGAACCGAGCAAUGUAGUCUAACCUUCCCAAGAAUCCUCUUACUUCUUUCUCCGUCUUAGGGGAUGACAUAGCUUGGAUGGCCCUUACUUUAUCCGGAUCCACCUCUAUACCUCUAUCACUUACCACAAAUCCUAACAGCUUGCCCGAUUUAACUCCGAAUGAACAUUUUGCGGGAUUAAGCCUUAAUUCAUACUUCCUCAACCUCUCAAAUAACUUCCUCAAAACUUCAACAUGAUCUUGUCCCUUUUUAGACUUGGCAAUCAUAUCAUCCACAUACACCUCAAUUUCCUUGUGCAUCAUGUCGUGGAACAAAGUCACCAUUGCUCUUUGAUAUGUUGCUCCUGCAUUCUUCAAACCAAAUGGCAUGACCUUAUAGCAGUAAGUUCCCCAAGGUGUGACAAAAGUUGUUUUCGCCUUAUCCUCUAGAGCCAUUUUUAUCUGGUUGUAUCCUGAAAAACCAUCCAUAAAGGAAUAAGUGGAACUCCGGGCAGCGUUAUCCACUAAAACAUCUAUGUGUGGUAGGGGAAAAUCAUCCUUAGGGCUAGCUCUAUUCAAAUUCCGAAAAUCCACACAAACUCUAAUCUUCCCCUCUUUCUUAGGCACCACAACAACGUUAGAUACCCAUUGUGGAUAUCUAACUACUUCUAGGAAGCCAGCAUCCCAUUGCUUCUCAAGUUCUGCCUUGACCUUAAUCCAGACAUCCGGGUGGGCCCUCCUCAGCUUCUGCUUGACUGGCUUACAACCUUCUUCCAACGGUAUCUUGUGUACUACAAUAUUUGUAUCCAAACCAGGCAUAUCUUCAUAGGACCAAGCAAAGACAUCUGAAUAUUCUUGUAAUAGGGUGAUCAUUUUUAUCCUUUGUUCAGAAGUAAUUAAGGUACCUAUUUUCAACUCUUUCUUGAGCUGAUCACUACCCACAUUGAUGGUUUCGAGUUCCUCGGCGAUAGGCUUCCAAGUCUGUUCCUGUUGUUCUACUAGCCUGGUGAAUUCACUGAUAUUGCUCUCAUCCCACUCUUCUUCUUCCAUAGCUAUCACAUGCUCGUUCAAGUUUGGCCAUUUAUUCUUGGUGCUAAAUGUAUGUGAUGUUGUAGGAGAUCCGCUUUCAGGAUUCCUGAAAGCGGGAAGUGUUUGGUGUAAAUGCAUAAAAAAAAAGAAGGCAAUUUGUGAAAAGUGCAUGAUCUCACAGUUUAUUUAAAGAAAAGGUGGGCUCCAUGACAAACAUAAAAUCUAGCUGACAUCAUGAGCCUUGAUUGUCAACCAGAGGAAAUAAAAGCAAACAUAAGCAAUGACAAAAGCAUGUUAAGGCAAACAAAAUUGGUUUACAUUUUGAAAACCACUGGAGCUUCUUGGGUCACCCAGUUCUGAAACUUCUCGUCUUGAGCCAACUUGCGCACAAAGGUCUUGGUAGAGACUUCUUCUAUGGUGUAGACCGUCAGUUGUGGGAGUGCUUCAUCUCCCUUUCUUGCUACUGUCUUCAUGUCAUCUCCUUCCACCUUGUUUUCCCCCAAGGUAUUUAUGCUCAUGUUUGACAGCUCUUGAUCAAGGCUUUCGGCUUCUUUAUCAUGUUGCAUUAUGUAUGCAGUUUUUGGGAAUGACACGCCAAGGGGAGGGAUUUCUAGCUUUUCUUCAUCAGGCUCUCUUCCUUUAAUUCUAGCCAUCCUUCUUGCCCUUCUCCGACCAGCAGCCCACCGAUAAUCCUCUUGGUUAGGUUGGUACCCUAACCCAAAUCUUUGAGCAGCACUUUUCAUCCUUGCCAGAUUAACCCCUUCUGGUAUCCCGAUAAUAAGGUUAUACUGAAAUGGGAUCCCGCGGUUCAAGAAGCAUAGACUUGCCAUCCUUGCUGCUUCUGAGAUCCUUGGCCUUCUUAGCACUGUGUUCUCCGGCACCCAGUCGGUGUUCACAAUCUCAAAGGCAUGGAUAUUGUUAUCCUUGCAAUCAUUCGCUUCGAUAAAAGGCACAGCCACAUUCUUUAUCAUGGAUACUGUCUCCUCAGCCUUGACAGUUACCAACAUCCCAUUCAUGAUAUACUUCAGGCAUUGGUGCAAUGACGAAGCUACUGCCCCCGCUGCAUGAAUCCAAGGUCUUCCUAACAACAUACUAUAGGAAGGGUGGAUAUCCAUAACCUGAAGUGUUACUAGGAACAUUUGUGGUCCCACAUAUAGCUCCACUUCUAAAGUCCCAAUUAUUGGCCUAGGUGAGCCAUCAUACGCUCUGGCCAUCAUAGUACUUGGCUUUAUAUGGGAUUCAUCGAUCGGCAUUUCUUCCAGCAUGUGCUUUGGCAACACAUUAAGGGCCGAGCCAUUAUCAAUGAGUACUUUUCCUAUGAGGCAGUCCUUGCACCUAACCGUAAUGUAUAAGGGCUUGUUAUGUCCGGUACCUUCAGCAUCAAGCUCAUCAGCCGUGAAGUACAGGUAAUUAGUUGCAUGGAUCCUUCCCACUAGAUGCUCCAUGGUUUUAUGUUCAAUGUCUUGGGGUACAUAUGCCUCAUUCAAUACCUUUUGCAAGGCGUUUCGAUGCGGCUCAGAGCUGAGUAUCAAGGACAUAAGGGAGAUCCUAGCUGGAGUCUUCUUUAGUUGAUCUACUAUGCAAUAUUCACUAUGCUUGAUCAACUUCAGGAAUUCAUUCGACUCCUCUUCUGUUACCGGCUUAUUAACUUCUAGUGCUUUGUCAAGAUCUACCACUUCUUUACCCUUUUCCUUCCUCAACUCCUCAGAAGUAAAGCAACGACCACUCCUGGUCAAACCACUUAUCUCAGUCUGGAACAAAGGAAGAGGAGCUCGAACGUUGGAGGCAUAACCAUAAUUAUAAGGCAUGGCAUUGUGAUUCCCUUUUGUGUAGGACGGUUUAACCAAGAUUAGCCUUGGGGGACCAUUAGCUGUUUGUUGGACCCUGCAUACUCCUGUCAUCUCCAUCUGACCUUCCAUCAUACUCACCUCACCGCUACUCUUCAUGGGUUCAAUCCUCAACUCCCCCAUUUUCAGCAUUUUUGCAAUCUUUUCGCAAAACUCGAUGCAAUCCUCAAUAUGAUGUCCAUCUCUUCCAUGGUAUUCACAGUAAUCAUAUCCCUCCAAAUGGCUCUCCACCUUUGUCUUUAGAAAUCCUGAUUGUACCAACAUGUCGUACAACUUUUUCAUGGACACCUUCAACAUCUGGCAUUGAUUUCCCACUUCGAUCAUACCUAUUCCACUACUAUUUGGGGCAUGCUUAGGCAAUGGGUUUGAAUUAACAUUGGGCUUGUCUUCAAAGGAUACCCAUCCCAUCUUAAUAAGCUCUAAUAACCUCUUUUUGAAAGCGUAACAGGUUUCAAUCCCAUGCCCGGGAUUACCCCCAUGGUACUCGCAAGCCAACUCGGGCUUGUACCAGAUUGGGAAUGGUGGUUGUAGUGGUAGUGUAGGGAUAGGAGCUAUUUGUCCAAUGCUCAAAAGUUUGGCGUACAUGUCCUUCAAAGGCAUGGGUAACGGUGGCAGUUGUUCUGAAGUGUAUCUUGUAUGGGGUCUUUGGUAGUGAUUUUGGUAGUUUGACUGGUUAUUUGUUCGAUUAGGGGAAAAAGGUGGGUUAAAGUUUAUGCGUGAGAAUUGAGAGGCAGGUGCUUGAGGACUAUGGAAAUCUACUCUCUUGCCCUUAUACCCACCUUCCAGAUUGUUAACAUCGCCUUCUCUCUUUCUUCCAAUAAAACCCUUCUUUUCCACUGGCAUCGCUAUUCACCCAGCUUUAAUCCCUUGUUCUAUCCUUUCAGCUAUGCGUACCGCAUCAUAGAAAUGUUGAGAGGAACUACCCAUUAGGUGCUCAUAAUAAGGUGUCUUGAAGGUAUUAGCAAACAAGCUCACCAUCUCCGUUUCUAUCAAAGGGGGUUGGACAUGCAUUGCCUCAUCCCUCCAUCUUUGCGCAUAAGCCCUUACUGACUCCUGGCUCUUUUUCUCCAUUGCCAUUAGACUUGUUCGAUCAGGAGCGAUUUCCAUGUUAAACUUGUACUGUUUGAGGAAAGCCUCCACCAAGUCUCUCCCGCUUCUGAUCUUGACACUAUCUAACCUCAUGUACCAACUCAAAGCGGACCCUGAGAGGCUAUCCUGAAAGAAAUAGAUUAGAAGCUUAUCAUCGCGGAUUACUUCCGCCAUUUUGUUGCAGUAGGAUCGAAGGUGAGUGUUUGGGCAUUCCAAACCGGUAUACUUAAUGAACUCUGGUAUUCGAAAAUCUUUUGGCACCACAAUGUUUGGUACCAAACAUACUUCGGCUGCUCGCAUAGGGUCAAACUAAUCAUUACCCUCAACUGCCCUUAAUCUUUCUUCUAGAGCAAAUAGCUUGUCUUGGUCCAUCAUACUGGGAGACCUAUUAUCCGGGACUCCCUCCGUUGUUAAAUCCACAGUGAUUGGAGCGUGAGUUGGCUGAAUAGGGGCGAUAGGCACAAAAUGUUGUUCAUUGGCCGAGUUUGCCCCCUGGUUUUGAGAUGCUUGAGGGAUGUGAGCUGCUGGCGCUCCUUCAGGCUGUUGUGCUGAUGUUCCCUCCCCAUUCUUAGCUCUUAGAAGCUGCUCAAGUAAGUCGGUUAGCCGAGAAACUUCAUUUUUUACGGACUCCAACUCGGUCUGAUAAUGUGACUCUAAGUGAGCUCUCUCUUCGUUCUCCAUUCUCGCUCUAGAUCGGGUGUUGUGGACUUUGGAUGUGGGACCUAUGUUUCACGGUCUGGGAUGCAUGGAAAAAUGUAAAUGAAUGUAUGAUAAAGAAACAAUGCAUGAAUGCAUGAGCUUGUUUUUUUUCAAAAAAACGAUCGAUGGCCAACAUUCCUCUUGUGUAAUGGGCAUGGACUCCUUUUGUCACGUUCCUUAUCAGGAGUAGUUUUGCUCAAGCUGCUGCUUUGGUAGGCUUAUAUAUUUUAUUUUUUUUUACAAAAGAUGGGUCAAAGCCCCUUGUCAUUAAUAUUGGCUAAUACAUCUCUUGAAAAGAGGGUACAAAAUAAUAAAAAGAAAAAUACAUCAAUCUUCCUCUUCAUCCAUAUCUCUAGCCCCUGGUAGGAAAGCGAGGCCUCGAUUCUCAAUCUUCUCUAAGAAGGCAUCUGUCUCAGCCAAGCUUUGUCGAUAACGAAAGAUGUCCCUUCCCACCCUUCGAGCAUUGGCUCUAAUAAUCCAUGCGUGAAUGGCAGCUUCAUCCAUUUGCUCAUCUACUUUGGCCAUCUUCUCUAUAAGCAACAUGUUGUUCCGAUUCAAGGUAUUGUUGUUGGUGUCGAUCUGUUCUUUAUGUUUUUCUGAAACUUCCAACCUUUUGGUCAACUGUUUCACCUUUUCUCGUUCUUUGUCAAACUUCAACUUCAGCGUCCUAAUUUCAAUUUUCUUAGCUGCCAAAUCUGCUUUAAAAACCUCCUCUUCCUUCCCCUUUCUUUCGAACUCUUGCAAUUCAGCUAGCCGACUUUCUAUCAUCAUAUAUUUCUUGUUUAACUCUUCGUACUUCUCAAUUCGGUCCAGCAACUCUGCUCGAACAUGCAAGAAUUUGUCCUGAUUGUACUCAACAUUCUCUCGAUAGCCAUCGAAGUCGGCUUUCAACGCUUCCAACUCAGAACUGCUUUGCAUACAAUCAAAAAUCAAUCUUCCUCUUUCUUUCUCAGACUCUUCUAUUACAGCCUUUCCCUUGCUCAAUUGCAGCUCUAACAUCACUAUUUUCGCAUCUCUAGAUUCGAGCUGUUCGUUUAGAAACACUCUGCUUUUAUCCCCUUCCAUCAUCAUCCUUUCUAAUGCUGCUUUAUCUCCCUUACUCUUUCCCAAUUCUAUUUGGAGCCUUUCUAAUUGCUUCAUAAGGUCUUCCUCAUUACUGACCUUUUUUCUUUUCAAUGACCCUUCUCCAAUUCGUGAAGGCCCAUCUCCAGAACAUGGCUUUUUCGAAGCUGCCAUCGGGGUCAAAUUCCUCCACUUUUCAUAUCCUUCACUUGAGCUAGGGUCUCUCAAUCUUUCCGACUCCUUCUGAAUCAGAGUCAACUGGCUCCAAUCUUGUUUGAUGGUUUCAAGAACUUCUCGCGCGGAUUGAUCCUUGAAAAAUCCGGAAAAUUCAGCAAGUCCCACAGUUCUUGGGAUGUGUUGUAUGCCACCUAAUUGUCUUAUCACCAGAGCCGGAGCAUAGCUAACAUAACCUGUGAUCCCAAUUAAAGGUACCCAGCAUUUUUGUCCAUAACUUACUAUGACAUCAACUGAUUUAACCCAAGGGGCCUUCCAACUAAAGUUGCUACUAGGUAACUCUUGCAGUUUUUUCAUCCAACCUUGAUCACCUAGGAUUCCCCAUUCUUCUUCCUCCAUUAUCUUCAAGGGUUUUUGGUUAAACCACCAAAAAUUAUUAAAGAUCGGCUUCUUGGUUUCAACAUGGCUUACCAUCCAGAUGUAUAACAACUGGGUACAACAUCGCACUGCGCCUUUCCCCGUCUUUCUAAAAUGGUUGAGGGUCAGAAAAGUCUCAGCUAAUAUGGCAGUUGUGGGGUUGACAUGAGUAUUUUCAUAUUCCACGAAUGCAGCAGCAGCUUCUAGGCUUAUAACCCCUAUUAAGCUUGGAAAUAACACGAGACCAUAGAUCCCCAGAGCGAUUAACCUGUCUCUUUCUAGUAUUGAUCCGUAUUGCUCUUUUUUCUUUUCUAGUUCAACCUCCAAAAAUUUUCACUUUAAACCGCUGCCAUUCUUCUCUAAAAAUCUGCUCAUAUGUGGAAUCUUCAGCAAUUUUGACAACUCGGGAAUCACCUUGUCAUUUCCCAAAGGAAAAUAAACCCUGUGUAGGAGUUUGGGAAAUUCCGUCAACAUUCCAUACUCCUCUAUAGUGGGACACAAAUCCACAUUUCCAAAGGAAAAGCAUCUGUAAUCGGGAUCCCAAAAGUUAAUCAAAGCUUUGAUUGCCGGGUUCAAUACUUCUAUCUUUGCAAUUUCCAACAAUCGCCCAUACUUCCCGCAAAAUGCCGCUUCAUCAAUGUUCUGAUUAUGGCCCAAUAUUUUCUUCAUCUCAUAUACUGUGCAAUUCAGGUCUUUGACUACUGGAAGCUUCCUUGCAUCAUAUCUAGAGCAGUCUCCCUCUGAUAGUUGUGACAAUUCAGAAUUCUGCCCAUAUUCCACAGUAGUAAAUUUGGUAAUGAUGGCCAUCUUAUCGUUUCAAAAGACCUGAAAACCAAAUGCUUUAUGGUUUAGGUUGUUUUAUGCAAAAUGUACUUUAUGGAACAUACACCCUAUAGCCGGUUCUAAAUCUUUUGUGCUUGACGAGGGUAGGUUGGCUAUUCAGUCUCUAAAAAGAGUCUCUUGCUGUCCCAGUGAUUGCCCUCGUGGAGGCAAUAUGGGGGCUUGUAGGCAAUAAGAUGGCACAUAUACCAACUAUUGCCAGUCUAAGCACUCAGCGAAGAGUUGGGGUUUACACAAACUUAAACCUUGACUAACAGUUGUAAGGUAAGCUGCUAGUCCCCCACUUAACUUAAAGUUUGUGUGUGCUCUCAAUAAUCAAAGUAUGUGAUGCAUGAGACAGUUCUAUAAGAUGUAUGAGACAGUUCUAUACAAAUGCAUGAACAAUAUGUGUAAAAAUAUUUAAAGCAUAUAAGCAGAUAACAAAAGGAAAGGCAUAUUAACAAUAAACACACGAAAACAAAAACAAAUCAGACAAAAACAAAGCUUAGUCCACAAGGUCCCCAGUGGAGUCGCCAUUCUGUCGCACGUGGGCGAGGUCGCGGCGAUCGUCCUCCCUCAAAUGUGUGAUGGGGUAUAUAUAUAUAUAUAUAUAUAUAUAUGGUAAAUAUGGUGAGACAAGGAGUUCUUUGUCUCUUAGCAGUAAAAAAAUGGUGUGGGAGUCGCCACCUAGUAUUUUGGUCACUAGGAACCCUAACUGGUCUCAGAGAUCGGGCACGGGGACUGGUUGCGUAAAGGGAAGGUUUUAGCACCCCAAAUACGCCCUACCUAAGGUAAGCUGAAUUGUUUAUUUGUCUGAUAAAAUUCAAGGUCUCGUUGUGUUUCCUAGUUGUUGGUCCGUCUAUGGUUCAAGAAAAGUCCUCCUCAAUAAGGAGGUCCUUAUCUUAUCGGGUAAACCUAACCGUUCUAACGUCUAUGUAUGUUGGUCCGUCUAUGGUUCAAGAAAAGUCCUCCUCAAUAAGGAGGUCCUUAUCUUAUCGGGUAAAACCUAACCGUUCUAACGUCUAUGUAUGUUGGUCCGUCUAUGGUUCAAGAAAAGUCCUCCUCAAUAAGGAGGUCCUUAUCUUAUCGGGUAAAACCUAACCGUGCUAAUGUCUAUGUAAAAAAAACUAUAUUUUUUAAUAUCGGGAAUACGUUUUAUGCUUAAUAUUCGUAAACAAAAAGAUUUUUUAGAAUUUUUGAAAUAUUGGCCUAGUUCUCAUGGCUUGAACAAACUGGUUAUUAAAGCCAAAAUGCAUGCUAAUACAUAUAUUGUUUUGAAAUUUUCUUUGUUAUAUGAAAAAUAUGAUGUUACAAUAUUUAUAUAUAUAUAUAUUGGAGAGACUAGGCCGUAUUUUAAAACAAAACAUUUUUUUGAUAUGUAUUUUUUGUAUGUUUUGACGCAAAUCGGGUAUUUUAAUAUUGGGUUUUGUAUCCUUACGGUAUAAAAAUACAACCAAAUAUUAAUCCACUUUGAUAAAACAAAUGCAGAAAAAUCAACAAUAUUUUUAAAAUAAUUUUUUGCAGAAUUUUCGUAAUUUUGUUAUAUAUAUAUAUAUAUCUAUAUAUAACUAAUACAAAAUAUAAUAUAAAUAAUAUAUAAUAUUAAAUUCGGGCUGGGCCGGCCCAACUAUUAAAUUCGGGCUGGGCCGGCCCAACCAACUGGGCCGGACUCAGCCCAAAAGUGUUGGGCCGAUCUCGGCCCAAAAAUGGGUUGGUCUGGGCCAGGCCCGGCCCAGAAGACAGGUCUGGGCCAGGAUCCGCCUGGCCCAAGACAAAACGGGCGGGGGGAAUUAUUUUCCCCCCACCCCUGCAUGCAGAACGCUAUUCGUUCUGCAUGCAGAGAAGGAAAAGAAAAAAAUAAACGCGAGAAUGAGGGGGAAGAAGAGUUACCUGGCGCGGAGGCGGUGGCUUGCUGCGUUUCUGGCGGUGCUGUGGCGGAGGCUGGUGGCGGCGUCUUGGCUCACGGACGACGUCUCCAAGCAGCAGCGGCGGUGCUCUGUUUUUUUAGUGUUUUCCCGUGACCCUCCCGGUUUGGUUUUCUUCAAGUUUUCAACUCUUCCUUCCUCUCACUGUGUUUCGGUCUCUCUUUCGGUUUUUUUGUUCUCUCUUCCCUUCUCCUCUCUUUUUCGUUUCUUCCCUUCCGUUUUUUUCUUUUCGGGUCUUUUCUUCCUCCCAUUCACUCAGUGUUAUUGGAUCUAUUUAUAGAGCCAAGGGGCGGGGCUUUUUAUGGUUGCACAUGGGGAGCAAGGGCUGCGGCGGUUGGUCGGCCAUUUGGGUGCAGCUGUCGAGGUACGGCUUCCCCGUUUUUCUGGUAGGCGCGCGGCGGGUGAUCGGCCAGUGGGCGUGGCUGGCGAGGAGCGGCUCCCUCGGUUUUCUAGCAAGGCAUGCGGUCCAGAGAGAGGUAGCACAUUUGAAGAAGAAAAACCAACCAUUUUUCUUUCUUCCCCUGCUACACGUCCAGGGGAGGAAGAAAGAGGAACAGUGUCGUUCAAAACGACAUCGUUCCGAUCUUUUUUUCUUUUCUUUUUUUUUUACAUGAAACGGCGUCGUUUUAGGCAAAACGCGCCGUUUCAUUUAAGUCCUGCAAGACGCCAAAACGCGUCAAUUUGCAAGGCAGCCCUCAAUUAUCUUUUGUUUAUUUCAAUUGUGUCCCUGCCAAUUUUGGUCUCUGCCCCUCUUGUUGGCCGCGUGUUUCACUUUAGUCCUUGGCCUCUGAUUUAUGCAAUUGAGCCCUUAAUUGAUCAAUAAACUUCCAAUUUCUUCAAUUAAGCCCCUGAAUCAAUUAAUUGCAGCCCCUCCAUUUACGCGCCUCUUCCAAUUUGGUCCCUGGUUUCGGAUUUUCUCAAUUAAGUCCCCAAUUGGCCCUUAAACUUCAAUAUUUAUGCAAUGAAGCCCCUGAUUUGACCUAAUAAAUUCCUAAAAAAUAUAUUUUGGCCCCAGAACUUAAAUUUCUUCCAAUUAAGGCCUAAAUUGACUUAAAAAUCAAUUUUCCUUGCAAUCAAAACCUCUAUAAAUUCAACUAAACCUUCAAUAAAAUCCAAUUGAGUCCAUAAAUAUCCAAUUUUGGCCUUUUCUCUUCAAAUUAAAUUUUCUCUUCCAACAGGGCUCUCCUCCUUCAAGAAUAUACUGUCAAAAAUCCAAUCUUUGUAUUUUUAACCUCAUUGACCAAUUUUCCGACCAUUUUCUGAACGCUUCUACCUCCUGUUAUUUUUCUAACCUCCUUUGGCUAGAUAUAUAUUUUUAUAUAUAUAUUUUGUGGGGACCCAAAAAUGGGUUACAACAGAUGCCCCCUCUUUAUAAUGCUUACGGAGCAGAGGUUUUGCGCAGUAAGUUUUAUAAAGAUAAACCCAAAACGAAACUCCCGAAACUGAUCUGGUUGAAGCUUGAUUGAUCUGAAACUUGUCUUUUACAGCAAUCCUCCUCAACUUGGAAUCCCAUCUGGCGAUUCCUUUUAACCAACAUGAAAUAUGAGGUCCCAUCUGGCGACCUCCUUUAACCAAUAUCGAAAUACGAGAUCCUUUCUGGCGAUCUCUUUUAACAAAAAAUCUUAGAAUCCCAUCUGGCGAUUCCUUGUAACCAAUGUUGAAAUAUGAGGUCCCUUCUGGCGACCUCCUUGGAUGAAUAUCGAAAUACGAGAUCCUUUCUGGCAAUCUCCUUUAAUCAACUUGGAAUCCCAUCUGGCGAUUCCUUUUUAAUCAACAUGAAAAACGAGGUCCCAUCUGGCGACCUCCAAAUAGCGAAACACGAGAUCCCUUCUGGCGAUCUCCUUUAAUCAACUUGGAAUCCCAUAUGGCGAUUCCUUUUAUUCAAACGAAAUAUGAGGUCCCAUCUGGCGACCUCCAAAUAGCGAAAUACAAGAUCCCUUCUGGCGAUCUCCUUCAACUUGGAAUCCCAUCUGGCGAUUUCUUUUAUUCAACAGGUAAUACGAGGUCCCAUCUGGCGACCUCCAAAUAGCGAAACACGAGAUCCCUUCUGGCGAUCUCCUUUAUUGAACUUGGAAUCCCAUCUGGCGAUUCCUUUUUACAAACAUGAAAUAUGAGGUCCCAUCUGGCGACCUUCAAAUAGCGAAAUACGAGACCCCUUCUGGCGAUCUCCUUCAACUUGGAAUCCCAUCUGGCGAUUCCUUUUAUUUUAACCAAUAUGAAAAACGAGGUCCCAUCUGGCGACCUCCAAAUAGCGAAACACGAGAUCCCUUCUGGCGAUCUCCUUUAUUCAACUUGGAAUCCCAUCUGGCGAUUCCUUUUUACAAACAUGAAAUAUGAGGUCCCAUCUGGCGACCUUCAAAUAGCGAAAUACGAGAUCCCUUCUGGCGAUCUCCCUUAACUUGGAAUCCCAUCUGGCGAUUCCUUUUAUUUUAACCAAUAUGAAAAACGAGGUCCCAUCUGGCGACCUCCAAAUAGUGAAACACGAGAUCCCUUCUGGCGAUCUCCCUUAAUCAACUUGGAAUCCCAUCUGGCGAUUCCUUUUAACAAACAUGAAACAUGAGGUCCCAUCUGGCGACCUUCAAAUAGCGAAAUACGAGAUCCCUUCUGGCAAUCUACUUUAAUCAACUUGGAAUCCCAUCUGGCGAUUCCUUUUAACAAACAUGAAAUAUGAGGUCCCAUCUGGCGACCUUCAAAUAGCGAAAUACGAGAUCCCUUCUGGCGAUCUCUAUCAACUUGGAAUCCCAAUCUGGCAAUUCCUUUUAUUCAAAGCUGAAAUACGAGGUCCCUUCUGGCGACCUCCUUUGAUGAAUAUCGAAAUACGAGAUCCCUUCUGGCGAUCUCAAACAACUUGGAAUCCCAUCUGGCGAUUCCUUAUUACCAAAGCUGAUAUCGAUGUCAUUCUUCCUGAUGGCAGGGUUCAAAACUUUUCAUUUUCUCUCCUUUUCUUGUUCUUCUCGUUGUUCCAGAAUCCACUAUGAUUCAAAAUCGUGAUUCUUUGCUGUCAUCCACUAUGAUUCUUUCUUCGUCUCCAAUCUUGUUGGAAUGCAUUAAGGUCUCCUCCUGUAACGAUUCCAAAAAACAUAUAUGCAAUGAUUUAUGAUUAGAUGCCAUGCAUGCAUUCGUACCUGGUUUCGAAACAUAGGCCCCAUCCUCUCCUUCUAGUUCAUGAGACUCCUUCUUAAGAUGAGCUUGCUUUUGAAGUCGUAUGCUAGAUUCCUCUCUAGUGUUGCCUCCUAUCAUAUUCUUGGAGAAGAAGUCCUGACUUUCUUCAAGUAGUCCUUUUUCCAAAAUGUAUGACUUGUCAUUGCCUCUUUGUCAUGCUUUUGUCAAAUGCUCUAGCUUGGUUUUCAAAUCUAUAGGCUUCCGUACAUUUUAAACACGUAAAGCUUUUCAUGAAAACAUCUCGUAUUGCCCCCAAUGUGGGGUGUGCUCCUAGUCUGGGCUUUUGUAUAGAGAAGAAAUUCGUUCAGCCGAUGCUAAACUUUUUAGGUGCGAUAACAACAAAACAUGCACUGUCGGGAUUAAUGCAAAAAAAUGAUUGUUGUGAGAUCAAUGCAAAAGAGAAAGAAGUCAAUGGCCAAACUUUGCUUUAUUGAUUUAGGAGCCUACAUCAAGCAUAAUAUCUUUUUACAGAGUCAGAAUUCACAGGUCGAGCUAGGUCUUCUCCAUCCAUUCUAGCCAACUUCAGCGCUCCUCCUGAGAAUGCCUUCUUCACUACGUAAGGACCCUCGUAAUUCGGUGCCCAUUUGCUUUGAUCGUCUCCAGGUAGUGACAAUAUUUUUUUCAAUACUAGAUCCCCUUCUCGAAACAACCGCGGUCUAACCUUCUUAUCAUAUGCCUUAGCCAUUCGUUCCUGGUAAAGUUGGUGAUGACAUAUUGCAGCUAUCCUCUUUUCGCUGAUCAAGUUCAGUUGCUCAUAUCUCACUUUGGCCCACUCGGCCUCUUCUAAUUCGGAGUCCAUCAACACUCUUAACGACGGGAUUUCUACUUCCAAAGGCAUCACUGCUUCCAUACCAUACACCAGAGAAUAUGGAGUAGUUCCUAUUGAGGACCUGACGGUAGUGCGGUAUGCAUGGAGAGCGAAUGGCAACAUCUCAUGCCAAUCUCUAUAUGUGACUACCAUUUUCUGAAUAAUCUUUUUGAUGUUCUUGUUGGCGGCUUCUACUGCGCCAUUCAUUUUUGGUCGGUAUGGUGAGGAAUUCGAAUGCUUGAUUUUCCAUUUAGUACACAGCUCCGCUAUCAUUUUGCCAUUGAAAUUCUGUGCAUUAUCUGUCACUAUCUUUUCCGGAGGACCAUAUCGACAAAUCAAGUCCUUCUCUAUAAACCUCUUCACUACGUUCUGUGUUAUGUGGGCAUAUGAAUUAGCUUCCACCCAUUUUGUGAAGUAGUCAAUAGCUACGAGGAUGAAUCUAUGACCGUUGCUAGCUUUUGGGUUAACAGGUCCGAUCACGUCGAUUCCCCACAUUGCAAAUGGCCAAGGAGAUAUCAGAUUAAAUAGAGGAGCUGGUGGCAUAUUGACCUUGUCACUGUAAACUUGACACUUGUGACAUUUCCUGACAUAGUCGAUGCAGUCUUUCUCUAACGUCAUCCAAAAAUAACCAGCCCUUUGUAUUUUCCUUGCUAUCAUAUGCCCGCUAGCAUGGGUUGAGCAAAUCCCCUCAUGGACCUCCCGUAAUGCCUUCCUAGCAUCUGCCUCAUUCAAACACCUUAGCAGGGUUCCAUCAAAUGAUCUUUUGUACAAAAUCUCUCCAUCUAAAUAGAAGUCUAUAGCCAACCUUCUCAAGGUUUUCUUAUCCGUUUUGGAAGCUCCCACCGGAUAUUCAUGAUUUUGCACAAGGUUCUUGAUAUCAUAAUACCAAGGAUGUCCGUCUAUCUCUCCUUCAACUAAGCAACAGUGAGCUGGGUCAUUUCUAAUAUCAAUGUGUACCGGUUGUACCUUGCACUUGAGAUCAAUGGUAGUCAUAGCAGCUAGCGUGGCCAAAGCAUCCGCAAAAUGGUUCCCCUCCCUUCCCAGAUGGGUGAAUCUAAUUUCUUCAAAUUCCUUUGCUAGCGUGGAUAGGUAUUCCUGGUACGGCCUCAACUUUUCCUCCUUGGUUUGCCAUUCCCCUUUAACCUGACAGAUAAUCAACAUUGAAUCUCCAUAUACAUCUAACUUCUUUAUCUUCAACUCUAAUGCCGCUUCUAAACCGAGGAUACAAGCUUCAUACUCAGCUGUAUUGUUGGUGCACUCGAAAUGCAGUUUAACCGAAACUGGAUACUGUUUCUUAUCAGGAGAGAUUAUUACCGCACCGGCCCCGUUACCAUAUACAUUCCCUGCACCGUAAAAAAACAUUGUCCACCAAUCUGUCUUCUCUUCUUCUUUCUCUAUUGACAAUAUAUCUUCAUCAGGGAAGUCAAAAUCCAAAGGUUCGUAAUCUUCAACAGCAUUAUCGGCCAGAUGGUCCGCGAUUGCACUUCCUUUUACGGCUUUCCUUGUCAUGUAUACUAUGUCAUAUUCUGCUAAUAAAACUUGCCAUCUUGCAAUUCGGCUUGAGAGAAAGGGCUUGUUACAAAGAUACCUCAGAGGAUCCACUUUUGAAAUCAACCAAGUGGUAUAGUAUAACAUAUAAUGUCGCAACCUCUUCGCCGCCCACACCAACGCACAACAAAGCCUUUCUAUCUCCGUGUAUCUAGACUCACAUUCAGUGAAUUUCUUACUUAAGUAAUAAAUAGCUCUUUCCUUCCUUCCGGUUUCAUCAUGCUGACCCAAUACACAUCCCAUGGCUGCUUCAGUUACUGUUAGAUAUAAUACUAGAGGUUUUCCUGAUACCGGAGGAACCAGUAAAGGUGGAUUUUGUAAAUAAUGCUUGAUUUUAUUGAAUGCCUCCUCACACUCCUCAUUCCAGGUUCCAGGAUUCUUUUUCCUUAGUAGUCGGAAUAUAGGUUCACACGUCGUUGUUAACUGAGCUAUGAACCGAGCAAUGUAGUCUAACCUUCCCAAGAAUCCUCUUACUUCUUUCUCCGUCUUAGGGGAUGACAUAGCUUGGAUGGCCCUUACUUUAUCCGGAUCCACCUCUAUACCUCUAUCACUUACCACAAAUCCUAACAGCUUGCCCGAUUUAACUCCGAAUGAACAUUUUGCGGGAUUAAGCCUUAAUUCAUACUUCCUCAACCUCUCAAAUAACUUCCUCAAAACUUCAACAUGAUCUUGUCCCUUUUUAGACUUGGCAAUCAUAUCAUCCACAUACACCUCAAUUUCCUUGUGCAUCAUGUCGUGGAACAAAGUCACCAUUGCUCUUUGAUAUGUUGCUCCUGCAUUCUUCAAACCAAAUGGCAUGACCUUAUAGCAGUAAGUUCCCCAAGGUGUGACAAAAGUUGUUUUCGCCUUAUCCUCUAGAGCCAUUUUUAUCUGGUUGUAUCCUGAAAAACCAUCCAUAAAGGAAUAAGUGGAACUCCGGGCAGCGUUAUCCACUAAAACAUCUAUGUGUGGUAGGGGAAAAUCAUCCUUAGGGCUAGCUCUAUUCAAAUUCCGAAAAUCCACACAAACUCUAAUCUUCCCCUCUUUCUUAGGCACCACAACAACGUUAGAUACCCAUUGUGGAUAUCUAACUACUUCUAGGAAGCCAGCAUCCCAUUGCUUCUCAAGUUCUGCCUUGACCUUAAUCCAGACAUCCGGGUGGGCCCUCCUCAGCUUCUGCUUGACUGGCUUACAACCUUCUUCCAACGGUAUCUUGUGUACUACAAUAUUUGUAUCCAAACCAGGCAUAUCUUCAUAGGACCAAGCAAAGACAUCUGAAUAUUCUUGUAAUAGGGUGAUCAUUUUUAUCCUUUGUUCAGAAGUAAUUAAGGUACCUAUUUUCAACUCUUUCUUGAGCUGAUCACUACCCACAUUGAUGGUUUCGAGUUCCUCGGCGAUAGGCUUCCAAGUCUGUUCCUGUUGUUCUACUAGCCUGGUGAAUUCACUGAUAUUGCUCUCAUCCCACUCUUCUUCUUCCAUAGCUAUCACAUGCUCGUUCAAGUUUGGCCAUUUAUUCUUGGUGCUAAAUGUAUGUGAUGUUGUAGGAGAUCCGCUUUCAGGAUUCCUGAAAGCGGGAAGUGUUUGGUGUAAAUGCAUAAAAAAAAAGAAGGCAAUUUGUGAAAAGUGCAUGAUCUCACAGUUUAUUUAAAGAAAAGGUGGGCUCCAUGACAAACAUAAAAUCUAGCUGACAUCAUGAGCCUUGAUUGUCAACCAGAGGAAAUAAAAGCAAACAUAAGCAAUGACAAAAGCAUGUUAAGGCAAACAAAAUUGGUUUACAUUUUGAAAACCACUGGAGCUUCUUGGGUCACCCAGUUCUGAAACUUCUCGUCUUGAGCCAACUUGCGCACAAAGGUCUUGGUAGAGACUUCUUCUAUGGUGUAGACCGUCAGUUGUGGGAGUGCUUCAUCUCCCUUUCUUGCUACUGUCUUCAUGUCAUCUCCUUCUACCUUGUUUUCCCCCAAGGUAUUUAUGCUCAUGUUUGACAGCUCUUGAUCAAGGCUUUCGGCUUCUUUAUCAUGUUGCAUUAUGUAUGCAGUUUUUGGGAAUGACACGCCAAGGGGAGGGAUUUCUAGCUUUUCUUCAUCAGGCUCUCUUCCUUUAAUUCUAGCCAUCCUUCUUGCCCUUCUCCGACCAGCAGCCCACCGAUAAUCCUCUUGGUUAGGUUGGUACCCUAACCCAAAUCUUUGAGCAGCACUUUUCAUCCUUGCCAGAUUAACCCCUUCUGGUAUCCCGAUAAUAAGGUUAUACUGAAAUGGGAUCCCGCGGUUCAAGAAGCAUAGACUUGCCAUCCUUGCUGCUUCUGAGAUCCUUGGCCUUCUUAGCACUGUGUUCUCCGGCACCCAGUCGGUGUUCACAAUCUCAAAGGCAUGGAUAUUGUUAUCCUUGCAAUCAUUCGCUUCGAUAAAAGGCACAGCCACAUUCUUUAUCAUGGAUACUGUCUCCUCAGCCUUGACAGUUACCAACAUCCCAUUCAUGAUAUACUUCAGGCAUUGGUGCAAUGACGAAGCUACUGCCCCCGCUGCAUGAAUCCAAGGUCUUCCUAACAACAUACUAUAGGAAGGGUGGAUAUCCAUAACCUGAAGUGUUACUAGGAACAUUUGUGGUCCCACAUAUAGCUCCACUUCUAAAGUCCCAAUUAUUGGCCUAGGUGAGCCAUCAUACGCUCUGGCCAUCAUAGUACUUGGCUUUAUAUGGGAUUCAUCGAUCGGCAUUUCUUUCAGCAUGUGCUUUGGCAACACAUUAAGGGCCGAGCCAUUAUCAAUGAGUACUUUUCCUAUGAGGCAGUCCUUGCACCUAACCGUAAUGUAUAAGGGCUUGUUAUGUCCGGUACCUUCAGCAUCAAGCUCAUCAGCCGUGAAGUACAGGUAAUUAGUUGCAUGGAUCCUUCCCACUAGAUGCUCCAUGGUUUUAUGUUCAAUGUCUUGGGGUACAUAUGCCUCAUUCAAUACCUUUUGCAAGGCGUUUCGAUGCGGCUCAGAGCUGAGUAUCAAGGACAUAAGGGAGAUCCUAGCUGGAGUCUUCUUUAGUUGAUCUACUAUGCAAUAUUCACUAUGCUUGAUCAACUUCAGGAAUUCAUUUGACUCCUCUUCUGUUACCGGCUUAUUAACUUCUAGUGCUUUGUCAAGAUCUACCACUUCUUUACCCUUUUCCUUCCUCAACUCCUCAGAAGUAAAGCAACGACCACUCCUGGUCAAACCACUUAUCUCAGUCUGGAACAAAGGAAGAGGAGCUCGAACGUUGGAGGCAUAACCAUAAUUAUAAGGCAUGGCAUUGUGAUUCCCUUUUGUGUAGGACGGUUUAACCAAGAUUAGCCUUGGGGGACCAUUAGCUGUUUGUUGGACCCUGCAUACUCCUGUCAUUUCCAUCUGACCUUCCAUCAUACUCACCUCACCGCUACUCUUCAUGGGUUCAAUCCUCAACUCCCCCAUUUUCAGCAUUUUUGCAAUCUUUUCGCAAAACUCGAUGCAAUCCUCAAUAUGAUGUCCAUCUCUUCCAUGGUAUUCACAGUAAUCAUAUCCCUCCAAAUGGCUCUCCACCUUUGUCUUUAGAAAUCCUGAUUGUACCAACAUGUCGUACAACUUUUUCAUGGACACCUUCAACAUCUGGCAUUGAUUUCCCACUUCGAUCAUACCUAUUCCACUACUAUUUGGGGCAUGCUUAGGCAAUGGGUUUGAAUUAACAUUGGGCUUGUCUUCAAAGGAUACCCAUCCCAUCUUAAUAAGCUCUAAUAACCUCUUUUUGAAAGCGUAACAGGUUUCAAUCCCAUGCCCGGGAUUACCCCCAUGGUACUCGCAAGCCAACUCGGGCUUGUACCAGAUUGGGAAUGGUGGUUGUAGUGGUAGUGUAGGGAUAGGAGCUAUUUGUCCAAUGCUCAAAAGUUUGGCGUACAUGUCCUUCAAAGGCAUGGGUAACGGUGGCAGUUGUUCUGAAGUGUAUCUUGUAUGGGGUCUUUGGUAGUGAUUUUGGUAGUUUGACUGGUUAUUUGUUCGAUUAGGGGAAAAAGGUGGGUUAAAGUUUAUGCGUGAGAAUUGAGAGGCAGGUGCUUGAGGACUAUGGAAAUCUACUCUCUUGCCCUUAUACCCACCUUCCAGAUUGUUAACAUCGCCUUCUCUCUUUCUUCCAAUAAAACCCUUCUUUUCCACUGGCAUCGCUAUUCGCCCAGCUUUAAUCCCUUGUUCUAUCCUUUCAGCUAUGCGUACCGCAUCAUAGAAAUGUUGAGAGGAACUACCCAUUAGGUGCUCAUAAUAAGGUGUCUUGAAGGUAUUAGCAAACAAGCUCACCAUCUCCGUUUCUAUCAAAGGGGGUUGGACAUGCAUUGCCUCAUCCCUCCAUCUUUGCGCAUAAGCCCUUACUGACUCCUGGCUCUUUUUCUCCAUUGCCAUUAGACUUGUUCGAUCAGGAGCGAUUUCCAUGUUAAACUUGUACUGUUUGAGGAAAGCCUCCACCAAGUCUCUCCCGCUUCUGAUCUUGACACUAUCUAACCUCAUGUACCAACUCAAAGCGGACCCUGAGAGGCUAUCCUGAAAGAAAUAGAUUAGCAGCUUAUCAUCGCGGAUUACUUCCGCCAUUUUGUUGCAGUAGGAUCGAAGGUGAGUGUUUGGGCAUUCCAAACCGGUAUACUUAAUGAACUCUGGUAUUCGAAAAUCUUUUGGCACCACAAUGUUUGGUACCAAACAUACUUCGACUGCUCGCAUAGGGUCAAACUAAUCAUUACCCUCAACUGCCCUUAAUCUUUCUUCUAGAGCAAAUAGCUUGUCUUGGUCCAUCAUACUGGGAGACCUAUUAUCCGGGACUCCCUCCGUUGUUAAAUCCACAGUGAUUGGAGCGUGAGUUGGCUGAAUAGGGGUGAUAGGCACAAAAUGUUGUUCAUUGGCCGAGUUUGCCCCCUGGUUUUGAGAUGCUUGAGGGAUGUGAGCUGUUGGCGCUCCUUCAGGCUGUUGUGCUGAUGUUCCCUCCCCAUUCUUAGCUCUUAGAAGCUGCUCAAGUAAGUCGGUUAGCCGAGAAACUUCAUUUUUUACGGACUCCAACUCGGUCUGAUAAUGUGACUCUAAGUGAGCUCUCUCUUCGUUCUCCAUUCUCGCUCUAGACCGGGUGUUGUGGACUUUGGAUGUGGGACCUAUGUUUCACGGUCUGGGAUGCAUGGAAAAAUGUAAAUGAAUGUAUGAUAAAGAAACAAUGCAUGAAUGCAUGAGCUUGUUUUUUUUCAAAAAAACGAUCGAUGGCCAACAUUCCUCUUGUGUAAUGGGCAUGGACUCCUUUUGUCACGUUCCUUAUCAGGAGUAGUUUUGCUCAAGCUGCUGCUUUGGUAGGCUUAUAUAUUUUAUUUUUUUUUACAAAAGAUGGGUCAAAGCCCCUUUUCAUUAAUAUUGGCUAAUACAUCUCUUGAAAAGAGGGUACAAAAUAAUAAAAAGAAAAAUACAUCAAUCUUUAGUGACAUGGUGGAAAUUUUUUUUGAAGUUUUCAUGGAUGAUUUUUCAGUUUAUGGGGAUUCUUAUGAGUUGUGUCUAAUGCAUUUAGGAAAAAGUUCUUGAAAGGUGUGAAGAGAGCAAUCUUGUACUCAAUUGGGAGAAGUGUCAUUUUAUGGUGAUAUAUGGCAUUGUCUUAGGUCACAUUGUCUUUUCAAAAGGGAUAGAGGUAGAUAAGUCAAAAUUUGAAGUCAUUCAAAAAUUACCUACCCCUAGGACUGUGAAAGAUGUGAGAUCCUUUUUAGGACACGCUGGUUUUUACCGAAGAUUCAUUCAUUCUUUUAGUACCAUUGCCAAACCAUUGUGUAACUUGUUGUCACAGGAUGUCCAAUUUGAUUGGACAUCAAAAUGUCAAGAAGCUUUUGAAAAGCUUAAAGGGUUGUUGACCACUGCACCAAUCAUGCAAGCUCCUGAUUGGUCUUUACCAUUUGAAUUGAUGUGUGAAGCUAGUGAUUUUACGGUAGGGGAUUUUGCGGUAGGGGCUGUUUUAGGGCAAAGAAAAGAUAAGAAGUCUCAUGUCAUUUAUUAUACUAGCAAGACUUUGAAUGAUGCUCAAUUGAAUUACACUACAACUGAAAAAGAACUCUUAGCUAUGGUCUUUGCGUUAGACAAGUUUAGGUCUUAUUUGGUUGGAUCUCUUGCUAUUGUUUUCAUUGAUCAUAUAGCAUUGAAAUACUUGCUCACAAAACAAGAUGCCAAGCCACGUUUGAUUCAAUGGAUCCUCCUACUCCAAGAGUUUAACCUUGAAAUUCAAGAUAAAAAGGGAGUAGAGAAUGUAGUGGCUGAUCAUUUGUCCCGUCUUUCAAGCUAUGAGACCAUCAUUGAUGAAUCUCCAAUAAAUGAAUUCUUUGCUGAUGAAAAUUUAUUUUGUGUAGGUACUGUCUCCUACAUUGGCUCUCCAUGGUAUGCUGACAUAGCAAAUUACUUAGCCACAAGUCAGAUUCCUUCUCAUUGGUCUAAACUUGACAAACAAAAAUUCUUGCGCAACGUGCGUACCUUUUUUGGGAUGACCCCUACCUAUUUAAAUACUGCCCAGACCAAAUUGUUAGGCGGUGCAUCCCUGAUCAUGAAAUUCCAAGUGUCAUUAAUUUUUGUCAUGCAUUAGCCUGUGGUGGGCAUUUCUCUUCCAAGAAAACCACUACCAAGAUCUUGUAGUGUGGUUUUUAUUGGCCCACCAUGUUCAAAGAUGUCCAUGCCUUCUGUGUUGCAUGUGACCGAUGCCAACGACUAGGUAACCUCACUAAGCGUAACAUGAUGCCUCUUAACCCCAUUCUUGUUUUGGAAAUAUUUGAUUGUUGGGGGAUUGAUUUCAUGGGACCUUUUCUGAGUUCAUUUGGUUACCAAUUCAUCCUUCUAGUUGUUGAUUAUGUGUCUAAAUGGGUGGAGACCAUUGCAUCUCGAACUAAUGACCAUCGAGUUGUGGUCAAAUUCUUGAAAGAAAAUAUUUUCUCUUGUUUUGGCAUGCCCCGGGCUAUGAUUAGUGAUGGGGGAAAGCAUUUUUGUAACAAGCCCGUUGGGAUUUUGAUCAGAAAAUAUGGUGUAAUUCACAAGGUUAGUACCCCUUAUCACCCACAGACUAGUGGCCAAGCUGAGUUGGCAAAUAGGGAGAUCAAGAACAUUUUAGAGAAAACAGUCAAUCCAAACCGUAAAGAUUGGUCCCUACAACUAGUUGAUGCUUUGUGGGCAUAUCGCACUGCUUACAAGACCUCUUUAGGAAUGUCUCCUUAUAGGCUAGUUUAUGGAAAGCCUUGUCAUCUCCCUGUUGAGAUUGAGCACCGUGCAUAUUGGGCCAUCCGGCAAUUCAAUGACAAUGAAAACGAGGUUGGCAAAAAUAGAAAGCUUCAAUUGGAUGAAUUAGAGGAGCUGAGAAAUGAUGCAUUUGAAAAUGCCAAAAUUUCUAAACAUAAGAUGAAAACUUUGCAUGAUAAACAUAUUCUUAGGAAAUCCUUUCAUGUUGGUCAAAAGGUUCUCUUGUAUAAUUCACGAUUACAUCUCUUUCCUGGGAAGUUGAGGACAAAAUGGAUGGGUCCUUUUGUGAUUAAAUCCAUCUCUGAGCAUGGUGCCUUUGAGGUAGAAAAUCCUAAGAAUGAAAAUGUUUUCAAAGUAAACGGUCAUCGAUUGAAACCUUAUCUUGAAAACUUUGUGGCUGAAGUUGAGACAUUGGAUCUUAAGAUCCAAUACCAUUGUAGUAUCAGAAGUAAUGAGUUUUUUUUUUUUUCUCUCUCUUAUUCUUCCAACUUUUAUAUUAACUUGUUCAUGCAUUAGGGACAAUGCAUUAUUUUAAGUUGGGGGGGUGAGAGGUAAGUUAUUUUCAAAAAAAAAAUAUAAAAAAAAUGGUUUGAUGUUUUCUUUUAGUUGUGAUAUGCAGGUUAAAAAAAAAUCAAGCAAGAAGUCAGCUCAUGUCCAAUUCAAUCAAACAUUCAUCCUUGAAAAAAAGGAGUAACAGUUUUCUAAUCUUUAUUCUUUUCUUCUCUUUCUUUCUUACAUUGAGGAUAAUGUAAAACUUAAUUUUAGAUAUUUGAUUAUGCUGAAUGCUUGAGAUGGCCAUGCUUGUUUGAAAAAAAAAAAAAACUUGCAUUCGUAUGUUAGUGAGACUUGUUUAGGAUCAACAUUACAUUUUUGGAUUCAUUAUUGUGUGAGCAUUGCAUGCUUUAAUUUGGGAUAGAUAAUAUCUUAUAAAGCAAGAUAUAACAUACUUUUUUUUCCCUUAAGAUUAUUGAAGUACAUUUUUCCUUGUAAAAGUUGUGUGAGUUGUGUGAUUAUGCAUAAAAGAUGAGUGUGAUGCUUUACUUGUGAUUAUCCCUUUUGAUCUAGUCCUAAACAAGGUUUAAGUAAAUAGAGUAAUAAUUAUUAGACAAUUAAAUAAAUAAAUGUGUACAAAGUUCUAUCUACUCUAAUGAUUUGAGUUGCUCAGUAACUAGUGGUAUUCAUCACAAAUGUUUAUCUUUACGUCAAACGACAGCUUGAAAUAUGAGUAUGCAAAGCACUUUAAGUUUGUGACUUUGUGAGUAACCGGGUGCAUUCAUCAAAAAUAUUUGUAUUUGCGUCAAAAGGGAAGUGACCACUUAAAGACAAAGAAUAAAUAAUAUCUUCAAAAAAAAAAGAAAAAAAAAAUAUAUAUAUAUAUAUAGAUAUUUCUCUAGUUUGCUACCUUGUUUGUAGUGGUGAGAAGGGAAGAUUACAAGUUGAGUUUUCGCGUGAAUCAAUUAUGUUGGUUGCAUGAUAAAUACGAUUGAAUUAGGAAUUUUGUAUGGAUGUUUGAUUUAGAGAAUGUGAGUAUGCUUAUUUUUCUUUAUUCGCUAUUGUGUACACUAAGUUAAAGAUACCAAUGUUUGCAUGAUAGGUCCUUUAAGUGUGAUGAGUCGAGCCUAAUUAUGGUUAUUAUUAUUCUUUUUAUUUCAAAGGUUUUAUGUUUUGUUUUGCUUCAGGACUAGCAAAAUCUAAGUUGGGGGGUGUGAUUGUGCAUCAAAAGUAUCAUUAAGUCUCUUAUUUUAUAUAUGUAUUUAUUGUUUUUAUUUAGGUUUUUUUUAAUAAUUGAUGUGCUUUUUAGUAAUGAAGUUUCUUUUAAUGUUUCGAUAGGUUUUUGGAGCUUAAAUGAAUUAUUUCAGAGAAUUUAACAUCGGAAUUCGGAACAAAGAAUUAAAGAGAAAUUUAGUUGAAGAUUGAAGCAAAUCUUGGUUCAAAUAAGUGCUCUAAAUUUGCCCCAAAAAUCAAUUCUAUUCCAAUCCUAGAAAAGAUUAUCAUAUGAUCCAUUUCAAGCCCAAACUUGCCUUAUGUUGUGUGCAAACUUCAACCAUCAAACACUCAAGGUUUCAAUGUCAAUCUUAGCCCAAAUAAUAGGUACAUUUGUAUCAUUAUUUGAUGCUUAAAUUCAGCCCCAAAUCAGCCUCGAAAUCAGCCCAAGCACAAUCCAUGAUCUUACAAGUCCACACAACAAUAACAUUUGAUUUAUUUUGGGCAACCUAUUAAUCCAAAAAGGCAAGCACAUGUAUGGAAAGCUGGAGGGAAAAUUGUUACAUUAUUUUGAGUUAAAAGGAAGAAAGAUUCAGCUCAAAAGGGAGGAAGAAAAUCGUGCACCAAAGUGUUCUCCAAGCUGCCUAAGUUGACUUUCCAGAACACCUUUCGGUGUUGUAGCCAUAACUUUAACUCAAAGAUUCAAAUGAGUUGUUCUUUAAUGAUCUGGGAAGCUAACAGAAUUGCCUAUAAAUAUGUCUCUAAUAGCCAUUUCCAGAGGAGGCUUCUAAGAGAGUUGAAUUGCUGUCCAAAGUUAGCAUCAUAUUUGUGUUAGAAUUGUUACCGAAAUUGAGUUGUGUUUUUCUUUGUAGAUUUCAGUUCUUUAGUUUGUAAAACUUAUUAUUUCAGUUUGAUUCAAGUUAUUUCAUGUUUAUUAAAGUGUUCUUAUAUAUAAUCAUGGUUGGCUAAUCUCUUUCUUGGAUCCAAAUCAAGGAUCAUGGUGGUUGAGGUGAGUUCUUUAAGAUAUGAAUGAAUCUUAAUGUUUAUCUUCUCAUUUUCUUCAUGAAUGUUUUAUUAUUGCAAAGAAAUUUUAGAAAUCAUUUAGGUAAUGUUAUAAUCUUGAAUUUUUAUGCACAAACCUUAGUUUUUGUAUAGAGAUUGCUUGAUUCAAUGUCUUACUUAAUAUGAAAGAACUUGUUCAUUCUUAAGCAAUAAUCAAUCUUCAUCUUUUUAAACUUCAUUGUAAUAUCUUCCGAUCUAAUAUCACCAUCAUUGAUAUUAGGUUGAGUUAUCUUAUAUAUGUUAAAGGAAUCACCAAUACAUCACCAUUAAAAUUGAUUUGGAUCAAGACUUACUUUUUCUUGUCAUUUAAAAUCUAGUUACACUUUUUCAUCUUUGAAAACAAAUCCAUCAAUUAUUUUCAACCAAGUUAUUGUUAAUUUAAUUUCUUUUGAGUUUUUUUGUUACCUAGCUUAAUUUCCAGAUCUAGCUCUUUGUGAAUAUGACCUCGAUCUUAUCGAGUUAAUUGCUACAUCGCACAAUCGUGCACUUGCGAGUUAAAACAAGCCGAUCAUAAAUAGCGGUCAAACACACGCUAAUAAACGGAGGUAACGCUUCUUUUUUUUAUUGUCACCGUCGUUUCUUACCACAUAAUCACAGGUAUAGAAAGAACAGAAAGGAUUUCGUUGUUGGCAGAGUUGAAAAGGAUGUUGCAUCUCCACGUCUUUCUGGUGAAGAAUUGCAUGAUGUUGUAUCAGAGUACGGUGACAUUGUGUUUGGUCUUCAAUCAGGUAAGCAAAAGUUUCCUGGUUUUGGUUUGACCCAUAAUUGGGUAAAGCGAAGUAUCUUUUGGGAGCUUCCUUAUUGGAAGACCAAUCUGCUCUGCCAUAACCUUGACAUCAUGCACAUUGAAAAGAACGUGUUUGAGAACAUUUUCAACAUCGUCAUGGAUGUGAAGGGGAAGACAAAGGACAACAUCAAGGCUAGAUUGGAUGUAGCUUUGUUCUGUAACCAUAAAAAUAUGGAUUUGGUUUGUGAUGCAUCACGGGUUGCAAAACCAAGAGCAAGCUUCGUGUUAGAGAAAAACGCACAACUACUAGUCUACAAAUGGCUUAAGAGUCUACGUUUUCGCGAUGGACAUGCCUUGAACAUAUCAAGGCUGGUUAAUACGGAGGAAUGUGGAUUGUAUGGAAUGAAGAGUCAUGACUGCCAUGUGUUUAUGCAAACGCUCAUCCCAUUAGCUUUUCAUGAUUUGUUGCCAAAGGGGAUAUGAGAUGCACUCACGAAGAUCAGUCAUUUCUUUAGAGAUAUAUGUUCCAGCAAGUUGAAUGUUGAUCACAUUUUGAGGCUUGAAACGAAUAUCGUCGAGACACUAUGCAAACUUAAGAUGAUAUUCCCUCCAUCAUUUUUUUACUCAAUGGAGCAUCUCCCCAUACAUCUACCGUUCGAGGCAAAAGUUGGAGGACCGGUCCAGUAUAGAUGGAUGUACCCAUUCAAACGGUUAGAUAUUACAGUUGCAAUAUAAUUCAUAUAUAAAAGUAUUUUCUUUGUUUUUCUUAAUUGAAAAUAUUUGAUUAAUUAAAUGCAGGUACUUAUUCAAUCUCAAGAAAAAAGUUAAGAAUAAGGCGCAUGUUGAGGCUUCGAUAUGUGAGGCCUAUAUUAUUGAGGAGAUCUCAACAUUUAUCUCGUACUAUUUCGAACCUCAUCUGAGAACGAGAAUCAAUCGCGUUCCCCGGCAUGAUGAUGGCGGUGAAGUGCCUUCCAGUGGGAACUUGUCAAUAUUCUCCAAUUCUAGACGACCCACACCUAAAAAUAUCGUAAGAGGAAGAUAUUUGUCGGAAAUAGAGUUCAAACAAGCACACAAUUAUGUUCUAUUUAACUGUGAUGAGGUGAGACCUUUAUUCAGUAAGUAUAUAUAUGCGUAAUACUAAUUAAUCUUUGUCAAUAAUAUAUAUACUUGAGAUUAUAUACCUCGAACAUAUCAUACUAUCAUUAUCACUUACAGGCAACAUCGACAAUAUUUGUUGUCCAAUAACUCACAGCUGACCGAAUCCCAGAUCUUUCAAUUACAAGAUGAACAAUUUGCUACGUGGUUCAGAACACAUGUAAGUACUAUCAUAAACUCAUCCUCACUUGCAAAAUUACUGUAUGCAUGUCAUUACGAGAAAAAUAUAUAUUGUUCAUUGAUGUACAUUACAUACAAGGUUUAUCAAAUAGGAAGGAGUGUUGCUAAGUCAUUGUCUCCACCAAGCCUAGGCCUUGAAAGAAAAUUUAAGUGCUACAAUGGGUAUUUUGUCAAUGGAUAUAUGUUCCAUACUGAAGAAUACGGGCUUGGAAGAAAGACAUACAACAGCGGUGUUUGUGUUAAGGGAUCGACUAGUAGUGAGUUAGAAGUUGACUACUAAGGUAGAUUAGAAGAGGUCAUCGAACUGCAAUAUCAUAGCGAGCAGAAUAGAGUGUUUUUAUUCAAAUGCUAUUGGUAUGACAUGACUGACAGAGGAAUCAGAGUUGAUCUGUAUUAUGGUCUGGUCAAAAUCAACUCAAAAGCUAGACUCCGCAACGUAAAUGAUGUCUUUGUUUUCGCAAAGCAAUGUCAACAAGUUUAUUACACAUUCACCCCUUCCUUUAGAAAGGAUCGAUCAAGAGUGGAUUGGUUGUCCGUUUUAAAAACAAAACCUAGGGGUCAUGUCGAGCUUGUUCAUGAUGAGAACGAAGACACAAGUGUGCAAGAUGAAGUCUUUCAAGUUAGUGAGUUGGUUGAACCAUAUCGAUUUUCUUCAUCAAUUGACUUGGAAGAAAAUUUAAAUUUUCGUGUUUUCGAUGAUAGUCUUGUUGAUGUUGACGCAGAGGAGUUGAAUGUUGUUUUGAUCUCUAGCGGACAAACAAAUGUCAAUGAAGACGAUGAUAUCCAUAUUGAAGAUUGCGAUGAAGGUGAUGACUAUUCAAUUGACGAUGAAGAAGAAGAAAAUUCUGACUAAUUAUCAGAAUGAAGCCCUAUGUAAAACAUUUUUUUCAUGUAAUAUAUAUUAUGGAUGAUAUCUUUUGUAACACGAAAUAUUUAUUUUAUAAUUUUAUGUAUUGUUUAAGCAUUGUUGUUAUUGUUUUGUGCGAUGGACAAUUUAUCUUUUAAGUGUUUGCAAGAAGGUAAAUAGGUAACACAAAUAUAAUCUUUCUUUACAUGAACUAUCACCGACGUCCAUACCGACGGAAUAAGGUCUGUCGGCAUUUCACAGAGAGUUGGAAAAUAAUUACUGGAAAAUGCCACAAUCACCGACGUCCAUACCGACGACCUAAGGUUCGUCGGUAUUUCACAAAGAGUUGGAAAAUAAUUACUGGAAAAUGCCACCAUCACCGACGUCCAUCCCGACAGCCUAAGUUCCGUCGGCAUUUCAUAGAGAGUUGGAAAAUAAUUACUGGAAAAUACCACAAUCACCGACGCAUGUGCCAACGGAUUUAAGUCCAUCAGUAUGUUGUCGGCGGGUCAAUAUUACCGAGAACAUCACUGACGAAAUGUGUGAAUUCCAAAGGGCGGUGCAUUAAAUGCAUCUCUGACCGUGUCCUGUUGCCGACGGAAUUGCCGACGAACCGCAAAAAUAUGAAGGGUAAUUAAAAAUGAUGGUGCGAAAUUCCAAACUUACCGACGGAUUUUCUGAGCUUCACCGUCAGAAUAAUUUAAAUUAAUAUUAAUUUUAUAAGUCUGUCGGUGAAUCCGUCGGUAAAACUGCACUAUAAAUAUAAGCGACCGCCCUUUCAGUUCAUUUUUUUACCUGCUUCAUUUCCCAGUUUCGUUUUUUCCUUUCAUUUCCUUCAAGAUUUUUGUGUUUUUUUGGCUUGAAAUCUUUAGUUCAAUCUUCAACAAUUUAAAAGGUAUGUACUUCCUCUUCUUCAUUUCUUAAAUAUUUUAUUUUUGUAUUUGUUUUUUUGUUUUAGCUAUUGUUAUUUUUGUUAUGUGUUUUGUUUUGGUGUAUUUUUAUAAUGUAGAUAAAUUCUUGAAAUAAACACGUUAUUUCCUAAAGUCUAUAUAUAUUUUUAUAUUGCCAUAAUAAUUGAAUAAUUGGUUAAAUUGUUAUUGUUAAUGUUGAAUUUACUUAGAAUUAGUAAUUGAAUAUGUUGGAAUAAUUAGUAAUUUUACUCUAUUAUUGCAUGAUUUGUGUUUAAUUAUUUCCAUUAAUUUUAAUUGUUAGUCUAGAGUUUUUUUUUUAAUUUAUUGAAUGUAUUUUAUUGUUGUGUUGCCAUAAUAAUUGAAUAAUUUGUUGAAUUGUAAUGGUUAAUGUUGAAUUUACCUUGUAAUUAGUAAUUGAAUAUGUUGGAAUAAUUAGUAAUUUUACUCUAUCAUUGCAUGAUUUGUGUUUAAUUAUUUUCAUUAAUUUUAAUUGUUAGUCUAGAGUUUUUUUUUUUGAAUUUUUUGAAUAUAUUUAUUGUUGUGUUGCCAUAAUAAUUGAAUAAGUUGUUGAAUUGUAAUUGUUAAUGUUGAAUUUACCUUGUAAUUAGUGUGGAUGUUAUUUGUAUAGAUGUUAUGUUAUAUACAAUAUUAGUAUAGAUGGGGUCAAUUGGUUGUAGCUAUUGUCAAUAUUUGCAGGUUUGUGGAUUUGGAUAGUCUCCAGUAUAGGGGAGGUGCUGUCGAAUUUUUUUUAACAUUCGAAUUUCAUUAUAUAAUUAUUCGUAUAAAAUUGUGUAGAUGCGUAGAACGAAAUCCACGACUCGUCGCUCACGUAUGGUCGCAGCUAGUUCUUCUAGCAGCGAGGAUGACAUAUCCUUAGGUGCCUCUCAAGAGGAGGCACCUGCGUCGUCAACCGAUGCUGCCUCUUCCAGCGCAGUUUCACAGCGUAGAGGCGGCAUGCCUUCGCAGCGGAAUCAAUUCACCCGCAAGUACGAGGCACAGUGGAAGGACGACCUUUCAAUGUAAGUUUGUUAAGGUUUUAGUUUUUUUUAAAUUAUAAAAUAAUUUAUGAACAACUAAUCAAUAUUUCAUUAAUUUAAUUUAUUUUCAGGUUCACAAACAUUGAGGUCGCCCGAGUAAUAUCAUCGACGUUUAAAUCAUCGAUGGAGAUUCUAUUAUUUCAAUGGAGUCAAGUAUCCAGACAUCUUGAAUGGAUACCUCAAAUCGAUGUAUGGUUUGACAGAUUUGAGGUUGGUGUUAAUUUAUAAUUUACAGCUUAUUUCUAAUAAUUUAUUAAUAUAAUUGUAAAUAAAUUAUUAUUUUUAUUUAUCUAAUGACACGAUCAAAGAGUUGAUGUCUUAUCCCAAGUGCAGGAGUGUCAAAGUAAUAAAUAACUCGGCAAGACCGGGGUCGAACCACAGGGAGGUGAACUAUAUAAAUUAUAAAUAAUAAUAAUAAGAACAACAACAACAACAACAACGAUGAUGAUGGUGAUAGUGAUGAUGAGUUAAAGAGGACUUUGAGAUGUAAGAUUAAUGUGAAGAUUAAACAAUGAUAAAAAUAAAUGUCAAGGUUAGAGGAUUCACUAAUAGUAUUAGAGAUAAGUAAAGUAUAAACUCUUUAUAAAUUAUCAACAUGAUCAUAUUAAUCAUCUUAUUUACGUAACACCAUACUUAUAAAUUUUAUCAGGUAUUCAUGAUGCUAACGUAUGUUGACAGCAAAUCAAGUUCCUCUCAUAACAACGAUGUCGGCCGAAGACUAUUAAGGAUCAAGUAUUUGAUGUACCAAGUGUUAUACAACACAAAUCUAGAUUAACCAUUUAACAAGCAAGGUAUUAAGAGUUAAUAAGAUAAAAAUGAUAAGAUAUGUUAAUAGCAAACUUUCUUGGAUAUAAACAUUAAAGUCCAUGUUGAGUUUAUAUUAUACAUAUUCUAACAUCAUUAGUGAAACCUUUUCAGCUUGACAUAAUUAACUUAGCUAGACAUUAUGAAGAAGAAAAACAUAAAUAAACAAUAUAAGAACAUAAACAUGAUAUAAGUUAACUAAGUAUUGUUGUUACCCAUUUUUGGGUUCCCACAAAACAAAAUGAGAAAAUACAAAAAAAUAUAAAUCAAAAAAUAUUCGGAAGAAAUCCAAAAAAAUAAUAGGAGCUAGAAAAGGAUGCUGGAAUACCGAGAAAUGCCAAAAUUGGUUGAAGAGGUUCAAAAAUGCAAAAGGUUAAAAUUUGACAGUAUAUUUUUGACAGAUGAGAGCCCUGUUGACAAAGAAAAUUGAAGUUGAGGAAGAAAAGUCUAAAAUCAGAUGUUUAUGGACUCAAUUAAAUUUUAUCUAAGGUUUAAUUGAAUUUAUAGAGGGUUGGAUUGUACAAAAAUUGAUUUUUAAGUCAAUUUAGGCUUUUAUUGGAAGAAAUUAAAGUUCUGGGGUCCAAUUAUAAUUUUGAAAGAGUUGAUUUGGCCAAAUCAGGGGUUUAAUUGCAUAAUUAUUGAAGUUUGAUGACCAAUUAGGGACUUAAUUAAAAUAAUCCAAAACCAAGGACUAAACCGGAAAAGGCACUAAAAUCAAGGGAUCCAAUAACAAUUCAUCCGGGGGGCUUGAUUACAAAAUUGUGAAAACAGCCAAGGACCGAAUCAAAAAUAUUCAUUUGAAUUGUGAAACGGCGCCGUUUUCUUUGACACUAUUCAUCACCAUCUUUAAAGCAGCCGUUUCAGCAGACAAGAACCGCAAGAAGAAAAUGCCGCAGAUUGCUUGAUUUCUUCAGUUAUGGGACCGUUACCGAACGUCUUUAAUAUAAAAGAAAAAAACGCAUGCAGUUUUGGCUAUAAAAGGAGAGAAAAAGAACGAGACAGGGGAGACCAGGGAGAGGGAGUAGAGGUUACAUUGAGGAGAAAGCAAGAGGGAAACAGAGUAGGAGAACGUAAGAAAUAGGAGAGAGAGCGGAGAAAUAUUGAGUAAGCAAAAGGGGGAGCAGACGAAUCAAACCGAACGGACGUAGAGGAAACAGAAAGCAGAUAACACAGCACCAUCACCAUCUUCGUCUUCUCCAAACCAGGUAUGUUCGAUGUCCUUCUCAGUUCCUGUAUAACGAGUUGGUGCAUGUUUAGUAUGUAAAAGAAGAAAAGAAAACGUAAGGAAAUCAACGCUGCAAUCACUCUGUUUUUUCUGCCUUUUGUUCUGUUCCUAUAUUGAAAACAAGAUGAUGAACAGUGCGAAGGUAAUUUAAUUACCUUCGCACUGUUCAUGCACGCGUUAACUAUUACGCGUGCAUGGGGAAAGAUGGGCUGGUCACUGGCAUGUGCUAGUGACCAGGCUGGGCUGGUCAGGCCCAUCCCAGCUGCGCAGGUGGCUGGGUCCAGCCCCGCCACAUGGAUCGGGAUGGGCCCAACCCAAAUAAAAAAAAUAAAAAUAAAUGUUUCAAAAAUCUAUGAUUUUUUUGUUUUCUACGGUAUUUUAAUCAACAUCAGUUUGUUUUUUUAUACUGUAAAGAUACAACUUUGGUGUUAAAAUAUCCGGUUUUCGGCAAAACAUAAAUAAAUAAAUAAAAUAAAAUAAUUUGUUUUCAUGCAUACGGCCAAGUCUCUCAAAAAUAUAUCAUAUUGUAUUUUCAUAUAUAUAUAUACAAAAAAUAAAAAUUCAAAAUAUGUAUUAGCACGCAUUUUGGCUUUAAUAACCAGUUUAUUAAAGUCAUGAGAACUAGGCCAAUAUUUCAAAAUUUUCAAAAAAAAUUAUUUUGUUUUCUUUUAAUAUCUGGGGUUACAACCUUAUACGUAAGGCGUAUUCCGGAUAUUAAAAUUCUUUUGUUGACGCCAGAAUUACUCGAUAAGAUAAGGAUCUCCUUACUGAGGAGGACUUUUCUUAAACCAUAGACGGAUCAACAACUAGAAAACACGACCAGACCUUAGAUUUUAUCAGACAACAAAACAAUGCAGCUUACCUUAGGUAGGACGUAUUUGGGGUACUAAUACCUUCCCUUUACGCAACCAGUCUCCGUACCCGAUCUCUGAGACCAGUUAGGGUUCCUAGUGACCAAAAUACUAGGUGGCGACUCCCACUCUAUUUUUUCACUAAUAAAAGACAAGAAUUCCUUGUCUCCCCACUUUUGCCACAUUAGAUAAGUUUUGAGGGUGGAUGUUUUUCUCCGCGACGCUGCGCACGUGCGACAGAAUGACGACUCCACUGGAGACCUUGUGGACUAAGCUUUGUUUUUGUCUGAUAACUGUCUUUUGUUUAGUUUGCGUGUUUUCUGUUAAUAAGAUUAUUUUAUUUAUUUAUUUUACAUGCUUUAAUUUCCGUACAUAUAUGUUCAUGCAUUGUAUAUAACUGCCUCAUACAUCACAUUAAUGUUUUUUUAAAAAAACAAACACACACACAAGCUUCUAAGUUAGGUGGGGAAUUAGCAAUCUGCCCUAUGACUAUUGGUGAGGGUUCAGAUGCGUGAAACACCCAACUCAUAUCUGAGUGCCUGCUUGGUAAUGGUGGGCAUACGUGCCUUAACUGUUCCUUGCAAUGCCCCCACACUGUCUUUACGAAGAUCGUCACUGGGCAGAUAUGAGACCCUUUUGAGACUAGAUAGUCAACCAACCUUUUUGUCUCACUUAAUGAAUAUAACCUGUUCUUAAGUUGUGUGUUUUAGUUUUUGUUUUGCAUCAAAGUAAACCCUUCCUGAAGCAUCUUGAACUUAAGAAUUGUGGUUGACACAAUGGCCGUUACUUAGAAAAUUUUCGUUGUGGCGUAAAAAUCAAAAUUCUCAGGGUUACGACCACGUGUCAACUCUGGAAGGGCGAGCUCAUCAUAUAAGAAACAUAUUCAUACAUUUAUCAUACAUACCGUCAGGUUGAAACAUACGUCCCCCACCCAAGAUUUGCUACACCUGAAAGAUGGAAAAUGAAGAAAGAGCUCAAUUGGAGGCCCAUUAUCAAAAUGAAAUUGAGAGCAUCAAAGGUGAAGUAGCUAGACUUACAGAUCUGCUUGAACAAGUGCUGAGCUCAAAAAAUGGAAAAGGGAUUUUUGCACAACCUCCUGUGAAAACACCAUCAAUCCACGUCCCAGGGACAUCUCGAAACUUAGGGGCAGAUUCAACAGCAGAACAAUAUUUUGUGCAUAUCACCCCUAUCCCGUCAAGUCAAGCUCCCAUCACCUUUGAUUUAACAGCAGAUGGACCCCCUGGCAAUAGAUCCACUAAUUUUGUGAACUACGACAAGUUGUUUGCUUUGGAAGAAAGAUUAAGAGCAGUUGAGGGUAAUGAUUGGUUUGAUCCCAUGCGAGCAACUGAAGUGUGUUUGGUACCAAACAUCAUAGUACCAAAGAACUUUAGGAUACCAGAGUUCAUCAAAUACACUGGAUUGGAAUGUCCAAACACUCACCUUUGAUCUUACUGCAAUAAAAUGGCCGAGGUGAUUUAUGAUGAUAGGAUGCUGAUAUACUUUUUCCAAGAUAGUCUCACUGGAUCUAUUUUGAGCUGGUACAUUAGACUAGACAAUGUUAAGAUUAAGACAUGGAAAGACCUGGUAGACGCCUUCUUGAAGCAGUAUAAAUUUAAUCUGGAAAUUGCUCCUGACAGAACCAUCCUAAUGGCUAUAGAGAAGGAAAACCAAGAGUUUGUGCGGGCAUACGCGCAAAGAUGGCGAGAUAAGGCAACAUAUGUUCAACCUCCACUGAUAGAUACAAAAAUGGUGAUGUUGUUUGCCAACACCUUUCAAUCCCCUUAUUAUGAGCAUUUAAUAGGAAGCUCAGCUCAACAUUUCCAUGAAGUUGUGAGGAUUGCUGAAAGAAUUGAACAAGCUAUGAAGAGGGGAAAGAUUGAAGGUUCUGCUAUGAAUUCCAGAACAAUGAUGAGAGAUGACUCUGAAGGUGGAUGAACAAGAGGCAAGUUGAGCGUGUGAAAGGUGAUGUCAUUGGCUAUAUUAUCCCCCGAACAUCUUCAGAAUGACAAGUGAUCGAAAAUGCUUGCCAGAAAAGUUGGUCCAAGAAUGGCGAUGAAUUGUCAAUUAUAUUGUUAUGGAAUUUUGCCAUUUUGCAUUUUUAUUUUGGGAUCACAUCUCAUUCUUUAACGAAACAUGUCUUUUCUUUGUUUCUUUGUUGUUCUGAAGUCAGGAGAUGUUUAGCAUUUCAUUUUUGACAAAAUAUUUUGAUCGAACUCCAACAUGCAAUUAAGGCUAAUCAACCUAGACAGAUUAAUAGUAUUUUGAUUUCAGAAAUGACUCGAUGCUUGUUAAAAUGAUAUGGGGUGACCAAACAAAUUUUGAGCUCAUACAUGAAACUGAAUCACUCAUCAUGUAGCUAAGUUUUAGCAGUAUGCAUAAUGACAUGUAAUGGAUUCAGUAGUUAUAGACUCGCGAAUCAAGGUUCUUGCAAGUCCAAAUCAUUACACUGGACGAGGUCAAACUUUAUCGGUUAACACUGUCCUUGCUUGAAAUGAGAAAAGGCCAUCUUUGUUUUAUCCUUUCACAAUACUGGAAAUAUAUCAUUUGCAAUCCCAUUUUGAGCCUGAUAGAAUAUUUCUUUUUAAAAAAACCCUGACAAGGAUCACACCCCACACUGGGGGCAAAUAAGAGAUUUUUUUGGAGGAAGACAAAAGUGGAAUCAAUGGUAAAAGAAGGCUUAGAACAAAAGUGCAACUGUUGAGAGAGAGCUAAAAGAAAGAAAACCUAGACUGGGGGCAUAUUAGAAAACUGUGAGAAAGGCUAUGGAAAGUCAUAGAUAAAAAAAAAAAAAAAAGAAACCAUGAAAAUUGCCUACACUUAAAGGCAGAUCAAAGAUAAAGGAAGGAGUGCCUAUUAAGUCUAGGAAAGACAAAAGAAGUUUCACAACAAAUGUCAAAAGUCGAUACAAAAAAAAAUAAAAAUACUGGGCUACAAACAUGACUUUUGGCAUCCAUGAUAACGUUCCUGAUGUUAUCAGAUGAUUGAGAUUGGUUAUUCAUCAAAGAAAAAGUUGGAUUUGCAUUAUGACAUAUGUUAAGAGAAUUCUGAUAUUUGAGGUUAAUAAGGUUAUAUGUCGUUUUCUCUACAAAGACAACAAGAUAAAGAGAAAUGAUGAAUAGUUAAUGUUGAUCCUAGGUUUUUGAAACCCUCAAACACCUUUUGAGCCUGUAAAAUUCCUUUCUUUCAUAGUCAUAAACCACAGCCUACAUUAAGUGUUUUUAAAAGCCCUUUUCGAUUAAGUAAGCAAUUUGAACCGAUAAAUAGCGCUCUCAAAGCUUGAAGAGUUUUUUUUUUUUAUAAUGGUCGUGGCUUCAUGGAUUAAGCUACUUGUUAUUAUGCAUGCUGAUAAAAUAAGUGCAAAAAAAAAAACACCUUUCUUGAUAAAAGCCCGAGUUCUGACUUGAGCAUCUUGUUUCUUGAAAUUCACAAAAGGUCACCUCAUCACAGACCAUCAAAAGAUAUACCCAAGAUCAGAGAUUAAAAUUGACACAAAGAACCAUGGAAAAAAGCCAUUUUAAUCUUUUGACGAGUCAAUUUCUGUUUUCAAAAUACAAGAUAAUCAAAGGACUACAUGUAUUGAAUGACGUAUGUUGGGCCUUUGACCAAAGAAGCUUGAAUUUCAAAAAUACUUAAAAACAAAAACUGACAUCUCUCUGAUUUCAUUUCAACAAUUAGACUUUGAAAUAGACAUGAUCUUUGAAAUAUGAGAGUUGAUUCCCGAACAAGAAAGAUUGUCAAACAAAAAGAGCACCGAUCGAGUUUGCAAAAUCUUGACAGAAGUGACAUCAAUACUUCUCAAUACUUCUUAAAAAGUUGAGCAGCUGGGGGCAAUACAGUGGACUGAGAAGGAAAAACAAGUUGUAUUUAGAUGACCUAGAGGGAAUAAAAAAAAAAUGAUGAUUAAAUGAUGAAUAUGUGAAGCUGAGGACAAUGGUGUUGAAAGGAAGAUAAUCAGAUGAAUGAGCACUAGAGGCAAGUCAAUGGCUGAUUAGCAAUUUAAAGAUGAGGACAACACUAGAAAACCUCCUGAUGAGUGCUGAUAGGAUGCACACAGCUAAUCAAAGAACGAUUCUCAAAAGAAUCCAGGGGAUGAAAUGAUUUGUUGAGCUCCUUCAUGAUGAAUUUAGAGGGGCGCCAAGAUCAGGUUCCCAAGAUAAUCAAGUUCCUGGUUGAAACUAGAUUGCGGUAAAGAUAGAAUUUCAGAUCAACCAAGUUUUAAGAAGAUCAAGAUUGAAAGUUUAGUUUUGUUUAUCUUUACAAAACUUACUACGCAAAGUCUUUGCUCCGUAAGCAUUGUAAAGAGGGGGCAUCUGUUGUUACCCAUUUUUGGGUUCCCACAAAACAAAAUGAGAAAAUACAAAAAAAUAUAUAUCAAAAAAUAUUCGGAAGAAAUCCAAAAAAAUAAUAGGAGCUAGAAAAGGAUGCUGGAAUACCGAGAAAGGCCAAAAUUGGUUGAAGAGGUUCAAAAAUGCAAAAGGUUAAAAUUUGAUAGUAUAUUUUUGAUAGAUGAGAGCCCUCUUGACAAAGAAAAUUCAAGUUGAGGAAGAAAAGUCUAAAAUCAGAUGUUUAUGAACUCAAUUAAAUUUUAUCUAAGGUUUAAUUGAAUUUAUAGAGGGUUGGGUUGUAAGAAAAUUGAUUUUUAAGUCAAUUUAGGCUUUUAUUGGAAGAAAUUAAAGUUCUGGGGUCCAAUUAUAAUUUUGAAAGAGUUGAUUUGGCCAAAUCAGGGGUUUAAUUGCAUAAUUAUUGAAGUUUGAUGAUCAAUUAGGGACUUAAUUGAAAUAAUCCGAAACCAAGGACUAAACCGGAAAAGGCACUAAAAUCAAGGGAUCCAAUUACAAUUCAUCCAGGGGGCUUGAUUACAAAAUUUUCAAAACAGCCAAGGACCGAAUCGAAAAUAUUCAUUUGAAUUGUGAAACGGCGUCGUUUCCUUUAACACUAUUCAUCACCAUCUUCAAAGCAGCCGUUUCAGCAGACAAGAACCGCAAGAAGAAAAUGCCGCAGAUUGCUUGAUUUCUUCAGUUAUGGGACCGUUACCGAACGUCUUUAAUAUAAAAUAAAAAAACGCAUGCAGUUUUGGCUAUAAAAGGAGAGAAAAAGAACGAGACAGGGGAGAAAAGGGAGAGGGAGUAGAGGUUACAUUGAGGAGAAAGCAAGAGGGAAACAGAGAAAAGGGAGAGGGAGUAGAGGUUACAUUGAGGAGAAAGCAAGAGGGAAACAGAGUAGGAGAACGUAAGAAAUAGGAGAGAGAGCGGAGAAAUAUUGAGAAAGCAAAAGGGGGAGCAGACGAAUCAAACCGAACGGAAGUAGAGGAAACAGAAAGCAGAUAACACAACACCAUCACCAUCUUCGUCUUCUCCAAACCAGGUAUGUUCGAUGUCCUUCUCGGUUCCUGUAUAACGAGUUGAUGCAUGUUUAGUAUGUAAAAGAAGAAAAGAAAACGUAAGGAAAUCAACGCUGCAAUCACUCUGUUUUUUCUGCUUUUUGUUCUGUUCCUAUAUUGAAAACAAGAUGAUGAACAGUGCGAAGGUAAUUUAAUUACCUUCGCACUGUUUAUGCACGCGUUAACUAUUACGCGUGCAUGGGAAAAGAUGGGCUGGUCACUGGCAUGGGCUAGUGACCAGGCUGGGCUGGUCAGGCCCAUCCCAGCUGCGCAGGUGGCUGGGUCCAGCCCCGCCACAUGGGUCGGGAUGGGCCCAACCCAAAUAAAAAAAUAAAAAUAAAUGUUUCAAAAAUCUAUGAUUUUUUUUACGGUAUUUUAAUCAACAUCGGUUUGUAUUUUUAUACUGUAAAGAUAGAAGUUUGGUGUUAAAAUACCCGGUUUUUGGCAAAACAUAAAUAAAUAAAUAAAUAAAAUAAUUUGUUUUCAUGCAUUCUCUCAAAAAUAUAUCAUAUUGUAUUUUCAUAUAUAUAUAUAUAUAUAUAUAUAUAUAUAUAUAUAUAUAUAUACAAAAAAUAAAAAUUCAAAAUAUGUAUUAGCACGCAUUUUGGCUUUAAUAACCAGUUUAUUAAAGUCACGAUAACUAGGCCAAUAUUUCAAAAUUUUCAAAAAAAAUUAUUUUGUUUUCUUUUAAUAUCUGGGGUUAUGACCUUAUACGUAAGGCGUAUUCCGGAUAUUAAAAUUCUUUUGUUGACGCCAGAAUUACUCGAUAAGAUAUGGAUCUCCUUACUGAGGACUUUUUUUAAACCAUAGACGGAUCAACAACUAGAAAACAUGACCAGACCUUAGAUUUUAUCAGACAACAAAACAAUGCAGCUUACCUUAGGUAGGACGUAUUUGGGGUGCUAAUACCUUCCCUUUACGCAACCAGUCCCCGUACUCGAUCUCUGAGACCAGUUAGGGUUCCUAGUGACCAAAAUACUACGUGGCGACUUCCACUCUAUUUUUCCACUAAUAAAAGACAAGAAUUCUUUGUCUCCCCACUUUUGCCACAUUAGAUAAGUUUUGAGGGUGGAUGUUUUUCGCCGCGACGCCGCACACGUGCGACAGAAUAGUAAAGGAAAUGAAAAGCAUGAACAAGAGAUUAAGGAAAGCAAAACUUAAGCAUUACAAAAAUAUAAAGAGAGAGAGCAAGAACAUGAUCUUGAUCUGAAGAACCAUUUUGCCUUCUAGAACUCCAGAUAUGGGUAAAAUUCUGAGCAGUGUUUGGGCUGGAUUGUAGGACAGAUUCUGACUUCUCUUUUGUGGCCAAACUUUGAAUUUGAAAACAGCAGAUUUGGGUCUUACACUAUUCAUGAACAUUGUAGGCCUAUUUCUUAGCUUUCUAUUCAUAUAAAUCAAACUGAAAUCCAAGAUCUAUAGCUCUAGAUAUGACCCAAUAACUGAACAGUGUUCCAAUUUGAAUUGAAUCGGUAUCUCCUUUCUAAGCUUAGCCUUUUCUUUGUCCUUUCACUUUCAAUAGUUAAUCACAUCAAUCAAUCCUUUGAAUUGUAAGAUAUGCCUGCAUUUAAAUGAGCAUUUACCAUAAAUUAAAGCCAUCUUAUAUUAUCAGACUUGUUAUUAUAAAACAUGCUCUAGUUAAGGAGUUAUUGAUACUUCAAGUGCAAAAUGAUGAUAUAAAACCUUGAUAAAAAUGCACUUUUACGUACUAAUCACACCCCUCAACCAGCUUAUUACUAGUCCCUAGUAAUCAAAGCGUUAAAAUAGAAAAACAAUUUGCAAGUUCCACAAAGCAAGGCAUUCAUCAUUUAACUUCUAUUAAUCUAUCCAAGUAAACAAACUCUCAUUAAAUUUAUAUAUAUCUGCUCAAUACCUCUUAAACAAAAUAUUAAUAAACCUUCUGUUUUAUGUGCUCAAUGUAUGAAAACAUAGAUGAUGGGGCUUUUAUUGGAAGAAAACAAUAUUAUGUUCUAAUGUUUAAGGUUAACUUCCUUGGGUUGAGGUUAUUAUCUUUUUUUUUCUCUUUUUUUCUUUUUUUUAUAUCUAUAUAUACAUAUAACUUAAAACACAAUGCUUCUUUAACCCAUGUAACGAGCUUUCGGCUAAUGACUCCCAGACUAGUUGGUCUUAGGGCAUUAGGUGUUAAGGCACCCCUUCGAGCUUAAUAACUCGUGUUGCAGAGACUGAUACGUAGAUAUUGCAAUGUUUGAUUCCCUUAAGCUUUUCUCCUCAACCCAUGUAGCAAGCAUUGGGCCAAUAGCUCCCAAGUCAGUUGACUUUAGACUUUAGGGUAUUAGGUGUUAAAACACCCCUUCGAGCUUAAUUGCUUAGAUUAGGGAGGCUACGAAACCAAACUUAUCUACGUUUUUUUUUUGCAAAUUAUAUACUAUCCCUUUCCCUUAGUUGUUACCUUUAACAAAAGAACAUAUAUAAUGUAAUAAUCCAAUGUGCGAUCCACAAUCAUAUGUUAAAGUGUGUGUGUGAAAAUGAAGGUUUAAAAAUACUUGUUAAAUUAGUAUAUAAGCAGAAUCAAUUGAUAAUAAUGCGAGAGUUUGUAAACCUGAAUAUUUCAAGAAGUAUUAUGAUAGACCUUGUUAAAAAUGUUUACUAAGACGCGUCUCAAGAGUCACUUUAACAAAAGAACUCCUUAUCUCUGCCAUCUUAGUAACAACGAUUUUGCAAAUAGAAAACACAGUAAGUUAAUUUUUUUUUAAGUAUCGACUACCCUUUCCCCCCAACCAAAACGAGACAUUGUCCUCAAUGUCCUAAGGUAGAAAGAUAGAGUAUAGAAGACAUCACCUGAAACAACGAACACUGACAAACCUGAAACACACUUAAACAAAUAUAAGAAAUAACAAAACAAAAUAAUAUGCUAUUAAUAAAACCAAAAGACACAAGGUUUCACAAACGAAGGCUCAAAUCCAAUCUAAGUGUUUUAUAGCUUUCCUUAGUUGACCAAUUUAUGCGACUCAUGGAGGGAUCAAUUAUAGGGAUGAAAGAUUGUAGUUGGUUAAUCAAUUGUUCAGCAGUAGCAGCAGAGAUUAUGAUUUGUCGUGCUGAAGAUGUUAUAAAUUCCUGUUCCACAACUUGAUCAAGAAAAGACAACAAUUUAUCAUAAAAACCAUUAACAUUUAACAAACCUAUAGGUUUAUGGUGAAUGUGCAGUUGGGCCCAAGAGGAAAUAUGAAAGAUCUCUUCUAAUGUGCCCAGACCACCUGGUAAGGCAAUGAAGGCAUCAACGUGUUUAAACAUUGUAUUCAGUCGAUCAGACAUUGUGGAGACCUAUAGUUCCUCUCCAAUUGUUUUUCCAAGGAGGUCCUCUUUUGCUAAAGAUUUGGGGACGACCGCCAAAACUUGACUGCCUUCUAAAAAUACAGCUAUUGACACACCCCUCAUUAACCCAAGGCUGCCUUCUCCAUACACUAAAUGAAUCUUUCUCUCAGCUAAUACCUGACCAAGAUGAUUUGUUGAUUCUAAAAACUCAUUUUCUUUCCCAGGACAGGAUCCACCGAAAACACAAAUAUUUCUUAUUUGAGGACUUGAGGAACCUGUCAUUUCUACACACUUUGAUAUCUGUUGAAUGUGUGGGUUAAGUAGAAAUGAAGGGAAAGAAGAGAAGAUUUUAUAGAUGAGAAAUUGAAAAUGCAAUCAUAUCACCUAUAUAUAGGCCAACUGGAGUCUCUCUCUCUUUUUAUUUUUAUUUUUAUUUUUUUAAAAAAAUAUGUAUGUACAAGCAGUUGUGAUUGUGGCUCACUUCUUCCCUGGUUUUACGUCCAAGAACGGCUUAAACGCCCUCUAUGGGUCGGGGAUAUGCUUCCCAUCCAGUUUUCUUAAAAACUGGCAGACAGGGUCUUUUUUAGUCAGAUUCCCAAGACUAUGUCGACAUGUUCUUUUUGGAAUUGUGGCCAUAAAUCAUGAAUUGCACAAUGCACAUCUCCACUAGGGUGCGUCUUAAGAGUCAAUAGAAGAUUAUCUAAAGACCCCUUACUCAGGCCAUCCUUAAUGAACUGUAUUUUAUCUUCACGGUUUACAGAUACCAUUCCUAAAGAACAACAUUUUGCAUUACAAGUCCAUCUAGCAUAUUUGUGAUAGACUUUCAGUCGUUUUGCACGACGUUUCUUUGCAAAAGUGCUUUUACCUGUUCCAGGCAUGUAUGAAAUGAAAGAAUUGGAGGACUCACCUGAUAAUCGGACCUUUGCUUCAAUUAGCCAGCGAAUAUCUUCAGGAAUUCCAUGGUUCAUUAACAAUCUCAAUCUUUCACACCUAUCACGGUAAAUUUUUGUAAUUGCAUUUUGAGGCAGAGCGGGAAAAUACUUUUUCAAUUUUUCAAGAGCGAUGUCCAUUUUUUUAGAUGAGAAGUGGAAAAGAGAUGCAAAGAAGGGAGAAAGAGCAACGAAGUGCACAAAUAUAUACACAGAUAUCAGUUAUCAUGGGAAACUGAAAGAACCGACUUAAGAGUCACGGAGUACCGUUAUCCACCAUUUGACCGGGGUGAGAGAGACUAGCAAAACAAAGGUCACACAAAAAAGAAACACAAAAGCAACGUGAGAAAAAAAAAUCAAUCUUUAUAUACAGGAUCACCUAAUUCAAUAGAGUCAUUUUCAACUGAAAAAUUGUCAAAGUAAACUUUCAAACGAUGUCCAUUUACCUUGAAAACAUUACCAUUCUUUGGAUUCUUGAUAUCACAUGCCCCAUAUGGAUACACAUGUUUCACAAUAAAAGGACCACUCCAUCUUGAUCUUAGUUUUCCAGGAAAUAAAUGGAGUCGAGAAUUAUAAAGCAAGACUUUUUGACCAACAUUGAAUGUUUUUCUCAGUAUUUUCUUGUCAUGAAACUCUUUGAUUCUUGCUUUAUGAAUUCUUGCAUUUUCAUAUGCAUCAUUUUUUAUUUUCUCAAGCUCAUUUAUUUGUAAUUUUCGCAGCUGACUAGCAUCAUCAAGGUUUGAAUUGAAAGCUUUAAUAGUCCAAUAAGCUUUAUGUUCAAGUUCCACAGGCAAGUGACAAGGUUUUUCAUAGACUAGUCUAUAAGGUGACAUACCUAAUGAUGUUUUAUAAGCAGUUCGAUAAGCCCAAAGUGCAUCAUUAAGUCUUAAAGACCAGUCUUUCCUAUUAGGGUUCACUGUUUUCUCCAAGAUCUGUUUGAUCUCCCUAUUAGCAAGUUCUACUUGUCCACUUGUCUGAGGGUGAUAAGGGGUGGCAACUUUGUGUGUGAUUCCAUAUUUCUUCAUUAAAGACUCAAAUGACUUGUUGCAGAAAUGUGUUCCACCAUAACUUAUCAUGGCUCGAGGAAUUCCAAAUCGACUCGAGAUAUUUUCUUUCAAAAACUUUAUCACUGUUUUGUGAUCAUUGUUUUGACUUGGAAUUGUCUCUAUCCAUUUUGAAACAUAAUCUACUGCGACUAAUAUGUGCAAGAAACCAAAUGAUGGAGGAAAUGGACCUAUGAAAUCUAUACCCCAACAGUCAAAGAUCUCAAAGAAUAGGAUCUAAAGGCAUCAUGUGACGUUUUGAAAUAGAUCCCAACUUUUGAUAAUUUUCACAAGUCUUGCAGAAUGCAUGCGUGUCCUUGAACAUGGUGGGCUAGUAAAAUCCACUUUGUAAGAUUUUUGCAGUUGUCUUUCUUGAUGAGAAAUGACCCCCACAUGCCUCAGAAUGAUAAAAUUUAAUGACACUACUUACCUCAUUGUCAGGAAUGCAUCUUUGAAAUAUUUGAUCAGGACAAUAUUUGAAUAAAUAAGGGUCAUCCCAAUAAAAGUUCUUCACUUCGUUCAAGAACUUUCUUUUGUCUUGGGUGCUCUAAUGAGCUGGCAAAUGUCCUGAAACAAGAAAAUUAACAAUAUUAGCAAACCAAGGCAUUGUAGCAACAUAAAGUAAAUAUUCAUCAGGAAAGUAAUCAUUGUUUUGUGUGAUGUCAGAUGUGGAAUCUAUUGUCAAUCUUGACAUAUGAUCCGCGACAACAUUUUCGGUGCCUUUCUUAUCUUUGAUUGUGAUAUCAAAUUCUUGAAGUAACAAAAUCCAUCGUACCAAUCUAGCUUUAGAAUCCUUUUUUGAAAGAAGAUAUUUCAAAGUUGCAUGAUCAUUAAAAACAAGAACAGGUGAGCCAACAAGAUAAGAUCUGAACUUGUCACAUACAAAUACUAUUGCAAGUAAUUCCUUUUCAGUGGUAGUGUAAUUCAUUUGAGCAUUAUUUAAAGUUUUACUUGCAUAGUAAAUCACAUAGGGUUUCUUAUCUUUUCUUUGUCCUAAGACAGCACCUACGACAUAAUAACUAGCAUCACACAUUAUUUCAAACGGUAAUGAACAAUCAGGAGGUUGAAUGACAGGAGCAGAAGUAAGCAAGUUUUUAAGUUUAACAAAGGCUUCUUCACAUUAUUCAGUCCAUUCAAAAACAUUCUCCUUUGUUAGAAGGUUACACAAUGGCUUAGAUAUGACACUAAAAUCUUUGAUGAACCUUCUAUAAAAACCAGCAUGUCCUAAGAAUGAUCUAACAUCUUUAACAGAUUUUGGUGUUGGCAAGUUGGCAAUUAACUCGAUUUUAGAUUUGUCAACCUCAAUUCCUUUCGAUGAAACAAUGUGACCAAGUACAAUGCUGUUUGUUACCAUAAAAUAACAUUUUUCCCAAUUCAGCACAAGAUUCUUCUCUUCACACCUGUUCAAAACCUUUUCUAAGUUAGUCAAACAAUCAUCAAAUGAAUCGCUAAAAACAGAAAAAUCAUCCAUAAAAAUUUCAAGAAAACAUUCAACUAUAUCACUGAAUAUGCUAAACAUGCAUCUUUGAAACGUGGCUGGUGCAUUACAUAAUCUAAAAGGCAUCCUUCUAUAUGCAAAAGUUCCAAAUGGACAUGUGAAAGUAGUCUUCUCUUGAUCUUCCAAUGCAAUUUCAAUUUGGUUGUAACCUGAAUAGCCAUCUAGAAAACAAUAAAAUUCAUGACCUGCAACUCUUUCUAGGAUUAGAUCCAUGAAAGGUAAAGGGAAAUGAUCUUUUCUAGUCAUUGAAUUAAGUUUCCUAUAGUCAAUGCACAUGCGCCAACCAGUAAUAGUCCUAGUUGGAAUUAACUCAUUUUUCUCAUUUGUUAUCACAGUGACUCCAGACUUCUUGGGUACAACUUGGGUAGGACUUACCCAUUUGCUGUCAGAAAUAGGAUAAAUGAUUCCAUUAUCUAGAAGCUUAAUGACUUCAUUCCUCACUACUUCUUUCAUAUUAGGAUUAAGCCUUCGUUGGAUUUCUCUAAAGGGUUUAGCAUUUUCCUCCAAAUAAAUCCUGUGUGUGCAAAUCAAAGGACUAAUUCCUUUUACAUCAGCUAUGGUCCAUCCUAAUGCAUUUUUGUGCAUUUUUAGAGUUUGUAAUAACUUACCUUCUUGAUGUGCAUUAAGUUUGGAAGAGAUUAUUACCGGAAAAGUUUCAUUUUCUCCCAAAAAUGAGUAUUUGAGAUUGAAUGGUAACGGCUUCAAAUCAGGUUUUGGUGGUUGAACACUUGAAGGUAUAGACUCAAUUGAUCGUGGUGGCAAUUCUUCAAUUUGUGGUCUCCAAUUACUUGCCUUUGAUUCUUCCUGAAAAUAAACCAUUUGCAAAUUCUCAGAUUCAUUAAACUCAAUUUCACUAAAAAUAGUUUCAAAUUGAUCAUGAACUAAUUUUUCAAUAAAGUCCACUUCCUGUAAAUCAUUAUUAUCUCCAGGUUGCUUGCAAAUGUUGAAAAUAUUCAUCUCCAAUGUCAUGUUUCCAAAUGAUAACUUCAUCAGUCCAUUCCUACAAUUAAUCAAUGCAUUAGAAGUUGCAAGAAACAGACGUCCUAAAAUAACAGGAAUUGAAUUACAUGCUUCAACAGGUUGUGUAUCCAAGACAAUAAAAUCCACAGGAUAAAUGAAUUUAUCAACUUGUACUAACACAUCUUCAACUAUUCCUCUAGGCACUUUUACAGAUCUAUCGGCAAGUAAAAGAGUUACAGAAGUUGGUUUUAACUCACCUAGAUUGAGACUCUGAAAGACUGAAUAUGUAAGUAAAUUCACACUAGCUCCAAGAUCAAGUAAAGCUCCUUCAAUUUUAUGUUCUCCAAUAAAGCAAGAAAUUGUAGGACAACCAGGGUCUUUAUAUUUCAAAGCAUUAUUGUUCUGAAGAAUGACACUUACUUGUUCGGCUAAAAAGGCUUUCUUUUUCACAUUCAGUUUUCUCUUCACAGUGCACAGAUCUUUUAAAAAUUUAGCAUAAGAAGGUACCUGUUUAAUAGCAUCUAACAAAGGUAUAUUGAUCCUUACCUGUUUGAAAGUUUCAAAGAUUUCAGAGUUGUGAUUGGUUUUCCUUUGUUUGGUCAUGGCAUGAGGAAAUGGAAGUGCUGGCGGGGAAUCAAUCUUUUCUUUGCAAUGUUCAGAUUCAACCCCUUCCUUACCCUCGGAGAUUAACUCAUCAUCUUUCUCACAAGGUUCAAGAGUGGGUUUUUCAAUAACCUUACCACUACGAAGAGUGAUGACUGAUUUGACUUGAUCCAUGUGUUGGCUUCCAGAACUACUUGCAUUUACAUUGUAUUGCCCAUUGGGAUUUUGCUGUGGUUGAGAUGGAAACUUACCUUUUUCUUGAAAACUGAGAGCAGAUGUGAAUUUUGCAAGAGCAUCUUUUAGAUCUGCCAUGGUUUGAGCAUUUUGAGUGUUGAUUGUCUCAUGCUUUUCAAUGAAUGCAUGCAAUGUUUCCUCAAGAUUUCUUCUAGGAGGUGGAGCAUAAGGAGGUGCAUAUCCAUGAGAAUUUUGGAAAUUAUGGUGUGCUUGAAACGGUGGCUGUGAAGUUUGUGUAUUAUUGUUACCACUCUUCCAACUGAAAUUUGGAUGAUUUCUCCAACCAGGGUUGUAUGUUUGUGAGUACGGGUUAUGAUUGGGCCUUUGGAAACUGUUUAAAGCAUGGGCUUGUUCAUGGAGGCAUUCCUUGAAAGAAGGCAAAGUUGGACAGUCAUUGUUUGCAUGUUCAUUCAUUUCACAGAUUUGACACACAAUGUCUUGAAUAGAUUUUAAUUGACCACUCUUUUUAAAUUCAAGUGCCUCGACUUUUCUAGCUAAAGAUGCAAAUUUGGCUUGGAGGUCAUGAUCUUCCCUAAGGUUGUACAUACCUCCACUAGAUGUAUGAGGUUGAGUUUUACCUGGUGCCUCAUAAGUACCUGUAGUGUCCCAAUUUUGAGCAUUUUCAGUUAGCAAGUCUAGGUACUCCAUUGCUUCAUCAGGGUCUUUAUUUUCAAAAGUUCCAUUGCACAUCAAUUCCACCAUUUGCCUAUCUUUAGGUGUUAACCCUUCAUAAAAAUAUGAAACCAAUCUCCAUGUUUCAAAACCAUGAUGAGGACAAGUAUUAAGCAAGUCUCGAUACCUAUCCUAACAUUGGUAAAAUGUUUCUCCUGGUUUUUGAGUGAAAGUGGUGAUUUGUCUUUUGAAAGAGUUUGUUCUGUGAGAUGGAAAAAACUUCUUUAAAAAUUGUUGUUGAAUUUCAUCUCAAGCACGAAUGGAUCCUGACCUAAGAUUUUGUAGCCACGUUUUAGCUUUAUCUUUUAAUGAAAAAGGAAAAAGCUUUAAUCUGAUGGUGUUCAUGCUACAAUUUAAGUCAUUAUAGGUGUUACAGACUUCUUCAAAUUCUCUCAAAUGCAAGUAUGGAUUUUCUAGAUCUAAGCCAUGAAAAGAAGGUAAAAGUUAAAUAAUGCCUAGCUUAAAAUUAAAAUGAGAUGCAUUAGAAGGGAAAACUAUACAUGAGGGUGCACUUGUUCUUGUUGGAUUCAUGUGGUCUCUUAGUGUUCUAACUCGAUUAUUCUCAUUAUUCUCAUUAUGAAGUGAUUGGUUAUCUGCUUCGACCAUAUUUUCUGAAAAUGAUGAGGAUACCCCACAAAGUCUACCACUUAAUGUACGUGACCAAACUCUCAUGCACGUGUAAGAAGAGAAUAAAAGGAAGAAGAAAACAAAAGUUAGAUACAAGAAAAGUGAAAAGUGAAAAUAAAAUAAAUAUUAUAAUUUAUACAAGAAUUUACCUCAACGGCAACGACGCCAAAAACUUGACACGAUCAAAGAGUUGAUGUCUUAUCCCAAGUGCAAGAGUGUCAAAGUAAUAAAUAACCCGACAAGACCGGGGUUGAACAAUAGGGAGGUGAACUAUAUAAAUUAUAAAUAAUAAUAAUAAUAAUAAUAACAACAACAACAAUGAUGAUGGUGAUGGUGAUGAUGAGUUAAAGAGGACUUUGAGAUAUAAGAUUAAUGUGAAGAUUAAACAAUGACAAAAACAAAUGUCAAGGUUAGAGGAUCCACUAAUAGUAUUAGAGACAAGUAAAGUAUAAACUCUUUAUAAAUUAUCAACAUGAUCAUAUUAAUCAUCUUAUUUACAUAACACCAUACUUAUAAAUUUUAUCAGGUAUUCAUGAUGCUAACUUAUGUUGACAACAAAUCAAAUUCCUUUCAUAACAACGAUGUCGGCCGAAGACUAUGAAGGAUCAAGUAUUUGAUGUACCAAGUGUUAUACAACACAAAUCUAGAUUAACCAUUUAACAAGCAAGGUAUUAAGAAUUAAUAAGAUAAAAAUGAUAAGACAUGUUAAUAGCAAACUUUCUUGGAUAUAAACAUUAAAAUUCAUGUUGAGUUUAUAUUAUACAUAUUCUAACACCAUUAGUGAAACCUUUUCACCUUGACAUAAUUAACUUAGCUAGACAUUAUGAAGAAGAAAAACAUAAAUAAACAAUAUAAGAACAUAAACAUGAUAUAAGUUAACUAAGUAUAGUAAAGGAAAUGAAAAGCAUAAACAAGAGAUUAAUGAAAGCAAAACUUAAGCAUUACAAAAAUAUAGAGAGAGAGCAAGAACAUGAUCUUGAUCUGAAGAACCAAGAUUCCUAAAUGAAUGGCAAAUGCCUCCUUUUAUAGGCUAAAAUUCAGAACUAUUCAUUUGGUAAUUGAUUAUUGAUGUAGUGGCCAAUUAUUAAUUUAGUGGACUUGGUGGACAACAACACUCAAACAUUUUGGCGGGAUGAAAUGACAUUGAUGUAAUCAGAAUUUGGCAAAGUGUUCUUCAUGACAGUUGUUGGCAAUCAUCUUAUCUUUCCACCCAUACAAUUUCAGAGCAUUUGGAUCGCUAGAGCUCGAGAUAUGGCUAAAAUACUGAGUAGUGUUGCUGGUGGACAUGGUGGAUAGCCCUCAAGCUCUUGUCUGGAUAAACUGUCAUUGUUACCAUCAGAAUGUGAGCAGGUCUUCUUCAUGAAAGUUGUUGGCAAUUGUCUUUUCCUUCCACCCACCACAUUUCAUGUCAUUGUGCCUUCUAGAACUCCAGAUAUGGGUAAAAUUCUGAGCAGUGUUUGGGCUGGAUUGCAGGACAGAUUCUGACUUCUCUUUUGUGGCCAAACUUUGAAUUUGAAAACGGAAGAUUUGAGUCUUACACUAUUCAUGAACAUUGUAGGCCUAUUUCUUAGCUUUCUAUCCAUAUAAAUAAAACUAAAAUCCAAGAUCUACAGCUCCAAAUAUGACCCAAUAACUGAACAGUGUUCCAAUUUGAAUUGAAUCGGUAUCUCCUUUCUAAGCUUAGCCUUUUCUUUGUCCUUUCACUUUCAAUAGUUAAUCACAUCAAUCAAUCCUUUGAAUUGUGAGAUAUGUCUGCAUUUAAAUGAGCAUUUACGAUAAAUUAAAGCUAUCUUAUAUUAUCAUAUUUGUCAUUAUAAAACAUGCUCUAGUUAAGGAGUUAUUGAUACUUCAAGUGCACAAUGAUGAUAUAAAACCUUGAUAAAAUGCACUUUUAAGUACUAAUCACCUAAUUAUUUAUACACAACACAAAUUCACCUAGGACAGGGCACUUGACAAAGUUGCGAGGAGGGUGUGGGAAAAUCACGCGGCAACUAGGUAACAUCGAAAACAAUACAAGAUGUUUUUAGAAAAAAAUUUAUGUUUCAAAAUCUAAUUUCUCGCUAUGGUAGUAGGUUGCGUGAUUUUGGGUAUGAAUCACAAAAAAUGGCAAAAACAAUCGCGAGAGAUAAGGGUCUCCAAGGCUGGAACGACGUGGCGGUUUGAAGGGAUUUCAAACCAAUAUACAUCCCGACAAAUAUAUGGCCGCACUAUCUUGAGCACAUGACAUCUGAGCGGUUCACAUGACGCUCACAGUCCAGUGCUGGCAACCAGAAUCGGCCAAUUCAUGGCUUGGUGACAACGCACACCGGCGGCUCUGUUCCGUUUGCUGCACAUGCGAAACAGAUGGUAAGAUUAAUUUAAAUGAAAUAUAUUGUUAAAUUAAUUUGUUGUUAAUUAAUUUUUUUCAUUAUAGGCUACGUCUCUUGGACGUGAGCUGAGCCUAAUGGAGCUGUUUGUUGAGACGCACGUGUGGAGUCAAAACUGCCAAAAAGGGGCGCAACAGUUUGUUGACAACCAUGCUCAACACCUUUGUGGUAUGUUUGUUCAACCAUUUUAUUUUGUAAGUUAUUAUUUUUAUUGAAUUGAAUAUGAUGAUUACUUUUUUCAUUUUCAGGAGACCUAUAAUAGCCGGUUGAGGGAGAUAUAUGGGGAUGAUCCUUCGACCCAUCCGGAAUUCGAUUCGGAUUUGUGGAUGGAUGUUGGAUCGUCCGGUGGACCCGAUAAAAAUUGGUUUUACAGACAGAAGCUUGGUGCAAAUUUCACAAUCACCGAUGCCUUAACCGACGGAAAUAUUCUGUCGGUAGUUCACACUCACCGACAGAAUAAAAUCCGUCGGUAUAUUUCAAGCGGGAAAUUAUUUUUUUUGGCGUGUAAUUUCCGUCUGUAAAACCAUCGGCAAUUUUUUUUUACCGAUGAAUUUAGCGAUGAAAUCAGGCAUUACCAACAAAAGGAAAGCCAACGGCAUGUUUCCGUCGGUGAAGGCAUCGGUAAAAAAAUUACCGAUGAACUAUGAAUCAUAUACUGACGGAAUAUUGUCGUCGAUAAAACUGUGAAAUCUUGUAGUGUCUAUUUUGCCAUCAUCCCUCUUAUUCUUCUUAGGGCGGACAAGGUUUUUUUUUUUUUUGCUUUUGUCCCUCAUUUGUUUAUAUAUUUUCAGUUUAGUCCCCUCAUCAAGUCUUUCCCACAUUAGGUCCUAAUUUCUCCUUAUUCACUUAUGUGUGUUUCAUACUUCAAGUUAGAGCUCUUGUCUGUUACCAAUAGGUUCCUCUCUAUUUACUAAAUCUCAUGUGUCUAUUUUUAAGGGUUUACCAAAAAAUACCCAUAAAUGCAUGCUUUUUUUUUUUGUCUUUUUCUAGGUGUGAAGAUAUUUUUUUACUAUAUUCUAAGAAACUAAAAGACAAACAAAACUAUUAGUAAACAAUUCUAUUUUUUUUAUGGUGGUGAAAAUAAUUCAUUUUACUGUUUAGAAAAAUUAGAAAAGAUAAAUAUAACCUUUAUGAAUUUUCUAAUAAUUAAUGAGCCAUUGAAAAAUGAUAAAAUUUCUCCUAGCACUAAGGCUACCGUAACAAUCAACGAUAAUCUAUAAAGUGUAAUAAAAAAAAAUCCCCCCACCCUGUGUUGGGGUAAAUAAUUCAUUUUACUGUUUAGAAAAACUAGAAAAGAUAAAUAUACCCUUUAUUGAUUUUCUAAUAAUUAAUGAGCCAUUAAAAAAAGAGAAAUUUGCUCCUAGGCUACUGUAACAAUCAACGAUAAUCUAUAAAGUGUUUGAGAAUGUGGUUACAGUUACUUUUCAAAAUGUUUUUCACUCGAAAAUGCAUCAAAACAACUUUAGAUUGAUGUGGGUGCUGGUGUCAUAGAUGCUGAUUAUAGAGGCCAUGUUGGGGUUAUCAAUCUAAUGUUGAUUUCGAGGUAAAGGUUGGCGAUAGAAUUGCGCAGUUGAUUCUUGAGAAAAUUGUAACUCCUGAUGUCAUGGAAGUCAAGGAUUUGGAUGCAACUGUGAGAGGUGUUGGAGGGUUUGUAUCUACUGGUGUUUGAGCUUCUUGUGAUUUGUAAUGUUUUUUCUUAAAUGUUUCUACUUUAGAUAAUCCUUAUGAGUUUUAUGGUUUCAUUUCCUUUUUUAUCUUUUUAUUAACCAUCUGCAACAAGGCUAUAUAUAUUUUAUUGCUGUUUGCAUGGAUAGGAACUAUAAAAAGAAGCAUCAUGUAAAAAUAUUCCACCAACGAAAUCUACCAAAAUUGGGAUUCCUAAUACUCAUAAGGAUCAAAUUUCUAUCAAAUGAGCCAAUUGGUUUAGAUAUAAAAUAUACAAAGAAGUCACAAUGCUAAAUACGAUAAAUACACAACACCUUUCCUUGUCCCAUUGGAUUGGGAACUGAGUGCACCAUGUAAAAGUGUAAAUGUAGCUUGCUCAUAAACUUAACUUUUCCUUUCUUUUUUCUUUUGCUAAAUUGUUUUUUUUUUAUUAAUAAUAAUACUCAACCAACAAAUAUCCUCUGAACUGAUUUUUCAAUUAUUUUUUCAAUUUACUCCUAAACAAUAGAAUCGACAAAAAAACUUAUAAAAUAGAAAGAAAAACCUUAACCCAUCUUCAUUGCCUCUUUAAAAUUUCUAAUUCUAAGUUUGCAAGUCAUAAAAAAAAGGCAAAUAAAAAAAAAUCUCAUAAACCCAUAAAACAAACCGAAAUUGAAAAUCUUAAUUAAAUAUACUUUGUUGCUGUUGCUGCUGAUGUUGAUGGUGCUCGUGCAAUUGCAUGUGCUCGUGCUCAUGCUACUGUUAUUGUUGCUGGUGUUGGUAGCGGUUGUGGUGCUGCUGCUAGUGAUUGGGUCUGUUUCAAAAAAAUAAAUAGGUUUUUGCAGGUGAAAUAUGCAAGAAUAUUUUGGAUUUAUUUGUCUAAAAAUGAUGAUUCCAUGUAUUUCAAAUAUUGUUGAUAAAGAUACAUUAAAAAAUUGAAUUUCUUUCUACCUUUUUUUUUAUCAUUAUUAAUAGAGACAUAGAGAACGAUUAAAAAGAUGUUAUGGGCUGGUUUUUUCUUUUUUUUGUUAAUUUCCUAACAGAACAAGCCUAUUCCAAAAAUCAUAAUGCUUAGGAUUGAAAAUCAGGAUUUUUUUGUUCAGAAGUUAAGUUCAAGGGGCUUUUUCUUUCAGUACAAUUUGGCCUUCUUCUUUCCUAAAAAGGAACUGUCCAUUCUGUUAACAAACAAAAUGUGUAGUGAUGUUUUAAAACCCAUCUUCCCAACCAAACAACAUUAUUCUAGAUAAAAAUAAUAGAUUUAAAUUGACCUAAUAACUCAUAAAUUGAUUUAACCAACUAAUAAUUUAAACUGUAAGUCAAGUUAGGUUGGAUCUCGAAUCAAAUUUAACAACUAUGUUAAGAACUAUAUAAUAUCUAUUAUUUUUUUCUUAUAAUUUUGAAAAUAUAUUGUUGUAUGUUUGAGAAUGUGGUAUGGUGAUUUCUUUUUAUGGAACUCAUAUAAAAAAAAAGAAAAAGGUAUGAAAAACUUGCUUUUAAUGAUGAUGUUUUGUGCAUUAAAAGGAUUAUAUAUUAAAAAACAAACUAUCACACCGAACAAUACCACUUCCCAAAAAGAUACUCAAAUUCUUACCUUCAAAGACGGGUUUUUUUUUUUUUCCGGGAGGAAGGUUAGCUUUUAGUUUUUCUAGUAUAAGACAAGUCUAGUACUUAAGGAAGAUACACGCACAAAUAUAGGAAAGUGCAAAGUUAACCUAAGUUUGGUGAAAUUUGGGUUUCAGUUGUUUGAUGAGAUGUAUUUCUUGCAGUGAAUGACUAAUUUAUUAAGAGAUCUAGACAAGAGACAAUCUCCCUUGUCAAACCAAUUUUUAGAAGUUUACAUAGCAAUUUGAUCUAUGGAUUUCACACCAAUAACCCUUUGUGAGUAUUAUAGAAUGCACCUAUACCAUGUGUGUUCUUAGGAUAUAGCUCAUCUCAUCUUGGUUAUCGUUGUCUUGAUUUAGCUCUCAUCAUAUUUAUAUCUCCUGUCAUAUUCGUUUUCAUGAAAAUGUCUUUCUUUUUGCGAACUCUGAACAGAUAACACAUACCCCAGUACCCUCCACACAGCCUACACACCUUCCACCCUUGAAUCCUCCCCAAUUCUUUCAACCUACCACUUUACCAACCGGCCCAAACAACACCCAUGUUCUGCCCUCUGUCGUACCCCAACAGACCAACCAUGUGAAACCCGAGAACAAAUUAUACAAAAAAAAAGGGGGGAUUUAUAAUAAUUUAAAUUUUAUUAAAAUAUAGAAAUAAUGUAACUACAGAAAAUAAUAAUAAUGAUGAUAAAAUUUAUUAGUUAAGGAGAACAAAAAAAAAAGAGGCUUAAUUAAGAAAAAGGGAGAAAGAUAGGGCCAAAACGGAAUUAAGAAGAAAUGGGACUAUCAAUACCCAUUCCUUCUCUCACCCAUGGCCGGCUGAUAACAUCAAGAAAAGAGGGGGAAGAGUGGCCAGCUAUAUGCAAGGAGAAGAAGGCUAAGAUUCUUUUAAGUUAGUGAAGUAAAGUUUAGAUUUCAUCCAAGUAAGGAGUUUUAAUCCCAAUUUCUAUGAAAUUAACUUCAAUUUCAUUAGAAGUUCAUAAUUUUCUUGAAUUGGGAAUUAGGGUUCUUGAACAUAAAAUUUUGGGAAAAUGCAGAAAUGAUUGAAAUUAAGUGGACUAGAAUAGUCUAAGUGCCUUAGAAAAAAAAUGAAAUGAGUGCAUAAAAGAGAGGAAGGGAACUCUUGGUUUCCUUGGGCAUAUUUCGGUAAGAGACAAUGCAAGGAGGGAAGAGAAAUUCUGGUGGAUUAAGUAAUUCUUGAUGCAUAAUUUAGUGAUAGAAAUGGUCUUGAAUGUGGAGGGAUGCAAGGAAUAAAAAAAAACAGAGAGAGAACAGAUGCAGGGUGACCGGCCACUAGAAGGGAAGAAAAUAGGGGAGGAGAACUUAUGAUUGCUUAAUUAAUUAACUUGGUAUAAAUGACUUUGGGAGGACAUAAAUGAGACGGGUUUCCAUUAAUAAAGGAAAGACAUGGUUGUAUCUAAUGAGGAAGUAGGGAUUGAAGAUAAAUUGGAGAUACCUUCUCCAUUGACAAAACAGGGCAGGUUCGUUGCCUUGGUUCCUAAGGGAAUUUGGAUAUGAAGAUGAUAGAAUUCAGGGAGGGUCCCUUCAUAGAAGUUGUAUCCAAGAGUGUUAGCUUUCCAACGAGUCUAACCCCGCCUAAUUUGGAGUCCUGAAACUCCAGAUACAAAUAAAAAUAUGAGGAGAGGUCAAGCUGCCACCCCUGUUGGCAGAUUCGGCCAAGUCAAUAAAAUGACAAAAUUUAGCCAUAUUAAGGGUAGAAUUUGUUUUCUUGCCCUUCAUAAAGUGUGUAACAUUGUGUCUUAAUCUUUAAAAAGGAAUAAACUGUGAUCAAAAUUGAAUUCAUGAUGUCCACUUGGACUACUAAUGAGCUGAAAAUAUUAAAGGAUAAUAAUGAGGAAUCUUAGUGAGAAAGAAAAGAUUGGUAAAAGAGAAAUGAAUAUUAUUGUCAUUGUGUUGUGAUAUGUGGACUAAUAUGGAAUAAUGAUGGGUGUUUAUGGUUUCAGGAGGAACCGCGGGAGGAGUGCAACAACAACAGGGGAACGCAAGUCGAGCGUCUACAGCAGGUAGGUACUCCGUACCUAUAUCUCCUCUAGUUAAUAAUUAUUUUAACUAACUAUUGAACUAAAAAAUUUGGUGCUUAUUGAUGAGGAAAAGAAAAGGGGGAAAGGAAAGGUUAAAUGACGGGAAAAUAUAAACGGAGAACUAGAUUUAAUUUAUAGGUUCUUUUGGAGGAAAUGAAUAGUAACAAUGAAUUUUAGGAAUCACUGUUUCUCGAAUUUGAUUAGCCCGUCCCAUAUAUGGGAGGCUAAAGAUGUUAGCCAAGUUGGUUAACAUCAGCAUUACCGGUACGUGGGAGGAGAAAUAUAAAAUUUGAUUAACUAUUCAGGUUCAGAAUAGUUAAUGAUAUCGGCGGGUGACGUCGAUAUUGGCAAAAUUUUUAGACUUGAUUAGGUUUCCGAGGUGAAAGUUAAUGAUGUCAAGAAUCCUUGACAUCAGCAUACCCGGGGACCUCCCGAGGUAACAUAGAACAUUGAUUAACUAUUUCGGUCCAAAAGUAGUUAAUGACACCAACGGUUGUGUUAGUGUCGACAUUUUCAUGAAUUUGAUUAGUUGACCCCAGGACGGGCAACUAAAGACACUAAUGGAGGUCAUUAGUGUCGGCGGUAGUCUUCCUAAUGUGGGGAGAAGUAGUUAAAGGAAAUAAAUUGGAUAAUCCUUAAAAGGGGUUGGUGGUGGUGUAUUGAAUUGCAUAUGACUUAAGUAGGUAGAUAAGCUGUAUAAAUUUUCUUCCAUGAAUUGUUUGUAUUUUAGUUAUUUUUAAUUAUAUGGAAAAUUUAUGUUUUGCAGGUCCCUCCCAUUCACGUCAGGAGUAGAAUUUAGGUUCCUUGAUCUCUUUUUGUAUAAGUUAGGAACUUAGGGAUUAUUCAUGUAAUUUUGUUAUGCUGUAAACAUGUAACCUGAAUAGAAUAGUAUACUCCUUAUAUUAUUUUGUUUUUGGAAUAUUGAUGUAUUACUCUAUGCUUGGGAAAUUAUAGUGUACUAACUUAUGUUCAGAAUGCUAAACUGUGUUGUGCUUAUAUAUGAAAUUUCAGUGCUUGGAUGGUUCUCUUAAAUACUAACUUAUACAUGUGAUAUGAGAUGGAGAUUGAGUAUGAAGAUUUGUCCUGAGUUUAUUCUCGAAUGAAUUAAAUGGUUGAUUUGUACCAAUUAUGAAUGUGAUUAUGGGUGGGAUGUAAUUAUAAUUGUGUGCAGGGUAAAUUGUCGAUAACUUGGGACCUCCCGGUAUAGGGGAGACUUUGCCAAAAUUUCAUUAGUAAUUUCGGUGAACUCAAUAAAAAAAAAAUUAUGCUCCAUUUACCCUUUAUGUGGAAGUUAAACGGAUAAAUUGAUUUAACUUUUGAGGCUGUUACAGUUGGUAUCAGAGCCACUGGUUGAAGUUUCAGGGACUGAAAUACUGAUGUAAUUUGGAAAAUGUUGCAGGAUGGCUCGUACAUGACAAGAAGCAAGAGUAGACUCGUUCCCUAUGCAAGGGAGAGAGUAUGGCUCACUAUAUGGGAAUGAAAAUGAAGGGGACCCACUAAUGGACACUGCCUCCCACCAACCUGCAGCGUCGACCCAUUCAGAGAGGAAAGAAUCAGGGGGGCAUCAAGAUGACCCUGCCUCUCAUCGGGCCUGGAGCAGCGGGUGGUCAAGGACCAGAAGAUAGGCCACCACUAGUGGCACCGAUGGUCACCUCGAAUCCAUAUUCGGACCCCACAUUUUUGGAGCAAUUGGUCAAGGCAGUAGCAACAGGGAUGGCCGCAGGUGCAUCCAAUUCCACUCCUCGGGUAGAAAGAGUAGUCACCCUGGUUCAAUGGGUGAAGGGCAUGCGGAAAAUGGGUUGCACGACCUAUUCAGGGGAAGAAGAUGCCGAAGUAGCAGGACAUUGGUUGAGGAAGGUAGAAAGGGUCAUAGAUCAGAUGCAGGUGCCAGAGGAAACUCGAGUAGACUAUGUGACCCAGCUGUUAACAGAGAGUGCCCACUCCUGGUGGGAGACUAUUAGAGAAAGAAGGGCAGGAGAAGAAUUAAGGUGGAAACACUUUCGAGAAGAAUUUAAGGAGCGGUACUACUCCGGGCAAGCACCGGAAAGAGAAAGAACAGGAGUUCCUGGAUCUGAAACAGGGGAAUAUGACCGUCCUGGAGUAUGAGAGGAGGUUUCAGGACUUAUCUAUCUUUGCCAACACCUAUCUUCCCACUGAGCAUCAUCGGGUGGAACGAUUUUGGGAAGGGCUCAGGCAGGGGCUGAAAUUAAUUUUGGUGGCUAUGUAGUUUCAGUCGGUCCAAGAGUUAAUGCGAGUUGCUCAAGGUAUGGAAAGAGUAAUGAAUGACACCCCAAGGUUAACAAGUGAGCAGAGUCAGACUACAGGAUUCAAAAGAAGGGAUUUCAUACAUCCUAUAGGGAGGAAUCCUCGUUCAAAGAAAGGUAGGAGCGAGUUAGCAUUUGGGCCACUCCCGAGAAAAGGGGGAGUUUUCUUCAUGGUAGGAGUUCAGGAGGUGCUAGACGUGUUAAUGCUGGGGGAUUAGUGGGAGGUCAGACCCGCUAGGGGACAAGUGUUAUAGGGGGUCCAUGGAGCAGAGGGGACCUGUUUACCUGUUAAAGAAAUGGUUUGGGAGAAAACGAUCAGUGCAAAUUUUGGUGGGGCAUGGUGGGGUUACAGGCCAUAGGCUGCAGACACCUAGUGCUAGGCUGUCAUGCCCUGUCACAGAGAGUUCCAAAGGCUGCAGAGGGGUGCGGUUGUGCCAUAGGCUGCAAACACCUGGUGCUGGGCUGCCAUGCCUUGGGUGCUAGGUCCAGACACGUGUGCCUGGAUACAGACCCAGGCAAGCAGGUUGGCAGAACCACGCACCUGGGGUCUAAAAGGUUGCUGGGUCAUUGCAGUAAAACCUAAUAGUGUUGGGUCCAGCUUACACCAGGACCCAAUUGCGUUGGGUCUUGCUGGACCCAUUAGAGUUGGGUCCUACCUCUAGUAGGACCCAAGACUUUAAAUUUUUUUUUCUCAUACGGUAAAGAGCACAUAAAUAGAUGAGAAUUUUUUUAUAUUGUACAAAAAUUGAGUGGUGAUAUUUUUUUUUCAUUUGAGGUUGGGUUGAAUUUCCUUAUUAAAACUGUUUGUUUUUGCCUUUCAAAAAUGCUUUUAAAAAUAAAUGAAAAUUAUUUUUUUCUUUAAUUCAAAUUAAGAUUUUUAUUUUUUUCCUCUUGAUUUUUUUUCAAAAUAAAAGCAUUUAGAAAUUAUAAUUCUAAUAUUGUCAUAUUAAAGUUGAUGGCGCUCUAAAUAAAUUUUUUAUUCACAUAAUAUACUUUAUAUAUUUGUAUUAUAUAAAAUAAUUUUUUAACAAUAAAUUUUUUCUUUACUUGAAUUUAAAAUAAUUAUAAUGGUAACAUUACUUCUCACAACCUGUUAAUGGAGAUGGAGUGUAUCCCUCUUGAACCGAAUUCAGGAGUUUAGUUCAUGGUUGCUGGAAAAUUGACAAAAGCAGAGAAGAAAUGAAUGAUUUCUAACCUUGUUUCAGGUAUGUUCUGCUCUCUUAAUCCACCCCCUUUGCUACUGAAAUCUUCAAGAUUAUUAGGCUAAUUAGGAUUCUUUAUGAUGCUAAAUUUGUUCCUUCUUUAUCUUGUCUUUAAGAUUGGAUAAAUCUUCUCAAAUUUUGUGUUGAGAACAGAUUUUGCUGCUGUCAUAAUUUUGUUGUAAUUCCAACUCUGCUGCAACUUAGACUUUGUUUCUGACUUGGUUUCUUGCAAUAUUCGACUAUCCCAGCUGUAUUCAUUCAUGGUAUGUUAGAGGCUUAAUCUGCAUCUUUCUUGGGUCCUGAGGCCCACUAUUUUUAUGUCAGACUCUCAGCCGUAUUAGGAUGCUCAACACUGUUGGUUUCCUGAUCAUAGUAGGAAACCCAUCUCGUCCUCCAGAUUGCGUCCGAAGUUUGGCCUUCAAAACAAUUUUAUAUGAAUUGGAGUCCCUCAUUAAAGUUGUAUUCCUGGAUGUGCAGAUGAAUUUGGGCUUUUGAAUAUCCUGAUUUCGAUAUUUGAACCUAAAGAUAUUCCCGUUUGAAUUUCUAGUGUGAAAGUAGAGAAUCUUGUUGCGAGUAGGAUUCUGACCCGAGUUUGCAGGUUUGAUUUGAGGUCCUAAUGAGAUCAGAUUUUUUCCCAUAUACCUUCCUAGAAAUCUUGACACGUGUACUUCAACUUAGAUUAAGCGCACAUUCUCAUUCUGGAAGUCUAACUUGGCAAAAAACCUAUCAUAAGAAGCUAGAUCCUAAAAGUAAAAUGCAGAAUUUCUUAUCUUUUAGCGAUUAAUUCACGAAGUCUCUUCUGCAUGCCAAACUCAUAAAAAUAACUUCCAAUCAACUCGAAUAAGUUCAAAAUCCCUUAAAAAGCAUAGUGUAAAAGGAAGAAAAACACAUGUACAUUUUGCACUUAUCAAUAUUGCUGACAACAAGACCCUCCACUGUUGUGUAUUGCUGUCAGUAGGACCCAACAACGGUGCUGGACUCAAGUUUAUUGGGCUUAACUCUACUGCCAGACCCAAUGAUGGUGGGUCUGGGUGCCUAGCUGAAGCAGGACCCACUAAAGUUGGGCCCUGCUUCCACCAGGACUAAGUAGAGGUGGGCUCAAUUGCCAACAAGACCCACUACUGCUGGGUAUUGCUGUCACCAGGACCCGGUAGCGUUGACCAAGUCUGUUUCAUUUGAAAUUUGGGCCUGUAAUUGGGCCGGAGGAAACCAGUCCCGCCGGGUCAACCCUAAUUUGGGCGACUCGACUAAAACCCGGUAGAGUCCCCUUUUUUUAAUUUUUUUUCCUCCAACCUAGAGACCCUUCUUGUUUCAUAUUUUUCAGUUAAUUACUAAUUCAUUUCAAAAUUGACUAUAUAAAUAUUAGAAGAAUGUUUUAUUUUUUCAAUAUGGGAUAAAAAACAUUUUGGUUUAAAUACUUCAAGUUAGAAAAAUAAGAUAGUAUCUUUUCAAUGUGGGAUAAAAGUUUUUUGAGGUAAUCUUUUGAAUUUAAUUGUUUACAACAUGUAUAGCCUAUAUCCACAUGGAUUAUUUCUAGAUUUUUUCAUAUAAAAUAUUAAAACCUCAAAUAAUGUUUUUUCAAUUUUUCCGGUUUGACUUGAGUCAACCCUUAUAACCCAGAACCCAACCCCUUCGCCAAAGCAACCCCUAGGUUGGGUUUCGUAACUAUAGUUGUCAUAAAAAUACAUUUUUAAUUUGUUAUAUUUUUUGAACUAUCAAAAUGCGUUGAAAAAAUAUACAUAAAUACUUUUUAUAAAAAAUAAAAAUAUUUGACCAGUGGCAAAGCGCGGGUCACAGAACUAGUACACUUUAAAAAUGGUUGAAAACAUAGUUAUCUAUUAUAUUCGAAUAUAUAGGAUUAACCAAGGCAAUAAAAAAAAUUAAUGAACAGAAUAAUUAAUUAGUUCAGUUUUUAUAAAAGACUAAAUUAAUAUGCAAUAAAACUUAAAAGAGAUAGAAAUAAUAAUUAGAACUAGACAGAUUUUGAAGAGACUUUGUUGCACAAUCUUGUCGGUUUGAUUGCUUUUGGUUUAAUUUUUUUAGUAAUAUUCGCUUUGUUUCUGCAAAUCUGGUAUUUCAUCUUCCCUUUAAGUUUCUGCAAUUUGGUAUUUCAUCUUCUCUUCAGUUUCUACAACUUGGCAUUUGCAUUCUAUUUUUUCAAUUUUUUGUUCUUGAGUAAUCAUAUAACUUCGAGAAGAUAUUUGUUUAGUUUUUAGAUAUUUGUUCAGUUUCUGUAAUUUGGUAUUUUAUUUUUCGCUGCUUUUGCAUUCUGGUUCUCUGUAAUUGUUGAUUAUAACUACUGAAAGAGAUGAUUCGGUUCAAUCUGUGAGUGUGAGGUUGGAUGGGAAGAACUAUUCGUAUUGGAGUUAUGUAAUGUGAAAUUUCUUUAUGGGCAAAAAGAUGUGGGGAUAUAUGUCAGUGGAACCUAUGUGGUAUCUAAGAAUACUGAGGAAGGGGAUGUUGCUUUGAUAGAUGCAUGAGAACCAAACAAUGCAAAGAUUAUUAUUUGGAUUAACAAUUUUGUUGAGCAUUCCAUAGGUACGCAGUUGGCGAAGUAUGAGACAACAAAGGAGGUUUGGGAUCAUCUGCAAAGGUUACUCACGCAAUCAAAUUUUACAAAGUAGUAUCAAUUAAAGAAUGACAUGGGAGCUCUUCACCAGAAAAAUAUGAGUAUUCAUGAGUUUUAUUCUACAAUGACAGAUCUUUGGGAUCAACUGGCUACUUAUAGAGAGUCCAACAUCAUAAACCAUGGUGAGACCAGUCUUGAAAGGUCCAGAUGAUCGCUCAAGACCAGGUCCAGGUUUCUAGUCUUCGUCAUAAAGAGCAAAGAGGUAUGUAUCCACUGAUUUUCCUGGCAUGAGUGGAGUGCCCACCAUCGAUCGAAGGUGUGCAAUCAAAUUGCCAUUGUAAGCCUUGGCAAUCUCAAUGCUUGGCCCUACUUCGUUGUCAUCUCCUUUAUAUGGCCAUCCAAUCUCAGCCACCACAAUCUCAACAUUCUUAAAUCCCAUAGAAUUCAGUGCAGAAUAAACUACAUCCACCUGCAAUUGAUUAAACCACUUGUCAGUAGCAUUUUUAUUCGAUCAUCUAUUGAUACAAAAUUUUCGCACUUGCAAUUUCAUUUACUCUCACCUGAGCAUCGAACAUGUUCAUGUACUUGAUCUUAGUGUUUCCAUCCAUUCGUCCUGCAUUCGGCUGGAAAAGGCAAAAAGUAAGAGUCUCAAGCCUUGUAUCGCAUCUUGGCCCUACUUCGUUUUCAUCCAUCAAAGUUCCAAUAAAGCAAAGGGAUGGGCGUUCUUACAAAGAGGUGGUAAACGAGAAACCAGUAAGGAACGUCACAUACCAAACAAGUGAGGAAGAUCGUGAAUGGCUGAGUCGUAGUCUGGUUGGGCUUAUUUCAAAUGGUACGGAUUAUGCUAAGAUUAAAAAAAAGAUGUUGAUGACCUUGCACAACAUGGAAGGCUUUCGGUUCCUAGGGGCGUCAAAAGCAAUCCUCACCUUCAAAACACAACAAGAUAUGCAGCUUGUGGCAGAUGAAGAGAAGGAAUUUUGGGGACAAUAUUUUGAAGACUUAAGACCCUGGUGCAUCACGGAUAAGGCCUCUGACAUUUUCUCCUGGAUACUUAUCUCUGGUCUCCCCAUUGUAGCUUGGAAUAUGGAAUGCAUUAAACGACUAGUGGGGGGAGACUGUAAGGUCCUUGGGUAUGACUUGACUUCUGUUAGUAAAGGAGCUAUAUCGGGGUUAACAAUCUUGAUAGGCAAGCCACCCAUGGUUUCUAUUAAUGGAACAGUUAAUCUCAUGAUAGAUAAGGAAAAAGUGGAAAUUAACAUCUCGGAGAUUAAAUAUGAGGCCUGCAUGGAUUUGGCCUCGCUCAUUUACUCCAUUGGGGUUAAUCAAGAGUUUGAUUCUGAGCUGGAUUACACUUCAUCACCAAGUGAUCUAGAGAUUGUGGCUACAAAGGAGCAACCAUAUAUGUCUGCAAACAAGAACUCCUCCUUUACGGACCUAGCAUAUGUCACAGAAGUGAUUAUGAUGCAGUGUUUUAGCAGAUGUGAGGCAGAGAAAGAAAGGGAUGCACACGGUUUUGAAGUUCAGGUUUAUUUCCCAGAAAUCCUGGAUGAUUACAUGAUUCACGAUAUGACUGCAGGAGGGAAAUGGCAGACAUCUACCCCUACGAUUUCUAAUAUUCCUUGUGCAGACAAGGAAAAAGGAACAGCCAACAUGUCUGCCAUGGAAGAAGAUCAGCAGAGUUGGCCUACAUCAAACCUAGGCCGCAGCAUGACUCUCAGAAAUGGUAAACAGAUUGGUACCACCAAAUGUUAUAAGGGUCACAGGAAGGCAGCCAUUUCAACUGAUUCUAGUAGUAGUGCUGGAAAUGAAGACUCGAUCGACUCUUGCAUCAGAGCUGUCAACCAAAGACUCCAACUAUCUCAGCCACCACCCGACCUCUCUACAGCUUGUGAUGAGGUUGGGGCUAUGAAAGAAAUUGGCCAGAAAUUGGGUAUUGAAAUAGGAACAACUGGUGAGAGUAUUGAAGUCAUGAUAAAAGAGGCCAUUGAUGCAGAGCAGGACCAUUGGGACAGGUAUGUCCAGUAGGCUAUUAUGCAUCUGUGCAUGGUUUUAUAUGCCUUUUAUGAUUCUUAGCUGGAAUGUGUGCGGAUUGGGAUCUAGUUCUAAAAGAAAGGCCAUUAACAAAUACAUUAAAGAUUUUAAUGUUAUUGUAUGUUUUAUUAUUGAAACUAAACUUUCAUGCUCGGACUCUUUGGUCUAUAGUCUGUGGCAUGGCCAAAAUAUUAAAUGGUUCAGCAUAGAGGCUCAGGGUAGAUCAGGUGGGUUGUUAGCCAUGUGGGAUGAGGAUCUUUUCAGGGUGGAUUCAAUCGAAUAUGCUGGGAGCUGGAUUAGCUUAUUUGGCUCCUUUGUUGAUGAUGCUUUUGAUUGCGUGAUUACUGGGUAUUAUGGAGCUAGCUCUAGAGCUGAAAGAGCAGCCUCCUGGUUAGAACUUACUGAACUUAAACAUGCAUUUUCGGACUACCCUUGGUUUUUAAUAGGUGACUUUAAUGAGACCUUAUCCAAGACAGAUAGAAGCAGUGGUCUGCUAAACAAGAGAGGGGCUACAGAAUUCCAAACGUUUAUUGAUGGCUGUGAAUUGGUAGAAUACCCGAUGGUGAAUCAUCGGUUUACCUGGUUUAGAGGUGGUUCUAUGAGUAGGAUAGAUAGAGCCUUUGCUCACACACAAUGCCUAUCUCACUUUAGUUCAUUGAAGCUAAUUAGACUGGAUCAUGGUCUUUCGGAUGAUUGCCCCCUGAUUGUUGGUAAGGAACAAGUUAACUGGGGAUGGAAGCCAUUCAAAUGUUUAGACUGUUGGCUCAUGGCACCAUCUUUCCAAAACACUCUAAAGGCCUUUUGGCAGGAAAUUGUGCAUGAUAUCCCUGGUGAUUUUCAGGUGAUCAAACGAAUUAGUGCUCUGCGACUGAAGCUAGGCCAGUGGAAUAAAACUGAGUUUGGGAAUCAAGACUGGGCUCUGCAAAAUAUCCAGUCUUCUAUUCGGCUCUUUGAGGAUCAGGCUGAAAGUGGCAAGAUUUCUGACUCAGAACAAAAAAGGAUAUAUGAGCUAAAGGGAAUGCAAUGGAAACUCUGUAGAUAUGUUGAAUCCAUAUGGCGUCAAAAGGCAAGACAGUCUUGGCUCAAGCUGGGGGACAGAAACACUCGGUUCUUUCACAUUUCAGCAAAAGUUAGGGGAUGCAAAAACUAUAUUCGUCAGCUCACAUACAACGGGAAGAUUCUCUCCAGUCCAAAUGAAAUCAAAGAAGGAGCCAAAGCAUAUUUCUCAAACAUCUACUCUGAAUCUUUGACUACAAGACCCACGAUGGGCAGUGCAGACUUUAUGAAGCUCAGUGAAAACCAAGCAGCCUGGCUUGAAAGAGAGGUUACUAUAGAAGAGGUUCAUCUGGCCAUAUUCAGCAGUGAAGGCUCCAAAGCCCCAGGACCGGAUGGGUUCAACUUCAAUUUUUAUAAGAAAUUCUGGGAGCUAAUGCAACAUGACCUGUUCACAAUGGUUCUUGAAUUCUUCAGGAGAGGCUACCUUCCUAAAGGUAUUAACACCAGUUAUAUUGCUUUAAUUCCAAAAAUUACCGGCAGCUCCUCUUUUAAUGACUAUAGACCUAUUAGUUUAUUAAAUGGGCUAUAUAAAAUUAUUGCUAAGAUUCUCGCCACUAGACUAAAAGCAGUUAUGCAGAGUGUGGUCAGUCCCUCCCAGUCAGCUUUCAUUGCUGGCAGAAACAUUCUGGACUCAGUCCUUAUUGCCAAUGAAAUGCUGGAUUCCAUGAAAUCUCGAAGCUGUCAAGGUUUCCUUCUUAAACUUGAUUUCAGAAAAGCUUUUGAUACUGUGUCCUGGUCCUAUCUUAAUGAUGUUAUGGGUUACAUGAAUUUUGGUGCUCGUUGGAGGAAAUGGAUUAUGGCAUGUGUCUCGUCUGCAAGACUAUCUGUUUUAAUCAAUGGUUCCCCUACUUCUGAGUUUACAACAUCUUGUGGUCUGCGGCAGGGGGAUCCCCUCUCCCCUUUUCUCUUUUGUUUGGCAGCUGAAGGCAUAUCAGUUCUCAUCAGCAGGAGCCUGAAAAUGGGUGCUUUGUAUGGUGUGGAACCUGCAGGAACAACAUAUAUUCAUCAUCUGCAAUUUGCAGAUGACACUCUUCUCUUCCUUCCGAAUGAUCUUCAAUGUUUGCUAAAUACCAAGAGAAUGUUACGUUGGUUUAGUUUAUGCUCAGGGCUUAAUGUUAACUUCCAUAAGAGUAGUUUGGUGGGUGUGGGGGUGGAUGGGAUAUAUGCUGAAGGGAUUUCUGGUGUUCUCAGGUGUAGAUGUGAUACUCUCCCUAUCAAAUACUUGGGGCUUCCUCUAGGUGCUAAUCCCAAAAGGAUUUCCACAUGGAAACCUGUUCUCUCUCAGAUUAGAGGACGGCUUAACUCUUGGAAGGGGCGGUUAUUAUCAUUGGCUGGGAGAACAAUUUUGAUUAAAAGUGUAAUCUCUGCCAUUCCUCUCUAUUACAUGUCCAUCUUCUGCAUUCCAAAGACAGUGGCUCGCAAGAUCACAGCCAUGCAGGCUCAGUUUUUAUGGGGUGGGAGUGUUGAUAAUAGGAAAAUUCAUCGGCUUGCUUGGGAUACAGUGGCAAAAGAAAAGGAAAGGGGCGGUCUAGGCGUUGGGAAUAUAUCAGCAAAGAACAAAGCUCUCCUCUUCAAGUGGAUUUGGAAAUUGGGAAGCAAUGAUAAAGCUAGUUGGGCAGAUUUUAUUAAAGCAAAAUACAGACCUCAGUUUAUAAAUGGGAUGCCCACGUUCAAGAAAAAACUUUCAGGGAUUUUGCGAGGAAUCAGCUCUACUAUUACUAGCUUGGAUCUUGAUAGCUCUCUUAUUCGAGCUGCUUGUAAACUUAAAAUGGGUAAUGGUAAUCAUGUUAAAUUUUGGUUAGAUACUUGGUUGACUGGCUUUUGCUUAGCUAAUUCUUAUCCGGCCCUCUUCCACCUGUCCUCCUCCAAAUCAGGGUUUGUUAGUCAGAUGGGAUACUGGUUAGAGGAUACUUGGUAUUGGAAUCUGAAAUAGAGAAGGCCCCUCAAAGCUAGUGAGACCCUGAUGGUUCAAAGAUUAAUGUCUGAUCUUAAUCUUGCAGCUAUUCAUCGAUUGAAAGAAGACAGGUUGAUUUGGGAGUGGGGGAAAGAUGGAGACUAUACUGUCAACUCUUGUAUGCUUGCCCUUGAAAGAAUCAGGUAUGCUGGUUCUACAACUUAUGUCACAAAUGUAUGGAAAUCCAUUUGCCCUCCAAAAACAGAAAUGACUUUAUGGCUAGCCUUAAAUGAAGGCCUUUGCACAAGAGCCUUCCUGGUGAAGAGGCACGUUCUAAGCCCUCAGGAGGACAGGUGUCCUUUUUGUGAGCAACAUUCAGAAACUGUAUCCCACAUCCUCUUGCAUUGCCAAGUGGUUUGGAAACUAUGGAACAAAAUUGUAGCUUGGAGAGGUUUGAGCUGGGUAAUGCCGUAUGGCCUUGACGACCUUCAAUGUCAAUGGCUGGGUCUUUUGCAGGGCAACCACUGUAAGUUUGAAAGAUCUGUUUGGGGGGGCUUUAUGUUUAGCAUUAUCUGGACUAUAUGGAAUGCUAGGAACAACUUGAUAUUUGAGGAUCAAAAGCCAAUAUGGGAAGAUAUCCUAUGGCUUUUGUUUUACUUUGCUGCAGGAUGGAUCAGGAACCUCAACUCUUCCUUUUGGUAUACUGGUGCUGAUCUAUACAGGAAUCAUGAAUGCAUUUCGGCAUGGUCUGCUUAAUUCCUGAUUUAGUGUGGGUUUGUUUUUGCUUGGCCAAAUAGUAGGGUUAUAGGUUUUCUUGUAUUUAUUUAUUGUAAUUAGGUUGAUGCCUAGGCUACAAUCUAUGUAGCUAAAGCUUAAGCUCUGCUCACACUGUUCAUGUUUUAUUUAUUUAUUAUUAUAUAUCUAUUCUCGAUUUUAUCAAAAAAAAAGGGAUUGAUUGCGAAAGGCAAACCAUUCGCACUAUUAAACUCCAACAAGCCCUUCAUCAGAUCCCCAUAACUUGGAUCAAAGCUUCCAGAAGAAGGUGGCUCGGACUGCUUAAGCACUCCCAUCGAAUGAACUGUGGAGACCUUAAUUUUACCCCCGAGCGAUGCAUCAUUUAGAGCAUUCUGUACAUUUUGCAUGGCUGGUAAGAGCUUGUUCAUGAGAUUCUGGUCAUUGGAAGUCAUGACCUCGUUGCCAACAGUGAUGAGGAUGAUAUUGCUAGCUGGAUAGAAGGGAAGCACGUUCGUGUUGAUCCAGCUCUUGGCAAAAUUGGGAUCAGAGGCUAGUCCUGGAAUGUCACCAUUUGCAGUGCCGAUAACUAUUCCAAUUCCGGUGUUGGCUAAGGCUUUGAUUAUGGCAGGGUCCGAUCCAUAUAAUCUGACCUUUUGAUUGAAGUGGAUUGAAGAAGUCUUGCGGUGGAUGAUGGUGGUGGAAGGUUGUCCGCAACUUGGCCAUAGUUUAUACCGAUGAAUGAUUGCGAGCCUGCACAAAAAGCAGCAAAAUUUAAAGGAGAUGAUCAAACAUCAAUUUUUAAACGACAAGACAGAAGACCAACUUUUUUUGUUUUCAUAGACUAAAAUGAAGACAACGAAAUUAAGGUAAAUUGUUUAGAAAUGGAAGGAGGUAAUUAAAACAGAAGAGACGCAAACUUGCGAUUUUUACAGUCUGUAAGAAGGAAAGGAGUAUGAAAGCAACAGUAUAAGGAAGCACCCGAGGCUUAGGAGGUAUCUCAAAUAAUUUAGCGUUUUAAAAUAAAUAAAUUAAAAAUAUAUCUGGAAUAUUUCUUAUUAAACACCAUUCAAUUUUAUUUUAUUUUCUAAUAAGAUUGUAGCAUUUUUUAUAAUAUUAGCAAUUGUUAUUUUGUACAACCUUUGUGUAAGGUUUUAUUUGCGUGUUUUUUUUUUAAAAAAUAAUUUCUGUUACUUCUAAGUGCUUCUCUAUUUUUUAUUAUCAAAUACAUUACCAGAAAAUUAGCAAAAACCAACGAAAUUACCGACAGAAUUAUUUGGUCAGUAAUUUUUACCGACGGAUAUAAUUUUGUCUCUAACUUUGUCGGUCUAUACCGACAAACCUUUGCUAUCGGUAAUAAUUACCGACGACAUAUAUUCUGUCGGCAAUUCUGUCAGUAUAUACCGACAGAAUAAUUUCGUUGGUAUAUACUGACCGAAUUGCCGAUGGAAUAUAUAGAAUUUUGAAAAAAAGAAACAGUUUGAUGACGUGAAAUUUUUUCAAAUGAUUUUUCUAACAAAAUGACCGAGGGAUUCAAACCGGGAUCUCCGUAUAGUGAAAUCGCGAGCAGAGCGCGGCGUCGCGGCGACCCUCGAUUUGUUUCGGGGUCGUUUCUUUUGUUUUUUUGUGUAAAAGGGAGUCGCCAUCUAGUAUUUGGUCACUAGGAACCCUAACUGGUCUUCCAAAGAUUCUAAGGUAAGGGACUGGUUGUGUAAAGGGAAGGUAUUAGCACCCCUAGUACGCCCUACCUAAGGUAAGCUGCUUGGUGUUUGGUUUGCUUUAUAAUUGCUAUAGUGUUGGUGUUUUCUAAUCCCAUCAGUUUUUCUAGGUUUGAUUCAAACUAAAUUUAUUAAGAUAGGAAUCCAAGGAAGUUCCAUGUGCUUUAAAAGCUCAUUUUCCCCUUAGUUUUUCAAGAGUUUGCGACUCGUAAAUCGCAAGGAAGAGGGACAAAAAUUUAGAAAUCUAGGGUGCUUUAAAAACCUAUUUUUUUUGUCUUAGUGUUUUAUACUCUCACGGCUCGUAAACCGUGGAGUAAAAAAAUUGAAAUGUCCUUGAUUAUCAUCAAGGCUUCUUUCAAGGAUGUGUGCGGAUUUAUUAUUCCUAGAAAAUUAUUUUGGAUAUUUACCACUCCGGGUUUCUUUAUCCAAAUAUUAAUAGUGAAUAAUAACAAAUUAUUCCCAAUAAUAUUUUGGAUAUUUGUCUUUUAAGGAUUUCUUUAUCCAAACAUUAGCGGUGAAUAAUAGAUGAAUUCCCCCCAAAAUAAGAUUUUUAUAUUUUUUGGAAUAUUGGCCAAUACCCUUUGGAGUUUUACAAACAUGUUGUAAAAUCCAGAAAUGCAAGAAAAUAAUUUUUGUUGUGUUUAAGAAAUCCAUGCGAAAACACAUUUUCGAAACUUCCAAUAUUUUUUUGUAUAUAAAAAAAAGAGCGUUCAAAACAUGUUAGGGUAUUGGCCGUAUGCAAUAUACAAGAAAAUAUUUUUUUAUAUUUUUAUCGAAACGCAAACAUCAGAAUUAGACGUAAACAUUAAAAUGGAAAGUAGCAAGCCAUCAUGCAUAUUAUAAGCAUUACAAGAAGCUUGAAACAAUUCGUAACAAAAAAACCUUCAAAGCCAAAUCAACUUAAAAUUUUGUAACUGGAAAGGAAUAAACCCGUAUGCAUGAGGGAGCCACAAUUUUAAAACUGAAAUUUUGAAAUCGAACCCCUAUGUCCGUGCCUCACAACCCCAUUAUUUCCUCACCUUAAAAACGAAAUGCCUUAUUCAUUUCACAACGACAACAGAGAGAAACAAAACAGAAAACUGGGAAAGCAUGCUUUAUUCAUGUAUAUAGGAAAAACAAAACCAUGGCCGGCUAAUCUCUCAAGUAGAAAAAAAAAACGAACAGAAAAGGGAGCUGAUGAUGAAGAAACAACAGCCCCCCCUCCCACGGUUCCUUAUGAACCAGCGAAAGAAAGAAAAGAAGAAAAAAGAAAACAGGUUUUUAAAACGUCAGGAACAACAAAAGGCAAGCGUUCAUUGUAGUCUAAAAUUGAAAACGAAUGUGCAAAGCAAGGACAAAACAGGUUUUUAAAACGUCAACACAACAAAUUUAAAGGCAGCAAAGGAGGAGAAAGUUAAGACUUAUAACUGCAGGUCUCAACGUUUUUCUGCAAAAGAUGAAAUGGAAAACCAAGUGAACGUUGCUGUCAAGGUUUAACAGCAAAUCUCCCUCUCCGUCUUGUCUUUUUUCUCUCCUCUUUCCUCACAAUAACACCAGAAUGCAAGAAAAGAACUCCCUCUAUUUACUACGUUUUUUUUACUCUCUGCCUCUCUUGUGUUUUUCUCCUCUUUUUAUGCUCCUUUUCUCUCCGUUUUUCCUCUCUUUUUCCUCUUCUCCUUCUGCCCCCUUUAGGUCAUUAGAAGGGCUUAUAUAUAGUCUAAAUAUGUCUCUAUUUAGGAAGGAUUCAAUGCAUUAAUCCUAGGACAGAAAUCCCUACUGAUUUGCAGUAAAAUAAAAACGCAAAAGAAAACUGCAAUAUUCUGAUUUUGUGUUGGUGCUUUACGUCUGAUUUCUUUCCAGUUUUAGAGGAGGGUGUGGCUCUUUUCUUUCCUUCCAUAGGGCCAGCUGCUCCCUUUGAAAUGAGGCAAGAAAAAACGUGGUUGCAGCUCCAAAAAUCAGGCAUGAUGAUAAAGGAAAAACAGCAGGAAUUUGCAGCGAAAAAAGGAAAGAAAUCAGAUGGAGGGUGCAGCUGCAAAGUCUCAUUUUCCUUAUUCGGUGUGGAAAAAAUCCUAUCAUUUAUGAUGAUCCAGCCCCCCUCUCCAGCUUUCAAUAUCCUUCUUCAAUUCAAACCCUCAUUUUAACACUUUUCUAUUCAGUCCUUGGUCCAAAAAAAACCUUCGAAUCAGUCCCGCGAACUUGGGCUAUAUCCUUCCCGGGGCAAAAUUUUCUACCUUCAAGUUAGAUAUUCAAAUGGGAAUAUCUUGAGCUUCUGAUAUCUAAAUCAAGUGAUUCAAAAGCCCAAAUUCAUCUACGCGUCUAGGACUACAACUUUGAUGAAGGAGUCGAAGUGAGAUAAAAUCUUUUUACAGAAUAGAAUCUAGCAGUAAUUUGGUUCCAAGUCUAACUCAAAAACUGACGAAUGCCGAUAAUCCUGAUAUGACUGAGAGUAUGAACUAAGAACAAAAAUCACAAAAACUAGGCCAAAAAUAGAGUUUUUUUAGUGCAAACUCGGGUCAAUAUCCUUCUCGCGGCAGAAUUCUCUACCUUCACGUUAGAUAUUCAAAUGGGAACAUCUUGAGCCUCUGAUAUCGAAAUUAAGAGAUUCAAAAGCUCAAAUUCAUCUAUGCGUCUAGGACUACAACUUUGAUGAAGGAGUCGAAGUGAGAUAAAAUCUUUUUACAUAACAGAAACUGGCAGUAAUCUAGUUGGUCAAAAGGGAUCUCCGGGUCUAACUCAAAAACUGACGAAUGCUGAGAAUCCUGAUAUGACUGAGAGUAUGAACUAAAAACAAAAAUCACAAAAACUAGGCCAAAAAUAGAGUUUUUUAGUGCAGACUCGGGUCAAUAUCCUUCUCGCGGCAGAAUUCUCUACCUUUACGUUAGAUAUUCAAACAGGAAUAUCUUGAGCUUCUGAUAUCGAAAUCAAGUGAUUCAAAAGCCCAAAAUCAUCUACGCGUCUAGGACUACAACUUUAAUGCAGGAGUUGAAGUGAGAUAAAAUCGUUUUAGAGAACAGAAUCUGGCAGUAAUCUAGUUGGUCAAAAGGGUUCUUCAUCUGGCAAUGCUGAGCAUCCAAAUCUGACUGAGAAUCUGCCCUAAGAACAAUGAUCCCUAGGACCUAAUAAAGGUGUACGUCAAUUUUUCAACAUGUCAUGAGUGACAAAAUAUACCUAGGAUGGUCAGAUAUCGUACGAAACCGAGUCAGAAUCAGAGCCUAAGUUUGAACAAAAAAUUGCGAUAACAGCAGAACCAUUUUUUUUAGUGCAAAUUCUAAGGGAUUUAUUCAACCUUAAAGACCAGAUAAAAAGGAACGAAUUUAGCAUUAUGAAAACUCCUGAUCAACCUAAGAAAACCUGAUGAUUUUGGUAUCAAAGGGGAAGGAUAAAAAAGAGCAGAAAACAGCUCAAACAGGGUUCAAAAAAAAAAAUUCUUUCUCCUCCGCUUUUGUCAAUCUUCUGGCGAACAUGAGCUAAACUCCUACACUUCUGUUCAAAACGGGUAUACACCAUCUUCAGCACGUGGGGUCCAAAAUUUAGUAACAACAAUUCCAUCGGUAAAAGCUAAUAUAUCCACACUCUGCCGACUCUCUCCUCCUCUAUUUCUCCUUCUUCUUCCUCAUCCCAACUCUCCCCUCCCAAACUGAAAACAACCACCCCCCCUAAAAAUAUCCCCCUCUUCUCAACACAAGCACUCAUCUUUCUUAUACUUUUGUACGUGGUCACAACAUCCGUUUUUCGAUUUAUUGUGGAUUUUAUCAUUUUUUUAAGUGAAUCUAUCCUUUUUAAUUUUGACAUUUAAAUGUCAAUUUUAUUGUUUUUUUUAGUACAUGUAUUUUGUUAACGUAUGUACUUGUUUUAUUGUUAUUUGUCAAAGAAACUUGUAGCAUGAAUUUAUAAUUUUGUAGUUGUUAUAGUUUGUUUUAGAUUUUGUCAAAUCGUAUUUGUUUGUAAAUUGUUGAAACUUUGUUUGAAUUACUGAAUUAGAUGUGUUGUGAUGAAAUAAAUAAUAGCUUGUUUAACGGGUCCAUUUUAAUUUUUAUCAAUUCUAUUUUGGAGUUGUGAUUUCCGUAAAUUUAUAUACGUAUAAAUUUGUAUGGACGUUGAUAAUUGAUAAUUGAUAAUGAAUAUUUAACAUAAGUGUUUUUUUAGUUUGUUGGAUAAUGUCAGGGCAAACCAAUAUUUUUGCAAAUUUAUUUAUGUAACAUAGUUAAUUAAUACAUGUUGUCAUCAUAAUUUUAUAGAGGUUCGAUAGAAGUCACAGAUGAUCGUUCAUGGAUGUAUCGAGACUCACCCCAAGGAUUGCGGAGGAUGGAUUAUUGUAAUGGGGUUCAGGGUUUUAUUAAUUUCGCAACAUCUAUUCCGAGGAAUUUUACUGAUGGCGGUAUUAGGUGUCCAUGCAGGAAGUAUAAAAAUAAAAAGUUUCUACAUCUAGAUGUUGUAACGAUGCAUCUUCUAACCAAAGGGUUCAUAGAGGAUUACCUGUGUUGAUAUGCACACAAAGAACUAUUUGUUCCUAAUGAGAGCAUGGUAGAAAGGGUGGUUGAGUCAACUUCUAGUGCUAGCAACGUGCAUAAAGUUGUAAAUGACAACAGUAAUCCUUACAAGAAUAUGGUUAUAGAUGCAAUGAGAAUGAAUCAAGGUAAUGUCAGUCAAUGUCCAAUCGUAGAAGAACUUAAUGCAGAUGCAGCGAGGUUUUUUGAUCUAUUGAAAGAUUCUGACGAACCAUUAUGGGAUGGGUGCACGAACCAUAAUAAAUUAUCGGUCAUAACACAGGUGUUCACCAUCAAGUCAGAUCACGGGUUGAGUGAGGCCAGUUAUGACAAAAUUAUGGAAUGAGCGAGAAGCAUUUUACCUGAAGGGAACAAGCUUAAAGAGAACUUCAAUGCUGCUAAGUCCUUGAUGAAACCCCUCGGUUUAGGAUACGAGAAAAUUGACAUGUGCCCUAACGUCUACAUGAUUUACUACCUUGAAAAUGCUGAGCUGACCGAGUGCAUGACAUGUGGGCAUUCCCGUUAAAAACCCAGAACUGACAUGGGAAAGAAUCUCAUGGCAUAUAAGAAACUUAGAUACUUCCCAAUCACACCUAAAUUACAGAGGUUAUUCAUGUCACCAAGGACUGCUGAGUACAUGACAUGACACCAAUCACAUAAUACGGUUGAUGGAGUGAUGGUGCAUGCUUUUGACAGCGAAGCAUGGAAACACUUUAACAGUGUGCAUCCUCAUUUUUCAGCUGAAUCAAGGAACGUGUGUCUUGGGUUGUGUACAAACAGAUUCAACCCAUUCGGGUCAUUUGCUGCUCCUUAUUCUUGUUGGCCGGUUAUACUCACGGUUUAUAACUUGCCAUCGGGGAUGUGUAUGAGGCUGGAGUUCAUGUUUUUAUCUAUUGUCAUACCAGGUUGGAGCAGUCUAGGCUGGAAUAUAGAUGUUUGUCUUCGACCGUUGAUUGAUGAGUUGCCAUAGUUGUGGUCCUCUAGAGCUUUGACUUAUGAUAUAUCGAGGAAACAAAAUUUUGUUAUAAGGGCGGCUUUGAUGUGGACUAUCAAUGAUUUCCCAGCUUAUGGAAUGGUUUCUAGUUAGAGUACACAUUGAAAACUAGCUUGUCCAUACUGCAUGGAAAACAACAAGGCAUUCACGCUAACAAACAGAGGUAAAGCUUCUUUUUUUAACUGUCACUGUCAUUUCUUGCCACCGAAUCACAUGUACAGAAAGAACAGAAAGGAUUUUUUAUUAACAGAGUUGAAAAGGAUAUUGCACCCCCGUGUCUUUCUGGUGAUGAAUUGCAUGAUGUUGUAUCAGAGUACGGUGACAUUCACUACCAGAAAACUGGAGAAAACCAACGGAAUUACCGACGGAAACAUUCCGUCGGUAAUAAUUACCGACGGACAUAAUUCCGUCUCAAAAUCUGUCAGUAUAUACCGACGGCCUCAAUUCGUCGGGGACACGGUCGGUAUUUACCGACGGAAUAUUUCCGUCGGUAUAUACCGACUGUGUCGCCGAUGGGGUAUACAGUUUGUCUAGAAAAAUGCAACGGCGUGGUGACGUCAGACAAUUUUACCGACGAAAUGACCGAGGGAUUCAAACUGAGAUAGUCGUACAAUGACGUGACACUAUCACCGAUGAAAUCACCGACGGAAGUAAUCCGUCGGUGAUUCCAUUGGAAAAACCAUUAUAUACCCACUGAUCUCCUGACACUCUCUUCCUCUGUUUCUCCUUCUUCUUUCCCAUUGAUUAGUACUUAAAAGUGCAUUUUUAUCAAGGUUUUAUAUCAUCAUUUUGCACUUGAAGUAUCAAUAACUCCUUAACUAAAGCAUGUUUUAUAAUAACAUAUCUAAUAAUAUAAGAUACCUUUAAUUUAUGGUAAAUGUUCAUCUUAAAUGCAGGCCUAUCACAUAAAUGAAAGAAAUUGAUUGAUGAGUUGAAGUACUAAAAUUGAAAGAACAAAGAGAUGGCCAAACUUAGAAAAGAGAUGUUGGUGCAGUCCAAACUGGAACAUUGUUCGGUAAUCGGGUCAUAUCUGGAGCUGUAGAUCUCAGAUUUAGUUCUACUUUAUAUGGAUGGAAAGGUAAGACAUAGGCCUACAACUUUCAUGAGGAGCCCAAGAUUUAACAAGGCCGUUUUCAAGUCCAAAUUGUAGCAACAACGAAGAAGUCCGAAUCUGUCCUGCAGCCCAGACACUGUUCAGUGUUCAGCCCAUAUCUCUAGUUCUAGAAGUCCAAAUGAUCUAAAAUGUUUACCCUAGAAAGAUGAGACAAUUCCCUAGAACUUUCAUGAUUGAAGUCUGUUCAAAUUAUGACGUUAUCAAUGACGUUUUUGGAAGACAAGAAGAUAAGAAUUGUCACCAAGUCAAGAUGUGGCCACCCAUUCAUCAAUUAGUCAACAAAUCAAUAGUUCCAAAUUUUGGCCUAUAAAAGGAGGCAUUUGCCAUGUAUUCAGUCAUCUUGGUGUUCAGAUCAAGAUCAUGCUCUUGCUCUCUCUUUAUAUUUUGUAAUGCUUAAGUUUUGCUUAUAUUAAUUUCUUGCUUAUGCUUUUCAUUUCCUUUCCUUGUUUAUUUAUGUUUCUUUCUUUCAUUAUGUGUUGCUAAGUUAAUUAUGUCAAGGUGAAAAGGGUACACUAAUGGUGUAAGAAUAAGUAUAAUAUAAACUUAACAUGGACCUUAAUGUUGGAUACUAACAUGCUUUAUAUUUGUUAUCCUUUUCACUUUUAAUACUUUGCUUGUUAAAUGGUUAAUCUAGAUUUAUGUUGUAUAACACUUGGUACAACAAAUACUUGGCACUUUCAUAGCCCAUACUGUAUGGUAUAACCGACACCUGAGCUAUGAAAGGAACUUGAUUUGUUGUUAACAUAAGUUAUAAUCAUGAAUGCCUGACAACAUUUACAAGUAUUAGCAUUAUUCGAAUAAGAUAACUAAUGUAAUCAUGUUAACAAUUUAUAAUCUGAUUGGAACCUCCUUUGUGUGUGGUUUCCAGUUGAAUAAAAAGAGUUUAUACUAUACUUGUUUGACGUACCAUUAGUGGAUCCUCUAACCUUGACAUUUGUUGUUAUCAUUGUUUAAUCCUUACGUUAAUCUUCCAUCUCAAAGUUCUCAUCAACUUCUUCUUCUUCAUCAUCUUUAUUAUUAUCAUUAUUAAUAGUAUUAUUGGUAUUAUUAUUACUACUACUACUACUACUAUUACUACUACUACUAUUAUUAUUAUUAUUAUUAUUAUUAUUAUUAUUAUUAUUGUUAUUGUUAUUAUUGUUACUAUUGUUGAUGUAUUAUUGUUGUUUAUAAUUUAUACAAUUAACCUCCCUGUGGUUCGACCCCGAUCUUGCCUGGUUAUUUAUUACUUCGACACUCCUGCACUUGGGAGAAGACAUCAAUCUUUUGGUCAUGUCACCCAUCCCACCUCUCCCCUCCCAAACUGCAGCCACACCCAUCCCAACUCUCCACUAUUCUCAACACGAGCACUCAAUAUCCGUACGUGGUCACAAUAUCCGUUUCUUGUAGAUUUUAUCAUUUUUUUGUAAGUAAAUCUAUCCUUUUUAGUUUUAAUAUUUAAUUGUGAAUUUUAUUGUUUUAGUAUAUGUAUUUUGUUAACGUUUGUACUUGUUUAAUUGUUAUUUGUCAAAGAAACUUGUAGUAUGAAUGUAUAAUUUUGUAGUUGUUAUAGUUUUUUUUAGAUUUUAUCAAAUUAUAUUUGUUUGUAAAUUAUUGAAAUUUUGUUUGAAUUACACCGAAUUAAAUGUGUCGUUGUGAUGAAAUAAAUAAUUAAUAGCUUGUUUAACGAGUCUUGUUUAAUUGUUAUGAAUUCUAUUUUGAAGUUGUGAUUUCUGUAAAUUUAUAUAUGUAUAAAUUUGUAUGUAUGAACGUUGAUAGUUGAUAAUUGAUAAUGAAUAUUUAACAUAAGUGUUGUUUUAGUUUGUUGGAUAAUGUCGGGGAAAACCAAUAUUUUUGUUAUGUUUUAUAGAGGUUCAAUAGAAGUCAUGGAUGAUCGUUCAUGGAUGUAUUGGGACUCACCCCAAGGAUUGCGAAGGAUGGAUUAUUGUAACGGUGUCCAGGGUUUUAUUAAUUUCGCAAUAUCUAUUCCGAGGAAUUUUACUGAUGGCGGUAUUAGGUGUCCAUGCAGGAAGUGUAAAAAUUUAAAGUUUCUGCAUCAAGAUGUUGUAACGAUGCAUCUUCUAACCAAAGGGUUCAUGGAAGAUUACUUGUGUUGGUAUGCUCAUGGAGAACUAUUUGGUCCUGAUGAGAGCAUGGAAGAACAGGUGGUUGGGUCAACUUCUAGUGCUAGCAACAUGCAUGAAGUUGGAAAUGAGAACAGUAAUCCUUACAGGAAUAUGGUUAUGGAUGCAAUGAGAAUGAGUGAAGGUAAUGUCAGGGAAUGUCCAAUCGUAGAAGAAGAACCUAAUGCAGAUGCAGCAAGGUUUUUUGAUCUGUUGAGAGAUUCUGACGAACCAUUAUGGGAUGGCUGCACGAACCACAGUAAAUUAUCAGUCGUAGCAUAGGUGUUCACCAUCAAGUCAGAUCACGGGUUGAGUGAGGCCGGUUAUGACAAGAUUAUUGAAUGGGCGAGAAGCAUUUUACCUGAAGGGAACAGGCUGAAAGAGAACUUCUAUGCUGCCAAGUCCAUGAUGAAACCCCUCGGUUUAGGAUACCAGAAAAUUGAUAUAUGCCCUAACUUCUGCAUGUUAUACUACCUUGAAAAUGCUGAGAUGACCGAGUGCAUGACAUGCGGGCAUUCCCGUUACAAACCCAGAACUGGUAGAGGGAAGACUCUCGUGGCAUAUAAAAAACUUAGAUACUUCCCAAUCACACCUAGACUGCAGAGGUUAUUCAUUUCACCAAGGACUGCUGAGCACAUGACAUGGCACCAAUCACACCAUGCGGUUGAUGGAGUGAUGGUUCAUCCUUCUGAAGGUGAAGCCUGGAAACACUUUAACAAUAUGCAUCCUCACUUUUCAGCUGAAUCAAGGAAUGUGCGUCUUGGGUUGUGUACAGACGGAUUCAACCCAUUCAGGUCAUUUGCUGCUCCUUAUUCUUGUUGGCCAGUCAUACUGACAGUUUAUAACUUGCCACCGGGGAUGUGUAUGAGGCCAGAGUUCAUGUUUUUAUCUAUGGUCAUACCAGGUCCAAGCAGUCCGGGUCGGAAUAUAGAUGUUUGUCUUCGUCCGUUGAUUGAUGAGUUGACGCAGUUGUGGUCCUCUAGAGCUUUGACUUAUGACAUCUCGAGGAAACAAAAUUUUGUUAUGAGAGCGGCUUUGAUGUGGACUAUCAAUGAUUUCCCAGCUUAUAGAAUGGUUUCUGGUUGGAGCACGCAUGGAAAGCUAGCAUGUCCAUACUGUAUGGAGAACAACAAGGCAUUCACGCUAACAAACGGGGGUAAAGCUUCUUUUUUUGACUGUCACCGUCGUUUCUUGCCACAUAACCACAUGUAUAGAAAGGAUUUCUUUGUUGGCAGAGUUGAAAAUGAUGUUGCACCCCCGCGUCUUUCUGGUGAAGAAUUGUUUGAUGUUGUGUCAGAGUACGGUGACAUUGUGUUUGGUGUCCAAUCAGGUAAGCAAAAGUUUUCUGGUUUUGGUUUGACCCAUAAUUGGGUGAAGCGAAGUAUAUUUUGGGAGCUUCCUUAUUGGAAGACCAAUCUUCUCCGCCAUAACCUUAACAUCAUGCACAUUGAAAAAAACGUGUUUGAGAACAUUUUCAACACCGUCAUGGAUGUGAAGGGGAAGACAAAGGACAACAUCAAGGCUAGAUUGGAUGUAGCGCUGUUCUGUAACCGUAAAAAUAUGGAGUUGGUUUGUGAUGGGUCACGGGUCGCAAAACCAAGAGCAAGCUUCGUGCUAGAGAAAAACGCACAACAACUAGUCUACAAAUGGCUUAAGAGUCUGCGUUUUCCCGAUGGACAUGCCUCGAACAUAUGAAGGCUGGUUAAUACAGAGGAAUGCAGAUUAUAUGGAAUGAAGAGUCAUGACUGCCAUGUGUUUAUGCAAACACUCAUCCCAUUAGUUUUUCGUGAUUUGUUGCCAAAGGGGAUAUGGGAUGCACUAACGGAGAUCAGUCAUUUCUUCAGAGAUAUAUGCUCCAGCAAGUUGAAUGUUGAUCACAUUGAAAGGCUUGAAAAGAAUAUCGUCAAGACAGUAUGCAAACUUGAGAUGAUAUUCCCUCCAUCAUUUUUUGACUCAAUGGAGCAUCUACCCGUACAUUUACCGUUUGAGGUAAAAGUUGGAGGACCGGUUCAGUACAGAUAGAUGUAUCCAUUCGAGAGGUUAGAUAUUACAUGAGCUAUGUAAUUUAUAAUUAAAUAUUUUUAUUUUUAUUUUAAUGUUUUUAAUUGAUAAUGUUUUAUAUAUAUAUAUAUACAGGUACUUGUUCAAUCUUACAAAAAAGGUUAAGAACAAGGCGCAUGUUGAGGCAUCAAUAUGUGAGGCGUAUAUUGUUGAGGAGAUCUCAACAUUUAUCUCAUACUAUUUCGAACCUCAUUUGAGAACGAGGAUAAACCGUGUUCCAUGGCAUGAUGAUGGUGGUGAAGUGCAUUCAAGUGGGAACUUGUCAAUAUUCUCCAAUCUUGGACGACCCACACCUAAAAAUGUCGUGAGGGGAAGAUAUUUGUUUGAAAUAGAGUUCAGAUAAGCACACAAUUAUGUCCUAUUUAACUGUGAUGAGCUGAGACCUUUUAUUAAGUAAGUAGAUGUUCGCCUUAAACUUUGUCGAGAGUGUACUACUUAUGUUUUGUGAUACCAUACACUCAUAUAAUUUGGAACAACCUUGCAGGCAACAUCGACGAUACUUACUGUCCAAUAACUCACAGCUGACCGAACCCCAGAUCUUUCAAUUACAAGAUGAACAAUUUGCCACAUGGUUUAGAACACAUGUAAGUCCUAUCACAAACUCAUUAUCUCUUGCAAUGUAAUUAAUUGUAGUCAAUGUUACAUAAUAUCCAUUUAUUGAUUAUUGUUGUAUUUAAUUUACAAGCUAGGUUUAUCAAAUGGGAGGUAGUGCUGCUAUUUCACUGUCCUUACUAUGUCUGGGCCCUGAAAAAAAAGUCAAGUGCUAUAAUGGAUAUUUUGUCAAUGGAUAUGUCUUUCAUAUUGAAGAAUACGGGCAUGGAAGAAAGACAUACAACAGCGGUGUUUGUAUUAAGGGAUCGACUUCUAGUGAGUUUGAAGUUGACUACUACGGUAGAUUGGAAGAGGUCAUCGAACUGCAAUAUCAUAGCGAGCAAAAUAGAGUGUUUUUAUUCAAAUGCUAUUGGUAUGACACAACUGACAGAGGAAUCAGAGUAGAUCCUCACUAUGGUCUCGUUGAAAUCAACUCAAAAGCUAGACACCGCAAUGUAAACGACGUCUUUGUUUUCGCAAAGCAAUGCCAACAAGUUUAUUACACAUACACCCCUUCCUUUAGAAAGGACCGAUCAAGAGUUGAUUGGUUAUCCGUUUUACAAACAAAACCUAAGGGUCGUGUCGAGGUUGUUCAGGAUGAGAACGAAGACACAAGUGUGAUAGAUGAAGUCUUUCAAGCUAGUGAGUUGGUUGAACCAUACCGAGUUGCUCCGUCGAUUGACUUAGAAGAAAAUUCAAAUUUUCGUGUUUUCAACGAUAGUCUUGUUGAUGUUGACGCAGAGGAGUUGAAUGUUGUUCUGAGCUCUACUAGUGGAAAAAAGAAUGUUGUUGAAGAAUAUGAUAACGAAAUUGAAGAGUGCGAUAAAGCUGAUGAUAACAAUUCAAUAGAGGACGAAGAUGAAAAUUCCGACUAACUAAACAUGUUAUAAAGCCUUAUUUUAUAAUGUAAUAAUUUGAAACAUGAAAUAUUUAUUCUUCUUUAAUGGUCAGCCCUUGUUAUUGUGUUGUGUGUGCUGUAAGAUUGCAAUUCAAGAUUUUUUGACAGGGUUACAUAAAAAAAAUAAGAAAAAUUUACGGUUUCACCGACGGGGUUACUGAUGGACUAUAACCCGUCGGUAUUUCACAGAGAGUUGCAAAACAAUUACGUGAUUGUUCCACAAUCACCGACGGACUAUCACUCGUCGGUAUUUCACAGAGAGUUGAAAAACAAUUACGGGAUUAUGCCACAUUCACCGACGGGUUUACCGACGGCUUUACCGACGUAAACUACCGACGGAAUCACCGACGGAUUACGCACAUCUCGAAGCGCAUGCAUGUCUGACAUGUGUCUGUCUGCACAAAUACCGAUGGCUUUACCGACGGAAUCACCGACGGAUUUACGCACAUCCCGAAGCACACGCAUGUGUGACACGUGGCCGUCUGCACAAAUACUGACGGAUUUUCCGACGGAUCGAAAAGUUUGGCGAGAUUUUCGAACUUUUUUUGGUGCGCAUUUCAAUUAAUUUCCGACGGCAUUACCGACGGAAUUUAAUGCCACCAACAACAAUUAAUGUCCGUUGGUAAUUCCGUCGGAAAAAUUGCCAUAUAAAUCCCCCCUUCCCCCCCCCAUUUGGUUCAUUUUUUUCUCUCGGCUCCGUUUCUCUUCUUCUACAUUUCUCUUCUCCUCUCCAUUUCUAUUUGUCAAAUUGAAGAGAUUUUAUUGUUUUGGUGGUUGUGAUUUUACCAAGGUAUGUAUUCUUUUUUCUUUAUCUUUGUAUUUUUUUUAUUUUAAUUAUGAUUAUUUUUUUUGGUGUUCUUUGUUUUGUGUAUUGUUUGUAGAUAAAAUCUUACAUUCAACACACUAUUAAGGUAAGCAUUUUUUAUUCCCAAAUUUAUUUUGAAUUGAUAUAAUGUUUUUUAGUUUUGUGUAUUGUUUGUUUUGUGUUUAUGUUGUUUUGUGUGAUGUUUUUUAGUUUUUUAAUUUUAUUUAUUAAUUUUAUGAUAUUAUUGUUUGUAUUGCUAUAAUUGUUAUUGUUGAAUUUAUGUUAAAAAUGUUAAUUUAUAUAUAUAAUUGUUAUUGUUGAAUUUAUGUUAAAAAUGUUAAUUUAUAUAUAUAGAAUUACAUUUAAUUAGUUUAUCUUAAUUUAGAAAAUGUUAAUUUAUAUAUAUAAUUGUUAUUGUUGAAUUUAUGUUAAAAAUGUUAAUUUAUAUAUAUAGAAUUACAUUUAAUUAGUUUAUCUUAAUUUAGGAUAUUAUUGUUUCCAUGUCAUUGUUAUUGCUUGUUAUUACAUUUUUAUAUUUAUGUAUACAUGUUAAUUUUUAUUUUGAGGUCCAUUAGGGUCGAUCGUGUUAGGAAUGAUAUUGAUUUAGUUAUCUUUUGCUUUUGACCAUGUAAUUAUUUAUAAAUUAAGAGUCUUGUCUCCUAAAACUUGAAAUGUAAUAUUAAUCCGUAAAUUUGAAUGUAUGACUUUAAUCUAAUGUUUGUAACUCUAAGUACCAAUUUAACAAUGAAUGUUCAUAGUUGAAAUUGAUUCUUUUACUUGAAUAUCAUUAUAUGAUGUUAUUGAAUAAAAUGUUAUGUUGAUGAUGAUGAGUUGGGUUGAGAUCCAGGAUGAUUGGAUCGGGAUGUGAAAUAAAAUUGGAAGUGUAAUAUGAUUUUGUCGAUAACUUGGGACCCCCCAGUAUAGGGGAGACUAUGUCGAAUUUUUUUUAAAAUAAUCGAAGUUAAUUAUGUAAUUAUUCGUAUAAAUUUGUGUAGAUGCGUAGAAUGAAAUCUACAGCACGUAGUUAGAAGACGGUUGCAGCUAGUUCUUCUAGCAGCAAGGAGGACGUAUCCUUAGGUGCUGAUCACGGCGAGGAAUCUACGCCAACUUGUGAUGCUGCCUCUUCUAGCGCGGUUUCACAGCGCAGAAGCGGUGUGCCUUCAUAGCGGGGUCAAUUCACCCGCAAGUACCAGGUACAAUGGAAGGAUGACCUCUCAAUGUAAGUUUGUUUAGGUUUUAGUGUUUUUUUUAUAUACUUAUAACAUAAUUUAUGAACAACUAAUUAAUAUUACUACUUUUAUUUAAUUUCAGGUUCACAAACAUUGAGGCUGCAAGGACUAUAACAUUGGCGUUUAAAUCGUCGAUGGAGAUUCCAUUGUUUCAAUGGAGCCAGGUUUCCAGACAUCCUGAGUGGAAACCUAAUAUUAAUGCAUGGUUUAAGCGAUUUCAGGUCGGUGUUAAUUUUUAAUUUCCCGCUUAUUUUUAAUAAAUGAUUUUUAUAAUUUUAUAUCUUGUACUAUUCUUAUUUUAUAUGAAUUAUUUAUAUACACAGAAUAAAUUUGAGUGGGAUAGGGCGGACAACAAUGUUGUGAGGAGGGUAUGGGAGAAUCACGCGGCAACUAGGUAACAUCGAAAAUAAUAUUUAUUUUUGUUUUAUAAUUUUAUGUUUUAAAUUCUAAUUUGUUACUAUGGAAGUAGGUUGCGUGAAUUUUGGUAUGACACCCAAAAAAAAUAAAAAAGACAAGCGAGGGAUAACGGUCUUGAAGGAUGGAAUGAGGUGGCGGUUUGGCAGGAAUUCAAACCGCCAUUCAUCUCGGGGGAAAUAUGGACGGCAUAUAUUGAGCACGUGACCUCAGAGCGGUUCUCACAGCGCUCACAGUCCGGCGCCGACAACCAAAACCGGCAAAUUCAUGGUUCGGUGACCACGCACACUGGCGGAUCCGUCCCAUUCAGCGCACAUGCAAAGCGGAUGGUAAGAUUAAUUUUAAUGAAAUAUAUCGUUAAAUAAUUUGUCGUUCUUUAUAAUAUAUUUAACUUUCAACCUAUUUUUUCCUUACAGUCUGCGUCUCUUGGACAUGAACCGAGUCCAAUGGAGCUGUUUGUAGAGACGCAUGUGCGGAGUCAAGACCGCCAAAAGGGGGUGCAACAGUUUGUGGACAACCGUGCUCAGCACUUCGUGGCAUGUUCGUUCAUUCAUUUUAUUUUGUAAGUUAUAAUUUCUUGAAUUGCAUCUUGAAUUGCAUUUGAUGAUUUUUUACCGACGGAAUUUUCAGGAGACCUAUAAUAGCCGGUUGAGGGAGAGAUAUGGGGACAAUCCGUCGACCCAUCCAGAUUUCGAUCCAGAUUUGUGGAUGGAGGCGGGAUCGUCUGGUGGACACGAUAAAAAUCGGGUCUACGGGCUCUCCAACACUACGGCUGAAAACUUGCGUUCGGCUCGUAGUGUCUCAAGUGUUGGAAGCUCUCCAUCAGUAUCGAACACCCAGUCUGAGGAGUUCAUUGCGUUGAAACAACAAUAUCAACAACUCUCGACGAAUUAUGAUGAGCUCCGUCAAAUAGUCAUAGAGAUGAGAUCAAAGAUGGGUGACGAUACUUGUGCAGCUUCUUUUUGGUCGUAUGGUCCCUGGAACAACCAGCCUCCUCCUCCUCCUACAGCUCCGCCGCUAUUCUAGUUUAAUUUUGUUUUUUAAACACAUUAAAUUUGUAAUGAAUAUUAUUUAACAUUACUUUUAUAUUUUUAAUGUUUAAUCCAUUGUUAUUUGUUUAUUAAGGUUUUUUACUAUUAACAAAAUUAUUUUUUAUAUAUAUUUUAAAUACCUACCGACGGAUAUACCGACGGAUAAUGUCCGUCGGUAUUCCACAGAGAGUUGCCAAACAAUUACCAGCCAUGCCAUAAUUACCGACGGAAUAUAUCCGUCGGUGAUUAAAUACAGACGGAUUUACCGACGGAUAAUAUCCAUCGAUAUUUCACAGAGAGUUGCCAAACAAUUACCAGCCAUGCCAUAAUUACCGAUGAAAUAUACGUCGGUAAGUCCGUCGGUACUUACCGUUGAAAUUGCAGGCGGAUUUAUUUCGUCGGUAAUGUUCCCGCGGGAAACUUUUUUUUUGGCGCGCGUGUAUCCGUCUGUAAGACCGUCGGAGGGUAUUUUUUUUAUUUGCGACAGAAUUAGCGACGGAAAUGGGUUUUACCGAUGACUGGUAUACCGACGGAUGUGUUUCGUCGGUGAGGUCGUCGGUAAUUAUUUUACCGACGGAUUUCAUUGCUUGCACCGACGGAAUUAGUCCGUCGGUAAAACUGGUUAAUGGUGUAGUGAUUGUGUUUGGUUUCCAAUCAGGUAAGCAGAAGUUUCCUGGUUUUGGUUUUACCCAUAAUUGGGUAAAGCGAAGUAUUUUUUGGGAGCUUCCUUAUUGGAAGACCAAUCUCCUCCAUCAUAACCUUGACGUCAUGCACAUAGAAAAGAACGUAUUUGAGAACAUUUUCAACACCGUUGUCACACCCGGACAUCGCGGCGACCGAUUAAAAAUUAAUCACAAGUGGAAAAAGAACAUAUAUCUGGCAUCUUGUUCUUUGGGGGGAAGGUCUUGUUCAAGGAGUCGCCACCUGGUAUUAUGAUCACUUGGAACCCUAACUGAUCAACAGAGAUUCUACGGUGCGAGACUGAUUACGCGAAAGGGAAGAUAUUAUCACCCCUUAAGCGUCCUACCUAAGGCAGGCUGCAUUGCUGGUUUUUGUCUAAAAUUGCUAAGAAUUUGUUCUCUUUUUCCUUUUUUAUCCUUCCUUUCAUGUUCCUGACUCUGGCAUCAGUGAACAAUUCCUACAAAUAUUUCCAACUCUGGCGUUGGUAAAUAUCGCGCAAAUCCAAAAAUUGCGAUACUCCUGACUCUGGCAUCAGUGAAUACUUUUGAAAAAAAUUAAUUUGUUGAAGAAAUUUUCUAUGCCAUUUUCCCUGUUUAUCCUUUAUUUUUAUUGAUCCUUUUCAGAUGGAAAUAAAUAAAUAAAAAACCUUGCACGACAUAUUUGCAUUCAACAAUAAUAAUCCACAGAUUGAGCACAUAGCUAAAAAAAAAUACAAGCACAAAGAAAAAAAAAUAAAGUGUGAGGAGCCCACAAAUAAAUCAACGAAGAACCACAAAUAUUUUUGGAAUUUUCUGAUAUCGAAAAGGGGCUCGUUUGGCCAAAUGUUAAACUAGAAUGUGCAUAAAAAUUAUGGCCGGCUGGGCCUAAAUCCCAGACCCGGACUACUCUUUUUUUUGGGGGGGCUGAGUCCAGCCCAGCCAACAUGUACUGGGUUGGACCCAAGCAACCCGGCUUGGUUAUUGGCUCAGGCCAAUAACAGGGCCAAACAGCAGGCACGCGUGAACUGGUUCACAUGUGCCCCUGCACAGUGCGAAGGUAAUUAAUUUACCUUUGGACUGUUUUGAACAGCAUUCUAAGGAAUCAAAUUUGCGGAGCUUGAGGAAGAGAGUUUACCUGGGUGAAGACAGCGAUGGGGAAGCAGACGGGGUGAUGAUUUUUGCUACGGCCGAAGAACAUCCUCCUCCUCCCUUUUAUUUUCAAACCCACUCCCCUUUGUUUUCUUGUUCUUUUUGGUUUGCCUAUUCUACGUGAAUCCGGAGACAAAGACAAAGUUGGGUUUUGCUUUAUUUUAUGCCUUCCACUCUUUUGCUCUGUUCCCCCGCUCUCUUCCUUUCUACCGAGGUAUUUAUAGGGAUCAAUCUUCCUCUCCCUCCACCUGACGUCUCUCCUCCUGAUAAGCACGGUUUGAGGGAGUAGGUUUCUGCUGGGACUCGGACACGAAGUCCAGUCGUUAUCAUUCUGGAUUGUGAUUAUCAUGAAGAAUAGGAUUGUUGUUCUGUGUUUUGGAUGGGAUUAGGAUGCCAAUUGUCCCGCCAUUGUUGGGCUGUUUGUGGUGGUUUUCUUCAAGCUGUUGGCAUGUCAUAGCGGCGAUGGACACGGGGGUGAACUGAUGAGCUGGUGAUGGAAGUCGUGGGUGUUGCCGUGUGUUUGGUGACCGGUGUUUCAUUUUUGCAGGGAGCUUUCCUCUGUUUUUCGGAGGAAGAGGACAGUGAACAGUAAUGAAGAAUGGAGUCAUUUUGGACUGGAAAUGGCAAUCUCUCAAUUUGGUCCUCCAAGUUUCAACAUUUUUUAAUCGGCCCCUGGACAGAAUUUCGGCCCUUUUUACAAAAUGAUCCCUGGACCUUCAUCACUUGUAAUCUUGUCCUUAAUUAACUUAGAAAUUUAAUAUUUAUUCAAUUAUGCCCCUUAUUUCAUUAAUUAACUAAUUCUAAGCCUAAUUAAGUCCUCAAACUUAUCCAUUCUUCAAUCAAAUUCUUGAUAUCAUUAAUUAAACCCACUUAAAGUUUAAUUGGAACCCAUACCAGUUAAUUCUUUCAAUUUCUUUCAAAACUAACUUCCAAAGUCAUAAAUCCAACAUGAUUAACCUCUCAAAGCUUUCAAUUUGUGUUGUUUUGAGUCAAAACCUCAAUUUUUCAUUCAUUUCAUUUUUUUCAUUUAUGUUGUCUGAAAUUGGGUUACGACAACCGUUAUGGAUGUGAAGGGGAAGACAAAGAACAACAUCAAGGCUAGAUUAGAUUUAGCAUUAUUCUGUAAUUGAAAAAAUAUGGAGUUGGUUUUUGAUGGGUCACGGGUCACAAAACCUAGAGCAAGCUUCAUGUUAGAGAAAAAUACACAACUAAUAGUCUACAAAUGGCUUAAGAGUCUGCGUUUUCCAGAUGGACAUGCCUCGAACAUAUCAAGGCUGGUUAAUAUGGAGGAAUGCAGAUUAUAUGGAAUGAAAGAUUGUUCCAAAUUAUAUGUUCAUCUUGUAAUUGAAAGAUUUGGGAUUCAGUCAGCUGUGAGUUAUUGGACAGUAAAUAUCAUCGAUGUUGCCUCCAAGGUUGUUCCAAAUUAUAUGAGUCUGCGUCAUGACUGCCACGUGUUUAUGCAAACACUCAUUCCAUUAGCUAUCCGUGAUUUGUUGCCAAAGGGGAUAUGGGAUGCACUCACAAAGAUCAGUCAUUUCUUUAGAGAUAUAUGCUCCAGGAAGUCGAAUAUUGAUCACAUUGAAAGGCUUGAAACAAAUAUCGUCGACACAAUAUGCAAACUUGAGAUGAUAUUCCCUCCAUCAUUUUUUGACUCAAUGGAGCAUCUACCUAUACAUUUACUGUAUGAGGUAAAAGUUGGAGGACCGGUCCAGUAUAGAUGAAUGUAUCCAUUCGAGAGGUUAGAUAUUACAGUUGCAAUGUAAUUCAUAAUUAAAAGUUUUUCAUUGUUUUUUUAAUUGAUAAUUUUUGUUUAAUUCUAUAUACGCAAGUACUUGUUCAAUCUUAAGAAAAAGGUUAAGAACAAGGCACAUGUUGAGGCUUCAAUAUGUGAGGCCUAUAUUGUUGAGAAGAUCUCAACAUUUAUCUCGUACUAUUUCGAACCUCAUUUGAGAACGAGAAUCAACCGUGUUCCACAACAUGAUGAUGGUGGUGAAGUGGCUUCAAGUGGGAACUUGUCAAUAUUCUCCAAUCCUGGACGACCCACACCUAAAAAUUCCUUAAGGGGAAGAUAUUUGUCUGAAAUAGAGUUCAGACAAACACACAAUUAUGUUCUAUUUAACUGUGAUUAGCUGAAACCUUUUAUUAAGUAAGUAGAUGUAUUACUUAAACUUUGUCAAGAGUGUACUACUUAUAUAUUGUGAUAUCAUAAACUCAUAUAAUUUGGAACAACCUUGGAGGCAACAUUGAUGAUAUUUACUGUCCAAUAACUCACAGUUGACCGAAUCCUAAAUCUUUCAAUUACAAGAUGAACAAUUUACCACAUGGUUUAGAACACAUGUAAGUCCUAUUAUAAACUCAUUAUCUCUUGCAAGGUAACUGUACGUUAAUAUUAGAGAAUGUUCAUUUAUUGAUUAUUGUUGUAUUUGAUAUACAAGGUGUAUCAAAUAAGAGGUAGUGUUGCUAUUUCGUUGUCUUUACUAAGCCUGGGCCCUGAAAGAAAAGUCAAGUGCUAUAUCAGGUAUUUUGUCAAUGGAUAUGUGUUUCAUACUAAAGAAUACAAGCAUGGAAGAAAGACAUACAACAAUGGUGUUUGUAUUAAAGGAUCGACUUGUAGUGAGUUUGAAGUUGACUUCUAUGAGAAAUUAGAAGAGGUCGUCGAAUUACAAUAUAAUAGCGAGCAGAAUAGAGUGUUUUUGUUCAAAUGCUAUUGGUAUGACACCACUGAUAGAGGAAUCAGAGUAGAUCCUCACUAUGGUCUAGUCGAAAUCAACUCAAAAGCUAGACUCCGCAACGUAAAUGAUGUCUUUGUUUUCACAAAGCAAUGCCAAAAAGUUUAUUACACAUACACCUCUUCCUUUAGAAAGGACUAAUCACGAGUUGAUUGGUUAUCUGUUUUAAAAACAAAACCCAGGGGUCGUGUCGAGGUUGUUCAGGAUGAGAACGAAGACACAAGUGUGAUAGAUGAAGUCUUUCAAGUUAGUGAGUUGGUUGAACCAUAUCGAGUUGCUCCUUCGAUUGACUUAGAAGAAAAUUUGAAUUUUCAUGUUUUCGAUGAUAGUCUUGUUGAUGUUGACGCAGAUGAGUUGAAUGCUGUUUUGAGCUCUAGUGGACUAGAGAAUGUUGAUGAAGAAGAUGAUAAUCAUAUUGAAGAGUGCGAUCAAGCUGAUAACAAUUCAAUUGAGGACGAAGAUGAAAAUUCUGACUAAAUAUCCUGUAAAGCCUUUUUUUUAUAAUGUAAUAUUAUGGAUGAUAUUUUGGAACAUGAAAUAUUUAUUUUAUAAUUGUUUGUUGUUGUUAUUGUGUUAUUCGGUAAGUUUGCAAUUUAAGCGUUUGAGCAGGAGGAUAAAUAAGCAAUACAAGCAAAAUAUGUAAAAGUAUGACACAAAUACCGACGUACAUACUAAUGGAAACUGUCCGUCAGUAUUUUAUCGAGAGUUGUAAAAUAUUUACUGCAUUUGCCACAAUCACCAACGACCAUACCGAGAAUUGCAAAAUAUUUACUGCCAAUGCCACAAUCAUCAACAUUGUUUCCGACGGACAGACCGUCGGUAUAUCAUCAUAGAGGUGUGUGCGACUGUUAGAGUGCUAGGUCUGUCAGUGCGGAUACCUACGGAAUCACCGACGGACGCUGCAAAUUCCAAUGCGCGUGCUUUGACACCUCUAUACCGACAAAUGUGCCGACGGACUUUCAAAAUUCUAGAGGGAUUUUUAAAAUUUUAGUGCGAAAUUCAAAAUAUACCGAUGGAAUUUACCGACGAAAAUUUAAUGCCACCGCCAUGAAAAUAUUAUUCAAAUGUCCGUCGGUAAAAUUGUAGUAUAAAACCUAGCCCCCCUUUUCGUGGUUCAUUUUUUUCUUCGUUUCUCAUUUCAUCUUCUCUUCUCUUCUCUGUUUGUGUUUUGUUUUUGCAUGAAUUGGUGCAAAUUUUAAUUGUUUUGAUUGUAGUUUUCAACAUAUUAAAAGAUAUGUAUUCUCCUUUCUUUAUCUUUAUCAUGGUAAUCGUUGUUAUGAUUAUUUUUGUUGUGUUUUUUCUUUUUAUUUGUUCAAUUUAUUUUAUUGUUUGUAUUGCCAUAAUAAAUGAAAAUUUUGUUAAAUUUGAAUUGUUAUUGUUGAAUUUACCUUAAAAAUGUUAAUUGAAAUAUAGAAUUAAAUUGAAUUAUUUUAUCUUAAUUUUAUUAUAUUAUUGCUUGUUAUGUUUUUUAUUAUUUUGAUUAAUUUUAAUUAUUAUUUAUGAAUUUGUAUAGAUGUUAGUUGAAAAUAUAUAGAUAUUAAAUUUAUAUAGAUGUUAGGUUGUAUAUAAGAUUUUGCAAUGGAAUCAAUUAAAUUGGCUUGUGGAUAUUAUCAAUAUUUGUAGGUAUGAAAACUGUGGGUAGUAUCUAAUAUAGGAGAGGUGCUGGCAAAUGUUUUUUAAAUAAUUGAAUUUAAUUAUAUAAUUAUUCGUAUAAAUUUAUGUAAAUGUGUAGAAUGAAAAUUUAAUUAUUUUAUUGUUUGUAUUGUAAUAGUUAUCUGAAAAUUUUGUCGAAUUUUAUUGUUAUUAUUGAAUUUACCAUGAAAAUGGUAAUUGAAAAUGAAGAAUUAAAUUUAAUUAUUUUAUCUCAAUUUUAUUCUAUUAUUGCUUGUUAUGUUAGGUUGUAUAUAAGAUUUUCCAAUGGAGUCAAUUGGUUUGUGGUUAUUGUAAAUAUUUGGGAGGUGCUACCGAAUUGUUUUUAAAUAAUCAAAUUUAAUUAUGUAAUUUUUCGUAUAAAUUUGUGUAGAUGCGUAGAAUGAAAUCAACAACACAUCAUCAGCAGACGGUUGCAGCUAGUUCUUCUAGUAGCGAGGAUGACUUAUCCUUAGAUGCUAAUCAAGAAGAGGCACCUACGCCAACUUGUAAUGCUGCCUCUUCUAGCGCGAUUUCACAGCGCAGAGGUGUUGUGCCUUCACAGUGAGGUCAAUUCACCUGCAAGUACCAGGCACAUUGGAAGGAUGACCUUUCAAUGUCAGUUUAUUUAGGUUUUAGUUUUUUUUAUACUUAUAACAUAAUUUAUGAACAACUAAUUAAUAUUUUAUUAAUUUUAUUUAAUUUUAGGUUCACAAACAUUGAGGCUGCCUGAACAAUAACAUUGGUGUUUAAAUCAUCGAUGGAGAUUCCAUUAUUUCAAUGGAGUCAAGUUUCCAGACAUCCUGAGUGGAGACCUAAUAUCGAUGCAUGGUUUCGACGAUUUCAGGUAGGUGUUAACUUCUAAUUUCUAGCUUAUUUUUAAUAAAUUAUUUUUUUAAUUUUAUAUCUUUUACUAUUUUUAUUUUAAAUGAAUUAUUUAUACACAACACAAAUUUAAGUGGGAUAACAUGAACAACAAUGUUGUGAAGAGGGUAUGGGAGAAUCAUGCGGCAACUAGGUAACAUAAAAAAUAAUAUAAUUUUUUAUUUUACAAUUUUAUGUUCUAAAUUCUAAUUUGUUACAAUGGAAGUAGGUUGUGUAAUUUUUGGUAUGGUACAUAAAAAAAAGCAAAAAGAUAUGUGAAAGAUAACGGUCUAAAAGGCUGGAAUGAGGCGGCAGUUUGGCGGGAGAUAAAACCGCCAUUCAUGUCGGGGGAUAAAUGGACACAAUAUUUUGAGCACGUGAUGUCUGAGCGGUUCGUACGAUACUCACAGUCCGAUGCCGACAACCAGAACCGACAAAUUCAUGGUUCGAUGACCAUGCUCACCGGCGACUCCGUUCCGUUCAGUGCAUAGGCGAAGCAGAUGGCAAGAUUAAUUUAAAUGAAAUAUAUCGUUAAUUAAUUUGUUGUUGCUUAUAAAUAUAUUUAACUUGCAACAUUUUUUUCUUCCAAGCUACGUCUCUUGGACAUGAGCCAAGCUCAAUAGAGCUGUUUGUCGAGACGCACGUGCAGAGUGAAGACCGCCAAAAGGGGGUGCAACAGUUCGUGGACAACCAUGCUUAACACUUCGUGGUAUGUUUGUUCAAUCAUUUUAUUUCAUAAGUUAUUAUUUUCUUGAAUUGAAUAUGAUGAUUUUUUUUUAAAUUUUCAGGAGACCUAUAAUAGCCGGUUAAGGGAGAGAUAUGGGGACGAUCCUUCAACCCAUCUGGAUUUCGAUCCGGAUUUAUGGAUGGAGGUAGGAUCAUCUAGUGGACCCGAUAAAAAUCGGGUCUACAAACUCUUCAACACUACAGCCGAAAACUUGUGGGCAGCCCGUAGUGUCUCAACCAUUGGGAGCUCUCCAUCAGUAUCAAGCACCCAGUCUGAGGAGUUCAUGGCCUUGAAACAACAAUAUGAACGACUCUCGAUGGAUUAUGAACAGCUCCGUCAAAUGGUCAUGGGCAUUAGAUCAAGGAUGGGUGAUGAUACAUGUGCAGCCCCUUUUUGGUACGGUCCGGGGAACAACCAGCCUCCUCCUCCUCCUCUAGCUCCGUCGUUAUUCUAGUUUAAUUUUGUUUUUGAAAUACAUUAAAUUUGUAAUGAAUAUUUGGAUGAAUAUUGUUUAACAUUAAUUUUAUAUUUUUAAUGUUUAAUACAAAUUUAUUUGGUUAAUUAGUUUUUUUUUACUAUUAAUCAAUAUAAUAUUUUUUUAAAAAAUUAUUUAUUCUAAUUUUUUUUAAUAUUUUUAAAUAAAUAUCAACGGCCUUACAGACGGAACAGGUCCAUUGGUAUUAGAUAGAGAGUUGAAUAAAAUUUACUGCCCAUGCCACAAUCAUCGACAACAUUAUUCUGUCGGUGAUUUACCGUUAACAAUACCAACGGACUUUAUCCGUCAGUAUUUUACAGAGAGUUCUAAAAUAUUUACUGCCCAUGCCACAAUAAUCGACGGACUGGCCAUCGGUGAUGUACUGGUGGAAAUACAGAUGAAAAAACUCCGUCAGUAAAGUUCUAGCGCGAUUUGUUUUUGGCGCGCUUUUUCCGUUUGUAAGAUUGUCGGUGUUUUUUUUUCUGAUAGAAGUAGCGACAGAAAUGGGAAUUACCGACGAUCAAUAUUUUGACAGACGUAUUAUGUUAGUGAUGUUGUCGGUGAAAAUUUUUCUGACGAAUACCAACGGAAUUAAUCAGUCAGUAAAAUUGUUUUAUGGUUUAAUGAUAAUUAAAUAAGUAAUAAAUUUCACAAAAUAAAGUUAUUAUAUCUAAUUGAGCUCAUGACCAAGGUGAUAGGUUUGGUGGGUUGACCCAGGUCGAUCCAAAAUAUUAUUGUCUCUAUAUUUAAGAAAAAAAAGUUAAAACAACAUUCUCUUGAUUUGUUUUAAGUCAAUUCGAGUCAACCAGAUGAAACAGGUCACAUCAAAUCAACUUUAACCCGUUUUAAUUUGAAACUUGGUCAGGUAAUGGGUCUGCACAAUGAGUCUUUGAUGUCAAUUAAAAUUAAUUAAUUCAAUAUAUAUUUGGGAUAUUAUUUUAUCAAAUACCAUUAAAUUCUUUGUUUGUUUUUGAAUGAUAUUAUAAUAGUUUUUUAUAAUAUAGCAAACACUCUUUUUGUACAACCCUUCAUGUAUUGUAUUUCUUUUUUUGCUUAAAUUUUAUUCGGUUGUUUUCAUAUGCAUCUUUAUUUUUUAUUUCAUAAUUAAAUACAAAAUAGAUUAAAAAAAGUUAUUAAACCUAACUGGAUCUAUGACCUGGAUCGUGAGUUGACCCAGGUCGAUCCAAAAUAUUAUUGUCUCUAUAUUUAAGAAAAAAAAGUUAAAACAACAUUCUCUUGAUUUGUUUUAAGUCAAUUCGAGUCAACCAGAUGAAACAGGUCACAUCAAAUCAACUUUAACCCGUUUUAAUUUGAAACUUGGUCAGGUAAUGGGUCUGCACAAUGAGUCUUUGAUGUCAAUUAAAAUUAAUUAAUUCAAUAUAUAUUUGGGAUAUUAUUUUAUCAAAUACCAUUAAAUUCUUUGUUUGUUUUUGAAUGAUAUUAUAAUAGUUUUUUAUAAUAUAGCAAACACUCUUUUUGUACAACCCUUCAUGUAUUGUAUUUCUUUUUUUGCUUAAAUUUUAUUCGGUUGUUUUCAUAUGCAUCUUUAUUUUUUAUUUCAUAAUUAAAUACAAAAUAGAUUAAAAAAAGUUAUUAAACCUAACUGGAUCUAUGACCUGGAUCGUGAGUUUGACGAGUUAACUUAGGUAAACGUUGGUUGAUUCAAAACAUCUUCUAAAUGUUUUUUUCAAAAAAAUUAAACAAAGUUGUCUUGAAUUUUUUUUAAGUCAAAUUGUGUUUUCACCGAGUUGUGUUUGGACCUACCAUGUCAACCAAGUCAUAUCAUGUCAACUUCAACCUGAUUUAAUUUGAAACUCGGGUCAAGUAAGGAACCAGGUGUAAGGGUCUUUAGAUUGCCUCGCUGAGCUAGACUGGAUUUGAUAAAUUAGCCAAAAUGUUCCCUGAAUAAACACACAAUUUUUGUAUCAUUCUUAUAUAUUUUUUUAAUGCAUUUGCAUUCUAAUUAUCAAAACUUUAGUUUUUUUUUUAAUUUAAACUUCCUUUUAUGAUUAUGGUGAGGUGUUGUAAAAAAAUAUUAUUGUAAUAAAAUGCUAAAAAAAAGGGAGCGUGUUAAUAAGAUAAAGAUGUUUUAAUUACGAAGAUAUUUUUUAUCCUUCUUUCAAAUCUUUCAUUUUUUAUAUUUAUUCAUUUUAUUUUUUUAUUAAAUAAAGAAUAUAGAACAAAAAAAGGGAGCAGUUGAUCAGGUAUUUGAUGAUGAUGGCAUUGAAUGCACAAUUGCUCAAAUCUUUCUCAACACUAAGAGAGUGUCUCCCCAUGAGAUUGUUGAAUCCCACAUAUUUCUUUUCUUAUGUUGGCAACUCAAGAGGUUAGGAAAUACUUUUCAAGAAAAAUCUUCUUCAUGUCAUUCCAUGUUCCAAUGGAACCUGGGAGAAUAGAGAAAAGCCAUGUCUUUGCUGCCCCUUUUAAAAGAGAAAGGGAAAGCUUUUAACUUAACUUGUUCUUUGUCAACUCCGUUUGGUUUCAUGCCAACACAAACCUGCUGUUGAUUUAUAGUCCAGGGCUUGACAGAAAAGACUGUUGGUCCAGAUAAUGGGGCGCGGCAGCGCAGAUUUGUGCAGCUGUAGGUUCGUCGGGGAAAAUCGGCAGCGCAGAUUUUUCGACGAACAUAGGCAGGACGCUGGACUAGCCGGGCCAGGCAGGAAAAUUCGUCAAGGGGACACGUUGACGAAACAACGCUGGUUUAGACACGGUGGGCGCAGUGGUGGAAUCAGCAUCGCCGACAAAAUCAGCAAAGUCGGCAGAAUCGGCAGCACCUGCUGCCGAUUUAUAGUCCAGGGAACUCUUUGAGAUGAGUAUAAGGAUCUUCUCUAGCAAGUCCAUUAAAUAUUAACAGUAAAUGUAUAAAACCAGACAUGAGCUCGAAGUUGGCAUUGUUGUCGAUGUUUAUGCACAAUGGUUGAUUCUCCACGUUAGGAGCACCAAGCUCCUUGAGUGUCUGUUGUCGUGUAACAACCAUAGUGUUGACGCAAGCUUCUUUUUGUAACCUGCGUAAAGUGUUUUUUAUUUCGAGAUUUACCUGAACUUGUCUGUGGUUAGUAGAAUGGGUUACAUGCAUAAAUCGUCAAGAAAACUCAAAAGAAACCAACAACACACGAGAUUUAAAGUAGUGCAAACUGAAUAAAAAUCCUACGUUAGAACACAAAAAUUGCCUAAAAACCCUAUAAAACAGCGAAAUUUGGCCUCAAUAGGGUGGAGUUAGUGGCUAUAAGCCACCAGUCUUGUUCAGAACAUCGUUUCCCUUAAGGACACAAAAGUCCGAGACCUAAUUCCACCAAAAAAUUAGUUUUGAGCAGUAUCGGUCAUACUGUAUAGUAUCGUCGCAAACAAAAAAAAUUGUUUCUUUUUUUUAACAAAAUAAAUAACAAUCACAGCACAAGAAUGAACUAAAAUCACUUUCUCGGCAACGACGCCAAAAUUUGGUGCGAUGUCGUGUUCGCACAAAUUAAUUACCCUAACUUAAAUAAACAAGAUAGUAUAGAGUAAGCAAGGGAUCAAUCCCACGAGGAAGCUUUAGUUUAGAUAUUUAUGUUAUACGAUAUGCAAUUGGGGGGAAUUUUGAGAUUAUCUAGACUAUAGCAGAAUUAAACAAUCAAGCUAAAUUAAAUAAAUCAGAAAAUUAUCAAGAGAACAAACCUUGGUUUCAAGUAAACAUUCACCUACAGAAAUCAGAACUGAUCAUUGAAAUGAAACAUCAAUUUAUAUUCUGAAUCCUUAUCUUUUCUUAAUAUUGGUUAGUUAACAGAUUCGCCGUAUAACUAACCAUAACCAUCAAACAAUCACGGUGUCCACACUAGUAAUAAAAAUUCAAUGGCAGCCUUAAGAAUUACAUAAGUUGAUUAAUCUAGAUAACAUGAUUGUCCGUAGUUCAUGUUUGGUUUGAUUGAAUGUUCUCCCUAAGAUUAAUAACGGAGAUCCGCCAUAAUUAUUAAACUCAGUUGCUUCACAACUUUAUAUACCACAACUCUAGUUUUGAUAGGAAAAUUAGCAAUAGAUUAUUCACAAAAAUAACUUAGAGUCUGCUCUAGCAAUUAAAAUAAAUAAUCAUAGGAUAUAAGCAUAAGAGAACAAACAUAUUCAUUCAUUAUAUAAACUAAAACGAAAAGGUAAAAUAAAUCUCACAGUUCUUGAAAUCUGAAGGUUUUUGUGUGCUUGCAACCAAGAAAAAGAGUUUAGCCUUGCAUGUCUAUUGAACAACUAAUCAAAAAAGAAGAAGAAUGCAUGAUUUUGGGUUUUUUAGAGGAAGGUGAAUUUUUUCUCUCUUGGUUGGUCUCCCCCUCUUCCUUUCUCUCUUUCUUUUUAUUUGAUAGGAAAUCCUAACAUCGUUUUUCUACAAAAUAGUCCUUACCUAAGUAGACAAUUUAUAUUUCAGUAGUUCAAUAACUAUUUUCCUAAAUAAGGAGAAAUAGUCUUACACAAAAUCCUCAAACUUUGAUUUUGGACUUAUAAGAGUUAAAUUGCCGAACUAAAGACUUGGAUGUCGGUUUGGAUGCUUUGGGAAGUAAUUUGGACUUGUUUCUUCACAAAACCUGUUUGCUGGCAGAAUUCAUAUGGCAUCUUAGAAAACUCAUAUGUGCUCGUUUUCUCCUACAAUUUGGUAUGAUGAUAGGUCUUUGAGUCAGGAAUCCAACCAAAUUGAGUUUACAUCAAAUGAACUUCUCUAGCUCAAGAUAUUCAAGUCGGAAUAGCCAAAGAUCAACACUAGCAGAAUGCAAGAUUUGUCUUUGAAGGCUGUGAUCUCUAUGUAAUUUCUCUUUUUAUUUUUCUUGCCAUAUAUUUACAGAAAGGUAUGGAUAUUAGCUUUCUAAUGCCAUAAGAAUCACUUCGUUUCGUCCUCUAGAGCUCAAGUUCUGUACAAAACAUUGAUUGGAGGUCAAAUCUGCCAAUUAUCUCCAAUUUACUUCUUUUUUAAUCUUACAUCCAAAAGUGCCUUCAAAACAUAAAUUAAAGAAAAUUAAGGUACUUUAUAUAUAAAACAUAGGCAAAAUACUAGUUAAAUGCGAGUAAAACUAUCAAAUAAUAUAAUUGCAUCAAAUACCCCCACACUUAGCUCUUGCUCGUCCUCAAGAAAGGAGAGAGAGAAAGUUGUUGUUUACACCGAUCCCAAUAACAAAAAUGAUUGAUCUUAGUGGCAAUGGCUUUCAUUUGAUGAGAGAAGUUUGAUUUUGGUUGUUUAGAACCUUAAUAUUUCCUAAAAAAUCAGAUCGAAGUCUAAGAAUUUUUUUUACUCGGUUUUAUUGUGUUUUUGGACCUUUUUUGGGUUUCCUAGGUUGAUAAAUUGAUUUCUAGAUGCUUUAAGAUUGUUUACAAGGUAUUUUUCGGUUAAAAUGGGUUGAAAUAUGAGUUUUUAGGUCAAAAAAUACUUUACCCUAAUUUCUCAGCUACCACCAUGGUGGUUGGAAUUUGAGCAUCAUUUAAUUAUAUUUUUUUAUAAAAAGAGGUUGAAUGACAAGUCAUUUUCCCCUUAAUAAGAUAUAUAAAACAAUAAAAUCAAGUUUGAAGGCCCACAUGAUUAGGGUUUUUUUUGGCAUUUUUUGUUUUAUUUUUUAAAAACUUUAUUAUUUUAUCUUUAGGUAAAAAAUAAAUUUUAGAAAAAACAUUAUUAAACUUCGCUCACUCCAUGACCCGAGUCAUAGGUUUGACAGGUUAAUCCAUAACAUCCGGGUCAAUUUAAUAAAUUGUUGUUUCAAUAUUUAAAACAAAACAAUAUGCGAUAUUGAAAAAAAAAACAUUUAUUUUAUUUUGAAUUUGUCUUCACAAUGUGUUUUGUUUUUCUUUUUCCUAUGAAGUUAAUUUGUUUAAAAUUGCUUUUUAUAUUAUUAUCACGGUCUCAUGUUCCUUCUCAUGGAUAUAACAAUUUAACUUUGGUUGACCCGGGCUACUUCAAUAUGUCACAAUGUUAAUGUUUUUUUUAGAAAAAAAGUCAUCUUGCAAAUUUGUUUUCCUUUAUUUUUUUCUUCCAUUUUCAACUUUAGUUUUUUAUUUAUUAUUAUUUAUCCUAUACUCACAGAAAAAAUUAAAUUAUUAAACCUAGUGAAUUCCAUGACCCAGAUCGUGGGCUUGAAAGGAGGUUGGCCGCAUAGCUCGUGUUGAUCAAAUUUAUUUUUAAGCAUUUGAGUUAUUUUGAAUUGAUCAUUAUGAUACGUUUCAUUUUGAUUUUUGUAUCAUUAAUUGAUUUUGAUCUGUUUUUUUCCUAUAAUUUAAUGACACUGCUUAAAAAUUUCCUAUAAUUUUGAUAUUUUUCAAGAUUUUAAAAAUCUUAGUUCAACAUUUAGAAGGAACAUGUUUUGAACCAAUAGUGUAUCCUAGAUAACUUUAACUAAGAUAGAUAGCACGAAAACAUUUACUACAAGUAUUGUAGCUUUCCUCACAAAUCACGAUGGAGCUACAUUGUUUCCCCACAUUGUUUUUUUUUUCCUUUAAACACAUGGUUCCUUUUUUUUCCUUUUACUUUUCUUUUUGUUUUUUUUCUUAUGAUUUUUUUCAAAAAUGUUUUUGUCAAUUUUAUUUUUUUAAUAUUGAGAUGGUUUAAAAUUUAGCUUUAUAAGUUUUUUUCUUUUUAUUUUGUCUUUCUAUGAGGUAACUCAAGUUGCCCUGGUUUAUGGAUUUAGUGAGUUUUUUUUUAAUUGAACUUGGCUUUUUUAUAUUCUAUUUUUUCUCAUAUAGUUAAAAAAAAUACUUUUAGAGAAAAGUUAAGUUCUUAAAUUUUAUAAAAUAACAAAAAUUAAAGGGUGUGAGGAAACCACGGUGUUUUGCUUUUUUUUUUCUUUUUCUUUUUGAAUUUUUGAUAUGAUUUGUUUUUUGAAUUUUUGAUAUGAUUUGUUUUUGUCGAUUUGAUCUUUUAAUAUUGGGAUGAAUAAGAAUUUGGCUUCAUAAUUUGUUUCCUUUUCCUUUACAUUUCUAUAAGGUUAACAUGGUUUGCGAGUUUGUCGUAACCUAGGUUGCCCUAGUUUACGAGUUUGGUGAGAUAUCUUUUUCUUAAUUGAACUUGACAUUUUAUCAUGUAUUGUUUUCUCAUAUAGUUCAUCAAUUCACAUCAUGGAGUAUAAAGCAUUAACAAAGUAGCAUAAAACAAGAUUUAAAGACUCUCAACAUUGUUUGACCACUAACUCUAUUUAAUCAUCAAAUUGUUUUACUUCAACUACAAUAAUUUAAUCACUUUACUCUAACUUUCACAUUAUUCCCGAUGACAAUUUAUAGUAAAUUUUUAUUUCCCCCAAAUUCAUUCAAGAACCCUAACUUUCCAAAUUUCAAAUUAUUUACCCUAAUUCACAUCAUGGAGUAAAUUUCUUGUUCUCGAGAUAAAAUUCCUAGAUCCUAGUAUUUGUCUAGGUAAACUUUUUUAUCCGGGUGAAUUCAAAUUCCAUUUAGUUACAUAUUGAUAAUUUUAUUUCCAGGUAACUCACUCCCAAUAAUAUUUUAUUCACUUUUCUGUAUUUUUUUCUUACUUGGUUUGUUUUAAUGCUUAUUUGAUACUUCUGAUAAAUCUAUUUUAUGAGCAUUUAGAUUGCUUUUCUGCCUAAUUUUCAACUGGGGUUUACAUUCUCCCCUCCUUAUAAGAAAUUUCAUCCUCCAAAUUUGAGUGAUGUGCCUGAGUUUAUAAACAAGUUGAGAAAUUUUCUUCUCAUUUUUUAUUCUCUCUCCCACGUUUCUUCCUCAAUUGUAAGCUUCACCAUAAGACUCUGAUGAUGCGAACUUUCUUAUUACGAAGUUCUUUCUCGCCCCAAUCAAGUAUCUUUAUCGAUCUUACCUCAAGUGUUAAGUCUUCUUUCACCUCCACUGGCACUUGAGGUAACACUCUCGAAGGGUCUACAUCGGCUUUUCACAGCAAAGAAACAUGGAAUACAUUGUGAACCUUGGCUAAUUGUGAGGGCAAGUUUAUUUUAUGUGCUACGGGUCCGAUACGUUUCAGGAUUUCAAAUGGUCCAAUAAACCUCGGAGCUAACUUCCCCUUCAUGUCGAAUCUCAGCAUGUGCUUCCAUAGAGGUACCUUCAGAAAUACUUUAUCUCUAGGACAAAAUUCAAGGGGUCUUCUUUAAAUAUUUGCAUACUUCUUCUAUCUAUCCUGAGCCACAUUCAUUCAAUCCUUUAUGAUCCUCACUUUUUCAGUAGUGAUUUGUACUAAUUCUGCCCCAUACAACUUUAUGUCCCCAACUUCUUCCCAACACAAGGGCAUCCUACACUUUCUACCAUAAAGAGCUUCAAAUGGGGCCAUUCCAAUUGUUGUCUGAUAACUGUUAUUAUAUGUGAAUUCUACUAGCGACAGGUGCUCCUCCCAGUUUCCACUAAAUUCCAAAGCACAUGCCUUUAGUAAAUCCUCUAUGAUCUGAAUAACUCUCUCAGAUUGGCCAUCAGUCUGUAGAUGAAAGGCAGUACUAAUAUUCAAAUUUGUUCCCAAGGCACGUUGUAUGCUUGGCCAAAGACGUUAAGUAAACCUUGGGUCUCGAUCUGAAACAAUUGAUACUGGGACUCUAUGAAGCCUCAUAACUUCGUUCACAUAAAUCUUAGCCAACUUGUCAAUUGGAUCCGUCAUUUUUACUGGUAGUGUUGCUACCCAAUUUUUGAUCCAUGUUUUUGAUAAAUUUUCAGAAAAAAUCCAAAAUAGCAAAAAAACAAUGAAAACCCCAAAAAAUGUAUUUUUGAUAUAUUUGCAUCGUUUUUAGCAUUUUCAAAAUCGUCUCAAAAGGAUUUAAAUUUUCAAAGGUAUUUUGAACGUGUUCAACUUUUAACGCGUUAAUUGUAUAAUCACUGAUUUUCCUUGUUAAGCCUACUUUGAUAUUGCUUGUUUUCAAAAAAAUACAAAAAAUAAGAAAAAAUCAAAAUUGACAAAAAAAUAAAGAAGUUGAGAGACUGAUGUGUUUUGGGGACCAAAUCACUUUGACUAUAAAUAGAGGUCAUGUGAAUCAUGGGGAAAAAUAAAGGUUGCUUAGAUUGCAAACUAACUAAAUGAGAAAUAAAAGUGAAGAAAUUCAUGCAUAUGGUUAAAUAAAAAUGGGAAUUGGGAAAUUUUUGGAUAAAAGUUUCUGGAUGAAAUAUUUUAAGACAUUAUAAAUCAACCCGAAAAUGUUGAGGGUUGAAUUAAAUUAAAGAAAAUAAACUAAACUAAAAGUUGUGGGGUGAAAUUAUAAGAAAUGAAAAGAGGUAUAACUUAAUUAUAAGAAGAAAAGAAGAAGAAGAAGAAGAUGUGGGGGCCUAAAUGCAAAUAAGAAAAAUUAUAGAGCAUAAUACUCCUUUUCUCACCAAAAAUUUGCAGCAAGUGUGAGUUCUGGCUCAAAGAAGUAGUAUUUUUGGGGCCAUGUAAUAUCCGCAGAAGGAAUAUUUGUGGAUUGAGGAAAGGCUGAGGCCGUGUUGAAAUGGGAAAGGCCUACCAGCGUGACAGAAAUCCGGAGUUCUUAGGUCUUGUUGGGUAUUAUAGGAGGUUUAUUAAGGUGUUCUCCAUCAUAGCAUCACCUCUGACUAAGCUGACCCACAAGGAAGUCAAGUUUGUUUGGUCGGAAGAGUGUGAAGCGAGCUUUCAAGAACCGAAGGAGAGACUCACUUCUGCUCCUGCGCUGGCCCUUCCAUCAGGGACAGAAGGGUUUGUGGUAUAUAGUGAUGCCUAAAAAAAAAGGGUCUAGGAUGGGUGUUGAUACAACACAGGCGUGUGAUUGCUUAUGCAUCAAGACAACUAAAGUCGCAUGAGGUGAAUUACCUAGUUCAUUGCCUAGAACUUGCAGCAGUGGUGUUUGCCUUAAGAGUAUGGAGACAUUGUUUGUGUGGGUCACAAGUUUAAAUCUUUACAAACCAAAAAAGUUUGAAGUAUUUGAUGUCACAGAAGGAGUUGAAUAUAUGACAAAAAAGAUGGGCAAAGUUAAUAAAAGAUUACGAUUAUGUGAUUGACUACCAUCUUGGUAAGGCUAAUGUAGUAGCCGAUGCAUUGAUUAGGAAGGGAAAAAUAGUGAUGAAUGAUAUUGAGAUUAAGGAACAGGGAAGUAUAGUGGAAUUAAAGAAAUUGGGCUUGCAGCUAAAUGUAGGGCCUGAGGGAUCACUAUUAGCUCAGUUAAAGAUCCAAUUUGUGCCUCGAUACAAGGUCUUGGUGGCUCAACAGGUAGGGAAAAAAAAGGUAAAGGAUAUCAAGGAGAGUGUAAACCAGGGUAUAGAGAAAGCAUUCCAAAUGUUAUCUGGUGGGCUAAUAGCUAUGGGUAGGCGAAUUUAUUUGCCUGAUCAUAAGACUUUGAAGGAAGAAGUAUUGAGAGAAACUCAUGAAUCCCGAUUUGCUACUCAUCCUGGAAGUAUGAAGAUGUAUAAAGAUUUAAAAAAAUACUACUGGUGGCCAAAUAUGAAGAGGGACAUAGCAGAAUUUGUGUCAAACUAUGGGAUCUGUCAACAAGUAAAGAUAGAACACUAGAGACCUGCUGGGGAUUUACAGUUAUUGUCGAUUCCAGAAUGGAAAUGGGAGGAUAUUUCUAUGAUUUUGUGAUGGGAUUACCUAGGGGAAGGAAGGGGAAUGAUGCCAUAUGGGUGGUUGUAGAUCGACUGACAAAAUCUGUUUUGUUUUUUCCUAUGAAAAUGACUGAUUUGGUCGAUAAGCUAACAAAAUUAUAUGUAAAUGAAGUAAUCAAACUUUAUGGAGUGCCAGUGUUGAUUAUAUCGAAUCGGGAUCCAAGGUUCACGUCGAGAUUAUGGCCUAGCUUACAACGAACAUUGGGGACAAAGUUGAAUGUAAGCACAACAUUUCAUCCUUAGACGGAUGGUCAAUUUGGAAGGACCAUUCAAACUCUUGAGGAUCUCCUUGGGUCCUGUGUGCUGGAGUUCGGAGGGAACUAGGAAGAUCUCUUGCCAUUGGUAGAGUUUACUUAUAAUAAUAGCCAUCAAGCUACUAUUGGUAUGGCUCUAUAUGAAGCAUUGUAUGAGAGGAAAUGUCGUACCCCAAUAUGUUGGGAGGAAGUAGGAAAAAAGGAAGCUUUUAGGACCUAAAAUAGUGCAACUGACAACUGACAAGGUGAGGGUAAUUGUUGCGAUGUCGCGGUCGCACAAAUUCAUUACCCUAGCUUCAAACACAACACACAAGAUAGUAUAGAGCAAGCAAGGGGUCGAUCCCACAGGGAAGAUUCAAGUCAGAUUUUUAUGCUAGAUGAUAUGCAAUUUGGGGGGGUUUGGAUGUUAUCUAGGCUAAAGCAAAAGAAAACAAAAAACUAUCAAAUGAAAUUUAAUAAAAUCAGAAAAUUAUCAAGAGAACAAACCUUGGUCACAAGCACACAUCCACCUACAGAAAUCAGAACCGUUCAUGGAAAUGAAACAUCAAUUUAUAUUCUGAAUAUUUAUCUCUUCUUAACAUUGGUUAGUUAACGGAUCCGCCAUAUAACUAACCCUAACCAUCAAACAACCAGUGUCCGCACUAGUAAUUUAAUUCAAUGGCAGCCUUAAGAACUAGAUAAGUUGAUUUAUCAAGAAAACAUAACUGUCCGCAAUCUAUGUUUGAUUUGAUUGAAUGUUCUCCCUAAGAUUAAUAACGUAGAUCCGCCACAAUUAUUAAACUCAGUUGCUUCACAAGUUCAUAUACCACAACUCCGGUUUUGAUAUCAAACUUAGCAAUAGAUUGUCUACAAUAAUAACUUAGAGUCCGCUCUAGCAAUUAAAAUAAACAAUCAUAGGAAAAUAAGCGUAGGAGAACAAACAUAUUCAUCAUAUAAACUGAAAAGAAAGGUAAAAUAAAUCUCACAGUUCUUGAAAUCCGAAGGUUUCCGUGUCCUUGCAACUAAGAAAAAGUGUUUAGCCUUGCAUGUUUGUUGAACAACUAAUCAAAAAGAAGGAAGAAUGCAUAAUUUCGUGUUUCUUAGAGGAGGGGGGCGUUUUUCUCCUCUUGGCUGGCUGCCCCCCUUCUCUUCUCUCAUUCUUUUUAUAUCCUAGGAAACCCUAGGUCUCUAUUUUACAAAAUAGUACUCCAUUAAGUAGACUGUUUACAUUUAAGUACUUUAAUAACUAUUUUCCUAAAAAAAGGAGAAAUAGCCUUGCAUGAAAUCUUCAAGCUUUGACUUAGAGGAGCUAAAUUGCUGAAAUAAAAACUUGGAUAUCAGUUUAGAUGCUUCAGAACGUAAUUUGGACUCGUUUCUUCACGAAACCUAUUUGCUGGCAAAAUUCAGAUGUCAUCUUUGAAAAAUCAUAUCUCCCUCAUAUGACAUCGUUUUUGGCUGCAAUUUGGAGCGUUUAUAGACCUUUGAGUCAUGACUCCAAAAAAAUUGAGUUUGCAUCAAUUGGACUUCUGUAGCUCCAGAUAUUCAAGUUGGAAUGGCCGAAGGUCAAUAGUGGCAGAUUGCGAGAUUUGACUUUGAAGGCUGCGAUUUCCAUGCUCUUCCUUAUUUUAUUUUCUUGCCUUAGAUUUCCAGAAAGGUAUGGAUGUUAGCUUUUUAGUGCCACUUGAAUCACUUCAUUUCAACCUCUAGAGCUCACGCUCUGCACAAAACAUCGAUUGAAGGUCAAAUCUGCCAAUUAUCUCCAAUUUACUCCUUUUUGCAUCUUUCAUCCAAAAGUGCCUUCAAAACAUAAAACAAAGAAUAUCAAGGCAUUUUAUAUAUAAAACAUAGGCAAAACACUAGUUAAAUGUGGGUGAAACUAUCGAAUAAUAUGGUUGCAUCACUAAUCAAAAAAAGGAUGAAGGAAGCCCAGGAUAGAAAAAAAAAGGAAAAAAAAGAAGAAGUUAUGCAGAUAACCGAAGAAGGCCUUUAGAAUUCCAAGUAGGGGACAAGGUAUUUUUGAAGGUGGCGCCUUGGAAAGGCAUCAUUCUAUUUGGAGUAAAAGGGAAAUUAGCUCCGAGAUAUAUUGGCCCUUUCGAGAUUAAGGAAACAAUCGGACCAGUUGCCUAUUGUAUAGAGUUGCCUGCAUAUUUGGAUAAGAUUCACAAUGUGUUCCAUGUGUCAUUGCUGCGAAAGGCCAAGAUAGACCCCUCACGAGUAUUGCCACAUGUUCCUAUGAAGAUUAAAGGGGAUCUAACCAUGGAAGCUAAGCCUGUCAAGAUCUUGGAUCGAGAUGUGAGGGUGUUGAGGAAUAAGAGAGUUUCCCUGGUGAGAGUAUUGUGGAGAAACUCUCAAAUAGAAGAAGAAACAUGGGAAAGAGAGUCCGAGAUGAAACAAAAGUUCCCGCAUUUAUUCUUCAACAUAGGUACGUAACUUAAAUUUCGAGGAUGAAAUUUCUAUUAGGAGGGGAGAAUGUAAACCCCGGGAAAAAAUAAAGGUUGCUUAGAUUGCAAACUAACUAAAUGAGAAAUAAAAGUGAAGAAAUUCAUGCAUAUGGUUAAAUAAAAAUGGGAAUUCGGAAAUUUUUGGAUAAAAGUUUCUGGACGAAAUAUUUUAAGACAUUAUAAAUCAACCUGAAUGUUGAGGGUUGGAUUAAAUUAAAGAAAAUAAACUAAACUAAAAGUUGUGGGGUGAAAUUAUAAGAAAUGAAAAGAGGUAUAAUUAAUUAUAAGAAGAAAAAAAAAAGAUGCAGGGGUCUAAAUGCAAAUAAGAAAAAUUAUAGAGCAUAAAUACUCAUUUUCUCACCAAAAAUCUGCAGCAAUUGUAAGGAAAGAAAAGGGGGAGUUUUUGUAUCCAUUCUUCCAAAAUCAAGAGAGAAAAACAAAAAUUUCAAGAACCCAUCCAAGAUUAAGGGUUUAUAGAUGGAAUAAACAGUUGUGGGCAAGGAAUUAACAAGAAAAUUGAAUAAGAAGAGAAGAUGGAGGGCUGGCUGUCAUUAGAUAAGGAAGGAGGGAGUUGAAAAUCUUCAACUAGUUGAAGAUCAAAACCUUAAUUCGUACCGGGUAAGGUGUUCUAAACAUGAUCUUAUAAGUUAUUUCAAAUUCGAUAAUGAAUUGAUGCCUUGAUGUGAAUUAUAGAUUAGGGUUCUUAGUUCUUGAUAUGGUUAUUAUAAAACAUAUCCUUGAGUGAGGAAAAUUUAUGAGAUAAACCUGUGAUUUGUAGGAGGGUCCACAGGCGUGGUGCAACAACAGCAGUAGGGGAGCACGAGUAGAGCUUCUAUUGUACGUAGGUGAUCCUCACCUAUACUUUCUAGUUAAACUCUAUGAUUUAAUAUGUUAUUAAUGUGAGAUGUAAAUUACCGAACGUUGAAUAUCAGGAGAAAGGAGGAAAGUUUGUGUAAUGAUGUCAAUAUUUUGGAUAGUAUUAUGAAUGUAUGUGUAUUCAAGGUGAACGAUUGUUGUGUGAUCUGCCAAGUGAUGAAAUUAUCGUUGACAAAGGAAAUAUGAGAAGUGUGAUUUGGGGCAUGAACUAGCAUACAUUUAGCGUAUGUUAGGAUCCCGGGUAAGGGAUCGCCAUGUUUGGCUAGCAUACAUUUAGUGUAUGUUAGGUUCCCGGGUAAGGGGAUCAAGAUGUAUUGACUAACAUACAUUUAGUGUAUAUUAGGAUCCCGGGUAAGGGGAUUACCAUAUAUUGACUAGCAUACAUGUAGUGUAUAUUAGGAUUCCGGGUAAAGGGAUCACCUUGCAUCAACUCUUACGGGGUGAUGAUGAUAACAGUGAAACUGGUAUCGGUAAUGUGUUAAGCGAAAAUAAUCCUGGAUGGUCUUAUGAGAUCUUGAAUGGAGGUUGAUAAUGGAAGAGGAUUUGGUUUUUAGUAGUUGAAGGAGAAAGAAUUUCCAAUGACAACCAAAAGAGAGAAGUGAAUAAAAUAUGAAUGCAUGUUUGUUUUUUUUUUUAAUUGCUGGAUAUUUGUAUUGCUUUAUAAUUGUGAUAUUCAUAUUUUAAUAAUAUGUAUUUUGUUUUCAGGACCAUCACAUGCACGACAGGAGUAGAUUCUAGCUUAGGUUUACUUUUUGUAAUUUAGGUCCUAGGGAGUAUACCUUUGUAUUUUGGUAAUAUUGCAACUUUUUUAUAACUCAAUUUGUAUAAUUGAUGUUUAAACUGGAAUAGAUGAAUUUAAUUAUGUACCUUGUAUAACCAUGUUCCAUGUAUGCAUGUUUAUAUCUUUAUCCAUCCAUAAUGAUAAUUGUUGUACAAUGUAUAUUACAAACAUUGUGGUUGAUAUGAAUAAUGAUGUUUGUGGGAUUGAGAACCAGGAUGAUUGGGUUGAAUUGAGUUAGGAGAUGCGGUAGAAGUGUAAAUAGGUCGUAUGUCGAUAACUUGGACCUCCCGGUAUAGGGGAAACUUCGUUGAAAUUUCGGUAGACUUUAAUACAAACACCAUGAAUAGAUAUAGAAAAAAAAAAUUAAUCACUCUGUUUAACAGUUAACAUGAGAUCAUUGCUUUAUCUCGGAUAUGGGGAUGUUACAGGUCACAACAUACAUGAAGAGGGGGGAGAAAUUGACAAAGAGGAGCAAUUUUUUAAAAGAGAAAAUCAGGGUAACAAAAAAAAAACAUAAACCUAAAGCUAUCUCUCUCAAACAGUCGCCACCCUCCCCUUCUCUUUUACCAAAAGAAAACCAGAGAACCCCACGCUCCCUCCUAAACCAGCCACUCAAGCCCCCUCCCCCCGGCUUUUUCCCUAUCUUCUUCUCCUCCCUUAGCCCCCACACGCACGACCUUCUCUCUUCAGCUAAACACAAACUCACGGUCUUCUCUCCCAACCAAGAGGUAGCUGCCGCUCUCCCUCUCCACAACAGCCGUCCCCAUCUUCCCUCCCCCAGAUAACUCUCCAUCUCACUAGACCAACCCCAAAACAGCUGUUAAUUCAGCCUUACAGAGAGGUGGCUCACCUCUCCUUCCCACAUUGCCUCUCGUCUUCAACCUUCAGCACCGAAGCCUUCCCCUCAACAACGUCUUCUUCUCCUUUGGUCUCCUCAACAGCUAAGGCCACAGACCAGCUAAGACAGCCCCCGCUCUUUUUCAUCUUCUGCAACUGACCACAAGCAGCAUCACAAACACCAACAGUCCUCUGCUUGCCUCAACGCCGACCAAAAGAGAAAGAGAGGAGAAGGGGUCGAGCUUAAUGUGGUUUGUUCCCCCUCCUUAGACCUCUGCUUGCCUCAACGCCGGCCAAAAGAGAAAGAGAGGAGAAGAGGUCGAGCUUAAUGUGGUUUGUUCCCCCUCCUUAGACCUCUGCUUGCCUCACCGCCGAUAAAGGAAGAAAGAGGGGUCGACGAUCUACCUGAUCCAGCAGGCCUUCGAUCGUGCGAGUCGCCAGGGAGUCCCUCCACGCACCACAGUAGAUCUGCCACCUGAAGAAGGAAAGAACAACAAACUGAGAAUCAAACCCGGAAGAACCAGAUCUGAGGAGAAAAAAUAAAAUAAAAAUAACUAUUAUGUUUUCUUGGCUUUGCAGGUGACGUUGCCUUCACCACCGGCAGGGAAGGGAAGAGGGGAGGAAACCAUUCCAGAUCCCCUGUUUGCUUGGAUUUUCUGGCAGUGGCGCGUGGAGAAGACGCGCCGCCACUGUUCCGCAACCCUAGAAGCUUCACUGAUGUCCCUAGCACUGUUCCCGAGUUUUGAGGGGUCUAUUUGUAAAUUAACUGCUUGAUGUAAAUUUUUGUUUAAUAUAUUUGUUAGGUUUAUUUUGAAUUAUGGAUAUUUUGUAAUGAAUAUGGAAGUGUGAGUGUGUGAGUAAACAUACUAAAAGGUGAUGUGUGUGUGUUUUAUAAUUUUUUUAUGUAUGUUUUCUUUUAAUGUUAAAAUUAAAAAAGACAAAAAAUAAAUAGAAAGAAAGAAAAAGAAUUAAGUGUUUUAAUUUAAAUACGGUCAAGUAUUUUAAGGACAAAUAAAAUCAUGUUGUACUUCUCGUGAAAAUGUAAGAACAUGUUUAUACAUAUAUUUUGGGAUUUAAUAACUGAUUUAUUAAAGCCCUAAGAAUUUGACUAAUAUUUCAAAAUUUUAAUUCACAACAAAAUCACGAAGCAGCUUACCUCAGGUAGGGUGCGCUAGGGGUGCUAAUACCUUCCCUAGCCACAACCAGUCCCUUACCCGUGAAUCUCUGACAAAGACUAGUAUAUUCGGGUUUCCUAGUAACCUUCAAUCAAAUACUAGGUCGCGACUCCCAAAUCAAGCAAACGAAUGAAAAAUCACCAUCGAUGCUGCGCGGGGGACAUGCGAUAGGUAGGAAAAGGGCAGACUUAGUCUAUCCACAAUGACCCAGAUUGUAUCAUUUCCCCUCCACUCAGUGGUCCUGACACAAAGUCCAUUGUGACCAUCUCCCACUUCCACUUAGGGAUUGGUAAUGGUUGUAACAGCCCUACCGGCUUUCGGUGCUCUACUUGUACUUGUUGGCAAAUACUACAUUUUGCCACGUAGUCAGCCACAUCUUUUCUCAUAUUUGGCCACUGGUAGUACUAUUUCAGAUCCUAGUACAUCUUAGUAGUAAUUGGAUGUACAGUGAACUUAGACUCGUGGGCCUCUCGUAGUAACUUUUGUUUAAGGACUUUGUUGUCAGGCACAUACAUGCCUCGCCGCAACAUCACUAUUCCAUUAUCUCCUAUUCAAAAAAGAGCUUCACCCCCUGAUUCCAGUUUGAGCUGUUAUGCCUCUAAUAUAUGCUCUUGAUAUCCUGACUUCACCCUUAGUUGAGCCAUUAAGGAUCCUUUCGGACUCACAUUUAAUACUGCCCCAAAUCUAUCUAGCUCAAUCACGGCUUUCUCAUCCCAAGUUGUUGGUCCACCCAUAAUUGCCUUAUCUUUACGGCUGAGAGCAUCCACGACUACAUUCGCUUUUCCUGGAUGAUAAUCUAUAAUACAAUCGUAGUCUUUAAUUAAUUCCACCUAUCUCUGUUGUCGCAUGUUCAACUCCGUCUGUGACAUCAAAUAUUUAAGGCUCUUAUGAUCUGUGAAAAUUUAAACCUGGGAUUCGUAUAAGUAGUGCCUUCAUACUCGUAAGGCAAAACAUAUUGCUGCCAUUUCUAAGUCAUGAACUGGGUAGUUGAUUUCAUGAGUCUUCAGUUGUCUCGAUGCAUAGGCAACUACUCUUCCAUGCUGUAUUAGGACACAACCCAAUCCUUUUCUUGAGGCAUCACUGUAGACUACAAAACCUUCUGUUCUGGAUGGAAGGAUUAGCAUGGGGGCAGUAGUAAGCCUUCUCUUCAGUUCUUGAAAGCUCUCAUCGCACUUCUUUGACCACUCUCAUCUUAUGUUCUUCCUGGUGAGUCAUGUCAUUGGAGUUGCUAUUAUUGAAAACCCUUCGAUAAACCUUCUAUAAUACCUUGUCAAUCUAAGAAAACUACGGAUUUCAAUUACCGUAGUAGGCCUUUCCCAUUUCAGAACUGCCUCCACCUUCUAAAGGUCCAAAAAAUGCCUUCUAAAGACACCAUGCCCUGAAAAGGUAACUUCUUUUAACCAGAAGUCACAUUUAUCCAACUUGGCAUACAACUGGCGGCUUCUCAGAGUCUGUAGUGUCUGUUUCAGGUGUUGUUCAUACUCCUUAUAGGAUUUGGAGUAAACAAAGAUGUCAUCGAUGAAUACGACAACAAACUUAUCAAGGUACGGUUGGAAUACUUAGUUCAUUAAAUCCAUAAAAAGUGCUGGAGGAUUAGUUAAUCCAAAUGGUAGCACCAAGAACUCAAAGUGUCCAUAGCGAGUUUUGAAGGCAGUUUUCAGCACAUCUUGUCUUUUGAUUCGCAUCUGGUAGUAUCUUGAUCUUAAAUCAAUCUUUGAGAACACUUUAACACCCUUCAACUGAUCGAAUAAAUCAUUUAUCCGCGGAAGCGGAUAUCUAUUCUUUACCGUCACUUUAUUCAGCUGACGGUAAUCUAUGCAAAGCCUCAACGUUCCAUCUUUCUUCUUCACAAUAAUACAGGUGCCCCCCAAGGUAAGUUGCUUGGUCAUAUGAACCCUUUAUCAAAGAGCUCCUGCAAUUGGAUUCUCAACCUAUCCAAUUCCUUAAGGGCCAUUCUAUAUAGCAAUUGGGCUAUAGGAGACACCUCAAGCAAUAUGUCGAUGGUGACUUCAACUUCUCUUUCUAGGGGUAGUCCCGACAGUUCUUCUGGAAAUACAUCCGAAAAUUCCCUUAUAAUUGGAAUGUCAGACAGUCCUAUUUUACCUUUUUUUGAAUUUAUCACAUAGGCAAGGUAUGAUGUACAACCUUUCUUUAGUAGUUUUCUCACAGCCAUAACCGAGAUUAUAUUUGUAAGGUUGGAAAUUCUCUCCGCCUUAAAGACCAUUGUUUCACCCUUAGACCCUUGGAAGGUUACUAUUUUUGUAAAGCAAUCUAGACGAGCCUUAUUUUUACCCAACCAAUUCAUGCCUAGGAUUACUUUCUUGGUCUGUUCACUGUGAUGGACUGCUGGUGACUCUAACUUGGUUGCCUUUAUUUCUGAGGUUGUUCAGUAUUUAACAGUGGGCAUUCUCUUCCCAAGUACUUGUUGGCUCUCCACCUAUGACCUUUUCCUCGGUAUAUAUAACAUCGGCCAGGAGAAACCAAGCAAUUCCCAGGAUGUAUUUGUUCACAUUGUGUACAACAAGGGUAGACAAUGUCUCAGACCCCCCCCGAAGCAAUAGUCUUAGAGCGAGUCUGACCACCUCCUAACUUCACACUGAUAUUCUAUCGAGAACUAGAUGAUGUCCCUUUUUUUUUUCUUGAAUUGAAAGAACUGUCCGCCUUUAUCCUGUUUUGGAAGUGGUGGCUUGCCUGAAAAUUCCAUAUACUUUCGUUUUCCUGCACCUUCAUGACUCUGUUGGUCUUCUUCCAUACAAGCCUCCAAGGCUUGUGCUACUUCAAUUAGUUCCUUUUCUGUCUUGAAUUGUAAAGCAAUCAACCCCUACUUCAAUUCUUAUCUAAAGCCAUCCCUUAACUUUUCUAUCAUGUGUUGUUCUGAUGGGACAUAAUGUGGUGCAAAUAGUGAGAGGUCAUGAAAUCCCCUCUCGUACUCGAGUACUAACAUCCCCUCAUAUCUCAAGGCUAGGAAUUCAUGUUCCUUCAUCUUUUGAUGAUAUUUGGAGUAAUAUUGAUUCUCAAACUUCGUCUUGAAAUCAUCCCAGGAUAGGGUUUCUAUAGCCCUCCUCAACUGAACUGUCUCCCACCAAGUCAUAGCACUAUCUGAUAGUAAUUAUGUAGCACAAUCUACUCGCAGAUCAUUUGGUAUCUUAAUUUGAAUAAUCAUUUUCUCUACCUUUCUAAUCCACCUUCCCGCUACUUCAGCAUCCUGUUCACCUGAGUAGGUUCACAACCCAUUUCUCUUGUCGCACGUCACCCGCGCGGUGUCUUUUGGCGAUUUUUCGUUUCGUUUGAUUGCUUGAUUGGGAGUCGCCACCUAGUAUUUAAUUGAGGGCUACUAGGAAACCCGGGUGUACUAGUCUUGUCAGAGAUUCACGGGUAAGGGACUGGUUGUGGUUAGAGAAGGUAUUAGCACCCCUAACGCACCCUAUCUGAGGUAAGCUGCUUCGUGGCUUUGACGUGUUAAAGAAGUUUUAAAAAUUUUAUCUUUUCAUCAGAUAUUAGAAAUACGACUUAUGUGUAAGUUCAUAAUUCUUGACCGUGAUCAAAUCAAAAUAUUAAAUUCUUCUUUACUCUUUGCAAUUUUAUCAUAAAUAAAUAAAUAAAAACAUCCAUAAAACAAAUACAAACACACACAUACACUUUUACUAUAUUUUUUUCUUUUUUUCUUACACAUUACAAAUUAUACAAAAUUCAAAAACUAAACAAAAAUUACAUUAAACACUUUAAAAAUUACAAAACAACCCCUAAAACUCAAGGAAUUGCAGGGAAGGGUUUUGUGAAGCCUUCGGGACACCAGGAACAGUGGUGGCGCGUCUCCUCCUCGCGCCACCGCCACUGGCGGCGCGUGGGUUCACGGGCCGCCAUGAGAAACGCUGGAAAAUGGGUGGGUCUGGCUUAGCUUCUUCUCCUCUUCCCUUCCCUGCCGGCGAUGACACCCGCCAUCACCUGCAAUAGAAGAAAAACACACAAGCCAGUCGAUUUUAAUCUUUAUUUAGAUCUGUUGCGAUUCUAUUUUCUCUCAGUUUGCCAUUUUCUCCUUCUUCUUCAGGUGGUAGGUUUGUUCUCGGUCUUCUCCUUCUUCUGAUCUAGCGGUUGUUGUCCGUGGCCGUUGAAGUCGCGAUGGAGAUGGGCUCACUAGCGGUGUUGAGGCGGAGGAAUGGACAAAUCGGUGGGUGUCAGUGUGGCGGCAGUGACUACUGUUGGAGGAAGAAGGCGGACCGAUUUGGGAUCUGUGGGCGCCGCUGUGCCGUCUGGCGGUGCUGAGGCGAAGAUAUAGCCAGAGAAGGCCGGUCUGUGGGUGUUACUUCUCCGUUGCUGUUGGUAGUCGGUCGAGGGAGAAAAAGGCGCUAUUGAUGGGGGAAGGAGAUGCUGCUACACAGGGAAAGGGAAUAGUGUGUGGCUGGGUCUGUCGGGUGGAAGGUUGAAGAUGAGAAGGGAAGGCUUGUCUUGCGGCCGGCUGGAGAGAAAAAUCAAAACCAAGAGGGGCAGCUGUUUGGUUUGUUUUUGGCCGAGAGGAAGACCAAUGAACGGGGGGGUUGCCUUGGCUUCUCUGGUUUCAGCUGGAGAAGGGAUCGACUGCUUGGAUGAGAGUUGAGGGGACAGCUGAGAGGGAAGAAGAGGAAUAGGUUGCCGGAUGGGUGGGGGCGGCUGGUUGGGUAGUGAUGGAUUUAGGGUUAGGGUUUUUUUUGUGUUGCCUCCCCCAAAUAUGCAAAAUUGCCCCCCCUUGUGUAUGUGUUGGAAACUCUUAUUUAUAGGCAAAAAUGUUGUUUGGACCUCAAAAUUGGUCCCUUAACUUCUUUCUUUUUUUCUAAAUUUGAUUUUUCUUGAUUUUUUUUGUAUUUUUUGAAAACGGGCAAUAUCAACGUCGACUCAAUGAGGAAAAUCAAUGAUUUUAAAAAUGACGCAUGAAAAGUCGAACGUGUUCCAAAAACCUUUAAAAUUUAAAUUCUUUUUUAGACGACGUUGAAAAUGUUAAAAAUGAUGCAAAUAUAUUAAAAACUUAUUUUUUGGAUUUUCGUUGUUUUUCGAAACUUUUAUAAAAAAGAUGGGUCAAAAUUUAGGUAACAACAUCUCUCAUACUUUUCACCAAUUGAACUAGAUGCACCACAUUAUUAGUAGUGUAGCUGCUUCUGAAACGGUUUGUAUGAUGGGUGCAGGUGGGGGUGUUGGCAUAAGAGUGGCAACAUUAGCCAUACCUUCCAUUACUGCUUUGACUAGCUGGGCCAAGAACAUUGGAUCAACAUAAGAAACAGAUGGCCCUACAGGUAUAGUCUAAGGGGGCUCCUCUGCUCGCUCCCGUGGGGAUGACACUGUAACAGUCCGACUGUACGAUCGAUCAUUGUUAAAAGUUCCCAACACAUCCUCUUUAUUUAAGGGUAAUUUUUUUUCUUUUUACCAAAAAUUCGACAGAGUUUCGUUUACAUAUAGGACAUCCCAAGUUAUUGACCACUACCAAUAUACCCAAUCAAUCCCAUCAUCACAAGGUCCCAUAAUUCCGCAGCUUAUACAGUCUACACAAAAUAUAUAUAUAUAUAUAUAUAUAUUCCUACAAGUAAGUUCAAUAUGAACAUAGUCCAAACAUCAUAUCAUAAAAUUUAAAAGAAAGAAAUACUAACAUGCAAGAAAGCAUUUACAACAUAAUAAAUGUUUUUUAAAUAUUUCAAAACGGUUAAUUACAAGAUAAUUAAAAUACUACAUGUUAAGCUGAACUUUUAUAAAUACAUCAAGGUUUACACAAAAGUGUACUACAUAAAUGUGUUAAUUCCCUUUUGUUUAAGUUAAAGAUUUACAUAAGCUUCACAAAGUAGGGUCCUAAACUAAUGAUCUCCAUGGAUAUUUGAUGGACCUGUUACAUAAACAAACAUACCAUUAUGUUGAUAAAGAAUAUAUAUAUGCUCAUGUAAUGAAUACGAAUGAAGUAUUAAUUCUAACAAAGGACUUAUAUUUUGCUUGUAAAUCUUUUAACUCACUUAACACUCAUUUGUAUAUUCUUAAUUUGAAUACUCUUAUUUACUAGCAUAAACUGGGUGACCUUGCAAAGUCUAAUCUUGGCAGUCCUAUCACGGAUGCCAUUAGCCGAAGCUAAUCUUGUAAUUCAUAUCCCGACAAUCCUGUCAUGGAUUCCAUUAGUCGAAGCUAAUCUUGUAAAUCACUAGACUUUAUUUAUAUUGAACAUGAUAUUUAUUGUAAUUACAUUCACCAGAAGAAUUUUAAAUUGUAAAAGUGUAAAUAGGAGGAAAAUCACGCAUCUGCUUCACCUGUCUCGUGACCUCCCCUAACAGAAGAUCCAAUCCUGGUUUCUCCACCUGAAUCAUAAGGAAGUUUUUUGUUAUGAUUCCUUUAAGCCGAUAUUAUAGAGAAUCCAUAUUCAUCCAUUACUCAUGUGUUACUUUCUAUGUAUGUUCAUUUCCUCAUAUUAACAUACAUACAUAUAUCGCGUAUAUUUUCAGAGUUAGUAUCUCAAUAUGCAAGUGUUCGUAUGACUCAAUUCUUUCAUAUUCUUAUAUAUAGUAUUCACGUGAAAGUCUACUGUUAUUGUCCAAUUUUCAACUGUUACUGUCCAACAUUACUGUCUAAUUUUGAACUGUUACUGUCAAAUUUUGAACUGUUACUGUCCAAAUUUCAACUGUUACUAUCUAAUUUUUAAUUGUUACUGUCCAAACACUCACUAGAUUUUUAACUAUAUCUAAAGUUCUAAAACUUCAUUUUAAGUGAGAUUGAUCUUGUUAGAAAGCUAAGACACGAGGCUACAAGUUCUCUGAAGGGAGGAGAACCCAGUUUUGCCUCUAAGAUAGUCAAAAUUGCUCAUUAACUAAUUAGUCCUAUUGCCCUACAUAAUCAGUCACGACUCAGUCUCAGUUGAUAACCCAUAACUGGAGUUCUACAUCUCCAAAUUGAGCAAGACCAGUUUCCUUGGUUAGCUAACAUUCAAAUCUACAAUUUCUAUGAGGAACCCGAUUCUAAUUCCCUCAUCCUCCUACCCGAAAUCUCAUCAAAAGUCAGGAGACAAGUCUGUCCAGAUUCGUCUCCCCCUCCCCUUCACACAAUACUUUCAUAAACUACAUACCACACACAUGAAUUAACUUAAUCUUAAUAAUAAGUACUUUUCCCCAGUACCAAUUUAUGUCUAAGAACCCUAACCUAUGAUUCAAUAUCAAGGCAUCAAUUCUUUAUCGAAUUAAAAAUGAAUUUUUUUAAGAUCAUGUUUAGUACACCUUACCCGGUACAAAUUAAGAUUUUGAUCUUCAACCAGUUGAAGAUUCUCAACUCCCUCCUUUCUUUUCUUCUUGUUUAAUUUCUUGAUAAUCCUUUGCUCUCAAGUGUUUAUCCCAUCUAUAUGCUCUUAAUCUUGGAUGGGUUCUUGAAAUUUUAGUGUUUCUCUCUUGAUUUCUCAAGAAUGGGUAUAAAACUCCCUAUUUUCUCUCCUUAUGGUUCCUACAGAUUUUUUUGGUGAGGAGAGAGUAUUUAUACUCUAUAUUUUCCCUUAUUUGCAUUUAGGCCCCCUUUUUCCUUUAAGUGUAUUAUUCUCUUCCAUUAAAUCCAACCCUCAACAGUACCAGGUUUAUUAUAAUGUCCUGAAUUAUUUCGCCCGGAAAUUUAUAUUCAAAAUUUUAUGAAUUCCUGUUUUUAUUUAACCAUAUGCAUGAAUUUCUUCCCUUUUAUUUAUUUAUUUAUUCCCGGGGUUUGCAGACACUGUCGACCGAACAUCUCCAGUUUGCCUUAGUUCCUGUCUGACUAGAGGCUCUGUUGAUUCUUUAUGCCUUGCUUGAGUCGAUACUGCUGGUGCAUGUGAAGCAAUUAUCUUCCAAAGGGCUCUCUUCUUGCCCCUCGUAAAAGUCUAUAUCUCUAUUCCCCCUCCCUGUAGAGGAUAGAUCUAUUCUAAUCUUUUGGCAGAUACGUACCAUCCUGCAAUAAAUCAACAAAUAUCAACAACCUCUUUUGAAUUCUUCCUAGAAUCCAUACCAGGGCUCUAAUACCAGCUGUAAUAGACCCGACUGUACGAUUUGAUCAACGCUAAAAGAUCCCAACAUAUGCUCUUAAUUUGAUGGUAAAUUUUUUUUUUGUAAAUAAUUCUACCAAAAUUUUGGCAAAGUUUCGUUUGUAUUUAGGACAUCCCAAGUUAUCGACUACUAUCAAUUAACUCAAUCUACCCAUCAUCACGAGGUCCUAUAAUUCCGAACCUUAUUUCAAUAACCAAUAUUCAACACCUCAUACAAUCCACACAAUAUAUAUAUAUACACACCUACAAAUAAGUUCAUUAUGAACAUAGACCACAAAUCAUAUUAUAAAAUUUAAAAGAAAAAGGGACACUAACAUGUAAAGAGAGAAUUUAAAACAUAAUAAGUAUUCUUAAACAUUUCAAAAGGGUUAAUUACAGAAUAACUAAUGUACUACAUGCUGAGCUAAGACUUAUGUUGAUAAAAGAAAUAUAUAUGAUCAUGGAAUGUAUACGAAUGAAGUAUAAAUUUUCUAUCGAAUCCAUAGGAAUUCUAACAAUCAACUUAUAAUUUGCUUGUAAAAUCAUUUAAACCCAAUUAAAACUCAUUUGUGUAUCCUUAUUUUCAAUACUCUUAUUUACUUGCAUAGUCCAACCUGGGUAUUUUUAGGCAAUUAUAUUUAUCAAUUUCUCCCAGAUCAUUCAAACACGGAUACCCUUUACAAAUCGAGUCUUAUUAAUCGUUCUCGGGCAUCCCAACGCGGACAUCAUUAGCCAAAGCUAAUCUUGUAAUUCAUCUCGUGGCAAUCCUAUCACAGAUGCCAUUAGCUGAAGCUAAUCUUGUAAUCCAUCUCACGGCAAUCCUAUCACGGAUGCCAUUAGCCGAAGCUAAUCUUGUAAUUCAUCUCACAGCAAUCCUAUCACGGAUGCCAUUAGCCGAAGCUAAUCUUGUAAAUACACUAGACUUUAUUUACAUUGAACAUGGCAUUUAUUGUAAUGGCAUUCACCAGAAGAACUUUAAAUACACAAUAAAGUGGAUAUAUAUUAGUUAAAUGUUUAGUGUCAAUAAAGAGUGGAAAAAAAAAAUUAUAUACAUGAACUAAUGUGUCUGUUGAAAAAUUUCUUGUCACAAGUUAACUAACAACAUUGUCUAGAAUUCUAGUUUGCAUGUCCAACAUAUAAAAAAUUAUUUUCAUGUGUUUCUUCCUUUUUUUCUAACAUCCUUUUCUUUGUAUACAACACAAGAUAUUUCUUAAGAUUUUAUAUAUUCAAAGUUAACUUCAUAAGAGCAUGCAUACAUAAAUUUGUUUACAUGUUCAUGUUUCAACACACCACGACCUCUUGUAUGAUCCAUACUUGUUUAUUUUAACAUGUAAUGCAUAAUUCAACAGUAAAAUUGCCCCGCUAUCUCCUUCAUGUCUGGCUGAAGGCUUUGUCUCCUAUUUCACACUCUAUUCUCACUUCUAUCUACCCAAUAAAAAUCCUCAAAAACCCUAAUCUAAGAGACAACUUUUGUACAACACUUACCCAAUGUAUUAGAAAUUGUUCUAGGAAGGUUUUGGGUUUAUCCUAGUUGCGUUUUCUACUCCCUAAAAGCUCUUCUCCCUCAUAUUUUCUUGGUCUCUUUCCACUCCUCCUUUACUGUCACUAGCCUCCUGUCUUCCUUUCCCUCAAUUUAUUUUACUUUUGAUGCUUUAAUCUUCACUCAAACUUCUUAAUUUCUCUUAUGUGUUUGCUUGCAUGUGAUUUUCUCCACCUGUUCUUUGGAAUAAGAUGCUGAAGAGAAGAGUGUCUGUUCCUUUUCCCCUCCUCUCUAUUCUGCCAUCAGCCCUCUUAUUCUUCUUAGGGCUAAUAGGUUUUUUUGUUUUUGUUUUUGCUUGUGUCCCUCAUUUGUUUAUAUAUUUUCAAUUUAGUCCCCUAACUCUCUUGUCUUUCUCAUAUUAAAUCCCAAUUUCUCCUUAUUCACUUAUGUGUGUUUCAUACUUCAAGUUAGAGCUCUUGUCUUUUACUAAUAGGUUCUUCUCUAUUUACUAAAUGCAUUCAUGUUUUAGGAUUUCACAAAAAAAACCCAUAAACGCAUGCCUUUUUUUUGUCUUUUUCUAGGGGUGAAGACAUUUUUUUACUAUAUUCUAAGAAACAAAAAGACAAACAAAACUAUUGGUAAACAAUUCUAAUUUGUUUUUUAUUGGGAUAAAUAAUUCAUUUUAUUGUGUAAGAUAAAUAAACCCUUUAUUAAUUUUCUAAUAAUUAAUGAGCCAUUAAAAAUAGAUAGAACUUGUAACACCCUCAAUUUAAUUUAUGCAAUACUCGUUGAAAAAUUAGGAUUUUUGUUUUGUGCAUAUGAGUGUGUGUGUGUAUCAUGAUCCCUGAUCCCUAACUAUCCUAACAAUAAUUUUUAAGCUUAUUAUUAUUAUUAUUAUGCUGGCUAUCGAAUAUUCAGCAGAGUCUCCUCUAUAAAUUGACCUUUUCAAGUGUCGACAUCAACUUAAAACACAAUUUAUCCUGCAUAGUUAUGAUUCAACCAUUCUAGAACUUCUUCAACAAAAACUGAAUUCUCAUCACUUCAUCCACUUCGACUUAUACCUUCACCAUUUUCCAUUCUAAUAGGAGUGUCAUAUAUCUUUUCUCUUCAUACAUGAUGUCAUUAAAACAAAGCAUAUUAUAAAGUUAUCUACAUGUAUACUAAAAUUCUUUAAUGUCUACACAAGAGAUUUAAUUAUCUAAAAAGUGGUAUAUGACUAAACAUUAAUUACAACCCCAAAAUAUAACUUCAAAUCCUUAUGAACUAAAAUAUUACAUAAUCCACGUACCCAAAAUAUACCUAGUAAAUAACUACCCACAAAAGAAGAGAAUUAAGGUUGUCCUGCGGUAUGAGAAGGACCUAUAACAAUGCAACAUAAUUUAUUUAAUACUACUAAUUUAAUUUAUUUACACAUAUAUAUAGUUCACACACAUCAUGUAAAAGUGUAAAUGGAGCUAACUCUUAAACUUAACUUUUCCUUUGUUUUUUCUUUGGCUAAAUUUUUUUUUCUAAAUAAUAAUAAUACUCAACCACCAAAUAUCCCUGAACUGAUUUUCCAAUUAUUUUUUCAAUUUACUCCUAAACAAUAGAUUCAAUAGAGAAACUUAUAAAAUAGAGAGAAAAACCUUAAUCCAUCUUCAUCGUCUCUUUACAACUUCUUAUACUAAGUUUGCAAGUCAUAAAAGAAAAGGCAAAUCAAAGAAAGUCCCAUAAACCCAUACAACAAACUUAAAUUGAAAAUCCUAAUUAAAUAUACUUUGUUACUACCGCUGCUGAUGCUGAUGGUGUUCGUGCUCGAGCUCGUGCUCGUGCUCGUACCGGUGCCUGUGCUCGUGCUUGUGCUCGUGGUGCUGUUAUUGUUACUGGUGGUGGUGCUCGUGCUGGUGUUGGUGGCUGCUGUUGGUGGCAGUUGUGGUGUUGCUGCUAGUGAUUGGGUCUGUUUCAAAAAAUUAAAUUGGUUUUUUCCGGUGAAAUAUGCGAGAAUAUUUUGGAUUUAUUUGUCUAAAAAUGAUGAUUCCAUAUAUUUCAAAUAUUGUUGAUAAAGAUAGAUUAAAAAAUUGAAUAUUUCUUUCUAUCUUUUUUUUUAUAUCAUUAUUAAUAAAGACAUAGAGAGCGACUAAAAAGAUGUUAUGGGCUAGGUUUUUUUUUUUUUAGUUAAUUUCCUAACAGAACAAGCCUAUUCCAAAAAUCAUAAUGUUUAGGAUCGAAAAUCAGGAUUUUUUUGUUCAGAAGUUAAGUUCAAGGGGGCUUCUCUUUUAGUACAAUUUGGCCUUUUUCUUUCUGAAAAGGAACUGUCCAUUCUGUUAACAAACAAAAUGCGUAGUGAUGUUUUAAAACCCAUCUUCCCAACCAAACACAGAAAUUUAAAUGCCAAAUCAAAGGAAAGCUCAGGAAUAGAACACUUGGCUGUUGAAAACUCGAAAUACCAAUGAAAUGCACGUAAAUUUUGUUCUUACCUGGCUACCAGAUGAUCGCUCAGAACCAGGUCCAAAUGUAUCCACUGAUUUUCCUGGCAUGAGUGGAGUGCCCACCAUCGAUCGAAGGUGUGCAAUCAAAUUGCCAUUGUAAGCCUUGGCAUUCUCAAUGCUUGGCCCUACGUCGUUGUCAUCUCCUUUAAAUGGCCAUCCAGUCUCAGCCACCACAAUCUCAACAUUCUUAAAUCCCAUAGAACUCAGUGCAGAAUAAACUGCAUCCACCUGCAAUUGAUUAAACCACUUGUCAGUAGCAUUUUUAUUAGAUCAUCUAUUGAUACAGAAUUUUCGCACUUGCAAUUUGAUUUACUCUCACCUGAGCAUCGAACAUGUUCAUGUACUUGAUCUUAGUGUUUCCAUCCAUUCGUCCUGCAUUCGGCUGGAAAAGGCAAAAAGCGAGAGUCUCAGGCCUUGUAUCGCUUCUGUAAGCAAAGUAUGGGUAGGUAUUUAUUGCGAAAGGCGAACCAUUCGCACUAUUAAACUCCAACAAGCCCUUCAUCAGAUCCCCAUAACUUGGAUCAAAGCUUCCAGAAGAAGGUGGCUCAGACUGCUUAAGCACUCCCAUCGAAUGAACUGUGGAGACCUUAAUUUUACCCCCGAGCGAUGCAUCAUCUAGAGCAUUCUGUACAUUUUGCAUUGCUGGUAAGAGCUUGUUCAUGAGAUUCUGGUCAUUGGAAGUCAUGACCUCGUUGCCGACAGUGAUGAGGAUGAUAUUGCUAGCUGGAUAGAAGGGAAGCACGUUUGUGUUGAUCCAGCUCUUGGCAAAAUUGGGAUCAGAGGCUAGUCCUGGAAUGUCACCAUUUGCAGUGCCGAUAACAAUUCCAAUUCUGGUGUUGGCUAAGGCUUUGAUUAUGGCGGGGUCCGAUCCAUAUAAUCGGACUUUUUGGAUUGAAGUGGAUUGAAGAAGCUUUGCGGUGGAUGGUGGUGGUGGAAGGUUGUCCGCAACUUGGCCAUAGUUUAUACUGAUGAAUGAUUGCGAGUCUGCACAAAAAGCAGCAAAAUUUAAAGCAGAUGAUCAAACAGCAAUUUUUAAACGACAAAACAGAACACCAACAUUUUUUGUUUUCAUAGACUGAAAUGAAGACGGCUCAGUUAAGGUAAAUUCUUUAGAAAUGGAAGGAGGUAAUUAAAAUAGAAAGAGACGCAAACUUACUUGCGAUUUUUACAGUCUGUAAGCAGGAAAGGAGUAGGAAAGCAACAGUAUAAGGAAGCACCACCAUGGCUCAGGAGGAGCGGUUUCUAUUCUGCAUUUUUGAAACUGGAGUGGGCAUUAAAUAUAGAAUAUGCUACAAGUCAAGGGCAGAAGCGUAAAGAUGACUUCGGAUAUAUUCUUAUUAUAGAAUAUCAUAUGGGUGGUGAAACUUCAAAUAGAAACCAAUUAGGAUAUACUAGUUUGGUGUCCUACAUUAUACCGCGAGUUUACCUUUUAAAAUUUCAUAAAAAUAUAAGAUGAAAAAACAUUAUAAAAGUAUUGGGUUUGGUUGCAACGUCGGACUCAAGAUCAUUGAGUCUGACUACAACACCAAACCCAACAAUAAUAUUUAUAAUAUUAAUAAUAAUAUUUCACUUGUUUGUUAAAAUUUUUAUUUUUUUGUAAUCUUUCAAAAAAAUUAUGGUUUUUCUUUGAUAGUAAUAAUAGUUUUUUAAAAUUUAUUAAUAAUAAUAAUAAUAAUAAUAAUAAUAAUUAUUAUUAUUAUUAUUAUUAUUACACUUCAAAUCAAAUCUAUGGUUGUUUUUCAAUAUUGAUAAUAAUUGUUUUUCAAAUUUAUUAAUUAUUUUAUUAAUAAUAUUAAUUAUAAUAAAAAUAAUUAUAUUUAUAACACAAAAAAUACUAAUUUUUAUAUUAAUACUUUUAAUUAUAAUAAAAAUUAUUAUAUUUAUAAUAAAAAUAAUUAUAUUUAGAAACUAAAGACCCAAGAAAACUGGGUCCUAACGCAGUACCCAUUAGCCUUGGGUCCUAACGCCGAACCCAAGUGCGUUGGGUUGUGACACAGGCCAAGAAAAGUGGAUCCUGACGCAGGACCCAAGAGAUUGAGUCCUGACGCAGGAUCAAUAAUGUUGGGUUAGGCAGGUCCUGAUGGGGCAGGACCCAACGUUGAUGGAUCCAGCCAUUUUAAAACAAAAACCGAUUCAAACUGAUCAGUUUGGCUCGGUUUUUUUUUCUGGUUUUGGCUCGGUUUUUUCUGGUUUGGGUUCAAUUCGGUUCGAUUUUUUUGGUUAUUUCGAUAGUGCCUUUUUAGUCGUCAAAUUUUUUAUUUAUUUCAUGUGAUUUUUUUGAGUUGAUGAUCUCUUAUAUUUAUAUAUUCUUGGCAAUUAAUUGUCCGAAUUUUUCUAAACAAAUAGCAUGGCUUUUCUAGAAUUCAUGCGAAAAUAUACUUUUGCAUAUUAAUUUAGUCAAACCAAACUGAUUAAUUAUUCUGUUCAUUAAUUUUUUUUUUUGUUUCCUUUGUUAAUCCUAUAUAUUCGAAUCUAAUAGAUAACUAUUUUUUUUUCUUAGGGUUAUGUGGAUAAAAUGAACUCAAAUCGAUUGGAAAGUUAUGGUCCGAUGACAAACACUUCAAAAACGUAUAGUUCCUCCAGCCCUAACAACUAACACUAAGCAUUGUCACAACCAUUGCAUCUGCUUAUAGAUUCUUUGAAGACAAGUUCUCCUUCUAAGUUUCAAAGCUUCUUUGUAGAAAUAAACAUGCACAAUUUUCCUUUAUCUGAACCUACUAUUACAUGGGCACACCGUAGAUGACGUUGAAAUCCUGUAUGUAGAUCGUUAGGGGCCAAGUUCAUGUUGAAAAGAAGUAUUGAAAACUGAAAAGCAUUCUCCACCCUUCAAUCCUACAAGUGAAACGGAGAAUUAGACGAGAAGGUUUCUUCUUUAUUGAGACUCACAAAGUGUUAAUGGUGUGAAAUCCAUAUAUCAAAUUGCUAUGUAAACUUCAAUGUCAUCUACGUUGUGCCCACGUAUUAGUAGGUUCAGAUAAAGGAAAAUUGUGCAUGUUUAUUUCUACAGAGAAGCUUUGAAACUUGGAAGGAUAACUCGUCUUCAAAGAAUUUAUAAGCAGAUGCAAUGGUUGUGACAAUUCUUAGUGUUAGUUGUUAGGGCUGGAGGAAAUAUACGUUAACAAGCUAGCUUUCAAGUGUUUGUCGUCGCACCAUAACUUUCCAAGGACUUGGAUCCAUUUGAGUUUUCUGCCUUUCCUCUGGUUUUCCACAUAACCAAAAGGCAGGUCAAUGGUCCUAAGAAAAAGAAAACAACUGCAAAUUAUUAUAUAUAAAGGUAAAUCAUGUGGGGAAAGUCUUGUUUAUAAAGAUUUAUUGUACUGUGGAUUGGAAUGGUGUUAUCAAAAGUCUUGUUCAUCGAGAUUCAUGGUACUGUAGAUUGAAGCAGUGUAAUAAUAGAGUUGUCCUUACCACAGAGAAGUACAAAGACUGUAGGGGGAGGGUGGGGUUGUUUUUUUAUUGGAAUGCAUUUGGCAUUAAAAAUAUAGUUUGGGAAAAAAUAAUUAAUGUAAAUUUUAGUGGGGUAUAGUGGGGCUACAAACCUCAGGCUGCAGAGGCUGCAGAUACCUGGUGGUAGGCUAUCAUGCCUUGCCACAUAUGGUGGACUAAGUAGUAAAAGUUUUGGGUUUGGCGAACGACUUCCUUUUGUUAAUGAAGACGGGUGGUUCUGUGAUUUGUAAUGUUUUUUCUUAUGUUUCUGUUUUUUGGUGUUUAAAUUUAGCGAACAGAUGGUGGAUUAAGCAGUAAAAAUUUUGGGUUUGGUGAAGGAUUUCCUUUUGUUAAUGAAGACACGGGUGUUUUAUGAUUUCAUUUUCUUUUUUAUCUUUUUAUUAACCACCUGCAAUAAGGCUAUAUAUAUUUUAUUGUUGUUUGCAUUGAUCAAAUCACACUAUCUUGCUGCUUAACCUCAAGCAUUACUCAGUUGUAAGAAACUUGACCGACUAAUUUCACAAAUACACGGAGGAUAGGUCGUUCUAGAAAAAAAAAAUACUGUAUGAACAUUUCUUUGCAAGCCUACACACACACACUGAAUCUCCCUAAUUUACUAGUAAAAAGAUGAUGGCUUCAACAUUUUAAGUGAGAAAGAGAAUGGUAUAAAGCACCCAUCACCUCCAAAAGGCUCUGUACAUGGGUCCUCUUCAGGUGCACUCACUAGGGUAAGUGUGCAAGCAUUAUGGCCUGUAGUUUAUGCGCAAAACAUGAAGAGGGAUUAGUAAAACCAAAAAGGAAGUGUUUUGAGAAAACUCAGUGGGUUGUUGGAAGAGAAAAUGGCUGAUUGUGAGAAAUCAGAGUUCCAAGGAUUUUUAUCAGAAGUUUGAUAGAAGAGAUUCAUGGCAUAAGCAGCAUGAGAUGCUAUUGUGUUCGGUUCAAAGCAAGCCCCGCCUGGUUGGAUCGGACCACGGUCAAUCCCUCAUCCACAAACAAAAUCCAGAUUAGCCUGCAAUUGUGCAUCUGAUACAUCUGAUUAAAAUUUUGGGUUUGAGGACAGUUUCUGAAGCAUUUUGUUUCUUUAUGCUCACAUUCAGUACUAAUAACGAAGAGAGCAAGAUGGAAAUUAUUUGUGACUAGACAGAAGCAAAGAAUGACUAUAUAAAAUACCUAAGAGUAAAUCUUUUAUUCAGCAUGGCUGUCAUUGUACGCAAUUCUCAUCAUUGACCGUCUUUGGUACCAAAGGCUAUGAAGUUCACAGAAAUAUCAUCAGAUAGAGACCAUCGCCCAGUCAAGGGACUGUGAACAAAUCCAGCCAUUUCUUUAACCUGGCGAGCACCAAACCCAAAGCAAUAAUUCUUGCUAAGAAGUAACAGUAGUAGACAUGUCAAAAUGUCAGAAGGGAAAGCAUCCAUCUUACAUUGAUAGAAGCACGCUGUAGGAUAAGCACCAGUUCUUCAGGAGUUAGAAAGCUUGACCACUGAUGCGUGCCUUUAGGAAGCUGAACAGCAUUGGUUAUUAAUAACAACACAAAGCAAACAAAAGGAUAGAAUCAAACUAUAAAACAUCGACAGAUUACUUCCAGAAAUUUUGGGAAGACUAAAACCUACACACCACCUCCACCACCAACUACAGCGAUAAGAAGAUUGCAUGCACUGGAUAUUCCUAGACACAAAGUCCAUUGCUAUAGGAAAAAUAAAAUGCUAGAACAGUUCCACUACCAGUGAAAACAGUGGGAUUUUGGAUUAGGUUUCUCAUCUGUUUAUAUCACACCCACUAUCAGAAAUUCGCCUAAAACAAACAGAAUUACUGAGAAAAUAAUUAUGUUGGUAAAUUACGGUGAUAAUUACCGAUGGAUACUAUUCCAUCGGUAAUUCAGUCGGUAUAUACCGACGGACUAAUGUUGUCGGUAUAUACCGACUGAAUUACAGACAAAAUAUAUAGAUUUAUUUUUAAAAAAAGCAGUUCGAUGAUGUGACAGUUUUUGCAGGCGAUUUUACCGAUGAAAUGACCGAGCUAGGGAUUCAGACUAGAAUCUUCGUACAGUGACGUGACUAAUUCACCGUCACAAUUACCGAGGAAACCACCGACAGAAGUAUUCCGUCGGUGAUUCCCUCAGUAAGAGUUAAUAUAUCACCACUCUGUCGACCCUCUCCUCUCCUUUUUCCCCUUCUUCUUCCCCAUCCCAACUCUCCCCUCCCAAACUGCAAACAACCUCCCACUAAAAAUACCCCCCCUUCUCAACAAAAAUCAUCUUUCUAUAACUUUUGUGGUCAUAACAUCCGUGUUCUGAUUUAUUGUGGAUUUUAUCAUUUUUUGUAAGUAAAUCUAUCUUUUUUAAUUUUAACAUUUAAAUGUCAAUUUUAUUAUUUUUUGUUGUUCUUUUUUAGUAUAUGUAUUUUGUUAGUGUAUGUACAUUUUUUAUUGUUAUUUCUCAAACAAACUUGUAGUAUGAAUGGAUAAUUUUGUAUUUGUUAUGGUUUGUUUUAGAUUUUGUAAAAUUGUAUUUGUUUGUAAAUUAUUGAAACUUUUUUGAAUUACCGAAUUCGAUGUAUUGUGAAUAAAUAAUUAAUAGCUUGUUUAACAGGUCCGUUUUAAUUUUUAUCAAUGCUAUUGCGGAGUUGUAAUUUAUGUAAAUUUAUAUGUAUAAAUUUGUAUGGAUGUUGAUAAUUGAUAAUGAAUAUUUAUGAGAAGUUUUAAUUAGUUUGUUGGGUAAUCUCGAGGUAAACCAAUAUUUUUGCAAAUUUAUUUACUUAACAUAGUUAAUUAAUAGAUGUUGUCAUCAUAAUUUUAUAGAGGUUCAAUAUAAGUCAUGGAUGAUCAUUCAUGGAUGUAUCGACAUUCACCCAAGGAUUGCAGAGGAUGAGUUAUUGUAAUGGGGUUCAGGGUUUUAUUAAUUUUGCAACAUCUAUUCCCUAAAAUUUUACUGGAGGCGGUAUUAGUUGUCCAUGCAGGAAGUGUAAAAAUAAAAAGUAUAUGCAUCCAGAUGUUGUAAUGAUGCAUCUUCUAUACAAAGGGUUCAUGGAAGAUUACCUGUGUUGGUAUGCACACUGAGAAAUAUUUGUUUGUAAUGAGAGCAUGGUAGAAAGGAUGAUUGGGUCAACUUCUAGUGCUAGCAACGUGCAUGAAGUUGCAAAUGAGAAUAAAUCAAGGUAAUGUUAGUCAAUGUCCAAUCGUAGAAAAAAAUCAUAUUGCAGAUGCAACAAGGUUUUUUGAUCUAUUGAGAGAUUCUGACUAAUCAUUAUGGGAUGGCUGCAUGAACCACAGUAAAUUAUCGGCCGUAGCAUAGGUGUUCACCAUCAAGUCAGAUCACGGGUUGAGUGAGGCCGGUUAUGAUAAAAUUAUUGAAUGGGCGAGAAGCUUUUUACCUGAAGGGAACAAGCUGAAAGAGAACUUCUAUGCUGCAAAGUCCAUGAUGAAACCCCUUGGUUUAGGAUACCAUAAAAUUGAUAUGUGCCCUAACUUCUGCAUAUUAUACUACCUUGAAAAUGUGCCCUAACAUGUGGUCAUUCCCGUUACAAACCCAGAACUAGCAAGGGAAAGACUCUAGUGGCAUAUGAAAAACUUAGAUACUUCUCAAUCACACCUAGACUGCAGAGGAUAUUCAUGUCACCAAGGAUUCUUUAGCACAUGACAUGGCAACAAUCAUAUGAUGCGGUUGAUGGAGUGAUGGUGCAUCGUUCUGACGGCGAAGCAUGGAAACACUUUAACAGUGUGCAUCCUCACUUUUUAGAUGAAUCAAGGAACGUGCAUCUUGGGUUGUAUAUAGACGUAUUUUUAUAGAGAGUUGCAAAAUAUUUACUGCAUAUUCCAUAAUCACCGACGUCUCUACAGACGAGUCGCACCCUCGCGGCGUCACGGCGACCCUCGAUUUAUUUCGGGUUAUUUGUUUUAUUGUGAAUAAAGGGAGUCAUCACCUAGUAUUAUGGUCACUAGGAAACCUAACUGGUCUUUUAGAGAUUCUAAGGCAAGGGACUAGUUGCGUAAAGGGAAGGUAUUAGCAUCCCUAGUACACCCUACCUAAGGUAAGCUGCUUGGUGUUUGGUUUGUCUUAUAAUUGUUAUGGUGUUGGUGUUUUCUAAUUCCAUCAGUUUUUCUAGGUUUGAUUCUAACUAAAUUUAUUAAGAUAGAAAUCCAAGGAGAUUCCAUGUGCUUUAAAAGCUCAUUUUUCCCUUGGUAUUUCAAGAGUUUGCGACUUAAAAAUUGCAAGGAGGAGGGACAAAAAUUUAGAAAUCUAGGGCGCUUUAAAAGCCUAUUUUUGCCUUAGUGUUUUAUACUCUCACGGCUCGUAAACUGUGAGUAAAAAAAAUUGAAAUGUCCUCGAUUAUAAUCAAGGCUUCUUUCAAGGAUGUGUGAGGAUUUAUUAUUCCUAGAAAAUUAUUUCGGAUAUUUACCACUCAGGGUUUCUUUAUCCAAAUAUUAACAGUGAAUAAUAACAAAUUAUUCCCAAUAAUAUUUUGGAUAUUCGUCCUUUAAUGAUUUCUUUAUCCAAACAUUAGUGGUGAAUAAUAGAUGAAUUCCCCCCAAAAUAAGAUUUUUAUAUUUUUUGGAAUAUUGGCCAAUACCCUUUGGAGUUUUACAAACAUGUUGUAAAAUCCAGAAAUGCAAGAAAAUAAAUUUUAUUGUGUUUAAGAAAUCCAUGCGAAAACACAUUUUCGAAAACUUCCAAUAUUUUUGUAUAAAAAAAAAGUGUUCAAAACAUGUUAGGAUAUUGGUCGUAUGCAACACACAAGAAAACAUUUUUUUUUUACAACAAACACUGCAGUGCUUAACCAUAAAUGAUAAACCAUUGCACAUUUGUUUUAAAACAAACACUCCAGUGCUAUAAAUGAUAAACCAUGCUUGUAGAGGGAUGAUGCAUUCACACGCCAAGACAGUAUUCAAGAAGGAAAAUGCAUUUAAAGAAGACCCGGCUACUGUUCAAGUGAAUUAUAUUUCACUUGAACAGUACAAACACAAAGGAAAAUGCAUGCAAAAAGGUGAAGAGAACAGACCUGGAGGCAGACGAAGGAGCAGCAACGCUGUUGAAGGCUUGCUGGCUAGACGAUCAGUGUGGUCGUCUGUUCCAGCUCUUUCCCCCCUAUUCUUUGUUCGUCUCCUGAGUUUUAACAUCUGCAAUCUUCGUCAGUCCCUCUCCAACGAGUUCCUGCACUUCCUUCGUCCCUGCUGUAGAUCUUAUAUGCCAAAAAAAAUGAAGCCAAGACCAACAGGUAGUCCCUGCUGGUUUAUGGUUUCUCUUCUCUUUUCCCUUUUUUUCUCUUCUUUCUCUUCUACUGUCAAUCUUCCCAACCUCACAGUAACACUUUCCUCCAGCAGGCGUAAGAAGAGAAAAGUGUUGAAAGGUAAGCUGAUUACUUGUUUUUGAUGGCAGAGAAGAAGACUCUGCAGGCUGUAGCGAGAAGAAUGAAGGAAUGGAAGAAAUUCUGUUAAAACAGUUAAAGAAGCAGUUAAAACAGUUAUGGCAGUUAUAGUCAGUUUUUUCUGUUAAAUUCUGUUACAACUGUUUCUUACAUGUGUAAGAAUCGUAUCCUUCCAUUAAUGGAUGGAUGAGAUGAUCUUGAUUCCUAAAUAGUGGAAUUAGUUACAUGCAAUGUGUAUAAAAGCAGAGUUGCUGCAUUAAUGAAAUAUAAGAAAUUCUUCUCAAUCUUCUUUGCAAAACGUGAAUACAAUUCUCUUCUAAAUACCUUCAGAAAACAAACAAAAAGAAUGUGAGGGUCCCUAAAGUUCUCGCAGCUGGAGCACUAGGGAAGAAACACCUGCAGAUCCUGUUUUGCAGGAAAUGAAACAAAAGACCAAGAAACAGCUCACGCGUGCCUCUUGACGGACGAAAACAAUGACACUGAAGCUGUGAUGUGCUGGUGGAGUCUGUUCUCUUGCUCUUUCUUGUUUUUCCUACGGCUUGCCUCUCUUUUUCUCCUUUUUUUUCUCUUCUCCUCCUUUUUUCUCCCCCCUUUUAUGCUCUUUUUUUUCUCUGCCCCAUUAGGUCAUUAGAAGGGCUUAUAUAUAGUCUAAAUAUAUCUCUAUUUAGGAAAGAUUCAAUGCAUUAAUUCUAGGAUGCAAAUCCCUACUGAUUUGCAGUAAAAAAAAUGCAAAAAGGAAACUUAAAUAUUCUGAUUCUGCUGUCUGAUUUCUUUCCAGUUUUUUAAAGGAUGGUGUGGCUUCUUUCUUUCCUUCCAUAGGGCCAGCUGCUCCCUUUGAAAUGAGGCAAUAAAAACGUGGUUGCAGCUCCAAAAAUCAGGCGUGAUGAUAAAGGAAAAUAGCAGAAAUUUGCAGAGAAAAAGGAAAGAAAUCAGAUGGGUAAAGGUGCAUGCUGCAAAGUCUUAUUUUCUUUAUUCGGUAUGGUAAAAAUCCUGUCAUUUAUGAUGAUCCAACCCCCCUUUCCAGCUUCAAUUCAAUCCCUCAUUUUAGCACUUUUCAAUUUAGUCCUUGGUCAAAAAAAAAUCCUUCGAAUCAGUCCCGCGAACUUGGGCAAAAAUCCUUCUCGCGGCUAAGAAUCCCUGCUUUCACACUAAAUAUUCAAACGGGAAUAUCUUGAGCUUUUGAUAUUGAAAUCAAGCGAUUCAAAAGCCCAAAUUUACCUACGUGUCCCAGACUACAACUUUCAUGAGGAUUCAAAGUGAGAUAAAUUUGUUUUGAAUAACAGAAUUGCAACCAAACUCGGCUGGAAACCUUCUCGCGGCAGGAUUCUAUGUUUUCAUGCUAGAUUUCAAACAGGAAUAUCUUGAGCUUCUGAUUUCGAAAUCAAGCAAUUCAAAAGCUCAAAUUCAUCUACGUGUCCCGGACUACAAAUUUUAUGAAGGAGUCGAAGUGAGAUAAAUUCAUUUUAGAGAACAGAAUCUGGCAGUAAUCUGGUUGGUCAAAAAGGAUCUCCGGGUCUAAUUUAGAAACUAACAAUGCUGAGAAUCCUGAUAUGAUUGAAAGUAUGACCUAAGAACAAAUCAUCAAAAUUUAUGAUGGAAAUAGAGUCUUUUAGUGCAAAAAUCGGGUCAGGAUCCUUCUCGCGGCAGGAAUCCCUACUUUCACACUAGAUAUUCAAACAGGAAUAUCUUGAGCUUUUGAUAUCGAAAUCAAGCGAUUCAAAAGCCCAAAUUUAUCUAUGCGUCCAGGACUACAACUUUGAUGAAGGAGUCGAAUUGAGAUAAAAUCGUUUUAAAGAACAGAAUCUAGCACUAAUCUAGUUGGUCAAAAAGGUUCUUGAUCUGACAAUGCCGAGCAUCCAAAUCUGACUGAGAGUCUGCCCUAAGAUCAGUGAUCCCUAGGACCCAAUAAAGGUGUAGGUCAAUUUUUCAACAUGUCAUGAGUGACAGAAUAUAGCUAGGAUGGUCAGAUAUUGUACGAAACCAAGUUAGAAUCAGAGUCUAAUUUGGAACAAAAAAUUAAGAUAGCAGCAGAACCAUUUUUUAGUGCAAAUUCUGAGGGAUUUAUUCAACCUUAAAGGCCAGAUAAUAAUAAUAAAAAAGGGACGAAUUUAGCAUUAUGAAGACUCCUGAUUAAUCUAAGAAAACCUGACAAUUUUGGCAGCAAAGGGGAAGGAUAAAGAGAGCAUAAAACAGCUCAAACAGGUUUUCGAAAAACUAUUUAUUUCUCUGCUUUUGUCAAUCUUCAGCAAACAUGAGUUAAACUCCUACACUCAGUUCAAAAGAGGUAUACACCGUCUCCAGCACGUGGGGUCCAAAAAUGAGUAACAACAAGACGGAUACAAUGUAUCGGUAUUUGUCGGUGUAGUUCACAAUUAUCGAUGGACUGUGCAAAUUCCAAAGGGCGGGUAUUAAUGCAUCUCUGACCGCGUGAAUAUGCCGACAGACUGCGAAAGUUCUGGAGGGUCAUUUAAAAAUUUUAGUGUGAAAUUCAAAAUUUACCAACGAACAUUUGAAAAUUCACCGACGGAAUAAUUAAAAAUAAUAUUAUUUAAAUAGGUCAUCGAAAAGUCCAUCGGUAAAACUGCACUAUAAAUCUCAACGACCGCCCCUUCAGUUCAUUUCUCUCCUCUUUCGUUUCAUCUCAUCUUUUUUUCUCUCUUCUAUUGCAAAAAUUUUCAUUUUUUUCUUGUAAUCUUUAGCUUCUUGUAAUCUUCAACAAAUUAAAACGUAUGUAUUUUCAUUUAAUAUGCUUAAUGAUUUUAUUUUUCUCAUUUUUUUCUUUGUUUUAUUAAUAAUAUAUUUUUGUUGUGUUUUUUUUUUUUGUAUUGUAUGUAGAUAAAGUACUGAAAUAAACACACUAUUAAGGUAAACAUUUUUCAUUCCUCAAGUCUAUAGUUUUUUUAAAAACUUUAUUCAAUAUAUUUUAUUGUUUGUAUUGCCAUAAUAAUUGAAUACUGUCUAACUUUGAACUGUUAUUGUUUGACUUUUCCAACCGUUACUGUCUGACUUUGAACUGUUACUGUUUGACUUUUCCAACUGUUACUGUCUGACUUUUCCAACUGUUACUGUCUGACUUUUCCAACCGUUACUGUCUGACUUUGAACUGUUAUUGUUUGACUUUUCCAACCGUUACUGUCUGACUUUGAAUUGUUACUGUUUGACUUUGAACUGUUACUGUCCAAUUUCCAAUUGUUACUGUCUGAACACUCAUUAGAUUUUUAACUAUAUCUAAAGUUCUAAAACUCCAUUUUAACUGAGAUUGAUCUCGUUAGAAAGCUAAGACACGAGGCUACUAGUUCUCUGAGGGAGGAGAACCCAGUUUUGCCUUCAAGAUAGUCAAAAUUAUUCAUUUACUAAUUAGUCCUACUGCCCUACAUAAUCAAUCACGACUCAGUCUCAGUUGGUAACCCAUAACUGGAGUUCUACAUUUCCAAAUUGAGCAAGACCAGUUUCCUUGGUUAGCUAACAUUCAAAUCUAUAAUUUCUAUGGGGAACCUGAUCCUAAUCCCCUCAUCCUCCUACCCAAAAUCUCAUCGAAAGUUAGGAGACAAGUCUGUCCAGAUUCGUCUCCCCCUCCCAUUCACACAAUACUUUCAUAAACUACAUACCACACACAUGAAUUAACUUAAUCUCAACAAUAAGUACUUUUUCCCCAAUUUAUAUCUAAGAACCCUAACCUAUGAUUCAAUAUCAAGGCACCAAUUCUUUAUCGAAUUUAAAAAUGAAUUUUUUUAAGAUCAUGUUUAGAAUACGUUACCCGGUACAAAUUAAGAUUUUGAUCUUCAACCAGUUGAAGAUUUUCAACUCCCUUCUUUCUUUUCUUCUUGUUCAAUUUCCCUCCUGUCUUUUCUUCUUGUUCAAUUUCUUGGUAAUCCUUUGCUCUCAAGUGUUUAUCCCAUCUUUAAGCUCUUAAUCUUGGAUGGGUUCUUGAAAUUUUAGUGUUUCUCUCUUGAUUUCUUGAGAAUGGGUAUAAAACUCCCUAUUUUCUCUCCUUAUGGUUCCUACAGAUUUUUUUUUGGUGAGGAAAGAGUAUUUAUACUCUAUAUUUUCCCUUAUUUGCAUUUAGACCCCUUUUUUCCUUUAAGUGUAUUAUUAUCUUCAGUUAAAUCCAACCCUCAACAGUACCGGGUUUAUUAUAAUGUCUCGAAUUAUUUCGCCUGAAAAUUUAUAUUCAAAAUUUUUUGAAUUUCUGUUUUUAUUUAAUCAUAUGCAUGAAUUUCUUCACUUUUAUUUAUUUAUUAUUUUUCUCGGGGUUUACAGGGUAAGACUCGUGAAACCAUCAAACUCUCGCUUGAUUGUUUACUUGGAAGUGGUUGAUAUGCCAAACUGAUAUUACUUAGGGCCUCUAUCUUCACACUACUUGUAAGCCUCAUAUCGACCUUUCAAGGACGAUCACUAAGCAUGUGAGAGACCCUUGGAAACUAGAUAAUGACCAACCCCUUAAUGCACAUAACAAUUAGGAUCUUCCUACUAGGUUGUCACCUCGUGAAGGGCAAGUUUGCAUUUCAUACGUAUUUUUUUUAAUCAAUAUUUUUGCAUAAAUUGCAUGAUUUACAUUUAGCAGGUUGAAAUAUAGGUUCCCCAUUGAAACCCAUCUAUAACACUCGUUUGAGAAAAAGACAAAUGGAAAACGAAGAAAGAGCCCAAUUGGAAGCCCAACAUCAAAAAGAGGUGGACAAUCUUAAAGAAAAAGUCGCAAGGCUUACUAGUCUACUCGAACAGGCCUUGAGAGACAAAUCCGGAAAAGCAACACAUAUAGUUCAGCUUGAACCUAUGCUCGUAAAUCCUUUCAAUCCACAUAAUCUGGGGGCAAAAGGGUUGUCAUCUUAUUUUCAACAAGCCUUGCAUUUCCAACCAGCAUACCCCAUGAGAAUGCUGUUUACCAUUGAUUCUACAGAGAAGGAAUCUCAAAAGGGCAAGAUGGUAAAAGAAGAGGGUCUGGAAAAAUGGAUUGCCCUAGAAGAGAGGGUAAGGGCAGUUGAGGGAAACCAUUUGUGUGACCUGGUGAAAGCUGUCAAGAUGUCUUUGGUACCUAACGUAGUCAUUCCUAAGAAGUUUAGGGUGCCAGAAUUCGUUAAAUAUACAGGAACCCAGUGCCCUGUAACUCAUCUCAAGGCAUACUGCAACAAAAUGGCUGAGGUGGUUGAUAAUGAGAAAUUGCUGAUUCAUUUCUUUCAAGAUAGUUUGAGUGACACUGCCCUCACUUGGUAUAUGCGGUUGGACAAUGCCAAGGUUAAAAAUGGAAGGAUUUAGUUGAUGCCUUCAUGAGGCAAUAUAAGUUCAAUAUAGACGUGGGCCCUGAUCAAUUAAGCUUGCAAGCUAUGGAGAAGGACAACAAGGAGUACAUAAGGGAAUACGCCAAAAGAUGGAGUGAGGUAGCUGCACAAGUUAACCCUCCUAUGUUGGAAAAAGAGAUGAUUAGUUUAUUUUCCAACACCUUUAAAACCCCGUACUUUGAAUACUUGGUUAGAAGCUCUGCACAACAUUUCACUGACCUGGUUGUUAUAGCUGAGAGGAUUGAACAAGCCAUUGGGAUAGGUAAGAUUGCUGACCCAAUUGAGAAUAACGGUUUUGGCUGGAAAAGGGAAGGACACUGAAGGUGGUUGCCAAGUCACUUAUCGUCCUUAUAACUAAUUUCUUCACACCAACUCCUAGAAAUCAACUAUCUUGAAGAUAAAGCUAUGGUGAUGUUAGGUCGAGAAUGGUCUACAUAUGACUUCAAUUGAUUGUUGAAAAGAUGCUUUUGUCGAGGAGAAUGAAUGAUUGAAAGAUUCCAGCCCUUUCAUGUGUUACCAUGCUAGUAUUCAUAGCCCAAGAUGUUGGCAUAAGUUCUUUGUUGUUGAACUUCUUUUUCAAAGUUUCAAUGAAAUAAUAAGUUUGUCAUUCAAUCGUGUUUACGACCAAGCAUUAUUCAUUUUCUUGAGAGAGUUUUCUUAUAAGAACUCACAAAUACACUUUUGAAGCCUCACGUGAUCUCAUAGACGCGAUUCAAUACUUUUACCAAAAUCAGUUUCCCUAUUGGAGUUUUGAAAAAUUGAUCUGGCAUUUUGAUUUCAAAAAUAAUUUGAUGUUUAUUAAAAAAAAUAUUUUUGACAUUCUUCUUGUAGAAUGACAAGUGAAUCAAGCAACUCCAUCAUUGAGGUGACUAAAUUACGGAUAAAAAAAAGGAAAAAAAGAAAUGAAUAAACACCCUUACCCCAUGACUCUUGAAACAUGUGUUUUUAAAUGUAUGAAUAAUGGCAUGUAGUGAACUCAUUGCUCAUGACCCAUGAAACAUAUCUUUGCAAAGACCAAACCAUCACACUGGGUGAGGUCAAAGUUUAUUGAUCAUAGCUGCUUGCGCUUGAAAUGAGGAAAGGCCAUCUUUGUUAUUCCUGUCAUGUUCUGAAAUAAAUAUAUCCCUUGCGAUCCCUUUUUUAGCCUGAAUAAAUUUUCUUUCAUGAAAAAUCCCGACUAGGAUCACACCCCACACUAGGGGGGCAAGAGAAAAUUUCAAUGAGAAAAGAGAAAAAGCCGUGAGAAAGCCAAAAAAGGCAUAAGAGCUCAAGAAACUCAAAUGCUUGGGGGCAUGUCCAAAUCACAAGAAAAAGUGAUAACCAAGAUAAAGUGAGUAUGCCCUAGCAAAGCAAUAAAAAAAACGAAGCAGCAAAUCAAAGAAGAGCGGCAAAAGAAAAGAUGAACGACAUUAAGAGUUGAACUACUAAUAGUGAUUCUCAGUCUUUGAAACCCUGAAACACUCUUUGAGCCUUGUGAAUCCUUUUCUUUCAUAGCUAAGAACCACAGCCUACAUUAAGUGCCUGUAGAAGUCUUUUCUAAUCAAGCAAGCAAACAACCUAGAACAAUAAAAAAUGCUCUCAAAAUGCAAAGAAUACUUUUUCAUAAGAUUCAUGACAUCAAGAACAAACUACUCAUUACUAUUCAUGCUGAUAAAAAUGAGUGUUCAAAAAGAUAUAAGUUUUUAUCAAGCAAAACCUUGAGCUUUUUCUCGAGCCCUUCACUUUGAAAACCUAUAAAAACAAAAAGUCACCUCAUGGCGGAUUUUCACCGAAGUUAAUAACGCCAUACACAAGAGCAAGUCAUCUCUUUUCCAAGAAAAAUGUCUUGAACAAAUUUUAAUUGACCACUCUUUUUAAUUCUAGUUCUUCAACUUUUCUAGCUAAAGAUGCAAACUUGGCUUGGAGGUCAUGAUCUUCCCUAAGGUUGUACAUACCUUCACUAGAUGUAUGAGGUUGAGUUUUACUUAGUGCCUCAUAAGUGUCUGCAGUGUCCCAAUUUUCAGCAUUUUCAGCUAGCAAGUAUAGGUACUCUAUUGCUUCAUUAGGGUCUUUAUCUUCAAAAGUUUCAUUGCACAUCAAUUCAACCAUUUGCCUAUCUCUAGGUGUUAACCCUUCAUAAAAAUAUGAAACCAAUCUCCAUGUUUCAAAACCAUGAUGAGGGCAAAUAUUAAGCAAGUCUCAAUACCUAUCCCAACAUUGGUAAAAUGUUUCUCCUGGUUUUUGAGUGAAAGUGAUGAUUUGUUUUUUGAAAGAGUUUGUUCUGUGAGACGGAAAAAACUUUAAAAAUUGUUAUUGCAUUUCAUCCCAAGCAUGAAUGGAUCCUAGUCUCAAAUUUUGUAGCCAUGUUUUAGCUUUAUCUUUUAAUGAAAAAGGAAAAAACUUUAAUCUGAUGGUGUUCAUGCUACAAUUUAAGUCAUUAUAGGUGUUACAGACCUCCUCAAAUUUCCUUAAAUGCAAAUAUGGAUUUUCUAGAUCUAAGUCAUGAAAAUAAGGUAAAAGUUGAAUAAUGCCUGGCUUAAAAUUAAAAUGAUAUGCAUCAGGGGGGAAACUAUACAUGAUGGUGCACUUGCUCUUGUAGGAUUCAUAUGGUCUCUAAAUGUUCUAACACGGUUAUUCUCAUUAUUCUCAUUAUGAAGCGACUAGUUAUCUUCUUCGGCCAUAUUUUUUUGAAAAUAAUGAGGAUACCCUACAAAGUCUACCACUUAAUGUACGUGACCAAACUCUCAUGCACGUGUAGGAAGAGAAGAAAAAGGAAGAAAAGAAAAGAAAAGGAAACAAAACAAAACAAAACAAAACAAACAAAAGUUAGAUAAAAUGAAAAGUGAAAAGAGAAAAUAAAAUUUAUCUCCCCAGCAACGGUGCCAAAAACAUGACACAACCAAAAGAUUGAUGUCUUCUCCCAAGUGCAGGAGUGUCGAAGUAAUAAAUAACCCGGCAAGACCGGGGUCGAACCACAGAGAGGUUAACUAUAUAAAUUAUAAAUAACAACAACAACAACAACAACAACAACAACAACAACAACAAUAAUAAUAAUAAGUUAAAGAGGACUUUGAGAUGUAAGAUUAAUGUGAGGAUUAAACAAUGAUAAAAACAAUUGUCAAGGUUAGAGGAUCCACUAAUGGUAUUUCAAACAAGUAUAGUAUAAACUCUUAUUACUCAACUAGAAACCACACACAAAGGAGGUUCCAAUCGGAUUAUAAAUUGUUAACAUGAUGACAUUAGUUAUCUUAUUCGAAUAAUGCUAAUACUUGUAAAUGUUGUCAGGUAUUCAUAAUUAUAACUUAUGUUAACAACAAAUCAAGUUCCUUUCAUAGCACAGGUGUCGGUUAUACCACACGGUUUGGGCUAUGAAAGUGCCAAAUAUUUGUUAUACCAAGGGUUAUAUAACAUAAAUCUAGAUUAAUCAUUUAACAAGCAAAGUAUUAAAAGUGAACAAGAUAACAAAUACAAAACAUGUUAGUAUCAGACAUUAAAGUCCAUGUUGAGUUUAUACUAUACUUAUUCUUACAUCAUUAGUGUAACCUUUUCAACUUAACAUAAUAAACUUAACUAAGCAUAAUGAAAAAGAGAAACAUAAAUAAACAAGAUAAGAACAUAAAUAAGAUAUAAAUUAACUAAGUAAAGGGAAGGAAAUGAAAGGCAUAAACAAGAGAUUACUGAAAGCAAAACUUAAGCAUUACAAAAAAUAUAAAGAAAGAGAGCAAGAACAUGAUCUUGAUCUGAAAACCAAGAUGCCUAAAUGCAUGACAAAUGCCUACUUUUAUAGGCUAAAAUUUGGAACUAUUGAUUUGAUGACUAAUUGUUGAGUGGGUGGCCACAUCUUAACUUGGUGACAAUCCUUAUCUUCAUGUCUGAACAAAACGUCAUUGCUAAUGUCAAAAUUUGAAUAGACUCUCUCAUGAAAGUUCUAGGAAAUUGUCUCAGCUUUCCAACAAAAAAAUAUUUGGUGCAUUUGGACUUCUAGAACUUGAGAUAUGGGUUGAACACUGAACAGUGUCUGGGCUGCAGCACAAAUUCCGACUUCUCCGUUGUUGCUAAGAUUUGGACUUCCAAAUAGAAGAAUUGAGUCUUUUACUCCCCAUGACUGUUUUAGACCUAUGUCUUAGCUUUCUAGCCAUAUAAACCAAAUUGAAAUCCAAGAUCUACAGCUCCAGAUAUGACCCAAUGACUGAACAGUGUUCCAGUUUGGACUGAACCAACAUCUCUUUUCUAAGCUGAACCCUCUCUUUGUCUUCUCAAUUUCAGUAGUUAAACUCAUCAAUUAAUCCUUUGAUUUAUGUGAUAGCCCUACAUUUAAGAUGAACAUUUACCAUAAAUUAAAGGUAUCUUAUAUUAUUAGACAUAUUAUUAUAAAACAUGCUCUAGUUAAGGAGUUAUUGAUACUUCAAGUGCAAAAUGAUGAUAUAAAACCUUGAUAAAAAUGCACUUUUAAGUACUAAUUAGUUACUAGGAGCAACAUUGCAUAUUGUCUUCUAACAGAGGAUGGAGAGCCAUUAACUUUUCAUGAGGCUAUAGAAAGCACAAAUGUAUCUAUGUGAAUGACAACAAUGCAAGAGGAGAUUGAAACUCUACACAAGAAUAACACUUGGGAUCUUGUUCCGCUACCACAAGGAAGGAAGGCCAUUGGCAACAAAUGGGUUUGCAAGAUAAAACGUGAUGGUAAUGAUCAAAUGGAGCGGUAUCGUGCAAGAUUGCUUAGAAAGAAGGAAUAGACUUCAAUGAAAUAUUUUCUCUGGUGGUACGACUUACUACAAUUAGAGUAGUCUUGGUGAUAUGUGCUAUAUUUGAUCUUCACUUAGAGCAGUUAGAUGUGAAAAUUUCAUUUCUUCAUGGAGAACUUGAAGAAGAAAUUUAUAUGCUCCAACCAGAAGGUUUUGCUGAAAAAAGGUAAGGAGAAGUUGGUUUGCAUGUUGAAAAAAUCUCUAUAUGGUCUCAAACAGGUGCCGAGGUGUUGGUACAAGAGAUUUUAUUCCUUCGUAAUUAGCCUUGAUACAAUAGACUUAGUUUAGACCAUUGUAUGUAUUACAAGAAGUUUGAAAAGAUGAUGAUAUAAUCAUUCUGUUGUUGUAUGUGGAUGACAUGUUGGUAAUAGGCCCCAACAAAGAUCAAGACCAAGAAUUGAAGGCACAGUUGGUUAGGGAGUUUGAUAUGAAGAACUUGGGACCAACAAACAAGAUUCUAGGGAUGUAAAUUGACCGAGACAGAAGUAAGAUGAAGAUUUGGCUUUCUGAGAAGAAUUAUUUGAGGAAAGUUUUACGAUGCUUCAACAUGCAAGAUUGUAAGUCAAUUUCCACCCCACUUCCUAUUAACUUCAAAUUAUCCUCAAGUAUGUCUCCUAGUAAUGAAGUAGAGAAGAUGGAGAUGUCUCAAGUACCGUAUGCAUCAGCAGUGGGAAGUUUAAUGUUUUCUAUGUAGGUACAAGAUCGGACAUUGCACAAGUAGUAAGAGUAGUUAGUUGAUACAUGGAAAAUCUUGGUGGAAAGCAUUGUAAUACUAUUAAGAGGAUCUUGAGAUACAUCAAAGGUACCUCAGAUACCGCAUUAUGUUAUGGAGGAUCAGAAUCUACUGUCAGAGGUUAUGUUGAUUCAAAUUUUGUUGGUGACCUUGAGAAAAGAAAAUCCACUACAGGCUAUAUGUUCACAAUUGCAGGAGGAGCUGUGAGCUAGGUCUCUAAACUUCAGACUAUUGUAACGUUAUGCACAACAGAAGCUGAGUACAUGGCAACUACACAAGCUUGUAAAAAAGCAAUAUGGAUGAGGAAACUUAUGGAGGAGCUCGGACAUAAACAAAAGAAGAUUCCUUUGUAUUGUGAUAAUCAGUGUGCGUUGCAUAUUGAAAGGAAUUCAAUGUUUCAUUCAAGAACAAAACACAUAGAUGUUCAGUAUCACUUUGUUUGCGAAGUGGUGAAAGAUGAAAGUGUGGAUUUUAAGAAAAUGCACACUAAGAAAAACUUAGCAGAUGCUUUGACCAAACCAGUCAACACUGACAAGUACAUAUGGUGCAUAUCCUCUUAUGGCCUAGCAGAAACGUAAGCACAUGAAGAUGACAAGUAUAGAAAGGAUAGAACAAUCAUAGAUGAUCAAGUAUGAAGACUUGAUUAAAUCAUCAAAGUCUUCAAGUGGGAGAAUGUAAAGCUAGUUGGACAUUAAUUGGUGCUGCCUAAGUCAACAAUGUUAGGAACCAAUUCAGUGCCACUUGCAGCACCAAUUAAUGCCUCAUGUCUUUUGCAAGACAAAGGCAUGGAUGUCUGCCUAUAAAUAGGCAGUGCAUCCAAGUCUUAAGAUGUACACACAAGAGAGAAAGGAAGGAAAGUGAUCCCACAAAGUUGUGAGGUAUUUGUGAGAGAGUAAAAGAGGUGUUUUCUCCUAUUGAUAGAGAGAUUCUCAAUUGUUUUCCAAUUAGUAAAGAGAAGUUGAAAUUCUCACAUUACUUAGUAAAAUCCUUUUAUACUUGCCCAUGGACGUAGUCAAAUUUGGGUCAACCACGUAAAUGCCAGUAUCUUAACAAAAACAUUACAAAUCAUAAGAAGCUCACACACCAGUAGAUCCAAACCCUCCAACUCCUCUCACAGUUGCAUCCAAAUCCUUGACUUCCAUGACAUGAGGAGUUACAAUUUUCUCAAGAAUCAACUGCACAAUUCUAUCACCAACCUUUCCCUCGAAUAAAAGGGUUAAACAAGAUAAGCCCAACAUAAAUAAAAUGAAGUUUUGAACCAGAUUAUAAAAUGCUAAAAUUAAAAGGACCAAAAGAUAAAUCCAUGGAGGAUAUAUGGACAAAAGUACAUUUUCGCAUGAAUUCUGGAAAAGCCAUGCUAUUUUUUUUUAUAUUUGGUCUUUUUUCUUUUAAUUGUGUCUUUAUGCUAUAAAUUUAAACUUUAUCUCAUCAACUUGGCCUUGGAUCAAGUUCGGACCUUUAAUUGUCAAAAAUAUAUAAAUAUAAGAGAUCAUCAACUCAAAAAAAUCACAUGAAAUGAAUAAAAGUUUGAUGACUAAAAAAGCACUAUUGAAAUUUAUGUGCUUUGUGAGGAGAAGCAUAGUGUCAAGCACCCUAGUAAAACACCUUUAAAGAAUUAGUUUUUAUAUAUACAACUAGUAAAGAUUGAAAUUUAACAAGGUAUGAUUAAAAUUUUAAAGAAUUCAUUUUAAUAAAUGUUCAGAUAAAUAAUAUUAGUCGUUCAUUUACAAACAAAUUUAAACAUAUUAGAAUACCAUUUUAUUUUUUUUUUAAAGUUUGACAGUCAAUUUAAGACUUGAUGCAUUUUAAAAAUACCUUAAAUUUAACUCCGAUCGUAUUACUUUAUUAUAAAUUACAUCUCAAAUAUUUUUAUUUUAUCAUUUUGUCUAAAAAUUAAACAAAUAUACCUCAUAAUCUUUUCAUUAUCAAUUAUAGUUUAAGUUUUGUUGCACAAGCACCAGCAGUAGCAGCAGCAAAAGACGGAGUGUUUUUUGGUGGGUUUUGUUUAGAAUUGGAAAUUUUUAGACUGGAGUUUUCGGAGGUAUAUUUAAUUAGGAUUUUCAAUUUAGGUUUGUUGUAUGGGUUUAUGGAACUUUAUUUGAUUUGCCUGUUUUUUUUAACUUGCAAACUUAGAAUCAAAAGUUGUAAAGAGACAAUGGAGAUGGGUUAGGGUUUUUCUCUGUAUUUUAUAAGUCUCUCUGUCGAUUUUAUUGUUUAGAAGUAAACUGAAAAAAUAAUUGAAAAAUCAGUUCAGUGAAUAUUUGGUGGUUGAGUAUUAUUAUUAAAUUUUUUUUAAAAAAAAAACAAUUUAGCCAAAGAGAAAAGAAAGGAAAAGUUAAGUUUAUGACCAAGCUCCAUUUACAUUUUUACAUAGUGCGCUCAUUUGGUAGAAAUUUGAUUCUUAUGAGUACCAGAAACCUCAAUUUUGGUAGAUUUCGUUGGUGGAACUGUGAAUAUUUUUACAUGAUGGUUCUUUUAUAGUUCCUAUCCAUGCCUUCCUUGUUGCCACUGUUUCUUUCAGUUUAUCUCCAUCGUAACAAUAGUUUAUAAAGUUUUAUUGACUUGAUCUAUUAUGCUUUAAGACUCCGACUAAACCAAAAACUCCAGCAACACCAUCUCCAAAGCCAAAAAAAAAAAGCAACAAUUGAAUCAUGCCAUAAAAAUUUGUUUCAGAAUAAGAGGUCACUGCAAUAUUUAAUAGUUUUACCGACAAAAAUAUUUCGUCAGUGUAAGAUAACCACUUAAUUGAUAAAAUUUUUACCAACUAAUUCCCCAACAGAAACCAUCCGUCGGCAUAACAUUCGUUGAUAAUUCAACAUUUUAUCACUAAUUCUAUCAGUAAAAAAAAUUCAAAAACUGAUGGAUUUACAUAUAGAAAAUGAGCGCAAAAAACAACAAUUCCCGCCGGCAAUAUACCGAUAGAAUUAUUCUGUCGGUGUUUGUGGGAUAUACAGUAAAUAUUUUGCAACUCUUGGUAAAAUACGAACGGACUAUGUCCGUCUGGAAAUCCAUCGGUGAAAGUGGCAUAUGCAGUAAAUAUUUUGCAACUCUCGGUAAAAUACCGAUGGACUACAUUCGUCUGGAAAUCCGUCGAUGAAAGUGGCAUAAACAGUAAAUAUGUUUCAACUCUCUGUAAAAUACCGACAGACUACUUCCAUCUAGAAAUCUGUCGGUUGUUAUUUAAAAACAUUAAAAAUUAUUUAGAAUAAAUUAUAUAAAUUAAUAGUAAAAAAACCAAUUCUGCAAAUAAAAUUGUAUGAAACAUUAAAAAUAUAAAAAUAAAGUUAAAUACUAUUCAUCCAAAUAUUCAUUAAAAAUUUAAUGUGUUUCCAAAAAAAAUUAAACUAGAACAAUGGCGGAGGUAGAGGAGGAGGAGGAGGCUACUUGUUCCCAGGACCAAACGGCCAAAAAAGUGGCGCACAUGUAUCACCCAUCUGUGAUCUAAUGUCCAUGACCAUUUGGCGGAGUUGUUCAUAAUCCGUUGAGAGUUGCUCAUAUUGUUGUUUCAAGGCCAUGAUCUCCUCAGAUUGGAUGCUCGAUACUGAUUGGGAGCUCCCAACGGUUGAUACACUACAGGCUGCCCGUAAGUUCUCGGUUGUAGUGUUCAGCCCGUAGUGUUGGAGAGCCCAUACACCCGAUUUUUAUCAGGUCCACUAGAUGAUCCUACCUCCAUCCACAAAUCCGGAUCAAAAUCUGAAUGGGUCAAAGGAUCAUCCCCAUAGCUCUCCCUUAACCGACUAUUAUAGGUCUCCUAAAAAUUAAAAAAAGAAAUCAUCAUAUUCAAUUCAAGAAAAUAAUAACUUAAGAAAUAAAAUGAAAUAACAAACAUACCACGAAGUGUUGAGUGCGGUUGUCCACGAACUAUUGCACCCACUUUUGGCGGUCUUCACUCCGCACGUGUGUCUCUAUAAACAGCUCUAUUAGGCUCGACUCACGUCUAAGAGACGUAGCCUAUAAGAAAAAAAAUAUUGCAAGUUAAAUAUAUUUAUAAGUAACAAAAAAUUAAUUAACGAUAUGUUUCAUUUAAAUUAAUCUUACCAUCCAUUUAGCAUGUGCAGUAAACAGAACGGAGCCACCAAUGUGCGUGGUCAUCGAACCAUGAAUUUGCCAGUUCCGAUUGUCGGUACCGAACUAUGAGCAUUAUGUGAAUCGCUCAGACAUCAUGUGCUGAAUAUAUUGCGGCCAUAUAAACCCCAGGAUGUAUGGCUGUUUAAAAUCCCUCCAAACCGCCACAUUAUUCUACCCUUGGAGACUGUCAUCUCUCGCGUAUUUUUUGGCUUUUUUUGUGAUUCAUACCAAAAAUCACGCAACCUACUUUCAUAGUGACAAAUUAGAUUUUAAAACAUAAUUUUUUUUAAAAAAAAUAUGGUAUUGCAACAGAAUAUGUUACCUAGUUGCCGUGUGAUUUUCCCACACCCUACUUGCAACAUUGUCAUGCGCACUACCCACUCGAAUUUGUGUUGUGUAUAAAUAAUUUAUUUAAAAUAAAAAUAAUAAAAAUAUAUUAAAAAUAAGCUAGAAAUUAAAACUUAACACCAACCUGAAAUCUUCAAAACCAUGCAUCGAUAUAAGGUCUCCAUUUAGGAUGCAUGGAAACCUGACUCCAUUAAAAUAAUGGAAUCUCCAUCGACGAUUUAAACGCCGAUGUUAUUACUUGGGCGGCCUCGAUGUUUGUGAACCUGAAAAAAAUUAAAUUAAUGGAAUAUUAAUUAGUUAUUCAUAAAUUAUGUUAUAAUUAAAAAAAAACUAAAACCGAAAUAAACUUAUAUUGAAAGGUCGUUCUUCCAAUGUGCCUGGUACUUGCGGGUGAAUAGAUUCCACUAUGAAGGCACAUCGCCUUUGCGCUAUGAAACCGCGCUUGAAGAGGCAGCAUUGUGAGUCAGCGCAGGUGCCUCUUCUUGAUCGGCACCUAAGGACAAGUUAUUCUCAUUGCUAGAAGAACUAGUUGCAACCAUAUACUCACGACAUGUUGUUGAUUUCAUUCUACGCAUCUACACAAAUUUAUAUGAAUAAUUAUAUAAUUUAAAUCGAUUAUUAAAAAACAAUUUCGGCAGCACCUCCCCUAUACUGGAUAUUACCCAAAGUUUUUAAACCUACAAAUAUUAACAUCUGUUGCUACUCAAUUUUUGACCUAUCUUUUUGAUAAAGUUUCGAAAAAAUCCAAAAAUAGCGAAAAACAACGAAAAUCCAAAAAAAAAAUGUUUUUUUAAUAUAUUUGCAUCAUUUUUAGCAUUUUUAACAAUGUCUCAAAAGAAUAUAAAUUUUCAAAGGUAUUUUGAAUGCGUUUGACUUUUCACGUGUUAUUUUUAAAAUAAAUGAUUUUCCUCAUUCAAGUCGAUGUUGAUAAGAAAAAUCCAAAAAAAUAAAAAAAAUCAAAUUUACAAAAAAAGAAAGAAGUUGAGGGACCAAGUUUGGGGACCUAACAAUAUUUUUGCUUAUAAAUAGGAGUUUUCAACACAUACACAAGUGAGGCAAUUUUGCACAUUUGGAGGCAACAAAAAAAACCUAACCCUAAAACUCCAUCUCUUUCGAGCCAGCCGGCCGCCCCCUACUUGGCUAGAAACCAAGAACAACCCCUCUACUUCGAUUUUGGCUUUCUUGGCCACUCCCUGAUCUCCACACAGCCUCCCUUUUCCUUUUCCAGUCGUCCCCAUCGUCUCCCAUGUGAACCAGCCUAGACAGCCGCCUCAUUUCCCUUUCCUUUUGACAAAAAGCCAGAGAGAGCCUCCAUUCUCCUUCACCUCUUUUCUCUGUUUAGCUCCCAUUUCCCUAUCCUUCAUCUCACUUUUGCCUUCUUCUCUGUUCCCCCGAUCUCCUCCACCAAAAGCCAAACACAGCCGCCACCUUCCUUCCCCUUCUGCCUCUCUCAGCCCCCAGCCUCUCCUCCCCUCUCUCGACUGUUCCUCCUUCUUCACCAUCACUGGCCAGCUUGCCAAGACCCGAAUCAGACCCUCUAGCAGCAGCCCCCACACGGCGGUGCCCACAGAUCCAACGCCAUUUCCAACCGAAAUCGACGAUCAGCCAACACAUUUUUCUCCUCCAUCUCCGCCGGCCAGACACGAUAGAAGCACAGUCGCCGGUAGCUACCUAAAACAGAACAGGGGAAACCAAAAGAAAAAAGACAGAGACAAAGAGAGAAAGCAGAAAUAAAACAGAUCUGAAAAAAAGGAAAGACCCGAGAACAGAUCUGGAAAGGAGAAAGAAAAUUAAAAUUGACAUCCUUUUUGCAAAUAACGGUGGUUGUCACUACCGACGAGGAAGAGAAGAGGGGAGGAGGCCGUUAUAGAUCUCCCUGCCGCUUGGAUUUUUUGCGAUGGCGCGUGAACCCACGCACCCCCAAUGGUGGUGGCGCGUGGAGAAGACGCACUGCACUGUUUCACGGAUCCAGAAGGUUUCCCAGCACUGUUCCCAGGUUCCAGCAACACUUGUUUUAACUGUAGGGGGUCUUUUGUUUUUGUAAAUCUUAAAUGCUGGAAUAUGUGUGUCAAUUACUGUUAGUUUUUGUACUUUAAUUUUGUUAUGUUGUAACAUGUAAUCAUGGGUGUAUAUGUAAAAUUUAGUAAAAGUAAAUGUGUGUUUGUAUUUUUUUUUAUGGAUGUUUUUUUUAUGAUAAAAUUGAAAAGACAAAGAAGAAUUUAAUGUUUUGAUUUGCUCACGGUAAAGGAUUAUAAACUUAUAUGUAAGUCGUAUUUCUAAUAUUCGAUGAAAAUAUAAUUUUUAAAACUUCUUUAACACAUCAAAUUACGAAGCAGCUUAUCUCAGGUAGGGUGCGCUAGGGUGCUAAUUACCUUCCCUAGCCACAACCAGUCCCUUACCCAUGAAUUUCUGACAAGACCAGUACACUCGGGUUUCCUAGUAACCUUCAAUCAAAUACUAGGUGGUGACUCCCAAGAACUCAAACUAAUCAAACGAACGAAAAUCGCCAUCGACGCCGUGCGGGGACGUGCGACAACAUCCAUAAACCAAUUCACUCCAUUGAAAACACUUAUAUAUAAUCUAACAUCUAUACAAAUUUAACAAUAAAAUAAAGAAAAGAAUAGCAUUUAAUUUUAUAUAUUCAACUAACAUCUAUAGAAAUUCAUCAAUAACAAUUAAAAUUAAUGGAAAUAAUUAAACACAUAUCAUGCAAUAAUAGAGUAAAAUUGAGAUAAAAUAAUUAAAUUUAAUCAUAUAUAUAUUCAAUUACCAUUUACAAGGUAACUUCAACAAUACCAAUUAAAAUUCAAUAAAGUAUUCAAUUAUUAUAGAAAUACAAACAAUAAAAUAUAUUGAACAAAUUAAGAAAAACAACUAUAGACUUGAGGAAUAAAAAAUGCUUACUUUAAUAGUGUGCUUAUUUCAAGACUUUAUCUAUCUACAUACAAUACAAAAAAACUAAAAACAUAACAAAAAUAUAUUAUUAAUAAAAAAAGAAAAAUGUGAAAAAUAAAAUCAUUAAGCAUAUUAAAUGAAAAUAUAUACCUUUUAAUUUGUUGAAGAUUACAAGAAGCUAAAGAUUACAAGAAAAAAAUGAAAAUUUUCGCAAUAGAAGAGAGAACAAAGAUGAGAUGAAACGAAAGAGGAGAGAAAUGAACUGAACGGGCGGUCACUGAGAUUUAUAGUGCAGUUUUGCCGAUGGACUCACUGACAGCCUAUUUAAAUAAUAUUAUUUUUAAUUAUUCCGUCGGUGAAUUUUCAAAUGUCUGUCGGUAAAUUUUGAAUUUCGCACUAAAAUUUUUAAAUGACCCUCUAGAUUUUUUGCAGUCCAUCGGCAUAUUCACGCAGUCAGAGAUGCAUUAAUACCCGCCCUUUGGGAUUUGCACAGUCUGUCGGUGAGUUCGUCUGUAAUUGUGAACUGCACCAACAAAUACCGAUGGACUGUAUCUGUCUGUAGAGACAUCAAUGAUUAUGGCAUGUGCAGUAAAUAUUUUGCAACCUCUGUAAAAUACUGACGGAAUAUGUUCGUCGGUAUCAACGUCAGUGAUAGUGGCAUAUGCAGUAAAUAUUUUUCAACUCUCUAUAAAAUACCGACGGAUGAUGUCCGUUUGGAAAUCCAUAUGUGAUGGUACACUGUUCAUGACAAAUUGUGUUUGUAUUACCUAUUUAUCCUACUGCAAACACUGAAAUUACAAACUGAGUAUUUGCACGAGCAGCAAAUGACCCGAAUGGGUUGAAUCAGUCUAUACACAACCCAAGAUGCACGUUCCUUGAUUUAGUUGAAAAGUGAGGAUGCACACUGUUAAAGUGUUUCCAUGCUUCGCCGUCAGAAGGAUACACCAUCACUCCAUCAACCGUAUCAUGUGAUUGGUGUCAUGCCAUGUGCUCAAAAGUCCUUGGUGACAUGAAUAACCUCUAUAGUCUAGGUGUGAUUGAGAAGUAUCUAAGUUUUUCAUAUUUCACAAGAGUCUUUCCCCUGCCAGUUCUGGGUUUGUAACGGGAAUGCCCACAUGUUAUGCAUUAUGUCAGCUCAAUAUUUUCAAGGCAGUAUAACAUGCAGAAGUUAGGGCACAUAUCAAUUUUAUGGUAUCCUAAACCGAGGGGUUUCAUCAUGAACUUUGCAGCAUAGAAGUUCUCUUUUAACAUGUUCCCUUCAGGUAAAAUGCUUCUCGCCCAUUCGAUAAUCUUGUCAUAACCGGCCUCACUCAACCCGUGAUCUGACUUAAUGGUGAACACCUAUACUACGACCAAUAAUUUACUAUGGUUCGUGCAGCCAUACCAUAAUGGUUCGUCAGAAUCUUUCAACAGAUCAAAAAACCUUACUGCAUCUGUAUUAGGUUUUUCUUCUAUGAUUGGACAUUCACUUACAUUACCUUCACUCAUUCUCAUUGCAUUCAUAACCAUAUUCUUGUAAGGAUUAUUGUUGUCAUUUGCAAUUCCAUUCACAUUGUUAGCAUUAGAAGUUGACCCAACCACCCUUUCUACCAUGCUCUCAUUACCAACAAAUAGUUCUCUGUGUGCAUACCAACACGGGUAAUCCUUCAUGAACCCUUUGUGUAUAAGAUGCAUCAUUAUAACAUCUGGAUGCAUAUACUUUUUAUUUUUACACUUCCUGCAUGGACAACUAAUACCGCCUCCAGUAAAAUUUUCGGGAAUAGAUGUUGUGAAAUUAAUAAAACCCUGAACCCCAUUAAAAUAACUCAUCCUCCGCAAUCCUUUUGGUGAAUCUCGAUACAUCCAUGAACGAUCAUCCAUGACUUCUAUUGAACCUCUAUAAAAUUAUGAUGACAACAUGUAUUAAUUAACUAUGUUAAGUAAAAAAAUUUGCAAAAAUAUUGGUUUACCUCGACAUUAUUCAACAAACUAAUUAAAACUUCUUGUAAAUAUUCAUUAUCUAUUAUCAAAAUCCAUACAAAUUUAUACAUAUAAAUUUACAGAAAUUACAUCUCCGCAACAGCAUUGAUAAAAAUUAAAACGGACUCGUUAAACAAGCUAUUAAUUAUUUCAUCACAACACAUCUAAUUCGAUAGUUAAACAAAGUUUCAACAAUUUACAAACAAAUACAAUUUUACAAAAUCUUAAACAAACCAUAACAAAUACAAAAUUAUACAUUCAUACUAUAAGUUUGUUUGAGAAAUAACAAUAAAACAUGUACAUACACUAAUAAAAUACAUAUACUAAAAAAACAAUAAAAAAUAAUAAAAAUGAAAUUUAAAUGUUAAAAUUAAAAAAGAUAGAUUUACUUACAAAAAAUGAUAAAAUCCACAAUAAAUCAGAACACGGAUGUUGUGACCACAAAAGUUAUAGAAAGAUGACUUGUGUUGAGAAGAGGUGGAUAUUUUUAGGGGGGGUGGUUGUUUGCAGUUUGAGAGGGGAGAGUUGAGAUGGGGAAGAAGACGGAGAAAUAAGGGAGGAGAGGGUAGGUAGAGUGAUGAUAUAUUAACUCUUACCAAGGGAAUCACCGACGAAUACUUUUGUCGGUGAUUCCCUCGGUAAUUCUGAUGGUGAAUUUGUCACGUAACUGUACAGAGAUUCCAAUUUGAAUUCGUUGGUAAAAUCGCUCGCAAAAACUGCCACGUCAUCGAACUGCUUUUUUUAAAAAUAAAUCUAUAUAUUUCUCUAUAAUUCAGUCAGUAUAUACCGACAGCAUUAGUCCGUCAGUAUAUACCGACUGAAUUACCGAUGGAAUAGUAUCCAUCAGUAAUUAUCACCACAAUUUACUGACAAAAUUAUUCAUUCGGUAAUUCCAUUGGUUUUAGGCGAAUUUCUGGUAGUGGGUGUGAUAUAAACAUAUGAGAAACCUAAUCCAAAAUCCCACUGUUUUCACUGGUAGUGGAACUGUUCUAGCAUUUUAUGACUUUUAUUUUUCCUAUAGCAAUGGACUUUGUGCCUAGGAAUAUCCAGUGCAUGCAAUCUUCUUAUAUCGCUGUAGUUGGUGGUGGAGGUGGUGUGUAGAUUUUAGUCUUCCCAAAAUUUCUGGAAGUAAUCUGUCGAUGUAUUAUAGUUUGAUUCUAUCCUUUUGUUUGCUUUGUGUUGUUAUUAAUAACCAAUGCUGUACAGCUUCCUAAAGGCACGCAUCAGUGGUCAAGCUUUCUUACUCCUGAAGAACUGGUGCUUAUCCUACAGCGUGCUUCUGUCAAUGUAAGAUGGUUGCUUUCCCUUCUGACAUUUUGACGUGUCUACUACUGUUACGUCUUAGCAAAAACUUAUUGCUUUGGGUUUGGUGCUCGCCAGGUUAAAGAAAUGGCUGGAUUUGUUCACAGCCCCUUGACUGGGCGAUGGUCUCUAUCUGAUGAUAUUUCUGUGAACUUCAUAGCCUUUGGUACCAAAGACGGUCAAUGAUGAGAAUUGCGUACAAUGACAGCCAUGCUAAAUAAAAGAUUUACUCUUAGGUAUUUUAUAUACUCAUUCUUUGCUUCUGUCUAGUCACAAAUAAUUUCCAUCUUGCUCUCUUCGUUAUUAGUACUGCAUGUGAGCAUAAAGAAACAAAAUGCUUCAGAAACUGUCCUCAAACCCAAAAUUUUAAUCAGAUGGCUAAUCUGGAUUUUGCUUGUGGAUGAGUGUUUGACCGUGGUCCGAUCCAACAAGGCGGGGCUUGCUUUGAACCGAACACAAUAGCAUCUCAUGCUGCUUAUGACAUGAAUCUCUUCUAUCAAACUUCUGAUAAAAAUCCUUGGAACUGUGAUUUCUCACAAUCAGCCAUUUUCUCUUCCAACAACCCCACUAAGUUUUCUCAAAACACUUCCUUUUUGGUUUUACUAAUCCCUCUUCAUGUUACUGCAUUUGCGCAUAAACUGCAGGCUAUAAAGCUUGCACUUACCCUAGUGAGUGCACCUGAAGAGGACCCAUGUACAGAGCCUUUUGGAGGUGAUGGGUGCUUUCUCACUUAAAAUGUUGAAGCCGUCAUCUUUUUACUAGUAAAUUAGGGAGAUUCAGUGUGUGUGUGUGUAGGCUUGCAAAGAAAUGUUCAUACAGUAUUUUUUUUCUAGAACGACCUAUGCUCCAUGUAUUUGUGAAAUUAGUCGGUCAAGUUUCUUACAACUGAGUAAUGCUUGAGGUUAAGCAGCAAGAUAGUGUGAUUUCAUCAAUACAAACAGCAAUAAAAUAUAUAUAGCCUCACCAAACCCAAAACUUUUACUGCUUAGUCCACCAUCUAUUCUCUAAAUUUAAACACCAAGAAACAAAAACAUUUAAGAAAAAACAUUACAAAUCACAGGAAGCUCAAACACCAGUAGAUCCAAACCCUCCAACACCUCUCACAGUUGCAUCCAAAUCCUCAACUUCCAUGACAUCAGGAGUUACAAUUUUCUCACGAAUCAAUUAAGCAAUUCUAUCGCCAACCUUUACCUCGAAAUCAAGAAACAGAAACAUUACAAAUCAGAGAAACACCCGUCUUCACUAACAAAAGGAAGUCCUUUACCAAACCCAAAACUUUUACUGCUUAAUCCACCAUAUGUGUCAAGGCAUGACAGCCUAGCACCAGGUGUCUGCAGCCCUACUAAAAUUUACACUGAUUGUUUUUUUCCAAACCGUUUCUUUAAUGCCGAAUGCUUCCCAAUGAAAAGAUAACCCCACCCUCCCUUACAGUCUUUGCACCUCUCUGUGGCAACUACAACUUUGUCAUUACACUACUCCAAUCCACAAUACCAUGAAUCUUGAUGAACAAGACUUUUGCUAACAAUGUUCCAAUACACAGUACAAUGAAUCUUUAUGAACAGGACUUUCCCCACAUGAUUUAGCUUUAUGUAUAAUAAUUUGCAUUUCAAAGACAAGUUAUCCUUCCAAGUUUCGAAGCUUCUUUGUAGAAAUAAACCUACUAAGCAUUGUCAAAACCAUUGCACAAUUUUCCUUUAUCUGAUUAGUAAGUUCAGAUAAAGGAAAAUUGUGCAUGUUUAUUUCUACAGAGAAGCUUUGAAACUUGGAAGGAUAACUUGUCUUCAAAGAAUUUAUAAGCAGAUGCCAUGGUUGUGACAAUGCUUAGUGUUAGUUGUUAGGGCUGCAGGAACUAUACGUCAACAAGCUAGCUUUGAAGUGUUUGUCGUCGCACCAAAACUUUCCAAGGACUUGGAUCGAUUUGAGUUCUCUGCCUUUCCCUCUUGUUUUCCACAUAACAAAAAGGCAAGUCAAUGGUCCUAAGAAAAAAAAACUGCAAAUUAUUAAAAAAUAAAACUAAAUUAUGUGAGGAAAAUCCUGCUCAUAAAUACUAAUUGUACUGUAGAUUGAACACUACACCAUUAAACAGUUUUACCGACGGACUAAUUCCGUCGGUGUAAGGCAUGAAAUCCGUCGGUGAAAUUAUUACUGAUGACCUUAGUCCGUCAGUAUACUAAUCGUCAAUAAUUCCUCGUUCCGUUGCUAAUUCUGUCGGAAAUAAAAAAACAAACCACCGACGGUCUUACAGACAGAGACGCACGGCAAAAAAAAAAAAUUCCCCGCGAGAACAUUACCGACAGACUACACCCGUCUGAAUUUUCAACGGUAAUUACCGACGGAUAGUCCAUCGGUAAUAGUUAUGGUAAACACCGACGGAAAUAUUCCGUCGGUAAUUAUGGCAUGUGUUGUAAUUGUUUGGCAACUCUCGGUGAACUACCGACGGCAGGGAGCCAUUAGUAAAGUCGUCAGUAUGUAUUUAAAAUAUAUAAAAAAAUAAUUUAUUAAUAGUAAAAAAGCUUAAUAAACAAAUAAAAUUGUAUCAUCACCCAUCCUUGAUCUCAUCUCCAUGACCAUUUGACGAAGCUGAUCAUAAUUCGUUGAGAGUUGUUGAUAUUGUUGUUUCAAGGCAAUGAACUCCUCAAACUGGGUGCUCGAUACUGAUUGAGAGCUCUCAACGGUUGAGACACUACGAGCCAACCGCAAGUUUUCAGCCGUAGUGUUGGAGAGCCCGUAGACCCGAUUUUUUUCAGGUCCACCAGACGAUCCCACCUCCAUCCACAAAUCUGGAUGGGUCAAAGGAUUGUCCCCAUAUCUCUCCCUCAACCGGCUAUUAUAGGUCUCCUGAAAUUUUUUUUAAAAAUCAUCAUAUUCAAUUCAAGAAAAUAAUAACUUACAAAAUAAAAUGAAUGAAUGAACAUACCACGAAGUGCUGAGCAUGGUUGUCCACGAACUGCUGCACCCCCUUUUGGCAGUCUUGAUUUCGCACAUGCGCCUCUACAAACAACUCUAUUAGACUCGGCUCACGUCCAAGAGACGCAGCCUGUAAGGAAAAAAUAGGUUGCAAGUUAAAUAUAUUAUAAGGAACGACAAAUUAAUUAACAAUAUAUUUCAUUAAAAUUAAUCUUACCAUUCGCUUUGCAUAUGCGCUGGAUGGGACGGAGCAGCCAGUGUGCGUGGUCACCGAACCAUGAAUUUGUCGGUUUCGUUUAUUGGCCCUGGACUGUAAGCACCGUGAGAACCGCUUUGAGGUCAUGUGCUCAAUAUAUGUCAUCCAUAUUUCUCCCGAAAUGAAUGGCGGUUUGAAUUCCCGCCAAACCGCCACCUCAUUCCAUCCUUCAAGCUGUUAUCCCUCGCAUGUAUUUUUGAUUUUUUUUUGGUGUCAUACCAAAAAUCACGCAACUUACUUCCAUAGUAACAAAUUAGAAUUUAGAACAUAAAAUUAUAAAACAAAAAUAAAUAUUAUUUUCGAUGUUACCUAGUUGCCGCGUGAUUCUCCCAUACCUUCCUCACAACAUUGUUGUUCGCCCUAUCCCACUCAAAUUUGUUCUGUGUAUAUAAAUAAUUCAUAUAAAAUAAAAAUAGUACAAGAUAUAAAAUUAUAAAAAUAUUUAUUAAAAAUAAGCUGGAAAUUAAAAGUUAACACCGACCUGAAAUCGCUGAAACCAUGCAUCGAUAUUAGGUCUCCAGUCAGGAUGUCUGGAAACCUAACUCCAUUGAAACAAUGGAAUCUCCAUCGACGAUUUAAACGCCAAUGUUAUUGGCCUUGCAGCCUCAAUAUUUGUGAACCUGAAAUUAAAUAAAAUUAAUAAAAUAUUAAUUAGUUGUUCAUAAAUUAUGUUAUAAGUAUAAAAAAAAAACUAAAACCUAAACAAACUUACAUUGAGAGGUCAUCCUUCCAUUAUGCCUGGUACUUGCGGGUGAAUUGACCCCGCUAUGAAACCGCGCUAGAAGAGGCAGCAUCACAAGUUGGUGCAGAUUCCUCGCCGUGAUCAGCACCUAAGGAUACGUCCUCCUUGCUGCUAGAAGAACUAGUUGCAACCGUCUACUAACGACAUGUUAUAGAUUUCAUUCUACGCAUCUACACAAAUUUAUACGAAUAAUUACAUAAUUAACUUCGAUUAUUUAAAAAACAUUCGGCAGCACCUCCCCUAUACUGAAGACUACCCACAGUUUUCAAACCUGCAAAUCUUUACAAUAACCACAAACCAAUUGACUCCAACAACAUCAUAUAUACAACCUAACAUCUAUAGAAAUUCAAUCAUUUAAACUAAUUCGACAGCACCUUCCCUAUAUUAGAGACUACCCACAGUUUUUAUACCUACAAAUAUUGAUAAUUACACAAAUAUUGCAAAAUCAACUCUAUACAACCUAACAUCUAUAGAAAUUCAACAUCUAUAUAUUUUCAACUAACAUUAAUACAAAUUCAUAAAUAAAAAUUAAAAUUAUUCAAAAUAAUAAACAACAUAACAAACAAUAAUAUCCUAAAAUUAAGAAAAACUAAUUAAAUUUAAUUCUAUAUUUCAAUUAACAUUUAAAACAUAAAUUCAACAAUAACAAUUAGAGCAAUACAAACAAUAAUAUCCUAAAAUUAAGAUAAACUAAUUAAAUUUAAUUAUAUAUUUCAAUUAACAUUUAAAACAUAAAUUCAACAAUAACAAUUAUAGCAAUACAAACAAUAAUAUCCUAAAUUAAGAUAAACUAAUUAAAUUUAAUUCUAUAUUUCAAUUAACAUUUAAAACAUAAAUUCAACAAUAACAAUUAUAGCAAUACAAACAAUAAUAUCCUAAAUUAAGAUAAACUAAUUAAAUUUAAUUCUAUAUAUCAAUUAAUAUUUAAAAUAUAAAUUCAACAAUAACAAUUAUGGCAAUACAAACAAUAAUAUCAUAAAAUUAAUAAAUAAAAUGAAAAAACUAAAGAACACUACACAAAACAAACAAUACACAAAACUAAAAAACACUACAUCAAUUCAAAAUAAAUUUAGGAAUAAAAAAUGGUUACCUUAAUAGUGUGUUGAUUUUAAGAUUUUAUCUACAAACAAUACACAAAACAAAGAACACCAAAAAAAUAAUCAUAAUUAAAAAAAAAUACAAAGAUAAAGAAAAAAGAAUACAUACCUUUUAAUAUGUUUAAAACUACCACCAAAACAAUAAAAUCUCUUCCAAAAACUAAAUACAAACGGAGAGUAGAAGAGAAAUAGAGAUGAAGAGCCAAGAGAAAAAAUGAACCAAAUGGGAGGAGGGGGGUUUUAAAUAACAAUUUUUCCGACGGUAUUACCGACGGACAUUUAUUAUUGUUCGUGGCAUUAAAUUCCAUCGGUAAUGAAUUGAUAUCCGCACCAAAAAAAAUAAAAAUUCCUGCAAGACUUUUCGAUCCGUCGGUAAAUGUACCAACGGUUAUUCUGUCGGUAAAUGUGCCUACAUAUCCGUCGGUAAACAUGUCGACUGACCACGUCUCUGACAUGCGUGCGCUUCAGGAUGUGCGUAAACCGUCGGUGAAUCUGUCGGUGACUCCGUCGGUGAUUGUGGCACAAUUCUGUAAAAAUUUUUCAACUCUGUGAAAUACUGACGGGUGCCAGUCCGUCAGUGAUUGUGGCACAAUUCCAUAAAUUUUUUUCAACUCUUUGUGAAAUACCGACGGGUUCCAGUCCAUCGGUGAAACCAUCAAUAUUUCUUAUUUUUGUGUAUCCUCUUGCACAAAAUCUUGAAUUGCAAACUUACAGCACACGCAGCACAAUAACAAGAGCUGACAAUUAAAGAAGAAUAAAUAUUUCAUGUUCCAAAAUAUUACAUUAUAAAAUAAGGCUUUACAACAUGUUUAGUUAGUCAUAAUUUUCAUCUUCGUCCUCAAUUGAAUUGUUAUCAUCAGCUUCAUCGCACUCUUCAAUGUGGUUAUCAUCUUCUUCAUCAACAUUCUCUUUUCCACUAGUAGAGCUCAAAACAACAUUCAACUCCUCUGCAUCAACAUCAACAAGACUAUCAUCGAAAAUUCAAAUUUUCUUCUAAGUCAAUCGAAGGAGCAACUCGGUAUGGUUCAACCAACUCACUAGCUUGAAAGACUUCAUUUAUCACACUUGUGUCUUCGUUCUCAUCCUGAACAACCUCGACAUGACCCUUGGGUUUUGUUUUUAAAAUGGAUAACCAAUCAACUCUUGAUCGGUCCUUUCUAAAGGAAGGGGUGUAUGUGUAAUAAACUUGUUGGCAUUGCUUUUCGAAAACAAAGACGUCGUUUACGUUGCGGUGUGUAACAGUCCGACUGUACGACUCGAUCAAUGUUAAAAGUUCCCAACAUAUCCUCUUUAUUUGAAGGUAAAUUUUUAUUUUUUUAAAAAAAUUCAGCAGAGUUUCGUUUGCUUUUAAGACAUCCCAAGUUAUCGACUACUAUCAAUAUACUCAAUCAACCCAUCAUCACAAGGUCCCAUAAUUUCGGACCUUAUAUGAAACCUCAUAAUUCCACACCUCAUACAAUCCACACAAUAUAUGUAUCCUACGAGUAAGUUCAAUUUGAACAUAGUCCAAACAUCAUAUCAUAAAAUUUAAAAGAAAAGGAAUACUAACAUGCAAAGAAAGCAUUUACAACAUAAUAAGUGUUCUUAAAUAUUUCAAAAGAGAUAACUAAAAUACUACAAGCUAAGCUGAACUUUUAUAAAUACAUCAAGGUUUACACAAAAGUAUACUACAUAAACGUGUUAAUUCUCUUUUGUUUAAGUUAAAUAUUUACAUAAGCUUCACAAGUAAGGUCCUAAACUAAUGAUCUCCCUUGAUAUUUGAUGGACCUGGACCUGUUACAUAAAUAAACAUACCAUUUUGUUGAUAAAGAAUAUAUAUAUAUAUAUAUAUAUAUAUAUGCUCAUGUAAUGAAUAUGAAUGGAGUAUAAAUUUUCUAUCGGAUCCAUAAGAAUUCUAACAGAGAACUUAUAUUUUGCUUGUAAAUCUUUUAAACCCAAUUAACACUCAUUUAUAUAUUCUUAAUUUGAAUACUCUUAUUUACUUGCAUGAACUGGGUGAUCUUGCAAAGUCUAAUCUUGAAAUCCUAUCACGGAUGCCAUUAGUUUUAGGUAAUCUUGUAAUUCAUCUCCCGGCAAUCCUAUCACGGAUGCCAUUAGCCGAAGCUAAUCUUGUAAUUCAUAUCCCGACAAUCCUAUCACAGAUGCCAUUAGUCGAAGCUAAUCUUGUAAUUCACCAGACUUUAUUUACAUUGAACAUGACAUUUAUUGUAAUUGCACUCACUAGAAGAAUUUUAAAUUGUAUAAGUGCAAAUAGGAGGAAAAUCACGCACCUACUUCGCCUGUCUCACGACCUCCCCUAACAGAAGAUCCAAUCCUGGUUGCUCCUCCUGAAUCAUAAGGAAGUUUUUGGUUAUGAUUCCUUCAAGCCGAUAUUAUAGAGAAUCCAUAUUCAUCCAUUACUCAUAUGUUACUUUCUAUACAUGGUCAUUUCCUCAUAAUAACAUACAUACAUAUAUCAUGUAUAUUUUCAGAGUUAGUAUCUCAAUGUGCAAGUGUUCGUAUGACUCAAUUCUUUUAUAUUCUUAUUUAUAGUAUUCACGUGAAAGUCAACUGUUACUAUCUAACUUUGAAUUGUUACUGUCCAAUUUUCAACUGUUACUGUCCAACCAUUACUGUCUAACUUUGAACUAUUAUUGUCCAACUUUGAAUUGUUAAUGUCCAAUUUUCAACUGUUACUGUCCAACCGUUACUGUCUAACUUUGAACUGUUACUGUCCAACUUUGAACUGUUAUUAUCCAAUUUUCAACUGUUACUGUUCGAACACUCAUCAGAUUUUAACUAUAUCUAAAGUUCUAAAACUCCAUUUUAAGUGAGAUUGAUCUCGUUAGAAAGAUAAGACACGAGGCUACAAGUUCUCUGAAGGGAGGAGAACCCAGUUUUGCCUCCAAGAUAGUCAAAAUUGCUCAUUAACUAAUUAGUCCUACUGCCCUACAUAAUCAGUCACGACUCAGUCUCAGUUGGUAACCCAUAACUGGAGUUCUACAUCUCCAAAUUGAGCAAGACAAGUUUUCUUGGUUAGCUAACAUUCAAAUCUACCAUUUCUAUGAGGAACCUGAUCCUAAUUCCCUCAUCCUCCUACCCGAAAUCUCACCGAAAGUCAGGAGACAAGUCUAUCCAGAUUCGUCUCCCCCUCCCCUUCACACAAUACUUUCAUAAACUACAUACCACAUACAUGAAUUAACUUAAUCUUAACAAUAAGUACUUUUUUCCCAAUUUAUGUCUAAGAACCCUAACCUAUGAUUCAAUAUCAAGGCAUCAAUUCUUUAUCAAAUUUAAAAUGAAUUUUUUUAAGAUCAUGUUUAGAACACCUUACCCGGUACAAAUUAAGAUUUUGAUCUUCAACCAAUUGAAGAUUUUCAACUCCCUCCUUUCUUUUCUUCUUGUUCAAUCUCUUGGAAAUCCUUUGCUCUCAAGUGUUUAUCCCAUCUAUAAACUCUUAAUCUUGGAUGGGUUCUUGAAAUUUUAGUGUUUCUCUCUUGAUUUCUCAAGAAUGGGUAUAAAACUCCCUAUAUUUUCCCUUAUUUGCAUUUAGCCCCCCAUUUUCCUUUGAGUGUAUUAUUCUCUUCAAUUAAAUCCAACCCUCAACAGUACCGGGUUUAUUAUAAUGUCCCGAAUUAUUUCCCGCGAAAACUUAUAUUCAGAAAUUCCUGAAUUCCUGUUUUUUUUUAACCAUAUGCAUGAAUUUCUUCACUUUUAUUUAUUUAUUUAUUUUUCCCAGGGUUUACAUGGUGUCUAGCUUUUGAGUUGAUUUCAAUGAGACCAUAGUGAGGAUCUACUCUGAUUCCUCUAUCAGUUGUAUCAUACCAAUAGCAUUUGAAUAAAACACUCUAUUCUGCUCGUUAUGAUAUUGCAGUUCGAUGACCUCUUCUAAUCUACCAUAGUAGUCAACUUCAAACUCACUAGAAGUCGAUCCCUUAAUACAAACACCGAUGUUGUAUGUCUUUCUUCCAUGCCCGUAUUCUUUAGUAUGAAAGACAUAUCCGUUGAUAAAAUACCUAUUAUAGCACUUGACUCUUCUUUCAGGGUCGAGGCUUAGUAAAGAUAGUGAAAUAGCAGCACUACCUCCCAUUUGAUAAACCUUGUAAAUUAAAUACAACAAUAAUCAAUAAACAAAUAUUAUGUAGUAUUGACGUACAAUUAAUUACAUUGCAAGAGAUAAUGAGUUUGUGAUAGAACUUACAUGUGUUCUAAACCAUGUGGCAAAUUGUUCAUCUUGUAAUUGAAAGAUCUGGGAUUCAGUCAACUGUGAGUUAUUGGACAGUAAGUAUCGUCGAUAUUGCCUACAAGGUUGUUCCAAAUUAUAUGAGUUUAUGGUAUCACAAAACAUAAAUAGUACACUCUUGACAAAGUUUAAGUCGAACAUUUACUUACUUAAUAAAAGGUCUCAGCUCAUCACAGUUAAAUAGGACAUAAUUGUGUGCUUGUCUGAACUCUAUUUUAAACAAAUAUAUUCCCCUCACGACACCUUAGGUAGGGCGUAUUUGGUUUAUUUUAUUUUAUUUAUUUUUACAGCUUUAACAUCCAUAUUUACUCAUGUCAUCAUACAUAUAUUGGAUAUGGAUUUAUGCCUUCACACACCACGCAUUUCAUAAUAAACAUCUGCUAUAUCAACUUUAAGUUAAGUGGGAGAGUAGCGGUACCCCAAUGGCUUUAGCCUGGGUAAGACUCGUGAAACCAUCCAACUUUCGCUUGAUUGUUUACUCGAUAGUGGUUGGUAUGCCUAACUGGUAUUAUUCAGGGCCUCUAUCUUCACGCUACUUGUAAGCCUCAUAUCAACCUUUCGAGGAAGAUCACUGAGCAUGCGAAAGACCUUUCAAGACUAGAUAACAACCUACCCCGAGCAUUUAAUGACUGGAACUUACCAUUUAGGUUGUUACCUAUGUAAAUUUCACUAAUGCAAGCUUAACGUAUAACAUCUUCAUUACAGGAUUGUUUGUGGGUGACAUAAUGGCCGUUAAUCGUGAAAUCACAACUGUUGAGUAUGGGCUCGAAUCUGAAUCAUUGCAUAUGACUGAGGGAGACUGCCCUAGACUGGAUGACAGUGGGAUACCACUGCUAAAGGAUGUGAGAUGUGUAAGAAAUGAUGCCAGUCGUUUGCUUCCAUUCACCAAAUACUUGGCCGAUGAGACAGAAUUUACUAAGAUAUAUGGGAGAAUUUUGCAUCUUUUGAAUGUUCCAGUACUGCCAUUAGCCAUAAAAGCCCUAAUUCAUUUUUGGGAUCCUGAUUAUCGAUGUGUUUACAUUUGGGAAUGUCGAUAUGGUUCCUACCAUUGAAGAAUACGGUGUUUUGACAGAAUUCCCUGAGGAUAUCCAUAAGGUUUACUUUCAUCAAAAGAUGGAGAAUACUAUAGAGGAGCUUGCUAAGCUAUUGGGAAUCCACCAAAUGAGCUUAUAUAGAGAAAAAAAUAAUUCUGGGGGUUUGAGAUGGAAACGGCUAGAAGAGUUGUUGAUUGCUAAAAAGUCUAAUCAUGUUGCUAAUUUGGAGGUAUACCGAAUAUUGGCUUUGGGAAUAUUUGGGCUGAUUUUGUGUCCUUCGACUGCUGGAAUUAUCAGUUUAGAGGCAGCUAAUUUGUUUGUUGAGUAUGAGAAGACCAAAAUUAAUCCUUCUACUGCGAUCUUGGCUGGAACUUUUUUGUCUCUCAAUCAUUGCAAAAGGACCGGAAAAGGUUCUAUGAGAUGUUGUGUUCCAUUGUUGUUCAUUUGGAUGGUAAGCCAUAUAGAAUCCGAGACACCAAUAUUCCAAAAUUUUUGGUGGUUUGAUCAAAAGCCACUCGAGUUAUUUGUAUCAAGUGAAUGGGAAAACUUUUCUAAAGAUGAUUGGAGGGUAAAAUUGCAAGGAAUUCCACAAAGCAAUUUUAAUUGGAGAGCUCCUUGGAUUAAAAAUGUAACAUACCUAAUGGGUUGUGGGAAGAAGCCUUGGGUAUCUUUGAUUGGAGUGACUGGAUAUAUUAGCUAUGCACUUGCUUUGGUUGCAAGACAACUUGGGGGCAUACAAAGCAUUCCAAGAACAGUUGGCUUAGCUCAAUUCACCGGAGUCUACAAAGGUGCAUAUAAUGAGAUGCUGGAGAGCAUUAAACAUGAUUCGGGAUCUUUGGUGCUAGUUAAAAAAGAGAUCAGUGUAAGGAAUCCUACGGUUAGUGAAAAGUAUCCUGAAUGGCGAAAUGGAGGGGUCAUUUACGUGACAGAAAUUUCUGAACCCAUGGGCAUUCGAAGGAAAAGAGUGAACUGUGAAGAAGAAUUAAGAGAACAAGUAAAAUUGUUACAAGUUGAACUUAAAACAAAGGAAGAAUAGAGAGUGUCCUUGGAGCAGCAGUUAGCCAAAGAAAGGACUAUAAGAAAAAUAGCUGAAGAAGAAAGGGACUUUGUGGGUCAAGACUGGAUAAAGGCAAAGGAUGACUUGAAGACAAUUAAUAAGGACAUGACAUAUUAUAUGGUAAAAGCUAAGCAUUGGGAGGAGUUAGCUAUCAAGACACAAGCUGCAUUGAAAAUGCGUCGGGCAGACGUAGUCAAGCUUAAAGACCAAUUGGGAAGAGCUGAGAUUGAAAUAGUCAACACUAAACAUGUGACUAAAAUUCAUGAAGAACUAAAAGUAGAGUUAAAUGAUCAUAAGACUGAGGCAGAAGCACUGAGAUCUAAGCUGGACAAAGAAGAAUUGAAGACUGUACAGCUUAUGGAAAGCCAGAAAAUGAUAGAACAACAUAAUCAAACAUUGGAUGCUGCCAAUAACUUUUUGUCUAGAAACAACUUGAUACAUACUGAGAGGAUAAGGGAACUACAAGAUCAAGUUGAUCAAGCAGCUACAGAAGCCCAUUUAUUACGAGUGGAAGCUCGCCAAGUGGGAGGUGAUAUAAUAAAGUAUCAAAGAAGCUUGGAUAACACCGAUCUUUUCUUAAAAGCAAUAGCUAAUAGAGGCAGUGUUUUUUCUCCUAUAAUAGAUUAGAUCAAUUUUUCAUUGUAAGCUUCUAAUAAGUAAUAAAGGGCUGAGACCCACAUUUUCAAUUCAAAAAUGUGUGUUUAUGGCUGAAAGCCCAAAUGUCAAAAAGCUAAGCAGAUCUCUUCUCGGCAUCACAACAAUGAUAUCAAGUUGAAGCUCAAACCACAUAUCCAUAGAAUGACGGCCAUAUGUCACAAACGAAAAGCGAAUCCAUAUCCAAUAUGUUGCAUUCAUAUUCAUGCAUCUCAUACAUUUGCUUAUAAAUUGUCAUAUUCUACAUAUAGCAAGUGAAAUAUAGGUCCCCAAUUGAAACGUAUCCAUAAUACUUGUUUACGGAAGAAAAUGGAAAAUGAAGAGAGAACCCGGUUAGAAAUUCAACACCAAAAAGAGUUGGAAAGCCUGAAGGAGGAUGUAGCAAGGCUUACCAGCUUGCUUGAACAGGCUUUGAGGCCUAGAGCUGGAGAAGGAACAUCUUCUCAACAAACAUUUACACCCCAGCUUCCCACCUCCCUUUAUUCCAUCAUUUGAACCUCAAUAUGCUGCUCAUUUCUUACCUACCCAAUCAGCAUAUCCAAUUAGGGUCCUCCAUGCAGUUUUGAUAGAGGAAGAACCUCAAAGGAAUAAGAUAGUGGAGGAAAAUGGUCAUGAAAAGCUAGCUGCUUUAGAAGAAAUAACGAAGGCAAUGGAAGGGAAUAGUUUAUAUGAUCCGGUGAAGGCCGCUGAAAUGUGUUUGGUGCCUAAUGUGGUUAUUCCCACAAAAUUCCGUGUACCAGAAUUUGUUAAAUAUACAAGGACUCAAUGCCCGAUCACCCAUCUUAAAGCAUAUUGUAAUAAGAUGGCUGAGGUAGUCCAUGAUGAGAAGUUAUUGAUCCAUUUCUUUCAAGACAGUUUAAGUGAUGCUGCUCUUGCUUGGUAUAUGCGUUUGGAUAAUACCAAGAUCAAAGGAUGGAAGGAUUUGGUUGAUGCUUUUAUUAAACAGUAUAAGUUCAAUAUGGAUGUUGCCCCAAAUAGAUCAAGUCUGCAAGCCAUGGAAAAAGGCAAUAAGGAGUCUGUAAGAGAAUAUGCCCAAAGGUGGCGUGAAUCAGCCGCGCAAGUAAAUCCUCCAUUGUUGGAAAGGGAGAUGACUGGUUUAUUUUCCAACACUUUUAAAGCCCCAUACUUUGAAUACUUGGUAGGUAGUGCUGCACAGAAUUUCUCUGAUUUGGUUGUCAUAGCUGAAAGGAUCGAACAAGCUGUUCGGACGGGUAGGAUCAUAGAUCCUACUAAAAAAAGAGGUUUUGUUGGAAAAAGAAAAGAAGCAGAAAUUCACAAUGUCGAAAGGGAAAGUAGAGGAAAGAAAACCUACCAAGAUAAUUACAGUUUCAAAACCAUUACACCUACCCCCUCCAUAUCCAACAUAAAAUUCACCUCACCUACAAACACCUAGAAUAACCUAGCAAAUAACCAAACCAACAAUACCUACCGCCCAAGAAGAAAUUUUUCAAUAGACCAAGUAGAACUUCCACCACUACCUAUACCUCUUACAGAGAUGUAUAAGAGGUUGCUCAGUAUUGGCCAAGUAGCACCUGUUCCUUUAACUCCUUUACAACCAUCAUUUCCCCAAUGGUAUAAACCUGAUAAAAAAUGUGAAUACCAUGCUGGUCUCGUGGGACACCAUAUUGAUGGAUGCUUUGCAUUCAAAAAAAGAAUCCUUCAACUCAUCAAAGCUGGGUGGAUUUCUUGUGAUGAAUCUCCAAAUGUGAAUUCAAACCCUCUACCAAACCAUACUUCUGGAAGUAGAGGAGUUAAUAGCUUGGAGAUAGAAAGGGAAAGUAAAGCAACAUUAAAGGUGACUAUGGAUAGAUUGUAUGGGAUGUUGAGGCAAACUAAUUAUCUGAAGACACCAGUCAGAAUACAAGCUGUAGGGGAUGCUAAUGAAUAUUGUAAAUAUCAUCAGUAGUUUGGGCAUGAUAUUGACUCGUGUGAGUUUCAUUUUGAGGUGGAAGAUAUGAUGACAUUGGGAAUAUUAAGAUUGAUGAACCCCAAAGAAGAUGAGUUAGUAGGAACAAUGACUGGUUGUAACAAGAAAGUGGAAGUUUGUAGAUAUAUACCAACUGAAAGGGGUCCGCCAAAAAUGAUCCUAGUCAAGCCUAUGAAUACUGUCGGUGACCCUAUAAUUAUGGUUAUUCCUUUCAUAGCACAAGUCCUGCCCCUGUUUUCCAUGCCGAAAUAAGAGGACUCACUCGGAGUGGGAGAUGUUUUACUCCUAAAGAGUUGGAAAACUAUAGAAAGGCUAAAGGAAAGAAUAUGGUGGAAAUGGCAAAGACAGAUGAGGUUAACAAGCCAGUAAGUGAUGAAGAGGCUAAUGAAUUUCUGAAAUUGAUGAGGCAUAGCGAAUAUAGCGUGGUUGAUCAACUAAAGAAAAUACACAUUAGGAUUUCUUUGUUAUCAUUAAUGUUGAGUUCAGAAUUGCAUAGGAACGCACUUUAGAAGGUUCUUAAUGAAGCAUAUGUUCCUCAGUAUAUCACACAAGACUCCAUAGAACAUUUGGUGGGUAGAAUUCAAGCCACUAACUACCUCUAUUUUACCGAUGAUGAGCUGGAUCAUGAAGGGACCGGUCAUAAUAAACCACUGCAUAUCACGGUAAAAUGCAAGGAUUGUGUGAUUGCUAAGGUGCUUAUAGAUAAUGGCUCUGCUCUCAAUGUAUUGCCAAGGCAUGUACUUGAUAAAAUGCCAGUUGAUGCUUCUCACAUGAAGCCAAGUAUCAUGACUGCUAGGGCAUACGAUAGGUCACCUAGACCAAUCAUUGGGAAUAUUGAUGUUGAACUAAUCAUUGGCCCACAACCAUUCUAAGUCACAUUACAAGUAAUGGAUAUUCAUCCAUCAUACAACAUUUUACUAGGGAGACCUUGGAUCCAUGCGCCCCGAGCUAUUGCAUCUUCUUUACAUCAACCGGUCAAGUUCAUCAUCAAUGGGAAUUUGGUGACUGUGAGAGCUGAAGAAACUUUGUCAAUGAUGAGAAAUGUAUCGAUCCCUUACAUAGAAACUGAAGAAAGUAAGGAUGAAAAUCUGCAUGCAAUUGAAGUUAUAAAUGCUGAAUGGGUACCUGAAAAUAUGAUACGAAGAAAGCCAGAAAUUUCUGAAGCAGCAAAAAUGGCUGCUAAAUACUUCUUGAAGCAUGGGUUACCAUUUCAAUAUGACCUAACUACCGGAAUGCCUGAGAGGGUUAAUGUGAUAAAAAUGAAAUGCGCCGAUCAGAGGUUUGGCUUAGGGUUUAAGCCUGGAAAAGCAGAUUUUAAAAGAGCAGCUGAAAUUAGAAGAGAAAAGAGAGUAGCCCGGAUUGAAAGAAGAGAGCCAGAUGAAGAUCGAAUGGAGAUCCCACCUAUCCAUGUAACAUUUCCAAGAUCUGUGUAUGUGAUAAAAACUGAGGAUUAUAAGGAGGGGCUAAGAAAAGAAUUCAGUGGUGCUACUAUCAAUUAUCUUGAAAAUGUUAGUGAGCAAGAUGUAAAGGAAGAAAAGAGUCCUCAUGAACAGCUACCACAACUAAUUAUUGGUGUUUUGGAAGACGGCUCAUCCGAAUUCGUGAGGAAGCUGGCUGAGGGAGAAGAGUUGGAAAAUUAGGAAAUUCAUGAAGUCCCAAUUGUUUUCAAAAAGUAAUGUUUGUUUGCUUGUUCUUUGUUUUCAUUAUUGUAUUGUUUGAACAAUUGUGCCUUGCCAAAAUCAUCGUGGCUCAAGAGAUUGGCAAUAAGGUUUUGUUGUUGAGCCCUUCUAUCCUUUAAAAUUCAAUGAGAUCGUGCAUAUUUUCUUUCAAACGUGUUUUCUUGUUCUUUGUUUAUGUAUUUACUUUCCCAGAAUUAUACACUCAUAACCGAAACACUUUUCGCUUUCAGGAAAUCUGAAAGCGGAUUGUCGUUAAACUCACAAACUCAUUGCACUGUGGAUAAUUGGCCUAACUUUGAUGAAACUAUAAUUGCUAUGGAUGAGGAAGAGUUGGGUGAGGAAGACAUCAAUGAGUUCGCAAGGUUAGUGGAACAAUCUGAUCGUACAUGGAAGCCUGCAAAAGAAGAACUAGAACUGAUAAAUGUGGGCACCGAACAUAAUAAAAGAGAGUUGAAAAUAGGGAAGCUAAUCUCUGCUGGUAUAAAAAGUGAGUUGGUCGUUCUUUUACAAGAAUAUGCUAAUGUUUAUGCCUGGUCAUACGCUGAUAUGCCUGGUCUGGAUACCGAUAUUGUGGUACAUAAACUACCUUUGAUAGAAGGUUAUAAGUCGAUUAAGCAAAAGUUGAGGAGGACAAGGCCUGAUAUACUAAUCAAAGUGAAAGAAGCGAUAACGAAAUAGUGGGAUGCAGGAUUCUUAGAAGUUGUCGAUUAUUCUCAAUGGGUGUCCAAUAUUGUAGUAGUACCCAAGAAAGACAACAAAAUCAGGGUAUGUGUGGAUUUUCGAGAUUUGAAUAGGGCAAGCCCGAAGGAUAAUUUUCCUUUACCCCACAUAGAUGUACUUAUGGAUAAUGCUGCUAAGAGUUCUACUUACUCUUUUAUGGAUGGUUUCUCUGGGUAUAAUCAGAUUAAAAUGGUCGAGCAAGACAAGAAGAAAACAACAUUUGUUACUUCGUGGGGAACGUAUUGUUAUAGAGUUAUGCCAUUCGGACUAAAAAAUGCUGGAGCAACUUAUCAAAGAGAAAUGGUGACACUAUUUCAUGACAUGAUGCAUAAAGAAAUUGAUGUCUAUGUGGAUGAUAUGAUCGCUAAGUCUAAAGAUGAGGAAAACCAUAUCCCAGCUCUGAAGAAAUUAUUUGAAAGGCUGAGAACAUAUCAAUUAAAGUUGAACCCUGCAAAAUGCACAUUUAGAGUGAAGUCUGGGAAGUUAUUGGGGUUUGUGGUAAGCAAUAAUGGCAUAGAAGUAGACCCUGACAAAGUGAAAGCCAUACAAGCUAUGACAGCUCCUAAAACUGAGAAAGAAGUUCGAAGCUUUUUGGGGCGUUUAAACUACAUUGCUCGAUUUAUUUCGCAACUUACAGUCACUUGUGAACCAAUCUUUCGAUUACUUCGAAAGAAAAACCCUGGGGUAUGGGAUGAAGACUGUCAAGAAGCCUUUGAUAAGAUCAAACAAUAUCUGCAGAACCCACCUCUAUUGGUGCCACCUGUGCCUGGGAAGCCUCUCAUUUUGUAUUUAACAGUGACUGAAUCAGCAAUGGGCUGUGUGCUUGGCCAACAUGAUGAGUUCGGGAGAAAAGAGCAAGUCAUCUACUACCUUAGUAAGAAGUUCACUGAGUGUGAAUCUCAUUACAAUAUGAUUGAGAAGCUGUGUUGUGGUUUGGUAUGGAGUGUGAAAAGGCUCCGACAGUAUAUGUUAUACUAUACCACUUGGUUAAUUUCAAAGAUAGAUCUUCUGAAAUAUAUUUUUGAAAAACCAUAUAUGUCAAAUAGGCUGGCCAGAUGGCAAGUGUUGUUGGCUGAAUACGAUAUCAUCUAUAAAACAAGAAAAUCCAUGAAAGGAAGUGCAAUCGCAGAUCAUUUAGCUGAUAACGCCAUUGAAGACUAUGAGCCAUUAAAUUUUGACUUCCCUGAUGAAGAUGUGCUAGUAAUAGAAAGUGAUUGGUGGACCAUGUACUUUGAUGGUGCGGUGAAUGUGUAUGGUAAUGGAGCUGGUGCUGUAAUAAUUUCUCCAGAAGGAAAACAAUAUCCCAUCUCCAUUAAACUGCAGUUUAGUUGCACGAACAACACAGCUGAAUAUGAGGCUUGCAUUCAUGGAUUAGAAGCUGCAUUGGAACUGAAGAUAGGGAAAUUAGAGGUAUAUGGAGACUCUAUGUUGAUAAUCUGCCAGACAAAGGGGGAAUGGCAAACAAAAGAUGAGAAAUUGAAACCAUAUCAAGAAUAUCUCUCCAAAUUGGCUGAAAACUUUGAAGAGAUAGAGUUCAAUCAUUUAGGAAGGGAUAAGAAUCAGUUUGCGGAUGCUUUAGCAACCUUGGCCUCUAUGGCCACAAUCGAUUGUGGUAUCAGAGUACAUCCUAUAGGCAUUGAUAUCAGAAGUUCUCCUACUCAUUGUUGUUUAAUAGAAGAAGAAGUGGAUGGCAAUCCUUGGUAUGCAGAUAUAAAAAGAUUCAUCCAAUAUCGGGAAUAUCCUUCUGAAGCUUCAAAGACAAAUAAGAAGACUCUGAGAAGAAUGGCAAUGGAAUACUUUAUAGAUGGAGAAAUCUUAUACAAAAGGUCAUUUGAUGGGACUUUAUUAAGAUGUCUUGACAGAUCAGAAGCCAAUAAAGCCCUCUAUGAAGUGCAUGGAGGAAUUUGCACUGUCCAUGCAAAUGGACACAUGAUGGCAAGACAAAUGCAAAGAGCUGGGUAUUUUUGGAUGACUAUGGAGAAGGAUUGUAUAGAAUUUGUCCGAAAAUGUCAUAAAUGUCAGGUGUAUAGUGACAAAAUCAAUGCGCCUCAAUUACCCUUAUUCAAUAUGGUGUCACCUUGGCCAUUCGCGAUGUGGGGGACAGAUGUGGUUGGGCCUAUUAAUCUAAAAGCCAGCAAUGGUCAUCGGUUUAUCUUGGUUGCAAUUGACUAUUUCACAAAGUGGGUAGAGGCCUGCUCAUAUGCUCAUGUGACUCAGAAGGUGGUCAAGCAAUUCAUUAAGAGAUACCUAAUUUGUAGGUAUGGUUUGCCAGAAAGGAUAGUAAUCGAUAACGCCAAGAACUUCAAUGGGAAGAUGAUCAGGGAAUUAUGUACUAAAUGGAAAAUCAAGCAUUCUAAUUCAUCACCUUACAGACCAAAGAUGAAUGGCGCUGUGGAAGCUGCUAACAAGAAUAUAAAAAAGAUUGUCCAGAAAAUGGUAGUUACUUACAAAGAUUGGCAGGAAUGGCUUCCUUAUGCUCUACAUGCAUAUCGAACAGCAGUAAGGACGUCAACUGGAGCUACACCUUAUUCACUAGUUUACGGAAUGGAGGCAGUGAUGUCGUUGAAAGUAGAGAUUCCUUCUCUAAGGGUCCUCAUGGAAUCUGAGCUAGAAGAGGCUAAAUGGGCUAAGAUACGAUAUGAACAAUUAAAUAUGAUCAAUGAGAAGAGAUUAGUUGCAAUUUGUCACCACCAAUUGUAUCAAAACAGGAUAGCAAGAGCGUAUGACAGAAAAGUUCGACCAAGAGAGUUCAAAAAAGGAGAUCUUGUAUUGAGAAAAAUCCUACUACUACCUAGUGAGAACCAUAGCAAAUGGGCGCCCAAUUAUAAAGGUCCCUAUAUAGUGAAGAAGGCAUUCUCUGGAGGAGCAUUGAUACUGACAGGAAUGGAUGGAGAAGAUUUGAGUAGGCCAGUGAACUCCGACUCUGUAAAGAAAUAUUAUCCAUGAUUAUAUAAGUUCUCAUCAAAUCAAUAAAAGUUUCAGCCAAGAAAUUCACUUUGUAUAUCUUUUCUUUCUCUCAUAAAUGUUUAUUGAUACCAAAGAAUCAACAAAUACACCCUUGAAGCCUUGCAUGAUCUCAUAGACUCAAUUCACUGCUUAUAUCAAAAUCUUUUUCUAGUGGAAUUUUUGGAAAAUUGAGCUUGCCUUUUUUAUUUCAAAGAUAUUUUUUAUGUUUAUUUGAAACAACAUUUUGACAUUCUACUUGUAGAAUAAGAAAGUGAAUCAAGCAACUCCUUCAUAGAGGUGACCAAACUCUAAAAAGAAAAAAAGAAAAAAGAAAAUGAAUAAACAUCCUUACCCAAUGACUCUUGAAUCAUUUGUUUUUAAAUAUAUGAAUAAUGAUAUGUAGUGAACUCGUUGCUCAUGACUCAUGAAAUGCAUCUUUGCAAAGACCAAACCAUCAUACUAGAUGAGGUCAAAGUUUAUUGAUCAUAGCUGCUUGCGCUUGAAAUGAGGAAAUGCCAUCUUUGUUAUUCCUUUCACGUUCUGAAAUAAGUACAUCCCUUUUUAUCCCCUUUUGAGCCUGAAUAAUUUUUCUUUCAUGAAAAAUCCCGACUAGGAUCACACCCCACACUAGGGGCAAGUGAAAUUUUAAUGAUCAAGAAAGAUGAUAAAGUCGUGAGUCAAAAGAGCCCAAGAAACUCAAAUGCUGGGGGGCAUGCCCAAAUCACAAGAAAAGGUGAUAACCAAGAUAAAGUGAGUAUGCUCUAGCAACACAAUAAAAAAAGAAAAAAAGAAAAAAGGGCAAAUCAAAGAAGAGCGGCAAAAGAAAAUAUGAAUGACGUCAAGAGUCAAACUGUUGAUAGUGAUCUUCAGUCUUUGAAACCCUGAAACACUCUUUGAGCCUUAUGAAUCCUUUUCUUUCAUAGCCAAAAACCAUAGCCUACGUUACGUGCCUGUAGAAGUCCUUUUAAUCAAGUAAGCAAGCAACUUAGAACAAUAAACAAUGCUCUCGAAAUGCAAAGAAUGCUUUAUCAUAAAAUUCAUGACAUCAAGAACAAACUACUCAUUAUUAUUCAUGCUGAUAAAAAUGAGUGUUCAAAAAGAGACAAGUUUUUCUCAUACAAAACCUCGAGCUUUUCUCGAGCCCUCCACUUUAAAAACCUAUAAAAACAAAAGGUCAUCUCAUGAUGUAUUUUCACCGAAGACCUCAUUGUCAAACACAAGAACGAAUAAUCUCUUUUCCAAGAAAGAAAAUAACCAAGGAGUUGCAAGAUUUCAAAAGCAAAUUGUUUUAGACUCACAUAGAAAUAAUUUUUGUUUUCAAAAUGCAAGAUCAAGAUUUCAAGAUUCAUUCUAGACCCAUAGUCCUUCACCAAACUGAAAAAGGAUAGAAAUGAGAGAAUGGCCUCUUAAAACCAUUAUUUGUCUAAGUCGUUGACGGAGCACAUUUAGGGGCAAUGAUUAAUACAAGGGGGCAACAUUGUGUUUAGAAGGAAAAAUUCUAGAAAAGGAGAUGCUAAUUUCCUUCAACAAGACAAUGGGCUAUUUUGGUUUACAAAAGACUGCUUGAUCCUUUCAGCUAGUGACACCGAAUGUUUUUAGCAGUGAGACGAAGGGUAAUGAAUGAUCCUCUCAAAUUAUUUGACGAGUCAGAAAAUAUUUAGCAAGCAAGCGGGUCAUGAUGGGCACCACAAAGGUUGAGUUGUGCAAACAAAUCUAGAAAUAGACUUAUAUGGCCUAACUCGAGUGGGCUAGAGAGCCAAACAACAAAGAUGACCCAAAUCAGAGGUAGCAAGUCCUCAUCAAUCAAACAACAAGAAGAUUAAGAAGAAAUGGGGGCCUAUAUUUCAAAUCAGGUAAAGAUGCAUGCAUAUCAUCUAAACUUUGAGACAUUGGAUAAUGAGUUUUGCAAAUUUCAUUAAAGAAAAAAUUCUAACGGAAUCCAUAAAGUGGAAGGCCAACUUGAAAUGGUGAACAUUGAAAUUGCUUUUGAAAAAUUUUCACUUUUGAGAAUUUUUCAACCUGGGCACGCCGCCCAUGAGAAUUAGGCCACCAGAAAAAUCUCUAUGUUUUUCCACCACCUUUCAUUUUCCAUUACUGAGGUAGUGCAUUUUCUAUCCUACCUCCACUUGAGUGCACCUUCGAGCCCUCACCUCAUUUCUUUUCGAGCGCGCCUUCGAGCCCUCGACCAUCCUGAGGUAGUGCAUUUCCUAUCCUACCUCCUUUUGAGUGCGCCUUCGAGCCCUCACCUCAUUUCUUUUCGAGCGCGCCUUCGAGCCCUCGACCAUCAAAGGUAGUGCAUUUCCUAUCCUACCUCCUUUUGAAUGCGCAUUUUCUAUCCUACCUCUUUUUGAGUGCGCCUUCGAGCCCUCACCUCAUUUCUUUUCGAGCGCGCUUUUGAGCCCUCGACCAUCAAAGGUAGUGCAUUUCCUAUCCUACCUCCUUUUUAGUGCGCCUUCGAGCCCUCACCUCAUUUCUUUUCGAGCGCGCCUUUGAGCCCUCGACCAUUAAAGGUAGUGCAUUUCCUAUCCUACCUCAUUUUUAGUGCGCCUUCGAGCCCUCACCUCAUUUCUUUUCAAGCGCGCCUUCGAGCCCUCAACCAUCAAAGGUAGUGUGUUUCUUAACCCUAUUUCCUCUUGAUUGUGCCUUCGAGCCCUCUCCACCUUUCAAGUGCACCUUCAAGCUCUCAUCCUAAAGUCGUUUGUCAAUCUACUGUUUUUGAAGUUUUCAAGACUCUCAGAAAAGCGAAACUUCAUUUUUGUCUACUUUUCUUUAUAAAUCUACAACUCAAAGCCAAAAAUAAAUGGAUAAAAAUAUAUUUGAGAAUGGAGUUAAGACAACACAAAAUUUGAAGUUUGAGGAUGUAAUUAUUAAAUUUGAGAGUCAAUUGGUCAAUAAUUGAAGAAUUAAUAAGUUUGAGAGUUUAAUUAAAAUUUUGAAUUAGUUUAAUUAAUAAAUCAGGUGCUUAAUUAAAGAAUUAAUGAGUUUGAGGAUUUAGUUAAGUUUUGAUUUAAUUGAUUAAAAAGAUCAGGGGUUUGAUUAAAGAAAUACCAGAUUUGUGGGUUGAUUAGAAGCAAAAUUUCAAGAAAUUAAGACACUGAGAACCAUAGUGAAAUUGCUGGUUUACUUUAGGAAUUUUGACUGAUUUUUCAGGGAUGAUUUUAAAAGAAUUAAAAAUUAAAGAUUUAAUUAAAGGCCAAAUUGAACAAUCCAGAAAUUAAGGACUGUUUUGUAAACAGUGUUAUAAUUUAGGGAUUCAAUUGAAAUUAAUCCAAAUGGCAAAAUUGAAAGGAAUUUUUAAUUAAUUGAGAUCCAACGGUUAAAAUUCCAAAGAUCAGGGGUCAAAAUGAAAAUGUCCAUUGCUGCCGAAACGUCGCCGUUGCUGGUGGAACAACCGUGUUCGUCUUCUCCAUCCCGAUUCAACAAGCUGAAAAUCUGCAACGGAUUCGAUCCAAUCGUGGACCACGUCUCUCGCUCACGAUCUCGUUCGUGGAAAAUAACAGUCCUGUAAAGGCAGGACUGGUUAAAGGAAGCGGCUGAGGAAUCUCUAUAAAAAGGAGAAGAAAACCUAGAAUAAAGGACUCGAAAAAUCAACCCAAAAAUAGAGAAAAGAACAUAGAAAAAAAAGCAGAGAAAACAAAGCAUAAAUCCAAAAAAAUAUAUACACAGAGAAGGAGAGAAAGGCAGAGGAGAGUCACAAAUCAGCCCUGCCAUUGUCUUCGUCCCUGCAAAAAAAAAAAAAAGGCACUGAACCAAAGAUUAUUGACAACCAGCAUCACCAUUGUCUGUUGUCCUUCAUCUCAAAACCAGAGGAGACAGAACACAAUCAAAGAAAGAAACAUAAGCCCCUUCAUCUCAAGAACUGAGAAAUAAAAAAAAAGGAACAGUGGGCAUAGCGGGGGAAAUAGUGGAAAGCAGUCGAACGAAAGUAGCCACACCAGCGUUGCAGCCUUCUUCACCAUCUCCAGAAACAGGUGCGCCAUUCCUUUUUUGCUCUUCAGUGUUCAAUAACAUUUGAACAGUGCGAAGGUAAUUAAAUUACCUUCGCACUGUUGAUGCACGCGUGAAAUUGCUUCACGCGUGCAUCUGUUUUUUUUUUUUGCCCAACCGGGUCACUGGCUUGGGCCAGUGACCGGGCUGGGCUGGCUGGGUCUAGCCCAGUCCAUGUGGGCUGAGCUGGGUCCAGCCCAAAAAUGUAAAUUAAAAAAUAAUAAAUAAUAACAAUUGUGUAUUUAAAAAAUAUAAAUAUUAAUUUAUUGUUUUUUUUUAUUUGACGCCAGAGUUAGAAUAAAAAUAUCGAUUCAAAUUUAUUUCAUUGUAUUUUAUUUAGUUAUAUAAAAAUAAAAAAUGUGCAUGCAAAAAAAUAAUAACAUAAGAUAAAAUAAAAUAAGUUUAUUGGUUUAUUCACUGACGCCAGAGUCAGGAAUAAAAAUACUAAUAUAAAUUUAUUUUGUUUUGUUUUGUUUUAUUGUAUUUUGCUUUUAUUUAGCUACAUAAAAAUAAAAAUAAUGUGUAUGCGUAGAAAUAAAUUGAUUUUUAUUUGUUUAUUCACUGACGCCAGAGUCAGGAAUAAAAAGAAAUAAUGAUUUAAAUUUAUUCAUUUUGAUACCUACGUAAUAUUUACCAACGCCAGAGUUGGAAAUAUUCGUAGUUGAAUAUUCACUAGCGCCAGAGUCAAGAAUAUUACACGCAAACCAUCAUAGUAUAAACCAACAAAAAUGUUAGCAAUCAAUGACAAAGAUCAACAAUGCAGCCUGCCUCAGGCAGGACGUUUAAAGGGUAAUAAUAUCUUCCCUUUUACGUAACCAAUCCCGAACCAUAGAAUCUAUGUUGGCCAGUUAGGGUUCCUAAUGACCAUAAUACUAGGUGGCGACUCCUUAAACAAGACCAUUCCCCAUUAAAGAACAAGAUGCCAGAAAUCUGUUCUUUUCCUUGAUUAAUUUUUAAGGCCGCCGCGAUGUCCGGGUGCGACACUCCUCGCUGCUAGAAGAACUAGCUGCAACCGUCUUCUGACGAUGUGUUGUAGAUUUCAUUCUACGCAUCUACACAAAUUUAUACGAAUAAUUACAUAAUUAACUUUGAUUAUUUAAAAAAACAAUCGACAGAGUCUCCCUUAUACUGGGGGGUCCCAAGUUAUCGACAAAAUCAUAUUACACUUCCAAUUUUAUUUCACAUCCCGAUCUAAUCAUCCUCGAUCUCAACACAACUCAUCAUCACAACACAAAACAUCUUAUUCAAUAACAUCAUAUAAUGAAAUUCAAGUAAAAGAAUCAAUUUCAACUAUGAACAUUCAUUGUUAAAUUGGUACUUUGAGUUACAAACAUUAGAUUAAAGUCAUACAUUCAAAUUUACGGAUUAAUAUUACAUUUCAAGUUUUAGGAGAGAAGACUCUUAAUUUAUAAAUAAUUACAUGGUUAAAAGCAAAAGGUAACUAAAACAAUAUCAUUCCUAACACGACCCUAAUGGACCUCAAAAUAGAAAUUAACGUGUACACAUAAAUAUAAAAAUGUAAUAACAAGCAAUAACAAUGACAGGUAAACAAUAAUAUCCUAAAAUUAAGAUAAACUAAUUAAAUUUAAUUCUAUAUUUCAAUUAACAUUUAAAACAUAAAUUCAACAAUAACAAUUAUAGCAAUACAAACAAUAAUAUCCUAAAUUAAGAUAAACUAAUUAAAUGUAAUUCUAUAUAUAUAAAUUAACAUUUUUAACAUAAAUUCAACAAUAAAAAUUAUAGCAAUACAAACAAUAAUAUCAUAAAAUUAAUAAAUAAAAUGAAAAAACUAAAAAACACUAUACAAAACAACCUAAACACAAAACAAAUAAUACACAAAACUAAAAAACACUAUAUCAAUUCAAAAUAAAUUUGGGAAUAAAAAACUGCUUACCUUAAUAGUGUGUUGAAUUUAAGAUUUUAUCUACAAACAAUACACAAAACAAAGAACACCAAAAAAAAUAAUCAUAAUUAAAAUAAAAAAAUACAAAGAUAAAGAAAAAAAAAAUACAUACCUUUUAAAACUACCACCAAAACAAUAAAAUCUCUUCCAAAAGCCAAAUAGAAACGGAGAGGAGAGGAGAAGAGAAAUGGAGAAGAAGAGAAACGGAGCCAGAGAAAAAAAUGAACCAAAUGGGGUGAGGGGGGGUUUUGUAUAGCAAUAUUUCUGACAGUAUUACCGACGGACAUUAAUUGUUGUCGGUGGCAUUAAAUUCCGUCGGUAAUACCGUCAGAAAUUAAUUGAAAUGUGCACCAAAAAAGUUCGAAAAUCCCGCCAGACUUUUCGAUCCGUCAGAAAAUCCAUCGGUAUUUGUGCAAACGGACAUGCGUCUGACAUGCGUGCGCUUCGAGAUGUGCGUAAUCUCGUCGGUAUUUUACGUCGGUAACGGCGACGGUGAAUCCGUCGGUGAUCGUGGCACAAUCCCGUAAUUGUUUUUCAACUUUCUGUGAAAUACCGACGGUUAAUGGUCUGUCGGUGACUCCGUCGGUGAGUGUGGCACAAUCCCGUAAAUUUUUUUCAACUCUCUGUGAAAUACCGAUGGGUUAUAUAGUCCAUCGGUGUACCCGUCGGUGAAACCGUAAAUUUUUUUCAACUCUCUGUGAAAUACCGAUGGGUUAUAGUCCGUCCGUGUAACCGUCGGUGAAACCGUAAAUUUUUCUUAUUUUUUUGUAUAACCCUGUCACAAAAUCUUGAAUUGCAAUCUUACAGCACACACAACACAAUAACAAGAGCUGACCAUUAAAGAAGAACAAAUAUUUCAUGUUCCAAAUUAUUACAUUAUAAAAAUAAGGCUUUAGAACAUGUUUAGUUCGUCGGAAUUUUCAUCUUCGUCCUCAAUUGCAUUGUUAUCAUCAACUUCAUCGCACUCUUCAAUUUCGUUAUCAUCUUCUUCAACAACAUUCUUUUUUCCACUAGUAGAGCUCAGAACAACAUUAAACUCCUAUGCGUCAACAUCAACAAGACUAUCGUUGAAAACAUAAAAAUUCAAAUUUUCUUCUAAGUCAAUCGAAGGAGCAACUCAGUGUGGUUCAACCAACUCACUAGCUUGAAAGACUUCAUCUAUCACACUUGUGUCUUCGUUCUCAUCCUGAACAACCUCGACACGACCCUUGGGUUUUGUUUUUAAACGGAUAACCAAUCAACUCUUGAUCGGUCCUUUCUAAAGGAAUGGGUGUAUUUGUAAUAAACUUGUUGGCAUUACUUUGCGAAAAUAAAGACGUCGUUUACGUUGCGGUGUCUAGCUUUUGAGUUGAUUUCAACGAGACCAUAAUGAGGAUCUACUCCGAUUCCUCUGUCAGUUGUGUCAUACCAAUAGCAUUUGAAUAACAACACUCUAUUUUGCUCGCUAUGAUAUUGCAGUUCGAUGACCUCUUCCAAUCUACCGUCGUAGUCAAUUUCAAACUCACUAGAAGUCGAUCCCUUAUUUCAAACACCGUUGUUGUAUGUCUUUCUUCCAUGCCCGUAUUGUUCAGUAUGAAAGACAUAUCCAUUGACAAAAUACCCGUUCUAGCACUUGACUUUUCUUUCAGGGCUCAGGCCUAGUAAAGACAGUGAAAUAGCAGCACUACCUCCCAUUUGAUAAACCUAGCUUGUAAAUUAAAUACAACAAUAAUCAAUAAACGGAUAUUAUGUAAUAUUGACUACAAUUAAUUACAUUGCAAGAGAUAAUGAGUUUGUGAUAGGACUUACAUGUGUUCUAAACCAUGUGGCAAAUUGUUCAUCUUGUAAUUGAAAGAUCUGGGAUUCGGUCAGCUCUGAGUUAUUGGACAGUAAGUAUCGUCGAUGUUGCCUGCAAGGUUGUUCCAAAUUAUAUGAGUGUAUGGUAUCACAAAACAUAAAUAGUACACUCUUGACAAAGUUUAAGUCGAACAUCUACUUACUUAAUAAAAUGUCUCAGCUCAUCACAGUUAAAUUGGACAUAAUUGUGUGCUUGUCUGAACUCUAUUUCAGACAAAUAUCUUCCCCUCACGACAUUUUUAGGUGUGGGUCAUCCAGGAUUGGAGAAUAUUGACAAGUUCCCACUUGAAGGCACUUCACCACCAUCAUCAUGCCGUGGAACACGGUUGAUCCUCGUUCUCAAAUGAGGUUCGAAAUAGUAUGAGAUAAAUGUUGAGAUCUCCUUAACAAUAUAGGCCUCACAUAUUGAUGCCUCAACAUGCGCCUUGUUCUUAACUUUUUUUAAAAGAUUGAACAAGUACCUGCAUAUAUAUAUAUAUAUAUAUAUAUAUAUAUCCUACAAAUAAGUUCAAUAUGAACAUAAACCACAAAUCAUAUUAUAAAAUUUAAAAGAAAAGGGGAUAUUAACAUGUAAAGAGAGAAUUUAAAACAUAAUAAGUAUUCUUAAACAUUUCAAAAGGGUUAAUUACAGGAUAACUAAUGUACUACAUGCUGAGCUAAGACUUUUUUUUUUAUAUAUAUAUAUAUAUCAAGGUUUACACAAAAAGCAUGCUGCAUAAUCGCGUUAAUUCCAUUAUGCUUAAGUUAAAUAUUUACGUAAGCUUAACAAAGUAGAGUCCUAAACUAAUGAUCUCCCUGGACAUUUGAUGGACCUGUUACACAAACAACCCAGUAAGCAUACCAUUAUAUUGAUAAAAGAAAUAUAUAUGAUCAUGGAAUGUAUAUGAAUGAAGUAUAAAUUUUCUAUCGAAUCCAUAGAAAUUCUAACAAUCAACUUAUAAUUUGCUUGUAAAACCAUUUAAAACAAUUAAAACUCAUUUGCAUAUCCUUAAUAUGAAUUCUUUUAUUUACUUGCAUGAACAAGGUGACUUUGCAUAGUCCAACCUGGAUAUUUUUAGACAAUUAUAUUUAUCAAUUUUCACCAGAUCAUUCAAACAUGGAUACCCUUUACAAAUCGAGUCUUAUCAAUCGUUCUCAGGCGUCCCAACGAUUAGCCAUAGCUAAUCUUGCAAUCUUAUCAUGGAUGCUAUUAGCUGAAGCUAAUCUUGUAAUUCAUCUCCAGCAAUCCUAUCACAGAUGCUAUUAGUCGAAGCUAAUCUUAUAAUUCAUCUCCAGCAAUCCUAUCACGGAUGCCAUUAGCCGAAACUAAUAUUGUAAAUACACUAGACUUUAUUUACAUUGAACAUGACAUUUAUUGUAAUGGCAUUCACCAGAAGAACUUUAAAUUGCAUAAGUGCAAAGAGGAGGGAAAAUCACGCACCUACUCCGCCUGUCUCAUGACCUCCCCCAACAGAAGAUCCAAUCUUGGUCGCUCCUCCUGAAUCACAAAGAAGUUUUUGGUCAUUAUCCCUUCAAGUAGAAUGUUAUAGAUAAAAUUAACCCAUUUUAUCAGGUUUAAUAAUACUAUUAAAAAAUUCUUCAUACUUUUAGUAAUUUUUUUAUAUUUUAAAAAAAAAUUGAUCAAACCCACGACAAAGCAUAGGGAAUAUUCUAGUAAACUUGUAAGCAUGGAUCAUGAUGUAUGGAACAUUUACACGUGGCGACAUGAACUGAAAAUCACUUUAAUGCAGGGGAAAUGACAUGAAUGCCUCCCUGGAAUGACCCUAAUAAUGCACCCAUUUUGGAUUUUAUUAGUCUACUCUUGAGAUAAUCAAAGGAACAAUAUGAUUUAAGUGUUUGAACUUAUUGAUUUUUAAAAUUGGGUGUCUGAACUUUAUUUUUAUUCAAAUAAGUAUAUUAUUUUAUUUUACACAAUAAAAUGGAUGUAUAUUAGUUAAAUGUUUAAUGUCAAUAAAGAGUGAAAAUAAAAAAUUUAUAUACAUGAAUUAAUGUGUCUGUUAAAAAAUUUCUUGUCAGAAGUCAACUAGCAACAUUGUCUAGAAUUCUACUUUGCAUGUCCAACAUAUAAAAAAUUAUUUUCAUGCAUUUUUUCCUUUUUUCUAACACCCUUUCCUUUGUAUAGAAAACAAGAUAUUUCUUAAGAUUUUAUAUAUUCAAAGUUAACUUCAUAAGAGCAUGCACAUAUAAAUUUGUUUACAUGUUCAUGUUUCAACACACCAUAGCCUCUUGUAUAAUCCAUACUUGUUUAUUUUAACAUGUAAUAUAUAAUUCAACAUUAAAGUGCCCCCCCCCACCUCCUUCAUGUUUGGCUGAAGGCUUUCUCUCUUAUUUCACACUCUAUUCUCAAUUCUAUCUACCCAAGAAAAAUCCUCAAAAACCCUAAUCUAAGAGACAACUUUUGUACAACACUUACCCAAUGUAUUAUAAAUUGUUCUAGGAAGGUUUUGGGUUUAUCCUAGUUGCAUUUUCUACUCCCUAAAAACUCUUCUCCCUCAUAUUUUCUUGGUCUCUUUCCACUCCUCCUUUACUGUCGCUAGCCUCCUGUCUUCCUUUCCCUCAAUUUGUUUUGCUUUUGAUGCUUUAAUCUUCACUCAAACCUCUUAUUUUUUCUUAUGUGUUUGCUUGCAUGUGAUUUUCUCCACCUAGUCUUUGGAAUAAGAUGCUGAAGAGAAGAGUGUCUCUUCCUUUUCCCCUCCUCUCUAUUCUACCAUCAGCCCUCUUAUUCUUCUUAGGGCUAAUAGGCCUCUCUGUGGUUCGACCCCGGUCUUGCCGGGUUAUUUAUUACUUUGACACUCCUGCACUUGGGAUAAAACAUCAACUCUUUGAUCGUGUGAAGUUUUUGACGCCGUUGUCUGGGAGGUAAGUUAUUGUAUAAAUUAUAUAUUUCUUUUUAUUUUCUUUUGUUUUCACUUUUAUUUGUUUUUCUAAUUUUUGUUUUUUUUUCUUUUCCUUUUCUUUUCUUUCAUUUUGCACUUGCAUGAGAGUUUGGACAUGCACAUUAAGUGGUAGAUUUCUAGGAAAUCCUUAUUUUCUUCAGAAAACAUGGCCGAAAAAGAUAAUCAGUCAAUUCAUAAUGAGAAUAAUCGUGUUAGAACACUUAAAGAUCAUAUGAAUCCAACAAGAACAAGUGCACCAUCAUAUAUAGUUUUUCCUCCUUAUACAUCUCAUUUUAAUUUUAAGUAAGAUAUUAUUCAACUUUUACCCAUUUUUCAUGGCUUAGAUCUAGAAAAUUCAUACUUGCAUUUGAGAGAAUUUGAAGAAGUUUGUAACACUUAUAAUGACUUAAAUUAUAGCAUGAACACCAUCAAAUUAAAACUUUUUCCUUUUUCAUUAAAAGAUAAAGCUAAAACAUGGCUACAAAAUCUUAGGUUAGGAUCCAUUCGUGCUUGGGAUGAAAUGCAACAACAAUUUUUGAAGAAGUUUUUUCCUUCUCAUAGAACAAACUCUUUCAAAAGACAAAUCACCACUUUCACUCAAAAACCAGGAGAAACAUUUUACCAGUGUUGGGAUAGAUAUAAAGGCCCCGUUUGUUUGCUGGAAAGUAGUUUUCUUUUGGAAAGUGAAUUCCAGGAAAGAGAAUUAUUUUUCGAUGUUUGGUAGUGUAAUGGAAAAUAAGUUGGAAAACACUUUCCAGUGUUUGGUUAUGUCAUGGAAAAUAAGCUGGAAAAUAAAUUAUUAAUGUUUUAUUUUCUCAAGUUUAUUAAAAUAAUGAGGAAUAAAUCUUACAAAUUAAAAAGUUGAAUGAGAAUGAAAUUUAAAAAAAAUAUAAUUUCAUAAAUUAUCUCAAAUAAAAUAAAUAAUAAUCAAAAUAAUAGAAAUAAAAUCUAAAAAAUAAAAAAAAUGAAAGAUGAAGAAAUUAAAAUAAUAAUAAUUAACAUUUCAUAAAUUAUUUCAAAUAAAAUAAGUAACAAUCACAAGAAUGAGGACCAAAUUUGAUAGAUAAAAAAUUUUAAUAAAAAAAUGAUAAGGGAAAAGCAAAUAACAAUUAUAAAAAUGAGUACCAAAGUUAAUAUAAAAAUUAAAUUUUAAGAGAUAAAAUUGAAAAAUAAAUAUUCAAAACAAAAUAUAUAUAGCAAUCAAAAGUUUGAGGACCAAAUUUGUAUAAUCAGCAAAUAAUAUGACAUUUCUAAAUUUUUCACAACUUCCGGAAAGUGUUUUCCGCCCAAAUUUUCCAGGAAAACACUUUCUUGGAAACCAAGCUAAAUUUUCCUUUGACUGGAAAGUGUUUUCCGUUGACCAACUUUUCUAAUGGCAAACAAACAUAGAAAAGUUUGGAAAGUGGUUUCCUAGAAACCACUUUCCGGGAAACAAACAUAGCCUUAAUAUAAAAAUUAAAUUCUAAGGGAUGAAAUUGAAAAAUAAAUAUUCAAAACAAAAUAUAUAUAGCAAUCAAAAGUUUGAGGACUAAAUUUGAUAUAAUCAGCAAAUAAUAUUACAUUUCUAAAUUUUUCACAACUUCCGGAAAGUGUUUUCCGUCCAAAAUAAAAGGAAAACACUUUCCUGGAAACCAAGCCAAAUUUUCCUUUGACUGGAAAGUGUUUUUCGUUUACCGGAAAGUAUUUUCCGUUGACCAAUUUUUCUAAUGGCAAACAAACACAGAAAGUUUGAAAAUGGUUUCCCGGAAACCACUUUCCGGAAAACAAACACCCCCAAAGACUUGCUUAAUACUUAUCCUCAUCAUGGUUUUGAAACAUGGAGAUUGGUUUCAUAUUUUUAUGAAGGGUUAACACCUAAAGAUAGGCAAAUGGUGGAAUUGAUGUGCAAUGAAACUUUUAAAGAUAAAGACCCUGAUGAAGCAAUGGAGUACCUAGACUUGCUAGCUGAAAAUGCUCAAAAUUAGGACACUACAGGCACUUGUGAGGCACCAGGUAAAACUCAACCUCAUACAUCUAGUGGAGGCUUGUACAAUCUUAGGGAAGAUCAUAACCUCCAAGCCAAAUUUACAUCUUUAGCUAGAAAAGUUGAGGCACUGGAAUUGGAAAAGAGUGGUCAAUUAAAAUAUGUUCAAGAAAUUGUGUGUCAAAUAUGUGAAACUAAUGAACACUCAACCAAUGAUUUUCCAACUUUGCCUUCUUUUAAGGAAUGUCUCCAUGAACAAGCCAAUGCUUUAAACAAUUUCCAAUGGCCAAAUCAUGAUCCAUACUCACAAACAUACAACUCUGGUUGGAGAAAUCACCCAAAUUUCAGUUGGAAGAGUGGUAACAAUAAUGCACAAACUUCACAGCUACCAUUUCAAGCACACCAUAAUUUUCAAAAUUCUCAUGGAUAUGCACCUCCUUAUGCUCCCCCUCCUAGAAGAAAUCUUGAGGAAAGUUUGCAUGCAUUCUUUGAAAAGCAAGAGACAAUCAACACUCAAAAUGCUCAAACCAUGGUAGAUUUGAAAGAUACUUUUACAAAGUUCACAUCUGCUCUCAGUUUUCAGGAGAAAGGUAAGUUUCCAUCACAACCAUAGCAAAAUCCCAAGGGAUAGUACAAUGCAAAUGCAAGUGGUUCCGGAAGCCAACACAUGGAUCAAGUCAAAUAAGUCAUUACUCUCCGUAGUGGUAAGGUUAUUGAAAAACCCAUUCUUGAACCUUGAGAGAAAGAUGAUGAGUCAAUCUUUGAGGGUAAGGAAAGGGUUGAACCUGAACAUUGCAAAGAAAAGACUGAUUCCCCACCAGCACUUCCAUUCCCUCAUGUCAUAACCAAACAAAGGAAAGUCAAUCACAAUUCUAAAAUCUUUGAAACUUUCAAACAUGUAAGGAUCAAUAUACCUUUGUUGGAUGCUAUUAAACAUGUUCCUUCAUAUGCUAAAUUUUUGAAAGACUUGUGCACCGUGAAGAGAAAACUGAAUGUGAAAAAGAAAGCCCUUUUAGCCAAACAAGUAAGUGUCAUUCUUCAAAACAAUAAUGCUUUGAAAUAUAAAGGCCCUGGUUGUCCUACAAUUUCUUGCUUUAUUGGAGAACAUAAAAUUGACAGAGCUUUACUUGAUCUUGGAGCUAGUGUGAUUUUACUUCCAUAUUCGGUUUUUCAAAGUCUCAAUCUAGGUGAGUUAAAACCUACUUCUGUAACUCUUUUACUUGCUGAUAGAUCUGUAAAAAUGCCUAGAGGAAUAGUUGAAGAUGUGUUAGUACAAGUUGAUAAAUUCAUUUAUCCUGUGGAUUUUAUAGUCUUGGAUACACAACUUGUUGAAGCAUGUAAUUCAACCCAAGCUGUACCUAAAAAGUCUGGAGUUACUAUGAUAACAAAUAAGAAAAAUGAGUUAAUUCCAAUUAGGACUAUUACUGGUUGGCACAUGUGCAUUGACUAUAGGAAAAUUAAUGCAAUGACUAGAAAAGAUCAUUGUCCUUUACCUUUCAUGGAUCAAAUUCUAGAAAGAGUUGCAGGUCAUGAAUUUUAUUGUUUUCUAAAUGGUUAUUCAGGUUACAACCACAUUGAAAUUGCAUUUGAAGAUAAAGAGAAAACUACUUUCACAUGUCUAUUUGGUACGUUUGCAUACCAAAGGAUGCCUUUUGGAUUAUGUAAUGCACUAGCCACGUUUCAAAGAUGCAUGCUUAGCAUAUUCAGUGAUAUGGUUAAACGUUUUCUUGAGAUUUUUAUGGAUGAAUUUUCUAUUUUUGGUGAUUCAUUUUAUGAUUGUUUAACUAACUUGGAGAAAGUUUUGAACAGGUGUGAAGAGAAGAAUCUUAUGCUGAAUUGGGAAAAAUAUCAUUUUAUGGUAACAAACGACAUUGUACUUAGUCAUAUUGUUUCAUCAAUAAGAAUUGAGGUUGACAAAUCUAAAAUCGAGUUAAUUGCCAACUUGCUAACACCAAAAUCUGUUAAAGAUGUUAGAUCAUUCUUAGGACAUGCUGGUUUUUAUAGAAGGUUCAUCAAAGAUUUUAGUGUAAUAUCUAAGCCAUUGUAUAACCUUCUAACAAAGGAUAAUGUUUUUUAAUGGACUGAACAUUGUGAAGAAGCCUUUGUUAAACUUAAAAACUUGCUUACCUUUGCUCUUGUCAUUCAACCUCCUGAUUGGUCAUUACCUUUUGAAAUAAUGUGUGAUGCUAGUGAUUAUAUCGUGGGUGUUGUUUUAGGACAAAGAAAAGAUAAGAAACCCUAUGUAAUUUACUAUGCAAGUAAAACUUUAAAUAGUGCUCAAAUGAAUUACACUACCACCAAAAAGGAAUUACUUGCAGUAGUAUUUGCAUGUGAAAAAUUCAGAUCUUAUCUUGUUGGCUCACCUGUUGUUGUUUUUAGUGAUCAUGCAGCAUUAAAAUAUCUUCUUUCUAAGAAGGAUUCUAAGGCUAGAAUGGUGCGGUGGAUUUUGUUACUUCAAGAAUUCAAUAUCAUAAUCAAGGACAAGAAAGGCACCAAAAAUGUUGUCGUGGAUCAUUUGUCAAGAUUGACAAAAGAUUCCACAUCUGACAUCACACAAAUCAAUGAUUACUUUCCUGAUGAAUCUUUACUUUCUAUUUCUACAAUGCCUUGGUUUGCUAAAAUUGUCAAUUUUCUUGCAACAGGAGAUUUGCCAGCUCAUUGGAGUACCCAAGACAAAAGAAAGUUUUUGAACUAAGUGAAGAACUUUUAUUGGGAUGACCUUUAAUUAUUCAAAUAUUAUCCCAAUCAAAUAUUUCAAAGAUGCAUUCCCGACAAUGAGGUAAAUAGUGUCAUUCAAAUUUGUCAUUCUGAGGCAUGUGGGGGUCAUUUCUCAUCAAAGAAGACAACUGCAAAAAUCUUACAAUGUGGAUUUUAUUGGCCCACCAUGUUCAAGGACACGCAUGCUUUCUGCAAAACUUGUGAAAAUUGUUAAAAGUUAGGAUCUACUUCAAAACAUCACAUGAUGCCUUUAAAUCAUAUUCUUGUCAUUGAAAUCUUUGACUGUUGGGGUAUAGAUUUUAUGGGUCCAUUUCCUCCAUCGUUUGGUUUUGUGUACAUAUUAGUCGUAGUAGACUAUGUUUCAAAAUGGACAGAGGCAAUCCCAAGUCAUAACAAUGAUCAUAAAACAAUGAUCAAGUUUUUGAAAGAAAAUAUUUUGAGUCGAUUUGGAAUCUCUCGGGCCAUGAUAAGUGAUGGUGGAACAUAUUUCUGCAACAAGCCAUUUGAUUCUUUAAUGAAGAAAUAUGGAAUCACACACAAAGUUGCCACUCCUUAUCACCCUCAAACAAGUGGACAAGUAGAACUUGCUAAUAGGGAGAUCAAACAAAUCUUGGAAAAAAUAGAGAACCCUAAUCGGAAGGACUGAUCUUUAAGACUUAAUGAUGCACUUUGGGCUUAUCGAACUGCUUUUAAAACAUCAUUAGGUAUGUCACCUUAUAAGCUGGUUUAUGGAAAACCUUGUCACUUGCCUGUAGAACUUGAACAUAAAGCUUAUUAGGCUAUUAAAGCUUUCAAUUCAAACCUGGAUGAUGCUAGCCAGCUGCGUAAAUUACAAUUAAAUGAGCUUGAGGAAAUAAGAAAUAAUGCAUAUGAGAAUUUAAAAAUUCAUAAAGCAAGAAUCAAAGAGUUUCAUGACAAGAGAAUCUUGAGAAAAACAUUUGAUGUUGGUCAAAAGGUUUUGCUUUAUAAUUCUCGACUCCAUUUAUUUCCUGAAAAGCUAAGAUCAAGAUGGAACAGUCCAUUUAUUGUGAAACAUGUGUAUCCUUAUGAGGCCUUUGAUAUUGAGAAUCCAAAGAAUAACAAUGUUUUUAAGGUAAAUGGACAUCGUUUCAAAGCUUACUUUGAUAAUUUUCCUAGUGAAAAUGAAUCCAUUGGUUUGAAUGAUCCUAUAUAUAAAGGUUGAUUAUUUUGUUUUUUUCACAUUGUUUUUGUGUUUCUUUUUGGUGUGAUUCUUAUUUUGCUAGUCUUUCUCCAACCCCGAUCAAAUGGCGGAUAAUGGUGUGAAAGAUUAAGGUUGUUAAUGAACCAUGGAAUUCCUAAAGAUAUUCAUUGGAUGAUUGAAACAAAGGUCUGAUUAUCAGGUGAGUCUUCCAAUACUUUUAUUUCAUACAUGCCUGGGACAGGUAAAAGCACUUUUGCAAAGAAACGUCGUGCAAAACGACUGAAAGUCUGUCACCGAUGUGCCAGAUGGACUUGUAAUGCAAAAUGCCAUUUUUUAGGAAUGCUUUCUAUAAACCAUGAAGAUAAAAUACAAUUCAUUAAGGAUGGCCUGAGUAAGGACUCUCGGCAACGGAUAUCUCGGCUCUCGCAUCGAUGAAGAACUUAGCGAAAUGCGAUACUUGGUGUGAAUUGUAGAAUCCCAUGAACCAUCGAGUUUUUGAACGUAAGUUGCGCUCGAGGCCUCUUGGUCGAGGGCAUGUUUGCCUGGGUGGCACGCAUCGUCACCCUCACUCCCCUCAGCUCAUAAGGGUGGGGGCGGAUACUGGUCUCCCUCACGCUUCCGCUCGCGGUUGGCCCAAAAUCGAGUUCUCAGCGAUGGUCGCCACGAAAAGUGGUGGUUGAGAGACCCUCAGACACGGUCAUGCGCACGCCUGUCGCCCCCAGGAUCUCCUGGACCCUCGGGCAUCGACUUUCUAGGAUGCUCUCAUUGCGACCCCAGGUCAGGCGAGACUACCCAUUAAGUUUAAGCAUAUCAAUAAGCAUCAUGCAAUUCAUGAUUAAUGGCUUCAUUUUCAUAAAGAACAUGAUCGACUUAGUCUUGGGAAUCUGACUAAAAACGACCCUGUUUGUCAGUUUUUAAGAAAACUGGAUGGGAAGCUUAUCCCCGACCCAUAGAGGGCGUUUAAGCCAUUCUUGGACGUAAAACCAAGGGAAGAUGUGAGCCACAAUCACAACUACUUGUAUAUACACAUGCUUGUUUUAUAAAAAAAAAAAAGAGAGAAAGUGAGACUCCAGCUAGCCUACAUAUAAGUGGUAUGAUUGCAUUUUUAAUUUCUCAUCUAUAAAAUCUUCUCUUCCUUCCCUUCAUUUAUACUCAACCCAUACAUUCAACAGAUAUAGAAGUGUGUAGAAAUGGCAGGCUCCUCAAUUCCUAAAAUAAAAAAUAUUUGUGUUUUUGGUGGAUCCUGUCCUGGGAAAGAAAAAGAGUUUUUAGAAUCAGCAAAUCAUCUUGGUCGGGUACUAGUUGAGAGAAAGAUUCAUUUAGUGUAUGAGGGAGGCAACCUUGGGUUAAUGGAGAGUGUGUCAAUAGCUGUAUUUUUAGGUGGCAGUCAAGUUUUGGGUGUCAUUCCAACAGCUUUGGCCAAAAUGGACAUCAUUGGAAAAACAGUUGGAGAGGAACUACAAGUCUCCACAAUGUUUGAACGACUAUUUGUAAUGUUUGAACAUGCUAAUACCUUCAUUGGCUUACCGGGUGGUCUGGGCAUUUUAGAAGAGAUAUUCCAUAUUUUCUCUUGGGCCCAAUUGAACAUUCACCAGAAACGUAUAGGUUUGCUAAAUGUUAAUGGUUUUUAUAAUAAUUUACUGUCUUUUCUUGAUCAUGUUAUGGAACAACAAUUUCUAACAUUUUCAGCGCGACAAAUCCUUAUCUCUGCUGCUACUGCUGAGCAAUUGAUUGAUGAACUACAAUCUUUCAUCCCUCUAGUUGAUUCCUCUAUGAGUCGACUCAAUUGGUCAAUCACGGAACGUCGUAAAAAGCUUAGAUUGGAUUUAAGCCUUAGUUUGUGAAAACUUGUGUCUUUUGGUUUUAUUAAUAGCAUAAUAUUUAUGUUUUGUUAUUUCUUAUAUUUGUUUAAGUGUGUUUCAGGUUUGUCAGUAGUCGUUGUUUUAGGUGAUGUCUUCUAUACUGUAUCUUUCUACCUUAAGACAUUGAGGACAAUGUCUCGUUUUGGUUGGGGGGUAAGGGUAGUUUAUAAAAAUACUAACUAUUUUACUAUUAUUAAAACUAUUUGAUAGAACUGUUGUUGUUAGUAUGGCAGGGUAAGGAGGAAUUCUAUUGACUCUUGAGACGCAUCUUAGUAAUCAUUUUCCAAUGGUUAUUCGUAACAAGGUCUAUCAUAACACUUCUUGAAAUAUUCAGGUUUACAAACUCUCACAUUGUUAUCACUUGAAUCUGCUUAUAUACUCAUUUAACAAGUAUUCUUAAAUCUUCAUUUUCAUACACACACUUUAACAUAUGAUUGUGGGUUGCACAUUGUAUUAUUACAUUAUUUAUGUUCUUUUGUUAAAGGUAACAACUAAGGGAAAGGGAUAGUAUAUAAUUUGCAAACAAAAACAAAAACAAAAACAAAAACAAAACAAAUUGAUAAUAAAAUGAAUAAAUAAAAAAGUAGAUAAGUAUGGUUUCGUAGCCUCCUUGACUUAAGCAAUUAAGCCUGAAGGGGUGUUUUAACACCUACUACCCUAAAGUCAACUGACUUGAGAGCUAUUGGCCCAGUGCUUGUUACAUGAAUUAAGGAGAAAGCUUAAGGGAAUCAAACAUUGCACUAUCUACAUUUUAGUAUCUGCAACCCGAGUUACUAAGCUCGAAAGGGUGUCUCAACACCUAAUGCCCGGUGUGGGAGUCAUUAGCCGAAAGCUUGUUAAAUGGGUUAAAGAUGCAUUGUGUUUUAAGUUAUAUGUAUAUAUAUUAAAAAAAAUAAUAAUAAUCUCAACCCAAGGAAGUUAACCUUAGAAAAACAUUAGAACAAAAUAUUGUUUUCUUCCAAAAAAAGCCUCAUCAUCUAUGUUUAUUAAUAUUUUGUUUAGGAAGUAUGAAGCAGAUAUAUAAAUUUAAUGAGAGUUUGUUUAUUUGGAUAGAUUAAUGGAAGUUGAAUGAUGAAUGCCUUGCUUUUGAAUGUCGCAAAUUGUUUUAAUGCUUUAAUUACUAGGGACUAGUAAUAAGCUGGUUGGGGGUGUGUGAUUAGUACUUAAAAGUGCAUUUUUAUCAAGGUUUUAUAUCAUCAUAUUGCACUUAAAGUAUCAUUAAAUUUCCUAACUUAAGCAUGCUUUAUAAUAGCAAGUACGAUAACAUAAGACAUCUUUAAUUUAUGGUAAAUGUUCAUUUUGAAUGCAGGUUUAUCCCAUAACUCAAAGGAAUGAUUGAUGUGAUUAACUAUUAAAAGUAAAGAGACAAAGAGAGGACUAAGCUUAGAGAAGAGAUGCUGGUUGAAUUCAAACUAGAACACCAUUCGGUUAUUGGAUCAUAACUAGAGUUGUAGACCUUGGAUUUAGGUCUUGUUUAUCUUGAUGGAAAGCUAAGACAUAUGUCUAAAACUUUCAUGAGAGUCCAAGAUUCAAAUCUUCCAUUUUCAAGUUCAACUAUUAGCAUCAAAAAAGAUGUUUGAAUCUGUUCUGUAGCCUAGACACUGUUCAGUGUUCAGCCCAUAUCUCAAGUUCUAGAAGUCCAAAUGAGCUCUGGUUUUUUUUUUUGUUGAAAAGCUAAGACAAUUGCCCAUAACUUUUAUGAAGACUAUGUGCUCAAAUUCUGAUGUUAGCAAUGAUAUUUUGGCCAGCCAACAAUGUCAAUAACCAGCCACCAACUAAAUAGUUAGUCAUCUAAUCAAUAGUUCUGAAUUUUAGCAUAUAAAAGGAGGCAUUUGCCAUGUAUUUAAGCAUCUUGUUUUUGAGAUCAAGAUCAUCUUCUUGCUUUCUCUCUUUGUAAUGUUCAAGUUUUCUUUCAUGCUAUAUUAAUCUCUUGUUUAUGCCUUUUCAUUUCCUUUCUAUACUUAGUUAACUUAUAUCAUAAUCAUGUUCUUAUCUUGUUUAUUCAUGUUUCUCUUCUUCAUAAUGUUUUGCUAAGUUUAUUAUGUCAAGGUGAAAUGUUUUCACUAGUGGUGUUAGAAUAUGUAUAAUAUGAACUGAACAUGGACUUCAAUGUUUAUAUCCAAGAAAGUUUGCUAUUAACAUGUCUUAUCAUUUUUAUCUUAUUCACUCUUAAUAUCUUGCUUGUUAAAUGGUUAAUCUAGAUUUAUGUAUUUAUGUUGUAUAACACUUGGUACAAUAAAUGCUUGAUCCUUCAUAGUCUUCGGCCGACAUCUUUGUUAUGAGAGGAACUUGAUUUGUUGUUAAUAUAAGUUAACAUCAGGAAUACCUGACAAUAUUUACAAGUAUGGUGUUUCUUAGAUAAGAUGAUUAAUAUGAUCAUGUUAAUGAUUUAUAAUGAGCUAAUAAUGAUAAAUCAUCCAAUUGGAUCCUCCUUUGUGUGUGGUUUCUAGUUGAGUAAUAUAAAGAGUUUAUAUUAUAUUUAUUUGAAAUACCAUUAAUGGAUCCUCUAACCUUGACAACUGUUUUAAUCUUUGAUUAAAUCUUUACAUCAAUAUCACAUCUCAAAAGUUCUCUUCAACUUUUCUCCUUUUAUUAUUGAUAAUUUAUAUAGUUCACCUUUCUGUGGUUCGAUCCCGGUCUUGCCAGGUUAUUUAUUACUUUGACACUCCUGCACUUGGGAUAAGACAUCAACUCUUUGAUCGUGUCAAUGACUAGAUAGAAAGAUUAAGGAGAAUGGGGGCUGGAUGGGGGGACCUAUUCUAGAAACAUUGACAAAAAAGAAAUGGAUGAACAUGAUGAACAAAACCUAGACUAAGGGCCACCCAAGGGAAAAAAAUUGGAAAAGGAUGAAAUGAAAUGAUAAAACCUGAAAUUUGUGACCUUGUUUAACUCAUGGAAACAUGCAUGAGCUGAGCAGAGGUAAAAAUUGAUGUUCUUGAUAAUUUAUGGAUUUAGCAUGCAUGAGUGAAGAGUUGUGUGAAAAUAAAAUGGAAGAAUGUGCAGAAUUAUGAUCUUGUUGAACCCUUAGGAUGAUAACUGAGUUGAAAUAGAAUUUGUGUUAAUGUUAAUGCUUUGAUUUUAUUAUGAGGUUAAUGAACUUGCAUGAAUAUGGUUCAAGUGAAUGAGAAUGUGGUUGCGACAUGAUUGUUGUGAUUAUACUUGUGUUAAUGACAUAAAUUAUCCAUAUAUGGUGGAUGAAAUUAUGUGAAAAUGUGUUGAAAUGAUAAUAAAUGUGCAGAAUUGUGUUGUUGUUAAGCCUUAGAGGCAUGUUGAAACUGAAGUGGAAAUCACACCAUGUUAAUGCCUUGAUUUUUGCAUAGGUAAUGGAUGAACUAGUUUAAUUAGAAAUCAAAUGGUUAAAUGUAUGAUCAUGUCAUGUUGUUAGGAUUAUAUUUGUGUUAGACUUGAUAAAAUGCAUGCACAAAAUUGAAUAAAAUUGGGCAACCAUGUUUCGGCUAUGAAGAGUAAAACUAUAAAUGACUUAAAAGUUGCUGACGAUUACUAAAUCGACAACGACAUAGAUUGCGUUGACGAUUUCUAGGUCAGCAGCAACUCAGUUUUUGUCAAUGAUUUUUGUAUCAAUAGCAGGACGUGUGCGCUGAUGAAUUCUGUGUCAGUAGCGAACCAGUUUCCGCUGCCUAAUUAUGUUGUCAGCAGCGAAUCAGUUUUCACUGUCGAAUUAUGGUGCCAGCAGCUAAACCGUUUUCACUGCCGAAUUGUGGCGUCACCAGCGAACCAGUUUCGCUAACGAUUCUGUGUUCCAGCGAAUCAGUUCGCUGGCGAAUCUGCAUCACUAGUGAACCAGUUUUUGCUAACUAAUUUCUACAACAGAUUUACGUAUAUGAAUUGGUCUAGUGACUAAAAUGAUUGCAUUGUGUGAUUGUGUAAUAUGUGGAACACUUGAAUGUGAACAUAUGGAUUCUUGAAAUAUGUAUGGUGAUGAGUCAAGUGAUUUCAGAAUGCAGAUGAGCUGAUUUGUGACCAUUGAUGUGUUAGGUGGUGCGACCGAGCAGGGACACCCCACAUGAGGAACAUGUAAGUGGUUUCCAUCUUUUUCUUAUAUAAUGUUAAUGUUAUGAAAUGAUUUACUUGUGGAUGAUUUAUUAUUGCAUUAUGGUGAAUGUUAAACCAACUAUGAAAUGUUGAUCGAGUUCUUGAUGAAUUUUGGAACGAUGAUGAAAUGUUGAUUGAAUUCUUGAUGAAUGAUGAAACAACGAUGAAAUGUUUGAUUGAAUUCUUGAUGAAUGUUGAAACGACUAUGAAAUGUUACUUUAGCUGGUGAUUAAAUUCACGUAACGGCAUCCGAGAUGGAUGGUCGGGUUUUUAACGAUGAUUAGCUUCAGCUAAUGGCAUCCUAGAUGGAUGGCCGGGUCGCGUUCAUGAUUAGCUUUGGCUAAUGGCAUUCUAGUUGGAUGACCGAGUUAAUUAUGAUGAUUGGCUUCAACUAAUGGUAUCCAAAGGAGAUGACAUGUUAGAUUUUGUGAUUAGGUCUUAAGUGUUAUGUUGAAUAUUUGUCAUUCGACACUUCUGUAAGGACUUGUAAUGAAAACUAUAAUGGAACAUGGAUGUGGAUGUGCAAACAUGUAAAUAUGAUGUUAUGAAUAUAUUUAUGUGAUAUUCUCUUUUAUGAGGAUGUUGUGUUAUGAAAUCACAUGAGGAUUGUAUGAAAGAAUGUACUAGAUGUGUAAAAUUGUCAUUCGGUAAUCGUGUGUAAACUCGUGUUGAUAACAAGACUAAAACAUGAAUGCAAACGUAUGAGUAUUUCAAUAUGAUGUAAUGUAAAUGUAUGAAUAUGAGAAUAUAAUAUUAUAGGCAUGUAUAUUGAGUAACCGUUUUAUAGGAAUGUUGAUUUACGAAAAAUAUAUUCGUAUGAUGCUAUGAUAAGGAAGGGAACCUAAUUACUAUUUUAUGGAAUGUCAUUGUGAGAAGUAUCGAUAACUUAAUGGAAAAACAAUUCCACUAAUUUUGGCUUUGAAAAAGCCGGGUCGUUACAGUAGAUGCCAUAACACGAUAUUCUGCUUCGGUUGAAGAUUGAGAAACAAUAGAUUGUUUCUUGUUCUUCCAAGAAAUAAGAGAAUCACCUAGAAAGAUACAGAAACCGAUAACAGACUUACUAUCAUGAUCAGCAUCAGAGUAUGCACGCAGCUGCAAGGAAAAGGUAGAUGAAAGUACAAGACUUUGAAAGACUGUACCACGAAGAUGUCACAAAAUACAAAGAAUAGUUGCCCAGUGAACUGUAGUAGGAGAAGCAAUAAACUGACUAACAACAUGAACAACAUAUGCAAUAUAUGGACGAGUAAUAGUGAGAUAUACCAAGCUCCCAACAAUAGUACGGUAUAAAGUAGGAGCUAUCAUAGGUAGACCAAUAAAAGAAAAAUACCUUACGUUAACCUCAAUGAGAGUAUCUACAAUAUUUUUAUCAGUAAGUCUAGUCAUCUUAAGAAUAUCUACAACACAUUUCAACUAAGAAAGAAGAUAACCUCUAGGUGAGUAAGCUACCUCAAUACCCAGGAAAUAUCGAAGAUAACCUAAAUCCUUCAUUUCAAACUGUCUAGCUAAUUCCGUUUUCAAAAUUGAAAUACCAUCAAUGUCAUCACCAGUAAUAAUCAUAUCAUCAACAUAUAAAGACAGAAUAAUACGACCUAUAUCAGUGCACUUAAUAAAACGGGUAGAAUCAUGACUACUAGAAACAAAUCCAAUAAACGAGAUCACAACAGAAAAUUUCUGAAACCAAGCACGAGGUUCUUGUUUGAGACCAUAUAACGCUUUCUUGAGCUUAGAAACAUACCCAAAGUCAUGUGAAACACCAGGAGGGGGUGCUAUAUAAAAUCUUUCUUGAAGAUCUCCAUUCAAGAAGGCACUUUUAACAUCAAGUUGAGAGAUGUGCCACUAACAAACCGAAGCUACAAUAAUAAGACUAUGAAUAGUAGUCAUUUUUCCAACUAGGGAAAAUGUCUCCUCAUAAUCCGUACCAUAUUGUUGCAUAUUGUUGAGAGUAUGUUUUUGCAACUAACCUAGCUUUGUAUCGCUCAAUAGACCCAUCAGAAUGAGUCUUGAUCUUAUACACCCAACGACAACCAACAACACUCUUACUAGGAGGUAGAGGAAUCAAAUCCCAAGUAUCUAUCUUACGCAAAGCAAAAAGUUCCUCAUCCAUAGCUUGCUGUAAAAAAGGAUCAAGAAUUGCAUUCUUCUAGGAAGAGGGCUCAGAGAGACAAUGAACAGAAGCUAAAAAGAAGUAAAGGAUAAAGAAUAACAAGAAUAAGCAAAUUCUAGUAGUUUAUGGAUGUACAAAUGUAUAUGGAUUGAUGUAAAGGUGGAUCCACAAUCUUAGACGAAGCUUGGGGGGUUGUAGAUGAGAAUGGAGCUUCAGGUGUGCCAGAGAAUAAAGUGUUAGUACUUGCAUAAUGAUUAGUACAAAUUGGUCGAACAUGGGAAGGGGUAUCUAAGGUACUAGGAACAUGAGAUGAUAAACUAUCAGAAUCCUCAAAAAAAGGAUCUAUACAAAUAAUAUCAAGUCUAGUCAAGCUAUGAGUAGUAGAUGGAAUAGAAAAGAAAGGUAUAUGCUCGAGAAAGACAACAUGACGAGAUAUAUAAAGUUUCUAAGUUAUUGGAUCAAAACAAUGAUACCCCUUUUACCUUCACCAUAACCCGGAAAGACACAAGUAGUAGAUCGAGAGGACAACUUAUUGCGUUCAAUAUAAGGAUGAAGAACGAAACAAGUACAAUCAAAAACUCUAAAUGAGGAAUAAUCACGGACAUACCCAUAUAACUUUUUAAAAUGAGAAAAACCUUAACUAUGAGAAGAUGAUAUUGUAUUAAUCGAACUUAUAGCAGUAAGGACAACUUCUCCCUAAAACUCACUAGGAAUAGAAGCAAACAACAAGAGAGAAUGACUAAUUUCGACAAUAUGCCUAUGUUUUCUUUUAGUAACACCAUUUUGCUUAGGAGUAUCUGUACACGAUGUUUGGUGAAUGGUUCCAUUUAAGGCAAGCAACUCACAUAAUUUAUUAGAGGUGUAUUCCUCACCUAAAUCACACCUAAAACAUUUGAUAAUGAUAGAAUGUUGAGUUUUGAUAAGAGCUCCAAAGGCUGUAUAUAUCUCAAAGAAUUCAUAAUGAUGUUUCAAUAAAUAAACCCAACAAUAACGAGUAUGAUCAUCAAUAAAAAAAACAUAAUAUCGAGACCCUCCUUUUGUGGCAACAAAAUAAGGUCCCCAUACAUCAUAAUGAAUCAAGUCAAAUGGGAAAGAGAAAACAUAAAUACUUAUAUCAAAAGGGAAAGCGAAAAAUUUCACCAGUUUACAUCCACUACAAUCAGAAAUAUCACAAGGUUGCAAAUUUCCUAAAGCUCCUAUGGGUGCCAAAAAUCUCAAACGAGAAGAUGAAACAUGACCUAGAUGAAAAUGCCAUAAAUAAAAACUAGAAGAUGAAUGACUCAAAUGAAAAGAAGACAAAUCAAUAGUAGUAGCAGCAACAACUGACAUCGGCUUUUCCAAGCCCAAAACGACAGUAUAUAUAUAUAUAUAUAUAUACAGACACACUUGACACACAUCGUGUUGGUAAUCGGUGAACUUGUUCUCUCUCAUUAUCAAGAUACAAUCUAUACACCAACAUUAACAACAUUUCAUUUAAAAGUGAAUCUUACAUAUACACAUAAUAUUAUGUUUGCAUAAUUAUAAGUUCAUAUUAAAAAUAUACUAUAUAGUCAUCACAAAUUUAAACAGAAAGAUCUAAUAAUAGUUAUACAUUCAGUACAUUAAUUCGUACAAACUACAUCAUGAUUUAGAAUGCAACUACAUGAUUCCUUGUAAAAGUAGGUUCUUGUGUAUUGGGUUUUCUAAGCACCUCGUUGGUGUGACGUCCUUGCUGCAGUACAAAACAAUUAUAAGACUAUGAUUACUUAAUAAUAAUAAGCAGUCUGGCAGUUUAAUGAAGCAUUAACAUUAUCCUAAGUUUGAAGCGUAACAUUUGUAGUUCCUUUAUGUACUUGGUAUGCACAGCUUGUAGUACAUAUAAAGGCAUCAAUUCUUGCAAUCAACCAUAAUCUUAAAUCCGGUUAUCCUCUUAAGUCAUCAUUAGCUGAAGUUAAUCAUUCACUAGUCCUGGCCAUCCACUUCAGAUGCCAUCAGCCGAAGCUAAUCAAUCAUUUGUCCCGGCCAUCCAUUCGGAUGCCAUUAGCCGAAGCUAAUCAACCAUUUUUCCCGGCCAUCCAUUCAGAUGCCAUUAGCAGAAGCUAAUCAAUCAUUUGUCAUCCGAAGCUAAUCAAUCAUUUGGCAUCCAUUCGGAUGCCAUUAGCCGAAGCUAAGCAACCAUUUGUACUGAUCAUCCAUUCGGAUGCCAUUAGUUGAAGCUAAUCAAUCAUUUGUUAACAUUUACCCAUUUGGCAGUUUGAUAUCUAUACUGACACAAUACGGUAACAAUUCAUGAUAAAGCAUUUCAUAAAUCAACGUUAUGAAAAAGGAAGGUGGAAGUCACCUACCUGCUCCACCUACGAGCUGUUCUUUUCCUAACGAUGGUCACAAAGCAGUACAUUUGUAUCUUUGAAUCACAUUCAUCAGCAUACUUAUUUCAAGAGUUCAUAUGUUCACAUUCAAAUGUUCCACAUUUUACACCAUUAUACUAUGAAAUUGUUACAAGCAUUUGAGUCAUUUUUGCCCGGGAGGCCUAUUGUAGAAAUUGGCAGCAAAAACUGAUUCGUUGCAGGCCGUGCAAUUCGGCAGCGAAAACUGUUUCGCUGCUGGUGCCACAAUUUCAGCAGCAAGUCACAAAUUCGCUACAAACAAUACAACUUCAGCAUCAAAUCACAAAUUCGUUGCAGAACACAAAAUUCAGCAGCGAAUGCAAAUUCGCUGCAUAACACACAAUUUGACAGCGAAUGCUAAUUUGCUACAAACAACUCAAUUUCGACAGCAAAUUACAAAUUUGUUGCAUACAAUACAACUUUGGUAGCAAACCCCAAAUUCGCUGCAGAACACACAAUUCGACAGUGAAUACUAAUUUGCUACAAACAACUCAAUUUCAGCAGCGAUUUACAAAUUCACUGCAGACAAUGCAAUUUGACAUUAGGUUUCAGCAAAGUCACAUGAUUUUUGCAUGAACAUACACACACACAUGCAAUAAUCAAUUCCAGCACAUAAUCUGUCACAAAAGUCCAGUAGAAUACACACAAGCAAUAAUGAAUUCCAGCACAUAAUCUUUCAUCAAAUCUCAGCAGAACACACAAAUUCGCUGUAGAACACACAAUUCGGCAGUGAAUACUAAUUUGCUACAAAUAACUCAAUUUCAGCAGCGAUUUACAAAUUCGCUGCAGACAAUGCAAUUUGACAUUAGGUUUCAGCAAAGUCACAUGAUUUUUGCAUGAACAUACACACACAUGCAAUAAUCAAUUCCAGCACAUAAUCUUUCAUCAAAUCUCAGCAGAACACACAAAUUCGCUGCAGAACACACAAUUUGGUAGUGAAUACUAAUUUGGUAGAAACAACUCAAUUUCAGCAGCGAUUUACAAAUUCACUGUAGACAAUGCAAUUUGACAUUAGGUUUUGGCAAAGUCACAUGAUUUUUGCAUGAACAUACACACACACAUGCAAUAAUCAAUUCCAGCACAUAAUCUGUCAUAAAAGUCCAGUAGAAUACACACAAGCAAUAAUGAAUUCCAGCACAUAAUCUUUCAUCAAAUCUCAGUAGAACACACACAUUGAAAUCAUCAAUUCUAGCACAUAAUCUUUCAUCAAAUCCCAGCAUAACACACACAUAUGCAUUUUGGCCAACCCCAUAGCUAAGGUUAGCCCCCUACCAUGUUUUGUUCUUUCCAUUUUAUACAUUUUUCUUCGUUAGAUGUUAUGGAAAUUUGCCUUAUUUUGUCUCUGUUUCUUUGUCCUCUUAGUUGGUUUUAGUUUCCUUUACAACUAGCUUAGGGGUCUUAGGUCAAUUUUCUUAGGGACUCCUUCAUCAUUUUCGGUUCUAAGUUUCAAGAACAAGGGGGAGGAGACUACAUGACCCAUACCUUUCAGAUCUAAGUUUAUCUGGAUAGUUUGGUAGAGUUACUUCUCUCCUUCUCCUAGUUCUCCUUCUCCCUUUUUCUCUCUUGGUUCUCUUUCUUCAGUCAGUUCCUUCCCACCCAUUCCAGCCCCUUUUCCCUUCUUUCUAAGCAUUUGUUCAGCCUCCACUCAAGAUCUCAACUCUUUCUUUCUCUCACACGUUCAUAGAGGUACUCUCUGCUAGUUUUGGUUCAGUUUCCGUUGGGAAGGCAAAAGAGAAAAGAAGUAUGCAGCUGGACAUGUAGCUGCUACUGGCAGACUUUGGGAAGAGGAAGGGUCACCUUCUCUCUCCCUCCUUGCAUUUAUACUUCAUAUUAAAUGAGGUGGGGGUGUUUGGGGUUGGUUUAGAUGUGCUCUUGUCCCUAUUUUGGUCUGUCCAAAAUCGGGUUUACCCCUCCCUCUUAGCUCCUUAAGACAACUUGAUUGUUUCCUAAACUUUCAAUUAAACUGCAUCGUUGUCGAUUCAGAAGUCACGGCAAAAACUGCAUCGUUGUCGAUUCAGAAGUCGGUAGCAAAAAUAGCAUAGCUGCCAAUUCAGAAAUCAGCAGCGAAAACCGUGUUGCUGCUAAUUCAAAAAUCAACCAAAAAAAGUGUCGCUGCCAAUUCAAAAAUCGGCACGAAAACUGCAUCGUUGUCGAUCCAAAAAUCAGCAACAAAAACUGUGUUGCCGCCGAUUCAGAAAUCGACAAUGAAAAUUGUGUCGCUGCCGAUGCAAAAAUCGGCAGCGAAAACAAUGUCGCUGUCGAUCCAAAAAUUGGCAGCGAUGGUGGGGUUGUUUGGACUUUCAUUUUUUUUUGGUGUUUACAUUCUCCCUCCCUUAACAUGAAUUUCAUCCUCAAAAUUUAAGAGGUUUCAUGAUCCAUACCUAGUAGUUCAAAUAAAUUAGGGUACUUUUUCCUCAUUUCAGACUCCCUCUCCAAAGUUUCCUCUUCUAUUUGAGCAUUUCGCCAUAAGAUUCUGAUGAUGGGGAUCUUUUUGUUUUGUAGCUCCUUCACUUCCUGAUCUAGUGUCCUUAUGGGCCUUAAUUCGAGCGUUAAAUCUUCCUUGACUUCUACUGGAACAUGAGGUAGGAUCCUAGCGGGGUCCACGUCAGCCUUCCUUAACAAGGAGACAUGGAACACAUCAUAGACCUUGGCUAAUUAUAGGGGCAAGUCCACUUUGUAGGCUACUGGCCCCACUCGCUGAAAGAUUUUGAAGGGUCCGAUGACGCGGGGAGUUAACUUCCCUUUCAAUCCAAACCGUAAUAUGUUCUUCCACGAGGCUACCUUCAGGAAUACCUAGUCCCCUGCACUGAACUCGAGAGGUCUCCUCCUCACAUCAGCAUACUUCUUCUGUCUAUCCCGUGAGACUUUGAUGCGAUCCUUGAUGGUUCUCACGUUCUCCAUGGUGACUUGAACCAACUCUAUGCCAUACAACUUCCGGUCCUAAACUUCUUCUUCUCAACAUAAAGGAGUCCUGCACCUCCUACCAUAAAAGCUUCAUACGGGGCCAUCCCUAAUAUGGCUUGGUGACUAUUAUUAUACGUGAACUCCACCAAUGUUGUUUGUUCCUCCCAGUUUCCUCUAAAUUCUUGCACACAUGCCUGCAAUAGGUAUUCCAAGACAUGGAUGACUCUUUUCAAUUGGCCAUCAAUUUGAGGGUGAAACGUGGUGCUCAUGUCCAAUCUUGUCCCCAAGGCAUGUUGUAUGCUCAGCCAAAGUCGAAAAGUGAACCUGGGAUCUCGAUUCAAUACAAUGGACACUGGAAUCCCAUGGAGUCAUACCACCUCGUUUAUGUAGAUCUUGGCAAACUCAUCCAAAAUAUAUAGUUCAUUCUCCCUACGGCCUGUCCCAAUCAGCUUUUUAGACUGCAGAUCCUGUACACAACAAAAGAAAGAGGAAAAAUGACUAAAUAAUCACCAAAAUCUAAGUUUCGGAAUAAGAUAAACAUUAGGGAGAGAUAAGUGAGGUGUGACAAUAGAACCAACACCUGCUAAGGGCAUUGAAGUGUCAUCAGCAGUUAUAACAAGAAUGGAGGGCGAAGGGGACACAAAGGUAAAAGAUGAAGAAUGUCAUAACCUAAUUUUUGAACAAAUAAUAAAAAUUGAAUAUAGUUGACGAUGGGAUUAUUAAAUUUGAGAGUCAAUUGAUCAAUAAUUGAAGAAUUAAAAGUUGAAGAGUUAAUUAAGGACCAAAUUGAACAAUCCGGGAAUUAAGGACUGUUUUGUAAACAGUGGUAUAAUUUAGGGAUUUAGGUGAAAUUAAUCCAAUGGCAAAAUUAAAAGAAUUUAUUAUUAUUAUUUGGGAUCCAAUUGUUAAAUUUCCAGAAGCAGGGGUCAAAGUGAAAAUUUCCAUUUCUACGGAAAUGGCACCGUUGCUGGGGAACAGUCAUGCGUCUUCUUCAUCCCGAUUCAACAGGGAAGCUGGAAAAUCGGUAGCAAAGCCGACCCAAUCGUGACCACGUUCUCUGCCCACAAUCCCGUUCGUGGAGGGAUAACAGUCCUGCAAAGGCAGGACUGGUUUAGGGGCAAGCUCUCUAGGCCUUAUAAAAGGCAGAGCAAAGUAGAGGCCAAGGGACAAAAAAAAAACCAGAGGAAAAACCUAGAAAAAAAAGGAGGAAAACGCAAGCAGGAAAAAAAAACUGAGGGGAAGAACACGAAAGAAGAAAACAGAGAGCACGAACGAAAACAGAGAGAGGGAGGGCGACCGAGAACAAAAAACUGGGGGAGUGAGAACACGAAAAAGCCAGGGGAACGAACGAAACGGAGACGAAGGAGCAGGAGGGAAGAACACUGGGAAAAAAAAAAGCAGAGCAAAAGAAAGAAAAACAAAAGCAGAGUAAAGCCACCGAAACCAGAACCAUUGUUGCUACUGUCUUCGGUAUUUCCAAAACCAGGUAAGUAAGCUUCUCUUUCCCCGCUUUUCAUUUUAAUUCACUUCCUUUAUCUGCUCAUGCACGUGUGAUUUAGUUCACGCGUGCUUCAUGUUGCCUAGCUGGGUCACUAGCUUGGGCCAGUGCCUGGCCGGGCUAGUUGGGUCUAGCCCGACCCCUAUGGGCUGAGCUAGGCCCAGGCCCAAAAAAAAUAAAAUAAAAAUUUGUGCAUGUAUAAAUAAAAAAAUAUAAAUAUUUUUUUUUAUUCAUUGACGCUAGAGUCAUGAAUAAAAAUACUGAUUCAAAUUUCUUUCAUUAUAUUUUAUUUAGCUACAUAAAAAAUAAAAAAUUAUGCAUGCGUAAAAAUAAAUUUAUUUUAUUUGUUUAUUCACUAACGCCAGAGUCAUGAAUAAAAAAUACUAAUUUAAAUUUAUUUUGUUUUUAUAGCUACGUAAUAUUUACCAACGCUAGAGAUGAAAGUAUCCGUAGUUGAAUAUUCACUGGCGCCAGAGUCAGGAAUAUUACACGCAAACCAUCAUAGCAUAAACCAACAAAAUGUUAGCAAUUUAUGACAAAACUAGCAAUGCAGCCUGCCUCAGGCAGGACGUUUAAGGGGUGAUAAUAUCUUCCCUUUUGCGUAACCAGUCACGUACUAUAGAAUCUCUGCUGACCAGUCAGGGUUCCUAGUGACCAUAAUACUAGGUGGCGACUCCUUAAACAAGACCAUUCCCCAUUAAAGAACGAGAUGCCAGAAAUCCGUUCUUUCCAUGAAAAUUUUUAAAGCCGUCGCGAUGUCGGGUGCGACAAAGAAUAUAGAGACAUAUAAUGUGAAGCACCAGAAUCCAAGACCUAUUCAAAAUUUGACAUACCUGAAGAACUAUGAGGCAAUUGACUUAUAGAAGAAGCAGACAUUGCUUGUGGAUGUAAGGAGAGAAACUUCUGAAAUUGCUUAGCCAGAGUACUAGGAUCGGUGAUAGGGCCUGAUGAAACUACUGUUGUAGUAUUGUUGUGGGACAUUGAGCCUUCCAAUGACCUUUCUACUUAUAAAAAUUACACUCGUCAAAGGCAACCUCUGUGUAAGGCUUAUUUUGAUGAUUAGAGAAUGACUUGGAGGGUACUACUAGUAUAGAUGAAUUUGAAGUAGAAAGAAUUUUCUUUUUAGAAUAAGACCGGAUAUGUAUUUCUUCAGCCAAUAACCCACUAACAAUAGAGUCAACAGAAGGCAGUGAAGAACGAUGUAGAAUUAAACCUCCGAGUCCUUCAAAAUCACUGUGAAGUGCUAUUAAAAAUUUUACCAAUCAUUGUUGUUCCCUACGAUCAAUAUAGGCACUAAAUGCCUUUAAUUCUGCCGAUUCUAUAAGAGCCAAUUGAUCCUAAAGAUUUGUCAUUGCAGAAUAGAACUCCUGAAUACUCAUAUUCUUCUAGUGAAGAGCUCGUAUGUCAUUCUCUAAUUGAUAUUGUUUUGUAAAAUUUGAUUGCAUAAAUAACCUUUGCAGAUGAUCCCAAACCUCCUUCGUUGUCUCAUACUUCGCCAACUACGUACCUAUGGAAUGCUCAACAAAAUUGUUAAUCCAAGUAAUAAUCUUUGUAUUGUUUGCUUCCCAUGCAUCUAUCAAAGCAACAUCCCCUUCCUCAGUAUUCUUAGGUACCACAUAGGUUCCACUCACAUAUUCCCACAUCUUUUUACCAUUAAAGAAAUUUCGCAUUACAUAACUCCAAUAUAAAUAGUUCUUCCCAUCCAACUCACACUCACAGACUGAAGCGAAUCAUCUCUUUCAGUAGCCAUAAUCAAUAAUUACAUAGAACCAGAAUGCGAAAGCAGCGAAGAACAAAAUACCAAAUUGCACAAACUGAAUAGAUAUUGCAAAAACUAAACAAAUAUCUUCUCGAAGUUAUAUGAUUACUCCAAAACAAAAAAUUGUAGAAACAAAAUGCAAAUACCAAGUUACAGAAACUAAAGAGAGGAUGAAAUACCAAGUUGCAGAAACUGAAGAGAAGAUGAAAUACCAGAUUUGCAGAAACUAAAGGGAAGAAAAAAAUACUAGAUUUGCAAAAAUAAAUCGAAUAUUACUCAAAACAAAACCAAAAAUGAUCAAACCGACAAGAUUGUGCAGCCAAGUCUCUUCAAAAUCCAUCUAGUUCUAAUUAUUAUUUCUAUUUCUUUUCAGUUUUAUCGCAUAUUAAUUUAGUCUUUUAAAAAAACCAAACUGAUUAAUUAUUCUAUUCAUUAAUGUUUUUUUAUUUCCUUGGUUAAUCCUAUAUAUUCGAAUCUAAUAGAUAACAAUGUUUUCAACCAUUUUUAAAGUGUAUUUGUAGUUGUUUUUUUUUUUCCUUAGGACCAUUGACCUGCCUUUUGGUUAUGUGGAAAACAAGAGGGAAAGGCAGAGAACUCAAAUCGAUUGGAAAGUUAUGGUACGAUGACAAACACUUCAAAGCUAGCUUGUUAACGUAUAGUUCCUCCAGCCCUAACAACUAACACUAAGCAUUGUCACAACCAUUGCAUCUGCUUAUAGAGUCUUUGAAGACAAGUUCUCCUUCUAAGUUUCAAAUCUUCUUUGUAGAAAUAAACAUGCACAAUUUUCCUUUCAAAGUUUCAAUAUAUUUAUUUGAUUCAUAUAAUAAUAAUUUUGUGUUGUAGCGUCACUACCAGAAAACCGGAGAAAAGCAACGGAAUUACCGACGGAAAUAUUCCGUCGGUAAUUAAUACCGACGGACAUAAUUCCGUCUCAAAAUCGGUCGGUAUAUACCGACGGAAUCAUUCCGUCGGUAAUGCCGUCGGUAUAUACCGACAGAAUAUUUUCGUCGGUAUAUACCGUCGACUUCACCGACAGAAUAUACAUUUCGUCUGGAAAUACGCAACGGCAUGGUGACGUCAGGCUAUUUUACCGACGGAAAGUACCGAGGGAUUCAAACUAUGAUAGCCGUACAGUGACGUGGCGAUGUCACCGACGGCAUCACCGACGGAAUGAAUCCGUCGGAAAAAGCCAUUAUAUGCACCCACCUGCCGACACUCUCAUCCUCUGUUUCUCCUUCUUCUUCUUUCCCAUCCCACCUCUCCCCUCCUAAACUCCUCCCAAACUGCAGCCAAACACCCAUCCCAAACUCUCCACUAUUCUCAACACGAGCACUCAAGUUUCUUAUAUCUUGUACGUGGUCACAAUACCCGUUUCUUGUAGAUUUUAUCAUUUUUUUGUAAGUAAAUCUAUCCUUUUUAAUUAGUUUUAAUAUUUAAUUGUGAAUUUUAUUGUUUUAGUAUAUGUAUUUUGUUAACGUUUGUACUUGUUUAAUUGUUAUUUGUCAAAGAAACUUGUAGUAUGAAUGUAUAAUUUUGUAGUUGUUAUAGGUUGUUUUAGAUUUUGUCAAAUUAUAUUUGUUUGUAAAUUGUUGAAAUUUUGUUUGAAUUACACCGAAUUAAAUGUGUCGUUGUGAUGAAAUAAAUAAUUAAUAGCUUAUUUAAGUGUCUUGUUUAAUUAUUAUCAAUUAUAUUUCGAAGUUGUGAGUAAUUCUGUAAAUUUAUAUAUGUAUAAAUUUGUAUGUAUGAACGUUGAUAGUUGAUAAUUGAUAAUGAAUAUUUAACAUAAGUGUUGUUUUAGUUUGUUGGAUAAUGUCGGGGAAAACCAAUAUUUUUGUUAUGUUUUAUAGAGGUUCAAUAGAAGUCAUGGAUGAUCGUUCAUGGAUGUAUCGGAACUCACCCCAAGGAUUGCGGAGGAUGGAUUAUUGUAACGGUGUCCAGGGUUUUAUUAAUUUCGCAACAUCUAUUCCGAGGAAUUUUACUGAUGGCGGUAUUAGGUGUCCAUGCAGGAAGUGUAAAAAUUUAAAGUUUCUGCAUCAAGAUGUUGUAACGAUGCAUCUUCUAACCAAAGGGUUCAUGGAAGAUUACCUGUGUUGGUAUGCUCACGGAGAACUAUUUGUUCCUGAUGAGAGCAUGGAAGAACAGGUGGUUGGGUCAACUUCUAGUGCUAGUAACAUGCAUGAAGUUGGAAAUGAGAACAGUAAUCCUUACAGGAAUAUGGUUAUGGAUGCAAUGAGAAUGAGUGAAGAUAAUGUCAAGGGAUGUCCAAUCGUAGAAGAAGAACCUAAUGCAGAUGCAGCAAGGUUUUUUGAUCUGUUGAGAGAUUCUGACGAACCAUUAUGGGAUGGCUGCACGAACCACAGUAAAUUAUCAGCCGUAGCACAGGUGUUCACCAUAAAGUCAGAUCACGGGUUGAGUGAGGCCGGUUAUGACAAGAUUAUUGAAUGGGCGAGAAGCAUUUUACCUGAAGGGAACAGGCUGAAAGAGAACUUCUAUGCUGCCAAGUCCAUGAUGAAACCCCUCGGUUUAGGAUACCAGAAAAUUGAUAUAUGCCCUAACUUCUGCAUGUUAUACUACCUUGAAAAUGCCGAGAUGACCGUUUUGGUUUGACCCAUAAUUGGGUGAAGCGAAGUAUAUUUUGGGAGCUUCCUUAUUGGAAGACCAAUCUUCUCCGCCAUAACCUUGACGUCAUGCACAUUGAAAAGAACGUGUUUGAGAACAUUUUCAACACCGUCAUGGAUGUGAAGGGGAAGACAAAGGACAACAUUAAGGCUAGAUUGGAUGUAGCGCUGUUCUGUAACCGUAAAAAUAUGGAGUUGGUUUGUGAUGGGUCACGGGUCGCAAAACCAAGAGCAAGCUUCGUGCUAGAGAAAAACGCACAACUACUAGUCUACAAAUGGCUUAAGAGUCUGCGUUUCCCCGAUGGACAUGCCUCGAACAUAUCAAGGCUGGUUAAUACGGAGGAAUGCAGAUUAUAUGGAAUGAAGAGUCAUGACUGCCAUGUGUUUAUGCAAACACUCAUCCCAUUAGCUUUUCGUGAUUUGUUGCCAAAGGGGAUAUGGGAUGCACUAACGGAGAUUAGUCAUUUCUUCAGAGAUAUAUGCUCCAGCAAGUUGAAUGUUGAUCACAUUGAGAGGCUUGAAAAGAAUAUCGUCGAGACAAUAUGCAAAUAUGCAAACUUGAGAUGAUAUUCCCUCCAUCAUUUUUUGACUCAAUGGAGCAUCUACCCGUACAUUUACCGUUUGAGGUAAAAGUAGUACAGAUGGAUGUAUCCAUUCGAGAGGUUAGAUAUUACAGUUGCUAUGACAUUUAUAAUUAAAUGUUUUUAUUUUAAUGUUUUUAAUUGAUAAUAUAUAUAUAUAUAUAUAUAUAUAUAUAUAUAUAUAUAUAUAUAUAUAUGCAGGUACUUGUUCAAUCUUAAAAAAAAGGUUAAGAACAAGGCGCAUGUUGAGGCGUCAAUAUGUGAGGCGUAUAUUGUUGAGGAGAUCUCAACAUUUAUCUCAUACUAUUUCGAACCUCAUUUGAGAACGAGGAUAAACCGUGUUCCACGGCAUGAUGAUGGUGGUGAAGUGCAUUCAAGUGGGAACUUGUCAAUAUUCUCCAAUCCUGGACGACCCACACCUAAAAAUGCCGUGAGGGGAAGAUAUUUGUCUGAAAUAGAGUUCAGACAAGCACACAAUUAUGUCCUAUUUAACUGUGAUGAGCUGAGACCUUUUAUUAAGUAAGUAGAUGUUCGACUUAAACUUUGUCAAGAGUGUACUAUUUAUGUUUUGUGAUACCAUACACUCAUAUACUUUGGAACAACCUUGCAGGCAACAUCGACGAUACUUACUGUCCAAUAACUCAAAGCUGACCGAAUCCCAGAUCUUUCAAUUACAAGAUGAACAAUUUGCCACAUGGUUUAGAACACAUGUAAGUCCUAGCACAAACUCAUUAUCUCUUGCAAUGUAAUUAAUUGUAGUCAAUGUUACAUAAUAUCCGUUUAUUGAUUAUUGUUGUAUUUAAUUUACGAGCUAGGUUUAUCAAAUGGGAGGUAGUGCUGCUAUUUCACUGUCUUUACUAUGUCUAGGCCCUGAAAGAAAAGUCAAGUGCUAUAAUGGAUAUUUUGUCAAUGGAUAUGUCUUUCAUACUGAAGAAUACGGGCAUGGAAGAAAGACAUACAACAGCGGUGUUUGUAUUAAGGGAUCGACUUCUAGUGAGUUUGAAGUUGACUACUACGGUAGAUUGGAAGAGGUCAUCGAACUGCAAUAUCAUAGCGAGCAAAAUAGAGUGUUUUUAUUCAAAUGUUAUUGGUAUGACACAACUGACAGAGGAAUCAGAGUAGAUCCUCACUAUGGUCUCGUUGAAAUCAAUUCAAAAGCUAGACACCGCAACGUAAACGACGUCUUUGUUUUCGCAAAGCAAUGCCAACAAGUUUAUUACACAUACACCCCUUCCUUUAGAAAGGACCGAUCAAGAGUUGAUUGGUUAUCCGUUUUAAAAACAAAACCCAAGGGUCGUGUCGAGGUUGUUCAGGAUGAGAACGAAGACACAAGUGUGAUAGAUGAAGUCUUUCAAGCUAGUGAGUUGGUUGAACCAUACCGAGUUGCUCCGUCGAUUGACUUAGAAGAAAAUUCGAAUUUUCGCGUUUUCAACGAUAGUCUUGUUGAUGUUGACGCAGAGGAGUUGAAUGUUGUUCUGAGCUCCACUAGUGGAAAAAAGAAUGUUGUUGAAGAAGAUGAUAACGAAAUUGAAGAGUGCGAUGAAGCUGAUGAUAACAAUUCAAUGGAGGACGAAGAUGAAAAUUCCGACUAACUAAACAUGUUAUAAAGUUUUAUUUUUAUAAUGUAAUAAUUUGAAACAUGAAAUAUUUAUUCUUCUUUAAGGGUCAGCCGUUGUUAUUAUGUUGUGUGUGUUUUUUAGUUAGCAAUUCAAGAUUUUUUGAGAGGGUUACAUAUAAAAAAUAAGAAAAAUUUACCUUUUCACCGACGUAUAUACCGACAGACUAUAACCCGUCGGUAUUUCACAGAGAGUUGCAAAAAAAUUACGGGAUUUUGCCACAUUCACCGACGGAUAUACCGACGGAAUAUAACCCGUCGGUAUUUCACAGAGAGUUGGAAAAAAAUUACGGGAUUUUGCCACAUUCACCGACGGAUUUCCGACAGCUUUUCCGACGCCAAUACCGACGGCAUCACCGACGGAAUUGUCCGCACGCAUGUCUGACACGUGUCCGUCUGCACCAUCACCGACGGCAUUUCCGACGGAUUACCGACGGAUCGAAAAGUUUGGCGGGAUUUUCGAACUUUUUUGGUGCGCAUUUCAAUUAAUUUCCGACGGAAUUACCGACGGAAAUUAAUUUCACCGACAGCAAUUAAGGGCCGUCGGUAAUUCCGUCGGAAUUUCCCUAUAUAUACCGCCCCCCCACCNNNNNNNNNNNNNNNNNNNNNNNNNNNNNNNNNNNNNNNNNNNNNNNNNNNNNNNNNNNNNNNNNNNNNNNNNNNNNNNNNNNNNNNNNNNNNNNNNNNNCCCCCGCACCGUCUCCUCCUUCCCCUCGUCUCCCCCUCCCUCUCCCCGUCGUCUCCCCCUCGUCUCCCCCUCCCUCUCCCCCUCGUCUCCCCCGUCGUCUCCCCCUCCCUCUCCCCGUCGUCUCCCCCGUCGUCUCCCUCUCUUCUCCUCUUCUCCCUUCCUCUUCUCCUCUUCUCCCCCUCUUCUCCUUUCACUUCUCUUCUCCUCUUCUCCCUUUCUCUUCUCCUCUUCUCAAGUGUGAUCUUCUUCUCUCAUUUAGUUUCAAAAGGUAUGUAUUUUUUUUUCUUUAUCUUUGUAUUUUUUUUAUUUUAAUUAUGAUUAUUUUUUUUGGUGUUCUUUGUUUUGUAUAUUGUUUGUAGAUAAAAUCUUAAAUUCAACACAUUAUUAAGGUAAGCAUUUUUUAUUCCCAAAUUUAUUUUGAAUUGAUAUAAUGUUUUUUAAUUUUGUGUGUUGUGUAGUGUUUUUUAGUUUUUUAAUUUUAUUUAUUAAUUUUAGUUUUUUAGUUUUGAUAUUAUUGUUUGUAUUGUUAUAAUUGUUAUUGUUGAAUUUAUGUUAAAAAUGUUAGUUUAUAAAUAUAAUUGUUAUUGUUGAUUUAUUUUAAAAAUGUUAGUUUAUAAAUAUAAUUGUUAUUGAUGAUUUAUUUUAAAAAUGUUAAUUUAUAUAUAUAGAAUUGCAUUUAAUUAUUAGUGUAUCUUAAUUUAGGAUAUUAUUGUUUGUAUUGCUAUAAUUGUUAUUGUUGAAUUUAUGUUAAAAAUGUUAGUUUAUAAAUAUAAUUGUUAUUGUUGAUUUAUUUUAAAAAUGUUAGUUUAUAAAUAUAAUUGUUAUUGUUGAUUUAUUUUAAAAAUGUUAAUUUAUAUAUAUAGAAUUGCAUUUAAUUAUUAGUGUAUCUUAAUUUAGGAUAUUAUUGUUUGUAUUGCUAUAAUUGUUAUUGUUGAAUUUAUGUUAAAAAUGUUAGUUUAUAAAUAUAAUUGUUAUUGUUGAUUUAUUUUAAAAAUGUUAGUUUAUAAAUAUAAUUGUUAUUGUUGAUUUAUUUUAAAAAUGUUACUUUAUAUAUAUAGAAUUGCAUUUAAUUAUUAGUUUAUCUUAAUUUAGGAUAUUAUUGUUUGUAUUGCUAUAAUUGUUAUUGUUGAAUUUAUGUUAAAAAUGUUAGUUUAUAAAUAUAAUUGUUAUUGUUGAUUUAUUUUAAAAAUGUUACUUUAUAUAUAUAGAAUUGCAUUUAAUUAUUAGUUUAUCUUAAUUUAGGAUAUUAUUGUUUGUAUUGCUAUAAUUGUUAUUGUUGAAUUUAUGUUAAAAAUGUUAGUUUAUAAAUAUAAUUGUUAUUGUUGAUUUAUUUUAAAAAUGUUAGUUUAUAUAUAUAGAAUUGCAUUUAAUUAUUAGUUUAUCUUAAUUUAGGAUAAAAUAAUUAAAUGAAUGUUCAUAGUUGUAAUUCUAUAUGAUGUUAUUGAAUAAAAUGUUGUGUUGAUGAUGAUGAGUUGGGUUGAGAUCCAGGAUGAUUGGAUCGGGAUGUGAAAUAAAAUUGGAAGUGUAAUAUGAUUUUGUCGACAACUUGGGACCCCCCAGUACAGGGGAGACUCUGUCGAAUUUUUUUUUUAAAUAAUCGAAGUUAAUUAUUCGUAUACAUGUGUGUAGAUGCGUAGAAUGAAAUCGACAGCACGUCGUCAGAAGACGGUUGCAGCUAGUUCUUCUAGCAGCGAGGAGGAUGUAUCCUUAGGUGCUGAUCACGGCGAGGAAUCUACGCCAACUUGUGAUGCUGCCUCUUCUAGCGCGGUUUCACAGCGCAGAAGCGGUGUGCCUUCACAGCGGGGUCAAUUCACCCGCAAGUACUAGGCACAAUGGAAGGAUGACCUCUCAAUGUAAGUUUGUUUAGGUUUUAGAUUUUUUUUAUAUACUUAUAACAUAAUUUAUGAACAACUAAUUAAUAUUAAUUACUACUUUUAUUUAAUUUCAGGUUUACAAACAUUGAGGCUGCAAGGACUAUAACAUUGGCGUUUAAAUCGUCGAUGGAGAUUCCAUUGUUUCAAUGGAGCCAGGUUUCCAAACAUCCUGAGUGGAAACCUAAUAUCGAUGCAUGGUUUAAGCGAUUUCAGGUCGGUGUUAAUUUUUAAUUUCCAGCUUAUUUUUAAUAAAUGAUUUUUAUAAUUUUAUAUCUUGUACUAUUUUUAUUUUAUAUGAAUUAUUUAUAUACACAGAACAAAUUUGAGUGGGAUAGGGCGGACAACAAUGUUGUGAGGAGGGUAUGGGAGAAUCACGCGGCAACUAGGUAACAUCAAAAAUAAUAUUUAUUUUUGUUUUAUAAUUUAAUGUUUUAAAUUCUAAUUUGUUACUAUGGAAGUAGGUUGCGUGAUUUUUGGUAUGACACCCAAAAAAAAUCAAAAAAACAUGCGAGGGAUAACGGUCUUGAAGGAUGGAAUGAGGUGGCGGUUUGGCAGGAAUUCAAACCGCCAUUCAUCUCGGGGGAAAUAUGGACGGCAUAUAUUGAGCACGUGACCUCAGAGCGGUUCUCACGGCGCUCACAGUCUGGCGCCGACAACCGGAACCGACAAAUUUAUGGUUCGGUGACCACGCACACUGGCGGAUCCGUCCCAUUCAGCGCACAUGCAAAGCGGAUGGUAAGAUUAAUUUUAUUGAAAUAUAUCGAUAAUUAAUUUGUCGUUCCUUAUAAUAUAUUUAACUUUCAACCUAUUUUUUCCUUACAGGCUGCGUCUCUUGGACGUGAACCGAGUCCAAUGGAGCUGUUUCUAGAGACGCAUGUGCGGAGUCAAGACCGCCAAAAAGGGGUGCAGCAGUUCGUGGACAACCGUGCUCAGCACUUCGUGGUAUGUUCGUUCAUUCAUUUUAUUUUGUAAGUUAUUAUUUUCUUGAAUUGCAUCUUGAAUUGCAUUUGAUGAUUUUUUUACCGAUGGAAUUUUCAGGAGACCUAUAAUAGCCGGUUGAGGGAGAGAUAUGGGGACAAUCCGUCGACCCAUCCAGAUUUCGAUCCAGAUUUGUGGAUGGAGGCGGGAUCGUCUGGUGGACCCGAUAAAAACAGGGUCUACGGGCUCUCCAACACUACGGCUGACAACUUGCGUUCGACUCGUAGUGUCUCAAUUGUUGGAAGCUCUCCAUCAGUAUCGAACACCCAGUCUGAGGAGUUCAUUGCGUUGAAACAACAAUAUCAACAACUCUCGACGAAUUAUGAUGAGCUCCGUCAAAUAGUCAUGGAGAUGAGAUCAAAGAUGGGUGACGAUACUUGUGCAGCUUCUUUUUGGCCAUUUGGUCCCGGAAACAACCAGCCUCCUCCUCCUCCGCCUCCUCCUCCAGCUCCGCCGCUAUUCUAGUUUAAUUUUGUUUUUUAAACACAUUAAACUUGUAAUGAAUAUUAUUACUUUUACAUUUUUUAUGUUUAAUGCAUUUUUAUUUGUUUAUUAAUGUUUUUUACAAUUAAUAAAUUAUUUUUUUUAUAUAUUUCAAAUAUUUACCGACGGAUAUACCGACGGAAAAUAUCCGUCGGUAUUUAACAGAGAGUUGGCGAACAAUUACCAUCCAUGCCAUCGUUACCGACGGCAUCACCGACGGAUAAUAUCCGUCGGUGAUUAACGACGGCCAUACCGACGGCUAAUAUCCGUCGGUAUUAGACAGAGAGUUGCAACAAAAUUACAAGCCAUGCCAUAAAUACCGACGGAAACCCCGUCGGUGAUGCCGUCGGUAAUUACCCUUAAAAGUACCGAUGGAUUGGCCGUCGGUAAUGUUCUCGCGAGGAAUUUUUUUUUGGCGCGCGUAUCCGUCUGUAUUACCGUCGGUGUGUCCGUCGGUGAAUGGUUUUUUUUAUUUGCGAUAGAAUUAGCGACGGAAAUGGGAUUUACCGACGACUGUUUUACCGACGGACGUGAUCCGUCGGUGAAUCCGUCGGUAUUGUUUUCACCGACGGAGUUCAUUGCUAUCACCGACGGAAUUAAUCCGUCGGUAAAACUGGAUAAUGUUGUAGUGCGUACUUAGUUAGCACACGUUUCUAAAUCUAGAAGUUGCGGUUUAUUUCAACGUCAUCUAUAUAUGUUGUGCCCACGUACUAGUAGGUUCAGAUAAAGGAAAAUUGUGCAUGUUUAUUUCUACAGAGAAGCUUUGAAACUUGGAAGGAGAACUUGUCUUCAAAGAAUUUAUAAGCAGAUGCAACGGUUGUGACAAUGCUUAGUGUUUGUUGUUAGGGCUGGAGGAACUAUACGUUAACAAGCUAGCUUUGAAGUGUUUGUCAUCGUACCAUAACUUUCCAAUCGAUUUGAGUUCUCUGCCUUUCCCUCUUGUUUUCCACAUAACUUUCCAAGGACUUGGAUCGAUUUGAGUUCUUAGCCUUUCACUCAUGUUUUCCCCAUAAUUGCAAAUUAUUAUAUAUAAAACUAAAUCAUACGAGGAAAGUUCUAUUUAUAAAAACUAAUUGUACUGUAAAUUGGAACAGUGUUAGCAAAAGUCUUGUUUAUCAAGAUUCAUGGCACUGUCAAUUGGAGCAAUAUAAUGACAGAGUUACCCUUGUCACAGAGAGGUGCAAAGAUUGUAGGGGGAGGGUGGGCUGGGUUGUCUUUUCAUUAGGAUACAUUUGAUAUUAAAGAAAUAGUUAAGAAAAAAACGAUCAUUGUAAAUUUUGAUGGGAUAUAGUAGGACUACAGACCCGGUUGUAGACACAUGGUGCUAGGCAAUCAUGCCCUGCCACAUAUGGUGGACUAAAGAAAAAGUUUUUAUGGUUUCAUUAACCAGCUGCAACAAGGCUAUAUAUAUUUUAUUGUUGUUUGCAUUGAUCAAAUCACACUAUCUUGCUGCAUAACCUCAAGCAUUACUCAGUUGUAAGAAACUUGACCGACUAAUUUCACAAAUACAUGGAGGAUAGGUCGUUCUAGCAAAAAAAUACUGUAUGAACAUUUCUUUGCAAGCUUACACACACACUGAAUCUCCUUAAUUUACUAGUAAAAAGAUGAUGGCUUCACCGCUUUAAGUGAGAAAGAGAAUGGCAUAAAGCACCCAUCACCUCCAAAAGGCUCUGUAGAGAGUCCAACAUCAUAAACCAUGGUGAGAUCAGUCUUGAAAAGUCGAAAUGAUCGCUCAGAACCAGAUCCAGGUUUCAAGUCUUCGUCAUGAAGAGCAAAG